GUGCACAAAGCACGGCAAGGAUUGAAGAGCUGCUUCAGGAGGACCAGAAUGUGAAGCGUAGGAGGGAUCGCUAUCAGAAACAGUCUGAACUCCUGUCUAAACUAACCCGCCAACUUAGCAUUCAUGACAACCGAGCGGCUGCUGCCUCUAACUGGUCGGACGGUGGUGGUGGAGCAGGUACGUGGUCUUUUGUUCAUAUACCAAGUGGAAAAAAUUGUUCAAUUUAACAUUUCCCUUUUGUCUGUUUAAAAAAUUAUAACAUUGAACUUUUGAGUAAAUAUCUAUAGUCUAAUGACAGUGGAUCUUUUCUUAACCUAAUUGUUUGCUGAUUUUGGAAUUAAAAAUUUUGUUCUGAACUUGAAUUAAUCUACUGUUUGAUUAUUGGAAAGGUUUCUCAGGUGACACUCAAGAAAUGCUAACCAAACCUAUUAAUUGCUUGAACUGUCUUACUAUUGAGCUACUUUCUGACAAAAGAUUGUUAGAUUGAUUUGUUUGUACCAUUGGAUUUUAAAAUUUUUAUUUAUUUGUACCAUUUAAUUAAAAAUGUUUUUUUUAUAAGACCGUCAUUUUGAUUUUAAAAUGUUUGUUAAAUCUCUAUUUGAAACAUUUUGAUGAUGGAAGUAUUGGGUUAUGUAAUAUGCAGAAAGCAGCCCUAGAACAAGUGCCGCAUCAGGUGAUGACUGGAGAUCCGCAUUUGAUGCUGCUGCCAAUGGACCUGUAAGCCUUCGCAGCUACUCUCGGUCUGCAUCCAAUGGGCACAGCCGGCGUUACAGUGAUCCAGCCGAGAAUGGUGAUGUGAGAUCUGGUUCAAACUCGGGCAGUCGUCGUACUCCUAAUCGGGUGCCGCCGCCUCCGCCACCAACACAGUCAGGCUCCAAGUACUUUUAGGUGGCUUACAGAUUUUGGUUGACAAUUCAUAUUUUCUCUGCAUAUUUUUAGUGAGUGAAGGCCUGCUUAACCACUCAUGAUUCCAGUAGUUGGUUAAUCACUUCUUUAGAAUCUUCAAAAGAGGGUGCUUUGUGUAAAUAGGACUCUAUAGUUCCUGAGCUGAAAGUCAGGAUUUUACGGCUUGCCCCUUGUCAGAACUAUGAAUUCAAAGUGUAUUUGAAUUCCAUUUAUCAUAUUCUUCUAUUCAUUAUUUUGUUUUUGUUUUUGCUUUUGCUUUUGGCUCCUCCCCUCAUUUUUGGACGAUGGUAUAGUUGUAUUUGUUUGUGUCAGUUCUGGAUAUAUGCUUUCGGACUUUUGGCUUUGUAUCAUUUGGAAAAUUCUUGUAAGGGGAGAGAUAUAAAAAUAUUUCAUAUAUCUACUUCUCUAUUAAAGAUGCAACUUUUUGUUGUAUUUCUGAGUUGGGAUGUUGCUCGGCGAUUAGUUUUUUUGUUUUUUUUUUGACAGUAAUUGGUCUCAUUAUAAUAUAACUAACUCUUUUGAUUGUUACUGAUUUAGUGAAUCAAGGUGGCCAUCAUACGGGGCAUAUUUAAUAUGUUUUCCCUCUACGUUAUUUGUUUAAUUUUUAUUUUAUUUUUAUCAACUAAUUUUUAUGCACCUCAGUUAGUCUGUAACUGUACGAGUAUAAUGGUUUAUUUAUGUUUUUUUUUUUAAUAUUUUGAAGUAAUCUAUCUCUUAUCAAACUGCAACAAGUUAAUAGAUUAUUUUCGUUAGAGCCCGCGGACAGACGCAAAAGCCUAUACACUAGACAGUCAUUGCCGAUAGUUAUGGUGCGAACAAUUUGAGAAUGACUGUAGCUCUUAGUUUUUCUCUCUUAAUUUGCAAUGAUAGUUACAAGUAAAUUUGAGAUUUCUUCUUAUAAAAUGAUUUGUGAAAUUAAUGCGUUCACUUAAAUAUUAAUCUGGUAUAUUCUUUUAAUAUAAUUUUUUUUAAUUUAAACAUCCAAAUUGAUUAUAGAAUAAAUGUAGUAGACUCCAAUUAAUUUUGUAUUAUAUAUAUUAAUAUUUUUGUAACGUAAUUUCGUGACUUGUAUAUGAACAUUUUCCUUGUACAAUUUCUUUUAAUAAUUGCAAUAUAGUAUUGACUCAAUCCUAUUAGGGAUUUAUUUAUUUAUUUUUCUUUUUUUUUCUUUUUAAAUCUCGGCAAAGCUUAAAGAGGAGAGCCAAGAGAGCAAAUUUGUUAAACAAACAAAUUAGAAAAACGAAAGGCAUUAAGGUAAUAGCUGAAAAUCAUAAACAAUUGUACUUCCUACAUUGCGGCGUGGAAAUAUACGAAUAAAUUAUGAAGCAAAAAUUUUCAGACAUACUGAAGUUAAAAUUUUUAGACACAUUGAGUUCAGACCGUUAAAUAAAAUAAAUUAAUUUGAUUCCUUUUACUAUAACCUUUUUUUUCGCAAAAUUUGUUAAGGAAUAUGCACUAACAAAUGUAGCCAUAUCUAUGAUGGUACCUGAAACUUUUUCUCUAAUCUCUCCUAUUUUGUUCUUCAAUUAUUGCCGCUUUAUAAAUAUUUGUUUACGAUGAUCGAAAGAAAAAGUUUAGGUACUACAGUUACUUUUAGUCAUUAGAUAUAGUUAAUGUAAUUGUAUAACUGUGGAUUUAACGACUACAAAUAACUGUAAUACCAUACCACAGUUGCAACAUAAUUUUACCCCGUUAAUUGAGUGUGUUAAAUAGGUGUUCAGGGUAAUAAUGUUAUAUUUAUUUACAAUAAAUUAUUUUUAAUAGUAAUUAUAUUAUAGAUGUUUUUAUAAUAAUUUUUUAAUUAAAAUAUAAGUAUUUUUAAUAAUUUUUCAAUUAAGUCAAUCAGUCAAAGAUCCAGUGGUUAGAGCAGCAACUGUUAAAGAGAACCGAUGUGUUCUGCAUAGUCGCGAUCAUUUUGAUUCAGUAAUUGUUUUCAUCUCAUCAAAUAUCUUUCUAGUCAAUUGAAUUUUUGUUAUGGCUGCUUAUUCUUCUUCUCCUUCUUCUCCUCGAAACCGUAAGUAUGAUGUUUUUCAAAGUUUCAGAGGAGAGGACAACCGUGACAACUUUACUGGCCAUCUUUAUUCAGCCUUGUCUCAGAAAGGCAUUGAAACUUUCAUUGAUGACCAGCUUAACAGAGGAGAUGAAAUUUCACAGUCGCUUGUGGAUGCAAUUGAAGCAUCAGCUAUUUCACUCAUCAUUUUCUCUGAAGGGUAUGCCUCUUCCAGAUGGUGUCUCGAUGAACUUGUCAAAAUCCUCACACGUGAGGUGGCGAACUGGGUCUUUUGGGGAUUCAUUUUUGAAGCUUGAAGAAAUGUUCAAGGAGAAUUCAGAGAAGCUGCAGACUUGGAGGAAUGCUGAUACAACCUUCCACAUUCAGCUGGAUCAACCGGAUUAUUUACGAGAAGGGCAGCCCAUCGAUGAGUCUAAUUGUGUGCAGCCCAUGAAGGAAGCCUCAUCACAAGUUGAAGUAGACAUAGCUCGUGAGGAAGGGUAUACCGGCACAAGAGUGAGAAGAUCCCCUGGGUGGUUUAAAGAUUAUGUCGUAUAGUGAAAUUGAUAAAGCUUUAUAUUUUGCUGGUUUAUGUUGCUGUCAUAUUUUCUGUUACAAAGUUAUGCUGAGCUGUAUUCUUUUAAAAAGCCAAAAGACAGAGGAGUAUAUGUAUAGCAUAACUAAUUCGUGCAAAAGGAAUCCAGAAUGAAUCAUUUCUUUUUAACUUUUCUCUAUUCUUCUCUCACUCUCCAUCUCUCUCCCCACUCUUGCUCAUCUUUGUCAAUUUCUUUUGGAGUCAGCCCUCACUCGAAGAGUGCAAAUUUAUCGAUACAGCCUUGAUUGCAGAGAGGUGUAUCAAAUGCUUUGAAGGAAGCGGCCGGUCUGUCCGGCUUUCAUUCUCAGAACAUUAGGUAAUCAAAUUUCUUUUCUCAUACCAUUAUGGUGAUGCAACAGAAUGUUAUUUUCUGCUUGAUUAAUUACCAGCGCCCCAGCCAGUUAUAGUGAAUUUUUUUUUGUCAAGUAUGCUGAAUUAUGUACUUCAAUUUUAUUAGGCAUCCUAGUGUCUUCCGGCAAGUGAUUUGUGGAAUUGAUAUUUGACGGUUACAUUUGGUGUGCUAAAUUCUGUAUGUGUUAAACUCAUUUGAAAGAAUUUUGACAGAGUUAUUGAAAUCAGCAUUUGUGUGUUUUCAUUGGGUGUUCUUUCAUAUUUCAAGUAAUUCCAAUCUGUCACUCAUAUUCCUAUUUAAGAGUUAUUGUCAUAUUUUCGUGCAAAUCCCUCCUAUUUGAACUUAUUAUUUUACAUAUUUGCUAGGUCUGAAUCAGAACUUGUAAAGGAAGUUGUUAAUCAAAUUUUGAAGAGGCCGGCUGAAGUCUCUCCUUGUAGUAAUAAAAACCAGUUGGUUGGAGUUGAAUCAAGAGUUGAGGAAAUUGAAUCUCUACUAGGUGCUGAGUCGAAAGAUGUUUACGCUUUAGGGAUUUGGGGCACUGGUGUUAUAGACAGGACAACAAUUGCUAGAGCUAUUUUCAAUAAAAUCUCUAGUAACUUUGAAGGUUCUUGCUUCCUUCAAAAUGUUAGAGAAGAAUCACAAAGACCGGGAGGAUUAGGUUGCUUGCAACAAAAACUUCUUUCAAAAUUAUUGCAGGAUGGCAAUGUGAUUCCUGAUAUUGCCCUGAGCUUUAGACAGCUCAGCCGCAGGAAGGUUCUGAUUGUUCUUGAUGAUGUGACUUGUUUCAGACAAAUAAAAUCCUUAAUCGGAAGUCUUGAUUGGUACAUGGCAGAGAGUUGAAUCAUAAUAACAAGAAGAAAUCAACAAGUGCUUAGAAAUUGUUGUGUCAAAGAGAAAUAUGAGAUGAAGGAAUUAGGAGAUGAUCAUGCACUUGAGCUUUUUAGUCGACAUGCCUUCAAACAAAACAAUCCUCAUAUAGGUUUUGAGGAACUGUCAAGCAGGGUCACACAAUAUGCUCAAGGUGUUCCAUUAGCUAUUGAAAUUUUGGGUUGUUUUCUAUUUGAAAAAGAAAAACAAUUUUGGGAAAGUGCAAUAAACAAAUUGAAAAGAAUCCCUAAUAUGGAAAUCCAGAAGGUGCUAAAAAUAAGUUUUGAUGGUUUGGAUGAUGAAGAGAAAAAUAUUCUUCUAGACAUUGCUUGUUUCUUUAAAUGGAAAAAUAAAGACUUGGUCAUAAAAUUUCUUAAUGCUUGUGGCUUCACUGCACAAAUAGGAAUAAGUAGUCUUGUUGACAAGUCUCUUAUUUGUAUGCACGGCAACAAUAUAACAAUGCAUGAUCUUCUACAAGAAAUGGGUAGGGAAAUUGUACGGCAAGAAUCAACGAAUGAUCCAGCAAAACGUAGUCGGUUGUGGCAUCAUGAGGAUAUUAUCAAAGUCCUGACAUCUAAUACGGUAAGCAUUUUGUUAGAGAAUAUAUUAUUUUGGAAUGCUAUUUAAUAUUCAAAGUUUACUUAUAAUUGUAUAAAUAGAUGGGUUUAUAAAAUUUAUAAAAGAUUGGCAAUGAUUAAGUGGGAAAAAAAAAAGAAAAAUUGGAAAAAAGGAAACCAGUAGUACAUGAUGUAGCAAUAAUGUAUAAUUGCUAUGUCAAUUUGUAUAUAACAGUUUGCGGACAAGCAUUGAUAGUUUAUACGUUGUCUGCAUUGAUAGUUUAUAUGUUUAGUAUUACUUGUAUUAUCCUGUUUCUUUGUAAGUAGGUUUAGAUUUACCAGUUUGAUUGCCAAACAAUAACUAUCUACUUGAAUUGUAUAAAUUUGAUUUUAACAUUAUGGUCUUUUUAUUGAUUAUUAGGGGACUGAAGCAAUUGAAGGCAUUUGCUUGGAUAUGUCUAAAGUGAAAGAGAUCCAUCUAAAUCCUGAUACUUUCACAAAGAUGAGUAAAUUGAGAUUUUUGAAAUUCUAUUGCUCAAUCCAUGGAGAGAACAAAUGUAAGGCAUCUGAUUUCUAAGGUCCUGUAUUUGCUGAAGUGAGGUAUUUUCACUGGCAUGGAUAUCCAUUGAAAUCACUGCCUUCAAAUAUUCAUCCAGAGAAACUAGUUUUACUUGAAAUGCCUCAUAGCAAUAUUCAACAACUUUGGGAUGGUGUCCUGGUAUGUAUAUCUUAACAUAUGCAUGCAAUGUUUAAGUCAUAACAUUUAAUUAUCAUAGCAUGCUAAUGAUUUGUCUUGACCUCUUUUUUGUCUCAGCAGCGUUGUGGUAAGCUAAAGCAGAAAAUCAUCUCUGCCUGCAAUAUUUUUACCAAAACUCCAAACCCCUCGUUGAGUCAACCUCUGAACACGCUGGUUGUCCUGAAUCUAAGGCAUUGCAAAAGUCUGAAAAGUCUUCCAGCUGGAAUUCAUUUGGAAUUUCUUAAAGAAUUUGAUCUUUCAGGUCGUUCAAAACUGAGGCGGCUUCCAGAUAUCUCAUCAGCUGCUAAUAUAGAAGAGAUGCUUUUAAAUGGAACUGCAAUUGAAGAGCUGCCCUCAUCCAUCGAGUGUCUGUAUAAGCUUUUGCGCUUGGACCUUGAAGAUUGCAAAAGCCUUAAGAGUCUCCCAAGUGGCCUGUGUAAGUUAAAAUCAUUAAAAUAUCUUACUCUCAAUGGUUGCUCAAAUCUUCAGAGAUUGCCUGAUGAACUCGGAAAUUUAGAAGCUUUGUGGAGUUCGCAUGCUAUAAGAACUGCUAUAAGAGAAGUGCUAUCAUCUUUUUUCCGUUUGAACAACAUUGAUCUCUUAAGUUUCCAGAGAAGCAGGGGUCAUAAGCAGAUGGGUUUAUCAUUGCCUAUCAUGUUAUCUUUAGAUGGCUUGCACACUCUAACGUAUUUAAAUCUAACUAAUUGUGGCAUCACACGGUUACCUGAAAAUAUUGGCCAGUUAUCCUCGAGAGAAUUCCAGAAAGCAUCAUACAACUUUGUAAGUUGGGAAGGUUCUACUUAAGGUAUUGUGAGAGGCUUCAAUCCUUACCAAAGCUUCCAUGCAAACUACAUGAGUUGGAUGCACAUCAUUGCACGGCACUGGAAUCGUUAUCAGGUUUAUUCUCAAGUUAUGAAGCUUGUACUCAGUAUUUUGACCUGAGUUAUAAUUAUAAAUUGGAUCGAAAUGAGAUCAGAGGAAUUCUUGAAGAAGCUCUGCAAGAAAUUCAACUCUUGGCAACUGCACGAUGGAAAGAAGUAAGAGCGGAGUUAUUAAUUUCUUUUUUCUUCAAAUUAAAGUUGACAAUUAAUAUUUGAUUAAAAUUAUGAUUUUCUGUGGUACAGAUAUAUUAUUCUCAAAAAUAUGCACUGUUGGUUCGUGUCUUUUUUCCUGGGGAUGAAAUUCCGAUGAGGUUUAGCUUUCAAAGUAUGAAAUCUUCUAUAACCUUGAAGAUGCCACCAGGUUGGUUCGGUAAUAAAAAGGUACUCGGCUUUGCUUUUAGUGCUAUUGUGGCAUUUGGAGAACAUAAUGUCAGAGAAAAGAGGUGGUUCGAAUUGUUUUGUGAAUUCAAAGUCAGACCCAAAGAUUCGCAUGCCAUACAGAGAUUUAUGGGGAUGGUUGAUUAUGUAGAGUCAGAUCACUUACUUUUGGGAUACUAUUUCUUCGAUGAUCAGGAUUUGAAUGGUUUUUGGAAAUACAAUUGCAUUCUUGAGGCAGUUCAAUUCUAUUUUAAGGAGGAUUUUAUCGCUCUGAACGUUUGGAGUGUUGCCCGGUGAAAAAAUGUGGGAUCCAUUUAUUGUAUGUACCAGACUCUACAAAAUCAAUGGAAGAUCCAAGUGAAUUUUUCUACCAUAACCAUGAAGAGGAACGACACCCCAAAAGACUCAAAUAUUCUUGAAAACGUGUAUUGCAGCUGGUAUUUUUGAGAAGAGAUAUGUUAGAUUAAUUCAUCGGUACUGUUUGAUCUUAAAAUGUUGCUUUCCAAACAUUUCUUUUAUGAUUUUAUAUUUUUAUAUGAAGAUGGAAGUGACUUUUAGAUGUUUUUCAACUCUUUUAUUUUGAUAAAAGCUACAUUUCACGUCCAGUACUAUUGUUUGGUCCAAGCAGUUAUUGUUUGACUUUUGGUUGGUCUGGCUAGUGUUUAGAUCCUUGUGUAUUUGUGUUUAUUUGGUUUCUGCAUGAAAUGUAUAUUAAAUCAAAUUUACAAUGCAUGUAAGUCCGUUUAUAGUUUAGACAUAAUUUUCGGCCACUAUUACUUUAAGAUGUUCGGAUCAAUGCUUCCUUAUCAGUAGUAAAUUUUUGCUGAAUUCUUUUGGGAAAAUUUCUCUGCAACUAGCUUAUGUUGAAAUCUCUGUAGUCUUGUUUGGCUGGAAAGACAGCAUCAGGUGUUGGAGGUGAACUAGAAACGAACUUCAAAAAAGGCAACUGAGGUAGAUCAAGGGAUUGUGAACAGGGUAUGGGGUCCUUUUCCUGAUAUAAUCGGAUUACGACUUCAAAUGACAAAUGCAUUGAGUAGACACUUUUUCCUUUGAAAUGAGUAUCUAAACUAUGCUGCUCAAUGGUUCUAGUGUUAUAAAACUUUGGAAAUGAGUUACAUUUUAGCCUCUAUUCACUGAUUUUUAUACGUCUUUCCAUAUAAAUAUAUAGACAGAGGUACAUACCUAAUUCAACAUUUCUUCCUAUAUAGCUAGUAUUCAUAGAGAUGCACCGAUAUAUGGAGCAUUUUGCUGUUAGUAUUAACAACUUUUAUUUAUUCCUAUAAGUUCUUUGUAGAAACAAUCAGGUGAUGACUGGAAAUCUGCAUUUGAUGCUGCUGCUGCCAAUGGACCUGUUAAGCCAUCGCAGCUACUAUCGUUCUGCAUUCAAUGGUCAUAGCGGGGAUUACGGUGAUCUGGCCUAGAAUGGUGAAGUGAGAUCUGGUUCAAACUCCAGCAGUCAUCGUAAUCCUAAUGAGGUGCUGGCACCACCCCCACCAGCAGCAGAGUCAGGAGGCUAUAGGCACUUCCAGUUGGCUUACAGAUUUUGGUUGACAAUUCAUAUAUUCACUGCAAAUUUUUAGUGAGUGAAGCCCUGUUUAACCACUCCGUGAUUCCAGUGCUUGUUCAAAAAUCACUUUACUAGAAUCUUUAGAAGAGGGUGUUUUGUGUACAUAGACAUAGGACUCUAUACGGCUAGCUUCAUGUCAAAGCAAUGAAUUCAAAGUGUAUUCAAAAUUCAUUUACUAUAUUCUUUCUUCUUUUCAUUAUUUUGCUUUUAUUUUUGGUUCCUCCCCUCACUUUUGGACAACGAUAUAGAUGUAUUUGCUUGUAUCAGUUCUGGUUAUAUACAUACUCUUGGACUCGUGGCUCCGUUUAGAAAAAAAAAAAAAAUUCUUGUAAUGGGAGGUAUGUAUUUUAUUUCAUAUACUCACUUCUCUGCUCAAGAUUCUGCUACUAUAAUCAAAGAUGCAACUUUUUGAACUAUUAUUUAUGCCAAAAAAUUCAGUAGUUAUUAUUAUUAUUUUUUUGACAGCAUAUCUCUUCUUUGAUUGUCUCACAUAUUUAUGGAAUAUUUAAGGAAAGUAAAUAGCUUUUGUUCACAAAUUGUUUUUGUUAGAGCAAAAUAGAAUUCUGACAAAUUCGAGAAUUGACCAAGAAAGCAAAGGGUAGCGUAUGAAGUUGCGGGUUGAAAUUACGGUGCUUUUGGGCAAUUCACACCCUCUAGAACCUUUCCAGCUGUCAUUCACUUUUUCUUUCUCCACUUGAAUAACGCGGAAUAAUUUCAAAUAAAAGUGAACAAAGCUGCAUUUUAAGUAAAAUUAUUGUCCAGAGAGCCAAGGAAAUCAAAUGAGAUGAAAUUAUCAAGAAACAACCUGUUUUUACUCUGCACAGAUACUACAGUCACUAACGUUUGCUCGAGAAAAAUACGCCGACUUUUCCGGGAAAUUUUUUUAUAUAUAUAUAUGAAAUAUAUAUAUAUAUAUAUAUAUAUAUGAAAGGAGUGAAAAAAUUUUGAACUUUAGAAAUUCUUUUUUGACUUUAGAAAUAGUGUAACACUAUUCACAUCAAAGAAGGAAGAUAAUGAGGCCAAUUCCCCAUAUAUAAAGCCAACAAAAUUAAAUUGAGUGAAGCCUUGCUUAAAAAACCCAUUCCAUGAUCCCAGUCCCACCACGCACUUUGUAUAAAAUUCAAUUUAUUAGAAUAAUUGGAAUCAUUAGGAGAGGAAAUAUAUUUGUGUGCUUAGGACUACAUAUAGUUCCUGAUGAACGUUGGGAUUUUUACGCGUGCCCCUUGCCUCCAUGUCUAAACAAUGGAUUUAAUUAAAUUGCAUUUGAAAUCCACUAAGCAUAUUCUUCCUUCAUUGUUUUGUAUUUUUUUUCUCUUUUUUUUCCCCAUUUUUCAAUCCUAUCUCAUUUUUGGAUGAUAUAAUGAACAUGUUUGAUCAGUUCUGGUCGGUUAUCAUUUGGAAAUAUUACAUUUUUUUUAUCCCAAUGCGAUAUAUUUUCUUCUCCAUUGAAGAUUCUCUGGACGCUAUUAACCAAAAAAUGCAACUUUUUUUCUGUUUAUAAAUUGCUUCUGUACCCAAAGUUGCAAGUACUUACCAAUAAUUUGAUAAACUUCAAUAAUAAAUAGGAUUUAAAAAAUGAACUUGAAACAUCUAUGUAAAAUAUUGGAAUUCAAUGAAAAGAGUAGGAAUAUAAAACCAAAAAGUUGUGGAAAAAAGAGUUGAAGAGCUAACCUAAAACUCGGAAAGAACUACCGAAAAUCUGAUAAAUCCAAUAAGAAGUAGGGAUCAAAAAAUAAACUCGAAACAUUCACAAAAAAUAUUGGAAUUAAGUUAAAAGAGUAGAAAUAUAGAACAAAAAAAUGGUGGAAACAAGAGUUGAAGAGUAACACAGGAGUGUUUGAAAUAUUUGGUAAUCAAGUUAAGUCAAGUGCAGCUCAAGUUCUUACAUUAAUCAAGUGAGCAGAAUUUCUGUGCAGAAGGGGCAUCUUUGGGAAUUAAACUGUACUGCAUGAGAUCGAAUUAAUUUUCGAACCAUACAUCAUUGGAAAGAUAUUUCUGUUAGCUUUCCAAUGAAUUUUACUAAUCUAAAUUUGGAGUUUUCUACAGUAAGUUAUGAUCAGUUAAGUGCAGACUGUUCAGUUUUUGAGUCAAGAAGGAUAUUUCGGGACUUGGAUUUUUUUUAAUGUUCUUUGUUGUGUUUUAAGCAUACCAAUGUUUUAUUAAUGUCUAGCUUUAAUGUUGGUCUUUAAAGUCAAGUUAUUUGAAGGGUUUCUUUGUAGUAAAUCUAUGCUUGGAGGAUUGUUCCAAGAAAGCUAUUUAAGCUUAUGUAGUUGUAACCAAAGGACAGAGAUUAAUUUUGGGAAUUGGAUGAACUUUGAGUUAUUAUCAAACUCUGUAUCUCUUUGGUGGAUUCCAUUGAGUGGUGAGUAUUUUUAAGCCCUGUAUCCUUAGCUUAACAACUUUAGGUGGUGAAUUUUUCUGUAUCCUUUUGUUGUUUGCUGUGGUGGUGAGCUUGUGAAUUCUUGGGUGUGUGACGUUGUGUUUUCUCAUCUAUUGUGUCCGGUGUCAAAUUGGUAUCAGAGAAUUGGGUUCUGAAAAUUUAUGGCUCAACGACGUCGGCGUAAUGCAAGAGUUGCAGAGCCUCUUGUUCGUGAGAGGGACUUGGGUGAUAUAGAAAGGGAUGAUCUUAGAAGACAAGUAGAACAGCUUCAGCAACGAUUACAACACCUUGAAGGAACUCGAGAAGCUGCUCCUAAUGGUAGUUCGGAAGAAGAAGGCUCAAUCAAUGACGGGGUAGAUUAUAAUCCCUUCCAUCAGGAACAAAGCUCCAAUAGUGAAUUUUCUUCUCGUUCUCGAAUUCAUAGGCGUCGUAAAUCUUAUCAGCCUUUCGACUUCAAGAUCGAAAUUCCUGAAUUUGAAGGAAGAAUGCAACCAGAAGAGUUUGUUGAUUGGCUUAAUACUGUUGAACUCAUUUUUGAAUACAGAGAUGUGCCUGAAGAUCGCAAAGUGAAACUCAUUGCCAUUAAACUUAAAAAGUAUGCUUCUUUAUGGUGGGAAAAUCUUAAGAGGCAAAGGAAACGAGAGGGACGGAGGAAAAUUGUUACUUGGGAGAAAAUGAAAAAAGAGCUUAAGAGAAAGUUUUUGCCCGAUAACUACAGGCAAGAUAUCUACCUUAAAUUCCACAACUUCAGGCAAAAGGAAUUGUCAGUGGAAGACUAUACAGCAGAGUUCGACAAUCUAAUGAUGAAGUGUGAUUUGGUAGAGGCGGAAGAGCAUACGAUCGCACGCUAUCUGGGUGGUUUAAAACCUGAGAUUGGUAAUGUGGUCCAGCUCCAACCAUAUUGGACUUAUAGUGAUGUAUGCAGACUUGCUCUUAAGGUGGAAAAGCAACAAAAAGAUGCUUGUGGUGGGGGUAUUCGGUUCACAGUUCAUGAUGUCAAUCGAGGGAGUGACUCCGUUUCUAAGCAUAAUUCUGGUUCGAAUUCUACUGCAAAGAAAAUUACGAGGAUUGAUAUUGGGGAAGGAUCUAAACAGCGAGCAAGUGGUUCGAAUGCUAGUUCUCGUCAAUGUUUUAAAUGCCAUGGUUAUGGGCACAUUGCUUCUGAGUGUCCUAAUCGUAGGGUGGUUGCCCUUGUUGAAGAGGAAAGCGAUGACGAGGAUGCGGAAGAUCAUGAGAAUCCUAGUGUCGAAAAGGAUGUUGAAGAUGAAGAAGUUACAUUUGCUGAUGAUGGAAACUCUCUAGUUAUUCAAAAGAGUUUGAGUAUUGUUUGUGAAGAUGGGGAAGAUUGGCUGAGAAAGAAUAUCUUUCAUACCAGAUGCACUUGUCAUGGAAAGAUAUGUAAUGUCAUUAUUGAUAGUGGCAGUUUUGAGAAUGUGGUAGCAACUGAAAUGGUGAAGAAGUUGAAGCUCAAAACGGAGCAGCAUCCUCAGCCUUAUAAACUUUCUUGGCUUAAAAAGGGAAAUGAGAUUGAGGUAAACACACAUUGCCUUAUUUCAUUUUCUAUUGGGAAUAAAUAUAAAGAUGAAGUUUGGUGCGAUGUUGUCCCUAUGGAUACAUGUCAUUUGCUUUUGGGUCGUCCUUGGCAGUACGAUAGAAUGGUUGUUCAUGAUGGUUAUAGGAAUACUUAUACUUUCAUUAAAGAUGGAGGUAAAGUCAUUUUGGGUCCUUCAAAGGUAGAGAAAAGUUCUAAACCUAUCAAAGGAGUGGAAAGCAAUUUGCUGACUGUUUCAGAUUGUAAAAAAAAAUUGGAAAUGGGUAGUGAAGUUUACGUGCUGCUGGUGUUUGAGGAAAAUGAAGAUAGCAAUGAGCCGCCUUUGAUUAUGAAGUAUUUUCUUGAAGAAUUCUCAGAUGUUGUUCCAGAAAAAUUACCACAUGGCCUUCCUCCUAUGAGGGACAUUCAACAUUGCAUUGAUCUUAUUCCGGGUUAUGUACUACCAAAUAAAGCGGCUUAUCGAAUGAAUCCAAAGGAGCACGAAGAAUUACAGAGGCAAGUUGAAGAGCUAUACAAGGAUGAUUCUUUCUUUGGCAGGAUUUGGAGAGAAUGUGAGAAUGGAUCAUAUGACCAGUACCAAUUGCAUGAUGACUUUCUUUUCAAAGGGAAUCGUUUAUGUAUUCCUCAGUAUUCUUUGCUGGAAUCUAUUAUCAUGGAGGCACAUGGCAGUGCUGUUGGAGGUCACUUUGGAAGGGAUAAGACGUUAGCUUGCUUGCAAGGUAAUUUCUAUUGGCCAAAGAUGGAUAAAGAUGUUGUGCAUCAUAUGCAGAGGUGUAAAAUAUGUCAUAUUGCCAAAGCUCAUGGUCAAAACACAGGCCUAUACAAUCCUUUACCAGUCCCUGAAGCUCCUUGGGAAGAUGUUAGUCUAGACUUUGUUGUUGGGUUGCCAAGAACUCAAAGAAACAAAGACUCUGUCAUGGUGGUGGUUGAUCGAUUCUCAAAAAUGGCUCAUUUUGUUCCGUGUAACAAGACAUUGGAUGCCUCUCAUGUGGCUGAUUUGUACUUCAAGGAGAUUUGGUUUGGGUUCAUCUUAGGAAAGAUCGUUUUCCACCUGGGAAAUUUGCUAAACUUAGACCAAGGGCUGAUGGACCAUUUACAGUGUUGCAACGCAUUGGUGAUAAUGCUUACAAGAUUGAGCUACCAGAUGGCUAUGGUGUUUCGUCAACAUUCAACAUAUCAGACUUGUCUCCUUAUCAUGAAGAAAAUGAUCAAAACUCGAGGUCGAAUUUUUUUUUUCAACUAGGGGAGAUUAACACAGGAGUGUUUGAAAUAUUUGGUAAUCAAGUUAAGUCAAGUGCAGCUCAAGUUCUUACAUUAAUCAAGUGAGCAGAAUUUCUGUGCAGAAGGGGCAUCUUUGGGAAUUAAACUGUACUGCAUGAGAUCGAAUUAAUUUUCGAACCAUACAUCAUUGGAAAGAUAUUUCUGUUAGCUUUCCAAUGAAUUUUACUAAUCUAAAUUUGGAGUUUUCUACAGUAAGUUAUGAUCAGUUAAGUGCAGACUGUUCAGUUUUUGAGUCAAGAAGGAUAUUUCGGGACUUGGAUUUUUUUUAAUGUUCUUUGUUGUGUUUUAAGCAUACCAAUGUUUUAUUAAUGUCUAGCUUUAAUGUUGGUCUUUAAAGUCAAGUUAUUUGAAGGGUUUCUUUGUAGUAAAUCUAUGCUUGGAGGAUUGUUCCAAGAAAGCUAUUUAAGCUUAUGUAGUUGUAACCAAAGGACAGAGAUUAAUUUUGGGAAUUGGAUGAACUUUGAGUUAUUAUCAAACUCUGUAUCUCUUUGGUGGAUUCCAUUGAGUGGUGAGUAUUUUUAAGCCCUGUAUCCUUAGCUUAACAACUUUAGGUGGUGAAUUUUUCUGUAUCCUUUUGUUGUUUGCUGUGGUGGUGAGCUUGUGAAUUCUUGGGUGUGUGACGUUGUGUUUUCUCAUCUAUUGUGUCCGGUGUCAAAGAGCAUAACCUAAAAGUUUGAAGAAGUUAACAAGAAUCUGAUAAAGUUUAACAAGUAGUCGAGAUCUAGAAAAUGAACCUGAAAUAUCCAAGCAAAAUGUUAGAAUUCAAUGAAAAUAGUUGGAAUAUAGAACCAAAAAGUGGUGAAAAUAAGAGUGGAAGAAGUUAACACAAAAAUUGAAAUAACUUAACAAUAAUUUGAUAAAUUUAAACGCAAAGUAGGGAUCUAAAAAGUAAAUUUGAUACAUUUACCCAAAAUAUUGGAAUUCAAUAAAAAUAGUAGGAAUAUUGAACCAAAAGUAGUGGAAAAAUAAGUUGGAACAACUUAGCAAUAAUUAGAUAAAGUCUAAUAGAAUAUUGAGAUUAAAAAAUAAACUUGAAAUAUCAACCUGAAAACUGGAAAUUUAAGGAAAGAACUGGAAAUAUAGAACUAAUAACUGAUGGAAAAAUGAGUUGAAACAGCUUACAAAAAAUUGGAUAAAUUCCAACGGAGAGUAUGGAUCUAGAAAUUGAACUUGAAAUAUCCAAACAAAAUUUUGAAAUUCAAUAAAAAGAGUAGGAAUAUAGAACUAAAAAGUGGUAGGAACAAGAGUUGAAAAAAUUAACCCAAAAGUUGAAAUAAUUUACCAAGAAUUUAAUAAAUUCAAAUGAGAAGUAAGGAUCUAAAAACUAAACUUGAUAUAUUUACCCAAAAUAUUAAAAUUCAAUAAAAAAUAGUAGGAAUAUAGAACCAAAAAGUGGUAGAAAAAUAAAUCGGAACAAUUUACCAAAAAAUAGAUAAAGUUUAAUAUAUUAUAGAAAUAUAAAAAUAAACUUGAAAUAUACACCUAAAAAACUGGAAGUUAAUGAAAAGAGUGUAUAUAUGAAACCAGAAACUAGUGGGAAAAUGAGUUGAAACAACGUACCAAAAUUUAGAUAAAUAACCACGAAAAAUAGGAAUUUGAAAAAUAAACUUGAAAUAUGUAUUAUAAAUAUUGGAAUAUAACAAAAUAAAUAGGAAUGUAACCAUUUUGUGAUAUGUUAAUAUUUUUUAUAUAUUUUUUGUACUAUUUUUAAAUUUUAAAUUAUUACAAUCUUUUUCCUCAUUUAAUUACAAUUUUAACCUUUUUCUAAUUUUUUCAUAAUUUUUUCACAUUAAAAACAAAUAAAAAUAUAAUUUUCAGUAUAUUAUCCGGUUAAAAACCGGUUGUACCAGUUGCAUGCACGCGCUGUAUGAGAUACAGCGUUGCAUGGUAGGUUGACUGAAAAAGACAUAGUUGAAGUCUCAUCAAGAUUGUCUUCAUUCGAGAAAAAGCAACUAUGUUUAAAACACCUUUAAUAAAGUACUAAUAAUUAUUAAAGACAUGUUUGACUAGACUUGCAGUUGGCAAGCAAAAGAGGAUGAAAUUAUUAAUUAAUUAGAACACAUGAAAGAUUCCUCUCAUUUUAUUUUUUAAAAGAAAGUAAACAUUUCAUUAAACUAAACUUUCAGCCAUACAUAAAACAUCAGCUGGGAAAUUGUUUCUCCAGAUAACAGAUUUCUGAGCUACACAAAGCCCUUUUAGCUAAAAAAUGGGCAAAACCAUUACACUUUCUUGGAACAUAUUGGAAAGAUAUCAGUUGGAAAUCUUGUGUGCUCUUGUGGAAGUCUGACAUAGUCCACCAAAUCUCUGUCCUGUUGCUAACUUUCUUAUUUGCUAAGUCAGCUACAUUUUUGCAGUCGGUCUCUAUAAUCACAUUUGACAGACUAAGAUCCUUGGCUACCUCCAUACCCCACUUGACAGCAUGAGCUUCUGCUAUAGCUACGUUCCCCUGGAAAUUCAUGCUUUUUACUGCUGCUGCUAACACUUGCCCUCGAUGAUUUCUGAUGACCACGCCCAAGCCUGCACUCUUCCUAUCUUCUUUGACUGCUGCAUCAACAUUGACUUUCACUUUGUUGUUUGGUGGUGGAGUCCAUAUCUGCAUCUUUCCCUCUACUGUAUUUCCAUGGCUCUCCCGUUCUUUAACCUGCUGAGCCUGAUACACUUCCAUAACUGCUUUGCCCCUAGCCACUGACCCUACUGGAUCUAACUUUUUUCCUUGAAAAAGGAGUUUGUUUCUAGCAUGCCAAGCAACCCACCAAAUCGUGGCCACGUAAUCUGCCUCAGACUUAGCCCAAUUAUUCAUAGCCCCAAUCAUGACACUAAGCAUGUCUUCUCUGAUGACGCUCUUCACCUCAUUCUCCAAGUGAGUACAUUUCCAGAUUUCCGAGCCACUCUGCAUUCCAUCAAGGCGUGGAAAACAUCUUCACAACCCGCUUUGCAUAAAUGGCAUGUCGGUUCCUUCAGCACUUUCCUUCUCCACAGAUUUUCUGCCGUUGGCAGCAGGUUCUUUGCAGCUUUCCACACAAAGAUCUUAAUUUUCUCUGGUAAGUUUAGCCUCCAAAUAUGUUGCCCGCCCUGUGGAGCUCCUGUAGAUCCGGCUGGAGAUUCAGAGAACUUAAUUUUGAGAGCUAGUUGAUAUCCACUCUUUACUGAGUAUAUACCUUUCUUAUCAUAAUGCCAUAUCACCAUAUCUUCUUGAGGAGUUCUCGGUAAAGGGAUAUUCCUUAUGAUUUCAGCAUCUUCCUUUGCAAAGUUUUGAUUGAUCAUUGUUUCAUUCCAUUGGUGAUUUUGAUCAAGAAGCUCUGAGACUCUAGAUUCAGUAGGCAAGGACUGUACCAGGAUUGGUUUGAAGGUUGAGGGCCUAGGGAAAUAUUCCUCUCAUUGAUUUCGUUGAAACAGACUUAAUUUGUAAUCAAAGUGAAAAUUCGUCAUCUUUCAGCGGUGAUUCCAACUUCUAACAAUCUCUAAGCAGUAAGUUUUCUGACAGUUUUAUAUUUACAUGUCUCUUGUAUUUGUGUAAUUAGUCUCUCACAUAAUUCAAUUUAAUAGGAAGUUUUGAUCUCUUGCUUCCAAGGCUCAAAACUUAUUGCAACAUUGCUGGCAAUUAGUGUGGGUUUCGGCUCUUUAAUUCAGCUUUGCUAGGUUUAAGUUCGACAUCGAAUUUUAUGCGUUUAGUGCAGUAUUUUAUGAACUAUUUUAAAGAGAUUUUUAAUUAAUUCUUAGGUACUUAAAAUAAACUUCUUGUCGGCAUACAAAGGACUAAAAGAGUAAAAAUUAACUAGAACACAUAAAAUCUUCUCAUUAAUUUCACUGAAACAACGUAAAAAUUCAUCUAACUGUGGUCGAAUACUUGCAUGUGUCUUGUAUUUUCAGCUUAUUUUUUGAACUUUUAUAUGUAUGUUUUUUGUGACAUAUUUUAAUCUUAUUUGGAAUUAAGAUAUUGUAGCUUUUAAACUACAGCAGCUAUGAAAAAAACUGUAAUUAUGAAACAAAAGUUAAUAAUAUAUAAUAAAUAUAAAUUUUAAAUAAUAAUUUUGAUAAAAUUAUUAGAGAUAUAAUGAAUUUUUUAUCAUAUAAGUGAAAAAUUAUAUCAAUAUAAUUUUUAAGUUACAGCAGUUAGUAUUUACCAAAUACUUUUCUGUUGUAGCUUAAAUAUCCACCCCCAUCCCAAAAGCACUCUUUAUAUAAUUAAUUUUUUCACAUAAUUCCAAAAAAUCAAUUUAGAGGAAAUUUCGUUCUCUUGUUGCCAAGACAUGAAAACUGGUUCCAACUCUGCAGGUAGUGUGUGUUUCUUGGACAGGAAAGUUGGCAGUGCAGGUUUUAAGUCUUCUUCAAUUCGGCAUUGAUACAGCAUCUAAUUCUAAAUUAGUUCUUAGGGACUUAAGAGUGCGACUGUCGUGGCGUCAAUUGCUCGCAUCAUGAGCAUCCACAAAGUUUCUCCUUUUGUUCCUUAUCCUCUUCCUCACUGGAAAUAUGACGUCUUCUUAAGUUUCAGAGGAGUAGACACCCGCAAAAAUUUCACGGACCAUUUGUACACUGCUUUGGAUCAGAAGGGAAUCAUAGUCUUCAGGGAUGACAAAGAACUUGAGAGAGGAGAAUCCAUUUCACCUGGACUCUUUAAAGCAAUUGAAGAAUCAAAAAUUUCAAUUAUUGUUUUCUCUAGAAACUAUGCUUGUUCGACAUGGUGCUUGGACGAACUUGUUCAUAUUCUUGAAUGCAAAAACAAAAAUCAUCAACAAAUGGUUUAUCCAAUUUUCUAUGAUGUGGAACCAACUGAUGUAAGGAAACAGACAGGAAUUCUUGAAGAAGUUUUUGCUCGACAUGAAGAAAUUCUUGCUCAGAAUAAAGAAAAGGUGCAAAAGUGGAGAGACGCUUUGAAAGAAGUGGCUAAUAUCUGUGGCUGGGAAUUGAAGGACAGGUAGUCUUUCUUAUUCUCAAAGAUUAAUUACCUAUAAUAGAUUUGAUUUGAAACUAUGUUUACACUCACUUUAAUUCAACAACACCAAUGUUUUCUUAAUCUUUUGCAAGCUGCAGGAAUCAGUCUGAAUUUAUUUUGGAGGUUGUCAAGGUGAUAUCAAGUAAAAGUCCUAUAAUAUCAGGGAUUCUUAAGAAUCUAGUAGGAAUAGAUUCACACUUGAAGAAUCUGAGGCUUCUCAUGGAUAAAGGAUCUAAUGAUGUUCGCAUGAUAGGGAUAUGCGGUAUGGGAGGUAUAGGGAAGACAACCCUUGCAAGGGUUGUUUAUGACUUGACUUCUCAUAAGUUUGAAGGAAGUAGCUUUCUUGCCAAUGUUCGAGAAAUUUCAAAAGAAGGCGGCCUGAUCUCUUUACAGAAGCAACUCCUUUCCCAGUUACUAAAGCUUCCAAAUAAUGGCAUAUGGAAUGUUUAUGAUGGUAUCAACAUCAUAGGAAGUAGGCUGCACCACAAAAAGGUUCUUUUGCUUAUCGAUGAUGUAGUUGAUAUCAAGCAAUUAGAAUGUUUAGCUGGAAACCGUGAAUGGUUUGGUCCUGGCAGCAGGAUCAUAAUAACAUCGAGAGAUAAGCAUUUGUUGAUGACGCAUGGAGUAGAUGAAGUAUAUAAGCUCAGGGAACUACAUGAUGAUAACGCUCUUCAAUUAUUUUGUAAAAAAGCCUUCAAAACCCAUCAGCCUAAGAAAGGAUAUGAGCAGCUGUCUGAAUGGGUUACAAAGUAUUCAGGUGGUCUUCCAUUAGCUCUCAAAGUUUUGGGAUCCCUUUUGUAUGGUAAAACAACAAAAGAAUGGCAAAGCGCAGUAAAGAGACUGAAAAGAGAUUCAGAAAAUGAAAUCUUGGAUAUACUUCAAAUAAGUUUUGAUGGGCUUAAAGAAACAGAGAAGAAAAUAUUUCUUGACAUUGCGUGCUUUCAUCGAGGGGAGAAUAGAGAUUAUGUAACAAAAAUUCUUGAUUACUGUGAUUUUGACCCAGUUAUUGGAAUAAGGGUUCUUAUUGAUAAAUCUCUCAUAGAGGUUUUAUCCAACAAUCAACUAUGGAUGCACGAUUUGUUACGAGAAAUGGGUCAACAAAUUGUUAAGAGACAAUGCCCUGAAGAUCCUGGGAAACGUAGCAGAUUGUGGAAGGAAGCAGAUGUACGUCAGCUGUUAACAAGAAACACAGUAAGCAAUGAUAAGUCAAAAACAUGUACUUCUAAGAUUUCAACCCAUUCACAUUCUUAUCUUUGCUUAUUCUUUACUUUUUUAACUUUCAGGGAUCUGAAACUGUUGAAGUCAUAUAUCUCAACUUCCCUGCAGAAGCAGAAGUGCAUUUCAGAGCAAGUUCUAAUACAUUUUUGAAGAUGACUAACCUGAGAAUGCUUCUUAUCCGUAAUGUGCAAGUGCAACUUCCCGAAGGCCUUGAAUAUCUCUCCAAUGAGUUACGGUUACUUGAAUGGCCUGGAUAUCCUCUGAAAUCCUUGCCAUCAAAUUUUCAACCGGAUAAAAUUGUUGAACUUAACAUGUGUUACAGUCACAUCGAACAAAUGUGGAAUGGAAUCAAAGUAAGUUUUAUUUCAUUUCUUUUUUUCCCGUGAAUAAAUGUUGAUAGAGUUAUCAUUCAUCCCUUGAAAAAUUGCUGAAAUCAUUGUUUUUGAACAGCCUUUAAGCAAUUUGAAAUUCAUGAGACUUGGCAAAUCCAAAAAUCUGAUCAGAACGCCAGAUUUCUCAGGGAUGCCAUAUUUAGAGGAGCUGGAUCUUGGAGGAUGUACAAGAUUGUGUGACAUUCACCCAACAUUGCUACUUCACAAGAAGGUAAUUUUAUUGAAUCUAAAAGACUGUACAAGUCUCACGACUCUUCCGGGCAAGAUUUUUAUGGAAUCUCUAAAAAUACUUGUACUUUCUGGUUGCAUGAAAUUGAAGAACUUUCCAGAGAUUGUGGGUAGUAUGAAGUGUCUGUCAGAUCUUCUUUUGGAUGGAACCGAUAUUAAAGAACUACCAAUAUUACCAUUUGAACUUCUAUCUGGACUUGUUCAGUUAAAUGUGGAAGGCUGUAAUAAACUUGAGCGUCUUCCAAGAAAUAUAAGCGCUCUAAAAUAUCAUCCAACUUGGAAUCUUUCUGGCCUAUUGAAAUUCUCAAAUUUCCCAGAGAUCAUGACAAAUAUGGAGCAUGUGUUGGAGCUUCAUUUGGAAGGAACUGCCAUAAGAGGAUUGCCUAUAUCAAUUGAACUUUUCUCUGGUCUUGUUUUGUUGAAUUUGAGAGAUUGCAAAAAUCUCUUGAGUCUUCCGUGUACUAUUAACGGUCUGAAGUCCCUGAAAAAGUUGUAUCUCUCUGGCUGCUCCAAACUUAAAAAUGUGCCAGAGAACUUGGGGAAAGUAGAAAGCUUGGAGGUGCUAGAAUUAAGCGGGUGCAAAGAACCACCAGUAUCAUCAUCAUUGUAUCUGCCCUUCCCCAUUAGUUUGAAGCGAAGCUGUUCAGAUCCUACCGCUUUGAGGCUUCCUUCUCUGUCAGGUUUGUGGUCUUUAAGGAAAUUGGACCUCAGUGACUGUGAUCUAGGGGAAGGAGCAAUACCAAAUGAUAUUGGCAACUUAUGGUCGUUAGAAGAGUUGUAUCUGAGUAAAAACAGUUUCAUUACAGCGCCAGCAAGCAUUAACCGUCUUUUUAAUCUUGAAGAACUAGAGUUGGAAGAUUGCAAAAGACUACAAUCUAUGCCGCAACUUCCACCCAACAUAAAAGAAGUCGGAGUAAAUGGUUGUGCUUCAUUGGAAAAAUUAUCAGAUGCCUUAAAAUUAUGCAAAUCGGAGUACAUUUCAAUUAGUUGUAUAGACAACCUGAAAUUGCUCAGCAACGAUGGUUUGGCAUUUUCAAUGCUAAAAGAGUAUCUUGAGGUCAGUCUCUCUCUCUCUCUCUCCUCUCUCAUUUGUGCAAAAAAUUAUGCCUAAAAAUGAUGCAUUUUUAUGGGCUCCUUUUUUUUCCCCCUUUUUUCGGUUACAGGCAGUGUCACGCCCAAUGCAAAAGUUUGGUAUAGUUGUUCCAGGAAGUGAAAUUCCAGAGUGGUUCAUGCAUCAGAAUGAUGGAUCUUCAAUAAAAUUCAUAAUGCCUUCAAAUUUAUAUUGUAAGAAUAAGGCGCUGGGAUAUGCCGUCUGCUGCGUCUUUCAUGUCCGUGAACAUUCCCCUGGUAUCCAAACAAGGCGUUCAUAUCCCACGCAUCAAUUGAACUGCCAGAUGAAAGGUUCUUCUACCAGUUAUUCAAUCGAGUUCAGAGAGAAAUUUGCUCAAGCAGAGUCAGGCCAUCUUUGGCUACUCUACUUGUCUCUUAAAAAAUGCUAUUAUAGCAAUUGGCGUUUUGAUAAUAAUCUCAUUGAGUUGUCGUUUGGGCCUGUGUCUGGCUCAGGGUUGCAGGUGAAGAGAUGUGGUUUCCAUCCCAUUUAUAGGCACAAAGUUGAGUUCUUCAACCAAAUAAGAAACCAAUGGACUCACUCACUACACUGCCUAUAAUAUGAAUGAAUUUUAUCCCGAUUCUGUUUGAUCAAAGAUACUUGUAGCCACAACGUCAAGGUGAAGUGUGAAUGAAUAUUUGGGCUUGAAGAGUGGGAAUGGUGUUCUGUUGAUGAGGAACCACAGCCUGAAAAAUUUAAUGCAGAAGCCUGCUUAUUCUCUGAAUUCAUCGAUAAGCAUUCAUCUUCAAUUUCAGUUCAUGUUCUUUGCACUUGGUAAUUCAUUUACAUUAAUUUUAUUUAUUUAUUGCAUCUCCUUAUCGAAAAACAUUUGAUGUUAAAUUACCAGAAAUCCUCUGCUUGGAUCAAAAGCAAAGAGUACCUAUAGUUGUUUAAGAAUGUGCCUUCAUGAAUUGAAAUAGCAUUACUGCUCUAUUAGCUUGGCUCCUCACUUGAAUUUCUUUGAUGUUUGUUAAUAAUUCCAAAUUCCAGUGAACAUGGAUUUUGAUCGAGAUAAUUCUAUGCUUUUGCCCUGUUGAUAAAAUCAAGCAGUUGUUGUGAUUGUUGCAAGUGUUUCUUAUUUUAUAUUUUUUCGUUUUUGUUGUUUGGUUCGGGAGAAGAUGUGGAAUUAGAACUGCACUGGAGUGAGAAGAAAUGAGAAGAAAAAGAAAGAAUGUAAAGUUUAGUGAAUGUGUGUGUGUAUUUUUUUUAAAGCCUUGAAUUUUUUGAUUUCUCAUGAGUUGAAAAUUAAGGAUUGAAACAAAUCUUCUGUUUUGUUGUAUUCUUAUUAUAUUUCUUCUCAUAAAUUUCUCAUUUUUGUAAAUAGUGCAUAAUUUGGUAGAAGCUUAACUGAAAGCCACUAAUUUUACUGCAAGAAUAACUUAAUUUUUAAUUCAAUCCAGGGAUUCAAAAUGACUCAGAGUUCUUUCGAACUUAAAUAACAUGACAACUUAACUAUCCAUUCCCUUCUUUUUGUGCAAAAGUUGGCAGAUUCGGAGCCAAUUAGGGUGAGUUUUUUGGUACACUUGAAGGGGCUGGUGUCAUAGUUCAUGAAUUGCAUUGCUAUGAAUGAAUAACAAAGAAAUUAGAUUAGCUUAUUGAAUCUGUUUGAAUUUUUUUAUAUAGCCUAUGCAAUCAGAGGCAUUUAAAUUAUGUGAGUCAAAGUUCUCACAUAUUAGCUGUGCACAGUGCUUGAAAUUGCUUGGUAACAACGGUUUGGCCUUUUCAAUUUUAGAGAGUAUGUCAACUAAUGCCAGCCUUUUCACUCUGUUUCUCUCGAAGCCUUAUGCAUAAAAAUUUAUGCUGUGGAAAAGAUUAAUCUAAGGGCCAGGAGUUUCUAUAGAAAGAAUAUAAAGAUGAUAAGGUUUGUUGUGUCAAUCUCAAAUAUAUUAUGGGUGUUAGGAGUAUCUGAUGAUGCUGAUGAUGUUGUGCAGUGAUGUUGAGCUGAUGGUGCUAUGUAGUGAUGCUGAUAUGGUGUUAUGCAGAGUUUACAGAGCAUGAUGGAAGAACAUGAUAAGGCUGGUGGUUUAGCAUGUAGCUUAGUAUACCAGCUGAGAAUUAGUUAUGCUGAGCUGUCAAGUUGGUUAUAACUGAUUCAGUAGCCUUUAACCACGCAUGAAGAUUCCAGAACAAUCUAGCUACUAGAUUCUUGUAUCCAUCUUGUAGUAUAAGUAGAGUGAUCUGUAUAUUCUAUACACAUUGUUAAGUAUGCUAUGAUUGAAUAAAAUACAUUUUCCGUCACUUUCAAUUUCAUUUUCUCUAUAACCAAACACUGUUUUAGCCGAAUUCAAUCAAUGGGAAUUAUAAGAAAAUAAGCAGUAAAAGCAAAUAAACAUUAGGGAAAUGAACACUCAACAAUAUACCUACAUGUAAACAUCCUCGGAAGAUCUAAGAAGUUGAGCAUAGUACACAAACGCACACACAGAGCAAUUGAAACUUGUAGCAAGUCUGCACACUGCAGAUACAUGUCCGUAUCAGCACUAGAAUUUUGCUUGGAAGCGUAGCACUUUGGAUUAAAGAUAUACUUGUUGACUUGCUUCUGUCCACAGAAACAAUAAGAACCUUCAGUUGGAAUGAAAUCAGAGAUACAUUCAGAACCACCUUGAGGAAUUCAUGCUCAACAGCAACUUCAGUAAUAAUCAAGAUUAUAAACAGUAGAGAGACUCCAUUCAGCUUCAAUCCCGAGUGUCCCGAGUGUAUGGAAACUGGAUGGAGACUACACUUCUUCACCUUCAAUCCCGAACUAGUUUGAAACAACUAAACUUGGUCAGAUCCAAACUUCCAGUCAAGAUUAUUGCACUGUUGAAGAUCAAGAAUAUUAUGUAUACGAGCUUUAUUUGAUCAGCUUUCAUGUGGUAGUGGUAGUGGUAGUGAUGUUUAUGUUUGCCUCUGACAGGAUGUGAAUGUUUAUUAACACGAAACGCACAGCAAAUAGCAUAUCCAACCAUCUUCUUCUUAUCGUAUGAAUCUGGAGGACUUAUUAUUGAUAUUGAAGAUCCCUCAUUCGGAUAGUCGAACCACUCCGGAAUCUUACGUCUAGGAAUAGCUAUGAAAUCUGACUCCCAGGAAGAACAAUGGUGAAAACUCAGGUACUUUGUGGGAUCAUAUAACUCUAUUCAAUUAUUUAAUGGAUGAAUGACAUAUUAGUUGAGAAAUUCAACAUUACACGUGGGUAAAAUAGUAGAGUUUUGGAUCAGCCGUCAUCGUAUUCUUUCUUUAAUGUUAAACAAAUUGUUGGUUAUAAAUAAUUGGUGAUCAAAUUUGACUAAUCAAAAUUGAUUAAUCUGUUUAUAUAAAUUAUUGAAAUUGAUCUUGUUCAUAAAAAACACUGCAUAUAGCUAGUAUAGUUGAUCUUCCUAAUGAUGGAGGUUGAAAAGUUUUGAGUCUUCAUAUAUGCAUUGUGGGAGUAAUUUUUCUCUUUCUUUCAGAAACAUAUUAAAUUUUUUCAAGCUAUUUCAUACAUAACAUCAAGGGUUUACUUUUCCAAAAGAGAGAUUAAUGCAACUUAACUGGUCAAUAAAAAUUAACAAUAGGUUCAAUUUAAGUUUUAUCUUGACAAAAAGAAAAAUUACAUUAGGUUUAAGAAUUUAAUAAGCUAAAACAAUUAAGAAAUUAAUGGGUUAAAGUAAACAUGCAACUAAAGUGAAAUUAGAAAAAUAAUGAAGAUGAAAUGGAUACAAGUAUUUUUCUUGGUUUCACUUGGAAACCUCCAAUAGUAUGAGUUAAAUUUUAGAAAAUUGAUGGGUAAAGCUGACACACAACUAAAGUAAAAUUAAGAAACAAUAAUCAUAAAAAAACACCAGUGAUAACACUAUGAAAUGAGAGUUAUCAUGAUAUUUUUAUGCCUAAAUUAACAUUACUUAGAGAGUAAAUGACAUAUUUUCAUUACAUUUUAGCUACAUUUUGCAUGGGUAGUCAUUUAAGUUUAAUUUUAAUAAAAUUCAUGUGUUUUUAGAUUAUUGUGUGCUUUGAUUACUUGCAUAAUUGUAGGUGACUAAAAAGCUCAAAUUUCAUGGAUGGAACGUUGCUGUAGCAGGCUUGCGGAGUUACAAAAGAACUUGGAUGAGAAGUAAUUUUGAAAUAAUAAAAGAUGCUGGAGCAAUAUGUUGUAGUACUAUUGCUGCAGCAACUCCUGGAGCAACGAUAAAUGAGAUAUCACACGUUAAAUAGAAGACCGCAAUCUAAAGUUUCCAAAAAUAAGAGAUUCACUGCCAUAAGUUUCUGGUAACCCUAAUUUUGAUUUAUAAAAAGAGCACAUUACAAUGAAAAAAGGAGAGUUGUCAUUAGAGAAAAGAAUCGAGAAACAGUACAAGAGAAAAUAAAGAUAAAGAGACAGAAUUAAGGGCUGCAUCAAAGGAUUUAUGAAGAAUAUUAAGGGGAUUCAUAAGGACGAGCGGAUUUCGACUCUUAUUCUUACUCUCUUAUUUUUAUCUUGUUAUGAAGACUUGUUUGAUGGCUAAAACUAUUUUGGUUUUUGUUUUAUAACAAAUUAUGAACUAAAAUUACUUAUGGUUGAGUGAUAAACAAUGUUGAUGGUUAAUUGACUGAUUAUAUGUGUUGCUGCAUGUUUGCUAUAGCAUGUUGUUUUUGUAAUACUUAUUUCAAUUCACUAUUUCAGCUGACUACCCAUUUAGUGGUACUAGCUAAGUAAAAGCCUAAAAAAGGUCUGUCUUAGUGGGACAUAUCAAAGUAAUUCUUGGUUUUAGGUUGGAUUUCAUGAGUUGAGUUUAACUUGAUUCAAAAAAGGUCAUGCUUAAUCUAAAAUUAGUGAUGAACUAGACAUAGAGAUUUACCUUGUAGGAUAAUUAGAAUCUAAAACGUGUAAUGCUAUAUUUUAUGUUAGCAUAACAAUUGGUCACUGUUAAGUUGUAUCAAGAUAUAAGACAUCCAAUAAGUGAUAGCUGAGGAUACAUAAGGAUUCUGUAUAGUACUGUAAAAGACGUUGUGGCAACAUAACCAAAAAAUAGAAAAAUAGUCAAAACCAUUAAAAGAGUUUAAUCACUCAACUACUCCAUUCUCAUUGAUUAUAUCCUUGUAUUUGACGUGAUGAUUUACCUUAUUGCAUUUUUUAUUUUAAUUAAUUCAUUAGUUUUAUAAAUUAUUUUAUUUUUAAUUUUGGAACAAAAUAAGGUUGCUGUAGCAAUUCAUAUAACAUCAAUUCCUAUGGAGACAAUCUCGAAUACUUAUCAUUAUAUUACUUGUUGUGUACACUUGCACAAUGACACCCAUAGCAUACAACAAUCAGAAUUUUCAUAGUUAAACUUUUAGCCUACAUUCAUAGGUGAAGACAGAAGGAAAUGUUUUACUAACGAAAAGAAGUUACAAGUAUUGUAGUACUUUGUCUCACAAUCCAAAAACCUUAAUAUACCUAAACUCUAAAAACAUUAGAACAAGAGUUUAAAGCUCUCAACACACUCUUAGUCUCCAAUUCAUGGCUCUAUCACUUCUUAAUUAGAUUGAGAAUUAAAGAAAAUGAAAUGAAUGAAGAGGACAAAUGAAGCCUCUAUUUAUAGGCCAAGCAAUACCCAAAAUCAGCAAUGUUGGACUUUAAAAUAAUAUAUAUUUUCAUUCAACUUUCAACUUUGGUGACAAAGCCAAAAGUUGUGUGCUAGACAAAUGCCUCCCACUUACUCAACAAAUUAUGCCAAAAGUCAAAAGUUGCAUGUUAGCAACAUAUAAUUGUUUUCCAUAUACAUGCACAUGUUCAACAAUUCUCCCACUUAGAGACUUGAUUGAGAACCAAUCAUGUCUCCACACUAUCCAUUCUUUUUCGUCAUUGUUAUGUUGCUUACAUCUCUGCUAGGCUACAAGAGGAUCUACUCCAUACAAACUUGUCAGCAUUGGUUUGCUUGGUCAAAACAUCUCCUCGGUUCUCUUUGGUAUGGAUUUUUUUGUAAUAAAGUGGUAUUGUACCUGAUAACUCUAGAAAAUGAGAGUUAUCAUGGCAUUUUUAGGCUUAAAUUAAGACUCCUUAGAGAGUAAUUGAUGUGUUUUAGUGCAUUUUAACGAUAGUUUGCAUUACAUUAAUUUUAGUUUAAGUUUAAUAAAGUUUACGUGAAUUUUGAAUAAUUGUAUGCCUAAAACAUAUGUUCAACUAUAGGUCAAUGGAAACCUGAAUUUUAUGGAAAAGAUGUUGUUCCAAUAGACCUAUAAGGAGGACAAACGAGCAUGGCUAUAUAAGAAUUGGAGCACAUCUGGAAUAGUGAAGAUGCUAUAGCCAUUGUUGUAGGCUGUAGCAAUCCUUGAGCAUUGACGGAGAAAAUAUGGGCAAGAUUUUCAUAAUAUUGCGAUUUGCAGUUUUCUAAUCUGAAGAUGCAUGCCCUAGAGUUUCCAGUUACCCUAAUUUGUGAUUAUAAAAUGAGGCAUACAUGCAAAGGAAAGAGGAGGCCGUCAAUCGAAACCAAAAUAGAAAAGAAAUGAAGAAGAAACAAAAUUCCCGAGCAGAAUUUAAGGCUUCACCAAUAGAAGAAAUUUACAGAUUCAAUUGGAAUUCACUCUUUCUCAUUCUUUUCUUGUUUUCUUGUCAUUCAUUGAUCAUGACUAUGUACUCGAUGGCUACCACUUGGUUGUUUAAUUUCUAUGCACAAAUUAUGAGCUCAAUUUAUUUAUGGUUGACUGUUAAGCUAUCUUGAUGGUUGAUUGACCGAAAAUAAGUAUUGUUGCAUGUUUGCUAUAGCAUUUUGCUUUAAUAACAUUUAUUUAGAUUCAUUAUUCUGGUUGACCACUUAUUUAAUGAUACAAGUUAAGAAAGAGCCGCAAAAUGACCUAUUUUAGUGGAACAUAUUAGAGCAAUACUUAGUUUUAGAUUGAGUUUCCUAAAUUGAGUUUAACUUGAGUCCAAAAAGGGUCAUGCUUAAUCUAAAGAUUAGUGAUAAACCAGAUGUGGGGAUUCACCUUGUAGGGUAAAGAGAACAUGAACGUGUAAUGUUAUAUUUUAUGUUGACAUAACAAUUGGUCAUUAUUAGGUUGCAUAAAGAUAUAAGACAUCCAACAUGUUACUGCUGAGGAUAAAGAUGAAAUAUAAGUGUGCAACCCAAGAGGGGGGUGAAUUGGAAUUUUAAAAAUUAUCCUAGCAAAUCCACACAACAAGCAAUCUAAUGUCUUAAUAAAAAUUGAAAACAAUAAGUUCAAUAAAAGCACAAUAACAAAUGAGUAAGAGAGAAGAGAAACAAACACAUGAAUUUUUACGUGGUUCGGCAAUCCCCGCCUACGUCCACGCCUCCAAGCGAUCCAAACUUGAGGAUUUCACUAUCCAAACUUUUCUAAGGCUUCAACCGUUUACAAUUAACUUCAAGGUGUCAAUGAACCUUUACAACAAAGAGUUUAUCUCCCAAUCUCUUCAUUCAAGUGUCUCACACACUCAAACUUUUACAAUUAAGAUGAAGAAAUGAAAGUUACAAUAAAACUCACUCAAAGAGUAGAUAUUCAAAAAUGAAGAACAAGAGAUGAUUCAAUGUUUUGUGAUUUGCAAAUUGAAAGCUCAAGAUAUCUUGUGUGCUUUUUAUUUAUGCUUGCUAGAGAGAUUGAAAAUGAGUUGGAUUUGAGUUUAUAUAGUUUGAUCUCAAAAACUAGCCGUUAUGCACAUUUUGGUCAUAAUCGGCUUGCCAUUUAGGAAUCUGGUAAAGCCGCUUUUAUGUUGCCAUUAAGGCAAAAAUUUGAAUUUCAGAAUAUCUGGCAUGCCGCUUUUCAUAUCCGGUAAGCCGCGUUUGAAAUCCGGAUUGCUGCUUUGCGAAAUUCGGAUAGCCGUUUAUGCUCUAGAAGCUUACUGUCCAAAAUCUAGUUUGCCGUUUACCAUAUCCGGUAAGCCGCUUGCUACAGUAACUGCUACAGUGAAAUAUUUUUUAAAUUUAUAGUUUGACCCCAAAACUUUAUAAAACUAUGUUAUGGCCCAAAAUGUUAUAUUAUUUUGAAAAUAGGUCCAAUUUCAGAAUCUCUAAAUAAUGCUUGCUAUUCCCAAAACUUUUUAAAAUUAUGAUAUGACCCAAAAUGUUAUGAAACUUUUCCAAUAAGUCCUCCAAAAUUUCGAGCAAUACUUGUUGAUUUCAAAGUUUUCAAAACUCUUUCAAUUAAAUCAUAAACUUGAAAAACAACUAAUUUCAUAAAAUCAUUUUUCCAUUAAAUAUAAAACCUUUAUAAUGUGAAAAUAAUGAUUUAUUUAAAAUAUAUAAAAAAUAAUUUGAGCUUAAAAGAUUAAUCAUUCUUAAUCUUGUUUGUUAUCAUCAAAAUCAACAUUAUGCAAACAUAUAUAUUAACAAAAGAUGGUUUCUGUCCAGUGUUGUAACAGAUGCUGCAGUAACUAUACUCAAUAUAAAUAAAAUAGUUAACACCAUUACAAGAGUUUAAUCACUCAACCACUCUAUUCCAAUUGAAUUUACUUUUGUGUCUAACAUGCAAUUUUCAUUCAUUGCAUUUUCUUUAUUAUCGCGGUUUAUUUUACAUAGUCUAUUAGUUGUAUUAGUUACAUUGAUUUUUAAUUGAGAACAUAGAUUACACUGUGAAAUUGUUGUAACAAGUCUGAUAGCAUCAAUCCCUAUGGAGACGAUCUUAGAUACUCACCCUUAUAUUACUUGUUGUGUACAUUUGCACAUUGACAUUACUAGCAAUUAAGUUAAAGAUUACAAUAGUACCCCUAUGUGCUUUGUCUUGAAAUGAAAUGCUGGAUUCCUUACAAUGUACAAGAUACUCUAAUUGUCACAAAACAAAAACAUUUUCUCUUGUUUGUACCCAAACUCCUCCAACAACCUUUGAAUCUAAAGAACCUCUUUGCAAGGUUAUGUAGCUACCAUUAUUAUGCUUCUGUUGUAGAUAAAGUCACAACGGUUUUCAGUUUUGAAACGCAGGUUACAGCUUUUCUUGCAAGUGUAAACACAUAGCCAGUAGUAAAUUUCCUUUAUCAAGGUCCCCUGCAAAAUAUGAAUCCUCAAGGUCUCUGACAGUAAAUUUUAAUCCUCCAUAACAUAAUGCAACAUCUAAGAUUCAUUUGAUGUAUCUGAGAAUCCUCUUUACAGUUUUCCAAUAUUCUUCACCAGGAUUCACUCUCUAUCAACUGACCACUCACACGACUUGUGCAAUAUCUAAUUUCGUAUAUAUCACAGUGAACAUUAAACUUCCUAUUGCUGAUACAGAAGGUAUUCGAGACAUCUCCUUCCUCUCUACUCUGUUGCUAGAAUAUUUACUUGAGGAUAACUUGAAAUUAACAAGAAGUGAGGUAGAAAUUAGCAUACAAUCUUGCAUGUUGAAGCGUCACAAGAUUUUCUUCAAGUAAUUCUUUUGAGAUAGCCAAAUCUUCUUGUUAUUUAUGUCUUAGUGAAUUUGCAUUCCUAUAUUCUUGUUUGUGUUAGAGUGCAAUUUACGCACUAGUUUUGUAUUGUUUACUUCCCUUAAUAUCGAUGUUAUAAUGAUUUACUUGUGUUUUACUUUUGUAGGUACAAUUCUAGUGAUUGGUGAUAAAAUUGAACUAAAAGAUGAUGUUUAAGGAGGAUUGUUCUCUUGGAGAAAUUAUGAGCGUCAGAAGAACUUUGUUGAUAAGGCGUGGGCGCGUGCUGUCAACUGCGGACCUGUAGUUUUUAGUUUAACGUGUUUUGUAUUUUUGGUUAUUUUUGUAAUUACGAAUUUAAUAUUUCAGAUAUUAGGAUUUUAUUUUAAAUAGAAUUCUAAAAGAGAAGAGAGAGAGAGUAUUUAAGGGAGGAAUCUUUUGUGGAAAAGGGGGAUUUUUGGAUGGGAGAAAAGAAAGAAACCCUAGAUUUAAUUUUUCUCUUCUCUCUAUGAAGAACUAAACUUAUUUUUCUGGUUGAAGGUUAAUGAAGCUUUGAUUCAUCACUACUGUGAGAUCUUUCUUGUGCUUUAAUUGUUUUAUUGCUUUUUGGGUAUUUGUUUAUUCUCUGAAUUAUUUUCAUGAUUAUGUUUGUUAAUUAGGUAAUUGGCCACUAUUUAAUUAUCAACUUAAUCUAUUGUCAAUUAAAGGAUUCAUCGUAUGAAGAAUUUAAUGUUUGUGACAAAUAACAUAGCAGAGAGUUGUGUUGUGAGAAUAAACAAUCUAAUUUAAAUGAAUCAUCAUAUGUGUUGAUUAGGAUUUGGGUCUCUCUGGUUUUUCAGGCUGUCAAUUGAUUAAAUCCUAUGAUCGUAUUUAGGGUUGUCUAUUGAUUGGGGAAAUAACCAACGGUCAUACCUUGGUUAUCGACUAGUUAAGGAGAGAUUGGCUAUUAGAGGGUCUCAGUAGCUAUAACUGGUCUAUUCAUGAGUAAUAAUAAUCUAUAUUUGAAUCAAUGAUCAGUAGUCGAAUCAAGCUGAGUUAAUUCCUUCAACCAGAGCUUUCUCCAAUUUGAAUUACAACUUUAAUUUGCAUUCUUGUUAUUUUAAUUUGAUUUUUAUUAUUGUCAACAAAACCGCCAUUUUAUGUUUUACGUUUUAAAAGGAUUUAAAUAACUACUGAUCUCUGUGGACACGACCCUGCUCAAUUACUAUACACAAUUUAUUUAGAGUAGGAAUUUAUUUUUUUUGGCUUCGACACCCACCAAAUUUUGGCGCCGUUUUGGCUUCGACACCCACCAAAUUUUGGCGCCGUUGCCGGGGAUUGGUGUCAUUUAUUUAAUCAUUUUUACGUUUUACUUGGUGUAUGGUUCGUUCUUCUCGUACAGGUACACUUUCGUUUGAUCCUGAAAUUGAGAAGACAACUCGCCAGCUGAGACAGCAGAUGAAGCGAGCUAAGCAACGAUCCUCGUUGCCUUUGCUUUCUGAAACAGAUACGGUGCCUGAUUUAGUUGAAUCAUCUAGCGAUUCAGAAGAACAAGUGAUGGAUAGACCUGCACCUGUAGAAAGAACUCUUAGAGAGUUAGCUGAACCAGACUUGAAUCAACAACCACUCUGCAUUCAAUAUGUAGACUUGGAGGUAAAUUUUGAAUUAAAGUCUGGUCUUAUUCAUUUAUUACCCAAGUUUCAUGAUUUUGCAGGUGAAGAUCCUCAUAAACAUCUUAAGGAGUUUCAUGUUGUGUGUUCAAGUAUGAGACCACAAGGUGUGACUGAAGAGCAGAUUAAGCUGCGUGCUUUUCCGUUCUCUGUAGAUGGGCUAGCUAAAGAUUGGUUGUACUACUUGCCUCCUGGAUCAAUUACAACGUGGAAUGGUUUGAAGAAGCAGUUCCUUGAGAAGUACUUUCCUGCUUCAAGAGCUGCCAACAUCAGAAAAGAUAUUUGUGGGAUCAGACAACUUCCUGGGAAGACUUUAUAUGAGUAUUGGGAGCGAUUCAAACAAUUGUGUGCCAGCUGUCCUCAGCAUCAAAUUUCUGAUCAACUUCUUAUUCAAUAUUUUUACGAAGGACUGUCAUUGAUGGAUAGGAGUAUGAUAGAUGCUGCUAGUGGAGGCGUGUUGGUGAACAAGACCCCUACUUAAGCAAGGGAGUUGAUAUCAAAUAUGGCUGCCAAUGCACAACAAUUUAGCAGCAGGCAAGAGCUCACUUCAAGGAAGGUGAAUGAGGUAAAUAUUUCUUCUAUUGAACAACGUUUAGAUAAACUUACUUCUCUUGUGGAAAAGUUUGUUGUAGGUAAUGUGCAGCAGGUGAAGACUUGUGGUAUAUGUUACAAUAUGGGUCAUUCAACUGAUAUGUGUCCUACACUUCAAGAAGAACCCAUUGAACAAGCCAAUGCAGUUGGAGGAUUUCCAGGCAUGCCUCAGAGGAGGUAUGAUCCUUAUGCACAAACAUACAAUCCGGAAUGGAAGGAUCAUCCCAACUUCAGCUAUGGAGUUAGGCCGUCAGGAUUCCCACAACAGUAUCCACCAAGACAACCAGCACCUCCACAGUCAAACUCCAAGUCGGGUAUAUCUCUUGAAGAAAUUGUUAAAUCACUUGUGACUAACACUCAACAAUUUCAGCAGGCAACUACAACAAGCAUUCAGAACUUGGAGAACCAAAUGAGUCAAUUGGCGACUACAGUGAGCCGUCUGGAGUCUCAAGUAUUAGGGAGAUUGCCUUCACAAUCUGAGGUGAAUCCAAAGCAAAACGUUAGUGCUGUCAUCCUUAGAAGUGGGACGGAGUUGCAAGAGCCUAGUAAGAAAGUAACAAAGCAUGUAGAAGAUGAGCUUGAGAAGAAUGAAUUGAUGCCUCAAUCUCAAGAUGCACAACCCACUAAAGCGAAACCCCUACCUAUUGUGAUACCUCCUCCUUUUCCAAGCCGAUUUGCAAAAUCCAAGAAGGAGGAACAAGAGAAAGACAUCCUUGAGACAUUUUGCAAGGUUGAGGUAAAUAUUCCUUUAUUAGAUGCUAUAAAACAAAUACCUCGAUAUGCUAAAGUCCUUAAGGAACUGUGCACCUCCAAGAGAAAAUUAAGAGAAGAUGAAAAAGUUCACAUGGGGGAGAAUGUUUCAGCAGUUCUUCAAAAGAAACUCCCUCCUAAGUGCAAGGAUCCAUGUAUGUUUACUAUCCCUUGUAAAAUUGGUAGUGUUAGAGUUGAAAAGGUUUUGUUAGAUCUAGGAGCUUCUAUUAAUGUCAUGCCUCGUUCCAUUUAUUCAUCUUUAAAUAUUGGUCCAUUAAAAGAAACUGGUGUGAUAAUUCAACUAGCUGAUAGGUCUAAUGCAUAUCCUGAUGGGGUAUUAGAAGAUGUCUUAGUACAAGUUAAUGAGUUGGUUUUUCCUACUGAUUUUUAUGUACUUGAUAUGGAAGAUGAUAACUCCUCUAAUUAUGUCCCAAUUUUGCUAGGAAGACAUUUUCUUAAGACUGCUAGGACUAAAAUGGAUAUACAUAAAGGGACUCUCACUAUGGAGUUUGAUGGAGAGGUUAUAGAAUUCAAUAUGAAUGAUGCCAUGAAAUAUCCUAGUGAGGAAGAUUCGGUAUUUUCUGUGGAUGUUAUUAACCCUAUAGCGUAGGAAAUUUUUUACAAAGAAAAGACGAAGACAUUUCAUGAUAGAAUGAUUUUGAGAAAGGAGUUCUCUGUUGGUCAAAAAGUUCUUCUUUUUCAUUCUAAGCUUAAACUUUUUCCGGGUAAAUUACGUUCUUGUUGGGUUGGACCUUUUAUUGUUACUAAUGUUUUUCCUCAUGGUGCAGUUAAGAUUCGGAGUCCGACCUCUGACUGAGUUCUUAAGGUUAAUGGUCAUCGCUUAAAACCUUUUUAUGAAGGUUUUUCGGUGAAUAUUGUGGAGGAUGUGGCUCUCGAGAGUCCAAAUUAUGGAGAUUGAUGCAUAAAUGUGUCUAGCCAAAGACAUAAAACAAAGGCGCUUUUUGGGAGGCAACCCAAGUGAUUUAUUUAUUUUGGUUUUUGUUAUAUCUUCUUUUAAUUUUGAUUCAUAUUUUUUUUUUAAAUAAUGUGUUUGCUUAUUUUGGUCAGAAUAAAAUUUUUGAUAAGGCGUGCCCACGUUUUAACUAAUAAGUACUUCUGUCAUUUUUAAAGUAAAAUAGUUUUAAGGCGUGCCCACGUGCUUAUUAGAAAAGUACUUCUGAAGUUUUUAGUGUCUCAAAGUGAUUCAUCACUAAAAAAAAAAAUUAAUUUUAAUUUAUUUUAUUUCAUUUUAUUUUAUUUAUUUAUUUCUUUUGUUCUUUCUUUUAUAUAUAUAUAUAUUUUUUAUUUAAAAAAAAAAAUUUUACUGUUCACAAAAUCCCUAAUUUUCCAGAAAUUGUUUUCUUCUCCAGCCGUUUGCAGCACGCCAGCAGCAAACCAGCCAGCCGAAGAAUACAGCAUCAGUCGUGCGCAACGCAAGCACCAGCAACGAGCACGCCCCGCAACGCAACUCAGAACCAGCUCUCGCGCGCAACAGUCCUGCAGCAACACAGCCACGCAGCAGCUCUCGAGCGCAACGCAGCCACGCAGCAGCUCUCGCGCGUAACCAGCAGUGCGCAACCAGCCCCAAGCCGCGCAGCAAGCUCCAGCCGAGCACGCAACGCAACAAGCGUCACCAGCGCGCACACCAGCAAUCCCCCAGCGCGCAGCAACAGCCGCAGCACGCAGAUCCAGCGUCACCAGUUCACAGCAUCAGUCCCAUCCGUGCGCAACUGAACCACCAGCCGCGCACCAGUAAUCCCCCAGCGAGCAGCAAUAGUCCGCAACCAGCCUACGACCUGCAUUCCAGCCGCGUGAAUCGAAAUCCGUGACAAGAUGGAGCAGAAUUUGGCCGCAUACUUCAAGAGUGUGGGAUUUAUCCCACCAUUCCCGCCAAGCCCAUAGACGUUAUGAGGAUCAAAGCUCACAAUUCAGGGAAGUUUUUGCCUUUAAUCUUUUAUCCUUACGCUUUAAUUUUUAUGUGAGCUUUGAUUAUCUUUCAUUGGGGACAAUGUAAGUUCUUGGUGUGGGGGAGGGAUUUUUGCAUUAUUGAUGUCUGGAAUUAUUGUUUUCACUCUACUUAUCUUUUUUUCACUCUACUCAUCCUUAAAUGAUUUUGGAGUUAGUAUGCUUUAUAUAUUAUUAAUUUUCUUUUCUUUUAUCUCUCACUACUUUUUUCCCAUCUAUCUCACAUUAUUUACAUCUAUUUUUAUUCUAUCAUACUCUUUCAUCACUCACAUUUUAUCUUUCACUUUUCAUAUUACUACAUACGUCUUUCUCACUUCUUAUCAUUUUUACCUUUUCUUUUAUAUAUCACUCAUGCCUUCUUCUCAUUCUACACCAUUAUUGAUGGUUGAUUCAUUUGAAGAGUGUACAUGAUUUGAUGGCAAAUUUACCAACUUUGUGAGGAUUUGAGCCUAUAAGCAACCACUUUGCUCUAAUAUUUUUGUUAUGUGAAUAUCAAUCUUAGUUUGUUUAUUCUAGAACUUGCUUUGUUAUGCAUGUUGAAGCCACAUUACGGGAUUUUAUGCAUUAAAAUGAUAAGGGCAAACCAUAUUCCAUUUUUCUAUUUUCGCAUUUUUUUUCUCUACCCGAAGACCUUUAUUUGUUACCUUUGUUUGAGCCUUAACCAUUACCCAUCUAAUUCUCUCCGUUGACUUAACCAUUUUUCUUCUUUUUGAGCCUCAAUUUAAGGAGAUUUUUGAACUCAUUGUGUGGUUAUAUUUUGUUGCUUUUUCUACCUUGUAUUAAAGUUUCUCAAUUAGAUCAACAAGCAUUAUGCUUGAAUUAAAUUGUGCAACGUUCGUUUCUUUUGUUUGAUUAAAAAAAAAAUCAAUAAAAAAAAACAAAAACAAAAACAAAAAGAAAAAAGAAAAAAGAAAAAAGAAAAAAAAAAAGAAAGAAAAAGAAAAAGAAAAAUCGAAAAAAAAAGUUUACAUUCUUGGUGACUUGAGUAGAAAUAAGCAUUUUGAUAUCAUAAGUUCAUUCAAUGAGUUCAUUCUUCUCAUUUUAUUUAUUUUUCUUUCAUAGACCUUUCUUUUUUAUUUCACCUAUUUAACCCCAUUACAACCCUUUUAAGACCCUUAGAUUUUUGCAUUUUAUUCAUGUUUUGUGGAUUGAGAUGUGAUAUAUGAGCAAGCUUAUGGUAAUAGCAUUCUUUGAUUUGAUUUGAGUGGAUAAAUGACACCCUAAACACUUUGAGUGCAUGGAGUGAAGUCAAUGAGAGGGCUAUUAAAUCUUGUUGCACUUGAAUUUUAAAUGGAUCUUCUUGGUGGUUGAAUGUUCUUAUUCUAUCUUAUGAAAUUCUAUGCUUUAAAAUCCUUGUCUCUCGAAUGUUGAUCGACUUAAUUUCUUGAGGUAUGCUUGCUUAAAAUUGUUUUUGGAUGAGUUGAGAUGAGAAUUGAGUGGAGAUUUGGAAUUAAUCUUGAGUUAUAUGCUUGAGGACAAGCAUCAUCUUGGUGUAGGGGAAUUUGUUAGAGUGCAAUUUACGCACUAGUUUUGCAUUGUUUACUUCCCUUAAUAUCGAUGUUUUGCACUUAAUAAUAAUGAUUUACUUGUGUUUUACUUUUGUAGGUACAAUUCUAGUGAUUGGUGAUAAAAUUGAGAUAAAAGAUGAUGUUUAAGGAGAAUUGUUCUCUUGGAGAAAUUAUGAGCGUCAGAAGAACUUUGUUGAUAAGGCGUGGGCGCGUGCUGUCAACUGCGGACCUGCAGUUUUUAGUUUAACGUGUUUUGUAUUUUUGGUUAUUUUUGUAAUUACGAAUUUAAUAUUUCAGAUAUUAGGAUUUUAUUUUAAAUAGAAUUCUAAAAGAGAAGAGAGAGAGAGUAUUUAAGGGAGGAAUCUAUUGUGGAAAAGGGGGAUUUUUGGAUGGGAGAAAAGAAAGAAACACUAGAUUUAAUUUUUCUCUUCUCUCUAUGAAGAACUAAACUUAUUUUUCUGGUUGAAGGUUAAUGAAGCUUUGAUUCAUCACUACUGUGAGAUCUUUCUUGUGCUUUAAUUGUUUUAUUGCUUUUUGGGUAUUUGUUUAUUCUCUGAAUUAUUUUCAUGAUUAUGUUUGUUAAUUAGGUAAUUGGCCACUAUUUAAUUAUCAACUUAAUCUAUUGUCAAUUAAAGGAUUCAUCGUAUGAAGAAUUUAAUGUUUGUGACAAAUAACAUAGCAGAGAGUUGUGUUGUGAGAAUAAACAAUCUAAUUUAAAUGAAUCAUCAUAUGUGUUGAUUAGGAUUUGGGUCUCUCUGGUUUUUCAGGCUGUCAAUUGAUUAAAUCCUAUGAUCGUAUUUAGGGUUGUCUAUUGAUUGGGGAAAUAACCAACGGUCAUACCUUGGUUAUCGACUAGUUAAGGAGAGAUUGGCUAUUAGAGGGUCUCAGUAGCUAUAACUGGUCUAUUCAUGAGUAAUAAUAAUCUAUAUUUGAAUCAAUGAUCAGUAGUCGAAUCAAGCUGAGUUAAUUCCUUCAACCAGAGCUUUCUCCAAUUUGAAUUACAACUUUAAUUUGCAUUCUUGUUAUUUUAAUUUGAUUUUUAUUAUUGUCAACAAAACCCCCAUUUUAUGUUUUACGUUUUAAAAGGAUUUAAAUAACUACCGAUCUCUGUGGACACGACCCUGCUCAAUUACUAUACACAAUUUAUUUAGAGUAGGAAUUUAUUUUUGUUGGCUUCGACACCCACCAGUUUGCUAGUCUUAAGUCCUUCAUUUUAAACUACCUAGCUAAUUGUGCCUUUAAUUCUUGGACCCAAUCUUUGUUUGAGCCUGCUACUAACAUGUUAUCCACAUACAAUAGUAUAAUGAUAAAAUUAUUAUCCUCAAACCACUUGUAAUAUGCACAGGUCUAAACCGAGUCUAUUGUAGCCAAGACUCAUGAUGAAGGAAUCAACUCUCUUAUACCAACAUCUCAAUGCCAGUUUAAGACUAUAUAGAGAUUUGUUUAACCUGCAAAAGAAGUUUUCUUUACCUGUUUAAGCAAAACCUUCUGGUUAGAGUAUAUACAUUUUUUCUUUAAGUUCUCUAUGAAAAAACACAGUUUUCACAUCUAAGUGCUCUAGGUUUAUGUUAAAUACAACACAUAUUGCAAGGACUAUUUUGAUUGUCGUGAGUCGAAUUACUCGGGAAAAUAUAUCGUUAAAGUUAAUACAUUCUUUCUGAGCAUAUCCUUUCACUACCAAUCUUACACGAUACCGCUCUACUUGGUCAUUGCCAUCACGCUUGAUCUUGUAAACAUAUUUUUUUCCUAUGAUUUUUCUUUCACGUGGUAGUGGUAUAAGUUCCCACGUCUUAAACCUAUGUAGAGCUUUAAUUUCUACCUGCAUUGUUGUCAUCCACAAAACAACAUUUAAGCCAUUUAAAGCUUUAUGGAAAGUUGAUGGCUCUGCAUCCUCUGUUAGAAGAUAGUAUACAACAUUGAUCCUAUAACAUACUCUAAGUGCCACACCGACGGUUGUCUCUCGCAAGUUGACCGAUGAACUUCUGUAGCCUCAGACUCCACUGGUUCUUGCUUCUCAUGCUUUAGUGGUGUUUCAGAAUAAUCUAAAUCUUCUUUUCCCGGAUUAUUUUCAUAUACAUUGGUACAAUCUCUGACUUGUUCUUCAAAGUGCUAUCAUUCUCAUUUUUCUUUUGUAGUCGAUCUUCUACAAAGAUAACAUUUCUACUUAUGACAAUCUUGUGGGCAAUGAGAUCCUACAGAUAAUCUUGAUGAGAAUCUUGUAGUCAAUCUUCUUUCUUGAGCAUUGUAAGUGCAUAGGGCAUCCAUAUGCAUGCAAAUGAGAAUAAUCAGCAGGUUUCCUAGUCUACAUCUCCAUUGGUGUCUUUAACUUAAUUAUUGUAUGUGGCGAUCAAUUUACUACAUAAUAGGUGGAUUUGGUUAUUUCUAACCAAAAUGAGUUGACUAGAGCAGUCUUCAAUAUAACUUGUAUUCAUUCUGUAAGAGUAUUGUUCAUUCGCUCUGUCACUUCAUUCCAUUGAGGAGUGUAUGCCACAAUGAAUUAUUUUUUAAUACCUUUUUGCUUAUAGUAUAUAAAAAACUAACUAUUUGUAUAUUCUCCACUAUUAUUUAUUCCCCAAACUCUUGAUAUUUUUCCUGAAUUUAAGUUCCACCCGUGCUUUGUAUUCUUUGAACACUGAAAAUGCUUUUGACUUUUUCUUAAUUAGAUAAGUUGAGUGUUAGAAAAUGUAUAUUUAUAAAGGAGAAAACCGUCAUUUUACAUUUCAAGUCUUACUAACAACCCUUACUUUUAUGUAUUUAACCUUCUUGUGAUUUAAUUACAUGUGUUUUAUUUUAAUUAAGUAUUUUAUUUAUUUUAGGGGCAUUAUAGUCAUUUCACAAUAAAGGAGAGAUCAGACGGCAAAACGAACAUCACUUUUGAACUCAGGACGGUCGAAAACCUUAGGAGGAGCAUAAAAGGAAAAAUGACACUAUUCACAUGUACGGUACUAUUCACGUGUACGGUACUGUUUACAUUACUGUUCACGACACUGUUCACAUAGACGGAUCGAUGACGUGGCAUUGACCGAUGAUGUGGCAUUGACUGAUGAGGUGUCACGAUCCUGUUGGGCUAAAAUUCUUAUGUACUGUUGAUGAUGACGUGGCAGUAUAUCAGUGGAUGAAAAAUCUUGCGUACGGUACAUGCAUCACACAGGAUUAUUUUCAACCAAACCGCAUUACUGUUCAUCCAGGUCAAACCGUGUUACUGUUCAUCCGCGUGGUCAAACCGCGUACUGUUGACUGAUGACGUGGCGCAAUCCUGAGCGUCCAAACUAUUUUUAAUCCGAUGGCCAUGAUUUACUCCAUGUAUCUAUAAAAAGGGGGCCUCUCCCCCCUAAUUUGAUAUCUCCGAAUCCAUUUUUGGGAUCCAUUUUCUGUAAUUCCUUUUCCAUCUUGUAUUUUCUUCAUAUUUUAAUAAAUUUCCAUUUUGCCCCUAGUUCAAUUAUGAGUGGCUAAUUUUCUUUCAAGCUUGGGUUGAAGGUGAAGUCUCAACAUGUGUCAUGGGCUUUAUUUGGUAAAUUUAUUUUCUCUUCCCCUCUAAUUUUUGUGGAUGUUUUGACUUCUCGUCGACAAAUAAUACUAAUCUUGUCUAGUACCGCCUUGGUUUCACCGGCCCUCUAGUACAAGGUUAUUAUUAUUUGGCACGAUAAGCCCUUAGCACCAUAUUGAUUAGAGAGUGGUUCAUGAGGUGUGGAUUCCCCCCUCAUGAUUUAAUUGGCAUUAAUAAGGAUUAUUUAGUCCAUGAUGCAUGUUGAUACGGAUCCAGAUACCCAAGUAUGUCAUUUCAAUAGCUUUCUAUUCAAUUUAUUCUCGCCAUUUCAAUUCCAAUUGUAGAAUUUAAUCUCGCCAUUUCAAUUCCAAUUUUUAGGAUAAUUUAAAUCACUUCCACCAUAAUUCCAACCACCCAUUUACAAAAUUAAUUCUAUACACAAUUAAAAUCCACCUCCUCGUGGGAUCGACACUCGUCACCAUUAGUCUAUACUACAAUAGAUUCGUGCGCUUGCGAGUACAUUAAAAUUUGCACAACAAGAUACACCUAACAUCUCUUGGAAUAAUCAUCUAUGAAAGUCAUAAUGUACGUUACACCUCCUAGGGACAUAUUCCGGUGAUUCCCAAACAUUAGAAUGAACCAAGUCUAGAAUGCAUUUACUUUUGGUAUCAGAUUUACUGAACUUCAAUCUAUGUUACUUACUGGUAACAUAAUACUCAUAAAACAGUAAGUUCACCAAUUUGAGCCCCGAAGCAAUUUUCGUUCUAAGAGAAUCUUCAAACCUUAUUUUGACAUGUGGUCAAGUUUGAGAUACCACAUCAUCAUCGACUUUUCUCCAUUUGACGAGACACAUACAUUAGCUUCUUGUAAUGUUUCCUCUUUAAGUAUGAACUGACUAGCACUAAUUUUUUCCCAUCUUUAUCAAUACAAGCAUAUCUCUUAAAAUCUUCAUGAUUUUAUUGUCCACAUGAGUUUUAUAGUUAAGACUAUCUAUUUAUCCUAAAAACAAUAGAUUUUUCUUCAAUCCUUUGAUAUGUUGUACCUUCUGAAUUGUACGAACUGUACCAUUAAAUAUUUUUAUUUUGACAGUAUCAAUACCAACGAUCUCCAAGACAUGAUCAUCACCUAUAUAUUCUCUUAAAAUGGGUUCAUUUCUAUGGAACCAUUCUCUUCGAGAGGUCAUGUGCCAAGUGGUUCAUAAGUCUAUAAGCCAUACAUCAAAUAAUUGUUUUGUCUUCUGCAACCAUUGCUGCCUUGCUGUAUAAAAUGUCACCAUCAACUGAGGUACUUGCUACACGUCCUUAAACAUUUCAUGACUCAUGAUUUUUACUCUCUUUUCUCUUUUAGUUACUCCAAAACUUUUUCUUAACAUGCCCCAUCUUACCACAUUUGUAGCACCUAAUUUUCUUCUUCUUGAUUUUGAUCUACCAUGCACUGGAACCACGUUCCACUAAUUUUCGUCUCACCAUUAUUAGUGUUUCUGCUUGCUGCAAACUUGCUUGCCUAUCUUUAUUGUUCUUGCGUCUACCCACUUCCUCUAAUACAGAGGCUAUAACAUCGUCAAAGACUAAAUACUCUGUGCGGAUAUUAUUUGUCAAGUUGAUGAUGAUUUGAUCAUACCAGUCAGGUGAACUUUGAAAUAGAAGCUUUGCAUGUUCAAUUUUCGCUAUUUUAUGACCUAACAUUGUAAGUUGUAAAAAAAAAGUUUUCAAAGUGUUGAUAUAGUGGGUCAUUGAUAUGGUUUCUACCAUUUGAACACUAUAAAGUCUUCUCUUUAAGAAGAUUUUGUUGUGUAGCGACUUGGCCUUGUUUACUUUUGCAAGGGUAUUCCAAAUACACUUCCCUGUCUUUUGCUUUGCCAUACUGGAUAAUAUCUUAUCUGCAAGUGCCAAGUGUAGAUCAAUAAUUGCAUUGUCGUCCAUUUAAUUCCACUUGUCAUCGGUGAUUUCUAUAAACCUUUCUGCAAUUACUUCUAAAUAAUUAUUUUUCCUCGGGAUUGCUCAUGUCUUUAUUUUUCACAAUGAGAGAUUGCUCAUAUUGAACUUCUCAAUUUCAAACUUUGUUGCCAUUUUGUUAAUAAAUACCAUACACAAGUUAGUGUACCACCUUGAGUAGUUAUGAGUGAUCGCACGUGUGAAAAUGCACAGCAGAAAAGUUUCCAGGAAUGACUGGAGGGAUUACAACGGUGCCAUUUAAAACCCAAACUCUCUAGGCUCUUAUCGCCUUUGUGACGGAACUAUCCUAGACAUGUACAAGACCACGUGAUUACUUCUACUCACACCAAUACUCCUUACUUUACAUUGUGGAAUUCUUCGAUCGCUCCCACUAUUUUAAGUAAACAGUAUCAUAUACAUGAAGAGUAUUGUAUACGUGAACAAUAGCUGACUCCAAAAACUAUAACUAAAUGGCUCUGAUACCACUAUUAGGAAAUUGAUGUGUGAAGCAGACACAUAAUUAAAUUGAAAUUGAGAAAUAAUGAUCACAGGAUGACACCAUAAUUUAAGUGGUUCUGCUUUUCACCUACAUCCACGGGCGAAGGCAGAAGGAAAUAUUUUACUAGUGAAAAGGAGUUACAAGUACUGGAGUAUUUUGUCUCACAACCCAAAAAACCCAAUGCACCCAAACUCUCAAGACACUAGAAUAAGAGCUUAAAACUCUCAACACACUCUCAAUCUCCAAAUCUUGGCUCUUUCACUUCUCAAUUAGAUUGAGAAUUGAAGAAAAUGAGAUGAAUGAAGAGGGCAAAUAAAGCCUCUAUUUAUAGGCCAGGCAAUGCCCUAAAAUCAACAACAGUGGGCUUUAAAAUAAUAUAUAUUUUCAUUUAACUUUCCCCUUUGGUGUCAAAAACAAAAGUUGUGUGCUAGCUAAAUGCUUUCCACUUACUCAUGUCUCCCACUUACUUAACAAAUUAUGCCAAAAGUCAAAAGUUGCAUGCGAGCCACAUGAAAUUGUUUGCCACAUGCAUGUGCUUGUUCAACAGUAAAAACCACAAGCAAGGAUUUAACUAGUUUAAACAAGGACUACAAAACCUUCAACGUUGGUGGAUUUCACUAGUUUAAACGAGGAUCACAAAUUUAUCUUUUCUCUAAACAGUAAGAGAGAACUUGAAAUACAAGAAUGCAACCCAAGAGGGGGGGGUGAAUUGGGAUUCUAAAAAAUUAUUCAAUUUAUUAAAGAAAAUCUUAAUGCAAUUAUAAAUCAAAUUCAAAGCAAUAACAAUUAAGAGAAUCACAAUAUAAAAAGAUAAGGGAAGAGGGAUUCAAACACCGAGAUUUUUACGUGGUUCGGCCAACCUCGCCUACGUCCACGCCUCCAAGCUUUCCGGGCUUGAGGAUUCCACUAAGCAAGCCUCCAAGGCUUCAAAUGCUUACACUUGACUUCCAAGGUGUCAAUGAACCUUUACAACAAGAGAUUAUCCCCAAUCUCUUAACCCAAGUGUAUCCCAACACUUACAAUCACUCAAAAUAAAAGAUUAUAAAUUGUUUUGCCUCUCACAAUAUAUAAGAUUACACAAUGAUGCUUAAUAUGUGAAUAGAUGAAGCAAGAAUAUGUUCUAAGCUCUAUGAAGAUUGUAUUCUCGAAUAUUAGCUCAAAUGGUCGUGUUGUGAUCAAUCUUCUUUGAAUUUGAAUGAGCUUAUUUAUAUUUGGAGCCGAAAAUCUAGCCGUUACAAACUGUCGGACAGAAAACGGUUCGCUGUUAACCAUAAACGGUUAACCGUUUAGGCUGGUCAAAGUUACCGUUGGGCCAGAUUUCAAAUAAACGGUUUGCCGUUUAGGGUUGCCCUUUCGCCGUUAACUUCCAGAGACCUGCAAAAUGAGUAUUUGUUAUCCGUUUACGCUAAACGGUUAAGGACUUGCGUGAAGUGGCUUCUCUGGACAUUAUCGGUUAACCGUUUGAUAUAAACGGUUCGCCGUUUGUCUCCAGUAACCUGCAAAACAAUUUAGCCUUAUCAGUUUUCGUUAAUCAGUGCCAGAGGAGGACAACCUUCAAUUCUGGACGUUAUCGGUUAACCGUUUAAAAUAAACGGUUCACCGUUAGGUUCCAGUAGCCUUCCCAUCUUGGGUGUUUUCCGGUAAGCAUAAACGGUUAGAGCUUAGGUAAUAUGUUGCUCUCUGGUGAUAAUCGGUUAACCGUUUAAAAUAAACGGUUCACCGUUAAGUUCCAGUAACCUUCCCAUCUUUUGUGUUUUCCGUUUUUCAUAAACGGUUAGAGGUUUAGGAAAUAUGUUGCUCUCUGGCUGUUAUCGGUUAACCGUUUAAUAAACGGUUCACCGUUUAUAACCAGAAUUACAUUUUAAACCAGUUUUUUAUUUUUGCAGAGAAUCUUUUUCUAAUUUUAAAGUCCAUCUUUUAUGAAGCAUGAAUUGAAUGAUUACUAAGGCUCUCGUUUAUUAAGAAAUAGCUCCAAUACUUUUAUAAAAAAUCAUUUAAAAUUUGUUAUCAUCAAAAUCAAUAUUAUUAACAUAUUUAUGUUAACAAUCUCCCCCUUUUUGAUGAUGACAAAUUCUAAUCAAUGUUUAGCUCCCCCUUAAUAUGUGCUCCCCCUAAAUGUAUGGCCAAAUUGAGAAAUGUGAAUAAAAGGAUAUUUGCUUUAAAUUGCCCCAUUUUAAAUCCAUCUUAAAACAAAUAUCUCCCCAUUUAAAAACCAUCUUAAAAAAAUAUCUCCCCAUUUAAAAAACUAUCUUAAAAACUUAAAAACCAUCUUAAAAACUUUAAUUAUCUCCCCCUUCAUCAUCAAAAAGAAAAGAGGAAAUAAGAAAUACGCAAAUCCAUGAAAGAAAGUGCCCGGUUUUGGCAAACAAAAAAAAAAUUUUGGCAGAGUUUCCCCUUAAAAAUGAGUAAAACCAUAAAUACAAAAUGAGAUAAAACACUUCCAAAAUUAGAUCAACAUUAACUUCUGCUUUCAACAAGCCAACAACUCCAUGAACAAGACAAAAUAACACUUCAAUAUCCACAAAUAUACCAACACUCCAAUAUCCACAAAUAAACCAUUUCUACAAUAUCCAACCAAUUAGGCAAUCACAAAGCAUCAAUAAGCUAAUCAUCAAGAACAUCACACACAUAUGCAUCAAAAUCAAAAUAAUAAUAAAAAUGCUAGCAACCAAAAUGUAAAAUGUAUGUGCGAAGACAAAGCUCAGAAACUACGGAGGCGGAGAAGAUGUGCUCCCUGGAUCAUAGCCGAAAUAGCCGAGAAUAGUGCGCUGUCCAGCGAUAAGCUCCAUCUGCUGAUCAAGGCUCUGCCGCUGGAAUAUCUGAAAGUCAGAACGCAGCUGCUGGUGGUCCCGGGAAAGAGUGUCCAACCGAUCAAGAAUCAGCUGCUGGCGCUCCGAAAUCCGCUGAACAUCAGUGAUCAGCUGCUGCACUGCGUCUGAAGCAGGGGGCUGAACUGGAGCUGGAGGCGGCAUAGAGGCAGAUGGCUGCUCGGGAACAGCAGAAGGCUCAGGAGCAAGAGGCGGCUCGGAAGAGGAGGGAAUAUCAGCAUCCAUCGCACGCUCCUCAGAGUCUGAGUCAGCUGGAGGCUGAGGAACAAAACGGCGACGCGGAGGAUGAGGAUGAGCGCCUAGUCUAAAGUCAGGAAGCUGGUCGGGACGAUAGACAUCAUUGAGCAUCCGAUCGUCCUCUGGAGCAAUCAAGGUAUCCCGGUUUUUGGAGUUGCUUGUCUUUAUCCACACUCCAUUCUUUCUAGAGAAUCCGAUACUGGUUACUGCCUCGGAACCAAUCCGUCGAGUCUCCAUAUGUCCAGUAUCAAGAAGUGGCACCUCAAAGCGUCGCAGUAUUUUAGUGAUGAUACUGCCGUAGGGAAGCAAGCGGUGGUUGACCACUGGAGUACUCAGCAUAUGUCGCACAAUAAUAUACCCGAGGUUAAUGGGACGGUCUGUAAGAAGGCUAUCCAAUAAGGCGACGUCUAACCUCGUAACCUCAUCCGAGUGACCCUUCCUAGGAGUCACUAUGUGCUGUAGAAUAGAGUGAAGAAUACGAACUUGGAGCGGUAAAAGUUGAGACCGAAAUGGAAGCUGACAGACAUCAUCCGAUAAGUCUCGACGACGACAUAUAUUACGGACGCCGUGAGUAUGAGAAAAAGUAUCAAAGGAGAGGGUUUUCCUAGAGGUGUAGAUGUCAAUCCCCUCACAAGAGAUACCUAGAAAGUCAGCUAAGUCCGCAUCAUCAAAUUCUAUGGGUACACGGCCGACUUGAGUGACUAUCCUAUUUGGACGAGUAUUGGAGAUUUCCAUGUUCGAAUAAAAGACUCGCACUAAGUUUGGAUAAACUCGGUCAUCAAAAUCAAUGCCAGACUCCCAAGGCCGAAGCAUAUCCCGAAUACUUCUACCACAUACAACCAAAUUAUGGAAUUCAUCAAUGUCAACAAAGAAGGAGUCAAGUACCUUUCGACCAUUGAAGCGUUCUUCGAAUCGCUUGGCCAAGGAAGGAGUGGGGAAGUGAAUCCUUGCAAAUUCCGAGACUUCCCGAGGUGGUAUGGGAUUCCUUGGAGGCACAGAUUUACGUCUGAGAUUUCUCCGAGGAGGUUCAGCCAUGGAAACACGUAAUGAGGAGUAGAAGAUGUGAGUAGGAUGUUUAAUUUGGUUGAAGAAAGUUGGAAAUCGGAUUAAGGACAAGGAAACCCGACCCGCGACAGUUAGGGUUUAGAUUUGGGAUUUUUGAAUUUUGGGUUCGAUUUGAAGUUUUGAAUCGGUAGAAAUGUUCUAAAGGUGAUAAGAAAUGAUUUUGAAGGUUUGAUUUGGCAAGGAAAGCAAGAAAAAUGAGGAUUUGAGGACAGAGAAACCUUCGGCUGCGCAACAAUGGUGGAAACGGUGAAAGGGUAACUGGAGAAGAAGAAGAAAACCUUUAAACAGUUUAUACACUUCGCGAAAACGGUUAACCGUUUAUUGAAACGGUUAAAGGGUAACGUCCAGAGGCUGAAGAAAGGGAAACGGUGAAAGCCUAAGCGCUUAACGGCUAAGGAGUAACUGUUAGAGGACUCUCUGUUGAAAAACGGUUCACCGAUUGUGGCAAACGGUGAAAGGGUAAACGGGCAGACACAUAAUCUCGUUUCUGGAAUUAAACGGUGAUCCGUUUAUAGGAAACGGCUAACCGUUUAUUCAAUCUGUAAUUUCGCACAUUUGAUUUAAUUUUUGGCCAGCAAAUAAUAUAUUCCAAGAUCAUUUAAUUGAUCUGAAAAUAUUUUAUGAGCCAAUUUUAAUGCAUGAUUCAUGGACAUGUUUUCAACCAAUCAAUUCAUAUAAUCAAGAGUUAUUAAUGCAAAUUCAUCAUUUGUCUACCAAGCUCAAACAUUUCAUAAAUAGUAAUCAAUCAAUUCAGUACACUCAAUAGCAUGAAUAGAGAUGUUAAUGCAAAAAUUUCAUCAUCCCAAGUUCAUGCCGAAUUUUUGAAAAUUGUUCUUCGCAAAGCGGUUUUGUGAAAAUAUCGGCAAGUUGUUUUUCCGUGGAAAUAAACUCUAAUGCAAUAUCUCCCUUUUGAACAUGAUCUCUCAAGAAAUGAUGUCUUAUUUCUAUAUGCUUGGUUCGAGAAUGUUGAAUGGGAUUCUUUGAAAGGUUUAUAGCACUAGUAUUAUCACACUUAAUAGGAAUUUGUUCAAGAUUAAUGCCAUAAUCUCUAAGUGUUUGUUUCAUCCAAAGUGCUUGUGCACAACAACUUCCGGCAGCUAUAUAUUCAGCCUCAGUAGUUGAAAGUGCAACAGAAUUUUGUUUCUUGCUAAACCAUGAAACAAGAGAGUGUCCUAGAAUAUAGCAAGUUCCACUAGUGCUCUUCCUAUCCACUUUAUAACCAGCAAAAUCCGCAUCCGAAAAACAUGUUAAAUCUAUAUGAGUUCCCCUAGGAUACCAAAGGCCAAUAUCUAUGGUUCCACUCAAAUAACGGAAAAUUCUUUUAACAGCGAGCAAAUGAGAUUCCUUGGGACAUGACUGAAAUCUUGCACACAAACAUACACUAAACAUGAUAUCGGGUCUACUUGCAGUCAAAUAGAGUAGGGAUCCGAUCAUACCUCGAUACAUUUUGAUAUCCACUUCUUUACCUUUUUCAUCUUUGUCCAGCUUGGUUGUUGUGCUCAUUGGUGUAUUCUUGGUCUUUGAAUCAUCAAUGCCGAAUCGUUUGAGUAGAUCCUUUACGUACUUGGCUUGAUUUAUGAAAAUUCCUUCCUCGCUUUGUUUGAUUUGAAGUCCAAGGAAGUAUUUCAACUCUCCCAUCAUACUCAUCUCAAAUUCUUUGCUCAUACACAAUGAAAAUUCUUUACACAACAACUCAUUAGUAGAACCAAAAAUAAUAUCAUCAACAUAAAUUUGAACAAUAAGUAUGUCUUGGUUCUUAUGCUUAACAAAAAGAGUAGUAUCCGCUUUACCCAUAGAGAAGUCAUUUUCUAGCAAGAAAUUUUUAAGUCUAUCAUACCAUGCUCUAGGUGCUUGUUUUAAUCCAUACAAGGCUUUGAGCAACUUAUACACAUGAUUUGGAAAUUUUUCAUUUUCAAAACCAGGAGGUUGUUUCACAUAAACUUCCUCCAAAAUAUAUCCAUUUAAGAAAGCACUCUUGACAUCCAUUUGAUAUAAAAUAAAAUCCUUAUGACAUGCAUAUGCUAACAACAUCCUAAUGGAUUCUAACCUUGCUACAGGUGCAAAGGUUUCAUCAAAAUCAAUUCCUUCCUCUUGGUUGUAACCUUGAGCCACUAAUCUAGCUUUGUUUCUUACAACCACACCGGAUUCAUCCAUCUUAUUUCUAAACACCCAUUUAGUACCUAUUAUAGAUUGAUGUUCAGGUUUAGGAACUAGUUCCCACACAUUGUUUCUUUCAAAUUGAUUUAACUCCUCUUGCAUUGCCAUAAUCCAAGAUUCAUCAUUUUCUGCAUCCUCAAAGGAUUUUGGUUCAAUUUGAGAGAUGAAUGCAUUAUGCUCACAAGUAUUUCUAAGUGAUGAUCUAGUUGUUAUACCUCGUGAGGGAUCUCCUAAAAUUACAUCUUUAGGGUGAGAAGAGACAUACCUCCACUCCUUGGGGAGUGUUUGAGAAGUACCUUCAUUUUGCUCCACAUUUGGUUCUUCAUGAUGUUCCUCUUGAAUUCCAUGUGGUGCAUCCUCUUGAUUGUCAUUUGAUGCUUCUUCUUCUUGUUCUUCUUCUCUUGCAUCAUCAUCAACAACGACUUUCUUCGUAGAGGAGGGGUUAGACUCAUCAAAUGUGACAUGCAUAGAUUCUUCCACAACUAAAGUUCUUUUGUUAUAAACUCUAUAAGCUUUGCUUGAAUUUGAAUAACCAAAAAAAAUACCAACAUCGGAUUUUGAAUCAAAUUUACCAAGAUUGUCUUUUGUGUUCAAAACAAAACAUUUGCAUCCAAAAACUUUAAAAUAGCCAAUGUUGGGUUUUCUAUCUUUCCAAAGCUCAUAUGGAGUUUUAUUAAGAUUAGGUCUAAUCAACACCCGAUUUAAAACAUAACAAGCGGUGUUGACGGCUUCGGCCCAAAAAUAUUUUGGUAAUGCAUUUUCAUUUAACAUGGUCCUAGCCAUUUCUUGAAUAGACUUAUUCUUUCUCUCAACAACUCCAUUUUGUUGUGGAGUUCUAGGUGAAGAAAAUUGAUGCUCAAUGCCUAGAUUAUUGCAAAAACUCUCAAAUGCAUGAUUUUCAAAUUCUCCUCCAUGAUCACUCCUAAUGCAUACAAUACCAUGCCCUUUUUCAUUUUGUAAUUUCUUACAAAGCACUUUAAAUGCAUCAAGAGCAUCAUCCUUAUUGGCUAAGAAUAAUACCCAUGUAUAUCUAGAAUAAUCAUCCACUAUCACAAAAGCAUAAUAUUUGCCAUUUAGACUUGCAUAUCUAGAUGGCCCAAAAAGAUCUAUGUGAAGAAGUUCAAGUGGUUUUGAAGUAGAAAUAUGGUUUUUAUUCUUGAAAGAAGUUUUAAUUUGUUUUCCAAAUUGACAAGCUUCACAAAUCUUAUCCUUUUGAAAACCAAUUUUCGGAAGACCUUUAACUAAAUCAUCUUUCGAAAUUUUUGAAAUCAAAUCCAUACUUGCAUGUCCUAACCUUCUAUGCCACAACCAACAAUCAUCAUGCAAUGCCGAAAAAUAUUUAUCAAGAGUAGAUGCACAUUCUAUGUCAAUGAUAUAAACAUUACCACAUCUAUUUCCAACAAAUAAGGUUUUGCCAUCACAUGAGUUCUCAAUAACACAACUAAAUUUAUCAAAGAUAACUUUAUAACCUUUGUCACAUAAUUGACUAAUGCUAAUUAAGUUGUGUUUCAAGUUUUCAACCAAACAUACAUUCUCAAUUAGAGUUGAAGAAACUUUACCAACAUUUCCAAUUCCAAGGAUUUUUCCUUUUGAGUUGUCUCCAAAGGAUACGUCUCCACCAUUUUCAAUUUUGGUAAAGCUUGAGAACCAUGCAUAGUUUCCGGUCAUGUGCCUUGAACAACCGCUGUCCAAGUACCAUUUAUUCUUCUUCUUCUUCAAGCCCUACAAGAAAAAGUCUCAAGUUUUAGGUACCCAAAGCUUUUUGGGUCCUUGAGAGUUAGCAACGGUUCCUUUUGGAACCCAAAUGCACUUGACACCAUAAUAUGCAUUCCUUUUCACGGGACAUUUAAAUUUCAUGUGACCAUUUUGAUUACAAUAAUGACAUACAAUCUUAUGAUCAUUUGUGGAGGUAGCUUUAACAAAAUAAUUCUUAUAAUACUUUUGCUUCAAAUUUGGCUUAUAUCCAAGUCCUCCUUUAUCAAAAACACAUUUUUGUGAGUUAAGCAUAUUAUCCAACAUCUUUUGCCUAUUUGUAAAUUUCAAAACAAUUUCAUUUAAUUCAUUAUUCUUUUUCUUGAGCAAUUCGUUCUCAUUUUUCAACUCAUCUAUGUGUGAUUUCAAAUGCUCAUGUAAGAUGCUAGGUUUCUCAUUUGAUAAUGCAAUUUCAUCAUGCAAUGUUUUGUUUCCUACUUCUAGGCAUACAAUUCUUGCAUUUAGAGAUUCAUUUUCAUUUUUAAGCUUUGCCAUUUCCUUUUUAAGACAUACAUUCUUUUUACUAAUUUUCAUCAACUCAUUAUGCAAAUCUUGAAAAGCAUCAUAUAAUUCAUCAUAGGUAGGAUCACUUACCUCAUUGAGAUCAUCAUCUCCUCCUAUUGCCAUGAGUGUUAGGUUUGAUACUUCUUGCGAUCCUUCUUCAUCAUUUGAUUCUUCCUCACUAUCAUCCCAAGUUGCAACCAUUGCUUUCUUCUUGAGUUUGUUGAUAAGUGGGCACUCCGAUCUUAUAUGUCCAGGCUUCUUGCAUUCAUAGCAAGUGAUUGCCUCCUUCUUCUCCCUAUAGUUCUUGAAGUUUCUGAAAUUUCUUCGCUCUCCGGUUUUCUUGAAGAAUUUUCUGAACCUCCUUGCUAGCAUGGCUAGUUCUUCAUCAUCCGGUUCACUCUCCUCAUCACUCUCAUAUUUUGAAGCUUUGAGAGCAAUGCUUUUCUUCUUCUCCUCAUGUCCUCUUUCUGCAGCUAAAUCCUCUUCAUACGAAAUAAGAGAACCAAUUAAAUCAUCAAGAGGUAAAGUAUUUAAAUCUUUGGCCUCUUCAAUAGCGGUUCGUUUAGGUCUCCAUUCUUUUGGAAGAGACCUAAUGAUUUUCUUAACUUUCUCACUAUUUGAGAAGGUUUUCCCUAAGGCACCUAGGGUGUUCACUAUGUCCGUGAAUCUAGUAUACAUAGAAUACACAUUUUCAUUUUGUUCCAUUUGGAACAACUCAUAUUGACGAGUGUAUCUACUGAUUUUAGACUCUUUCACUUGAUUUGUCCCUUCAUAGACAACUUCAAGUUUGUUCCAUAUCUCUUGUGCACUUUCACAACUAGAUACUCUAUGGAAUUCUUUCUUAUCAAGGGCACAAAACAAAGCAUUCAUAGCCUUGGAGUUUAGAGACAUCUUUCUCUUUUCUAACUCACUCCAUUGACUCGAUGGUUUAGGAAUAUCAUCUCCUACUUCAUCUUUGAACGUAGGCAUGAAUGGACCAUCACAAACAACUUCCCAAAUUUCAUAAUCUAAGGCUUGCAAAUAAAUUCACAUUCUAGUUUUCCAAUAAGCAUAGUCAUUACCAUCGAAAAAUGGUGGUCUAGUUGUGGAUUGCCCUUCUCUAAAGGUUGAGUCAUUUAGGGUUGCCAUGGAUCUUUUACUCUAGACGAUUAAGUCUUAACAAGAGAACGAGGCUCUGAUACCAAUUGAAAUACAAGAAUGCAACCCAAGAGGGGGGGUGAAUUGGGAUUCUAAAAAAUUAUUCAAUUUAUUAAAGAAAAUCUUAAUGCAAUUAUAAAUCAAAUUCAAAGCAAUAACAAUUAAGAGAAUCACAAUAUAAAAAGAUAAGGGAAGAGGGAUUCAAACACCGAGAUUUUUACGUGGUUCGGCCAACCUCGCCUACGUCCACGCCUCCAAGCUUUCCGGGCUUGAGGAUUCCACUAAGCAAGCCUCCAAGGCUUCAAAUGCUUACACUUGACUUCCAAGGUGUCAAUGAACCUUUACAACAAGAGAUUAUCCCCAAUCUCUUAACCCAAGUGUAUCCCAACACUUACAAUCACUCAAAAUAAAAGAUUAUAAAUUGUUUUGCCUCUCACAAUAUAUAAGAUUACACAAUGAUGCUUAAUAUGUGAAUAGAUGAAGCAAGAAUAUGUUCUAAGCUCUAUGAAGAUUGUAUUCUCGAAUAUUAGCUCAAAUGGUCGUGUUGUGAUCAAUCUUCUUUGAAUUUGAAUGAGCUUAUUUAUAUUUGGAGCCGAAAAUCUAGCCGUUACAAACUGUCGGACAGAAAACGGUUCGCUGUUAACCAUAAACGGUUAACCGUUUAGGCUGGUCAAAGUUACCGUUGGGCCAGAUUUCAAAUAAACGGUUUGCCGUUUAGGGUUGCCCUUUCGCCGUUAACUUCCAGAGACCUGCAAAAUGAGUAUUUGUUAUCCGUUUACGCUAAACGGUUAAGGACUUGCGUGAAGUGGCUUCUCUGGACAUUAUCGGUUAACCGUUUGAUAUAAACGGUUCGCCGUUUGUCUCCAGUAACCUGCAAAACAAUUUAGCCUUAUCAGUUUUCGUUAAUCAGUGCCAGAGGAGGACAACCUUCAAUUCUGGACGUUAUCGGUUAACCGUUUAAAAUAAACGGUUCACCGUUAGGUUCCAGUAGCCUUCCCAUCUUGGGUGUUUUCCGGUAAGCAUAAACGGUUAGAGCUUAGGUAAUAUGUUGCUCUCUGGUGAUAAUCGGUUAACCGUUUAAAAUAAACGGUUCACCGUUAAGUUCCAGUAACCUUCCCAUCUUUUGUGUUUUCCGUUUUUCAUAAACGGUUAGAGGUUUAGGAAAUAUGUUGCUCUCUGGCUGUUAUCGGUUAACCGUUUAAUAAACGGUUCACCGUUUAUAACCAGAAUUACAUUUUAAACCAGUUUUUUAUUUUUGCAGAGAAUCUUUUUCUAAUUUUAAAGUCCAUCUUUUAUGAAGCAUGAAUUGAAUGAUUACUAAGGCUCUCGUUUAUUAAGAAAUAGCUCCAAUACUUUUAUAAAAAAUCAUUUAAAAUUUGUUAUCAUCAAAAUCAAUAUUAUUAACAUAUUUAUGUUAACAGAACUAUUACUCAUUUUCGUAAUAGUUGGGGGCUUAGGCCUAAGAUGCAAAGGUAUGCAUCCAACUUAAAUGACUAGUUUUUCACUAGUGAAUUUGGGACACACAACUCAAUAGAGAGAACACAGCACUCUCUCACAAAGCUUAGGCCCUGUUUGGCAUUAUUUUCUAAAUGAUGUUUUCAUGAAACAAAAAUGAGAAUGGAAAUGACGUUUUCAAAUUUGUUUUUAAAAUUUAAAGUGUGUUUUGUAUCAUUUUAAAAAAUAAUCUUGAAAAUGAAAAAAGUUAAAUACUUUCGAUAAGAAAAUCUUCAAGAAUUAUUAUUAGAAUAAUUUUCCUAAACUUAAAAUUGAGUAAUGAAUAAUUAUUUUUAUUAUUUAAUCAGUUUAUUUUUUUAAUUUUAAGAAUAAAUUAGGUGAUCCCAUUAUUAUUUUUUGUUUAAAGAAAAGUUAUAAACUCUACAUAUUUGAUUUAAUUAAUAUAUAAAAACAUAAAUAUUAUAAUGUAUAUAAAAAGAAAAGAUUAUUGUGGAGGAGGGAAAUCAAUUUUUUGGGAAUAAUAAUAAUAAUAAUGUUGAAAUUAUUAAUAUUUUUUGAGGUGUUGGAAGAAAAUUGUUCAUUUUGAAACUUAAUACUGUAUUGGAAAAUAAGGAAAACAAUAAAAAGCUGUUUUCCUAUUUCUUUUGUUAAAAAUGUAGAAUGAAUUUUAUAUUUUCAAAAAUAUGUUCAAAAAUGAUCUACCGAACAAGUAUUUAGUGUUUUCUGAAUGCAAAAAACAAGAAGCAGGAUUUGGAAACAAUACUAACGUACCUUUACUUGCUCUCAAACAAUGAUCUUGCAGAUACUUUAUUUUAUCGAAAUGAACCUCAAACAACUUUAUUUGCUUCUGGCUGUCAUUGACUCAUUGACCAUUAGCAAUAUAGCAUUAGGUAGUGCCCUCUCUUUUCUUUUUUGUCUUUGUCUUCUCCAAUUCGGGCUACAAAUGUUGCGAAGAAUUCCUUUUCCAUCUCCUCUCCAUUGUUUGGCUUCAAUAUUUUGGAGUUGAAUGGAAUCACAAUUUCUCACCUAUUGUCACACAAAGUUUCGAAUACAUUAUUAUAUAAAAGUGUAAGUUAAAAAAAAUUAGAAUAAAAUUUAAUAAUAUCAUAAAAAAAUUUAUAUUUUACAUCAUCCAAUUUUUGAUAAAAACUCAAGUAGAUAUCACAAGUAACGCAGCACCAACAUUUGAUUUUUUUCUACUUUUGUACCCAAUUUUGAGCCAGAGUUAAAGUAAAUAACUUUUAAUUAAUUAUGAAAAAAUAAUAAUAAUAUGAGAUCGACGGGUCCCAUCGAGAUUUUCUUAUCUCUUUAGUAAAUUUCCUGCAUAUUUAUUUUGCAUCAACCUUAACAUUGUAUGUGAAAAAUUUCUGCAUAUUUAUUUUGUCCUACGGAGACAAUAUUUUGAGAUUCAUAUACAAUUAACAUAAGGAAGCUUCCAAGAAAUUUCUGGGUGGACUUCAAAAUGAGAAAAGAAAUUAAAUUUGUUGGACCACCAUCAUGAAAUUUUAAAUUUUUUGGACCCCAAUCUGCCUUUGUCUUUUCAUCUGAUUGGAAGCCACUUGAUGACAGUGACUGAUCAUUGACCAUUUGGUGCUCUCUUCUCUUCGUCUUCUAAUUCAACUUACCCUCAUCAAAUUAAACGAUCAUUCUAGGCAUCUUCUUUGAAAUUAUUUGUUGCGACAAUCCCAUAAUAUACGGCAAAUAUCAAUCGCAUAAAGCAUACAAGGAUAAGUCAAUGUUUACGGGGAAAUAUAAAAAAAAAAAAUAUUUCACUAUAAAAAUAUAUAGUGAAAUAUUUGAUCAUUUCUCUAUCUACUCUAAAUAAAGACAAUCUGCCUUUGUCUUUUCAUCUGAUUGGAAGCCACUCGAUGACAUUGACUGAUCAUUGACCAUUUGGUGCUCUCUUCUCUUCGUCUUCUAAUUCAACUUACCCUCAUCAAAUUAAACGAUCAUUCUAGGCAUCUUCUUUGAAAUUAUUUGUUCCGACUAUCCCAUAAUAUACGGCAAAUAUCAAUCGCAUAAAGCAUACAAGGAUAAGUCAAUGUUUACGGGGAAAUAUAAAAAAAAAAAAAAAAAAAAAAAAUUCACUAUAAAAAUAUAUAGGGAAUACAAAUAUUGAAAUAUUUAUCACAUAAACCAAAUUCUUAAUAAAAUCAAGUUCUUAGAUCACUCGAAAACAUUUUAGUUAUCUCAAAGCUAAAGAAUUGCUUCUCAUAGAACACACGUUAAGUUUUCAAAUUGUUGGAGACUUUUCUAACACUGGCUCAUGGAUUCUGCAUCCAAUUUAUAGGCAAAUCUAGAUUUCAAAUGUCAAGAAUAACGGAAUCUAAUAGCUCGCAAUUAGAGCAUGCAAAUCUUGACUUUUAGAAUGCGAAAUCUCUGACUUUUAGGCCUGGUGAAAAAGUGAACAACGAACAUGGCUUGUUUCCAAUUGCACGAUAAAAAAAUUCUAGUGGACGGUAAUUAUUGAAACAUGAAUAACGAGAAAUAUUUUAGAUGGUGUAUUAAUUUAAAGAAAAAAACGUACUAAAAAAUCUAAGUCGUGUAUUGAUGCGCAUGGGAGUUGUUAAUAGACCCAAUUGUUGUAGUUAAUUAGAUGACUCAAUGUAUCGGCUUUGACUGUGAUCUGAGAGAUGAAAUUACAAAUAUAAAUGUGGGUAAUAAAAGAAAUUUUCUUGUCAAAAUCUUUAAAAAAUACGCUGAAAUGUCCGGGGAAAAUUUUUGUUUUUUUUUUCCCCUCAGACGUGUAGUUUGGGGCAAGCAAAGUUUUUUCUCUUCUAAUAUAAAUAGGAAAAUUAUGAUUUUUUGUCCUUCACAUCCAGAAAGGCUCAAGGAAAGUAAGUAAUCGUGAGUAUGAGUUUAUUGAAAAAUAUGCUGUGAGAUUAAUUGGUCUUUUAUUUUAUUUUUAUUUUUAUUAUUUUCUUUAGUGACGGUGGCGAAUAGUAUUUACACCUUUUUUUAAUAUUAAUUUUUAACCAUCAUUCACUAUUUCUUUUGUUUUUUUGGAGAAACGCGGUUCAACAGUAACCAUAAAGCUGCAUUUAAUUGUGGAGGGUGCACAAGAGUAAUAUAGAGUGUUUUAGUCUAUUCAGUGUGCAAAUAACCCAAUGUUAUAAGAGUUAUGAAUAUAUGUUGUAUGUAUUUGUAAUAUUUUUGUUUUGGGAGGGGCUUAUAUUAAUUUAAGAAUUCAACUUCAAUCUAGACAUCAAAAUAUGACCAUUUAUUUCGUUCAAUCAAUUAACCCACGAAUUUAUGGUCAGACCCUUGGAUUGUUUGUUGAUUGGAGAGGCUAAAAUUGAGUGGGAAAGUAAAGCAAUGAGGAAUAGAAAAGAUCUAUGGCAAAGAUCGAUGAACAGUGGGCAUGAUUUAAUAAUGAAUUACAGAUAUGUUGGCGUUACGGAAUAUGUUGUUGACAAAAUUAUGGAGUCUUGAUUUCUUGGGGAUGAAUUUUUUUUGUUUUUUCAAUUUAGGUUAGGAAUUGUUAUUUACUAGUAUAAUCGUUGAGGAAUGAGGGAAAAGAGUCGGUAUUCUUUCUCUCUUUCUUUAUUAAGUUUUAAUAUGUCAUCUAUGCUUUUUGUUUUCUGAAUCUUAUUUUAUUAAAGUUUUAUUAUCACAUAAUCAAUUAUCUCAUACCGUGGAUUGAAUUAAAUAAAUUUUCAAGUUUUCAUGCUUAGAUUACAAUCAAAUUCUUAAGUUAAAAUCCCCCUCCCGUUUGUUUUGUCUCUAAAAAAAAAACAUUGGUACUAAAAAAUAAAUAAUCUUAUUUUUAAUGAAAAUAUAAUAUUUUUAGUCUUCUAAUUUGUUUAUUUUAAAAGUAACUCAUUCACUGCUUUGUAAAAUCAAAAUCUCAUGUGGCAAUGAAUUUAUUUUACAAGAAGUAAUUUUAAAAAGUUUUUAUCAAACACUUAAAUUAAUCAUUAGCUUUUCAAUAUCACUUUUGAACAUCCCAACAACAAUCUCAAAUUGGUCAUAAAUUAUUUCGUUUUCUAGAUAAUAAAUGUAAAUUGAUGGAAAUAAUUUUUAUAUCAUAAAAGUAAAAAUAAUUUUAUUAUUUGUAUCAAAUUAAUAUUAUUUAGAUAUAUUUAUAUUUAAUUAUUAUGUUAGUAAAUUAUCAAAUAAUAUUUUUAUUCAUAAUAAGACAAAUUUAUGGUGUGUUUACUUCAUGGAAUGAGAAAUGGGAAUGAAGGAAUGAGAAUGAAACCCAUGUUUACUUGGCAAAAUGUAAGUUGGGAAUGGAAAUAAAAUGUGUGGGUCUCACAUAAUUUGGGAAUAAGGAAUGGGAAUCCCAUUUCCAUGGGGGGGUUGUGAAUGAAAAUGAGGGAAUAUGAAUGAAAUAUAUGUUUACUUUUGUAUCUCUCUAAUUUUUUCAUAUUUCCCAAAUUACCCUCAUUCAAAUCACAAUUAAUUUUAUUAUUUUAAAUGUCAUUAAUAAUAAUAAUUAUUAUUAUUAAAUUUUAUUAACUUUAUUAUUUUAGUUAUUAUUAAUUAUUUUUAUUAAUAUUAUCUAUAUUAACAAUAAAAAAUGAUAAAAAUAAUAAUUAAUAAAAAUAAUUAAUUUAUCAUUAUUAACAAUAUUAUCAUUAUUGUUGUUAUUAUUAAUAAUAAAAAUAAUAAUAACAAUAAUUAAUAAUAUCUAAAAUAAUAAAGUUAAUAAAAUUUAAUAAUAAUAAUGUAAUUUUCAUUAUCUAGAUACAUGUAUAAAUUAUAUUAUAAAAAUGAUAUUAAUUAAAAUAAUAAUAAAUGUUAAUAAUGAUAAUAUUAAUAAAAAUAAUAAUAACAAUAAUUAAUAGUAACUAAAAUAAUAAAUUUAAUAAAAUUUAAUAAUAAUAACAAUAAUAAUAAAUGUUAAUAAUGAUAAUAUUAAUAAAAAUAACAUUAAGAGUAAUUAAUAAUAACUAAAAUAAUAAAUUUAUUAAAAUAUAAUAAUAAUAAUAAAUAUUAAUAAUGAUAAUAUUAACAAAAAUAAUAAUAACAAUAAUUAAUAACAACUAAAAUAUUAUUAAUAUUAUUUUUAUUAAUAAUAAUAAUAACAACAAUAAUAAUGGUAAUUUUGUUAAUAAUUAUAAAUUAAUUAUUUUUAUUAAUUAUUAAUAUUAUGAAUAAUUUGGUAAAUUGAUUCUCAUUCUCAUUUAUUAUUCUAAUUUAUUUUGCCAAAUAAACAUAUCAAUGACAUUCCAGCACAUUUUUAUUUCUAUUUAUUUUUGUCAAAUAAACAUUAAAAUUUCAUUCUCAUUUCUUAUUUUCAUUCGAGUCCAUUCUUAUUUUUAUUUCUUAAAGUAAACGCACCAUUCGAGAAAAAUUAGAAGGUGUUUGCUAGGAAACUUAAGAGAAAAAUUAAUAUGGAACUGUCCCACCACUUGGGAUUCUUUCACGUAUUGUUUCAGUGGAUCUGAUUGAAUUUUAUUUUGAAAAAUCAAUUGAUAAUACUCGGAUGGUAUAGCCUGGUAGGGUGAUACUCUAAGCGGUCCCUUUAACCUUUUUAGUUGUCGUACACGAAUUAUUUCUUCACUUGAAAUAAAAGUCAACAAAGCUGCAUCUUCACUGAAAUUAUUGUCCACAGUGCUUCCUGGAAAAUGAGAUAAAGAUAAUUUUAAAGAAACUUUUAGGAAAUUUUCCGGGAAAUUUUUGCUUUUUCUCUUCAAACGUAAAGUUUGGGGGCAGAAAUGUUAAAGGUUUAAAGGUGGGUACAAUUAUUCUUCUUCUUGUUAUUUAAGCAUUUCCUUCCAUUCACAUUAGUCGGUCUUCAAUUAAUUUUAGAUAAGGAGAUGAAACUACCACAAAAUUAACUCCAAGUGAAGGACUACUAAAGUAGCCAUAUAUUCCACGCACAUUUUAUUCAAUUAAUUAAUUUAUGAUCACAUCCCACAUCAUAUUAUUAUUGUAUCAACUUGCACGGUCGUAACAAUUAACAUAAAUUUUCAUUAAAAUUAUUACAUUAAUUUUUAAAUAGAAAUAAGAAAAAAAUUCUUAAUACUGAAAAAACAUAAGAUGAAAUCGUGUGUCGUUUGUCACGAGUCAAACUUUUGAGAAAAAUACACGAAUGAAUGUGGCGCGUAAAAGGUGUUGAUGUACUAUCAACAUUUUCAUUUUAUUUUUAUUGAACUUUCAUAUAUUUUUUUUAUAAGCUGUCAUCAAUUAUUUGUUUCUUGCUCUGCGCGUGCACGACAAGACCUACUAUUUGCACCCUUUUAACCCUUUUAGUUGUCAUGCACUAUUUUCCUUCUUCACUUGAAAUGAAACAGUCUGUAAAGCUGCAUCUUCAGUGGAAUUCUUAUCCGCAGUGCUUGGAAAAUAAGACGAAAUUGAUUAUUAGUUGGGUCUUCCUAAGCUACAACUCAUGUAAUUUGAACUUUACAUGUUUCGCAUGAGUUGUAAAUUACAUAUUUUUACAUGUUUUGCAUGGAUUGUAAAUUAUAUGAAUUGUAAAUUAGCAAAACCCUUAUCACGAAACUUAAGUCUCAGGAAGAUUCCCCCUUCCAAGCAUAAUGUGUUCUUGAUUUCAUCUCGUCGAAAUUUCGAAGUUGGUAACUGCUUUUGGUAAUUAUAUCUUCAUCACUUGCAAUCUUUUAUUGCUUUUCCAAGUUAAUUUUUAGGGUAAGUAUCAUAAACCUCUGCUAGAUUUGAUUUAUUCACAGUUUCAUAGAUUGUAUUCGUAUAUUCUCAAAUACCUCCCUUAACGUUAGUAUAAUGUUUCUUUGAUUGUUUGUUGCAUAAUAAAUUAUCAAAAUACUCCAGCAAAAAUUAUUUUAUACUGAAAAUAAAGAAUUCUGUACCAACAUGUUUGAUUUGGCGCCAAGGGAUGUAAAUAUAAUUAAAAUACCAAAUCACCCCCCACUACUUUUUAAAAUGACUUUGAUGGAUGAAACAAACAAAAGAUUUGACUUAUGUCAAAUAUCAGCGAAUUCGAAAGGAAGCUUUUUUGCACUUUGCCUCAUUGCUCUGCUUUCUACAUCAAAUUUCUUUAAUCUUGGUGAAGAUUUUGGUGUCCCGAUUUGUGUCUCUCUCUCUAAUUUUCUAUUUUUCAUUUCAUGAGCACAUCUUCCCUUAAAAUUGUAGAGAUACUAUAUGAAAUCACCAAACCAUGAAAAUAUUAUAUUAGAGAAAAAAAACAAUUAUAACUUAAACAAUAUUUGUAAUCAGCAUUUGCACUUUCAUUCAUGGUUAAUUUCUUUUAUACAUAACGAAAGCUUGAUUAGGGAGAGAGAAUUUUAGUCGAUCCCAAAAGAUAUUCAUAAGAAGAAAAAAUUAUUGGCUAAAUUCAAGCCUUGAGCAAUAAUAAAUUUUUGGCCAAAUCGAAAUAUAUAACAACUUCAUGCAAUUUUAAUUCAGUUGAAUAAUAUAUGGGUUUUCAUGAUCACGUAUAAAUUUUCUCGCGCUAUCAAUUAUCGCGUCGCAGUCAGCUUUCUAUUAUCCAUUCUGCAUUCAAUCAACCUAUCAUAUUCUAUCUCUUCAAUUAAUUUAUUUCGUGAGCUUUGUCAAACUAAUCAAAUUAAUUCAUUAAUGGAGCAAAACCGUGAAGGAUUAUUUUUCAAACUUUUUAAGAAAAUAAACAUGUUAGCAACCAAUCAGGGGCAUGAAAAUGGUUGUGCAUAUAUAUCUUUGUUGACAAUUCCUCUUUGAAAUUAAUUGUCUUGUUUAGGUUAUAAUAGUAUUUUAUGUUAGAGUUAUUUUAUUAAUAAAAAAUUUAGUUAAAAAAGGGUCUAAUGAAUAUUUUGGAGGGUUUAAAUAACCUCACCUUUUUUUUUUUAUCAUUAAUAGAUGCUCUUAUGAUUUUAUCCUCACCAACCUAAUUUAUAUGAAAUAGUAUACUAUCGCUAGGGGAGAUAUUUAAAAAUAUGUGAAUAUAAUUUAUAAAUAGAGAAUACGCCAAAAAUUAGGGGAGGUUUCCGAUAAUUACCCUUUCAGUUACUCCUCCUCAAUCCGUCCUGGUGCAUGAACUUGAGGGAAGGGUCAGGUUCUGUGGUGGUGUUAAUAAAAAGAUAAAUUAUAUUGGAAAGUAAAUGGUGUUUGUUGGGAAAUUCACACCCUUUAACCUUUUUAGCUGUCAUUCGCUGUUUUCUGAUCAAAAUGAGUCAACAAAGUGAUUCAACUUCCAAGCACCGACAUAUUCCACAGUUCUGUGAUUCAAUUAAUGUUUUAUCUGAUCAAAAUCUAUCUAAUCAAUUGAACUGUUUCUGCUAUGGCUUCAGGUACCAGUACCACAAUUAACAUGUAAAUUAGAAGGAUCAUGCUAAGUUACGAUUUAUAAAAUGGGAUGUCCGAUAUACUUAGAUCCCACCAGUUAAUUCAUUGGGUUUAUUUUAGAGCAUCUCUAAAAAUUUUUAUAAAUUUUAUUUUUUAAAUAUUUAUUUACUUAUUUAUGUAGUAAAUAGAAGGGUGAAAAAAUAUGAUAUUUUUAAAAAAAAUUUUUUUAAAUAAAAUAAAAUAAAUAUUAUUUUAAUUAAAUAAUUAUUUUUUUUAAAAAAAAGUCAAUAGUAAUUAAAGUAUUUCUUUCUCUUUCUCUAAUAAAAAAUAAUAAAAUAUAAAUUGAUGAAAGAGAAAUCAACUCUCUAAAUUUAAAAAGUGAAAAUCAUUUCUUAUUUAAAAAACUUAAUUAGAAUAUCUUUUGAAACCUUAAAUAUUGAUGUGUCUCUUCAAAUAAAUAAUAAAAUCUUAUUUGAAAUUUUUUUUAAUGAUGCUCUUAAUUUUGCCUAACAUAAUUUGUACGGUAGGCGAGCCGAAGGUUUAAUAAAUCACGUGUUCAAUAAGAAGCGAUAAAAAAUUGUUAAACAUAAUUCUAUAUAUUAUGGAAGUGGUGUAAAUCGCGUAUUUAUAGAAAAAAGUCAUAUAUUGAUCUACAAGUGAGUGGUCAAUAGACACUCUGUAAUUAAUUAGAGGAGCUGUGAUUUGAGAUAUGAAUUUACAAAUGUAAAUUUCGGAGGAAAAAAAAAAUUUCUAGUCAAAAUCUUUGAAUACUGUAGUGAAUUGAAUGAAACUCGUCGCUUUUUCUGGGAAAUAUUUUAGUUUUUUGUCAUUGCCUCACAUUAGUCGGUCUUCAGUGGUCGUGAAGCAUCCAUAUGUCUCACGUGCAUUUCAUUCAAUUAAUUAAGUAUUAUCACAUCCCACAUUAUUGUUUCACCUUGCACCGUUAGAAUAACUAACAAGAAUCUUUAUUGAAAUUAUUGUGUCACUUUUAGAAAAGAGAUAGGAAAAAAGUUGAAUUCACAAGCCCAACUUAAUUAAAGUUUUACUGUCAUAUAAUCAAUUAUCUCAUACCUUAGAUUGAAUUAAAUAAAUUUUCAAAAUUUGAUGCUUAGAUUACAAUCAAAUUCUUAAGUUAAAAUAUCCCUUCCCGUUUGUAUUUUAUUUAAAAAAAUCGUUGGUACUGAAAAAUAAAUAAUCUUAUUAUUACUGAAAUAUAAUAGUUUUAGUCUUUUAAUUUGUUUAUUUUAAAAGUAACUCAUUCACUACUUUGCAAAAUUAAAAUCUCCUGUGGCAAUGAAUUUAUUUUACAAGAAGUAACUUUAAAAUUUUUACCAAACACUUAUAUUAAUCAUUAGCUUUUCAAUAUCACUUUUGAACAUCCCAAUAAGCAUAAACAACUAUUUCAUUUUUUAAAUAAUAAAUGCAAAAUGAUUGAAAUACUUUUUAUAUCGUAAAAGUAAAAAUAAUUUUAUUGUUUGUAUCAAAUUAAUAUUACUUAGAUAUAUUUAUAUUUAAUUAAAUUAUUAUAAAAUUAUUAAAUAAUAAAAUAAUCUUUUUAUUCAUAAUAAGACAAAUUUAGAGAAAAAUUAGAUGGUAUUCGUUAGGAAACUUUAGAGAAAAAUGAAUAUGGAACUGUCCCACCACUUGGGAUUCUUUCACAUAAUCUUUCAGUGGAUCUCAUUAAAUUUUAUUUUGAAAAAGGGUAAUUUUUAAAAACUCUCCUGAAGUUUGAGCUUGUUGUAAGUAGAUGGCGAGAAUUUGUUUAUUUGUAAAAAACCCCAUACCAUCAGUUAACUUUAACAUUGACCGUUAGUUGACUGUGCAAAGAUAAUAUUACCCUUAACAACAGUUUGUAGAUGGAAAUAACAAAAAAAAAAAUUAAAAUUGUUGGCUAUUUUACCCUCUUUAAAUUAUUGAUAUUUUCUUAAAGUUCCUACAAGAAAGAUAAAAUUAAAAAUUUGAAAAAUUCUCUUUAAAUUAUUGAUAUUUUCUUAAAGUUCCUACAAAAAAGAUAACAUUAAAAACUUGAAAAUGAAAUAAUUAUAAUUUUUACCUAUGAUAUUGUAAAUCUUUGGAAUUGACAAGGAUAAAAUUGUCAAAAAAUAGGAUUUGUUCUUUUCGCACCAAUAAUUUUAAUUUUUUUUAGUUAUUUUCGUUUACAAACUAUUAUUAAGGGUAAUAUUGUCUUUACAUAGUCAACUAACGGUCAAUGUUAAAGUUAACUGACGGUAGGGGGUUUUUUACAAAUAAACAGAUUUUCACCAUCUACUUGCAACAAGCCCAAACCUCAAUUGAUGGUAUAGCCUGGUAGGGUAAUACUCUAGGUGGUCCCUUUAGCGUUUUUAGUUGUCGUACACUUCACUUGAAAUAAUAGUCAAUAAAGCUGCAUCUUCACUGGAAUUAUUGUCUACAGUUCUUCCUGAAAAAUGAGAUAAAAAAUAAUUUUAUGAUAAAUUAUUUAAAUAUACUCAUAAGAAAUUAUUUUUUAUAAAAAAUGAGUGCUUAAAAUAACUGUUUAGAGUGCAAAUAAUAUCGUCUAAUUAAUUGAUAAUACUCCCAGCACAAAUACAAUUUCUUAAUAGGACACGUGUCAGUAGAAUUGAGCACAGAAGCGUGAUUGGAAAAGUCUAUGGUGGAUUGUUGGGAAACUUAUACCAUCUCCACCUUUUUAUAAGAAAUUAUUUUUAAUAAUAAUAAUAAUUUAUAUCAUGAGUAUUUUUAUGAUAAAUUUUUUAUAAAAAAUGAGUGCUUAAAAUAACUGUUUAGAGUGCAAAUAAUAUCGUCUAAUUAAUUGAUAAUACUCCCAGCACAAAUACAAUUUCUUAAUAGGACACGUGUCAGUAGAAUUGAGCACAGAAGCGUGAUUGGAAAAGUCUAUGGUGGAUUGUUGGGAAACUUAUACCCUCUCCACCUUUUUAUAAGAAAUUAUUUUUAAUAAUAAUAAUAAUUUAUAUCAUGAGUAUUUUUAUGAUAAAUUUUUUAUAAAAAAUGAGUGCUUAAAAUAACUGUUUAGAGUGCAAAUAAUAUCGUCUAAUUAAUUGAUAAUACUCCCAGCACAAAUACAAUUUCUUAAUAGGACACGUGUCAGUAGAAUUGAGCACAGAAGCGUGAUUGGAAAAGUCUAUGGUGGAUUGUUGGGAAACUUAUACCCUCUCCACCUUUUUAUAAGAAAUUAUUUUUAAUAAUAAUAAUAAUUUAUAUCAUGAGUAUUUUUAUGAUAAAUUUUUUAUAAAAAAUGAGUGCUUAAAAUAACUGUUUAGAGUGCAAAUAAUAUCGUCUAAUUAAUUGAUAAUACUCCCAGCACAAAUACAAUUUCUUAAUAGGACACAUGUCAGUAGAAUUGAGCACAGAAGCGUGAUUGGAAAAGUCUAUGGUGGAUUGUUGGGAAACUUAUACCCUCUCCACCUUUUUAUAAGAAAUUAUUUUUAAUAAUAAUAAUAAUUUAUAUCAUGAGUAUUUUUAUGAUAAAUUUUUUAUAAAAAAUGAGUGCUUAAAAUAACUGUUUAGAGUGCAAAUAAUAUCGUCUAAUUAAUUGAUAAUACUCCCAGCACAAAUACAAUUUCUUAAUAGGACACGUGUCAGUAGAAUUGAGCACAGAAGCGUGAUUGGAAAAGUCUAUGGUGGAUUGUUGGGAAACUUAUACCAUCUCCACCUUUUUAUAAGAAAUUAUUUUUAAUAAUAAUAAUAAUUUAUAUCAUGAGUAUUUUUAUGAUAAAUUUUUUAUAAAAAAUGAGUGCUUAAAAUAACUGUUUAGAGUGCAAAUAAUAUCGUCUAAUUAAUUGAUAAUACUCCCAGCACAAAUACAAUUUCUUAAUAGGACACGUGUCAGUAGAAUUGAGCACAGAAGCGUGAUUGGAAAAGUCUAUGGUGGAUUGUUGGGAAACUUAUACCCUCUCCACCUUUUUAUAAGAAAUUAUUUUUAAUAAUAAUAAUAAUUUAUAUCAUGAGUAUUUUUAUGAUAAAUUUUUUAUAAAAAAUGAGUGCUUAAAAUAACUGUUUAGAGUGCAAAUAAUAUCGUCUAAUUAAUUGAUAAUCCUCCCUGCACAAAUACAAUUUCUUAAUAGGGCAGAAUUGAACAUAGAAGCAUGAUUGGAAAAGUCUAUGGUGGAUUGUUGGGAAAUUUACACCCUCUCUACCUUUUUGGCUGCAUUCACUGUUUUCGUAUUUCUUCACUGGAUAUGAAAGUCAGGAAGAAAGCUGCACCUUCAGUGAAAUUAAUUUGUCCACAGUGCCUCGAAAAUGAGAUGAAAUUAAUAAUUAUUCCCGAAACUUUUUUGUAGGGGGGGUAGGAGGGAUAUAUUUUAUUUCAUAUAUUUACUUCUCCGUUUAAGAUCCUUCCACUACAAUCAAUGAUGCAACUUUUUGAACCAUUUCUCAAAUGGAAGGAUUUCAAAUAUCCCUUUCUUUUUUUUUUUUGGGACAGUUCAAUUGCUGUCUUAUUAAUUAUUAUUAUUAUAUAUCUCUCCUUUGAUUGUCUCACGUCUUUAUGAAAUAUUUUUAGAAAAGUAAAUACUAAAUAGCUUUUGUUCACAAAUUAUUUUUGUUAGAGCUCAUAAUUUAACCAAAACAAAAAAAGAGGACAAAAGCAGGACACUAUUGCCAAUAGUUAUGGUCCGACAAAUUUGAGCAUCGAUCAAGAAAGCAAAGGGUAGCCGGUAGCGUAUGAAAUUGCGCGUUGAAAUUAGGGUGCUUUUGGGGAAUUCUUUGACCUUUUUAACAUUUUUCUUUCAACACUUGAAUAGCGCGGAAUAAUUUCAAUUAAAAGUGAACAAAGCUGCAUUUUAAGUGAAAGUAUUGUCCACAGUGCUAAGGAAAUCAAAUGAGAUGAAAUUAUCAAGAAACUCCCUGGAGGGUUCCAAGCAUCGUUUUACUCUUGACAGAUACUACAGUCACUAACAUUUGCUCGAGAAAACUACGCCGAAUUUUCCGGGAAAUUUUUUGCAUUUUCUCUUCAAACGUAAAGUUUGGGGGCAGAAAAGUUAAAAAGUUUAAAGGCGGGUACAAUUAUUCUUCUUCUUGUUAUUUACGCAUGGCAUCCCAUUUAGAUUAGUCGGACUUCAAUUAAUUUUAGGAGAUGAAACUACCACGAAAUUAACUCCAAGUGAGGGCCUAGUAAUGCAGCCAUGUAUUCCAUGCGUACUUUUUGUAUUGUAAGCCCCUUGUAUUCUGUUUUAUUUUAUUAAAACUCUUACAGUACCAAUUCGUCCUUAUAAUUUUAAAUUCCCAAAAUACCCUCCAUUUAAUUAAAAAAUAUAAUAAUUAUUAAAUAAAUUAUAAUUAUAAUAAUUAUUUUAUUAUAACUAUAACUAUAAUUAUAAUUUUAAAUAUAUCAUUAUUAUUAUUAUUAGUAACAAGAAUAAAAAAUAUUAUAAUUAAUUAAUCUAUUAAUAAUAAUUAAUAAUAAAUUUUUCGUUAAAUUGUUAAUAAUAAUAAUUAAUGAUAAUUAUUAUUAUUAAUGAUUCAUUUUUUAAUAAUAAUAAUAAAAAUAAUAACAAUAAUUAAAAUACAAAAUAAUAAUUAUGAUAAAAAUUAAUUAAGGAUUUUAUAGUAAUUUUUUACAAUUUAACUCAUUCUGAUUUUCAUUAUAAGACAAAUAAAACACAUAAAUGCUAAUACGGCUCAUUAUAAUUACGAUUCAUGCAGUUGAAGUAAAUAAAUUUUUCUAAUUUCAAUUCCUCAUUUUGAUUCUAGCUAUUUCGAUUAUAACUCAUUAUGUUUCCAACUAAUUUCAAUUUCUGUUUAGUGAACGCACUAUAAAAUUAUAAGCUACUCUAUAAAAUUCAUAAUACUUAUGAAUAAAUUGUAAAUAAUAUAGAGUGGUCUAAUUACAAUAAUAAAAUGUAAAUAAUAUAAAAUUCUAAUUGAAUGAUAUCAUUAUUCAAAAAUUAAUUAUUAAUAAUAAUGAUCUAUUAUUAUUAUUAUUAACAAUUUAACGAAAAAAUUCUUAUUAAUUAUUGUUAAUAGAUUAAUUAAUUAUAAUACUUUUUAUUCUUGUUAAUAAUAAUAGUAAUAAUCUAUUUAAAAAUCAUAAUUAUAUUUAUAGUUAUAACAAAAUAAUAAUAAUAAUUAUAAUUCAUUUAAUAAUUGUUCUAUUUUUUAAUUAAAUGGAGGGUAUUUUGGGAAUUUAAAAUUAUAAGGGGCGAAUUGGUACUCUAAGGGUUUCAAUGAAAUAAAACAGAGUGCAAGGGGCUUAAAGAAAGUUUACAAUACAGAAAGUUGUAUAAUACUUAUGAAUAAAGUGUAUAUAAUAUAAAGUAUAGGGGCUGAAUGAAAUUUGACAGGGCAGCUGUAACUUACCUCAGCUGUAAGUUAGCCAAAACAAUGGAGUUAACUAAAGUGCAUUUGAAGUCCAUUAGGGAUAUUCUUCUAAUCUUCUCUUCAUUAUUUUGUUUUUGCUCUUUUUUUUUUAAUCCCAUUUUUAGACGAUAUAGAUGUAUAUGUUUGAUUAGUCCUUGUCGAUUAUAUAUACAUAUGUACUUUUGGACUGUCAUGGGACUGUACCAUUUGGAAAUAUCACAUUUUAUUUCCCGAUGCGAUAAAUUUUCUUCUCCAUUGAACGUUCUCUGGAUGCUAUUAACCAAAAAAUGCAACAUUUUGUUCUGUUUAUAAAUUGGGAUUAUUUGCUUCUGACUGUCAUUGACUCAUUGACCAUUUAGCAAUAUAGCGUUAGGUAGUAGUACCAGCUCUUUUUCUUCUUUUGUCUUUCUCUUCUCUUAUGUUAAACCAUUAUUCUAGGCAUCUUCAUUGGGAUUAUUCCAUCUGUACUUUACCAAAGGGGAAAAAAAAUUGUCACGAAACAGCGUGGAAGGUUCAGAGAAAAAUUUGCUUGUGUUUUCUUUUUGUUAAAUUCAAUUGGUUGAAUUUAUUUUUUAUUUUUUUAAAAUAGAAAACUAUAUUACAAAACUUCCCGGUAGGUUCCAAGGAACUAUCUAAUAAAGCAUCUUUAUAUAACCUCCAUAGACUCAGUCGCAUUAAAUUAUUUUCACAUCCCAAAUUUUCUCAUCUGAUCAAUUUUCUCAUCCACUGAACUGUCAUGGCUUCUUCUUCUUUUUGUCCACCUCGAAACGCUAAGAAGAUGUAUGAUGUUUUUCUGAGUUUCAGAGGAGAGGACACCCGUGACAACUUUACUAGCAUUCUUUACUAUGUUUUGUCUCUGAAAAGUAUCAAAACUUUCAUUGAUGACCAACUUAUCAGAGGAGAGAACAUUUCUCAUUCUCUUCUUGAUACAAUUGAAGCAUCGAGCAUCUCAAUUAUCAUUUUCUCACAAAGGUAUGCUUCUUCUAGAUGGUGUCUCGAUGAACUUUUGAAGAUCCUCGAAUGCAAGCAUAAUUAUGGACAGAUUGUGAUUCCAGUUUUCUAUCACGUUGAUCCAUCACAUGUGAGAUCGCAAAGCCAGGAUUCUUCUUUUGGGAAGUAUUUUAGUGAGCUUGAAAAAUGUUAUCCAGAGAAGAUGCAAAGAUGGAAGAAUGCUUUGACCGAAGCAGCCAACCUCUCGUUUACAUAUAUUGAACUAUAUAAUUGCUGUUAUUUUUUUACCAGGUCUGAAUCUAAACUUAUUGAGGAAAUUGCCAAUGACGUUUUGAAGAGGCUAGAUGCGACUUUUCAAAGUAAAAACAAAGGCUUGGUUGGAGUUGAAUGCCCCAUUGAAGAAAUUGAAUCAUUAUUACGCGUUGGGUCUGAGGGUGUUUGCAAACUAGGGAUUUGGGGCAUCGGUGGUAUAGGCAAGACAACAAUCGCUGGUGCUGUUUUUAACAAAAUCUCUAGACAUUUUGAAGGUUCUUACUUUGCGCUUAAUGUUAGAGAUGCAGAAGAAACUGGCGGAAUAAAGGACUUACAAAAGGAACUUCUGUCCAAGUUAUUGAAUGAUGGAAAUGUGAGGAACAUCGAGUUUGAACUCUACAGACUUGCUCGCAAGAAGGUUCUAAUUGUUUUUGAUGAUGUGACUCAUCCAGGACAAAUAGAAUCAUUAAUUGGAUGCCUUGAUCAGUUAGCUUCAGGGAGUCGAGUGAUGAUAACAACAAGGGAUAAACAAGUUCUUGAAAAUUGUUGGGUCAAUCAAAUAUAUCCGAUGAAGGAAUUAGUAGAUGCUGAUGCUCAUAAGCUUUUCUAUCAGUGUGCUUUUAGAGGAGGCUAUCUCGACGCAAGUUACACAGAGGUCACAGCCAAGGCAAUAAAAUAUGCGCACGGAGUUCCUUUAGCUCUUAAAGUUUUGGGUCGCCAUCUAUGCGGAAGGAGCAAAGAGGUAUGGGAAAGUGCAAUGAGAAAACUGGAAAUAGUUCCUCACAUGGAUAUCCAAAAGGUGUUAAAAAUCAGUUAUGAUAGCUUGGAUGACUCUCAGAAGAAUGUUUUUCUAGAUAUUGCAUGUUUCUUCGAAGGAGAGCAUAGAGAUGUGGUGAUAAGCUUUUUUGAUGCCAGUGGCUUCCAAGCUCAAAUAGAGUUAAGUGUUCUUGAAGAUAAGUCCCUCAUAACUUUAGACAACUUUCACCGGAUAAGAAUGCAUGACUUGCUACGAGAUAUGGGAAGAGAAAUUGUUCGAAAUGAAUCUUUCGAUCAUCCAGGAAAGCGCAGUAGGUUGUGCAAUCAUAAUGAUAUUUAUGAAGUUUUGAAGAAAAAUACGGUAAGCAAUAAUAACUUUUCAAUUGUAUCUUGUUUAUGUUACAUUUAUAUUAGUAGUUUGUCUGAAUUUUUCUUUUUGAAUAAGAAUAGCAUUAAUACAGCUUAAAAUUAAUUGAAAAAUAAUAUUAAAAAAUUGGUAAAAUAAAAUAGAUAGAUCCGAUGUUUCCCCAUCUCAGUUUGAAACAUGCCUCUAAAAUCCCCAGCAAACUAGCGCCUUCGGAGAGAGACACCCCCCCUCCAAAAAAAAAAAACACUUCAAUCUUAUUGCAUUUCCUUUUCAACUCUGCCCCUUUCCUUAUUUGUCACUAAAAAAAAUUGAUUGAAUUAAUUUUACAGUUUACAUAUUAAGCAUUUUCUUGAAUUUUCUAUUUUACACGUCCUAAAAGCCUUACCCAAAUAGUUUAUUAUAAAGUGAUUGUAAUAUCUCUAUUUGGGUUUGACGGCUUAAAAAUAAUUGUUCAUUUGUUUGCUUCAAUUAUAUACCAACUUAUGAUCUCUUAUUUGAUUGUUAGGGAACUGAAGCAAUCAAGGGCAUCUCUUUAGAUAUGGAUAAAGUCAAUAGUGAGAUACAAAUAAAUACUUGUACUUUCUCAAAGAUGACUAGAUUGAGAGUCUUAAAAUUCUAUGGAUAUGAGAACAAAUGUACGGUGUCUUCUUUAGUGGGUGUGCCAUUUACUGAGGUGAGGUAUUUCGAGUGGCAUCAAUUUCCAUUGAAAACGUUGAAUAUAUUACAUUGGAAGAAUCUUGUUUCACUUAUCAUGCCAGGCAGCAAAGUUAAACAACUUUGGGAUGACGUUCAGGUAUAUAUUUAUUUGAAAUUCUUUUAGUAAUAAAUUCUAAAUACAAUUGAUGCUAUAAUAAAUAUAUGUGAUGGCAUCUCUUUAUUUAUAGAGAUAACAACAACAACAACAAUAAUAAUAAUAAUAAUAAUAAUUUAUUUUGGGGCGCAGGAUCUUGUUAACUUAAAAGAAAUAGACAUCAGUGGAUCCGAGUCAUUAACGAAACUCCCGGACUUGUCACGGGCCAAAAAUCUUGAGAUUCUGGAGUUAGAAGGCUGUUUAAGUUUGAUGGAGACUCACCCAUCUAUUCAAUAUCUAAAUAAACUUGAAUUUCUUGGUCUAGGUAAUUGCAAAAGCCUGACGAGUCUUCCAACUAGCAUUCAUUCGAAAUAUAUCAAGGAAAUUAGUCUUUGGGGUUGCUCAAAUUUGAAGAACUUCCCAGAGAUCACAUCUUGUCAAACUUCUUUUUUAGAUUUAGGAGAAGUUGGAAUCAAAGAACUGCCCUCAUCCAUUGAGUGCCAGUCCAAUCUGAAACGACUACUUAUUACGGAUUGUUCAGAGCUUGAGAGCAUCUCGAGUAGCAUAAUUAAGUUGAAGUCUCUUAAAUCUAUUGAAAUCUGUAAUUGUUCAAAUUUUAAGAGGUUUCUAGAGAUCCCAUCUUGUAAUGUAGAUGGAGGUGCUGGAAUUGAGCAACUACACUUAUGUGUGUUGGUAUUGAAAGAAUGUCCAAAUAUUGAGAGUCUCCCAAGCAGCCUGUGUAUUCUCAAAUCUCUGACGUCUCUUUGAAUCAUUGAUUGCCAAAACUUCAAGAGAUUGCCUGAUGAGCUUGGAAAUUUAGAAGCCUUGAAGAAGUUGAUCGUUAAUGGAACUGCCAUAAGAGAAGUACCAGAAAGCCUCGGUCAGUUAGCCAUAUUACAGCGGUUGAAAUUGACUAACUGUUCAGAGCUUGAGAGCAUCUCGAGUAGCAUAUUUAAGUUGAAGUCUCUUCAAUUUAUUGAAAUCUCUAAUUGUUCAAAUUUUAAGAGGUUUCUAGAGAUCCCAUCUUGUAAUGUAGAUGGAGGUGCUGGAAUUGAGCAACUACACUCAUGUGUGUUGGUAUUGAAAGAAUGUCCAAAUAUUGAGAGUCUCCCAAGCAGCCUGUGUAUGCUCAAAUCUCUGACAUCUCUUGAAAUCAUUGAUUGCCAAAACUUAAAGAGAUUGCCUGGUGAGCUUGGAAAUUUCGAAGCCUUGAAGAUGUUGAUCGUUAAUGGAACUGCUAUAAGAGAAGUACCAGAAAGCCUUAGUUACUCCUAUUAGUAAAAUUGGACCUAUCUAGCAAUAAUUUGCAGUGAAUACCAGAAAGCCUUGGUCGGUUAUCCUCGCUAAAACGUUUGGUACUGUCUAAUAACAAUUUGGGUAGAUUACCAGAAAGCCUCAAUCAGUUAUCUUCACUAGAAUAUUUGCAACUAUCCGAAAACAGUUUGGAGGGAAUACCAGAAUACCUGAGGAGUCUUCCAAGUAAGUUGACAUCACUCAAUUUAUCUGUUGAGUUGAGAAAUUGUUUGAAAUUGGACCCGAAUGAGCUCAGUGAAAUCGUCAAAGAUCAGUGGAUGAAGCAGGUGUGUCUCUCAACUCACUCCUUUCAUUCUAUUUUCUUUUUCUUUUUACUUUAAAUCAAGUUAUCAUUAUUUUUCAAAAAUUAAUAAUUUUUUAUUUUUGUGUUGCAGUCGUUUGAUGGUAACAUUGGGAUUACUAAAAGUAUGUAUUUCCCUGGGAAUGAAAUUCCAAAGUGGUUUAGGUAUCAAAGUAUGGGAUCUUCUGUAACCUUGAAAACGCCACCAGCAGAUUUCUUCAAUAAUAAAAUAUCAGUAGGCUUUGCUUUUUGUGCUGUUGUGGCAUUUCCUGCCUCAGAGUGGUUUGAGGAUCAAAGAGUGAAGUCUGCAGUGUGCUGUGGUUGGAAACGCAAAUCCAAAUACUAUCCCUACCGUCAGUCUUUGGGGACAAUUAGUUAUGUUGAGUCAGAUCACGUGUUUUUGGGAUCUUAUUUAUUCUGUAGUGAGGAUUUAAGUAAGAGAGAUGACGAGGUCUAUAUUGAUGAGGUCUCUUUCGACAUUUCGCCUAGUUUUGGUUGUAAAGUGAAACAAUGUGGGAUUCAUUUUGUGCACGCUCAAGAUUCUACGGAAUCAAGAGAAGAGGAAGAGGAACCACACACCAAAAGACUGAAAUGUUCUUGAACUCCAAAGCAGCUGGUACUCUUUGGCACGAAAAUCAAUCUGUAGACCUUGUUUUUGUCUUCAUUUUAUAUAUGCGUUUUUCAAAUACGUUCGUUUAUGUAAAAUUUAUUAAUUGUUUGUUGUUGGAUGGAUGAAUCAAUAAAUUCAAAAUAAAUGGUAAUUAACCGAGGAUGUAGAUCUAUGAGUUCUCUCUUUGUUUUAUCUUUAAUUUGUGUUCGGUUCAUGUCUGGAAUAUCCCAAAAAUUACAUAUCCAAUUACUAACUAAAAAUGCGCUGAUUAGAUUAAAGAUUAUUUUAGUUAUUCUUACUUUUUCAGUUUUCAAACUUUAUAAGAAUAAAAUCGUUUUAUUAAGUUUUGAGAUUUGAAUUUAAACCAAAAUACAAAUUUACUCUUGAGGAUUAAAUUUACCAUAUUUUAAAUUAAUGACAAGAUGUAUGAUGUGAAAAUUACUAUUCCUAUGAGUAGUGAUCUCAGCAAGACAGUAAAGUACAUAUUUACUGAGUCAUCAUAUAGUACCGCGCUGUAUGUAAUACAGCAGCUUCAACAGUGAAAAAAAAAUUUGAACAACCGGUAUUUUACCGGUUGUUCAUCUAAAAUUUGUAAAAAAAUUAUUUCUAAUGUGAAAAAAAUGAGGAAAUUUAUAAACAAUUAAUAUUAAAAAGAUUUGAGUGAGAAAAAUAUUUUUAAUUUAAAAGAAAGUUAAAAAAAGAGUAAAAUAAUCAUGUUCCAAUUUUUUUGGUUAAAUAUCAAUAUAUUAGGUGGACGUUUCAAAUUAAUUUUACAUGUCCCUAAUUUUCGUUAAACUUUCUCACUAAUUGGUUUAUUUGUUUCCACUUCUCAAUCCACUAGUUUUAUGUAUAGUAUUCCUACUAAAUUCGUUAAAUGCAAAUUUUUUAGGUUAGAUUCCAAGUAAAUUAAUUUCUCGUUGAAUUAGUUCCUAAAUUUGGUUACACUUUCUCCCUUUUUGGUUUAUAUGUUUCAACUAUUAUUUCACAAAUUUUACUUUCAAUAUUCCAAUUUGCUUGGUAAGAUUUCAUUUAUUUGGGUUAAAUACCGAAAUGAUUUUUUUUUGUUAAACAAGUUCCCAAUUUUGGUUAAACUUUUUCAUAUUUAGUUUCACAUGUUUCAAAUUAUUAGUCCACUAGUUUUGUGUUAGGUAUUCCUACUAAGUUCGUUCAAUACUAAUAUUUUGGGUUAGAUUCCAAGUAAUUUUCAUUUCCCGUUGGAUGAGUUACUAAUUUUCGUUAGAUUUUCUCGCAUAUUGGUUCAAAUGUUUCAUCUAAUUAUUCCUCUAGUUUUGCAUUGAAUAUUCCUAUUAACUUGGACAGAUUCCAAUUAUUUGGGUUAAGUACCGAAUUUAUUUUUCGUAAUUUUAUUUUUGGUUAAAUAAGUCCCUAAUUUUGGUUAUAUUUUCUCCCUUGUGGGGUUAUAUUUUCACUAGUUUUGUGUUCAAUAUUCCAAUUAACUUGGUAAGAUUUCAUUUAUUUGGGUUAAAUACUGAAAUAAUUUUUUUUUGUUAAAUUAGUUCCCAAUUUUGGUUAAGCUUUUUCGUAUUUAGGUUCACAUGUUUCAAAUUAUUAGUCCACUAGUUUUGUGUUAGGUAUUUCCACUAAGUUCGUUUAAUACCAAUAUUUUGGGUUAGAUUCCAAGUAAUUUUCAUUUCCCGUUGGAUGAGUUCCUAAUUUUCAUUAGAUUUUCUCGUUUAUUGGUUCAAAUGUUUCAUCUAAUUAUUCCUCUAGUUUUGUGUUGAAUAUUCUCAUUAACUUGGACAGAUUCCAAUUAUUUGGGUUAAGUACUGAAUUUAUUUUUCGUAAUUUUAUUUUUGGUUAAGUAGGUUCCUAAUUUUAGUUAUACUUUCUUCCUUGUGGGUUUAUACGUUUCAAUUAUUAUUCCACUAGUUUUGUGUUCAAUAUUCCAAUUAAUUUGAUAAGAUUUCAUUUAUUUGGGUUAAAUACCGAAAUAAAUUUUUUUUGUAAAUUAGUUCCCAAUUUUGGUUAAGUUUUUUCAUAUUUAGGUUCAUAUGUUUCAAAUUAUUAGUCCACUAGUUUUGUGUUAGGUAUUCCUACUAAGUUCAUUCAAUACCAAUAUUUUGGGUUAGAUUCUAAGUAAUUUUCAUUUCCCGUUGGAUGAGUUCCUAAUUUUCGUUAGAUUUUCUCGCUUAUUGGUUCAAAUGUUUCAUCUAAUUAUUCCUCUAGUUUUGCGUUGAAUAUUCCCAUUAACUUGAACAGAUUCCAAUUAUUUGGGUUAAGUACCGAAUUUAUUUUUUGUAAUUUUAUUUUUGGUUAAAUAAGUCCCUAAUUUUGGUUAUAUUUUCUCCCUUGUGGAGUUAUAUGUUUCAAUUAUAAUUUCACUAGUUUUGUGUUCAAUAUUCCAAUUAACUUGGUAAGAUUUCAUUUAUUUGGGUUAAAUACCGAAAUAAUUUUUUUUGUUAAAUUAGUUCCCAAUUUUGGUUAAGCUUUUUCAUAUUUAGGUUCAUAUGUUUCAAAUUAUUAGUCCAUUAGUUUUAUGUUAGGUAUUCCUACAAAGUUCGUUAAAUACCAAUAUUUUGGAUUAGAUUCCAAUUAAUUUUCAUUUCCCGUUGGAUAAGUUCCUAAUUUUCGUUUGAUUUUCUCGCUUAUUGGUUCAAAUGUUUCAUCUAAUUAUUCCUCUAGUUUUGUGUUGAACAUUCCCAUUAACUUGGACAAAUUCCAAUUAUUUGGGUUAAGUACCGAAUUUAUUUUUCAUAAUUUUAUUUUUGGUUAAGUAGGUUCCUAAUUUGGGUUAUAUUUUCUCAUAUUUGGUUUUAUAUGUUUCAACUAUUAUUUCACUAGUUUUGCGUUCAAUAUUCCAAUUAAUUUGGUGAAAUUUCAGUUAUUUAUGUUAAAUAUCAAAAUUACUUGUAUUACCGGAAACAAUAAUUUUAAUAAGUUGAAUUAUGUUUGAACCCUUACUAUUUUGUAAAAUAUCAACUUACCAUAUAAUACUAAAAAAAUUUCAUUGUAACACUUAAUCUUUUCCAAUAUUUUGGGUCCUUAACCUAAUUCCCUUUUAUAUAUAUCAUGAGAUCUCUUGAACUUGAUUGUAUAUAUACUUGAGCUUUUAGUCUCUAUACAUAUUUAUUCUCAUUUUAUCAUUUUAGUUGAUUAUUUUUAGUUAUUGUUAAAAUAAAUUAAUGCUUUUAUUUUCAUCUCUCUUUACUUUUUAAAAUAAUUUUUUAAUUUUUCAAAACUUCGACAGCAAAUAAAAAAUAACAUGUAAGAGCGCAUGGAAUUGCUAUGCUUCUCCAAAAAAUUAUUUUUAAAAAUUAUGACGGCAUAAGUUAUAAAAAAUAUUUAAGCUAACAAAAAUUGAAACUUUCUUAAUCUAUUUGUGUUGAAUUUUUUUUUUUUUUUUUGGAAUCAAUUGACUUCAGGAGAUUUCUUGAACUUGAAAUUAUUUAUACUUAACCUUUGAUCUUUAUAAAUGUUAUGCCCAUUUUAUAAUUCAAUUAAUUAUAUUUAUUUAUCUUUAAACUAAAAUAAAUCAAGAAUUAAGAUUUUUUUAUUCAAAUUAAAUUUUUACCACUAUGUUUUCUUUUCAAAUUAUUUUUCUUAAUUUCUUAUUACUUCAACCAAAAAUUUAUGCUAUUAAUUAUAAAUAUUAAUAUAUUAUACUUGUAUUAUUAUCACUAUUAUUAUUUUUUUUACUAUUACUAAAAGCUUAAUAUUUUUACUAUCUUGCCCCAUGAGAUUUGUUAACAAUUUUUUUUUUAAUAAUGAGUAUCCUUCUUUUUUGUUUUUAAGUAUGGAUAUAAUUUUUAAUUUAUAUAAUAAGUUCUUAAAUUUUCAAGACUUAACUAAAAUAAUUUUUAAGAGUUUGUUAUGACUAAUAUGGUUAUGAAAAUUUAUUACUAUGGUAGCAACACUUUAUACCAUACCAUUUUAUAUUUAUUACUAUACCAAAAUUUGUUUAUUUAUUUUAUGAUUAUCCCAUGAACUGUGAAAAUUAACUUUUAUAUUAAAAUUGAAAAUUUUUAAAUUAGUAUUACAUUGAUCCAAUUCUACUAAGCCACAAUUUAUUUAUCUUUAACGAAUGCUUUAAACACAGUAAACGCAAUUCAAAUUCAAAAAUAUUUUGUAAAAUAAAAAAAUAAAAAUCAAUGCAAUCAAGAAAGAAGAAAAUAUAUUAAACAUUAAUUUUUCUUCCUAAAUUAAAUAUUGAAAAGAUAUUUUUCUCUAGUAGGUAAAUUCAACACCGUAAUUUAACAAUAAUGUCGACUUUUAUUUUUAAACUAUUUUUUUAUUACUCCGAAUUGCAAUACAUUUUUAUAGGUCAUAAAAAUUAAUAACCAAUAAUGAAAGUAUCUUUAUUUAUUCAAUAUCAAUAUUCAUUACUUCAGGAGAUAUGAUCAUAAAUUUGAUUAUCCCUAGUACAAACAAAAUAAGUUAAUCAUUUUUCACGACUUAAACAAAAAUUAUCUUAGUAGCUAAAAUUAUUUUUAAAAGCUUAAUAUUUGGAUGGAUAUUCCAACUAAUAUGGUGUUACAACAUAACACUGUGAUAUAAGAAACAACAUUCACUUAUAUGAUUUUGGUCUGCACUUAAUAAUGGAGUUUCACAUUAAUAAUUUCACUCAAAUUCGAAGAGUACAAUUGAACCUUUAGAUAUACUAAAAAGUAAAAAAAAUAAUACACAAAAAUCUCUCAUUUCAACUUUUCAAUGCUUGCUUGCUCUUUAAAGAUGGAGAAAUCAUAGAGUACCUGUAGAAUAAGAACUCAAUUUAUAGAUUAAAAGAAGUUAAAGAGAAUUGCUCAAUUGGAGGAUGAAUUAAACAAAAAUUAAGUUCAUUUACAACUGAAUUAGAUGGUAGCCAAUUCUUGUUCAUGACUCAACUAUAUAGCAUUAGUUCAUUCAAAAACUUAUAAUUUUUAACAUUAUUUUUUUUAAUUAAGUAUCAUUCUCGUUUAAAUAUCCCUAUAAUUUUUCAUUUACCAAAAUAAGUUAUUCAAUUUUUAGGACUUAACUAGAAAUACAAUUAUUUAGGACUCAACUAAAAGAGUUCUUCAAUUUUUAUCAUGACUAAUAUGGCAUUAAAAAAAUAUCUUGUUGCAAUGCCUGCCCAUAUUUUUAACUCUGGUUAGUGAGAGUAAAACAAUUUCAAAUAAUAAAAUUCUUAUUUUUACACCUAUGAAUAAAGAAAUAAAACCGCACCUGCUCAGCUGUAAAUUCCUCGGGCGCAUCUGAGUCAAAUGAAAAUUUAUAUUGUAAGCAUGCGAGUCAGUCGGGCGUCAGCGGCUUUAUUGUGAUGGGUGUGGCGGCAGCCAGCAGCUUCAAAUUUGCGAGAGAAGGAACCCAGAUGAAUGGGUUAGGCUGUGGCUAUGUUAAAAGUGUUAGGGUCUGUUCUGUUUUGUGGCUUUAGAAAAUUGGGAAUUUAGGGAUCGGGUUUGGGUUUGGGUGUUUGGCUUUGAACAAUUUAUGCUUUUUUCUUUCAAUUAUAAGGUAUAACCCGAUUAGCUUCAGUAAAUUCAAUCUCCAACCUUCUUCGUGCUUUGGUAGCGCAAGAGAUGAUGACUCUUUUAAACGGUCAACGACAGCCUUUGAUUGACCUCCACUUGAUUUAGCUCACAGGUCUAGGAUUUGCGUGCAGAGAAAGUGAGAUACGGAAACAGCUAGUGGCUGAUACAUAGGACCGUAAUGGGCGUAGGAAUGAAGACGGCGGCAACUGCUCGCUUGUUGGCUUGUGAGGGUUUGACGUGAGUGAGCGUCUUUGAUGGUUUAAGGAGAGCGGCUAGGGUUUCCAAAGAAAUGUCAUAAUGUGAGUAUUUAUAUUAUCAGUAGAAAUUGGAAAAAAAAAUAUGAAAGUUUUCAAAUUAAUAAAAAAGAUAAUAAAAGUUUGAUGAAUAAUAAAACUUCCAUAGAUAGAUUUGUUGUGACCAUUCAAAAUCUCAAAAUUCAUUUUUGUAAUUUGGUAAAUAAUAUUUUCAUUUUUACCUGCCAAGAUAAAACUUUUUUAUGUGAAAAUUUUACAUAAUACAUACAUACAUACAUACAUACAUACAUAUAUAUAUAUAUAUAUAUGUGUGUGUGUGUGUGUGUGUGUGUGUGUGUGUGUGUGUGUGUGUGUGUGUGUGUGUCUAUAUGUAUAUAUAUGUAUAUAUUUUGUUGAUAUAAAAUUAAUUAUUUACAACUAUAUUAAUAAUUUAAUAUAGAUGAGAUACACUACUAUGUAAAUAUAUUAAUAAUCAAAUUAUGGCUAUUAGUUAAUUUAGUUGUAAAUCAUUUGAGUUCAAAACAAAACAAUUGAGGUUUGAAUCUAUGGGCACAAAUUUAGUUGUUAUUAAGCUAUAUUGAAAAACAAUCAUAUUCAAAUUCAAUUCCUUUUACCACUAGAAUAAAAUUAUAUAUAUAUAAUUUAGUUAGAAGUAUAACGAAAACAUUUUUCACUGCACAUAAGAUAAUAUUAUAACAAGUUCAACAUGCAUAAAUAAAAAUAGAUUCAUAAGAUUAUAUUUCUCUCCAAUAGAAUAGAGAGUUUCAAAAGUAAAUUUAGUCAAACAUACUACUUAAUAUGAAAAUGGAUAUAUAAUUUUUAUAUUUUUAUAUGGUUUUAUAUAAUUUUAUUAUUUUUAGUUGUUAUAUAAAUUAACUUAAUUUUAGAAAAAUAUGGAUAUAAAUGUAAGAUUGAACAAAUUUUGUGAUAAUUGUGCAUCAUUCAAUAUAAAAAAUUACAAAUCAUGUAACUAUCUAGUGAGUGCAGUAUUACUCAAAUAAUUUGAUUUAAUUUAGAAAUAUAUUUGCCAUGCUUAAAUUAUUAUAUUGUAAGUACAAUAUAAUAUAACAUUAUUCAAUAUUAGUUGCAUUUAAAUUGUAAUUACCCAUGUCAUGUACCAAUAUGAAUUUGAUUAAUGUUUAACAAAAAAAUUAUUAUAGCAAAAAAGAUUAAAUAAAGUAAUUAAUUUACAUAAGUUUGUAUGAAUUAAUUUGCAUAAGAGAUUGUUUGUGAGUUUUAUUUAAAAAUAUCAAAUAUUAGAUGCUUUAUAUUUGUGGUAUAUAUAAAACAUAUUAAUGUUAGCCUCUAAUAAUAACAACAAUAUUUGAGGGGUAAUUACAUGUUUGGAAUCAUAAUAAUUCGAUAGUUGGAUGAACAUUACCAUCAUUUUAGUAGGUAGAGAUUUAAAUCCCUAUAUGUGUAUCAUGAGAUAGUAAGAUUGAUUUCUUCCAAAUAUUUAGAAAUAAAUUGAUUUCAUUAUGUGUUUAGAUAUUUAGAUUGUAAUGCAAUUAAAGAUGAUAAAAUUGUUUUGAUAGUUUCUUAAGAAAAAUAUCAUUACAUUUAUAACAUAAUAAUAAAAAUAGCUUAAUUAAUAUAUAAUUUAUUUUAAUUUAUUAUAUUUAAAUAUUAUUCUCAUUAGUACAUAAGUUACGUUUUUUAAAGCAAAAUAUCAUUUAAUUUAUAACAUAAUAUUAAAAAAUAAUAUAAUUAUAGUUUUAAAUAUAGUAGUUUAAUUAAUUUUAUUUAAUUAUAUUUUUUCAUUAGUACAUAGCUUAAAUAUAUUAACUAUAUUUUCCAUGAAUUAAAAGAAAAAAGAAGUAUUUUCAUUUUUUAAAGUUGAGGGGUUCUUUGAUAGUUUAAUAGUUUUGAAUUGCUUUUCUUAAUAUUUACCUAAAAUGAGGGAUCUGUGUGAUAGUUACCUUUUAAUUUUGACCUCUUUAACCAAUUAAAACGAUGGUACCGGUGGCCGGUUACCUGCUGAAUUAAAAAAAUAAAAAAAUGCGGCUGUACGAGAUACAGCGGCUGUAUUUUAAGCGGACCCAUACUACUUGUGAUAAAUUACAGGCUCUGUUUAACAUAUAAAAAUAACAAAUUUUAAAUAUUACAAACAAUAACAGAAUCAUAUGCUGUUAUUGUAAAUAAACCCCACCAUUCCGUUUCAAGUUUCCACAGUCAGUUCCAUUGAUCAUAUGCUGAAGCUACGGUGGAAUGAUAGAUCUUCUUUUAGUUUCCUGCACAUCGAAACUCUCUAAUUGGUGUGUUGUUUUUUCGUGAAAUUUCUAAUAUCUAUUAAUAAUUUCUUAAUGUAAAUGAGAAGUUAGUAGAUCAUGGGAUGAGAGCCGAAGACUUUUUGGCUGAUCUAACUCCUAUUACAAUCAAGUUGGUAACUGCAUUUGGUAAUUACAUCUUCAGUACUUGCAAUCUUUUAUCGCCUUUAGUAAGAAAUCAGAAAAAGGAUGUUUGGAAGCUGAGAAAAUUUAAGAACUGAAAGCUUUUAGCUCACACGAUUUUAUUCAUCUAAAACUUACUUAUGAAACUGUACACAGAGAUGCUUAUAUACACAACUGAUGCUCAGCUCAAUUAGUUAACUAAUUACAAAACUAAUUCUAGCUAGCUAUAACAACUUCAACUAAUUAUCACGUGAACAAGUGAUUACAUAACCACCAGGUGCCAGCUGGCAUGCCAUGUCAUCAACUCUUAACUGUAAGCUGGAGCUGCUGCUAUCCUCUGCUUUACAGUCUAUGCUACUGAUGUGUGCUUCCUUAACAUCCCCUCUCAAGCUCAAAGGUCUACUAACGACAUUGAGCUUGGAUCUAAAAAAGCUGAAUUUAGAAAAAGAUAAGGGCUUAGUCAGAACAUCAGCUACUUGUUCUUCAGUAGGAAUGUAUCUAACCUCCAAUUCUUUUCCAAGCACUUUGUCUCUAACAUAAUGAACAUCCAACUCUAUGUGCUUAGAUUUUGAGUGAAACACAGGGUUGCGAGCUAGCUCCCCUGCACUUUGGUUAUCACACCAAAGAACUGGAGUAGGUAGUUUAGCAAUGUUGAGUUCUGAAAAUAAAGACUGCAACCAAGAAAUUUCUGAGCAUGCUGCUGACAGGGCUCGAUAUUCACUUUCUGUGCUUGACUUUGCUACAAUUGCUUGCUUUUUGGAAGACCAUGAAAUCAGAUUGUUACCCAAGUAUAUACAAUAGGCUCCAAUUGAUUUUCUGUCGUCAAGAUCACAAGCCCAGUCAGCAUCUGUAUAGCCUGUUAUUCCAAUUUCCAGAGUUGCUUCCUUUCUAAGAUAGAGACCAUAGGUGAUGGUUGACUGGAGAUAUCGAAGAACUCUUUUGCAGGCUAACCAGUGCUGAACAGUAGGAGAACUGAGGUAUUGACUGAGCUUAUGAACUGAAUAAGCUAUAUCCGGCCUGGUGAGAAUUAGAUAUUGUAACCCUCCAACUAUGCUUCUGUAUUGUGUUGGAUUUUCGAACUCCUGACCCAAAGGACCCCUGACAUUUCUUUCUAGCUUCAAACCAGUACUAAGAGGAGUAUCAGACCCUUUGCAAUUCUCCAUAGAUGCUUUACUCAGCAAGUCUUUAAUAUACUUUGUUUGAGAUAGAUGCAUACCUUCAUCAAAGUAACUAACUUCAACACCUAGGAAGUAAGCAACUAAUCCCAGAUCUUUCAAGGCAAAUGUCUGACUGAGUUUAACAAUAAAAUCCUCUAGUAAAGCAGAAUCUGGUCCAGUGACUAGAAUAUCAUCCACAUAGAUCAAUACUAUGAUUAAGCCCCUUGUAUCAUGUUUAAUGAAUAGAGAUGUAUCAGCCUUUGAAUUAAGAAAUUGCCAAGUAGUUAGACAACCCUUCAAUUUUUCAUACCAGGCUCGUGGAGCUUGUUUUAGACCAUAGAGAGCUUUAUUGAGUUUGCAGAUGUACCCUUCCUUAGUUACAAAGCCUUCUGGUUGUGUCAUAUAUACGUUCUCAGAAAGAUCUCCAUUAAGGAAUGCAUUAUUUACAUCAAUUUGUCUGACUUUCCACCCUUUUAUAACUGCCAAGCUGAGUAUGACUCUAACUGUUGAAGACUUCACCACUGGACUGAAAGUUUCUGAAUAAUCUACCCCUGCUGUUUGGUGAAAUCCCUUUGCAACCAAUCUAGCUUUAUACUUGCUGACAGUUCCAUCUGUGUUAUACUUUGUUCUGAAUACCCACUUACAACCAACUAGCUUGUAUGUAGAAGACAUUGGCACAAGAGUCCAAGUGUUGUUGUGAAUAAGAGCAUCAUACUCAGUUUGCAUUGCAUCUUUCCAUUUAGGAUCUGAUAAUGCCUCAGGGACAGUGGAUGGUUCUAAGCUGUUGUGAGUUGUUAGAAAGGUCUUUGGUUUGAAAAUACCAGCUCUAGCUCUGGUUAUCAUAUGAUGGGUGGAAGUAGAAGGUUUAGGCUGAGAUGUUUGUGUUGUGCAGGGUAUUUGUGGUGCUGGUGACUGGGGUGCAGGUGAAGGCAAAGAUGUAGAGGUCUGAUUUGUGGGUGACUGAGAUUGAGGUGAAUUUGAUGAUAAAGAAUGAUUGACAGGGAAUUGAUCUGCUGCAGUAGCUUCAAGACUGUUCAGAUUGCUAUUAGGAACUGACAGAGUAAACCUUUGAAAAAGAUUAUAUUGAAAAUCAGAGGAAGUGUGUUUAGAAGAGGAAGAAAAAUUUGGAUCUGAAAUGUAAGGGAAAGUGGUUUCAUCAAACAAUACAUGACUGGCAAUAUAAAUUUUGCCUGAUGAAUGUAGACACUUAUAGCCCUUAUGUGAAGGACUAUAUCCUAAGAAGACACACUUUGAAGUAUGGAAAUGGAAUUUAUGGUUAUUGUAUUCUCUGAGAAAAGGAAAACAAGAACAUCCAAAUGUUCUUAGAAAGUUAUAGUCUGGUUGAUGAUGAAAGAUUGAUUCAUAUGGAGUUUUCAUUGCUAGAAUAGGUGUUGGUAAUCUGUUAAUGAGAUAGGCUGCUGUAUGAAAAGAAUCCCACCAGAAUUUGAUAGGUAAUUUAGCUUGUGCAAGAAGAGUAAGACCUGAUUCAGUAAUGUGUCUGUGUUUCCUUUCUACCAAACCAUUUUGGUUAUGUGUAUAAGGACAAGAGUGUCUAAAUUCUAUCCCUUCUUCUUGAAGAUAUUUGCUAAAGGAUCUGAAUUCCCCUCCCCAGUCAGAUUGAAGACAUUUAAUGGGCUGUUCUAAUUGUUUUUCAACUUGAGCUUUGAAAAUUUUGAACACAUGAAGAGUUUCAUCUUUGGUUUUCAGGGGAAAUAUCCAAGUGAAUCUGGUAAAAUCAUCCACAAAGCUCACAUAAUAUUUAUAACCUUGUGUGGAAACCACUGGAGCUGGUCCCCAUAAAUCAGUAUGUAAAAUGGCUAAAGGUUGUUUUGUUUUUGUUUCAGUUGCUGGAAAGUGUAAUCUAUGCAUUUUCCCAAAUUUACAAGCAUCACAUGAAUCAAACUCUUUAUUUCCAUUGAUAGGUUUGAAAGAGGAACAAGAUUGUAUUACAUGGUUUAAGAUCUUAGAGUUAGGAUGACCUAGCCUCUGAUGUAAUACAGAAGUGCUUAAAAGACACUUAGAGUUCAUACAAGGUUCUGCUGCCACAUUUUGCAAGCAGUGAUUAUUUGACUGACUGAGAUUGACAGUUGAUAGCAUUGACAAAGGAACAAAUGACUGAAAAGAAGACUCAAUAUUGGCAACAUGACCUUGAAAGGAAGACUGAGCAGAAGUUUUAUUUGAGGACACUAAUAGCAAUCUGUACAAGCCUUUUUCAGCCUUGCCCUGCAGUAUGAUCAAAUUCUUCACCUUGUCCUUCACAAAACAAGAUUUGUCAGUAAACUCAACUGUGAUAUUGUUGUCUUUGGUUAGCUGAGAAAUGCUUAUAAGGUUCUUGGUUAUUUGUGGAACUAAAAGUAUAUUGUUUAGUUUAAUCACAGUGGAAUCAGUGCAGUUGUGCAAUCUCAGAACAGCUUUUCCAAUAUUUGUAAUAUUCAAGCCAGUACCAUUACCAAUAAUGAGUUUAGAUGUACCUGUAAAUGAUUCAGAAAUCUGCAUAUUGUUCAUGUCAUUUGUGAGAUGGUGAGUGGCACCACUGUCAAGGUACCAAUUUGUAUCAGAUGAUCCUUCCAUGUUUGCCAGAUAUGCAGAUUUCGGAUUCCUGUUUGGAGGUGGUCUAUAAGCUCCUGAAGCAAUAAAUUCUUCCAGCUUCCAGCAUACAUUAGCUGUGUGGCCUAUUUUGAGACAAACUUGACAUGUAGGCUUAGAAGGAUUCCACUGAGAUUUAGGAUUUCCAGGUGUUUUGCCAUUAUUGACAGCAUUAUUAUUAUUCCAGUUUCCUCCUCCUCCUCCUCCAUAGUUUCCUCUGUAACCAUUAUUUCCAGCACUUCCAACAGCAAAACCAGAUGAUCCAUAAUUUCCUCUGUAACCACUAUUUCCAGAAUUUCCAGCAUUAUUGUAGCCUGUAUUAUAUCCAAGACUACCAAAACCUUUUCCUCCUGAGAAGUUUCCUCUCUUAGGUCCUCUAUUUUGUGCAAAGUUAGCUUCUAAAUUGUGUUUAACAUCCAUAUUAGCAAGUGUUGUGCAAAUUUUAAUGAACUCGCAAGCGCACGAAUCUAUUGUAGUGUAGAUCAAUGGUGACGAGUGUCGAUCCCACGAGGAGGUGGAUUUUAAUUGUGUAUAGAAUUAAUUUUGCAAAAUGGGUGGUUGGAAUUGUGGUGGAAGUGAUUUAAAAUAUGCUAAAAUUGGAAUUGCAAUGGCGAGAAUAAAUUGUAGAGAAAAUCGAUUAAAUUGACGUACUUGGGUAUCUGGAUCCGUAUCAACAUGCAUCAUGGGCUAAAUAAUCCGUAUUAAUGCCAAUUAAAUCAUGAUGGGGGAAUCCACACAUCAUGAACCACGCUCUAAUCAAUAUGGUGCUAAGGGCUUAUCGUGCCAAAUAAUAAUAACCUUAUACUAGAGAGCCGGUGUAACCAAGGCGGUAUCUAGACAAGAUCAGUAUUAUUUGUCGACGAGAAGUCAAAACAUCCACAAAAACUAGAGGGGAAGAGAAAAUAAAUUUACCAAAUUAAGCCCAUGACACAUGUUGAGACUUCACCUUCAACCCAAGCUUGAAAGAAAAUUAGCCACUCAUAAUUGAACUAGGGGCAAAAUGGGAAUUUAUUAAAAUACAAAGAAAAUACAAGAUGGAGAGGGAAUUACAGAAAAUGGAUCCCAAAAAUGGAUUCAGAGAUAUCAAAUUAAGGGGGGAAGGCCCCCUUUUUAUAGAUACAUGGAGUAAAUCAUGGCCAUCGGAUUAAAAAUAGUUUGGACGCUCAGGAUUGCGCCACGUCAUCAGUCAACAGUCCACGGUUUGACCACGCGGAUGAACAGUAACACGGUUUGACCCGGAUGAACAGUAACGCGGUUUGGUUGAAAAUAAUCCUGUGUGAUGCAUGCACCGUACGCGAGAUUUUUCGUCCACUGAUAUGCUGCCACGUCACCAUCAACAGUACAUAAGAAUUUUAGUCCAACAGGAUCGUGACACCUCAUCAGUCAAUGCCACAUCAUCGGUCAAUGCCACGUCAUCGAUCCGUCUAUGUGAACAGUGCCGUGAACAGUAACAUAUACAGUACCGUAUACGUGAAUAGUACCGUACAUGUGAAUAGUGCCAUUUUUCCUUUUAUGCCCCUCCUAAGGUUUUCGACCGUCCUGAGUUCAAAAGUGAUGUCUGUUUUGCCAUCUGAUCUCUCCUUUAUUGUGAAAUGACUAUAAUGCCCCUAAAAUACAUAAAAUACUUAAUUAAAAUAAAACACAUGUAAUUAAAUCACAAGAAGGUUAAAUACAUAAAAGUAAGGGUUGUUAAUAAGACUUGAAACGUAAAAUGACAGUUUUCUCCUUUAUAAAUAUGCAUUUUCUAACACUCAACACACCCCCCAACCAGCUUAUUGCUAGUCCCUAGCAAAUAAAGCGAAAACAAAAUUCAAAUUCAAAAUGAUUUUUUUUUUUUUUUUUUUUUUUUGAAACACUCGUGUUUAUUCAAUCAGAUUAAUGAUAGCAAUCAAAUAAAAAUAUAAGCAUUAUCUCCAGUCUAAAGCAACAUCACACCCACAUCAACCAUCCACAUGAAUUAGCCCAGUAGACUUUGUUAUAGCUACUUUCAAGAAUGACAUGUCAAACCCCAAAAUCUCACUGGAAGUAGUGACACUCUCACAAAGAAAUUAAAACCCAAUAAACAUAGUCACUCCAAUGAAUGGUAAUUGAGAGAGAAAAUAAUAAAGAAAUGAUAUCACAUGCUCUCACCAAGAUGAAAUAAAUAUGCCCUCAGCUUAGAAAUAAUACGAUCUCAAGUCAAAUAAAAUGUUAGUCAACCCACUUUAUUUAUCUUUUUUUUUUUUUUUUUUAUUAUGCAUCACUACAUCUUUUUAGCCCAUAUAACUAGCUUCUACUUCAAACUAUAGUUCCCUAAAAUCAAGAAGGACUUUUAUUAGGACGUAACGUAGGCUAGGGAUAUGGCUAACAAAGAAAGGAAAUAAGGAAAACAAAGUGUAUGUUUGAGAAAAAUGCAGAAUUUUUUUUUUUUUUUUUUUGGAACUUGCAAGGUGGAUUUCACCUAUUAUUGUUAUUUUUAUUCUUUUGAAACAACAACUUUUGUUUUUGUUUUUUUUUUUUUUUUUUUUUGCUUUUAUUUGGCAUAACUUCACUGAACAACAUAAUUAUUUACAUUUUCUCAAACAUAAAUAGGUGAUGGAACUUAAAAGACAUUGGGUAAUACUCCAAAUCGGAGUGGGUCAAGAUGAUAAGUUGACAAAGAAAAGGUUUUUGUUCUUUUUUUUUUUUUUUAAAGGCUCAAAAGGGGUAACUAUGGAUAUUUAAUAAAAGGGAUGGCUAGAAAGGCUCAAACGGAUCAAAGAUGGCCUUUCCAUCGUCUUUUAGGGCUCUAAAUAAUCAUCCAUAUCUACUAGUUAGAUGGGCCUCCCAAUGUAGCAACACACAUUUUUUUUUUUUAAUUUUACCAUUUUUUUUUUUUAAGGGUUAACUCAAAAGAAAUCUAGAGAUCGUGUAUAAAAUAAUAAACUACUAAGCUGUAUAGAGAAUGGGCAAAAGGGUUACUCUCCAAGAAAAUAAUAGGCUCAACUACUCACUUGGCACUUAUUUAUGACAUGUUCAUUCCUUCAAGCAACUCAUAUUUGUCUCCGACAUCAACAUGUAAAGUAGCAAACAUAGCGUAACAUCACUUAAGACCAAAGAUAAUACAAAUACUAAAAUUUGAAAUUAAUCAUGUCAUCCAAUGUUAAAACAAAUAACACAAAUUUUUUUUUUUUUUUUUAAACAACAUUCUACCCCCCAACCUAUUCUAAACAUGAAAGGAAAAUAUGCAUGCGGAAAUGUGAAAAUGAUGUAGAAAAAUUAAUUAGAAAAAGAAUUUUUUUUUUUUUUUUUAAACUAAGAAGAUGCGUUUCUAGAGGCACUACACUCCAUAUUCAGCCAUCUUCGACUCAAAAAUUUGAAACUACAUAUUUAUAAAGGAGAAAGAGGAAGAAAACAGGUUUUUUUUUUUUUUUUUUUUUUUUUUUUUUAAAACGAUGAAGAUGCGUUUCUAGAGUAACUACACUCCAUAUUCAGCCAUCUUCAACAUAAAAUGUUAGCAACUGUUAGUUUCUACAACAAAAAAUCAGUAAAAACUUAACCAAGAUUCCACAAUUGUCGACUAUUCCCUCCCCCCAACCAGAACGAAACAUUGUCCUCAAUGUUUUAAAGGAAAGAAGUAGAGUUUAGAAGACAUCACCUGGGUGGUGCAACACAGAAGAAAAUAUUUACAGGCGGAGAGUUAAAUCUAAUUUGUACUUCUUACUGCGGCUACUGUUACCAUCAUUAUUUGGUCGCUCCAACACAAAGGUCCAGGGGUCUGGCUCCGGUUUAUAAGCUUGUAACAUAUCAAGUAGCUCAUUAGCAGUGUGAGCACAAAUAAAGAGUUUUUUCACAUUAGAAGGAAUGAAAUAGUUUUUUAUUGCAUGGUUAAGAAAUGCGAUAAAGCCAUCAUAAAAGUUAUUGACAUUUAACAAACCGAUGGGUUUCUGGUGGAUGUGCAGAUGGGCCCAAGAUGCUAGUGUCAUAAGUGCCUCUAGUGUUGCAAGAUCUCCUGGAAGGAAAAUAAAAGCAUCAGCAUGAUUAAGCAUUUUAGUUAUUCUUUCUUGCAUACUUGAGACGACUAACUCUUCUCCUGUUGAUGAGUCAGACGAACUGCCCAAUGGUUUUAGGACUCUUGGGAUGAUGCCUAACACUUGACUUCCUCUGAUAAAAGCUGCUUCUGAGACCAUUUUUGAUAACCCUCGGUUACCUCCUCCAUACACCAAAUGUAAUUUUCUCGCUGCUAUGCUUCGACCAAGAUCUAUGGCUGCCUCAACGAACUCUUUAUGUUUGCCAUAGGUAAAUCCAGAAAGCACACAAAUGUUCUUGAAUUGUCUAUUGGGAGUGGCUGCCAUUGUGAUACUUCUCAAAAAUAAUUUGUGAGUGCUUGACAAAAAGUAAAUCACAUUUAAGAAUCUUGGUGACAGUGGAUCACAGCUGUGAAUGAGGUAACAUGUCAGUGUCAAAUAACGCGUAAAGCACGUGGCUCGCGAGUCAAAAAGAAAACAGUAAAAAGGAAAAAGCAAACAGUAAUAAAAUUAUUAAAGGCAAUAAUGCAAACGAUAAAACAAUAGUGAAAUAAAAUAACAGAAAGUAAAAGGAUAUUUACACGUAGUUGCGACUGUGGCUCACAUCUUCCUCUGGUUUUACGUCCAGAAACGGCUUGAACGCCCUCUAUGGGUCGAGGAUGGGCUUCCCAUCCAGUUUUCUUAUAAACUGGCAAACAGGGUCGUUUAUAGUCAGAUUCCCGAGACUAUAUCGUGCAUGCUCUUUCUGGAAUAAUGGCCAUAACCGGAGAAUCGCUCCUUGCACAUAUCCACUGGGAUGCGUUUCAAGAGACAAAAGGAUAUCAUCCAAUGACUCCUUAUUCAAGCCAUCCCUAAUGAAUUGAAUCUUAUCUUCCCUGUUAUCAGACACCAUUCCUAAAGAACAUGGGUUUCUAUCGCAACUCAUUCUGGCACACUUAUGACAAGCAACAGAAAUUCUUCGAGCUCGUCGUUUUCUUGCAUAAUUUCCUUUACCACAACCAGGCAUGUAUGCAAUAAAUUUAGGAGGUAACUCACCUGCCAAUCGUACUUUAGCCUCGAUUAACCAACGGAUGUCUGCAGGUAUGUUAUUCUUCAUGAGCAAUCGCAUGCGUUCAGACCGGGCUUUAUAGAUCGUAAGGAGGGCAUUCUGAGGAAGUGAAGGGAAUCGCUUGUGAAGCUUCGCUAGAAUCUCGUUUCUGUCCAUACCUUCGCCUCAGAAUGUCAGUUAUUAUGGGAAACUGAAGUUAACCGACUUGAUUGUCACGGAGUACCGUUAUCCGCCACUUCACCGGGGUAACAAACUAAAGCACACAAACAGAAAAACAAAUUAAAACACACAAAGAAAAUUAAAAUCGUCCUCUUAUUGAAUUUACCUCAAGCUCCAACUGGAUGUCGUAAACACUUCUCUCAAUGUCUCUGAGUUGGCGUUCUAAACCCUCAACAUAGGCUACUAACUCUGGUGGUUGUAGAGCCCAAAUGCGUUGUGUUUUACAAAAUUGAAUCUGCUUUUUGAGAUGAGUUUUGACACGUUGAAGUGGUUUAAGAAUGUUCAGAAGGAACGGUCUAAGUAUGGUACUCAUGAUUAACAAUGAUAAGAAAAAAAGAAAACUUAAUGGUAAAACAAACACACUUAUGCAAAAAUAAUUUCAAUUAGCAAAAGACUAAUAAAAAGAAAGAAAGAAAAAUCAAAUCAACAAAAAGAAAAAAUCAAUUCAAAUCUGGUGGGUCACUCAAAUUUAUUUCGGUGUCUUCUCCAUGUGGUUGGUACUCUAGAUAUGGCUUUAAUCUUUGACCAUUAACUUUAAACGUGACACCGUUCUUUGGGUCUUUAAUUUCAAUUGCCCCAUGUGGAAAAACAGUAUGAACAAUAAAGGGACCAGACCAUCGAGAGCGUAACUUACCUGGGAAUAGGUGCAAGCGAGAAUUGAAUAAAAGUACUUUCUGACCUGGAGUGAAAGAUUUUCUCAUAACGUGCUUGUCGUGGAAGACUUUCAUUCGUUGCUUGUAAAUCUUGGCAUUUUCGUAUGCAUCAUUGCGAAUUUCUUCAAGUUCUGCCAGCUGUAAUCUUCUUUCUGAGCUGGCUUGCUGCAUGUCAAAGUUGAAUUUCUUGAUGGCCCAAUAUGCACGAUGCUCGAGUUCCACAGGUAGGUGGCAAGCUUUUCCAUACACUAGCCUGUAGGGUGACAUCCCAAUCGGGGUCUUGAAAGCCGUUCUAUAUGCCCAUAAUGCAUCAUCAAGUCGUAAUGACCAAUCUUUCCUGUCUGGCCUCACCGUCUUUUCUAAUAUGUGCUUUAUUUCUCGAUUGGAGAUCUCAACUUGGCCACUGGUUUGCGGAUGAUACGGGGUCGCCACUUUGUGUGUGAUUGAAUACUUUGUCAAAAGAGUCUUGAAUGCUUUGUUACAAAAGUGGGCACCACCAUCACUGAUUAUCGCUCGAGGGAAUCCAAAGCGUGAAACAAUGUUGCUUUUCAAAAAUCCUAUCACCACUUUGUGAUCAUUGGUUCUGCAUGGAAUUGCUUCCACCCAUUUCGAUACGUAGUCAACAGCAACCAAGGUAAUACUUCCACAUUCAUUAAUUGUUCAUCUGGAAAUGACUCAUUUAAUAUUAAUGGCUCUGUAAUUGUGUCAAAAUGGAGACGAGAGAGGUGGUCCGCCACAACAUUUUCUGUGCCUUUCUUAUCCUUGAAUUCCAAGUCAAAUUCCUGCAAAAGUAACACCCAACGAAUUAGUCUAGCUUUUGCAUCUUUUUUUGUGAGAAGAUAUUUAAGAGCAGCAUGAUCUGUGAAUAUAAUUAUUUUACAACCAAUGAGAUAAGAUCGAAAUUUCUCUAAUGCAAACACUACUGCUAGCAUUUCUUUUUCAGUAGUUGAAUAGUUCAACUGUGCAUCAUUCAAUGUCAUACUAGCAUAGUAAAUAACAUGGGGAAUUCGAUCAACUCUUUGUCCUAAAACUGCUCCUACUGCAUAAUCAGAUGCAUCACACAUAAGCUCAAAUGGUAAGCUCCAGUUUGGGGCCUGAAUGAUGGGUGAUGAUGUCAACAAUUGCUUUAAUUUUUCAAAAGCCAUAAGACAUGAAUCAUUAAAGAUAAAAGGUACAUCCUUAGCAAGUAAAUUGCAUAAGGGUCUAGAAACUUUGCUAAAAUCUUUAAUGAAACGUCUAUAGAAACCAGCAUGCCCAAGGAAAGAUCUUACUUCUCUGACUGUUUUAGGUGGAGGAAGAUUAGAAAUGAGAUCCACCUUGGCUUUGUCAACCUCAAUACCUUUGCUCGAAAUGAUGUGACCGAGAACAAUACCUUGUUUUACCAUAAAAUGGCACUUCUCCCAAUUCAAGACUAAGUUCUUCUCGGUACAUCUCUGCAGAACUAGUGUUAGAUGAUGUAAACAUUGAUCAAACGAGUCACCAAAGACAGAAAAAUCAUCCAUAAAGACUUCAAGGAAUCGUUCAACCAUAUCAGAAAAAAUGCUCAACAUGCAUCGUUGAAAUGUAGCAGGUGCAUUACAUAAUCCAAAUGGCAUUCUCCUAUAUGCAAAUGUGCCAAAAGGGCAAGUGAAAGUAGUCUUCUCUUGAUCUUUUGGUGCUAUGGGAAUCUGAUUAUAUCCUGAGUAGCCAUCUAGAAAGCAAUAAAAUUCAUGGCCUGCUAAUCUAUCAAGCAUUUGAUCAAUAAAUGGUAAAGGAAAAUGGUCUUUACGUGUGACAGAAUUCAACUUUCUAUAAUCAAUGCAUACACGCCAUCCUGUAGUUACUCUAGUUGGUAUCAAUUCAUUAUCAGCAUUGGUAACUACUGUGACUCCUGACUUUUUGGGGACGACUUGUACAGGACUGACCCAUGAACUAUCAGAAAUUGGGUAAAUGAUACCUGCAUCUAAUAGCUUAAGGACUUCAGUUCUAACAACUUCUUUCAUGUUAGGAUUUAACCGACGUUGCAUCUCCCUAGUAGUUUUAGCAUUUUCAUCAAGGUGAAUGUAAUGCAUGCAGUCUACUGGGUUUAUACCUUUUAUGUCUGCUAUGGUCCAUCCUAAUGCCCCUUUGUGCUCUUUUAAAACAUCCAACAACUUACCUUUUUGUUCGUCAUUUAGGGAUGAUGAGAUGAUUACCGGCAGAGUACUUUCUUCUCCCAAAAAUGCAUAUUCCAGAGUGUUGGGUAAUGGUUUGAGCUCGAGUUUCGGUGGUGAUUCUGAUGAUGGGAUGAGUUUCUUCUCUGAUGGUGCUAGUUGUUCAACUCUUGACUUCCAUUUAUUAGUGUCCAUGGAUGGUGCUGAGUCAAGUAGGGCGUUGACCUCAUCGACCGAUCUGUCAAUAUCAAAAUCCAAACCAAAGUGAGUUAAACAUGUUUGUAAAGGAUCAUCACUAAUGUUUGAAAUAAAAGUAUUAUCGACUAUUGUUUCUAUUAAAUCCACAUCAACAAUUCCAUCAUCUGCACUGUGAGGUUGUUUGGCAAUGUUGAAAAUAUUUAGCUCCAUAGUCAUGUUGCCGAAGGACAAUUGCAUAUUUCCGGUCCUACAUUGAAUAUGAGCAUCUGCAGUUGCCAAGAAAGGUCGGCCUAGAAUAAUGGGGAUGUGCUUCUUUGAGUCCUGUAUUGGUUGAGUGUCAAUUACAAUGAAAUCAACAGGAAAAUAAAACUUGUCUACCUGAAUAAGCACGUCCUCCACAAUACCACGAGGUAUUUUCGUGGACCGAUCUGCAAGCUGUAACACCACUGGAGUUGGGUGUAAUUCUCCCAGUCCAAGUUUCACGAAAACAGAGUAAGGCAACAAAUUUACACUAGCUCCUAAAUCCAACAAAGCAUUCUCAAUUGUGUGGUUCCCUAUACUACAUGAGAUAGUGGGGGAGCCUGGGUCUUUGCAUUUUAAAUGAAUUUUGUGUUGGAGUAUAGAACUAACGUUUUCUGUUAAAAAUGCCUUCUUUUGAACAUGCAUAUUUCUCUUUUUAGUACAAAGGUCUUUAAGAAACUUGGCAUAAGAUGGAACUUGUUUAAUCGCAUCAAGUAAAGGGAUGUUAACACUUACCUGUUUGAAGAUUUCAAGAAUCUCACCUGUGGAUUUUCCCUUCUUUCCUUUCGCUAACCUAUGAGGAAAUGGAGCUUUCGGAACGUAUUCUCGUGGGUUGGUUUCUUCUUUCUCCUCCGGUGGUGAGUCUUCAACAUUCACAGGUACAAUUUGAUUUUCUUUUGUCACCGGCAUUUCCACUUUGUUGUCGACUUCUUUUCCUUUUCGCAAGGUCAUGACUGCUUUGACCUCUCCAUGCUGCUGUGGUGAACUGGUACUUGCUUCAUGCACUCCUUUAGGAUUAGGCACUGGUUGACUUGGAAACUUACCUUUCUCAACGGUUAUUGCCAAGGUCUGAACUGAAGAAGCGAGCUGUCCCACCAUCUUCUCGAGGCUUGAAACUGAUUGGGCUUGUGAAUUGAAGCCUGCUCUCAACUCAUUUCGUAGUCCAUCAAUAGUGCGGUUCUGUUGCUCAAUCGUAGAGUGAGUAACAUUCUUGAGAUUCUGGAAUGAAUCCUCCCACGGUCUGGGCUGAGUGUAGUUCUGGUUCUGAUUGUAUGGUCUGAAUGGGGGCUGAGAGGCUUGAGGAAUUGGUUGCAUUGGUGGAGCUGGAGUUGUUGGUCCAUUCUGUUGGAAUCCUUGAGACCAUGAAAAAUUGGGGUGGUCUCUCCAUCCAGGGUUAUAUGUGUUGGAGUAUGGGUUGUAAUUUGAUGGCUUUCUCAUUAUCCCUAUGGCAUUGGCUUCAUUUGAAUAUGAGUCAUGGUCAUGUGGUUCUGUUGAUUUAGCAGUCGAUAACGAUGCUAUUUGUCGAGCAAGACCUUCAACAAUCUCCUUGACUUCUUUAAUUCCCGAAGUUGACUCGCCAAUUUGAACCUCAUUUACUCCUUUAAUUCUUCUGGUAUUCCUGAGUGACCGACUCCGUUGUUGGGAAUUAUCCGCUUGUCGCUGGAAGAAUUCCCAAAUCUCUGAUGCACUUUUUGACAUUAGCUCCCCUCCACUUGUUGCCAUUAGCCAUUCUUGCACGUUCGACAAUAAUCCCUCCAAAAAGUAUUGGCAUUGGUGCCAUUUCUCGUACCCAUGAUGUGGACACUUCAAGAGUAGCCCAUUGAAUCGCUCCCAUGUUUCAAAAAACUGCUCGUCUUCUCUUUGAGUAAACUCUGAGAUUUCCCUGCGAAUAGCAUUGGUUUUAUGCACUGGGAAAUAUUUAUUUAGAAAUUUUGUUACCAUUUGUUCCCAUGAUGAAAUGCUAUUAGCAGGUAAUGUAUUAAGCCAUGAACGAGCUCUAUCCUUUAAAGAAAAUGGGAAUAAUCUGAGUUUAACAUCAUCGUCUGAAAAAUUUUCGUAUUUAAAAGUUUGACAAAUGGCAUGAAAAUCAUUCAAAUGAUUAUAUGGAUCCUCAUUUUCUAGGCCAUAAAAUGUGGGGAGACAAUUUAACACACUAGGUUUUAAUUCAAAACUCCUAGCAGCUACAUUUGGGUAUCUUAUGCAUGACGUGCUCAAAUUAGCUAAGGGACUAAAAUAGUCCUUAAAUGGCCUCUCCUGUGGUGCUUGUAAAUCCAUUUUAUUUUUAACGUGUUUGUGUGUGCGAAGUGUUUUUUCUAAUUCAAGGUCUAUAGGUUCAAGAUUUGGUAAUAAUGACCUACGACCAUGCAUGCAAAACAAAUAAAAUAAAAAUAAAGAUGCAAACAAAAUAAAAAUAAAGAUGGGAACAAAACAAAUAAAAAUAAAGAAGAGGGAGAAAUUACGAUACUAACCUUAUUGCGCUAUUACAACCUUUCUAUAAAAAUACACAAAAAUAAAUACGUGAAAUAAAUUAACUAAAAAUUAAAUUAAUAAAAUAAACAAAAAUUACAAAGAAAAAAAUAAAUUGAAAAUUAAAUUACAGAAUUUUAAAGAAGAGAGAGAGAAAAAAAUACUAACCUUUAAAUGCGGAUUUACUUUUUUUUUUUUUUUUAAUAAAAAAAAAAUACAAGAAAACAAAUAAAAGAAAUUAUUCACAAAAAUUAAUUCUAUGAAUUAAAAUUACUUACCUCCCCGGCAACGGCGCCAAAAACUUGUUGUGCAAAUUUUAAUGAACUCGCAAGCGCACGAAUCUAUUGUAGUGUAGAUCAAUGGUGACGAGUGUCGAUCCCACGAGGAGGUGGAUUUUAAUUGUGUAUAGAAUUAAUUUUGCAAAAUGGGUGGUUGGAAUUGUGGUGGAAGUGAUUUAAAAUAUGCUAAAAUUGGAAUUGCAAUGGCGAGAAUAAAUUGUAGAGAAAAUCGAUUAAAUUGACGUACUUGGGUAUCUGGAUCCGUAUCAACAUGCAUCAUGGGCUAAAUAAUCCGUAUUAAUGCCAAUUAAAUCAUGAUGGGGGAAUCCACACAUCAUGAACCACGCUCUAAUCAAUAUGGUGCUAAGGGCUUAUCGUGCCAAAUAAUAAUAACCUUAUACUAGAGAGCCGGUGUAACCAAGGCGGUAUCUAGACAAGAUCAGUAUUAUUUGUCGACGAGAAGUCAAAACAUCCACAAAAACUAGAGGGGAAGAGAAAAUAAAUUUACCAAAUUAAGCCCAUGACACAUGUUGAGACUUCACCUUCAACCCAAGCUUGAAAGAAAAUUAGCCACUCAUAAUUGAACUAGGGGCAAAAUGGGAAUUUAUUAAAAUACAAAGAAAAUACAAGAUGGAGAGGGAAUUACAGAAAAUGGAUCCCAAAAAUGGAUUCAGAGAUAUCAAAUUAAGGGGGGAAGGCCCCCUUUUUAUAGAUACAUGGAGUAAAUCAUGGCCAUCGGAUUAAAAAUAGUUUGGACGCUCAGGAUUGCGCCACGUCAUCAGUCAACAGUCCACGGUUUGACCACGCGGAUGAACAGUAACACGGUUUGACCCGGAUGAACAGUAACGCGGUUUGGUUGAAAAUAAUCCUGUGUGAUGCAUGCACCGUACGCGAGAUUUUUCGUCCACUGAUAUGCUGCCACGUCACCAUCAACAGUACAUAAGAAUUUUAGUCCAACAGGAUCGUGACACCUCAUCAGUCAAUGCCACAUCAUCGGUCAAUGCCACGUCAUCGAUCCGUCUAUGUGAACAGUGCCGUGAACAGUAACAUAUACAGUACCGUAUACGUGAAUAGUACCGUACAUGUGAAUAGUGCCAUUUUUCCUUUUAUGCCCCUCCUAAGGUUUUCGACCGUCCUGAGUUCAAAAGUGAUGUCCGUUUUGCCAUCUGAUCUCUCCUUUAUUGUGAAAUGACUAUAAUGCCCCUAAAAUACAUAAAAUACUUAAUUAAAAUAAAACACAUGUAAUUAAAUCACAAGAAGGUUAAAUACAUAAAAGUAAGGGUUGUUAAUAAGACUUGAAACGUAAAAUGACAGUUUUCUCCUUUAUAAAUAUGCAUUUUCUAACACUCAACAGCAAGCAUAUGAGUUUGUUGAUCAAUCCUAGCCUCUUGAGUUAACAGCAUAGCAUAAGCCUCAUUAACAUUCAUUUUUCCAGUUCCUACUUGUCCAGUGAUGUAAGUAGCAACAGAAUUAUAAUCAGGACCUAGACCAGAGAGUACAUGUAAAAUCAAAUCAUCAUUGCUUAAUGCACUUCCUGCUGCAGCCAUGUUAUCAGCAAUAGAUUUCAUUUUAAUGAAGUAUUCAGUCAUUUUAAGAUCAUCCUUUCUAGUGGAAUUCAUCAAAUAUCUCAAAUGUAAUAACCUAGACUUUGAUUGAGAUCCAAAUUGAGUUUCAACAGCUUUCCAUACCUCCAAUGAAGUCUCAAGAUUGAACACCAAACUGAUGAUACCUUCACUCAUGGAUGAAAGAAGCCAACCGAGAAGUAUUUGAUCUUGUGCUCUCCAGGUUGCAAAUUCUGGAUUCUCCACAGAUCUAAGCUCAUCAUCAUAUCUCUGAGCAAUAUGAGAAGGAGGUGGAGUGAUUGACUCAUCGAUAAAUUUCUCAAGUCUAUUUCCUCGAAUUGAAGCAAGCACUUGAGAUCUCCAGAUCAAAUAGUUUGAUUGAUCAAGUUUAACGGGAGUAUUGAAAGUGAAAUUGACUGUUGUUGAAUGUGCAGCGGUAUUAUGAACUUGAUUUAAGGAAGAGGCAAGAUUCACAGAUGCCAUUGUGGCUCUGAUACCAAGUAAGAAAUCAGAAAAAGGAUGUUUGGAAGCUGAGAAAAUUUAAGAACUGAAAGCUUUUAGCUCACACGAUUUUAUUCAUCUAAAACUUACUUAUGAAACUGUACACAGAGAUGCUUAUAUACACAACUGAUGCUCAGCUCAAUUAGUUAACUAAUUACAAAACUAAUUCUAGCUAGCUAUAACAACUUCAACUAAUUAUCACGUGAACAAGUGAUUACAUAACCACCAGGUGCCAGCUGGCAUGCCAUGUCAUCAACUCUUAACUGUAAGCUGGAGCUGCUGCUAUCCUCUGCUUUACAGUCUAUGCUACUGAUGUGUGCUUCCUUAACACCUUUCCAAGUUGAUUUUAGUUAUUUGUUCUUAAUAUGUCUAAGCGUAUGGACUUGAUGGAAGGUGGGGUUUAUUUACAGGUUCCGUCAUGAUAUUCUCCCGUGCCAUAUAAAUCAUCAUUGUUUUGCAAGUGCUCUACGGCAUUCUUUACUGGAUAGGCUAGCCAGGGUGCCUUAGAGGCAAGCGUCAAGACGGAAAUGAAAUAUAUCUAAAGCUACACACAAGCACAGGUUGGUCAUUUUAUCAUUUAUAAGUCUUCUAUCUCUUUUAACUUAGUCUAACAUCUUGUUGAACCCAAGCACGAUUCAUUUCACAUAGGCUUGACUGCUAUGUGGUCCAAACUUCAUUUGAAACAUUGGAAACUCCUUGGCAACGUUUUUUAUAUUGCAGAUUCUAUAGGUCAAUCCUGUUGCUGUGCAGUUAGGCACGAGUCAACAGCAAUGAUAGACUUGAAAGUAAUUUUUGCUGGGCAAGAGACUGAGGAAACAUUUUGUAUUUUGCUGGUCUGAUAGUGCUGUGCCAUAAAGCAAUUUACCAAGCAUAGCUUUACAAAUAGAUUGCAGAAUUAUUCAAGGUGUUCUGCAUUUUCCAUAAUUGGACCAACGAACUAUUCACGAGGCAGUAGUGAACGAGUGUUCUAUAUGGUGGUUUGCUUUAAAUACUGAACGAAAAAUGUGGUCCAUUGUGUUUUUUUUGUGUCGUUAUAGCUCUAAUCUUUUCUUAUGGCCCCUGUGUAGGUUAGUUAUAUGUUGAGCACAAUGAUGCUAUUUUAGUAGUCAUAAUUCCUGCAGCCAAGCACCCGAAACUGCUUCAUCUCAAGUUCUUACAUUUUGGAGCUGUAACCCAAGAUGUAUUAAAUAUAAUUUUCAUAAGCUUUAGUGAACCAGGGCAUUCUUUGCAGUUCUCUUCAAAUGACAAGACAUCUAUUGGGAUCUUACUUUUGUUGAUGAGAGGGUCUGAAACAGCUGGUGCAAUAAGUAAAAUUGAUUUUAUGUAGACUAGAAAGCUCUGCCCGCUGUGAAGGCUUUCCUGUUAAAUGAAGGUCCUCCAAAGCUGCACAGUCUGAAUCAGAGAGCUUCCUAGAAACUGCAUGGAGGGUAGAGUGCUGAGGGCACGAGAUAAGCUUUGCAAAUUUGCUGCAAAUUUGAGGAUAAGUUUCUGCAGCACAUUACAACUGCUGACUGCUGAGGUGAGUUUAAUUUGUUUUAGAUAUUUAUUAUUGUUCUUGCGAAUUUCCAAGUAGCAUAUUAAAAAGUUUGAUUUUUUAAUGACUUUGCUUAUAUUCUUUUCAUUCAUACAAUUUCAGAGUUGAAAAAGGAGAAAACCAAGACGUAAAUGAGAAUGUGAUAAUAUCCUCUCUUAAACUGAAGCCUUGAAGAAAAUUUCUUGAUUAGUAGCUGUCAUGAUGCGUGGUUCUGGUUGGAAAGCUGUUGCCAAUUUUGAGCGGUGUUUCUUUAACGAGAUCAAACAGCUCUCUUUGGACGGACAUUUUGAUUCGAUAAUGUCAAGAGGGAUUGUCUUGUGCCAAUUCCCUUCCUGAUCUUUUAAUCUUUUCAGGAUUUGCAAGUCAAGCAACCUUCUUGUAUUCAUUUUCUAUUCGAUUGUGUUAGAAGCUGAUGGCUAACAACUAUAUCUAUUAUACCCUGAGAUCUUUAAUAAUAGGUUUCCUCGAGCUUGCAAAAGACCUAUCACGGCUUUGUGUUGAUGAGGCAAUGGAACCAUCUGUAUCCGAAGCUCCUUACUUCUAAUUCUUAGAGACUUUUGCCCUUCUACCCUUUUCAUGAUGCUGGAUGUUCGAUUUUUUGUUUUGGUCAUAGUUUAGAUUCUUUACAUCAGAUAUAUUGAUGGGUCCUACAUGGAUAGUAUUGCUCUCUGUUUGGUGCAUGAUUUGAAUAUUCUUAUUCUACACUAAUAUAAUACCAAGGCAAUUCUUGUUUCUAUUUAUUGAUGAAGUUACUGGCUGACUUAUGAAACAGGUACGUAUAGUUCUGGUUAAGGUGGUUUGUGGUGCUGCAAACGCUACACCAAGCUUGGAAGAUAUCCUUUGUUCAAGAGAGAGGUGUGACUCUUAUUGUUAUGUCACAUAAUAUUGUUGUACGUACAUGCAUGAUUUGACCUGUAUGUGGUUCAAAUUUCCUUUUCUCCUUGUCACAAUAGUAUUGUUUGGAAAUGAGGCAGAGCAAGCUUGCUAUCAUGAACAGUGUCAUUUUCCUUUUGUUUAACAUUUUGGGAUCAAUGGUUGGAUCAAAACUGCUAAAUGGUUGCGAAGAUCUUUUCCCAAAUUCCUCUGAAAUCUGUUUGCUUUUACUAGAAUGGAAAUACAGUGCCAAGAAGAGGAGGUAAAGACUUGAUCUUCGAAGAAAGCAAAUGAGGCAGAGCAAGCUAGCGAUUCUGAACAGGGUAUACAUGCAGGACACGAUGGCUUGUACACUUGCUAGCAUUGAAGGAGAACUAUGAUGGAUGUGUGUCAAGAAGUAGGUAGUUAUAUCAUAGAGAAGAUUUCGACAGUUUGGCUGCUUUGCCAAUUAAAUUUUCACUUACAAGUUCUAAGACUUAUGUGACUGCUUGCAAUUGUUUUUUUUCCAAGUUGAAAAAGCAAAGGAAGAAAUGUUGAAUCAGUUAAAUAGCUGUGUCAGGUUGAUGCUCUCUGCAUCAAUUCUUGAAAGGGGAGGGAUGUAUUUUAUUUCAUAUACUUACUUCUUUAUCUAUUCUGUGCAUUGAUAAUAUUCCUGAAAUUUUCUUAUGAUAAUUUGCAUAGUGCACAAAGCAAAGCAGGGAUUAAAGAGCUUCUUCAGGAGGAGGGAUUGCUUUCAGAGACGGUCUGAACUCCUUUCUAAACUAACACGUACGCCAAUUUAGCACCCCAUGAUCUUUGCUGAUAAUUCAUAUUUUCACUGCAUAUUUUUAUUGGGUGAAAAGGUGCUUAACAACUCCAUGAUCCCACCAGCGCUUUGCUUAAACUUCACUUGAUUAUAAUCACUAGAAGAGGGUACGGGUUUGUGAUUGUGUACUUAGGACUAUGUAUAGUUUUCUGAAUGUUGUGAUUUUACGGUGUGUCCCUAUGUCAGAACAAUGGAUUUAAAGUGUAUUUGAAUUCCAUUUAUCAUAUUCUUCUAUUCAUCAUUUUGUUUUUGCUUUUUCGUUUUCAUUUUUCAAUCAUUGAUUGCCCAAAACUUGAGAGAUUGCCUGAUGAAAUAGGAAAUUUAAGAGCCUUGUCCUAUUUAAGAGUUGAAGGAGCUGUUAUAAGAGAAGUACCAGUAAGCCUUGGUCAAUUAACCUCGCUAGCAAAGUUUGAUUCUAAAUGACAAUCGCAACUUGGAGAGAAUACCGGAAAGCAUCAGACAUCUUUCUAAUUUGGAAUUUCUCGAAUUAAGCUGUUGCACGUCACUGGAAGCAUUAUCUGCAGGUUUACCAUCAAUUUCAUUCGAGUUAUCUGGAGGUUUAAUACUUAUGAUAAAUUUAGAUAGUAUUUCAGCAAAUUACAAGAUCUGUUUAACCUACCAAAUUUUAAAAAUUACAAAGAAUAACAAAACAGAACAGAGGUGUUCUACAUCAUUUUUAUUUCUAUUUUGGUGCCAUGUCUAGAGACUUUUUCUAGCAGCGAAUUUUAAACAAGUCAAGGUUGAGCGUUUGUUAAUGUUUCUAGAUCUCGAUCUGCUUUAAAAACUGAUGUGGCAUACAUAUUUUUUUUAUUUUUUAUUUGGUAAAGAAAUAGCUUCGUCAGUCAGUGUCAAUCGCUUGAAAAGUCUGAAUCUUUGAGAGCUCCUUAGAAACCUCACGACACUGUCAAGUUCGCACUGACUAGUGAUUCGCAGAACAAGUUUGGUAGAAUAGCUCUGCUAGAUGCUCUAGCUCCGCAGAUUCGCAAGUGUUUGAAAGUCCGGGUUCUAAAUCUGCUCCGCAGGUUACAAAUGAAAUCUCAAAUAUUUCAGGAUGAGUUAUUACAGCUGUUAAGGUUAAAGAGAAAAAGAUGGAUGAAAUUCUAAGCUUAAACCAAAGUACAAGAAUGAACAACAACCAAUCAAGAACUAGAGACUUAAAGAAUAGCACAAUACAACCAAUUUGAAGGAACAAUCAGUUCACUUUUAUUGAUAGAAUAACACAGAAAUUGACCAAGAAUAGAGUAGAAAAGCUUUACAAAGAAACAAAUUUUUCACAAAAUGGCUAAGUGAUUAUAGAGAACAAUGCGAAGAAACAGGGCCCAACGCUCAGCACAGAUUUUUGUAACAAACUCUUAUUAGAUUCUUAUUUUGUCGGUUAUGCACCUCAGUUUGGAUAAUGUAACAAAGGCCCCAAACUAUAUGCCUUUAUGACAUAGUCCAGCUGACUUUCAAUCUUUUGCAAAACAGCCCAGCAACAAUAGCUGGGUGAGUUGAUGGUCCGGAGCGCUGAGGGGACGAGAUCUCUGGCUUUGCAACUUUGCUGCAAAUUUGAGGAUAAGUUUCUAUAACACAAUACGACUGCCGAGGCGAGUUUAAUUUCUUUUUGUUAUUUCUUCUUGUGCUGGCAAAUUUUCAAGUAGCUUAUUAAAAAGUUUGAUUCUCUAAUGGUUUUGCUUACACUCUUUUCAUUUAUAUAACUGGAGAAAUGUGAAAGGCAAAACCUAAUACGUAAAUGAGAAUGUGAUAAUAUCCUCUCUAGAACUGAAGCCUUGUAGAAAGUUUCUUGAUUUCAAGAUAUAUAGUACUAGUUUUAAAUUUGUGAUACAGGGGAAUUUUCUGAGUAGGAUCUAACAGCUCCAUUCGCAUGCAACUGCAAUCAAAGAGCUGCCGUCAUCCAAUGAGAUCUUAUUAGUUAAAUUUGAGCUUAUUUACUGUUCAAGGAUUUAGAGGAUUUCGAGAAGCAUAUGAAAGUUGAAAUGUUUUUGAGAUAUUGCUCUUUCCGAUCGUUUAAAUCCGAAGAGGUUUCCAGAGAUCUCAUCUGGUAACACAAAAGGGUUUUAUUUUGAUGGAACUGCAAUCGAAGAACUGUCCUCAUCCUUAGUGUCUAUCCAGUUUAAAUUUAAUAUACAAGAUGACAUAUCUCGAGAAGCAUAUUUAAGCUUAAAUAUCUUGAAGAUCUUAAUCUCUCUAGUAGCAUAAAUCUAAAGUGGAUACCAGAUAUGUCAUCUUGUGUAUUAAAUUUUUAUAUUUAGAUGGAACAACAAUCAAAGAAUCGCAUGCCUUGAUGCACUGCAUGUCCCUCCAGACCAGUUACCUUGACUCUUUCAAAUUUUAAAAGGCUUAAGAGUCUCCCAAGCAGCCUAUACAUGUUGCAAUGUCUUUGAGAUCUUUAUUUCAAAUGGUUGUGAGCAAAUGGCUUCAUCAUUGCCAAUUUCACGGACUUACCUAAAAGUCUUGACCGGUUACUAUCUCUAUGGCAUUUGUAUCUAGAUGAAAACCAUUACAAGAGAAUAUCAGAAAGCAUUGAUGAAUUGGUUUAUGUGCCCUACGCCAAAGUCCUUGCUCAUUACGGGAGUUAAUUGUGCUCAUUAAGAUAUUCCUGUUACUAAAAUCUCUAUUUAUUCAAAUCUUCUUUGCCUCUGGCCAUUUUUUUUCUAAAUUUUUAUAGGAUUCAGGAACAUAUAUGAAUCAUUGUCAGUUCUUCGGAUUAGCUUCCUGUAUGCGUUGUCGUCCAUUUCCAAAUAAUAUACGACAGCUAAUUCCAAAACCACAGACCACAUUGUCUGUCGCUCUGUUUUGAGAUCACAGAUUCAACUUUUCAGUGUUAAAAAAUUUUGGAAAUGAUAUGUCUUUCCAUGGAAAAUAUGUGUUGCGUCGCGUUAUCAUUCAUUAUUUCACUAUUCUUUAGUGAAUUACUAUUUUGGUAUGGGGACGGCUACAGUAAAUGCAUGUAUGUGACACAUGCAAGCUAGGGGUAUUCGCGGAUCGGAUUUUACGGAUUGGACAUCAAUCCAUAUCCAAUCCAUGAUUUUGCGGAUUAUAAUUUUUCAAUCCAAUCCAAUCCACGGAUUGAUAAAAUUCAAUCCAAAUUCAAUCCAUACAUCUGCGGAUCGGAUACGGAUUUGACUCAAUCCAUAUCCAAUCCAUACGUCUACGGAUCGUAUGCGGAUUUGACUCAAUCCAUAUGCAAUUCAUCAUUUUGUGCAUUAGUUUUCGAAUUAAAAAUUUUUAGUUCUCUCCAACUAAUGAAAUAAAAAAAUCUAAUAUAAAAAUAAUUUUGCUACCAAUUAAAUUUAAAAUUGAAAAAAAUUUAAAUAAAUUAAUUGUUUAAAUAAAGCUAAAAUAAUACAUUUAAAGUUUUAAAAUAUAACACAUCGAGACUAAUUAUUCAAAUAAAGCUACAAUAAUACGUUCAAAGUUUCAAAAUAUAACACACCAAGUUUAAUUGUUCAAAUAAAGUUACAAUAAUACGUUAAUAUAACACCGAAAUUAAUUGUUCAAAUAAAGCCACAAUUAAUUGAAAUGACGAAGUUUCGGAAACCAAACACAAUCUGAUCAUUCACCAGGGCUGUUGUACCUAUUGAAAAGUGGUGAUUACGGAGCCAUCUACGAUGGGAACCAGGAGAAGCCGUACGGGUGGCGAUCUUGAAGGUUGUGAUAGUGAAAUUGUUCAGUUAGAACCAGUGAAUGUGAAGUGGCUCGAUGGACUUGGGAAAGAAGAUGGCUUGCUCUCGCCAGAAUCGCGUGGCCGAUAUCCUUUAAAUCUGUGUCGAGAGUGUAUCCAACCAGUAUUGAGUGUUGCUAGUGUGUGUGACGGCGGGGAAGCUUAGGGUUUUUUGUUUGUAAAUUGUUGGUCACUUGGUGUUAUGUUACUUUGCUUUUAUUUUAUUUUACAAUUUUUACAAGUUAUAUUUGUAUAUUUGAUUAUUUAAUUAUUUUUCAUUUUAUAUUAUUAUUGGGCAAUGGUUAAGAUAUGUUAUAAUGCUUAGUAACUAUGCAAUGUCACAUUUGUAAUUUUUUAAUUUUAUAUAUAUAUAUAUAUAUAGAUAUAUUUUUUUUUUUUUACGGAUUCACGGAUUUAUGCGGAUUUACAGAAGUAAAUCCAUAUCCAAUCCAUCGACUGCGGAUUUUUAAAUUUUCAAUUCAUAUCCAAUCCACCAAUCCACGGAUCGGAUUUAUACGGAUCGGAUUCAGCGGAUCGGACGGAUUGAGCGGAUCGGAUUGGAUUCUGAACACCCCUAAUGCAAGCAAUAAAAAAAGGAAAAGGGUUAUUAUCAAAAACCUCCCUUGAGGUUUAGCGUAUUCUCAGUUUGAGAGAUUGGAUUCACGUAUUAUCAGCCACCUCCCCUGACGUUAGUAUACCGUUUAGUAUAAUUUGAGUUGGUGAGGAUAAAAUGGUAAUAGAACUCAUUAAUAAUAAAAAAUUCUAACAAACUUUAAAUUAUCACAUUCGAAUCGAGAAUGAUUUGAAGUUUGUUCAAAUCCAUUGGGUUUAAAAUCGAAGCAAGCAUUUAACCAAAAGAUAUUACCACUCUACCAAAAAAAAAAAAAUGGUUUGAUGUUCGUUCAUAUCCAUUGAGUAAAAACCAGAAGCAAGCAUUUAACCAAAAGAUACUAUCAAUCCACCUAAAAAGAAAGAGAAAUGGGUAUCUCCUUGCUCAGCUCAAACCAAUGCUACCGAGAACAACAUUCCAUCCAUUUUCUCCAUCUCUGUUAUGCUUUAGUAGAGAAAGAGUGCCAUAAGCAAGAAACAAUGACGACAAACCUGAAGACGCCAACACCAGGAACAACUGAAUCACGACCGCCAGGUGAAAGAAGACUGACCAGUGAGUUUCGUCGUCGACCCACAAACAACCCCAACUCGUCUGAGCCACGAAAAGGGUAUGAAAAUAAGCACACAUUUUAUAAAAGCAAAACCCAUAACCUCACUUGUUCAUGCUUUGAAACGAUGAUGUAAUAAUUAUUGCUUCGUAUGUGUGCUGUUAAAGUGGCCAAAUUUUUUUUUUUUGAACUUCUUUCGAACAUUUAGUAACGAGAUUAUGGUUUCAGAUCCCCAGUUGAGCAAUUCCCUGUUUCGUUGGAUAAAGAGGCUGAAUUUGAGUGGUUUGACCUUGCUGAAGUGAAUGAAAUUAUAGUGCCUGACUUGAAUGAAGCCGUAAUAACUUCAGAAUUUGAGAGCAAUAGUGUUAUUGUAGAAGAUUCAUUCAAAAAGCGGCAGCCAAUUGAGAUUGUACGAGAUGGGUCAGCCAAGAAUAUAACUGUUGAUGACUAUGUAGGGUGUGAAGAAAUAGUGGACAGUGAUAGUGGGGAUGAUGCUGGAAAUAAUAAUACUUGGGAUGCUGGUUUAGAUGACUACGAAUCAGCAGAUUAUAGUGGUUCAAACUCAGAUAUGUUGUCAGAUGAUGAAGUUCAGGAUGCGUGUAAUAGAUAUGAGGCCAAUUCAGAGGGUUUUGAGUUCAAUAUAGAUGGGGAAAUGAUUAUGUUGAGGGUUGGAGCAGUGUAUAGGAACGUGGAUGAGUUUAGGAAUGUGGUGAAAGUUUUUGCGAUACAAAAUGGUUUUAGGCUAAAAAGGGUAAAAAUGAAAAGAGUAGAGUCACACUGGCAUGUGCAGCAGUAUGUUGUACUUGGAGGGUUCACGCAAGUCCAAAUUGGAAUGGUAAACACUUUCAAAUCAAAACAUUCCGGCCUGAACACAUUUGUGCUAGAGGUAAUGAUAACUACGAAGCAAAUUCAACUUAGAUUGCUGCAACAUUUCUUCAUCUAUUUAGAGCCAACCCUCAGCUAAACAUUGAAGUAAUAGCAAGUGAGCUGCUUAGGAGAUUUGGUAUUAAAUGCAGUAAUCAGCAGUUGUAUAGGGCUAACAACAAGGCAUUGGAGCUGUUAGGGCAGGAUCAUAAGGCCAGUUAUACCAAACUAUACAGGUAUAUGCAUGCAAUUCUCAUCUCUAAUCCUGGUUCAACUGUAACUAUAGAUAGAGAUUGGUUAGGUGGUGGGCAGAACCCUCAUUUUAAAAAGUUCUUUGUUAUGUUUGAUGCAAAUAGGAGGGGGUUCUUUGAGGGAUGUAGACAGUUUACAGGGCUUGAUGGUUGUCAUCUAAAGGGGUUAUAUAAAGGUGUAUUGUUGUCUGCAGUUAGUAUAGAUGCUAAUAAUGGUAUCUACCCACUAGCAAUGUGUGUUGUUGAGAGUGAAAAUACUAACUCUUGGGUGUACUUUAUGAAUAAAUUAUAUGAGCAAAUAGGCUGUAAUGAUGGUAGUGGGUUGUGUUUCAUGAGUGAUAGGCAGAAGGGAAUUUUAAAUGCUUUGGAGAUAGUGUUUCCUGAAUCUUUGAAAAGGUAUUGUUGUAGGCAUAUAUAUGCUAACUUCAAGCAGAAAUUUCCUGGUGUACUAUUACGUAAUUCAUUCUGGAAAGCUUGUAGAAGUUCAAACCUAGCAGACUUCAACACUCACAUGUCUGAGUUGAAUAAUAUUCAUUCUGCAGCACAUGAUUGGCUGAUGCAGAUUCUAGUUUAUUGCUGGGCUAAGCAUAAAUUUCCAACGCACACAAAAUGCUCCCAUGUGACUAACAACAUGUCAGAGUCAUUCAACAACUGGAUUAAUAAUUUUAGGGGAUUGCCUAUUGUUAGGAUGGUAGAAGAGAUAAGAAGAAAGGUGAUGAAUCUGAUUCAUAGAAGGUAUGAGCAGGCUGUCAUGUGUCAAGAUGAACUGCCACUACAAGUUAGGAGGAGAAUACUAGAUGGAAGGGUGAAGUCCAGGUCCAUGUCAGUUAUAUUUGGGCAUAAUGAUACCUUUGAAGUUAUGGAGGAUGUUUCCAAGAGAAAAGUUGUCAAUUUAAAGGCCAAGGAGUGUGAUUGUGUGGAGUGGCAAUUGUCUGGUUUGCCUUGUGCUCAUGCACUAUGUUGCAUUGAUGCUAUGAGGUACAACGUCAAUGAUUUUGUGCAUCCUUUAUUGAAAGAAUGAAGCAUUGAAGAAGACUUAUAAGCAUCAGUACUAUCCAGUGCCUGAUGAAAGUAGGUGGCCUCCUGAAUUGCAUGAUAACAUGCUUCCACCUAUAAUCAUUAGAACUACUGGCAGGUCUCAAACGAAAAGGAGAAGAGAGGCGGAUGAAAACAGGGCAUUCAAGAGGAGUUCCAAUGUUAGGUGCAGUAAUUGCGAAGAGUGGGGGCAUAAUGUGAGGACAUGCAAAGUUGAUAAAGGGUUUAAAAAAAAUGACAAAGAAGAAAAAUUUAAAGUCAACACAGGUUACUUUGUGUAAUUAUAAGUUUUGAAGUUCUCUUUAUUUAAAUUUCCAGCUUAUAUAUCUGUUUAAUAAUCUCAUGAUUUGUUUACACUUCAACUCAAGGGAAAUGGAUCGGGGAUCAAUAAUGAAAGAGGACAGAGCUCAGGAGCCUAGAAUCAACUUGAGGCAGCAGCUGUCAUUGAAUCUGGAACGCAAGAAUUUGUCCAUGAUGAUGGUUUGAAUUUACUGAUUCAGCAACUCACUUUUCUUAAUUUAUUUGUUUAUAAACUAUUUCAUACUUGCUAAUACAAAUUUUUAUUAUUGAAGGACAAUUAACCCAAUCAUAGAGAGCUUGUAGAUGAUAAAUCCUGCAGCAACAACUUUAGUGGUAAGAAAUUUUUUUGUAUAGUAAUGACAGAGCCUAGACUAAUCCCAUACUACAAAUUUUUUGGAGGGAUGAGAUGAUACUUCACCUUACCUAUAUAAGCUUUAAAUUGUAUAGAUGUUGUAUCAUCUUUUUGUUCUUUUUUUUUGUGAACUGUGUGAUAGUGAAAAUACUCACACCAUUAACAAAGCAUUUCAGUUAAGUCAAAACUUAACAAACUGUUGAAAGUUGAUUUUUUUGUAAAUAUGGGUUGCUGUUGAUGUUGUAUUGGCUGAUUGUUUCACAGCCAUUGGUGACAGUUAACACUUGUGUUGUUGCUGGAUUUUAUUAAUAUUGAAAUAUCAUAUUACUACAUUUGGUUGCUUGAUGUUUUUAAGUUCAGUUUUAUUUGUUGAUGGAUUGGUUACAAGUGAUAUUGGAAUAUCACAUGAUUAGAUGUGUGAAUGUUCUUUGACAGAUGCUCAGAAAUUAUUAUUGUUUACUUUGUAGUUACAAUUUCUUUUUUGCUCGAACACAUUUGGAUGCUGAUAAUAGGUCAACUCAGUUAGUUUUUUUAAAAAAAUAUAUGAGUGGCAUGAUUGACUUUGUGUUUCAUUGCAAAUUAGAUUUAUAAAUAUAUUUCACUUAGAAAACACUAUUGCAUUUGAGUUAUAAAGUAGCAAAAAAAAAUUUAGUCAUCACUGGAACAUUUAGUUUAAAAAGCAUUAGACUUGGUGACACACUACAUAAGGUACAUCACAACAUUUAAAAGAAAGAAUAACACAUUGAAUACAACUAUAACCUUAGCAACAGUUGCAACCUUCGUAGGUUUUCGUGAUUUCUCCACUAUGGUCUUCAUUGUCUUCACGUCAUUUUCAAUUCUAGAUAGUACCGCAUAACAUACAUCUGUUGACACACAUCCUUCAAAUAAAGCUUCAUUGUUAAAAUCAUCUCUAUUUGGUGCCCACCACUUAAAAUAUCCACAACCAUUUUUUUUGGCACAACGGUAGUAAAGCAUAUGUGGAUUGUCAUCGGAUUCUGAAAUCUUCAAAUCAGCUCUCAUAUAGCAUUUGCAUAUCUUGUUUGAGAACCUAAUGAGCUUGCCAUUGACUGUAUUCCUCCAAGCAGGCUCAUAAAAUGUGCUUGAUCGAACAGAAUUGUUUGAACUUUGUGACUCCAUUGAUGUGCAAGAAUGUUCCAGCUUUGAAUAAUGCUGAGUUUUUUAAUUGAUUGAUGAAUAUAUCAGAGAUGGUUGAUAAAGAGAUGAAGUGAUAUUGGUAGUGUUGGGUUGGUGCCUUUGAAGUGAAAUGAAAGCUAAUUUUUUUCUUCAGUUUGAGUUCAAAGUGUAUGCUGCUUAUUUAGCUUGUUUAUGGCAGGUUAUAUAGCCACUGGUAUUGGCAAUAUAACCAUUAAAGGCAACAGUAAUAAUGUCAGUAACAACUGCAGUUCAAUUUCAAGUAUUAACUUCAAUAUUUCACAUCCUGUCCAAUAAUUAAAAAAAAUUGUAAUUGUUUGUUUAAUUCAUCCAAGUCAUUUUAGAAAGUCCAAAAGAUGAUUUGGUAUUUUUAUUGACCAUUUUGGCACCAAAACAUACAUGUUAUUAUCAACGCACAAUUCUUUAAUUUGUGUACAGAAAGAUAUUUUCCCACAAUAGGGGUAUUUUCAUCAUUUUAUUAAUCAAUAAACGGUCAAACAAACAAGUUAUUAACGUCGGGGGAGGUGGCUGAUAAUAUGCGAAUACAAUCUCCCAAACUGAAAAAUACGCUAAACCUCAGGGGAGGUUUCUGAUAAUAACCCAAAAGAGCAGGCAGCCAAACACCAAAAAAAAAAAAUUGGGAGCAACCGGUUGCAAAUAAAUUAAAUAAUAAUAAAAAUAAUAAUAUUCAAUUAUAAGAAAUAAAAUAAUAAUAAAAUAAUCAUUAUUAAAGGACAUAACAAAAAAAUUAUUUUUAUAAUAAUAAAAAAGGAGUUUCAAGUUUAAUGGUAUAGGUAUCAAGUUAAUGGUCUUAAUUUCAUGUUUAUUGGUUCAUUAAUUUCAUUAUUUUUAUGGUUGCGAGUUAAUGAUCUCAUGGUUCAUGUUUAUUGCCCUAGGUUUCAAUUUCCUUCAAUUUCAAGUUUAAUGGUCAAGGUAUCAACUUAGUGGUCACGGUUUCAUAUUUAUUGGUCCAUUAAUUUAAUGAUUUUUAUGGUUGCAAGCUAAUGAUAACAUAUUUUAUGUUUAUUACCAUCCGUUUCAUGUUCCUUUGGUUUCAUAUUUAAUGGUUCGGGUAUCAAGUUAAUGAUUAUGAUUUCAUGUUUAUUGAUUCAUUAAUUAAAUAAUUUUUAUGGUUGCAAGUUAAUGAUCUCAUGUUUCACGUUUAUCUUUGCAUAUAUAUAUAUAUAUAUAUAUAUAUAUAUCUAAUCACCGUAAAAUUUUGACAUGUUUUUUGCACCACUUUUGUUUCUCAACUUGCAUCGGUCAACCACUUUGAUACUAAAAAUGACUAUUUUACCCCCAAAUAAAUUAAAAUAUUAUUUUAUUUUUUAAAAUUUUAAAAAAUAAAAAUAUAAUUACAAGAAUACCCCUAAAUUAAUAAAACAAAUAAAUCUCAAAAUCUAAGAUGUUAAUGUUUUAUAAUUAUAAUUUCAUUUAAUUUUUGUAAGUAAAUUAAGUAUGGCAAAGUUUACAAAAAUUAACAUGAAGAAAAGAGUACCUUAUAAUUAUUGUAAACUUCCCUAUAAUUAAAAUUAACAAAUUUUUCUAUACAAAUUGAAGAUUCUACUAUAAGAAUAACUAGUUUUGAAGUCCAACAAAAAUACACUCACUAGUUGUGUUCUUGGAAUAUCGGCUUACAAAGUAGGACUUGUUACAAAUAUAACAUAUACAAUCACCAACAUAUAGGUUUUCUAUUAACCAUCAGCAGCAGAUACAAAACUUCCAAACCCAUAAUUAGAUAGUGUUAUACAUGAUCAUAUUAGGCAAGGAUUUGUGACAAAUGUCAAAUAACCAAAGUUUAGAUAUAAGCAAUAAAAUGAAAAUAUUAUUAAAAUAGUUGUAAAGCUUACCUAUUGAAGGAAAAUUACAGCAAGAAACAAUCACAACAUAUUCAAGUUGGAGUUGGAUUGCACUUGGAGUGGUGAUACUUGACCCUCUCAUUAUAUUUCACUAACCCCUAUUUUUUUAGUAAACCCUAUUAAAAAUUUUAAACUAAUCUUUAUCUCUCAACAUAUCCCAUCUUAUAUCGAAUUUACCCUUAUUAUAAUUUUUAUCUUUUUUCCAUAACAUCGUAUAAAACUUACAAAAUCUAUUUUAAAAGAAAAAAAAUUUAGAGUUACUAUAAUCUCUCUCUUUCUUUUUAAAAGUUUUAUUCACCAUGACCAUAACCGUAAAAAAAAUUGAGUUUUCUUCAUCAUCCUCUAUUGAGUAUUGCAAAUUAACUUCUUUCAUGAUUACAAAAAUAGAGUAUACAAUAAUUGAGAAGAGAAAAUAAUUUAAAAAAAGUUAAAAUAAAUUAAGGUUAAAGAAAUUAGAUUAGCUAAAUUAGAUAUUAAUAGAAAUUAUCAUUAUGAGUACACUUAAAAACUAUUUAUCCUUUUAAGUCAUUUCAUAUAAGGAUAAAAUAGUUAUUAGUAUAAAAAUGAUUAGUGAAGGUUGGUGAAAUAUAAUGAGGGAGUCAAAUAUGACAACUCUUGCACUUAAAGAGCAUCCAAGCACACACAAAAAAAAAAAAAAAAAAAAAUUAAUAAUAAUAGUUAUGUUCUUUCCCAUAGCUUUUAUAAGUUUUCCUAGCCCAAGUAUCUCCUCAUUCUUGCUUAAUUCUUUCGGCCCUUUUAACCCUUCAAGUUAUUUGAGCCCACUCCAGCUUCAAUCACCAUUUCAUUUUCCCGCCUCUGUGUUUUGUGCUCCAGACACAUAUGGGUGCUUUAUUGCACUUUAAGAAAUUAGAUUAGCUAAAUUAGAUAUUAAUAGAAAUUAUCAUGUGGGUGUAUUUUAAAAGCUAUUUAUCCUUUUAAGUCAUUUUAUAUAAGGAUAAAAUAAUUAUUAGUAUAAAAAUAAUUAGUAGAGGCUGAUGAGAUAUAAAGAGGGAGUUAAAUAUGACAGCUCUUGCACUUAAAGAGCAUCCAAGCACACAAAAAAAGAAAAAAAUACUAGUAAUGUUUUUCCCGUAGUUUUUAUAAGUUUUCCUGGCCAUAGCAUCCCUUCCGUCUAGCUUAAUUCUUUCGGCCCUUUUUACCCUUCAAGUUGUUUGAGCCCAUUGAGCCCACUGCAGCUUCAAUCAUCAUUUCAUUUUCCCGCUUGUGUGUUCUGCUCGGCGGAUAUUGUCGGCCAUUAGUGUUCCUGAAUUAUUCCUUUUUUUCGUCAUUUACGCAUCUCACGGUCUUCAAUUAACUUUAGAAAAGUAGACAUAUCACAAAAUUGAACUCCUAGUGAAAAGAGUGUAGUAAUUAGUAAAGAGAAAAAUCAAUUUCUCCUUGCUUUUUUUUUUUUUCAAGUGAGAGAGUUGUUUUCUCUUUUUUUUUUUCAUUUUAUUAAAAAAAUUGUUUAAUCCUCUAUUCUUUUGUUUAUCGGUAAUUUUUUAACCCAAUAAGUUUAAAAAUUUCCCACAUAAAGUGCUUGUGUAUAAUUUUAUCUUCAAUAUUUUUUCAAAUUUCACUAUAAUUAUUGCAUGUCAUAAUUCCCUAACAAACACAAAAUUCCUCUGCAGCUAAUAUAAGGCAGCUUCUGAGAAAUUAUUGGGCGUACUUCAAAAAGGAAAAAGAAAUUAAAUUUUGAAAUUUUGUUUCAAAAUAAUUUUCAUAGAUAUUUAUCAUAAAUCUUUUUUUCUAAGUCUUCUAAUUCCAACUCACAGUCAGCAAGUUAAACUGUCAUUCUAGGCAUCGUCAUUGAAAUUACCGAAUCUUUAAUUCGAAGAGGGUGUUUGUGUACUUAGGAUUUUAUAGUUCCUGGACGUCAGGAUUUUAUGGCUUUCUUCAUGCCAAAACAAUGAAUUCAAAGUGUAUUUGAUCAUUCCCUUUUUAUCAUAUUCUUUAUUCAUUAUUUUGUUUUUGUUUUCACAGACGAGAUAGGGACUCAGCUAUCUUGCAACAGUUGCAAGGUACCACCAAAUUUUGUCUUUUUCUUGAUUUCAGUCAUUUGCCAUUAGAUUUAAUAAAAAUGUAGUUUCAAUGGUAGAGAUUUGUACAUUUAAAUAUUAACAUUACACUUCUUGAUAUUUAUUAAAAGCACAAACAAGUUAAAAAUAUAAAAAUUUUAGCACAUAAGUCCGGAUUGUUUACAAUUUAUAUUGUUUAAUUAGUAGUGAGUAUUAAAAAUAAAUUUUAUUUUUUAAUAUUAUAUAUUUUAUUUAAAAGAAUAAAUUUUUAAUAUUACAUUUUAAAGGUCACUAGCUAAACUAUAUAAACUUAUAAAUAAAAUGUAAAUAAGAAAAAAAAUAAGCGGUUAAAUGAAAUUUAACGUUACAUAAGAUAAAAAAUAGUGGCUAGCUGGACCCACGAGAUAGUUGUAUUUACUUGUAUUUAUAUGCGUACUUUCGGACUCAUGUCCCUGUGUGAGUGGGAGAAAUUUCUUGUUAGUGCAGAGAUAUAUUUUAUUUCGUAUAUUUACUUCUCUAUUGAAGGUUCUGCUAUUGUAACCAAAAAUGCAUUUUUUUGAACUACUUCUGAGUUGAUAUGAUACUAGAGCUUGUGGCGAUUAUUUAUUUUGACAGUUCAAUUGGUGUCUAAUUAUAAUUUUAUUGAAGAAAAGAUAAACAGAAUGUAGAAAAAGAUAAAAGAAAUAAAAUUUCUGGAUGAAUAAAAGUCUGAAAAAGAUAAAAGACAAAAUCAUCUGCUUUGGGAUUCCAAAUUUAAUUUCUGAUCAAAAUCUCUUAAUAUUGUCCGAAUUUAGUUUAAUUUCUCCUCAAAAGUAGAGUUUGGGCCGACAACAGAAUUUUAGAAAAAUUAAAGAAUUAUUUUCUUUCUUUCCUGCGGUCCAUGAAUCAUUCUUUUUCUCAUUUCAAUUUCUACCUGCGUUGUCACUACUUUACUCAUUGCCCAACCUCACAUUAGUCUUCAGUGAAAUUAUUUAAUAUCACCUUUUGAAAAGUAGACAAUUUAUACUUUACCGGAACAAUCAGAUGAAAUUAUCACGAAACUUGCUGGUAGAUUCGAGGGAGUAGCCUGCUAAAGGCAUCUAUUCUCCGAUUAAAGUAUCUUUUUGGCCUAUUGUGUUUGCCUCUGGUCUAUUACUGUCCAAGCAUUUAGAGAAGUAAUUAAUCCAAAGAGGUGCUAUAUCGUAGAGAUAAGAUGCUCGAUUCAGUAUGUUCCAUCAAACAAUUGCUCCACCAUUUGGCAUUUUUGUAGAUAAGCUAUCUUAAUCUGAUUAUUUUUUCUUUUGAAUUGGUGUGCACGUCAACGUGGGAUUGUUUUUAAGAGCACAAAUACAGAAUUUUAUUGCUAGCCAAUUGCGAUAUGGAACAAUUAUGUGGUGAAUUGUUUUAUGCUCUCUGACAAACUCUUUGUUACAAGAGUUGAUUUUGAACAUUCAGUUAAUCCUGUUAAAAGCUCUGUUCAGUCAUUCUUCUUUGCCUUUGGUCUACUGUGUUGCAUAUUUUUAAAGGAAUCAGUUCACAAAUAUUGGCCAUAUGGAACACUGUUGCUCUUCAUAUUAAGUUUUAACUUCACAGCUUCCAUAAAAUUUACUGCCACAUCAACUAAGUUAACUGCAUGUUUUAUUUUAUUGGUUCUUCCUUAUUGAAGUUUACUUGCUUUUGACUCUAAAGUCCAAGCACAAUUUGAACUUGGACCUUGGCUGUAUCUUUCACAGCAUGACAAUUUGAUUUUCCCCUCAAUCUUUUAUAAUGUCUCUGCCUUUUCCUACUUGAAAAAAGAUAGCCACUGGCAUCAUUAGACCAAGACUGCACUCAUAAGAUAUGAAAAAAGACACAGAUAUCCCAAUUAUAAACAAAGAAUUAGCAAAAUAGAUCAAGAAAAGAAGAUGAACACAUACAGAUUUUGAUGGUUCAGCCACCACGUGGCCUACUUCCAUGCAAGUGACAAAUCGAUUGAUUUAUUGAUUUAACGAUCUAAAGAUUACAAGAAUAUUAAAAACUUUACAUAGAACAAUUUAUAAUAGGAAAUAUCCCUGUAAUCGCUCUCUUAAGUCAAGAAACCGAUUUCAGAGAUUUGCCGCUCUUUCUAACACACUUGACAGAGGUUUGGCAAAAUUUAGGUCAGAACAAGCGACUAACGUGUGUAUCACAUGUGACCACAAUUUUGCUAUAAAACCAGACUUGCAUUGGACUUGAACGAUUAAAAUGUAAAACUUCAAUGUACAAAACUCAGUCGUUUUGCAGCCGUUUGAUUAACCAUCAACAACUUGUAAUCCUCUGACAGUUUGAAACCAGAACAUAAUUAGUAUAAGCACAUAAAUUUUAGGAUCGAUUUAGACAUGGUAUGGUUUGAGUAUUUCUAACACUUCCUAGUGAUGCAUCUAUAGGAGUUUCUUUUAGAAAAUAUAUCAUUAAAUUGACCAUCUUGACCAUUGACCAUCGUCUGAUUAUUAUUUUUUUUUAUCUCGCUUACCACGUUGAUAGUGCGGCAUUUUGGGUACUACAAAAAGCACAACAACGAUUAAAGAGCUGCUUCAAAUAAUUCAUCUUUCACUUUUGUUGGGUGAAGUGCCGCUUAACUACUCCAUGAUCCCCCCAGCACUUGAAGAGGGUACGUGUUUGUGUACUUAAGACUAUCUAUAGUUUCUAUUUGUUGGGACUGUACGGUCUGCCCUUCUGUCAUAACAAUGGAUUCAAAGUGUAUUUGAAUUCCACUUAUCAUAUUAAUUAUUCUGUUCAUUAUUUUGUUUUUGCUUUUUCGUUUUCAUUUUUCAUUAAUCCUCCCCUCAUUUUUUGAGGAUAUAAAUUACUUAUUUGAUCAGCUCUAGUGGUAUGUACAUAUACAUACAUACAUACAUACAUACAUACAUACAUAUAUAUAAAUUUUUACAAAAAGAUGAUUUUGUCUUUGUAAUGUAAGUUUAACAAAGGUUAUAUUUGUUGAUUUAUACAUAUAAUAGAUUGUUUGAAUCUCCUAACAAGAGGAACAAAAGUAAUUACAAAUGAUUUGUCAAAUUUUGUUAAGUUACAAAAUAGUAUAUUAUACACUCAAAUCUAACAUCAAAUACAUAGCAAACAACAACUUCAAAAGCAAAAUCCCUAGAAGCAACUCCCAUAUCUUCAUCAACCAACGGCUUCAAAAGCAUCCCAUGAUUUUUGUUAAAAAUUCAUAGUUUCAUGACUGCAUAUUUUUAUUGAGUGAAGCCUUGCUUAAAAAACCCAUUCCACGAUCCCAGUCCCACCACGCACUUUGUAUAAAAUUCAAUUUAUUAGAAUAAUUAAAAUCAUUAGUAGAGGAAUUCAACCAACAACUUCAAAAGCAUCCCAUGAUUUUUGUCGAUAAUUCAUAGUUUCAUGACUGCAUACUUUUAUUACGUGAAGCCUUGCUUAAACAACCCAUUCCAAGAUCCCAGUCCCACCAUGUACCAUUUGGAAAUAUCACAUUUUAUUCCCCAAUGCGACAUAUUUUCUUCUCCAUUGAAGGUUCUCUGAAUGCUAUUAACCAAAAAAUGCAACAUUCUGUUCUGUUUAUGAAUUGGGAUUAUUUGCUUCUGGCUGUCACUGACUCAUUGACCAUUAGCAAUAUAGCAUUAGGUAGUGCCAGCUCUUUUCUUUUUUGUCUUUGUCUUCUCUAAUUCGAGCUACAAAUCCAUGUUCCGAUGAAUUCCUUUUCCAUCUCCUCUCCAUUGUUUGGCUUCAAUAUUUUGGAUUUGAAGUAAAUUUUCCGCAUAUUUAUUUUGCAUCAACCUUAACAUCGUAUGUGAAAAAAUUCUGCAUAUUUAUUUUGUCCUACAGAGACGAUUUUUUUGAAAUUCACAUACAAUAACAUAAGGCAGCUUCAAAGAAAUUACUGGGUGGAGUUCAAAAUGAGAAAAGAAAUUAAAUUUUAUUGGACCACCGUCAUGAAAUUUUAAAUUUUUUGGACCACAAUCCGCCUUUGUCUUUUCAUGUGAUUGCAAGCUACUCGAUGACAUUGACUGAUCAUUGACCAUUUGGUGCUCUCUUCCCUUCGUCUUCUAAUUCAACUUACCGUCAUCAAAUUAAACUGUCAUUCACAUAAUAUACGGCAAAUAUCAAUCACAUAAAGCGUACACGGAUAAGUCAGUGUUUACGGGGAAAGAUAAAAAAAAAAAAUAUUCCACUAUUAAAAUGGGGAAUAUAAAUAUUGAAAUAUUUAUCUUACAAUCCAAAUUCUUAAUACAAUCAAGUUCUCAGAUCACUUGAGAACAUUUUAGUUAUCUCAGUUACUAAAGAAUUGCAUUUUAGUUAUCUCAGUUACUAAAGAUUGCUUUUCAUAAAACACACGUUAAGUUUUCAAAUUGUUGGAGAACUUUUCUCACACUGGCUCAUGAAUUUUGCAUCCAAUUUAUAAACAAAUCUAGAUUUCAAAUGUAAAAUUAUGAUUUUUUGUCCUUCACAUCCAGCAUCCAGGAAGGCUCAAGGAAAGUAAGUAAUCGUGAGUAUGAAUCUAUUAAAAAAUAUGCUCUGAGAUUAAUUGUUCUUUUAAAUUAAUUGGUCUUUUAUUUUAUUUUUAUUAUUUUCCUUAGUGACGGUGGUGAAUAGUAUUUACGCCUUUUUUUUUAUUAUUAAUUUUUAGCUAUCAUUCCCUAUUUCUUUCCUUUGGAAAAACGCGGUUCAACAGUAACCAUAAAGCUGCAUUUAAUUGUGGAGGGUGCACAAGAGUAAUAUAGAGUGUUUUAGUCUAUUCAGUGUGCAAAUAACCCAAUGUUAUAAGAGUUAUGAAUAUAUGUUGUAUGUAUUUGUAAUAUUUUUGUUUUGGGCGGGGGUUAUAUUAAUUUAAGAAUUUAAUUUAAAUCUAGACAUUAAAAUAUGACCAUUUAUUUCGUUCAAUCAAUUAACACACGAGGAUUGUUUGUUGAUUGGAGAGGCUAAAACUGAGUGGGAAAGUAAAGCAACAGAGGAAUAGAAAAGAUCUAUGACAAAGAUCGAUGAACAGAAGUGGAGAGGAACAACAGUGGGCAUGAUCUAAUAUUGAAUUACAAAUAUGUUGGCCUUACGGAAUAUGUCGUUGACAAAAUUAUGGAGUAUUGAUUUCUUGGGGAUGAAUAUGAUUUGUGAGAAUGGGGAUGAAUUUUGAUUCCCCCAAUUUAGGUUAGGAAUUGCUAUUACUAGUAUAAUCGUUGAGGAAUGAGGAAAAAGAGUCGGUAUUCUCUCUCUCUUCCUUUAUUAAGUUUUAAUAUGUCAUCUAUGCUUUUUGUUUUCUGAAUCUUAUUUAUUAAAGUUUUACUAUCACAUAAUCAAUCAUCUCAUACCUUAGAUUGAAUUAAAUAAAUUUUAAAGUUUUGAUGCUUAGAUUACAAUCAUAUUCUUAAGUUAAAAUAUCCCCUCCCGUUUGUUUUUUAUCUAAAAAAAGAAAAAAAACAUUGGUACUAAAAAAUAAAUAAUCUUAUUUUUACUAAAAAUACAAUAUUUUUAGUCUUCUAAUUUGUUUAUUUUAAAAGUAACUCAUUCACUGCUUUGCAAAAUCAAAAUCUCCUGUGGCAAUGAAUUGAUUUUACAAGAAGUAAUUUUAAUAGUUUUUACCAACCAUUUAAAUUCAUCAUUAGCUUCUCAAUAUCACUUUUGAAAAUCCCAACAACAAUCUCAAAUUGGUCAAUAAAUUACUUCAUUUUCUAAAUAGUAAACAUAAAAUGAUGGAAAUAAUUUUUAUAUCAUGAAAGUAAAAAUAAUUUUAUUAUUUGCAUCAAAUUAAUAUUAUUUAGAUAUAUUUAUAUUUAAUUAUUAUGUUAUUAAAUUAUCAAAUAAUAAAAAUAAUAUUUUUAUUCACAAUAAGACAAAUUUAGAGAAAAAUUAGAUGGUGUUUGCUAGGAAACUUAAGAGAAAAAUUAAUAUGGAACUGUCCCACCACUUGGGAUUCUUUCACGUAGCGUUUCAGUGGAUCUCAUUGAAUUUUAUUUUGAAAAAGGAUAUUAUCAUUUUCCCACCAAAGUUAUUCUGACACAUCAUGUCAAUACCACGGUUUGGUAAAACUAUCAAUUUACUACCAAACAUUUAAACUGUUAGCAUUUUCCUACCAUUCCGUUAAAACUCAGUUAAUAUGUAACGAAAUUUUUUUAAAAGGUCAAAUUUACCCUUGGAGCAUAAAAGAUCAUGUAAUUAAUCUUUUAUGAAUUUUGUAAUUAAAUCAUCAUUUGUUGUUCUUCCUUCUUAAAGGAUAAAAAUUACCCUUUAUGAAUUUUGUAAAAUUGACCGUGUGGUGUUAGGUACUUCAUAAAUUGAUUUAAUUUAUUUAAUUUUUAAAGGGCAAAUUUAUUUAUUUAAUUUUGUGUAAAAUUAUUAUCAUCAUAUCAAAGAUUAAAUUGCUUCUUUUGCACAUUCUUUUUUUUUUUCCCUUUCAUAAAUUGAUUUUUAGUAGUAGAAUAAAUUGUCUUUAGCUCGUCAAUUUAAUAAAUAAAUUUGCCCUUUAAAAAUUAAAUAAAUUAAAUCAAUUUAUGAAGUACCUAGCACCACACGGUCAAUUUUACAAAAUUUAUAAAGGGUAAUUUUUGUCCUUUAAGAAGGAAGAACAACAAAUGAUGAUUUAAUUACAAAAUUCAUAAAAGGUUAAUUACAUGGUCUUUUACGCUACAGGGGUAAAAUUGACCUUUUAUGAAUUUUCUAUUACAUAUUAACUGAGUUUUAACGGAAUUGUGGGAAAAUGCUAACAGUUUAAACGUUUGGUGGUAAAUUGAUAGUUUUACCAAACUGUGGUACUAACAUGAUGUGUCAGAAUACUUUUGGUGAGAAAAUGAUAAUAUCCCUUUUGAAAAAUCAAUUGAUAAUACUGGGAUGGUAUAGCCUGGUAGGGUGAUACUCUAAGCGGUCCCUUUAACCUUUUUAGUUGUCGUACACGAAUUAUUUCUUCAUUUGGAAUAAAAAUCAACAAAGCUGCAUCUUCACUGAAAUUAUUGUCCACAGUGCUUCCAGGAAAAUGAGAUAAAGAUAAUUUUAAAGAAACUUUUAGGAAGAUUCCAAGCAUUAAUAAUUAUUUAUAUUUAUUUAUAAUAAAUUACUUUUAAUAAUAAUAAUUUAUAUCAUGAGUAUUUUUAUUAUAAAAUUUUUAUAUGAAUGUAAGUGCAUAAAAUAAUUGUUUAGAGUGUAAAUAAUCUCGUCUAAUUGAUAAUCCUCGCUAAUCAAAUACAAUUUGUUAAUAGGGCACGAGUCACUGCCCCCUUGAGAAUUGAGCACAGAAGCAUUUACUAUUUUCUAUGGUGGAUUGUUGGGAAAUUUACACCCUUUCCACCUUUUUAGCUGCAUUUACUAUUUUCUUUCUUCACUUGAUUAUACAAUUUGAUUAUCAAGAAACAACCUGGAAGGUUCCAAGCAUCGUUUUACUCUGCACAGAUACUGCAGUCACCAACGUUUGCUCGAGAAAAAUACGACGAAUUUUCCGGGAAAUUUUUGCUUUUUCUCUUCAAACUUAAAGUUUGGGGGCAGAAAUGUUAAAGGUUUAAAGGUGGGUACAAUUAUUCUUCUUUUUGUUAUUUACGCAUUGCCUUCCAUUCACAUUAGUCGGUCUUCAAUUAAUUUUAGAUAAGGAGAUGAAACUACCAUAAAAUUAACUCCAAGUGAGGGACUACUGAAGCAGCCAUAUAUUUCCACGCGCAUUUUAUUCAAUUAAUUUACUUAUGAUCACAUCCCACAUCAUAUUAUUAUUGUAUCAACUUGCACGGCCGUAACAAUUAACAGAAAUUUUCAUUAAAAUUAUUACAUUAAUUUUUAAAUAGAAAUAAGAAAAAAAUUCUUAAUAGUGAAAAAACAUAAGAUGAAAUCGUGUGUCGUUUGUCACGAGUCAAACUUUUGAGAAAAAUACACGAAUGAAUGUGGCGCGUAAAAGGUGUUGAUGUACUAUCAACAUUUUCAUUUUAUUUUUAUUUUUCUUGAACUUUCAUAUUUUUUUUAUAAGCUGUCAUCAAUUAUUUGGGUCUUCCUAAGCUACAACUCAUGUAAUUUGAUUUUUACAUGUUUCGCAUGAGUUGUAAAUUACAUAUUUUUACAUGUUUUGCAUGGAUUGUAAAUUAUAUGAAUUGUAAAUUAGCAAAACCCUUAUCACGAAACUUAAGUCUCAGGAAGAUUCCCACUUCCAAGCAUAAUGUGUUCUUGAUUUCAUCUCGUCGAAAUUUCGAAGUUGGUAACUGCUUUUGGUAAUUAUAUCUUCAUCACUUGCAAUCUUUUAUUGCUUUUCCAAGUUAAUUUUUAGGGUAAGUAUCAUAAACCUCUGCUAGAUUUGAUUUAUUCACAGUUUCAUAGAUUGUAUUCGUAUAUUCUCAAAUACCUCCCUUAACGUUAGUAUAAUGUUUCUUUGAUUGUUUGUUGCACAAUAAAUGAUCAAAAUACUCCAGCAAAAAUUAUUUUAUACUGAAAAUAAAUAAUUCUGUACCAACAUGUUUGAUUUGGCGCCAAGGGAUGUAAAUAUAAAUAAAAUACCAAAUCACCCCCCACUACUUUUUAAAAUGACUUUGAUGGAUGAAACAAACAAAAGAUUUGACUUAUGUCAAAUAUCAGCGAAUUCGAAAGGAAGCUUUUUUGCACUUUGCCUCAUUGCUCUGCUUUCUACAUCAAAUUUCUUUAAUCUUGGUGAAGAUUUUGGUGUCCCGAUUUGUGUCUCUCUCUCUAAUUUUCUAUUUUUCAUUUCAUGAGCACAUCUUCCCUUAAAAUUGUAGAGAUACUAUAUGAAAUCACCAAACCCUGAAAAUAUUAUAUUAGAGAAAAAAAAACAAUUAUAACUUAAACAAUAUUUGUAAUCAGCAUUUGCACUUUCAUUCAUGGUUAAUUUCUUUUAUACAUAACGAAAGCUUGAUUAGGGAGAGAGAAUUUUAGUCGAUCCCAAAAGAUAUUCAUAAGAAAAAAAAUUAUUGGUUAAAUUCAAGCCUUGAGCAAUAAUAAAUUUUUGGCCAAAUCGAAAUAUAUAACAACUUCAUGCAAUUUUAAUUCAGUUGAAUAAUAAAUGGGUUUUCAUGAUCACGUAUAAAUUUUCUCGCGCAAUCAAUUAUCUCGUCGCAGUCAGCUUUCUAGUAUCCAUUCUGCAUUCAACUAACCUAUCCUGUUCUAUCUCUUCAAUUAAUUUAUUUCGUGAGCUUUGUCAAACUAAUCAAAUUCAUUAAUGGAGCAAAACCGUGAAGGAUUAUUUUUCAAACUUUUGAAGAAAAUAAACAUGUUAGCAACCAGUCAGGGGCAUGAAAAUGGUUGUGCAUAUAUAUCUUUGUUGACAAUUCCUCUUUGAAAUUAAUUGUCUUUUAUAUUAUCUAUCGAAAUGUAACAUAUCUGAUCGCAUGGAUUAAUUUAGAGGAUACAUAAUUUCAAUGAAAGACUACUAAUCGAGGGCAAUUUCGAUUCUGAUUGAAUGGUAGAUGUAUAUAUGAGCAUCAUUCUAAUCAUUAAAUUGAUAAAAUUAGGAAGUUAACUUCGAUCCAACAAUUAACUUUAAUGGAGCAGCAGGGAAUUGUUUUGUUUAUGUUAGAGUUAUUUUAUUAAUAAAAAAUUGGGUUAUUAUUAUUUCACUACUUCAAAAAUUGUGAAAUAUCAAAUGACUACAACAAGUAUUGUCUCUUAUCAUUUUUCUAUCAUAUCUGUAUAAAAUUAUCAUUUAACUACUUUUUUAUUAUAACCAUUAGUUGACCAGUUAAUUGACUAGUUAAUUGUUGAAUAAUUUUAACCAUUAGUUUAUAAAAUUAUCAAAAUUUUCUGGUCAAAAUCUUUGAACACUGUAGUUAAUUGAAUGAAACACGUCGCAUUUUCUGGGAAAUAUUUUAGCUUUUUGUCAUUGCCUCACAUUAGUCGGUCUUCAGUGGUAGUGAAGCAUCCAUAUCUCUUACGUGCAUUUCAUUCAAUUAAUUAAUUAUCAUCACAUCCCACAUUAUUGUUUCACCUUGCACCGUCCGAAUAACUAACAAGAAUCUUUAUUGAAAUUAUUGUGCCACUUUUAGAAAAGAGAUAGGGAAAAAGUUGAAUUCACAAGUCCAACUUUAAAAAGGCAGAAAAAAAAAAAAGGACUGGAGUAGAUGUCACAGGUAUUAAAUGCAUUGAUGAGGUUUCAACAUUUUUUAAAAAUAUUUUUAUAUAAUUUUUUACCAAAGUUCAAAUAACUAUUUUCAAUUAGUUUUAAAGUAAUAUAUAUAAGAUGAUGAUGAUAAUACGGGAUCAACAUCAACAUAAAAUUCAUUGGUGCUCCAUCAACAUUGAUUUUCCCAUCUCUUCAGUAAAUGUUUUACAUAUUUAUUUUGCAUCUAAUUUAAUAUUAUUGAAAGUUAAUAGACGUGAUUAGUAAUAAAUAGAAGACUAAAAAUAUUUAAAGAAAUAGAGCUAAGCGUGCUGCGUGCAUGAAAUUGCAUCUAUACUUUACCAAAGGGAAAAAAAAUUGCCACGCAACAGCGUGGAAGGUUCAGAGAAAAUAUUUGUUAGCGUUUUCUUUUUGUUAAAUAUAAUUGGUUGAAUUUUUUAUUUUUUAUUUUUUUAAAAUAGAAAACUAUAUUACAAAACUUCCCGGUAGGUUCCAAGGAACUAUCUAAUAAAGCAUCUUUAUAUAACCUCCAUAGACACAGCCGCAUUAAAUUAUUUUCACAUCCCAAAUUUUCACAUCUGAUCAAUUUUCUCAUCACUGAACUGUUAUGGCUUCUUCUUCUUCUUGUCCACCUCGAAACGCUAAGAAGAUGUAUGAUGUUUUUCUGAGUUUCAGAGGAGAGGACACCCGUGACAACUUUACUAGCAUUCUUCACUAUGUUUUGUCUCUGAAAAGUAUCAAAACUUUCAUUGAUGACCAACUUAUCAGAGGAGAGAACAUUUCACAUUCUCUUCUUGAUACAAUUGAAGCAUCGAGCAUUUCAAUUAUCAUUUUCUCAGAAAGGUAUGCUUCUUCUAGAUGGUGUCUCGAUGAACUUUUGAAGAUCCUCGAAUGCAAGCACGAAUAUGGACAGAUUGUGAUUCCAGUUUUCUAUCACGUUGAACCAUCACAUGUGAGAUCGCAAAGCCAGGAUUCUUCUUUUGGGAAGUAUUUUAGUGGGCUUGAAACACGUUAUCCAGAGAAGAUGCAAAGAUGGAAGAAUGCUUUGACCGAAGCAGCCAAUCUCUCUGGCUUUGAUUCUAAUGUCAUUAGGUACGAUAAUUUUCUGUCUAAUUCUUAGUAUUAAUCUAGUACAAGUAAUAAUAUAUAACAUUAACUAUGACUAUGUGUUUAAAUAUUUAUCAAUAAUAUAUCAAUUAAAUCGUUCUUAAUUAUAAGGAUUAGGUUAUUUUCUUGCACAUUUGAAUAAGUUUCCAAUUAAAUAGCUAUUUGAUGAAAUUGAUCUUCACAUUCUAUUAAUUAGCCAUUUUAUAUUGCAACUAAUUAAAAACACACGAUUCUCUGUCUCGUUUACAUAUAUUUGAACUAAUUGCUGUUAUUUUUUUAACUAGGCCUGAAUCUAAACUUAUUGAGGAAAUUGCCAAUGAAGUUUUGAAGGGGCUAGAUGAAACUUUUCAAAGUGAUAACAAAGACUUGGUUGGAGUUGAAUGCCCCAUUGAAGAAAUCGAAUCAUUAUUACACAUUGAGUCUGAGGGUGUUUACAAACUAGGGAUUUGGGGCAUCGGUGGUAUAGGCAAGACAACAAUCGCUGAUGCUGUUUUUAACAAAAUCUCUAGACAUUUUGAAGGUUCUUACUUUGCGCAAAAUGUUAGAGAAGCAGAAGAAACUGGCGGAAUGAAGGACUUACAGAAGGAACUUCUGUCCAAGUUAUUGAAUGAUAGAAAUGUGAGGAACAUCGAGUCUCAACUCAACAGACUUGCUCGCAAGAAGGUUCUAAUUGUUUUUGAUGAUGUGACUCAUCCAAGACAAAUAGAAUCAUUAAUUAGACGCCUUGAUCGGUUAGCUUCAGGGAGUCGAGUGAUAAUAACAACAAGGGAUAAACAAGUUCUUAAAAAUUGUCGGGCCAGGCAAAUAUAUCGGAUGAAGGAAUUAGAAGAUGCUGAUGCUCAUAAGCUAUUCUGUCAGUGUGCUUUUGGAGGAGACCAUCCAGAUACAAGUCAUACAGAGCUCAUAGACAAGGCAAUCAAAUAUGCGCAGGGGGUUCCUUUAGCUCUUAAAGUUUUGGGUCGCCAUCUAUGCGGAAGGAGCAAAGAGGAAUGGGAAAGUGCAAUGAGAAAACUGGAAGUAAUUCCUGACAAGGAAAUCCAGAAGGUAUUAAAAAUAAGUUAUGAUAGCUUGGAUGACUCUCAGAAGAAUAUUUUUCUAGAUAUUGCAUGUUUCUUGGAAGCUCCGCAUAGAGACUAUGUGAUAAGCUUUUUUGAUGCCUGUGGCUUCGAAGCUAAAAUAGAGUUAAGUGUUCUUGAAGGUAAGUCUCUCAUAAAUUUAGACUUAUCUGACCGGAUAAGAAUGCAUGACUUGAUACGAGAUAUGGGAAGAGAAAUUGUUCGAAAUGAAUCUAUCGAUCAUCCAGGAGAGCGCAGUAGGUUGUGGUAUCACGAGGAUAUUUAUAAAGUUUUGAAGAACAAUACGGUGAGGAAUAAUAAGUUUUUAAUUGUAUCUUAUUUGUGUUACAUUUAUAUUAGCAAUUGGUCGAAUAUGUCUUUUUGAAUAAGAAUAGCAUUAAUACAGCUUAAAAUUAAUUGAAAAAUAAUAUUAGAAAAUUGGUAAAAUAAAAUAGAUAGAUCCGAUGUUUCCCCAACUCAGUUUGAAACAUGCCUCUAAAAUCCCCAGCAAACUAGCGCCUUCGGAGAGAGACCCACAAAAAAAAAAACACCUCAAUCUUAUAGCAUUUCCUUUUCAACUCAAGCUAUGCCCCUAUCCUUAUUUUUCACUAAAAAAAAAAAUUGAUUGAAUUAAUUUUACAGUUUACAUAUUAAGCAUUUUCUUGAAUUUUCUAUUUUACACUUCCUAAAAGCCUUACCCAAAUAGUUUAUUAUAAAGUGAGUGUAAUAUCUCUCUUUUGGUUUGACGGCUUAAAAAUAAUUGUUUAUUUGUUUGCUUUAAUUAUAUACCAACUUAUGAUCUCCUAUUUGAUUGUUAGGGAACUGAAGCACUCAAGGGUAUCUCCUUGGAUAUGAAUAAAGUCAAUGGAGAGAUACACAUGAAUUCCAAUGCUUUCUCAAGGAUGCCUAAAUUGAGAUUCUUGAGAUUUUAUGGAGAUAAGAACAAAUGUAUCAAGGGUAUCUCCUCGGAUAUGAAUAAAGUCAAUAGAGAGAUAUACAUGUCUCAUUUGGAGGGUGUGCCGUUUGCUGAAGUGAGGCACCUCGAGUGGCCUCAAUGUCCUUUGAAAACGUUGAAUAUAUGUGCGGAGAAACUUGUUUCACUUAAAAUGCCUCGCAGCAAAGUCCAACAACUUUGGGAUGAUGUUCAGGUAUAUAUUUAUUCAAAAUUCUUUCGGUAAUAAAUUCUAAAUACAAUUGAUGAUAUAAUUAAUAUAUGUUAUGGUAUCUGUUUAUUCAUAAAGAUGAUGAUGAUGAUGAUGAUAAUAAUAAUAAUAAUAAUAAUUUUUGGGGGGGCGCAGGAUCUUGUUAACUUAAAAGAAAUAGACCUCUCUGGAUCCAAGUCGUUAACGAAACUCCCAGACUUGUCACAGGCCGAAAAUCUUGAGUUUCUGAUAUUAGGCGGCUGUUUAAGUUUGAUGGAGACUCACUCAUCUAUUCAAUAUCUAAAUAAACUUGAAAUUCUUUCUCUAGAAAAGUGCAAAAGCCUGAGGAGUCUUCCAACUAGCAUUCAUUCGAAAUAUCUCCUGAUACUUGAUAUUUCGGAUUGUUCAAAUUUGAAAAACUUCCCAGAGAUCACAUCUUGUCAUAUGUGGAGUUUAGAGUUAACAGAAGUUGGAAUCAAAGAACUGCCCUCAUCCAUCGAGGGCCUAUCCAAUCUGAAAGAACUACAUAUUAAGGACUGUUCAGAGCUUGAGAGCAUCUCGAGUAGCAUAUUUAAGUUGAAGUCUCUUGGAUCUAUUGAAAUCUCUAAUUGUUCAAAUUUGAAGAGGUUUCUAGAGAUCCCGUCUUGUAAUAUGGAUGGAGGUACUGGAAUUGAGCAACUAGCCUCAUGUAAGUUGGUACUGGAAAAAUGUUCAAGUCUUGAGAGUCUCCCUAGCAGCCUGUUUAAGUUCGCAUGUAUUUUAGAGUUAACAGAAUUGGAAUCAAAGAACUGCCCUCAUCCAUCGAGUGCCUAUCCAAUCUGAAAGAACUAUAUAUUAAGGACUGUUCAGAGCUUGAGAGCAUCUCGAGUAGCAUAUUUAAGUUGAAGUCUCUUGAAUCUAUUGGAAUCUCUAAUUGUUCAAAGUUGAAGAGGUUUCUAGAGAUCCCGUCUUGUAAUAUAGAUGGAGGUACUGGAAUUGAGCAACUAGCCUUAUGUAAGUUGGUACUGGAAACAUGUUCAAGUCUUGAGAGUCUCCCUAGUAGCCUAUGUAUGUUCAAAUCUCUGACAUCUCUUGAAAUCGUUGACUGCCAAAAUUUCAAGAGAUUGCCUGAUGAACUUGGAAAUUUAGAAGCCUUGGAGGCGCUGACAGUUAAUGGAACAGCUAUAAGAGAAGUACCAGAAAGCCUUGGUCAGUUAUCCUCACUAGAAAAUUUGGUACUAGCUAAUAACAAUUUGGAGAGAUUACCAGAAAGCCUCAGUCAAUUAUCCUCACUAGAGUAUUUGCACCUAUCCGGAAACAGUUUGGAGGGAAUACUAGAAUACCUGAGGAGUCUUCAAAGUAAGUUGACAUCACUCAAAGUUUUAUCUGUUGAGUUUAGAAAUUGUUUGAAAUUGGACCCGAAGGAGCUCAUUGAAAUCGCCAAAGAUGAGUGGAUGAAGCAGGUGUGUCUCUUAACUCACUCCUUUCAUUCUAUUUUCUUUUUCUUUUUUCUUUAAUUAUUUUUCAUAAAUUACUAAUUUUUUAUUUUUGUGUUGCAGUCGUUUCAUGGUAACAUCAAUAGCGCUAGAAGUAUUUAUUUCCGUGGGAAUGAAAUUCCAAAGUGGUUUAGGAAUCAAAGCAUGAGGAUCUUCUGUAACCGUGAAGACGCCGCCAGCAGAUUUCCUCAAUACAACCUCAGAGUACUUUGAGCAUCAAAUCCCAAGGAAAUCUCGACCUGGGAAUUAUGGCGUGUACUGUCAGUGGGAACACAAAUCCCAAAGAAAUAUCUUCCGUCGGUUUUUGCGGAGAAUUAGUUAUGUUGAGUCAGAUCACGUGUUUUUGGGAUCCUAUUUAUUGGGUUAUGAGGAUUUAAGUAAGAGAGACGAUAGUGAAGUCUAUUUCUACAUUCGGCCUCUUGAUUUUGAUGAAGAGGGUGAAGUGAAACAAUGUGGGAUUCAAUGUUAUCGAAUUAAUAAUUCAUUUAACUCAAAGAUUCUACGGAUGAAGAGGAAGAGGAAGGAUGAAGAGGAACCACACACCAAAAGACUGAAAUGUUCUUCAACUCCAAAGCAGCUGGUAUUCCUUGUUACGAAAAUCAAUCUGUAGACCUUGUUUUUGUCUUCAUUUUAUAUAUGCGUUGUUGAUGCGAGAUUUUGGUUAUCCCUCGAUCACGACCAGGAUCUCUGCUCAACCAACUCUACUACGAUCAGUAUUUCUCCUUGUAUGACUUCCUCCAAAGGUUCUUGCGUACACAGAAAAAGGUCAGAGCACGCCGGUUGUUUUCCCAGUGUAAACCCUCCGACGCUCAAGUCAGAAAUGAAGGUUUCUCGUUCCCGGGAAUGUUGGCCAGUAAUCUUAUGGCUUCCUUUUUUGGUACUGAUUAGCCAGUACUCUUUUUUAUCUCAGUUUCAAUGUCCAAAAUUCUAACCCUUUUACCUUCGUUGGCUACUUUUUUAUAGACCUCUCCUGAAUUUAGACCUUCCCUCCAUUCACGCUCGUUAUCCUCCCACCUCUCGAAAGUGGAUGCUGCAUUUCUGUGAUCGUGGGUGGUUGUGUGGCCUUCGUGCCUUGAUUCUCGGAUUGGAGAGCACGUCUUGCCAACCGUCGUUGACUGGGUCUCCUCGACUCAACCCUUAGCAAGAAUGGCUUUAUACCUCCAACAGGAAAUCGGCCUCGCGGAUGAGAUAUUCGUGGACGAGCAUAAUAUUCCUGCUCCUGCUCUCUUGCUACUAGACUCUACUACAAGAUAUACCUGCUCGCGGGACCCUGCUACCAGAUGUCUGCUCAUCAUUGUUAGUCCUCGCCGGAGUACAUCCCCCAAACAUGCAUUUUUUCAAUAUGUUCGUUUAUGUAAUAUUUAUUAAUUGUUUGUUGUGGAUGGAUGAAUCAAUAAAUUCAAAAUAAAUGGCAAUUAACCGAGGAUGUAGAACUAUGAGUUCUCUUUUUUUUGUGUUUCAUUUCCAUUCGGGUCAUGUCUGGAAUAUCCCAAAAAUUACUUAUCCAUUUACUAACUAAGAAUGCGCUGAUUAGAUUAAGAUUAUUUUAGUUAUUCUUACUUUUUCAGUUUUCAAACUUAAUAAGAAUAAAAUCGUUUUAUUAAGUUUUGAGAUUUGAAUUUAAAAGAAAAUACAAAUUUACGCUCGAGGAUUAAAUUUACCGUAUUUAAAAUUAAAUUAAUUACUCUCGAGGAUCCUAUUAGUAGUGAUCUCAGCAAGGCAGUAAAGUACCUGUUUAACUUGUGAUAAAUUACAGGCUCUGUUUAACAUAUAAAAAUACCAAAUUUUAAAUAUUACAAACAAUAACAAACAGAAUGCAGCUCCUAAUCGGUUAUUUGUUUUAGUAAAUAAACUUCACCGUUCCGUUUCAAGUUUCCACAGUCAGUUCCAUCGAUCAUAUGCUGAAGCUACGGUGGAAUGAUAGAUCUUCUUUUAGUUUCCUGCACAUCGAAACUCUCUAAUUGGUGUGUUGUUUUUUCGUGAAAUUUCUAAUAUCUAUUAAUAAUUUCUUAAUGUUACUGAGAAGUUAGUAAAUCAUGGGAUGAGAGCCGAAGACUUUUUGGCUGAUCUAACUCCUAUUACAAUCAAGUUGGUAACUGCAUUUGGUAAUUACAUCUUCAGUACUUGCAAUCUCUUAUCGCCUUUCCAAGUUGAUUUUAGUUAUUUGUCCUUGAUAUUCUAAGUGCAUGGACUUGAUGGAAGGGUCAGGUUCUGUGGUGGUGUUAGAAUUGCUAGAAAACUUGUUGUAUAGGUUGUCAUGAUAUUCUCAUGUGCCAUAUAAAUCAUCAUUGUUUUGCAAGUGCUCUAUGGCAUUCUUUACUGGAUAGGCUAGCCAGGGUGCCUUAGAGGCAAAAGUCAAGACGGAAAUGACAUAUAUCUAAAGCUUCAGACAAGCACAGGUUGGUCAUUUUAUCAUUUAUAAGUCUUCUAUCUCUUUUAACUUAGUCUAACAUCUUGUUGAACCCAAGCAAGAUUCAUUUCACAGAGGCUUAAUGUCAUGACCCAACCCAGACCUGGCAAGAUAUUGUCCGCUUUAGGCCUUAACAAGGCCCGCACGGAUUUGUUCUUGGGGUGCCCAUACACCCCAAAACGCGUCUUGCCAAUUAAGGUGUGGAUCACUCCUUAUAAACCCAGCAUCUCUCCCGUGCUUUGCCGAUGUGGGAUUCGCCUAGGGUGUUACAUACACCCCCCCUUGGGGACUCAGCGUCCUCGCUGAGGUUUGCCCCACCAUCGCUCAAGAGGACACGCGGAGCCGCUCUGAUACCAUAAUGUCAUGACCCAACCCAGACCUGGCAAGAUAUUGUCCGCUUUGGUCCUUAACAAGGCCCGCACGGAUUUGUUCUUGGGGUGCCCAUACACCCCAAAACGCGUCUUGCCAAUUAAGGUGUGGAUCACUCCUUAUAAACCCAGCAUCUCUCCCGUGCUUUGCCGAUGUGGGAUUCGCCUAGGGUGUUACAUACACCCCCCCUUGGGGACUCAGCGUCCUCGCUGAGGUUUGCCCCACCAUCGCUCAAGAGGACACGCGGAGCCGCUCUGAUACCAUAAUGUCAUGACCCAACCCAGACCUGGCAAGAUAUUGUCCGCUUUAGGCCUUAACAAGGCCCGCACGGAUUUGUUCUUGGGGUGCCCAUACACCCCAAAACGCGUCUUGCCAAUUAAGGUGUGGAUCACUCCUUAUAAACCCAGCAUCUCUCCCGUGCUUUGCCGAUGUGGGAUUCGCCUAGGGUGUUACAUACACCCCCCCUUGGGGACUCAGCGUCCUCGCUGAGGUUUGCCCCACCAUCGCUCAAGAGGACACGCGGAGCCGCUCUGAUACCAUAAUGUCAUGACCCAACCCAGACCUGGCAAGAUAUUGUCCGCUUUGGGCCUUAACAAGGCCCGCACGGAUUUGUUCUUGGGGCGCUUAUACACCCCAAAACGCGUCUUGCCAAUUAAGGUGUGGAUCACUCCUUAUAAACCCAGCAUCUCUCCCGUGCUUUGCCGAUGUGGGAUUCGCCUAGGGUGUUACAUACACCCCCCCUUGGGGACUCAGCGUCCUCGCUGAGGUUUGCCCCACCAUCGCUCAAGAGGACACGCGGAGCCGCUCUGAUACCAUAAUGUCAUGACCCAACCCAGACUUGGCAAGAUAUUGUCCGCUUUGGUCCUUAACAAGGCCCGCACGGAUUUGUUCUUGGGGUGCCCAUACACCCCAAAACGCGUCUUGCCAAUUAAGGUGUGGAUCACUCCUUAUGCCUUUUGGAUUAACUAAUGCUCCUGCAGCGUUCAUGGAUUUGAUGAAUAGGAUCUUCCAACCUUAUCUUGACCAGUUUGUCAUCGUCUUUAUUGAUGACAUAUUGAUUUACUCUAAGAAUAAGGAGGAGCAUGAGACGCACUUGAGGAUUGUAUUAGAAACAUUGCGGGAGAAGAAGUUGUAUGGAAAAUUUAAGAAAUGUGAGUUUUGGCUUGAUCGUGUGAUGUUUUUGGGACAUAUAGUGACGAAGGAUGGUAUUUCAGCAGAUCCAGCCAAAUUGGAGGUAUUUCAGUUUGAAGCUUAUGAGUAAAGAUUAUGAUUUGUGAGUAACCUCCUUCUUCACGUGCUUCGCACGUGUUAGAUUUGGGGUGUUACAAUUGUGGUAUUGUUCUUGGGGUGCCCAUACACCCCAAAACGCGUCUUGCCAAUUAAGGUGUGGAUCACUCCUUAUAAACCCAGCAUCUCUCCCGUGCUUUGCCGAUGUGGGAUUCGCCUAGGGUGUUACAAGACAUCUAUUGGGAUCUUACUUUUGUUGAUGAGAGGGUCUGAAACAGCUGGUGCAAUAAGUAAAAUUGAUUUUAUGUAGACUAGAAAGCUCUGCCCGCUGUGAAGGCUUUCCUGUUAAAUGAAGAUUGUGAAGGCUUUCCUCUAUUGGGAUCUUACUUUCCUGUGCAAUAAGUAAAAUUGAUUUUAUGUAAAAUUGAACCUUAGAGAACAGAUUUUUAUUAAUUUUUAAUAGAUAAUAAUCAUAUUAAAUGGAAUUAGACUGUCGAAAAUUGUGAAAUACUGCUUCCUUUUGGCCAUCCUUCGCACUGUUGUUCCUAGCAGACUAGGCCACCUGGGACCCUGCACUGGCAAUCAAGGCUGCUUGACCCUAAGAUGAUCCUAGUGACCUCAAACUUCUGCAGACUUGGAUUUUCCUCUUAUGUUAUCUUGAGCCAGAGGCUUGACUUUUUAUAUGGUUCAAAAAUUGAUUAGGAACUUUGAUAAGUGCUGUAUGAAGGGCAGCUGAUAUUGAUGAUUCUAUAGCUAAGGUUCUGUUUGAAUUUUAGAGAACGUCCUGGACCAUAAUGCAGUUCGUUGUGAGCUGUCAGUGUUCUUUGUCUAUAAAUGACAAAAUAGGAAGUAGAAUACCUGCUGAAGAGGUGGGGUUUAUAUUGCUAUGCCCUAAGCCAUUGUCCUUUGUUGAGUAAAGACAUUCUUCAUGUGUUUGAACCUUCUUCUUUUCUGACACUGAAUUCUCUUGUUCUAAUCUUCAGCUUGUUAGCCAUCAAAAAGGUAAUAUGGGAAGGCUAAGCAAUAGGUUGGGAAUGUGGAUGUUUGAUCAGGCGCUCAUGAUGGAUGAUAUUUCACGCUUUUUAAAUUGAAACUUGUCUCUUACUCAUGUCUUGAAAUUUUGUUUGAAACCUUUAAGAACAGGAUUCUGUAUUGCUUAAGAUUUUUAAUGAGUAGAAACUUUGAAUUAUGAGGGAGGAGGAGUUUCCACCUUGUGAGUCAUCUAUCAUAUCAAGGGUUUUUUCUUUAAUUUCUACACGGGUAAAAUAAUCACAUGACAACAUGAACAUUGGUGUGUUUUGAGGUUUUUAAUAAGUUCUUAGCUAGUAUCUUAUUUAUUCAAUCAUUUACGGAAUGCAAUGCCAAUAAGAAAUUCAAGUAACCAUCAUUGAAUUGGAAUUGACAGGUUUGGCCGCCAAAUAUUUGCUUAAUUUAUUGUUAACAUAUUGUUAUGAGCUCGCGCUGAGAGGAAAAAGGAAAAAGUUGCAUAUUGUUAGCAUGCCUCAGAAAUUCAGAAUAAUGUCUAAGUGCAGUUGAUAACCCUUGAAUUAUAACUUUUAGCAUGAGAGAUAUUUUAUGAGCAUAAUUUCCAUCUUAUCAUUUAAAAAAAAAAAAAGGAUGCUCCAAUUUUGAGGGCUCUUGUAGGUUAGCUUCAUGAAGCAUAUCAUCUUGUAGAAUAUCUGCGGUUUGAGUAUUUUAUAGAAUGACUUUGGGAUGGGGAUGAACUGGCAUUGUUGUCAAGGUAAAAUUUAUACUUGGAAAUUUGGCAGUCUGAAAUCAUGUUGGCUCAGUUCUCUUCAAAAUUGCUAUAUUGCAUGCAGCUAUAUAAAGCUUUUGUAAUCUGCUGUUAUAAUCAUGCUGAAUUUUAAUCACUACAGGGACUGAGCUCCCUGUAUGUGCUGUGGAUUACAGUUGCUUGAUUCAUUUAAUGGCACGGUGUUUUGCAUAUGGUUUAUUAACUUUUUUGGUGCCUUAUCUAAUGGUUUUUUUUUUUUGGGUCUUGAUUUUGCAGCACCACCAUUGAAAUUAAUUGACUUGCCUGGAUUGGAUCAACGAAUAAUGGACGAUUCAUUGGUGAGGGCUUGUUUAAUUUUUUUAGACCUUGAUGCUCUAAAUAUUCAUGUGUCCCAUUAUAUAUUUAUUUGAUAGAUGUUAUUUGCUUGUGUUUUCAAUGGUGGAAAGAUGUGGUCUGUUCUUUGCAUGUGAAUUAUGGUUGGUAACUUAUAAGUUAGUAACAAUAAUUUUGUGAUGUCCCUCAUAGGUUAGUGAAUAUGCCGAGUACAAUGAUGCUAUUUUACUAGUAAUUAUUCCUGCUGCCCAAGCGCCUGAAAUUGCUUCAUCUCGAGCUCUUAGAGUUGCCAAGGAGUAUGACGGAGAUGGUAAUAUGCUUAGACAUUUUUAUACCUCUAAUUUUGCUGUUAAAUUUUUUGAUUUGUAAAUCAAAAGAUAUGCUAUUUAUGAUUUUCAUAAUCUUUGGCACACUAGUACAUUUUUUGGUGCAUCCUUUGAAGUUGCAGGAAUGUAACUCUGCCUUCUCCUUCCUAUUGCUAUCAUUACUGUUUCCUUGUUAAUUCUUUAUCUCGCUAAUUUGGGAGCUUAUUUUGUUAACGUCAGGAACCAGAACUGUUGGUGUAAUAAGGAAAAUAGAUCAAGCUUCUGCAGACCAAAAAGCUCUUGCUGCUGUGCAGGCUCUCCUGUUAAAUCAAGGUCCACCAAAAACAGCUGACAUUCCGUGGGUUGCAUUAAUUGGUCAAUCGGUAUCAAUAGCUACUGCUCAGUCUGGAUCUGAGAGCUCCUUAGAAACUGCUUGGAGGGCAGAAAGUGAGUCUCUUAAGUCUAUAUUGACUGGUGCUCCUCAGAGUAAGUUAGGCAGAAUAGCAUUGGUGGAUGCUUUGGCUCAGCAGAUCCGCAAGCGUAUGAAAGUCCGGUUGUUAAACCUUCUCUCUGGGUAUUAAAUGAUUUCCACAUGCUGCACGAAAAGUUUCAAUUUUACGCAUGUUUUAGUUUAUCUUUGGAAAGUUGUAUUCUUUUUUCUUUUUUUUUUUUUGACACAUGAAAAUGAUUUUCUUGAACACACUUAGAUCCUUGGAACUUGUUUUACUGUCACAAAUGGAUUGUGAGAACUUGGCAAUAGGAAGUUCGAGAUACAUUUAACCAUUAAAAUUUCUCUUCUGCCUGGUAGGCAUGUCAUUACUAAUCAUUGUGCUUGUACUUGUCCUCGAUGGUUAGAAGAUGACGAUUAUUAUUGUUGUUAUUAUUAUUAUUAUUUUAACUUCUAUCACCCCUAUAACUCUGUCUUGCACUUUGCAUUGUAGUUAAUAAACGCAGUUCAGUGGGAGUUAAAAUUGAAAAUAAAGAUAUCUUAAUUCAUAUAAUUAAUUAUUCCUCGACCCUUUUUCAUGACCCAGCUUAAUGAGUAAAUAUGUAUUCAGUUUUUCCUUUAUGAAGGGUAUGAGUACUUCUUCCAGUUAAGGUAACUCCUUUAUUACGUAUACCUGUGCAGGUUACAAGGAAAGUCUCAAAUAGUUCAGGAUGAGUUAGCGUGGCUUGGUGAGCAGAUGGUCCAGAGUGCUGAGGGCAGGAGAUCUUUGGCUUUGGAGCUUUGUCGUGAAUUUGAGGGUCAGUUUCUGCAACACAUUACAACUGGUGAGGUGACUUAUUUUUGUUUUUGUGCUUGGUGACUUUCAUGUAGCAUAUGUCUUCUUUCUUGGCUUGCUUAUGUUGUUUUGAUUUCUCAAUUUGUUUUUCAGUAAUAGUGUAUAUUACCAUGUACAAGAAAAAGCUUUAUAUAGAAAUUUGAAGGAGGAAAUCUAAGACAUAGAUGAGGGGAAUAUGUUACUUUUUUUGAUAAGAGACGGGAUUGUGAUACUAUCACCUCUGGAAUUGAAGCCUUCUAUAAAAUUAGAUGGAAGUGAGCUCCAUUACUUGUAUCAAUUUGUAAUCCCUCUCAUUGUAGAAGUUUACCUGGUUCUUGGACCUCUAAUGAGAAGCUUCUUAAUGUAUAACGUGGAUACUGCUUCUACCUAAUGGAAUGUGUGAAGCUGGCAGGGACUAGGGGUCUUUUGUAGGAGAAACGAUUUUUUCAAACCUAUUCAAGUGCUUAGAGGUAGUGCUUGUUUUUACUAGGUCAGCUGAGGAGGGGUUGAUGUCUGCUUUGCGGUCAUUGUAACCUUAUUAGUUCCAGGUAGCUCCUUUAAAGUUGUUUUUGCUCUCUAACGCUUUUUCGGUUGACGAGUGUGUCUGGUCAUGGAAAUGUAGGGGCUGGAUUCCAAGUGUUGGAAGUUCAUAUGGUAGUAUGAGGAUGCCCCUUUUCCAAAUUUGGUUAGCUAAAAUGGAUCUAAUUGGUACUUCAUGCUUGUUCUGUUCCUUUGGUCUUUUAUUAUUUUUUCCCUUUUUCUUACUUAUAAGUUUCAGGCCAUGUCUAAUUGAUAAAUCUCUAAGUAUCAGUACUUCUUCUGGUUAAAAUAGUUAAUGUAUCCAAACUUUGUUUAGUGUCCUGCUCUCUGUUUUUAUUGGCUAGUGAUUUUGGUCGUGCUUUUUUGAGUGGCCUAUGGUAUUUUCCUCCGUCACUACCUGAAAAGUAGAGGAUACUGAUUUUUUGAGAUAUCAGUUGUCAUAACAUUAUGUCGAUGCAGGGUUCUGGUUGGAAAAUUGUUGCCAGUUUUGAGGGGAAUUUCCCGAAAAGGAUCAAACAGCUUCCUUUGGACAGACAUUUUGAUAUUAAUAAUGUCAAGAGGGUAUGUUGGUGCUCUACUGCUUAUAUCUAUUGUGUUCCUGUUGCUUUAAUCUAAUUUUUUAGAUUUUGCAUUUGCAUUGAUCUUCUCAUAUUCAUUUCUUAUCAGAUUGUGUCAGAAGCGGAUGGCUAUCAACCAUAUCUAAUAUCCCCUGAUAAGGGUUUGAGAUCUUUGAUCAAAGGUGUCCUGGAGCUUGCAAAAGAACCCUCUCAUCUUUGUGUUGAUGAGGUAAUGGAACCAUGUAUAUAAAGAUUUUACCCUUUUUCUCUUUUUAUGAUGUUGAAUGUUAAAUUUUUUGUUUUGGCCUUAACAUGUGGUUCCUUCAUAGUAUUGUUAGUCAAUAGUAUGCUCUCUGUUGGAUGCAUGAUAUGGACAUCCAAAUGAUACACUUUUUAAUAUUUUUCCGAGGCACUACAUUUUAUGUUCUUUUUGUUCCUCAAGAACAUGCUUAACUAAUGACAAGUACUUCAGGUUCAAUAAGAAGGAUUUGUCAACUUUUAUUUGACUUAAGAGGUCAGAUAUUCUUAAAAUUUGUUUUUCUAGAAUAGGUACAUCAGGUCAUUUGAUGUCUUUUACCCAAUUUUCUUUAUGGAUGGCAGUGAAAAUCUGAAGCAAUUAUUGUUUCUGCUGACUGAUAGAGUUCCUGGCUGACUGGUAAAACAGGUACACCGUGUUCUGGUGCUGCAAAUGCUACACCAGGCCUGGGAAGAUAUCCUCCUUUCAAGAGAGAGGUAUGGCUGCUUUUGAUUAUGUGUCACAAUAGCUUUUCUGCAUUUGUACAUGAUUAGACCUAUAUGUGGUUCAAAUUUCCUUUUCCGUGUGGCAAUAGUUGAAUGGUUUGAAACUUUUACAAGGUUGUGGCCAUUGCAAGUGCUGCCUUAGAUGGGUUUAAGAAUGAAGCAAGAAAGAUGGUGGGUGCACUAGUUGACAUGGAGAGAGCUUUUGUCCCUCCGCAACAUUUCAUUCGUUUGGUGCAGCGGAGGUGUGAUAUGAUUGAACUUCUUCGAUAUAUUUGAGAUAUGUGCAACAUUGUCUUCCGGAUAUCUGGGUCUGAGUUCUUGUGACGGGAUGGCUUGUCAAUAUUUAUUUCUGGAACAUUUUGCUUAGAAAAUGCUGACAUUACCAACUUUUCUGAAAUUUAUGUCAUAGUCUAUUUCUUCUCUCUCCCCAAUUUUGCAUGAGCUGAGUUUUGAAUGCAUGCAAAUGCAACUCCACGAAUUUAGAAAAUUUGGUAUUUAUUAGUCUCUAAAUACUAUUGUUGGGUAUUUUCCUAUCAACUUAAAGCUAGCAGUUUUGUAUUUGACUUUUGUUGUCAGUCGGGCUAGUGUUUAGAUCCGAUUGUGUUUGUGUGGGUUUGGUUCCAGAUGAUAUCAAAUUCUCUAUGCAUGAAACCAGCAUUUUUUCAGUUUAAACUCAGUUGUUUGGGCCUUUUCUAUUAGUUUAAGCCUUUGGGACCUAUGGUUCCUUAGCAUUACUAUUUUUUUUUUUUUUCUGUAAGUUCUUUCCUGAAAUUCCUGUGCACCAUGCUUAUUGCGUAAUCUAUUUAUUUUGUUAGGAUGGGAAGACAGCGGCGAGAGGAGGAGGUGAAGACGCGAUCUUCGAAGAAACCAAAUGAGGCAGAACAAGAAAUACUGAAGAAGGUACGAUUUCCUUUUCCUAAUGUAAUUGGAGUAUGACAUGAGGAGAAUGGGACAUACUGAGGAGGCACUAGUUCCUUUUAAUUUCUCCUUAAGAAACGCAUUUAAAUCUCUAUUUUAUGUUUUUCCAUAUAUUCUCUUUCAGGCAACCAGUCCUCAAACAGGUGGUCAGCAAACGGGUGGAAGUUUAAAAGCAAUGAAGGAUAAAUCCAGUCAAGCAGUGAAAGAAGCAAAUGAAGCUUCUGCUUUAAAGACUGCAGGCCCUGAAGGAGAAAUAACAGCAGGUUUGUGGAAAAAACUGUCACUGUGUGUACUCAGACGAGCCUAUCAUAUUUCAUCAUAUAUGUGCAUGUAUAAUCUAGUCCCCAAAGGACAAAAGCACCCAAGCACACGGCCCAAAACCUCUGUGUGUACUUAGACGAGCCUCAAAAGCUUGUAUCUCAUCUGUAUCAUCUGUAUCUCAUAUCUGUAUCUCUGUAAUCAUCAUACCGCAUGCAUAUGCCCCCAAAAGGCAGAAACGCCCAAACACACGGCCCAAAGCCUCUAUGUGUGUUCAGACGGGCCUAAAUGCCUCUAUCUCAUCUCAUUUUUAUCACUGUAUCUGGAGGGGAAGGAUACUAUCUAAUUAUUUAAAAAACAAUCAUUAUACUCAUAUUCACAUACCUUUUAACCAUACUUUAAAUCAUACCACAUUUGAAUCCACUUUUCUUGUCUUUAAAAUACUAUAAUGUUUUAUUCAAAAUCGAUACACAAAAUCAUUAAUCAAACAUUUUAAUAAAAUACCAAUGCGUGAAUAAAAUCUAUUUUGAGAAAAUCAUUAAAUUAGAACAUUUAAAACACUUAUUUCGCAAACAUACUUUACUUUCAUAAUUAACUAUGAAAAUAUGUUUUAUAUAUUCCACUCACAGUGACGGUGUUCACGCUCGGUUAUUGUCCACGUCUGCGGAUCAGUACUCGCUCGCGGACCCCCCUAAAUCAAGAAAACGAAAUAAUUAUUUUUCGUAAAUUGAAAUUAGGACUAAAUUUAUGCAAUAAACUCGAAACGAAUAUCUAUCCAUAAUUUACAACUCCUGUAUCGAUAGAAUUACCAAAAUACCCUCGAAUCUGUAAAUCGUUAAAAUACUUCAAAAUCGUAAGUCACCGAAUUACUCUUGGAAUCAUAAUUAUACUCCACUCCUCAAUUUUAGGAAUUAUUAAAAUAUUCAUAGGCUCAUAAACUAUAAAAUUGCCCUCAAAGAGUGAAAUUACCGAAAUGCCCUUGCCGGUCAACGGUCACCGGAAUUUAGUCAACGCUGGCCAAGAAGCUCAAGUCUGAAAGUUCCAAUCACGCUGAAUCUAAUAGUGCCGCAACGACGCCGGAAUCUAGCUCGGCAGCCGUGAAUUUCCAACAAUUGGCCGGCGGAGAAACAGUGACUCCCGGUGACUGUGGAUGGUUGGGAAUUGAAGAGGGAGUCGUCGGGAACAAAACUGAGGUGGUGACGUGGUCAAAUUCCGGUGGAAUCAACGGCGGUGGUGAUGGGUUUCGGCUCAAGCCUUAAACGGCGGUGUUCCGGUCAAUUUUCGGCGAAGAUGACAGCUGCAAUAUGACCAACGUCUCACGGGCUUUCGAUUGAUACCUUGAUCAACCGGAGGGGUGGCCGGAAAUUGGAGACAUGGCCGGGUCACGUUCGCGGGUCGGGUCGGGUUUUGGGUCUGUUUUUGGUCGCUUCUCCCCUUCACACGUGUGCCUCUGUUUUCCCCUGUUUUCUCUUUCAUUUAUUUUAACUUUUAGCCGCCUCAUCUUAGUAUUUAUUUUUCUUCUAUUUUCACAUAUGUUUACUUAAACAACAUUUUUGAACUAUUGAAAGAAAUGAUCAUGGGUUACUAGAUGGGCCUGAUUCGUUAGUCUAUUAACCUUGGAUGCAUUUGAUCCAUAACAAUACCUGUGGUACGUGAUUGACUGGAAUCAUUUGCAUUCAUAGUCGUUCACUAGAAUCAUUUGAAUACCACCACACUGCUUUCCGAUCCUCUAGGGGUAACCUUGCUGUUUUGCUUGUGUUGAAAUAAGCCGAGAUUCAUAGGGGUGGAUGAAGUUUUGAACAUCAAACUCUUUCUUGGCUGAGUGUCAUCGUCUUCUAUCUUAUGCUGCAUUGGCUUGUUCAUUUUGUUCCUUGGACUGCAUUUGGAGAAAUAGAUGCCUGAAUUCAGUAUGAGCAAAGUUAAGAGUAGAUAAUAUACAUCACAUAUUUUCUGAUUGCUAAAAUAGUAUUAACUAGGGUUGGUCCCUGAUGUGUAUCUUGACAUGGUCUUAAACCUUCAUUACUUUUUCAUCAAGCCAUAAAGUGCCUGCAUACAAGUUGAAAACCAGGAAACUUGCAACUGCUGCCCAAGACUAUAUACUGUUGUAGCAGAUAAUUAGCUAUUCAAUAAUUUUGGUAUAUCUCAUUAGUAUUUGUGGAAUGCCUUUGAAAUCCUUGCAUGCAUGCUUCAUAUCCCAGCAGUUUAUGGAUAAAGGCACGUUAAUCCCCCUCUAGAUGAAAUUACUUAAUUGCUUAAAUGAUUUUUUUUUUCACACAUUUAUAUUUAGAAGUUUGUGACUAUUUUUUGUUGUCCAGGUUUCUUGUUGAAGAAAAGUGCAAAAACUAAUGGAUGGAGCAAGCGAUGGUUUGUUCUGAAUGAGAAGACUGGAAAGGUUUGUAACUAACAUUUUGUCCCAUACGCUUACAUUUUUUAGACAUGGAGUAGUUAUGCUAUUCAUAUGUUUUAGGUGCUUUUAGGCAUGGUAUCUAACCUUUGUUAAAUGAUUUUAGCAUUAUAAAAUUUUUAAAAUGAGUUACAUUCUAGCCUCCAUUCUCUUAUUUUUUAUGUUUUUGCAUUAAAGAAAUAUAGGACACUGUUAUGAUAGGCAUGAUUUAAUCUCAAUCAUCCUUUGUUAGACAGCUGGGCUACACCAAAAAGCAAGAGGAAAGGCAUUUUUGUGGUGUCAUUGCUUUGGAGGUAUGGAGAAUUACUACUCUGUUUCAGUUUUGGUAUUAUAUUAUCUAUUCUUUUGUCACAACCUUUUUUCACCAUUUUGUAGUUUAUUGCCAUCUUACUGGCUGGGCAGGAGUAAGUUGUAUAUGAAUAGGCCUAUAAAUAACCUUUAUGAAUGAAGUUUGCCUUAUUACUGCAAUAGGAACACUUUCUAAGUUAAAAUGGAUAAAGAUGGCCAAUGAUAAAUUUAACAAGUUAACAGUUGCCUCACAUACUAACGAACUUCAAGUAAAAUAUUUUAAGCUUUUUCUUAGUUUUCUAACUUCUAGUAAAUUUUUUUAAGCUUUUUCUUUGGAUACAUGCUACCCAGUGUUCAUUCCUUUGGAUGUUACUUUAAAUAUUUUACCAAGUAGCUUCUGUUUUGAGCUAUUUUUAAUCGUACUUCGCAAUAAUGUAUGUACAUUUGCUGGCGCAGGAAUGUAAUAUUCAGGAGAUUCCGGAGGAGGAGGAACCUCCAGCUAAAAGUUCGAAGGAUAAAAAGGCUAAUGGACCUGAUUCUGGGAAGCACCAAGUCUUGUAUUUAAGAUUACUAGCAAAAUUCCUUAUAAAACUGUUCUGAAAGGUAUUCUUUAUGUUUAAAUCAUGGAGUUCCUCUGGUGGUAAAUUUUCUUUUUUUAUUCACUUUAUCUUGCAGCCCACAAUGCUGUUGUUUUGAAAGCUGAGAGCACCGCUGAUAAGGCGGAAUGGAUAAACAAGAUAAGCAAAGUUAUUCAAGCUAGGGGAGGACUUGUUAGAGUUGCUGAAAGUGGUCAUACGAUGCGUCAGAGUCUUUCUGAUGGUUCUCUUGUGAGUUUACACUCUCUUAACUUUGCAAUACAAAUUUUGAAGUAAAGAGCUACUUACCUGUGAAGGAUGUUGUUCCUUUUGCACAUGCAUAGAAAUUGUGAUCGAGUGUUAAUUUCUCUUCUUGGUGGUUUUUCUAGGAUACAAUGGCUCGAAGACCUGCUGACCCUGAGGAAGAACUUCGAUGGAUGUGUCAAGAAGUACGUGGUUACGUUGAAGCAGUUUUGAAUAGUUUAGCAGCUAAUGUGCCCAAAGUAAGCGCAUUCCUUAACUUUGCCAAUUUAGUAUUUUCAGUUGGUUACUUAAUAGAUCUGAUAUUUUUGUGAAUGGUUGAGCAGGCAGUUGUACUUUGCCAAGUCGAGAAAGCGAAGGAAGACAUGUUGAAUCAGUUAUAUAGCUCUGUCAGGUUGAUGGCUUUCUUAUUUCUCUCUUAUCAAUUAAUGAUCAUUUUGUUUGUAGUAAUUGUGCAUGGAUUCAAUAUAUGGUAACAUUAUUGAAAUUUUGUUAGAAAGCUGAUUGAUGCUAAAUAAUUUGUAUUUUACCUUGGGUAGUGCACAAAGCACGGCAAGGAUUGAAGAGCUGCUUCAGGAGGACCAGAAUGUGAAGCGUAGGAGGGAUCGCUAUCAGAAACAGUCUGAACUCCUGUCUAAACUAACCCGCCAACUUAGCAUUCAUGACAACCGAGCGGCUGCUGCCGCUAACUGGUCGGACGGUGGUGGUGGAGCAGGUACGUGGUCUUUUGUUCAUAUACCAAGUGGAAAAGAUUGUUCAAUUUAACAUUUCCCUUUUGUCUGUUUAAAAAAUUAAACAUUGAACUUUGAGUAAAUAUCUAUAGUCUAAUGACAGUGGAUCUUUUCUUAACCUAAUUGUUUGCUGAUUUUGGAAUUAAAAAUUUUGUUCUGAACUUGAAUUAAAUUAUUGGAAAGGUUUCUCAGGUGACACUCAAGAAAUGCUAACCAAACCUAUUAAUUGCUUGAACAGUCUUACUAUUGAGCUACUUUCUGACAAAAGAUUGUUAGAUUGAUUUGUUUAUACCGUUGGAUUUUAAAAUUUUUCUUUAUUUGUACCAUUUAAUUAACAAUUUUUUUUUAUAAGACCGUCAUUUUGAUUUUAAAAUGUUACUUUGUUAAGUCUCUAUUUGAAACAUUUUGAUGAUGGAAGUAUUGGGUUAUGUAAUAUGCAGAAAGCAGCCCUAGAACAAGUGCCGCAUCAGGUGAUGACUGGGGAUCCGCAUUUGAUGCUGCUGCCAAUGGACCUGUAAGCCUUCGCAGCUACUCUCGGUCUGCAUCCAAUGGUCACAGCCGGUGUUACUGUGAUCCAGCCGAGAAUGGUGAUGUGAGAUCUGUUUCAAACUCGGGCAGUCGUCGUACUCCUAAUCGGGUGCCGCCGCCUCCACCACCAACACAGUCAGGCUCCAAGUACUUUUAGGUGGCUUACAGAUUUUGGUUGACAAUUCAUAUUUUCUCUGCAUAUUUUUAGUGAGUGAAGGCCUGCUUAAGCACUCAUGAUUCCAGUAGUUGGUUAAUCACUUCUUUAGAAUCUUCAAAAGAGGGUGCUUUGUGUAAAUAGGACUCUAUAGUUCCUGAGCUGAAAGUCAGGAUUUUACGGCUUGCCACUUGUCAAAACUAUGAAUUCAAAGUGUAUUUGAAUUCCAUUUAUCAUAUUCUUCUAUUCACUAUUUUGUUUUUGUUUUUGCCCACGUGCUUAUUAAAAAAGUAUUUCUGAAAUAUUUAGUCGCUCAAGUAAUUCAUCAUUAAAAAAAAAAGUUUAUUAUUUUAUUUAUUUAUUAUUAUUUUUAAAAAAAAAUUAAAAAAAUAAAAAUAAAAACAAAAAAAGGUUUUUUUCUUUCUUUUAUUUUUUUAUUUAUUUGAAAAAAAUAAAAAUAAAAAACGAAAAAAAAUUCAUUGUUCACAAAAUCCCUAAUUCACCAGAAUUUUGUUUUCUUCUCUAGCCACUUGCAGCACACCAGCAGCAAACCAGCCCGCGUGAACUAGCAAGCAUCUCCCGCAGCAACCGGCCGCGCGUGCGCGCAACACCAGCAUCGAGCACCAUCCGCGCAACGUCAGCACGCAUCUCAGCAUCCCGCGCGCACAACCAGCUCCAUCUCGAGUCUCGCAGCACCAGCAUCACCAGCGCAGGCGCCAGCAUCCCGCGCGCAGCUCUGUGCCGCAAUCAACCGCGCAGUAUCCCGCGUGCAAGCAGCCCGCGCGUAGUUUCAUCCGCAACCAUCCCACGACCAUCAAGCACCGGCGCGUGCGUGCAAGCAUCUCAUGAGCAGCAGCCCGCACAAGCAACCAACGUCAGCCCAGCAGCGCAAUUUCAUCCGCAACCAGUCCGUGCAAUUCCAGCCGCGUGAAUCGAAACCCAUGAGUGAAAUUACUGUAACAAUGCCGAAGAGGAAAGCAUCAACUUCCAAGCCAUCAACGUCUAAAAAGAAACCCGUCGCAAAGAAAUCUAAGAUUGCCGCUCCCACUACGGUCCCAUGGAAUACAGUUUCAAAUUCACGCUAAGCCGUGAGACAAAGAUCGAAACAUGGAAAGGGCAUGAGUGUUUUGCCACUUGCGGAAUCCAAUCUCGGAGGAUGCCUUACAUUUACGACUCAACAAGAGAAAGAAAUGUACAAAGAUAUUUCCAAAUGAAAAAUACUUCCAGCUAAGUAUAUUCAUUACCCAACUCUUGAAAAAUUGAAUGUUAAGGAUAAUUUUGAUUAUUUGAUAGAUAAGAUUGGUUUGCGUAAGUUUGUUGAUAUUGAUUGUUUGGGUUAUGUUGAGUUGAUUAGGGAGUUCUAUGCUACUUUUCAAUUUAAUAUACCGAAUGAUUUUACUUUGCAUACUCCAGAUGUUAUAAAGUUUAAGUUAAUGGGAUGAAAUUUUUCACAAUCUAUCACAGAUUUUAACCUAGCUUUAGGAUUCAUUAAUGAUGAUUAUUCUUCUAGUGAUGCAUAUUUAGGAACAACUUGUGAUUUUAGCAAAAAUUUUGAGCCUUAUGGUCUUUAGCGUAAUUUAUUGGUUGAUCACAAUGCCUAUGACCCCGAGUAAAUCAAAGAGUUCUUUCUUACGUGAUUUUGUUUUGAAAUGUGUGUAUCGGUUCUUAGCAUAUAUUUUUUUAGGAAAGAAAGAUCACUCGGGAGUUUUCUCUAAAACUGAGUUUUAUUUUAUCUGGUGCAUGUUAAAUGAUGUGAGGCCUAAUUUGGGUUUUUGGUUAGUAGAUCAAUUUCAAAGUGUGCUUAAACGGUAUAGGACUUUAUUUUAUGGUCCAUACAUUACUCUGUUAGCUAUAAACUUAUGUGUGCUUGAUCCUGACAAUAAUGAUUUGCAUCCUGCUUACAAAAAGGAAUUUUUGGUUAUGUAUGUGUUUGAAAGAAUAGGUGUGGUCGAAUUUAAGGAGGGGAGAUUUCAGUUUACUGAACUAGGACCCACUCAACCACCAAAGAAGCUUUAUGCUAGGAGUGGUGCUACCUCUGAUGACGAGUUUGACGACGAAACUGCUGCCCCAUCAACUAUUCCUUCUACAUCCGCACCACCUUUGAGCAUUCAGUUAGAGAAAAUGGAGCGCAAGCUGAACAAGAUGGAGCAGAAUUUGGCCACAUACUUCGAGAGUGUGGGAUUUAUCCCACCAUUGCCGCCAAGCCCAUAGACGUUAUGUGGAUCAAAGCUCACAAUUCAGAGAAGGUUUUGCCUUUAAUCUUUUAUCUUUACGCUUUAAUUUUUAUGUGAGCUUUGAUUAUCUUACAUUGGAGACAAUGUAAGUACUUGAUGUGGGGGAAGGAUAUUUGCAAUAAUGAUGUCUGAAAGUAUUAUUUUCACUCUGCUCAUCCUUAAAUUAUUUUAGAGUUAGUAUGCUUCAUAUAUUAUUUUUUUUAUUUUCUUUUCUUUUUCACUACUUUUUUUCUCAUCUAUCUCAAAUUAUUUACAUCUAUUUUUAUUCUAUCAUACUCUUUCAUCACUCACAUUUUAUCUUUCACUUUUUAUAUUACUACAUACAUCUUUCUCGCUUCUUAUCCUUUUUACCUUUCCUUUCAUAUAUCACUUCUACCUUCUUCUCAAUCUAUACCACUAUUGAUGGUUGAUUCAUUUGAAGAGUGUACAUGAUUUGAUGGCAAAUUUACCAACUUUGUGAGGAUUUGAGCCUAUGAGCAACCGCUUUGCUCUAAUUAUUUUUGUUAUGUUAAUAUCAAUCUUAGUUUGUUUAUUCUAAAACUUGCUUUGUUAUGCAUGUUGAAGCCACAUUAAAAGAUUUUAUGCAUUAAAAUGAUAAGGGCAAACCAUUUUCCAUUUUUCUAUUCUUGCAUUUUUCUUUUUUUUUUUCCUCUACCCGAAGACCUUUCUUUGCUUCUCUCCAUCUAUUUACCCAUUUUCCUUCUUUUUGAGCCUCAAUUUAAGGAGAUUUUUGGACUCAUUGUUUGAAUAUAUUUUGUAUAUAUUUUGUUGCUCUUGCUACCUUGAAUUAAAGUUUCUCAAUUAGAUCAACAAGCAUUAUGCUUGAAUUAAAUUGUGAAAGGUUCAUUUCUUUUGUUUGAUUAAAAAAAAACAAAACAAAAAAACCAAAAAAAAGAAAUCGAAAAAAAAGAAAAAAAUGUGUUUACAUUCUUCGUGACUUGAGUAGAAAUAAGCAUUUCGAUAUCAUAAAGUUCAUUCAAUGAGUUCAUUCUUCUCAUUUUGAUCUCUUUUUCUUUCAUAAACCUUUCUUUUUCAUUUAAUCCAUUUAACCUCGUUACAACCUUUUUAAGACCCUUAGAUUUUUGCAUUUAAUUCAUGUUUUGUGGAUUGAGAUGUGAUAUAUGAGCAAGCUUAUUGUAAUAGCAUUCUUUGAUUUGAUUUGAGUGCAUAAAUGAUACCCUAAACACUUUGAGUACAUGGAGUGAAGUCAUUGAGAGAGCUAUUAAAUCUUGUUGCACUUGAAUUUUGAAUGGAUCUUCUUAGUGGUUGAAUGUUUUUCUUUUAUUUUAGUUUAUGAGAUCCUAUGCUUUAAAAUCCUUGUCUCACGAAUGUUGAUCGACUUAAAUUCUUGAGGUAUGCUUGCUUAAGAUUGUUUUUGGAUGAGUUGAGAUGAGAAUUGAGUGGAGAUUGGGAUUAGUCUUGAGUUAUAUGCUUGAGGUCAAGCAUCAUCUUGGUGUGGGGGAAUUUGUUAGAGUGCAAUUUAUGCACUAGUUUUGCAUUGUUUACUUCUCUUAAUAUCAAUGUUUUGCACUUAACAAUAGUGAUUUACUUGUGUUUUACUUUUGUAGGUGCAAUUCCAUUUAUUGGUGAUAAAAUUGAGCUACAAGAUAAUGUUUAAGGAUGAUUGUUCUCUUAGAGAAAUUAUUAGCGUUAGAAGAACUUUUUUGAUAAGACGUGGGUGCGUGCUGUCAAUUACGGACUUGCAGUUUUUAGUUUAACGUGUUUUGUAUUUUUGGUUAUUUUUAUAAUUACGAAUUUAAUAUUUCAGAUAUUAGUAUUUAUUUUAAAUAGAACUCUAGAGGAGAAGAGAUGGAGAGUAUUUAAGGGAAGAAUCUAUUGUGAAAAAGGGAUAUUGGAGAAAAGAAAGAAACCCUAUAUCUAAAUUUUUCUCUUCUCUCUAUGAAGAACUAAACCUAUUAUUCUCGUUGAAGGUUAAUGAAGCUUUGAUUCAUUACUGCUGUGAGAUCUUUCUUAUGCUUUAAUUGUUUUAUUACUUUUUGGAUAUUUGUUUAUUCUCUGAAUUAUUGUCAUGAUUAUGUUUGUUAAUUAGAUAAUUGACCACUAAUUAACUAUCAACUUAAUCUAUUGUCAAUUAAAGGAUUCAUCGUAUGAAGAUUUUAAUGUUUGUGACAAAUAACAUAGCAGUGAGUUGUGUUAUGAGAAUAAACAAUCUAAUUUAAAUGAACUAUCAUAUGCAUUUGUUGAUUAGGAUUUGGGUCUCUCUGGUUUUUCAGGCUGUCAAUUGAUUAAAUUCUAUGAUCGUAUCUAGGGUUGUCUAUUGAUUAGGGAAAUAACCAAAUGUCGUACCUUGGUUAUCGACUAGUUAAGGAGAGAUUGGCUAUUAGAGGGUCUCAGUAGCUAUAACCGGUCUAUUCAUAAGUAGUAAUCAUUUAUAUUUGAAUCAAUGAUCAGUAGUCGAAUCAAGCUGAGUUAAUUCCUUCAACCAGAGCUUUCCCCAAUUUGAAUUAUAAUUUUAAUUUGUGCCCUUGUUAUUUUAAUUUGAUUUUUAUUAUUGUCAACAAUUCCCCCAUUUUGCAUUUUAUAUUUUAAAAGGAUUUAAAUAAUUACCGAUCUUUGUAGACACGACCCUUCUCAAUCACUAUACACAAUUUAUUUAGAGUAGGUAUUUAUUUUUGUUGGCUUCAACAACCAUCACAAAUUAACUACAUUAGGGUGCGUUUUAGAGCCAUCAAAUCCACAGUAAUGUGGCAACUAAAACAUGUGAAUAAAUUUCUUCGGUCAAUGGUAACAAAGUCCAAGAGUGAUUUAUGAUGCCUAAUUACCACGAGCACACGUAAUUUGCAUGCAACAUGCCUAGCUCAUUUGAAAAUUUGGAUCAAUGAGUGUUUCACAAAACACCAUUCAAGUUUUCACAUCAUGAAAAUAGGAAUUAAUUUGAACCAAUUGUCAACACUAUACAGCAUGUUUAUUGCUCAAAUUGAAGAAAAUUAAGAAGACAAACAGAUCGAAGAUUACAGAAAAGUCAAUUCAAGGAAAAGGCUCUUAUAUGUGACGUCAUACUUUGCCGUCUCACAUAGCUACAAUCAAAUUUUCUAUUUUCUUAAUGCUAGCUAAUAAAAGAAAAAUGUAGAAAUAUAUGACAGAAUCCAUCGCUUUCAUCAGUGGAAUAAGCAAGAGAGCAACAUGAAACAUGUAAAAAAGGAAAAUAAUAUUUGCCUUUUAAAUAAUUUUAUUGAAUCAGGAGACGUAACUUUAUACAAGAGAUUUCCUAUAAUCAUGCUAAUCUAUUCUAGGUAGUCUAAAUAUAAAAGGCAACUGAACAAAUAUACAACUAAUACAAUAUAUUUGUCAAUGAAUGGUCAGAUAUCAUUGACCUUUCCUUCUCAAUACUCCCCCUCAAGUUGGAAAGUGAAUGUUAAGAACUCCCAACUUGCAUAUCGUAGUUGAGAAAGCUUCCUUUCCCAAUGGCUUGGUGAACACAUCUGCAAGUUGAUCUGUUGAGGCAACAUGUUUGGUUACAACUGAACCAUCUUGUAUUUUGUCAUGAAUAAAAUGGCAUCCAUCUCUAUAUGUCUGGUUCUUUCGUGGAAAACGGGAUUGGCAGCUAUAUGUAAGGCUGCUGUGUUAUUAUAAUAUAAUAAUGCUGGCUUUGGAUGCAAUAUUCUCAAAUCCUUCAAUAAUGAGCGUAGCCAGGAUAAUUCACAACAUGUACCUGUCAUGGCUCUAUAUUCAGCUUCUGCUGAGGAGAGAGAUACGGUUUUCUGCCUCUUUGUCUGCCAAGAAAUAAGAGAAGAUCCCAGAAAACACAAUAACCCGUAGUGGAUCUACGAGAUAUUGGACAACUAGCCUAAUCCGAAUCAGAAAAAGCUUGCAAAGAUAAAUCAUUCUGAGAAGGGAAAGACAAACCUUGCCCUGGACUAUUUUUCAAACAACGCAAUACACGUAAGGCAGCUUCCAUGUGUGGUCCACGUGGUGCAUGCAUGAAUCUACUUAACACAUGGACCGAAUAGGUGAUAUCCGGCCGGGUAAUAGUCAAAUAAAUUAAGUGUCCAACAAGUCGCUUAUACUGAGACUGAUCUUUAAGCAAUUCACCUGAAUCCGAGAGCUUUAUGUUUUGUUCCAUGGGAAAGUUCACAGGUUUAGCACCCAAAAAUCCACCAUCUUUUAAAAUUUUCAAAGUAUAUUUUCGUUGCGAGAUGGAAAUGCCUUUUUCAACCGAGAAACUUCGAUGCCCAAAAAAUACUUCAAAUCACCCAAAUCUUUAAUUCGAAAAUGACUAUGUAGAAAUUGCUUGAGGGCUACUAUGGCAUUGACAUCAUUACCCGUAAUAAGAAUGUCAUCGACAUAUAUCAACAAAGUUGUAAAACAUUUGCCUUUCCAACAUGUGAAUAACGAGUAAUCGACUUUGGAUUGAACAAAGCCAGCAGCUUGGAUAGCUGUAGAGAACUUGGCAAACCAUUGUCGGGAAGCUUGCUUUAAGCCAUAUAACGACUUGUGAAGGCGACACACUAGAUUCUCCCCCUGUCGUCGAAGACCAGGAGGUGGAGACAUAUAAAUUUCUUCAUGGAGAUCGCCAUGAAGAAAAACAUUGUUGACAUCAAGUUGGUGAAGAGACCAAUUAUGGGCAGCUGCUAAAGCCAAUAAACAACGAACAGUAAUCAUUUUAGCAGUGAGAGAAAAAGUGUCAUGGUAAUCUAUACCUUCCAGCUGUGUGAAACCUUUUGCAACCAAACGAGUUUUAAAAUGCUCAAUAGUACCAUCCGAGUGCUGUUUGAUUUUAUAAACCCAACGACAACCAAUAGGCUUCUUACCAGGAGGAAGAGAAGUGAGGGACCAAGUGUGGUUGGCUUCUAAAGUAGCCAAUUCAGAUUGUAUUGCUUCUUGCCAAUGGGAAUGGGAAGCUGCUUUAGCAUAAGAUGUAGGCUCAAUAUCUUGACUGACAGCAGCAGUAAAAGAGUGAUGUUGUGGUGAGUAACGAUGAUAAGAGACAAAAUUACAAAGGGGAUAUCGUGUACCUUUUUGUGGACCUGAUGACAAAGGCGGCAAGUGAUUGUUAGAUGUUACUUGGUUAUAGACAUAAUCACGUAAAGCCAUGGGAGGGUGAUGAGGUUUUUGGGAACGGCGUAAAAUGGGUUCGGGAAGAGGACUAGUAGGUGAUAGCUGAGUAGAAACUGGAUUCAGUGGUAAGGGUUGUUGGAUAGUAGAAAUUGGUUUUGGUGGUAAGGGUUGUUGAACUGGUAAGGAAGGAUCGGAUAUAGAAAGAGGAAUCACAAGGUCUGAAUUUAAGGAAGGGGAUGGAAUGGACUCAUAAGGGAAAAUAGUUUCAUGAAAAACAACAUCACGGCUAGUGAACAUAUAGUGGGUGUCAAGGUCAUAGAGCUUGUAAGCUUUUUGACCAAUUGGAUAGCCAAGAAAAAUACAUCGUUUGGCUCGAUGAGCAAAUUUAUGGGGGACGUGCACAUCAGUAGCAUAGGCAAGACACCCAAAAACUCGGAUAUGAGAAUAAGAAGGAAGUUUUCCAUAAAGUCGUUCAAAAUGAGUUUGGCGAGAAAGGAGUGGUGUGGGCAAACGAUUAAUUAUAUGAACAGCACUAGAAACACAUUCUGCUAAAAAAUGUAAAGGAAUGUGGGCUUGAAAAUGAAAAGCUCUAGCGGACUCAAGAAUAUGGCGGUGCUUGCGCUCUACAACCCCAUUUUGUUGAGGGGUAUAGACACAAGAAUGUUGGUAAGUGGUCCCUUUUUGUUUAAAAAAUUCCCGCAGAGAGAAGAAUUCUCCACCAUUAUCAACCCGAAUGUUGGCUAUAGAUACAUGGAAUUGUGUUUGGACAAAUGAAAAAAAAAAUUGACUAGUAAAUGUUGUGUUUCACUUUUGUGAUGCAUAAAAAAUACCCAUAUGAAUCUAGAAUAAUCAUCCAUAAUAGUCAAAAAAUAUUUCGCACCAAAAAGAGAGGCAAUUUUAUAGGGGCCCCAAAUGUCACAAUGAAUUAAUUCAAAAGGUCUAAUAGACGAAAUUGAACUAACAGAAAAUGGAAGUCAACUUUGUUUCGCAAGUGCACAAACAUCACAAGCAUUAUUAGACUGGAAAGGGAAAUUUAACAAAGGUUUUGCCAUAAAAUCUAAUCUAGAAGAAGACAAAUGCCCUAAACGGUGAUUCCACAAAAUGGUGGAGGAGGUGACCUGAGAACUGGGUGAACAGCAAAAAGUGGCUGCUGCGGAUGGAGUUUGAGGUUUUGGCUUCUCUGAUGCUAACGCAACCAAGUAAUAAAGUCUGUCUCGUUGUUCAUCCAAACCAAUCGUCGUCCUCGUCAUCAAGUCCUGCAAAAUACACCGAUGAGGGAAAAAGGUUACUGAACAAUUGAGAUCUCUGGUAACUCGACUCAUAGACAUUAAAUCCACCUUAAAAGAUGGCACACCAAGCACAUUUUGUAAAGUAACAGCAGAAUUCAAAGGUAAAUUCCCAAUGGAUGUAAUCGGAGCCUGUUCUCCACUUGGCAUAGCAACUAGUGGCAAAAAGGUGUUCUUAUUGAUGUUGACAAGCAAAGUUGGAGAUGAAGUAAUGUGGUCUGUUGCACCACUAUCGAUAAUUAAUUGAUGGAGGCGCAACAAUAUUUGUAACAAACCUGAGGUAGCAGUAUUAGCUUUAGGAUUGGUGGAUUGUGUUGUCCCUUUACCCUGCAUGAUAGACAAGAUUUGCUGGAUUUGCAAAUCAGAGAGCCCAUUUGUCACCGAUGGCACUUCCUGCAUUACUGGACUUUCCUUGACAUUGUUGGCUAAAGAUUGAUGGCUAUUGUUGCGCUUGAAAUGAAUGCUUCCUUGAUUAUACCUGUUUGAUGCAUGUUUAGGGUGUUCUGGUGGGUACCCAUUCAGCUUCCAGCAUUUUUCUCAUACAUGAUGGUCACGGUCACAAUAAGAGCAAUGCAAAGGUUUUCGAUUAGAUGGGUUGGAACGAGAAGAAGAACCUUGUUCAUGUCGAACAGCUAGAGCCACCGGUUCAGCCCUUCGAACAACCAUGGCUGAGUGCUCCGUCGUCUCACGUAUAGCCCCCAGGCUUCGCUGCUUCUCUUCUUUUACAAUGGAAGACUAAGCCUUGGCAACAUCAGGUAGCGGAUUCAUCAACAAAAUCUGCCCUCGAAUUGCACUGUAGGACUCAUUGAGUCCCAUGAGAAAUUGCAUCAAUCUACAUCUCUUAUGGUCUGCCCUACAAAAGCAAACGGGGUCAUUAUAGGAUCCUAGUUCAUCCCAUAAUUUUUUUAACCUUGUGUAAUAAGUUGCAAUAGUCAUCUGAUCUUGAGCAAGACAAGCAAUGUCCCUCUCAAUCUGAAAAAUACGAGGGGCAUUGCUUUGAGAAAAACGAUCUCGAAGGUCUUCCCAUACCUCCUGGGCGGUGGUCGAAAAAAUGACACUGUCUGCAAGGUCCUGUGUGAGUGGAUUGAGAAUCCAAGAGAGGAUCAUAUCAUUGCAUUUUUUCCACGAAGCGUAUUCGCCUAGUUUGGCUGUGGCAGACGACAUUGUGGUGGUCCCGUUUAUGAAACCUAACUUGGAUUUGGUGUUCAAAGAAAUCGUCAUGGCUCUAAACCAUGUCGAAUAAUUAUCCCCAUUGAGGGGCUUGGAAACAAGUACCAUUCCUGGAUGAUCAGAAUGGUGAAGAAAAUAUGGAUUGGCAGCAUCAAGCUUGCCUCCGUUCGAAGGUUGCUGUUCCGUCAUGAUAAUGAGAAACAACAAAAAAAGAAAGGCAAAAAGAAAGAGGGCAGAGAGCUAGGGUAUCGUUCCCUUCUCUGAUACCAUGUAAAAAAAGAAAAUAAUAUUUGCCUUUUGAAUAAUUUUAUUGAAUCAGGAGACGUAGCUUUAUAAAAGAGAUUUCAUACAAUCAUGCUAAUCUAUUCUAGGUAGUCUAAAUAUAAAAGGCAACUAAACAAAUAUACAACUAAUACAAUACAUUUGUCAAUAAAUGGUCAGAUAUCAUUGACCUUUCCUUCUCAACAAAACAAGGGUAAAAAGAGUGAAACCUUCUUAUUGUUUGAAAAAACUAAUUGAAACUCCCCUAAUGUUUUAAAACACACACACACAUUAGUUUUGCAUUUAAUUUUUCAUAAAUUUGAAAAAAAAUUCAGAAUUAAUUAAUAAUACAAUACAUUUGUCAAUGAAUGGUCAGAUAUCAUUGACCUUUCCUUCUCAACAAAACAAGGGUAAAAAGAGUGAAACCUUCUUAUUGUUUGAAAAAACUGAUUGAAACUCCCCUAAUGUUUUAAAACACACACACACAUUAGUUUUGCAUUUAAUUUUUCAUAAAUUUUGAAAAAAAAUUCAGAAUUAAUUAAUAAAUGACGACACUUUCCUUGCUUUUUCCAAUAAUUUUAAAUUUAAUUUUUCAAUCAAUUAUGAUUUAAAAAAUUCAAUUAAUUAAAUAAUUAAAGGUAUUUAUAUUCUCAAUAUCAAACAACCAUCAAGAAUAAAAUGGUAUUAAAAAUUUGAUAAUUAGAGAGUUUAAAUGUAUUUUAAAACAUCAGGAGAGUUUUAAUUAGUUUAGUCAAAUAAUAGGGAGGUUUUACAUUUUUUUCCCCAUUAAACAAGUGUCUAAGAAAUUAAACUUUUAACAAGUGUCGAAUGCAUCUUAAUUUCUGAAUACUACAAAGUGUCUGACUCAGAUCGGAAGAAUGAAUCUGAAAUUUUCUUUCAGGCAUGGAAGAAUCACUGCAUAAUCAGUGUGUAUGGAAGAAAAAAUUAAUAAGCCAAGUGACAUGGAAAUAAAUGAAUUCACAUUAAACAUGUACCAUGUGCGUCGGUUGUCGCAAAAAAGAACAACAUUUUCCAAGAAAUAAUCAUGCCAGUCUACACAGAAGCACAAUUCACGUUUAAACUUUCACCUUUUUUUUUUUUUUUUUUUUUUUUUUUUUUUAAGAAACGAACAUCUACACUCUAAAACUUAAGAAAAUGGUCACCAAUACCAUCAAGUUUUAAAAAAGGAGCAUUAAGACCUAAGACCCUCUUUUUAACUAUAAUACCUUUUACCUCUACGAUCCCAAAAAAUUAACUCUAAUAUUUUUAUAAUAAAUAGGAAUAUAACAUUAAAAUAAAUGUAAUAUUAUAUACAUUUUAAAAUAAUUUCAAUAUUUAAAUUUUUUAAUAUUUUACAAUCUAUUGGAUAUAUUUUAUUAUAUUAAAGUAAAUUUUAUAAUAAAUAGAAUCAUAAUAUUAAAAUAAAUGUAUUAAAAUUUAAAUUAUUUUGAAUAUUAUGUAAAAUAAUAAUUUUAAUAUUAUUAAUAUGUGAGAUUUAUUUUAAGUGUAAAUUUAUUUAAUGAAAAUAUUAAUUUAAAAUCUCCACAAUAAAUAAAAUUUAUUAUUAAAAUAAAUAUAAUAAAUUUACAUAUUUAAAUUUAUUCAAAAAUUAAAAUAUUUUAAUAUUGUUGGUCUACUGCAUAGAUUACAUUAUAUUUGUAUUUAUUAAAAAUUUUAAAGUCAAUUGUUUUAGGAAUAAUAGAGGUAAAUGGUAUAAUGGUCAAAAGGGAGUUUUGAUGUCUUUUUUAAAAAAACUUGGGUGUUGGUGACUGUUUCCCUAAACCUUGAGGAUAUAGAUGUCCUUUUUCCUUUUUUUUUUUUUUUUCCAUUUCACACACCAUAACCCCCAUUCACGUUUAAAGUAAAGCUUCCCGAUUGUGAGGGGAAUCGAUCUCAACUAAGCUAUGUGAGCUUAGAUGGAUUAGAAUUUUUACCAUUCAAUUGUGUGUUUUUUCUAGAAUGAUUGGACAUUGGCGAUGAAAUGAAGUAUUAAAAAUUUAUCAAGGAACAAAGUAGUAAAAAUAAAUUCAAGAAAUUGUGUUUUCUGUAGCAGAUGUGAGAUCCUAACAGGUCAUUUGGAUUAUUUUUUUAAAAACAAAAGUCUUAAUAAAUUAAACUUACAAAAUUUUAGUGAAUUAAUAAUUUUUUAUAUUUAAAUAAAUUAACUUUCUGAAAAUUUUAAUAAUUCACAAAUGCCCUAAAACUUAUCGAAUGUUUGGCAAGGGUUUACUGCAUGGGGAUAAACUUGGUGUACUAAAUUUGGCAUAACAAACGCACCCUAAAUACAAUAGAAAUAACUCGUGCCAUUCCUCCAAAUAACUCCAAUGAUUUUUCCCGAAAUUAAAAUCAUAUUCUUUAGACUUUAACCUAUACCAAAAAAAAAAAAUUAGUAUCUUAAUAAAGAGGCAUAUAAUGACAAAAUUAAAGGGUAGUGAAAAGACAAUCCCAAACGGUGUGUUAUUUUCCUUUCAUUUACUGGCAUGAAUUUUCGGGAGACAAAAGCCCAGUAAACAAGUUUGUUCGGUACAAUAGGAUCCAAAAAAACCUUAGUCAAUUUGUCCAUUAAUCUUGACCACAAAUAUUUUUUUAUUCUAUUUCGUAGGAUGACUUUUCAUGUUAUUCUAUGAAAAAAGAGAGAGAGAGAGAGAAGAAUUUUUGUGGAAAAACUUUGAUCAUUAUUCUUGAUUGUUUGUCAGCUUUAGUGGAAAUGCCCAAGCGUUUUCACAUUUUCUGAAUUGUUGCUAUCCAAAUGAGAAGAAUCUCUGAGAAAAAAUUUUGAGCACUAAUCUAACAGUUUGUUAGCUUUAGCGGAAAAGGCUAGAUAUUUUAACAUUUUAUGAAUUGCACAUUGAAGACGCAACGCGAAUAUAGUUUUGUGACACCAAGCUAAAUUAACCAGAUUAACUUACUCUCAUUUACCGUACCAAAGAAAUUUACCCUACAAGUUAAUUAACCAACAAGUAGUAGACGGACAGCUACAAGUUGUACAUUGACGUAGAAGAAGAUGCAUUCGAUACGAAGAUUGAUUUGACAGAACUGCAACAAAGUGAACCAUUUUUGGGAUAAGUUUAGAGCAGUACUAAUAUAUAUCAAGAAAGAAACAGUAUUACUGUUUUCUCUCUUUAGCAUUUCUACUAAUUUUAAUACAUUGAUCUUGGAAGACUUUUCCACAAUAUCAAUUGAUGCAUUGACUUGUUGACCUCUCAAUUGCUCUUGUAUGUGGUUUCUAUAAAUUUGGCAUCCUAUAUGCUUGUUUUCUGCACCGUUGUUAAUUUGUACGUUUUUGAAAGCUGAGAGUCCUCAAGUGAUCUUAAUUUUGAAUUUUAACACAUUUUGGUUUAUCUUACUUUGUUUUAUUGUGUUUUAUAAUGUCAAUGGGGGCAACAAACAUGAAUAAAGUAGUUUCUUCACUAGCUUUGUUGAUCCUAUUUUCUUUGCUAGAUUUUUCAAUUGCUGUUUCUUCUGAUUCUAAUGAAGAAGCUGAUGCUCUUCUCAAAUGGAAAGCCAGCCUUCAAAGCCACAACCGAUCUCUCCUUCCUUCCUGGACUAACGCCACCACCAAUGUUUCAUCCAAAAUAAGCUCGUGUGCUUGGUAUGGAAUCAGUUGCAAUGACGCUGGAAGAGUCGUCAACAUUAGCCUCCCAGCUAAAGGAUUAAAAGGUAAGCUUCAUGAUUUCUCAUUCUCAUCGUUUCCUCAUCUUGCUUAUCUUGAUCUUAGCUAUAAUAAACUCUUCGGUACUAUCCCGCCUCAAAUUAGUAACCUUACGAAUCUCAUCUACCUUUAUUUCGGAGGCGAUCAAUUUUCAGGAAAUAUUCCACCAGAAGUUGGUCUUAUGAGUCAUUUGAAGUUCCUUUACAUUGAUACGAACCAAUUAGAUGGCUCAAUUCCACCAGAAGUAGGUCAGUUAAGUUCUCUGGUGGAGCUUGCCUUCUUCUCUAACAACUUGAAUGGUUCACUCCCUCCUUCUUUAGGUAAUUUGACACACCUCUCUAAAUUGUUCCUUCAUGAUAAUUCAUUUUCUGGUUUUAUUCCUCCGGUCAUUGGAAACUUGAAAUCUAUGUCCGUCUUAAGUUUGGGCAUUAAUCAAUUUAGUGGUCCAAUCCCUCUUUCUUUAGGUAAUUUGACCAACCUAAAAGUAUUAGGCCUCGUUGAUAACAACCUAUCCGGUUCCAUUCCACCCUCCCUCGACAAUCUUGUGUUAACCAACCUAUCAUUGGAUUUCAAUCAUUUUACAAGUUAUUUACCGCACAAUGUUUGUCGAGGUGGAGCAUUACAGUAUUUUCGCGUUUCUGAAAACCAUUUUCAGGGAACAAUCCCUAAAAGCUUGAGAAAUUGCACAAGCUUAAUCCGAGUACGCCUUGAUGGAAACAAACUUACUGGAAAUAUAUCAGAAGCUUUGGGCAUUUAUCCUAACCUAACUUUCAUAGAUCUCAGCCGCAAUAAUUUUUACGGCGAAAUCUCAUUUAAUUGGGGGAAAUGCCCAAAAUUAGGCACUCUCAAUGUUUCUAUGAAUAACAUUACUGGAGGUAUACCGCGUGAGAUUGGAAACUCGUCUCAACUACAUGCACUCGAUCUUUCAUUGAAUCAUAUAGUUGGGGAGAUUCCAAAGGAACUUGGGAAGUUAAAUUCUCUAACCAAGCUCAUUUUGAGAGGGAAUCAACUUACAGGACGCCUGCCUACAGAAAUCGGGGCAUUCAAUGAACUUGAAUACCUCGACUUAUCUGCAAAUAGAUUCAACAAUUCAGUCCCAGAAAGUCUCGGCAACUUGCUGAAAUUGCACUACUUGGGUUUAAGCAACAACCAGUUUGUCCAAGAAUUGCCAAAGGAAUUGGAGAAGCUAGUUCAACUUUCAGAAUUAGAUGCAAAUCAUAACCUCUUUGGAGGAGAGAUACCAUUUCAAAUAUGCAGUUUGAAAAGCUUGGAAAAGUUGAAUCUCUCCCACAAUAAUCUCUCUGGUUCGAUUCCAAAUUGCUUUGAGGGAAUGCACGGUCUAUCAGUCAUUGACAUUUCCGAUAAUCAAUUGCAAGGCCCAGUUCCAAAUAGCACAGCAUUUCGCAAUGCCCCAGUGGAAGCCUUAGAGGGGAAUAAGGAAUUGUGUGGAAGUGUGAAAGGAAUGCACCCAUGCAAAGUUUUCUCGUCACACAAGCAAAAUUCUGGAGCCAAGUGGUUUGCAAUAGUGUUCCCUGUUUUAGGAGCACUAUUUGUUUCAAUGGCGUUGAUAGCAAUUUUCAUUCUUCGAAAGCGGAAGUCAGACUCAGGAGAUCGACAGAGUAGCAACCAGAACCCUAAGGGAUUGUUUUUUAUAUUAAAUUUUGAAGGGAAACUUGUGUACGAUGAAAUUGUUAGAGCAUCAAAUGAUUUUGAUGCAGAGUAUUGCAUUGGAAAUGGUGGACACGGAAGUGUUUAUAGAGCUGAGCUACCAUCUGGGGAAGUCGUAGCUGUUAAGAAAUUUCACUCACCACUCCCAUGCGAUCAGAUUUCAGAUCAAAAAGAAUUCUUAACCGAAGUUGAGGCCUUGACAGUGAUACGACAUCGAAACAUUGUGAAGUUUUAUGGAUUUUGCUCACAUGCCCGACACUCUUUUUUGGUCUAUGAAUUUCUUAAAAGGGGUAGCUUGGCUGCGAUCUUGAGCAGUGAUGCAGCAGCACAAGAACUGUGUUGGAGUCAGAGAAUGAAUGUGAUCAAAGGCAUAGCUGAUGCCUUGUCUUACUUGCACCAUGACUGCUUUCCUCCAAUUGUCCAUCGAGACAUAUCAAGUAAGAACUUGUUGCUGGAUUUGGAAUAUGAAGCUCAUGUUGCAGACUUUGGAAUUGCUAAGUUCCUGAAGCCAGACUCGUCCAACUGGACUGAAUUUGCAGGCACAUAUGGAUACGUUGCACCAGGUAUUUAGUAUUUAUUUGUUACCAUUUUGAGGAAUAUUUUUGUGUUAUGUGUGCGGUAGCAGAACAAUGCAACUAGAUAUUUAUCUCAGAAACAGAGUAAACAUUUUUUUUUUGGUCCUUGACCUUGCAGAGCUUGCUUAUACAAUGAAGAUCACAGAGAAAUGCGAUGUGUACAGUUUUGGAGUGUUAGUGUUGGAAGUGAUCAAAGGGACGCAUCCAAGAGAUUUUCUUUCUUCGACUUCAUCUCCAUCUCUCAACACGGAUAUAGCACUUGAUGAAAUGUUGGACCCGCGUCUUCCAGUUCCAUCAUGCAGUGUUCAAGAAAAACUGAUAUCAAUCAUGGAGGUUGCUUUUUCAUGCUUAAAUGAGAGUCCGGAGUCUAGACCAACCAUGAAGAUAGUCAAUCAACAAUUACGGAUUUAACCUCAGCUGCCUUGAUUGAGUCUUAAUUUUCUCAUUAUGCUUGUAAUUUGCUUGGUUUAUUUUUCUCAUCUAUUGUAGUUUGUUUGUUCUAGUUUUCAAGAACUGGGAGGCGUUAGUUAUUACGUCAUCCAUAUAUGCUUGGUAUGGGGUGUACUCAACUCUUUCAUUUAUAAAUAAAGUUUGUUCAUUCCUUAGAGGUUUAGUUAAAAGAACGCAUGGGGCAGUGGUGAGCACAUUUGAGGACAUGUGGAGUCUGUACAAUGAAGACCAAGAUCAGUAAGAUACUUUGUAAUAAUUAAAAAAAUAAUUUCUUGCCACAUGUACAAACAUGUGAACCCCUCAAAUGUAAACUUGAAAGUGUGUACCACUGUACUAAUUAGUGGGUGGCUCUUACUUAUUGAUAAUAUUAAAUUAAAUGUUAAAAGAAAGGAAUAGAUAAGGAAAAAAAAUUAAAUAUUGAACAUAAUUUACAAUGUAGUCCUUGUGAUUUAACCAAAAAUCAAAUAAACCAAUAAUAAUUAGUUUUUUUUGGGUGGGGGGUGGGGGGGAGUGGGUGGUGAAGGAUGGAGUUUGAUUGUGAAUCUCGGUUAAAUGACUUAAUUUACAUUUGUCAUGUCAGAGUUAGCCGAUGUCCUAUAUUUGAUCAAUGUGGAUGGCUGAUCAAAAUUAAAUAAUCCUUGAACGAGAUUGAGGCCUUGACAGAGAUACAACAUCAGGGCAUUGUAAAACAGAGAGAAGAUGCACGUGUGACAGAGAGUGAGAGAGAAGCUGCCAAACCGACCCAACUACAGACCCAAAAACCCGACCCGAACCACAAACGUGACCCGGCCGUAUCUUCCGAUUCCGGCCACCCCACUGGUCAAGCUUGUUACCAAUCUGAAGCUUAGAAGCCGACUGUCGUUUUCGGGCCAUCCUCUCCGCCGCAAACUAACCGUAACGCCGACGACCAAAGCUUGAAAACCCGCGACUGUUUCGCUUUGUUCCGCCGAGAUUUUCGCCGGUUUUGGGUGACACCACCGGUUGGAUUUUGUUCCCCACGACUCCUUCUUCCAUUUCCGACCAUCCACUGCUGCCGGGGACAUCGUUUUGCCGUUGAUCGGCCGUUGGAGGACUUGCGGGUUUGGGAGCUCAAUCCGGAGCCAUCGCCGAGCGUGGCAGGUCACCACCGCCACCGUUGGACUCAGUGUGGCCAGAAAUUUUAGACUUGAGCUUCCCGGCCAGCGUUGACCAAAUUUCGGUGAAUGUUGACAGGCAGGGGCAUUUUGGUAAUUUCAUACUAUGAGGGCAAUUUUGUAAUUUCUGAGCCUGUGGAUUUGUUAGUAAUUCCUAGAAUUGAGGAUUGGGUUUAAUUAUGAUUCUGAGGGUGAGGGUAAUUUGGUGAUUUACGAUUUCAGGAUAUUUUAAUGAUUUAUGAAUUUGAGGGCAUUUUAGUAAUUUUAACAACACAGGAGUUGUAAAUUAUAGAUAGAUGUUCGUUUCGAGUUUAUUGUAUAAAUUUAGUCCUAAUUCUUAUUUACGGAUAAUAAUUAUGUCAUUUCCUUGAUUUAGGAGGAUCCGCGAGCGAGAACCGGUCCGCGGACGUGGAUGAUAACCAAGCUUGAACACCGUCACUAUGAGUGGAAUAUACAAAACUUAUUUUCAUAGUUAAUUAUGAUAGUAAUGCAUGUUUGCGAAAUAAGUGUUUUAAAUGUUCUGAUUUAAUAAUUUUCUCGAAAUGGAUUUUGUUCAUGCAUUAGUAUUUUAUUAAAAUGCUUUAUUAAUGAUUUUGCGUAUCGACUUUGAAUAAGCAUGAUAGUAUUUUAAAGAUAAGAAAAGUGGAUUCAAAUGUGAUAUGAUUUAAAGUAUGGUUAAAAGGUAUGUGAAUAUGAGUAUAAUGAUUAUGAGUAUAAUGAUUGUUUUUUAAAUCAUUAGACGGUACCCUUCCCCUCCAAAUACAAUGAUACAAAUAAGAUGAGAUAAAGGUCUUUGGGGCCCGUCUGAACACACAUAGAGGCUUUGGGCCAAGUGUUUGGGCGUUUCUACUUUUUGGAGGCAUAUGCAUGCAGUAUGAUGAUUAUAGAGAUACAAAUAUGAGCUACAGGCAUAUAUUGAGAUAAAGAUGAUAUAGAUGAGUUACAGGCCUUUGGGGCCUGUCUGAACACACGUAGAGGAUUUGGGCCGUGUGCUUGGGCCUUUUUGUCCUUUGGGGACUAGAUUAUGCAUGCACAAAUAUGAUGAGAUAUGAGAUUGUUAGAGUGCAAUUUAUGCACUAGUUUUGCAUUGUUUACUUCCCUUAAUAUCGAUGUUUUGCAUUUAAUAAUAGUGAUUUACUUGUGUUUUACUUUUGUAGGUGCAAUUCUAUUGAUUGGUGAUAAAAUUGAGCUAUAAGAUGAUGUUUAAGGAUGAUUGUUCUUUUGGAGAAAUUAUGAGCGGCAGAAGAACUUUGUUGAUAAGGCGUGGGCGCGUGCUGUAAACUGCGGACCUGCAGUUUUUAGUUUAACGUGUUUUGUAUUUUUGGCUAUUUUUUAAUUACGAAUUUAAUAUUUCAAAUAUUAGUAUUUUAUUUUAAAUAGAACUCUAAAAGAGAAGAGAGAGAGAGUAUUUAAGGGAGGAAUCUAUUGUGAAAAAGGGGGAUUUUUGGAUUGGAGAAAAAGAAACCCUAGAUCUAAUUUUUCUCUUCUCUCUAUGAGGAAAUAAACCCAUUUUUCUGGUUGAAGGUUAAUGAAGCUUUGAUUCAUCACUACUGUGAGAUCUUUCUUGUGUUUUAAUUGUUUUAUUACUUUUUGGGUAUUUGUUUAUUCUCUGAAUUAUUUUCAUGAUUAUGUUUGUUAAUUAGGUAAUUGGCCACUAUUUAAUUAUCAACUUAAUCUAUUGUCAAUUAAAGGAUUCAUCGUAUGAAGAAUUUAAUGUUUGUGACAAAUAACAUAGCAGAGAGUUGUGUUGUGAGAAUAAACAAUCUAAUUUAAAUGAAUCAUCAUAUGUGUUGAUUAGGAUUUGGGUCUCUCUGGUUUUUCAGGCUGUCAAUUGAUUAAAUCCUAUGAUCGUAUCUAGGGUUGUCUAUUGAUUAGGGAAAUAACCAACGGUCGUACCUUGGUUAUCGACUAGUUAAGGAGAGAUUGGCUAUUAGAGGGUCUCAGUAGCUAUAACCGGUCUAUUCAUAAGUAAUAAUAAUCUAUAUUUGAAUCAAUGAUCAGUAGUCGAAUCAAGCUGAGUUAAUUCCUUCAACCAGAGCUUUCUCCAAUUUGAAUCACAACUUUAAUUUACAUUCUCGUUAUUUUUAUUUGAUUUUUAUUAUUGUCAACAAUUCCCCCAUUUUACGUUUUACGUUUCAAAAGGAUUUAAAUAAUUACCGAUCUCUGUGGACACGACCCUGCUCAAUCACUAUACACAAUUUAUUUAGAGUAGGAAUUUAUUUUUGUUGGCUUCGACACCCAUCAAAUUUUGGCGCCGUUGCCGGGGAUUGGUGUCAUUUAUUUAAUCCUUUUUACGUUUUACUUGGUGUAUGGUUCGUUCUUCUCGUACAGGUACACUUUCGUUUGAUCCUGAAAUUGAGAAGACAGCUCGCCAGCUGAGACAGCAGACAAAGCGAGCUAAGCAACGAUCCUCGUCGCCUUUGCUUUCUGAAACAGAUACGGUGCCUGAUUUAGUUCAAUCAUCUAGCGAUUCGGAAGAACAAGUGAUGGAUAGAGCUGCACCUGUAGAAAGAACUCUUAGAGAGUUAGCUGAACCAGACUUGAAUCAGCAACCACUCUGCAUUCAAUAUGUAGACUUGGAGGUAAAUUUUGAAUUAAAGUCUGGUCUUAUUCAUUUAUUACCCAAGUUUCAUGGUUUUGCAGGUGAAGAUCCUCAUAAACAUCUUAAGGAGUUUCAUGUUGUAUGUUCAAGUAUGAGACCACAAGGCGUGACUGAAGAGCAGAUUAAGCUGCGUGCUUUUCCGUUCUCUAUAGAUGGGCUAGCUAAAGAUUGGUUGUACUACUUGCCUCCUGGAUCGAUUACAACGUGGAAUGGUUUGAAGAAGCAGUUCCUCGAGAAGUACUUUCCUGCUUCAAGAGCUGCCAACAUCAGAAAAGAUAUUUGUGGGAUCAGACAACUUCCUGAGGAGACUUUGUAUGAGUAUUGGGAGCGAUUCAAACAAUUGUGUGCCAGUUGUCCUCAGCAUCAGAUUUCUGAUCAACUUCUUAUUUAAUAUUUUUACGAAGGACUGUCAUUGAUGGAUAUGAGUAUGAUAGAUGCUGCUAGUGGAGGCGUGUUAGUGAACAAGACCCCUACUCAAGCAAGGGAGUUGAUAUCAAAUAUGGCUGCCAACGCACAACAAUUUGGCAGCAGGCAAGAUCCUACUUCAAGGAAGGUGAAUGAGGUAAAUAUUUCUUUUGUUGAACAACGUUUAGAUAAACUUACUUCUCUUGUGGAAAAGUUUGUUGUAGGCAAUGUGCAACAGGUGAAGACUUGUGGCAUUUGUUACAAUAUGGGUCAUUCAACUGAUAUGUGUCCUACACUUCAAGAAGAACCCGUUAAACAAGCCAAUGUAGUUGGAGGAUUUCCAGGCAUGCCUCAGAGGAGGUAUGAUCCUUAUGCACAAACAUACAAUCCGGGAUGGAAGGAUCAUCCCAACUUCAGCUAUGGAGUUAGGCCGUCAGGAUUCCCACAACAGUAUCCACUAAGACAACCAGCACCUCCACAGUCAACCUCCAAGUCAGGUAUAUGUCUUGAAGAAAUUGUUAAAUCGCUUGCGACUAACACUCAACAAUUUCAGCAGGCAACUACAGCAAGCAUUCAGAACUUGGAGAACCAAAUGAGUCAAUUGGCGACUACAGUGAGCCGUCUGGAGUCUCAAGUAUUAGGGAGAUUGCCUUCACAAUCUGAGGUGAAUCCAAAGCAAAACGUUAGUGCUGUCAUCCUUAGAAGUGGGAAGGAGUUGCAAGAGCCUAGUAAGAAAGUGACAGAGCAUGUAGAAGAUGAGCUUGAGAAGAAUGAAUUGAUGCCUCAAUCUCAAGAUGCACAACCCACUAGAGCGAAACCCCUACCUAUUGUGAUACCUCCUCCUUUUCCAAGCCGGUUUGCAAAAUCCAAGAAGGAGGAACAAGAGAAAGACAUCCUUGAGACAUUUCGCAAGGUUGAGGUAAAUAUUCCUUUAUUAGAUGCUAUAAAACAAAUACCUCGAUAUGCUAAAGUCCUUAAGGAACUAUGCACCUCUAAGAGAAAAUUAAGAGGAGAUGAAAAGGUUCAUAUGGGGGAGAAUGUUUCAGCAGUUCUCCAAAAGAAAUUACCUCCUAAGUGUAAGGAUCCAGGUAUGUUUACUAUCCCUUGCAAAAUUGGUAAUGUCAAAGUUGAAAAGGCUAUGUUAGAUCUAGGAGCUUCUAUUAAUGUCAUGUCUCGUUCCAUUUAUUCAUCUUUGAAUGUUGGUCCAUUAAAAGAAACUGGCGUGAUAAUUCAACUAGCUGAUAGGUCUAAUGCAUAUCCUGAUGGGGUAUUAGAAGAUGUCCUAGUACAAGUUAAUGAGUUGGUUUUUCCUGCUGAUUUUUAUGUACUUGAUAUGGAAGAGGAUAACUUCUCUAAUUCUGUCCCAAUUUUGCUAGGAAGACCUUUUCUUAAGACUGCUAGGACUAAAAUGGAUGUACAUAAAGGGACUCUCACUAUGGAGUUUGAUGGAGAGGUUAUAGAAUUCAAUAUGAAUGAUGCCAUGAAAUAUCCUAGUGAGGAACAUUCAGUAUUUUCUGUGGAUGUUAUUAACCCUAUAGUGCAGGAAGUUAUUUACAAGGAAAAAACGAAGACAUUUCAUGAUAGAAUGAUUUUGAGAAAUGAGUUCUCUAUUGGUCAAAAAGUUCUUCUUUUUCAUUCUAAGCUUAAACUUUUUCCGGGUAAAUUACGUUCUUGCUGGGUUAGACCUUUUAUUGUUACUAAUGUUUUUCCUCAUGGUGCAGUUGAGAUUCGGAGUCCGACCUCUGACAAAGUUUUUAAGGUUAAUGGUCAUCGCUUAAAACCUUUUUAUGAAGGUUUUUCGGUGAAUAUUGUGGAGGAUGUGGCUCUCGAGAGUCCCAAUUAUGGAGAUUGAUGCAUAAAUGUGUCUAGCCAAAGACAUAAAACAAAGGCGCUUUUUGGGAGGCAACCCAAAUGAUUUAUUUAUUUUGGUUUUUGUUAUAUCUUUUUUUUUAAUUUUGAUUCAUAUUUUUUUUUAAAUAAUGUGUUUGCUUAUUUUGGUCAGAAGAAAAUUUUUGAUAAGGCGUGCCCACGUCUUAACUAAUAAAUACUUCUGUGAUUUUUAAAGUAAAAUGGUUUUAAGGCGUGCCCACGUGCUUAUUAGAAAAGUACUUCUGAAAUUUUUAGUGUUUCAAGUGAUUCAUCACUAAAAAAAAAAAAAAAAAAAUUUGUUUUCUUUCGCAGCAACAGCCGCUCUAGCCUUCACCGAGCAGCCCGUGCGCAACUAUCUCACCAUUUCCGCCAAGCCCAUAGACGUUAUGAGGAUCAAAGCUCACAAUUCAGGGAAGUUUUUGCCUUUAAUCUUUUAUCCUUACGAUUUAAUUUUUAUGUGAGCUUUGAUUAUCUUACAUUGGGGACAAUGUAAGUUCUUGGUGUGGGGGAGGGAUUUUUGCAUUAUUGAUGUCUGGAAUUAUUAUUUUCACUCUGCUCAUCUAUUUUCACUCUACUCAUCCUUAAAUGAUUUUGGAGUUAGUAUGCUUCAUAUAUUAUUAAUUUUCUUUUCCUUUCUCUCUCACUACUCUUUUCCCAUCUAUCUCAAAUUAUUUACAUCUAUUUUUUUUUCUCUAUCAUACUCUUUCAUCACUCACAUUUUAUCUUUCAUUUUUUUUAAUACAUACAUCUUUCUCGCUUAUUAUCCUUUUUACCUUUCCUUUUAUAUCUCACUCAUACCUUCUUCUCAUUCUACACCACUAUUGAUGGUUGAUUCAUUUGAAGAGUGUACAUGAUUUGAUGGCAAUUUUACCAACUUUGUGAGGAUUUGAGCCUAUGAGCAACCACUUUGCUCUAAUUAUUUUUGUUAUGUGAAUAUCAAUCCUAGUUUGUUUAUUCUAGAACUUGCUUUGUUAUGCAUGUUGAAGCCACAUUACGGGAUUUUAUGCAUUAAAAUGAUAAGGGCAAACCAUUUACCAUUUUUCUAUUCUCGCAUUUUCCUUUUUCUCUACCCGAAGACCUUUAUUUGCUACCUUUGUUUGAGCCUUAACCAUUACCCAUCUAAUUCUCUCCGUCUACUUAACCAUUUUUCUUCUUUUUGAGCCUCAAUUUAAGGAGAUUUUUGGACUCAUUGUGUGGAUAUAUUUUGUUGCUUUUUCUACCUUGUAUUAAAGUUUCUCAAUUAUAUCAACAAGCAUUAUGCUUGAAUUAAAUUGUGCAAGGUUCGUUUCUUUUGUUUGAUUAAAAAAAAAAAACAAAAACAAAAAAACAAAAAAAAGGAAAAAGAAAAAAAGAGAAAAAAGAAAAAAAAAGAAAAAAAAGAAAAAUCGAAAAAAAAAAGUUUACAUUCUUGGUGACUUGAGUAGAAAUAAGCAUUUUGAUAUCAUAAGUUCAUUCAAUGAGUUCAUUCUUCUCGUUUUGAUCUCUUUUUCUUUCGUAAACCUUUCUUUUUCAUUUAACCCCAUUACAAACCUUUUAAGACCCUUAGAUUUUUUCAUUUUAUUCAUGUUUUGUGGAUUGAGAUGUGAUAUAUGAGCAAGCUUAUGGUAAUAGCAUUCUUUGAUUUGAUUUGAGUGCAUAAAUGAUACCCUAAACACUUUGAGUGCAUGGAGUGAAGUUAUUGAGAGGGCUAUUAAAUCUUGUUGCACUUGAAUUUUGAAUGGAUCUUCUUGGUGGUUGAAUGUUCUUAUUCUAUCUUAUGAAAUUCUAUGCUUUAAAAUCCUUGUCUCUUGAAUGUUGAUCGACUUAAUUUCUUGAGGUAUGCUUGCUUAAAAUUGUUUUUGGAUGAGUUGAGAUGAGAAUUGAGUGGAGAUUUGAGAUUAAUCUUGAGUUAUAUGCUUGAGGACAAGCAUCAUCUUGGUGUGGGGGAAUUUGUUAGAGUGCAAUUUAUGCACUAGUUUUGCAUUGUUUACUUCCCUUAAUAUCGAUGUUUUGCAUUUAAUAAUAGUGAUUUACUUGUGUUUUACUUUUGUAGGUGCAAUUCUAUUGAUUGGUGAUAAAAUUGAGCUAUAAGAUGAUGUUUAAGGAUGAUUGUUCUUUUGGAGAAAUUAUGAGCGGCAGAAGAACUUUGUUGAUAAGGCGUGGGCGCGUGCUGUAAACUGCGGACCUGCAGUUUUUAGUUUAACGUGUUUUGUAUUUUUGGCUAUUUUUUAAUUACGAAUUUAAUAUUUCAAAUAUUAGUAUUUUAUUUUAAAUAGAACUCUAAAAGAGAAGAGAGAGAGAGUAUUUAAGGGAGGAAUCUAUUGUGAAAAAGGGGGAUUUUUGGAUUGGAGAAAAAGAAACCCUAGAUCUAAUUUUUCUCUUCUCUCUAUGAGGAAAUAAACCCAUUUUUCUGGUUGAAGGUUAAUGAAGCUUUGAUUCAUCACUACUGUGAGAUCUUUCUUGUGCUUUAAUUGUUUUAUUACUUUUUGGGUAUUUGUUUAUUCUCUGAAUUAUUUUCAUGAUUAUGUUUGUUAAUUAGGUAAUUGGCCACUAUUUAAUUAUCAACUUAAUCUAUUGUCAAUUAAAGGAUUCAUCGUAUGAAGAAUUUAAUGUUUGUGACAAAUAACAUAGCAGAGAGUUGUGUUGUGAGAAUAAACAAUCUAAUUUAAAUGAAUCAUCAUAUGUGUUGAUUAGGAUUUGGGUCUCUCUGGUUUUUCAGGCUGUCAAUUGAUUAAAUCCUAUGAUCGUAUCUAGGGUUGUCUAUUGAUUAGGGAAAUAACCAACGGUCGUACCUUGGUUAUCGACUAGUUAAGGAGAGAUUGGCUAUUAGAGGGUCUCAGUAGCUAUAACCGGUCUAUUCAUAAGUAAUAAUAAUCUAUAUUUGAAUCAAUGAUCAGUAGUCGAAUCAAGCUGAGUUAAUUCCUUCAACCAGAGCUUUCUCCAAUUUGAAUCACAACUUUAAUUUACAUUCUCGUUAUUUUAAUUUGAUUUUUAUUAUUGUCAACAAUUCCCCCAUUUUACGUUUUACGUUUCAAAAGGAUUUAAAUAAUUACCGAUCUCUGUGGACACGACCCUGCUCAAUCACUAUACACAAUUUAUUUAGAGUAGGAAUUUAUUUUUGUUGGCUUCGACACCCAUCAGAGAUGAUAUUUCCCUGUCUAUCUGUGUAGCUUCAGGGCGUGACGGUACCCAGAUAGUACGUCAUUGCCCGUUCGUUGAGGUCCGGAUAUGACGAGAUUAUUCCCCUGAGUACUUGUUUGGUGAUGAUUUUCAGAUUUGUGUAUUCUAUAUGAUAUUGUGAUAUGAUUUCCAUAGUUAGUAAUCUGAUUUAAAGGUUAAAUGAUUUAUGACUAGUUUCUCGUAUAUGGUUUGAUGAAAUUGUGUUUGGAAAUGACAUGAUUAUUUCUUUUAAAGUAAGAAUUAAAUUUUCAAAAACUACUAUCCACUCACUGAUCUCACUGAGUUUUAAACUCAUCCCGUUUUUAUUAUAUUUUUCCCCCCGUCAUCAGGAGGUUGCAGGUACACCAAACCGACCCAGCGACUGUAAAUAUAUUUUGAGUCUUAACUACGUAAUGAUGUUAGAAGAUAUAGAUGUUUUUGGUAGGACAUCUUGGUUAUCUCAUCUUGUUGGGAUUGUAUAAUUUUGUUAUAUUAUUUUUUUGGGAUUAAGAAUAAAUUGAAAUAUUAAUAUUAGUUAUAAUAUUAUCUUUUGAAACUCAUAAGAUAUAAAACUCAGCAUUUUGGUUGAGGAUGUUGAUCACUAGAGUUUGUUAUAUAUUGAAUUAUAUUGGGAGUUUUAUAUUCAUAUUUAUAGAUUGGGAGUGUUAUAUUUAUAGAGGAGAUUUUGCCAAAUUUUCGACAGAAUCCUUACUAAUAGAAUUAUUAUCGAGUCCGUUUUGAUGAGACUAGAUUAACUCGUUAGGGGGAGAUUUGGGCAGGUCGUUUCAAUUUUAGUUUAUGAAUUUCUUGAAAGGGGUUGGAGUCAGAGAAUAAACGGGAUAAAAGGCGUUGCCGAUGCCUUGUAAAAUUCGUUUGUUGCCAUUAGAGGAAUAUUAUCAUGCAACACAUUCUAUAGAGAUAUAAAAGCUUACUAAUUUAUACGCAUUGAUCUUUAAAAAGAGCAUUGAUCUUUAAAAAGAGAGUAAACAUUUCUUAUUUUCUCUUUUUUAUUUGUCCUUGACCUUUCAGAGCUUGCUUACACAAUCAAGAUCACAGAAAAAUGACGUGUACGGUUUCGAAGUGUUAGUAUUGGAAGUGAUCAAGGGAAAGCAUCCAAGAGAUCGGAUGUUCUUUCCGCAGUUUCAGCUUCGUCUUCCAAUGCCAUUUGAUGAAAUAUUGGAUCCUCGGCUUCCACCUGAUCCAUUAUUCGAUGUUCGGAGGAAGUUAGUAUCAAUCACGAAGGUUGCCUUCUCUUAAAUGGGAAUCUAGAAUCCAGACUAAUCAUAUUAUUAUUGUUCGAGUUUCAAAUAUUUGCCUUCAUUUCCCAUUGUUUGUUACUAUAAAUAAACACGUGUGCUAUACGUGGCUACUCAACUUGCUACGUGGCCUUGAAUUAGUCUUUGUUGAAUAAGUCUUGUUUGUUAGUUUUGGUUAUUAAGUCUAGAUUCCAUUUGAAUGAGUCUUCCUAUUUACAAGAAACUGAAUUUGUAAUAUUUCUAUUUAUUUGAAGUUCAGUGAAUAAUAGAAGGGGUUUUUACCAACUUCACUUGAAGUCUUACAAAGGAGGAUUUUGGGUUUCCCUCGAAGUACCCAAGUGUUAUAACUUUAUUAAUUCUCUGUUGAAGAAAAACUGUGAAACGCCAAAAUAGGUAGAACUAAGGACGCCAUACCAUUAUUGCACGAGUUAAUUAUACGUAUCAUGCUUAUGCAGGCCUUAAUUUGGAAUAAAAGAAUGUUAGUUGACAGAAUUUUGCAACUAGAGGAUGAUGUACUUCAUAAUUAGUCUGCCUUCAACACAAAAUAGAAAAUUUAGUUGACAGAUGGCCACAAAAACUAGCUUUGUUUUUGCUAAAAAAGAAAUAAAAUCUGCUUCUAUGGCCUCUGUCAACCAACUGCUUCAAUGCCCCCAAUUUCAAAACUAUCAUUGAUAUAGAGCCAUUGACCCUGGGCUUCAUAUUCAACUUUUCAUAGUUCCAUUUCUAGCGCGAAGCUUUUGAGAGCGUGGGCACACUUGACACUAGAUAACCCUCGCGAGACAGGUCCCAAAUCUCCUCGGCCAUAAUUUUGCUGCAAAAGCCGAUAUAAUUAAUGAACCUUAUUUGCACAAUUUUGGAAAAAAUAUUUGGACCAAUUUCGGUGUUCAGCUGAGCUUGUGUUGACUAUUAAGCACUAAAUCAAUAGUCAAGAAUUUAUCCAACACGAGUUUCACAUGGAUUCCAAUGAACUCUUGACCAUAGAUUAUGUACCCAACACAAUAUGCUUGUGGUUUAAAAAUAAAAUAAAUCAUGUUAAUACUUUGUAUUAAUACUUAAUGCAUGGACAAUCGUUUUCUUUGUGCACAUACUUGUCGAUAAAAAAAAGCUUAAUGGUCCAUCUAUUAGUUAUUAGUUUACAUCUGCUUAAUCUGAUUAGGAUGAAACGAAAUUAAUUGUUUCUUUGUUUUAAAAAAUAAAUAACUAAAACUUCUUGAAUAUUCGAGAAUUAACAAAACAAUUGUGAAUGAAGUUUUGUUUGAUAUUAAGGUAUUGUUAUCUUUAAAUCACAAUUAUUGUGAAUAAUAAAACUAUAACAAAAAGUAAAAGUUGAUAAUAUAUAAUAAAUAUUACUUUUAAAUGAUAGUUUUGAUUUAAAAAAAAUAUUAUAAGUUUUCUAUCAUUAAAAUCAAAUCAUUUUAGCUUGCAAGUCAUAAUAAUGAUAACUAUGAACUCUUUCAUAAAUUUAUUUUGUAUAAAGUGACAUGAAAUAAAUUCAUUGGUUAAGUAAAAAAUAUGAAGCAAUAAAAAUAAUUUAUGUAAGAUAAAAAUAUUUUAUUUAAUUAGUUUGUAUAAAAUAAAUUUAUAUAAAAGAUUUGUAAUUAGUUUGCAAGUGACAAUGAUGAUAGCUACAAACUCUUAUAUAAAUUUAUUUUAUAUAAAAUAAUAUGAUAUAAAUUUAUUAAUUAAGUAAAAAUAUAAAAUAAUAAAAAUAAAUUAUGUGAAAAAAAAUAUUUAAUUUAAUUAAUUUAAUUAUGUUACGUUUGUAUAAAAUAAAUUUAUAUAAAACAUUUGUAAUUAGAUUAUUGCUUCUGUGAACCAGCACCGAUAUGUACAUUAUGUUAUUUUCCGUCCAAUACGAUUACUAUUAAAAAAAGAAAAACAUGGACCCCAUCGACGAGACCUCACGUGGGCCCACUAAUCUUGAUGAUCACAUCUUUUUCAUGUGAAAAAAAACACCCCCUUACAACGACACCGUCUUUUCUUUGGCUUUCCUUUCAUUUUCGUCAGCCUCCACAAACACUUACUUAAUAGCCGCCCCAUUUUCUUUCACUCCUAUCCAUUGUCCACGCGUCCGACGACGAUUGCUUUUCCGGUUCUAAUCACAAGAUUUUCGUCAAAUGGACGUACGAGAUGGGCCCCAUCUCUGUGCAGACCACACCGUCUAUUCUCUUUGUGAAAAGAAAAUAAAACUAUUUAAAAUCUCUAAAUCACUCUAUCUUCUCGUGAUAAAUUGAAUUCAACUCUUUUUUUAUCCUUUAUUUAUAAACAGUAAAAAAAAAUCAAAAGAAUUCAAUUGAAUAUUCCUUUUGAGAAAUUAUUAAAAAAAAAAUUAUACGGUAGCGAACUUCCUUGCAUGAACAUGACCUUAAUUCAAUUUAUUAAACAUUUGUAUAUGUUACUUUAACAUACUUUUUUCUUAUAGUUUACAAAAUGUAGUGCUUAUUUUCUUUCGUAUACCAAACAGUAGAUGUGUAUAUUAGGUUGAAGCAAAUAUAAUAUUAUAAACUCACACUAUGCUGUAUCAUAUUUGAUAAAAUAUUUUAUUGUUGACAUCUUAUGAUAUUAUUAUUAAAUCUUCAAUAAAAAAUCUUCAUUGAAUUAAACAAUUUUUUAUGCAAUAUAAAGUAUGUAUUUCAUUAUAAUAGAAGCUGUUAAGAAAGGUUGUCUCAACUUUAUAUUAAGAUUUUGUACUUAUAAAUAUAUAGUAUGAUCUAAUUCUUACACGUAUAAAUUUUUUUUCAUAACUUAGCUAUCUAUAAAAGAUUUAACAAUUUCUUAAUCUUUGAUCAUAAGUAUUAACAUAUUAUAAUACAAUAUUAAAUUUAUCUUAAAGUUAAUUUAUUACUGUCCCCGCAUUUAAUUAGAUUCACGGAACUUUUACCUUAAAAAAGCAAAUGAUCCAAAUUAGAUAAAUAGUCAACCAAUUAAUCAAACAAACAAGGUCCCCACAUUUAAUGAGAACUUGAGCUUUUGCUUAAUCUCAACAACAAGUUGAGUUUUAUGUGAUUUAAGAUUAAAAUAUUAAUCAAAGUAUAAAAUUAUGUCAUUGAAGAAAUUAUAUUUAAGUAUUUACUUAAUUAAAGUUUUAGUUAACCACCGAGUGACUUAGAUUCAAGACUCUAGUUGAUCACUCAUCUAAGAAUGUUAAUUCAUUUACUCAGCAUUAUGUGGCAUUUUCUUUAAAGAUUUUGAAUUGUUUGAUGUUUGUGGGAGUAAAAUUUAAAAUAAUAAAAAUUAAUAUAAUUAUCAUGUUAAUGGGACCACAUCAGAGUCGUUAAUUCAUAAAAGAAUAUGAAUUCAAAUAUCACAUAAAUGAAAUUUAAAAAAAAAAGAUUUGUUAACAAUGCAGUUACAAGUUGACUUUAAAUUUCUGAUGAAUCGGUCAUAAUAUUUUUUUUUUACGAAAUACUCAUAUUAAUAUUUAAGUUAUUAGAUAAGGAUCCAAUGUUAACAUUUAAUAAAGUUGUGUAAAUUUGAUAAAAAAAUUAAAUUCAAAUAAAAGUAAAAUUUACAUAUUGUCAGCUAUCUUGGAACGACAUAGUACUCGUAUAGAGUUACAGUGUUCAAUAAUUAUUACGACCAAAAUAAAAUUUUUUGAUUCGCCAUAACUUUCAGAUAUGUAAUCAAAUGACAGAUGUUUUAACUAACUUUGUAUUCUGUUCCUUUGAUUUUUAUGUUUGGCUAGAUUCCAGCCAAUUAUCUUGUUAUUUUUUAUUGGUUAUUCGGAAAUAAAUGAAGUCUAUUAUUCAGAAAAAUAAUUACCUGCAAAAAUCGGACACCAUUUUCAAAAGGUAAUAAUAUUCCGAAUUAAUUAAAAAAAAUGAUACGCACCCAGGCAAGUUCACACGUAACCCACCAAAAAUUGAAAAAAAGAAAAAGAAAAGAAAAGAAACAAGGAACACGUUCAUUCAAUUUAUCGCGAUACGAUAAAUGCUUAACAAAAUGUCAUAUCAAUUUCACCAUAAAAACUACGCUAUUUUUUUUAUAUUAAAGAAUUUUUUUUUAAAAGCAAAUAGAAUUAUAGAAACCAGCCAAAAAAAACCACCACUGUACUGGAACUCACCGUCCCCAAUUUCCCAAUGAAUAAAAUAAGGGUCCGCCUAUAUUUUCUGUUAUUUAUAUUUUAUUCAUAAAUAUUAUAAAUUUUUUGAAAUGUACAAUUUCGUUUAACCCUUUAUACACUCAAUUUUAUUUUAUUAAAAUCUUAGAGUAUGAAUUCGCCCCUAUAAUAUUAGAUUCUCAAAAUAACUUAUAUUUAAUUAAAAAUAUAAUUAUUGUUAAAUGAAUUAUAAUUAUAAUUAUUAUUUUAUUAUAAUCAUAAAUAUUUUUUAAUAGAUUAUUGUUAUUAUUAAUAACAAGAAUAAAAAGCAUUAUAAUUAAUCUAUUAACAAUAAUUAAUAAUAUUUUUUUAUUAAAUUGUUAAUAAUAAUAAUCAAUGAUAAUUAAUAUAUUUAUGAUUAUAAUAAAAUAUGAAAGGAGAGCGGAGACUUUUAUUUUGAAUAAACUAGUUCCGAUUAACAUAUUUAUGAUUAUAAUAAUAUUUUUUGAGUUGUUUGGGCAAGGGGGUCUCAUGCGUGUGUGGACUUUUAGGCUGCUAGGAGAGCGGAGGCUGGAAAAAUACCUUGCGUUUAGAUAGUGACUUGUGUGUGAGUAAUAACAAUUUUUAUUAUAAAAAUAAGUUUUAUACCAAAUAUUAAAAAAAAUCUAGAUAAUCGUUAAUUAUUAUUAUUAUUAACAAUUUAAUAAAAAAUAUUAUUAAUUAUUGUUAAUAGAUUAAUUAAUUAUAAUGCUUUUUAUUCUUGUUAUUAAUAAUAACAAUAAUCUAUUAAAAAAAUAUUUAUGAUUAUAAUAAAAUAAUAAUUAUAAUUAUAAUUCAUUUAACAAUAAUUAUAUUUUUUAAUUAAAUAGAGGUUAUUUUGAGAAUUUAAUAUUAUAGGGGCGAAUUCAUACUCUAGGGUUUUAAUAAAAUAAAAUUGAGUGUAUAAGGGGUUAAACGAAAUUGUACAUUUCAAAAAAUUUAUAAUAAUCAUGAAUAAAAUAUAAAUAAUAAAAAUUAUAAGGGGCUAGAUAAAAUUUCACAGACUGAGUGUACGUUACACUAUAUGUAACGUAGGCGGACCCAUAAAAUAAAUAUAAAGGACUCGUGCGUCCCUUCCCUUUCGCUCCUGUUUUUGUCACCCGCCUCUUCCUCAUCUCGCCACUUGUUCCCCCCACUACGCCCACAAAACGUCACCGUUUCAUUCUCACUCCUUCCUCACACCCUUCCUUUUCCCCACAUUCCUUCGUUUUAUAUCAACUCAAAAAUUCAUUCUUUUAACAUUAAUAAUAAUAAUUUUAUUGAGAUAAGUCGAUCAAAAAGGUAACUCCAACUAUCUCCUCCAGCUUUUUGCUGCUUCUUAAUUUUGAUCGACUAUGAGGAUGUACUAAAGCUUCAUUUUUUUUUCUUUUUUUUUCAGUCAACGCUUUUGCUUCAAGAUUUCGUUUUACCUUCCUUGAAAAUUAAGGCUCACCUAAUUGAUACGAUUAAAAUUCCUUUUUUAGCUGAAGAUUGAUACAAUUUUCACUUCAUUUUUUCUGAACUUUGUAUCCAGAUUUGCUUCUUUUGUUUGCAGUUUUUUUUUUUAAUAUUUUUCUGUGGAGCUAAGCAUGACAUUGGUUGCAGCUUUAUAUUAUUUUAACAUAUAAUUAGACUAAUUUAUUUAUUUGUUGAUUUAUUAUUUUUUAAAUAUGGUUUGAGACUUCUGCUUUUGGCUCCUCCCCUCAUUUUUGGACGACGGUAUAGUUGUAUUUGUUUGUGUCAGUUCUGGAUAUAUGCUUUUGGACUUUUGGACUUUUGGCUUUGUAUCAUUUGGAAAAUUCUUGUAAGGGGAGAGAUAUAAAAAUAUUUCAUAUAUCUACUUCUCUAUUAAGGGUCCGCUUAUAAUACAGCCGCUGUAUCUCAUACAGCCGCUGUAUCUCAUACAGCUGCUUUUUAUUAUUUGUUUAUUUGUGCAUGCAACCGGCCACCUAAAGUAACUGUUAUACAAGGAAAUAUAAAAGAAAAUACUGAAGGUAAUUAUCAUCUACCUACCCUUAUUUCAGGCAAAUAUCAAACUAAUCAAAUCAAACUAAAAAGCUACCGAAGACCCCCUCAACUUUAUGAAAAUAUACUUUUCUAUUUUUUUAAUAACAUGAAAAUAUACUUAAAUAUGAGACUCCUAUACUACUGGGAAUAAGAUUUAAGUAUCAGUUAAUAAAAUUGAUUGUAACUAAUUAAAUUAUUUUAAUAUUACAUUAUAAAUUUAACUAUAUUUUACAUAAAAAAUUAUCAUAAUAUUUUAUUAAUUUUUUAUAGUAUAGUGUAGUUUGAAUAUCUAGAUCCAUAAUUAAUCAUAUUUAUUUUCAAAUAAUUGGAACAAUCAAUCCUAUAAUACACAAAAUGACUCAAAUAUCUACCUACCAAUCUAAUGAUAGUUUUUAUCCAACUAUCGGAUAAUAAUGAAACAAUUAUAUUGGUGAUAGUCCAUUAUAAUUAAAUGUAAAAUAAUUUUUUUCAUUAUUUUUUAUUAAUGAUAGUUGGUAAUAUUAAUAUGUUACUCUAUACCCUAUAACGAAAUAUUUGUAUAUUAGACAAAUAUAAUGUUUCUAAUAUUCUAUAAGUUUAAAUAAUGCUCACAAAUAACCUCUUGUGCAAAUUAAUUCAUGUGAAUAUAUAUAUGAAAUUAAUUACUUUAUUUAUUCGUUUAUCUUUUAUAGUUAUAUUUAUUCACUAUUUUCAAGUCACAACAAUUUCUAUAAAUACUUAAAAUGGACAAUUACAUAUGUACUGAUAAUUUUUUAUCUAUUGCUAUUAGUGGUAUUGUGAUUAAUGAUCUUAUAACAUUAAGCUUUAUUAUGUUGUUACUAGCCAUAAUUGUUAGCCAAUUUAAAUUUGAUUAAACUAAACUUAGUUAUGAUACUUAUUAUCAGAAUAUGUAUACAUAAAUGACAUUGUUCUUAUAAUAAUAAUAAUAAUAAUAAUAAUAAUAAAAGGAGAUGUUUAGAGUCAUACAUGAGUUUAACUCACCCAUUAGGGUUUAGUAUUAUUAUUAGUAAUAAUUACAAUUCAUAUUCCCAUUGUAUAGUAAAUGUUAGGAAAACGUCAACAACAAGCCAUUGUUUAGCAAAAUGAUCAUAAAAAGUCCAUCUUAAUAAUGAUCAUAAAAAGUCCAUCUUAAUCUCAUAAUGAUCACAUACACAUCUUUUUGGACAAUUAUGCUCUUUGAAUAUAGUGACUAAAAUAUAUUUCAUUUGCAUAUAAUUGUUCAAAAAAAGAUCUAAAUGGUAAAAAGUAAUUGAGUGACAUAUGUAUUUAGAAUACAAAUUAGGUUAUAAAUAUUGGGAUCCUAUCAUUAUUAUAAAGUAUUAAUAUAAUAAUAUCAAAUUAGUUUAGGACCCAUGGGUGUAGCUAAGUAAUUUAAAAUUGCUUUAUUUUAAUUGGCUACCUAAAUUUGAAUUUUCGGGAGGUAAGGGAUUAAAAAUAAAUAUAAAAUUUUAAAAAAAGUCAUAUUUUUUUCUAAUAAUAUAAGUGAAUGAAUUAUUUUUCACCUAGGCGGGCAAAUUAGCGCCUAAAUGAAAUAUUUAACAAAUUUUUUCUAUUUUUAAUAUGUAUCAAAUUGAAUUUUUAUGAUUUUUCACCUAAAGUAUAAAUACUUCAUAUUCUAGUAUUUCUUUAGAAACCCUAGCAGCUCUCACAAUAUCUCAGUCCUCACACACUCAAAGCCUCACCGGCCACCAGCCGAGCUGCCAUCGCUAUUCCAACAUGACUAAACUGCUGUCGUAUUGACCAUCGCAAGCAUAGCUACUAGGUUGAUUGGAGCCGAAAAUAGAGACCGCUGGAGCAGCAGGACCCGAUAAUCAUCAAAAUGUAGAAGCAGUUAUGAGUCAUCAAAAGAAAGGGCUCAAAAAGCAUGCAUUCAUCUGUGUUCUUUUGGCCUUGGUUAAUUCAAUUCUAUUGGGUUACAGUGAGUCUUCAUUCAACACCCUUUUCCUGUUUGCUUUUAAUUUUUACUCUAAAUGUUAAUAUAUAAAUAUUUGGCAUGUAAUUGUAAUCGGAUGGUGGCAUGGUGACGUGAAAUGAAGCUUUUGGGGUGUAGACAUUUGAGUAAUGAGUGGUGUAGUUCUUUUCACAAAAGAAGAUCUUGACAAAUGGUAGUCCAAGUAGAGCUUUUGACAAAUUCUUGCAGCAGAUUCACAGUAAAUCCUCUCUCUUCGUUCCUUAUUUUCACAAAUACUUGCAUGUUUAUAUAAGUUUUUAAAUUUCUUUUUAUCUAAUUGGAUAAAUUUGAGAUGAAAUUUCAGUUAAAUGUCACUGAUUUUUUUAAAUUGAAAGUGUUUUACACAGCUGGUUUCUUUGAUUGAUUCCUUCGGUUACUUGUUUACACCACCAAGUUGAGCUAGUUUAUAUGCCUUUAGAUCACAAACUAGCAUACCACAUGAUUUGGUCUUUGAUCCUAAAACCUUGGAUGGGGUCUGGAUUUUGUUUAAUUGUUAAUGUUUCUUGAAUUGUGAUUUCCUAGAGUCUGGUUUUUCAAACUGCGAGACUGAAAAGUUAUUUUAGUUCUUAAAAAAUUAAAAAAUAAUAAUAAUCUAAGCCCUAAUCUUUCCUUCCAUAAUUUUUCGUUGCUUAGGGUCUGUGAGUCAUCAGAAUAUGAGGGGAGGCUUUUCAGGGAGAUCUCCGUGCCCUGACGGUCAUUAUUCUCAUUGUAACAGACAGGUGACCUUAUCCUGUUACCUACUUGUUUUACUUUUGGUUUUUGUUUUUUGAUCGAGCAGCAGUGAAUAUUUUUUGUGUUUAUUUUCUAAUUUUUUUCUUUAUAUAACUCUUGGUUUUAUGUUAAAAUGAGUGGUAAGGGGAUAUUGUUGUCAUUGUAUUUGACUCUGUCUUUAGAAAUGUUUUAUUAAGAUUUACUUUUGCUAAUAUCACUUGGGUAAUUCCCUGGAAAUGUUUAUCAAAUGUCAUUACUGCUAGUUUUAUGCUCAUUGGCCAUAGUUCUUAGUCUCUAAUUAGUUUGGAAUAUUAGGAAUCUCUUUUUAUGGCAUAUUUGUCUUUUCUUUUCGUAUAUCCUUGCUCUGUAUUCAGAGCUGGUUGACUUCUCCUAAUGUUAUUUCAAAUUCUCUCAAGGUUGAAGGGAGUAAUGUCAAACAACCCAAGUGCUUUGAAGCUCCAUAUUCUUUCUAUAGAGAUUAUGAUCUCCAUUCAUCAUCUACUCAGUCUGAUUGUAAGAACAAACAUUCGGAUGUGAGUAGAAUUUGAAUUGGAAUUAUUUUUUAAUUUUUUUUAAAUGAUGAAUAUGUUAGUAUCUAUGUGUCAUUCAAAUAACAGAUAAAAUAAUAUGAUUAGUCACUGAAAGCACAUUUUAUAUCUUCUCUUUCUUGCUCAUCAUUUGCCUCGUUGUUUUUAUUUAUUUAUAAGCUUACUGCAGCUUCAACUUUUGCUGUUGCUUUCUAUGGAUUGCAACUCUUAAUUUAAUCAAAUUGCACAUUUCAGAUGUUAAAAGCUCCAAUACUUCUAAUAGUGGUCCUUAAUUCGAUCAUGCUAUUGAAUUCUAUUUUUUUGCAAGAAUUUUUAUGAUGCUGAGUUUGAUUGUAUUCUGAUUUCAUAUUGAAUCUUACAACUAUUCCAACUUGAAAAGAAAAAGUAAACUAUUGUACGAAUAUGCUAAGUCUUGCCUUCUUGGCUUUUCUCUCAAUUCAAUUAGGGAUUUACUUAAUUAUUGAUUGACUUGAAUUCAAUUAUGAUUGAAUUGAGUAAAAUGAAGGUGAUAAGGACAUUAUUUGAACAAUUUUUUCUGCACAAAAUACUGUGGAUGUUAACAUUGUUUAUGGGGAAGGGAUUGUAAAAUUGUAGAUAUUGAGGUUCUAUAAUGUUUGUUGAUUUUGCAGUGAGAUUGGAUGUGAAGAAGAGGAUAAAGGCUGAUUGAAUUGAACAAUGACAUUAUACAAGGUGCGAAUUCAGAGCUGGUUGACAUAGUUAUGUCUCUGAUUGUAUUUAAUUUUAUCAUUUAGCUAUGAAAAAAGAGUUUCAUCUUCAUGUUAUAUUUAUUGUCUUAGAAUGGAAAAAUGACAACUUGCUCAAGCUGUGAAAGCUUGGUAAGGCUUCUCAAAAACCAGAAAAGUGGGGAUGGCUACAUGCACAUAUUGAGAAUGACUACAUGGGUAAAGGGAACUUGUAUGCAAAGUGAAAGUUAAAAGUCUGUUAAUAGUCUCAUUGCUUCUAGAAUGAUAAGUUCGUAAUGGUGAAAUGUUUAGGUUAUAUUGAUGGGAAUAAGCCCAUGAAUUGAUGUAGUGAUGGAUACUGAAUUGGAAAAUGGUGUUUCUGGUUCAUGGAAUAUCUUGGAAGAAGUACAAAAAGUGAUACAAGACAACAAAGCAUACAUCUUCUUAAAAAUAUUGAAUGGCUUUGUUUGCUUUCUAGGUGUGGUUUAUUUUUCUACUUUAGCUAGAUGGCUUAUUGAUUCUGGUAAUAGAUUGGUUUGUUACCAAUUCCUUGAUUUGAGUUGCCUUUUUUUUUUUUUUUUGGUUUUUUCAACUAUUGUGGUAUUUAUAUUCCUACAUUUCAAAUGCUUUGGUAAUUAGUAAUCUAGUCAUUUUUAAGUAUUUUGGCUACUUGAACAGUGUCUGGGUAUGCUGAUAAAUUAUAAGAAUUGUCGAAACUAUAAUAAACAAAUAAACAAGGCUUUGUUUUGGAUGCAUUUUACUCAUGAAUGAAUCUAUAUGCUUACAAAUUUUUGCCAGUUAUUUUUAGGUGUUUAGUUUCUUUUUAGGUGUUUAGGGCCCGUUUGGUAUUGUUUCUGAAUUAGUAUUUUUUGAAAAUAAAAAUGAGAAUGAAAAUGGUGUUUUGCAGUUACUGUAUUUCGAAUUUAAAUAUGCGUUUGGUAUUAUUUUCUGUAUCCUAUAUUUUAAAACUGAAAACAGUAAUAUGUGUUCGGUAGACACAAUUGAAAAAUAUAAAAACAGAGAAUAUGCGUUCGGUAGUACUAUUUUUAAAAAAUAGUUUUUACUAAACAUUUAAGUUAUAGUAAAAAAUAAUUGUUUAAUUAAUACAUAUACAUACAUACCAUAAAUAAUUUAAACAAAAUAAUUAUAAAAAAUCACAUAAUGAUAAAGUUUUAGUAUUAGCAUUAAUAGAAAAAAGUUUUACAUUAUAAUUGUUUUUACAUUAUAAUUAAGUUACAUAUUACAACACAUAAAUUAAACAAAAUAAUUAUAAAAAAAUUACAUGAUAGACAUCAUACAUUAACACUUACUGGAGAUAAAUCAAAUUCAAUAGUGUACAAUGUACUUUCAAGUUACACUUAUUUUAUGAAAACAAGCUCUAAUGACAACAAUGUAAACUCUGAACUACAAGUGUUUAUCCUCGAAGCGGAUUGAUCCCAAAUGAAAUUGCACAAAACAUAAGUCCAAGCAAAGCCAAGAAUCCAUAUUUCCUGUACAUGAAUUAUUAAAAAUGAAAUUAAAUGCAUGUAUAAAUCAUCAAAAUUAACUAGGAUUGCUCCAUUAAACUUAAUAAAUACAUUAAAGAUUCACUUUAGUACAAAGAAAAUAAUGCACACAACAAAACCGUGAUGAGACAUCACCAUGUCAUAAACAAACAAAAAGCACUCAUGGAAUUUAAUCAUUGAAAAUAGAGGUUUCAAGUUUGUAAGAUCUUUUUUUUUUUUUUUUAAUAUCAAGUUUGUAAAUUCAAGGCUAAUUGAUAAACGUACUUAAUUUUAACUUAAUAUUUAAGGAACUCUAAGCUACAUUUUUCUUCUCUACAAAUUAAGUAAUAUCAAGACAUACUUUGCAACAAUAAUAUAACCAGCAAACCCAACAAUGAAACUGGUAAGCAAAUAGUGUGUGCAGUGAUGAUUGGUACUACUUUUCAAUUUGGUAACUAGUAGUUUAUUUUCAACAAGGAAAUUCUAAUCUGUGACCUAUCACAAAGCAAGUAAAGUAGUAACCUAGUGAGGGUUAUUCACCCAGCUAAACAAACAGAAUUUUGCACACCAUUUAUUAUAAUAAUUGAGCAACUUAUUUUGCUUUUAUUAUUAUUAUUUUUUCAUAGAGCCGAACACUUCUCAAUCAAAUUCAUAGCAGAAUACUGCACGAAGAACAAUAUUAACACUGCCAUCUGCCUAGGCCGAAGGGAAAAAAAUAAUAUUUUGCACAAGGAUUUACAACGAAAGGAAUAAUUGAAAUUGCUCUGUUAACUUUGAGUGAAAGUUUCAGAUAUAAACAUACAAUUUUCAGUACAUGCUAUUAAUCCCCCACUCAAUUUUCAGUAGUGUAAUAACCCCCAAUAUGAUUAAUUUACAAUACUCUAGUUUCAGUACAUGCUAUUAAUCUACAAUAUCAUCCUAUUAAAAACAAUUAAAAUCACUCAAAUAAUUUCUCAAAAAUUUCAGCUCAUAAACAAAAUAAAUACCGGCAAGUGACAGAUCAGGGAGAGCAACAACGGUCGGGCAAGUGACAGAUCUGGGAGAGCAAAGACGGAGCAGCAUCGGCUGGACGGAGUCGGAGCAGCAGCGGUUACGGUGGAGACAGAGCAGCGGCAGUGGCUAGCACACCAAGAGCGACCAAGAGAGAGUGGAUCGGGAGAGAAAGAUGUUGGAUGAAGAUAAGGGGAGGGAGAGAGUGCAGAUUUGCUGCAACUGGAUCGAGAAAAGUGAGGGGAAAGUGAGAGCUGCAGUGAAGAGAAAAGGAGGAGGAGGGUCACGAUUUGCUUUUGUUUUUUAAUUCAUUUCUAGGUUUAGUUUGUGAUAUUUGAAGAACAUGUUUAAGUUGUUUUCAGUUUAGUAGUUAUAAUAAUGAAUCCGGAUUUUGUGUUUUGUAAUUUGUUUUUUGAAAUUAAUUGGCCGAACAUGUAUUAUAUGUGUAUUAUGAAAAUGAAAACGAAAAUGCUGCGUGGAAAAGGGUACCGAACGGGCCCUUAGUUUCUAUUGCGUUUUGUGAGUUUUUUCAUACCGAUGCUAUUUCAUAAUUUAUAUUAUUCAUGUAAUCAUGAAUCAGUACUGCUGAAAUUUUAUUCUUGUUUAUUUGGAUGUAUUCUCCUCUAUCUUUAUCGCCAUGAUCAAUUUGUUGUUAAAUGAAAGUAAACAUAAAAGAGUAUGCCAUUUGAGAAUAUUUUUUAUAUUUUGAAUAUUGCUGUUAAAAAAUUCAUCAAAAAAUAUGUUGUUAAAAUUAGAAUAUAGUUAUGUGUUUAUUUUAUUUUUAAGUUUCAAUUUUUCUAUUAAUACAAUAUAUGACUGAUCCUGACUAAGAAUUUAGAUCAUGCAUUUGAAAUUUUAAUAUUGUUUAUUUUUUUGCAGCCCUUUUUUCUAAUAUGAUUUUUUUUUAUGCAGAGACCCAUGAAAUCUAAAUCUCAAAUUAGCAGCAGCAUUUGAAGUUUAAUUUUGUGUGAUCAAAACUAUUGAUGUUAAAAGUUAUAAAUUGAUUUAAUUUUGUAUUAGUUUAUUGAUGUUAAAAGUUUUUAAAGAGUUAUUUUCUUGUGAGUUUGUAAAAUAAUUUCUCAAUAGAAGUGGUUUUAGGCUCUUCUUCCUCUGCAAUUCUAACUUUUUAGUAGUCCACAUAUCGGUUCACUAUAGUCAUUAACUGCUUAAGUGAAAGUCUAGUAUUGGAAUUUUUUUUUCAUUAAUUUUCAACUACAUUGGAUAAAAUAAUAGGACAUUAUAAUUUUAUUUGUAAAUAAAUGCCAACAAAUUUAAGAAUAAAGGACCAUUUGAAAAAGAUAAGUUAAUUAAACAUGCAAAAGCAUGUUAAAAAAUGUUGGUUACUAUAGUGUUAGAUUUUCAUAAUGUCGUAGUGGCUAAAAUAAACUUUUAAAAAUUAUUUUAGCUAAGUCUUGAAAAUUAAAGAACUUAUUUUAUAAAUUGAAAAUGAUAUGCAUACUUAAAAACGAAAAAGAAAGAUACUCAUUUUAAAAAUAAAAUGUUAACAAAUCUCAUGAGGUAGGAUUGCAAUAAUGAUCGUAGUAAGAGUAAAAAAGUAAAUAAUAAUAGUGAUAAUAAUUUAAGUAUAAUAUAAUAUUUAUAAGUAAUGACAUAAGUUUUUGGUUACAGUAAUAAGAAAUUAAGAAAACUAAUUUGAAAAGAAAAUAGAGAGGUAAAAAUUUAAUUUGAAUUGAAACAAUCUUAAUUCUUGAUUUAUUUUAGUUCAAAGAUAAAUAAACAUAAUUAAUUGAAUGAUAAAAUGGGCAAAAUGUUUUUAAAGAUCAAAAGUUAACUAAAAUAAAUUCAAGUUCAAAAAGUCUAAUGAAGUCAACUGAGGCCAGAAAAGAAAAGGAAAAAGAUAAUUCAACAUAAAUAGAUUAAGAAAGUUUUAAUUUUUUGUUAAAAAAUUUAUAAUUAUUUAAAUGAUAAAUGAGUAUAAAUGUGAAUAAUUGAUCCCAAGGAAAAGAAAAGAAAAAAGAAAAAAUAUUUUUAUAACAUAUACUGUCGUAACUUUUAAAAUUUUUUUUUUUGAAAAAUAAAGUUUUUGAGAAGCAUAACAAUUGCAAGCACUCUUACAUAUUAAUAAAGUUGAAAUUUAUUAACAAAAAGUAGGACUACAAAAAAUAAACUUGAAACAUCUAAUCAAAAUAUUAGAAUUCAAUACAAAUAGUGAGAAUAUAGAACCAAGAAAUGAUAGAAAAAUGAAUGGAAGAGCAAAACUUAAAAGUUGGAAUAACUUGAUAAGAAUUUGAUAAAUUCCAAUGAAAAGUCGAGAUCCGAAAAAUGAACUUAAAACAUUCACCUAAAUGUUGGAAUUCAAUAAAAAUAGUAGAAAUAUAGUAUAGUGGAAAAAAAAAGUUGAAGAGGUUAACACAAUAGUCGGAACAACUUACAAAGAAUUUGAUGAAUUCCAAUGACAAAUAGGGAUCUUAAAAAUGAACUUGAAAUAUUAACCCAAAAUAUUAGAAUUUUGUAAAAAACAGUAGGAAUAUAUAGCCAAAAUGUGAUGAUAAUAGUUGAAGAAUUUAACCAAAAAAUUGUAAGUAUCUACCAAUAAUAUGAUAAAUUCCAACAGUGAAUGAUAUGAAAAAUAAACUUGAAACAUCCACAUAAAAUAUUGAAAUUCAAUUAAAAGAGUAAGAAUAUAGAACCAAUAUAUGGUAGGAAAAUGAGUGGAAGUGCUUAACACAGAAAUUGAAACAACUUGAUAAGAAUUUAAUAAAUUAUAAUGAAAAGUAGAGAACUAAAAAAUAAACUUGAAACAUGUACUCAAAUAUUGGAAUUCAAUAAAAAAAAAAAAGUAUGAAUAUAGGACCAAAAUUUGGUGAGAAAAUAAGUUGAAAACGUUGACCCAAAAGUUGAAACAACUGACAAAGAAUUUGAUAAAUUUUAAUGAAAAGCAGGGGUUUGAAAACAUAACUUGAUAUAUUUACCCAAAUGUUGAAAUUUAAUAAAAAGAGUAGGAUUAUAGAACCAAUAAAUGGUGGAAAGGGAGUGCAAAAGCAUAACCAAGAAGUUGGAAUGAUUUAACAAGAGUUUGAUAAAUUCCAAUAAAAAAUAGAUAUCUUAAAAAUAAACUUGAAACAUUCACCCAGAUGUUGGAAUUCAAUAAAAAGAGUAGAAAUAUUGAACCAAAAUUCGAUGGGAAUAAAAGUUGAAGAGGUUAACUCGAAGGUUGGAAUAACUUACAAAGAAUUUGAUAAAUUUUAACAGAAAGUAGGGAUCUAAAAACUGAACUGGGUAUAUUUACCUAAAAUGUUGGAAUUCAAUGAAAAGAAUAGAAAUAUAGUACCAAAUAGUUGUGGGAAUAACAAUUGAAGAGUUUAAUCCAAAAGUUAUAAGUACUUACCAAUAGCUUGAUAAACUUCAACAAUAAAUAGGGAUUUAAAAAAUGAACUUGAAACAUCUAUGGCAAAUAUUGGCAUUCAAUGAAAAGAGUAGGAAUAUAAAAUCAAAAAGCAGUGGAAAAAAGAGUUGAAGAGGUUAACCUAAAACUUGGAAUGAGUUACUAAGAAUAUGAUAAAUCCAACAACAAGUAGGGAUCAAGAAAUAAACUUGAAACAUUUGGAAAAAAUAUUGAAAUUACGUAAAAAUAGUAGAAAUAUAGAACUAAAAAAUGGUGGAAACAAGAGUUGAAGAGCAUGACCUAAAAGUUUGAAGAACUUAACAAGAAUCUGAUAAAGUUUAACAACCAAUCAAGAUCUAGAAAAUGAACCUGAAAUAUCCAAACAAAAUGUUAGAAUUCAAUGAAAAGAGUGGAAAUAUAGAACCAAAAAGUGGUGGAAAUAAGAGUGGAAGAAAUUAACCUAAAAGUUAAAAUAACUUAACAAUAAUUUGAUAAAUUUAAACGUGAAGUAGGGAUCCAAAAAGUAAAUUUGAUACAUUUACCUAAAAUAUUGGAAUUCAAUAAAAAGAGCAGGAAUAUUGAACCAAAAAGUAGUGGAAAAAUAAAUUGGAACAACUUAGUAAUAACUAGAUAAAGUCAAACAGAAUAUAGAUUAAAAAAUAAACUUGAAAUAUUAACCUAAAAAUAGAAAUUUAAUGAAAGAACUGGAAAUAUAGAACUAAUAACUAAUGGAAAAAUGAAUUGAAACAACUUACCAAAAAUUUGAUAAAUUGCAAUGGAAAGUAGGGAUCUAGAAAUUGAACUUGAAAUAUUUAAACAAAAUUUUGGAAUUCAAUAAAAAUAUUAGGAAUAUAGAACUAAAAAAUGGUGGGAACAAGAGUAAGAAGUUAACCCAAAAAUUGAAAUAAUUUACCAAGAAUUUAAUAAAUUCAAAUGAGAAGUAGAGAUCUAAAAACUAAACUUGAUAUAUUUAUCCAAAAUGUUGGAAUUCAAUAAAAUUAAUAGGAAUAUAGAACCAAAAAAUGGUAGAAAAAUAAAUCGGAACAAUUCACCAAUAACUAGAUAAAGUUUAACACAUUAUAGAGAUAUAAAAAUAAACUUGAAAUAUUCAUCUAAAAAGUUGGAAGUUAAUGAAAAGAGUGGAUAUAUAGAACCAAAAACUAGUGGGAAAAUGAGUUAGAACAACGUACCAAAAUUUAGAUAAAGCGCCACGAAAAAUAGGAAUUGAAAAGUAAACUUGAAAUGUACACUAUAAAUAUUGAAAUGUAACAAAAUAAGUAGGAAUAUAACCAUUUUGUGGUAUAUUUAUAUUUUUUUAUAUUUUUUAUACUAUUUUUAAAUUUAAAAUUAUUACAAUAUUUUUCCUCAUUUAAUUACAAUUUUAUCUUUUUUUUUCAAAAUUUUUCAUAAUUUGUUCACAUUAAAAACAAAUAAAAAAUGUAAUUUCAUUAUAUUACCCGGUUAAAAAUCGAUUGUACCGGUUGCAUGCAUGUGCUGUAUCAGAUACAGCGCGGCAUGGUAGGUUGACUCAUGUUUAAAAUACCUUUAAUAAAGUACUAAUAAUUAUUAAAGACAUGUUUGACUAGACUUGCAGUUGGCAAGCAAAAGAGGAUGAAAUUAUUAAUUAAUUAGAACACAUGAAAGAUUCCUCUCAUUUUUUUUUUUUGAAAAGAAAGUAAACCUUUCAUUAAACUAAACUUUCAGCCAUAAAUAAAACAUCAGCUGGGAAAUUGUUUCUCCAGAUAACAGAUUCUGAGCUACACAAAGCUCUUUUAGCUAAAAAAUGGGCAAAACCAUUACACUUUCUUGGAACAUGUUGGAAAGAUAUCAGUUGGAAAUCUUGUGUGCUCUUGUGGAUGUCUGACAUAGUCCACCAAAUCUCUGUCCUGUUGCUAACUUUCUUAUUUGCUAAGUCAGCUACAUUUUUGCAGUCGGUCUCUAUAAUCACAUUUGACAGACUAAGAUCCUUGGCUACCUCCAUACCCCACUUGACAGCAUGAGCUUCUGCUAUAGCUACGUUCCCCUGGAAAUUCAUGCUUUUUACUGCUGCUGCUAACACUUGCCCUGAUUUCUGAUGACCACGCCCAAGCCUGCACUCUUCCUAUCUUCUUUGACUGCUGCAUCAACAUUGACUUUCACUUUGUUGUUUGGUGGUGGAGUCCAUAUCUGCAUCUUUCCCUCUACUGUAUUUCCAUGGCUCCCCCGUUCUUUAACCUGCUGAGCCUGAUACACUUCCAUAACUGCAUUGCCCCUAGCCACUGACCCUACUGGAUCUAACUUUUUUCCUUGAAAAAGGAGUUUGUUUCUAGCAUGCCAAGCAACCCACCAAAUCGUGGCCACGUAAUCUACCUCAGACGUAGCCCAAUUAUUCAUAGCCCCAAUCAUGACACUAAGCAUGUCUUCUCUGAUGACGCUCUUCACCUCAUUCUCCAAGUGAGUACAUUUCCAGAUUCUCCGAGCCACUCUGCAUUCCAUCAAGGCAUGGAAAACAUCUUCACAACCCGCUUUGCAUAAAUGGCAUGUCAGUUCCUUCAGCACUUUCCUUCUCCAUAGAUUUUUUGCCGUUGGCAGCAGGUUCUUUGCAACUUUCCACACAAAGAUCUUAAUUUUCUCUGGUAAGUUUAACCUCCAAAUAUGUUGCCAGCCCUGUGGAGCUCCUGUAGAUCCGGCUGGAGAUUCAGAGAACUUAAUUUUGAGAGCUAGUUGAUAUCCACUCUUUACUGAGUAUAUACCUUUCUUAUCAUAAUGCCAUAUCACCAUAUCUUCUUGAGGAGUUCUCGGUAAAGGGAUAUUCCUUAUUAUUUCAGCAUCUUCCUUUGCAAAGUUUUGAUUGAUCAUUGUUUCAUUCCAUUGGUGAUUUUGAUCAAGAAGCUCUGAGACUCUAGAUUCAGUAGGCAAGGACUGUACCAGGAUUAGUUUGAAGGUUGAGGGCCUAGGGAAAGAUUCCUCUCAUUGAUUUCGUUGAAACAGACUUAAUUUGUAAUCAAAGUGAAAAUUCGUCAUCUUUCAGCGGUGGUUCCAACUUCUAACAAUCUCUAAGCAGUAAGUUUUCUGACAGUUUUAUAUUUACAUAUCUCUUGUAUUUGUGUAAUUAGUCUCUCACAUAAUUCAAUUUAAUAGGAAGUUUUGAUCUCUUGCUUCCAAGGCUCAAAACUUAUUGCAACAUUGCUGGCAAUUAGUGUGGGUUUCGGCUCUUUAAUUCAGCUUUGCUAGGUUUAAGUUCGACAUCGAAUUUUAUGCGUUUAGUGCAGUAUUUUUAUGAACUAUUUUUAAGAGAUUUUUAAUUAAUUCUUAGGUACUUAAAAUAAACUUCUUGUCGGCAUACAAAGGACUAAAAGAGUAAAAAUUAACUAGAACACAUAAAAUCUUCUCAUUAAUUUCACUGAAACAACGUAAAAAUUCAUCUAACUGUGGUCAAAUACAUGCAUGUGUCUUGUAUUUUCAGCUUAUUUUUUGAACUUUUAUAUGUAUGUUUUUUGUGACAUAUUUUAAUCUUAUUUGGAAUUGAGAUAUUGUAGCUUUUAAACUACAACAGCUAUGAAAAAAACUGUAAUUAUGAAACAAAAGUUAAUAAUAUAUAAUAAAUAUAAAUUUUAAAUAAUAAUUUUGAUAAAAUUAUUAGAAAUAUAAUGAAUUUUUUAUCAUAUAAGUGAAAAAUCAUAUCAAUAUAAUUUUUAAGUUACAGCAGUUAAUAUUUACCAAAUACUUUUCUGUUGUAGCUUAAAUAUCCACCCCCUAUCCCAAAAGCACUCUUUAUAUAAUUUAAUUUUUCACAUAAUUCCAAAAAAUCAAUUUAGAGGAAAUUUCGUUCUCUUGUUGCCAAGACAUAAAAACUGGUUCCAACUCUGCAGGUAGUGUGUGUUUCUUGGACAGGAAAGUUGGCAGUGCAGGUUUUAAGUCUUCUUUACUUUUUUAUAUGUAUGUUUUUUGUGACAUUCUUAUCUUUGCUUAUUCUUUACUUUUUUAACUUUCAGGGAUCUGAAACUGUUGAAGUCAUAUAUCUCAACUUCCCUGCAGAAGCAGAAGUGCAUUUCGGAGCAAGUUCUAAUACAUUUUUGAAGAUGACUAACCUGAGAAUGCUUCUUAUCCGUAAUGUGCAAGUGCAACUUCCUGAAGGCCUUGAAUAUCUCUCCAAUGAGUUACGGUUACUUGAAUGGCCUGGAUAUCCUCUGAAAUCCUUGCCAUCAAAUUUUCAACCGGAUAAAAUUGUUGAACUUAACAUGUGUUACAGUCACAUCGAACAAAUGUGGAAUGGAAUCAAAGUAAGUUUUAUUUCAUUUCUUUUUUUUCCCGUGAAUAAAUGUUGAUAGAGUUAUCAUUCAUCCCUUGAAAAAUUGCUGAAAUCAUUGUUUUUGAACAGCCUUUAAGCAAUUUGAAAUUCAUGAGAAUUGGCAAAUCCAAAAAUCUGAUCAGAACGCCAGAUUUCUCAGGGAUGCCAUAUUUAGAGGAGCUGGAUCUUGGAGGAUGUACAAGAUUGUGUGACAUUCACCCAACAUUGCUACUUCACAAGAAGGUUAUUUUAUUGAAUCUAAAAGACUGUACAAGUCUCACGACUCUUCCGGGCAAGAUUUUUAUGGAAUCUCUAAAAAUACUUGUACUUUCUGGUUGCUUGAAAUUGAAGAACUUUCCAGAGAUUGUGGGUAGUAUGAAGUGUCUGUCAGAUCUUCUUUUGGAUGGAACCGAUAUUAAAGAACUACCAAUAUUACCAUUUGAACUUCUAUCUGGACUUGUUCAGUUAAAUGUGGAAGGCUGUAAUAAACUUGAGCGUCUUCCAAGAAAUAUAAGCGCUCUAAAAUAUCAUCCAACUUGGAAUCUUUCUGGCCUAUUGAAAUUCUCAAAUUUCCCAGAGAUCAUGACAAAUAUGGAGCAUGUGUUGGAGCUUCAUUUGGAAGGAACUGCCAUAAGAGGAUUGCCGAUAUCAAUUGAACUUUUCUCUGGUCUUGUUUUGUUGAAUUUGAGAGAUUGCAAAAAUCUCUUGAGUCUUCCGUGUACUAUUAACGGUCUGAAGUCUCUUAAAAAGUUGUAUCUCUCUGGCUGCUCCAAACUUAAAAAUGUGCCAGAGAACUUGGGGAAAGUAGAAAGCUUGGAGGUGCUAGAAUUAAGCGGGUGCAAAGGACCACCAGUAUCAUCAUCAUGGUAUCUGCCCUUCCCAUUAGUUUGAAGCGAAGCUGUUCAGAUCCUACCGCUUUGAGGCUUCCUUCUCUGUCAGGUUUGUGGUCUUUAAGGAAAUUGGACCUCAGUGACUGUGAUCUAGGGGAAGGAGCAAUACCUAAUGAUAUUGGCAACUUAUGGUCGUUAGAAGAGUUGUAUCUGAGUAAAAACAGUUUCGUUACAGCGCCAGCAAGCAUUAACCGUCUUUUUAAUCUUGAAGAACUAGAGUUGGAAGAUUGCAAAAGACUACAAUCUAUGCCGCAACUUCCACCCAACAUAAAAGAAGUCGGAGUAAAUGGUUGUGCUUCAUUGGAAAAAUUAUCAGAUGCCUUAAAAUUAUGCAAAUCGGAGUACAUUUCAAUUAGUUGUAUAGACAACCUGAAAUUGCUCAGCAACGAUGGUUUGGCAUUUUCAAUGCUAAAAGAGUAUCUUGAGGUCAGUCUCUCUCUCUCUCUCCUCUCUCAUUUGUGCAAAAAAUUAUGCCUAAAAAUGAUGCAUUUUUAUGGGCUCCUUUUUUUCCCCCUUUUUUCGGUUACAGGCAGUGUCACGCCCAAUGCAAAAGUUUGGUAUAGUUGUUCCAGGAAGUGAAAUUCCAGAGUGGUUCAUGCAUCAGAAUGAUGGAUCUUCAAUAAAAUUCAUAAUGCCUUCAAAUUUAUAUUGUAAGAAUAAGGCACUGGGAUAUGCCGUCUGCUGCGUCUUUCAUGUCCGUGAACAUUCCCCUGGUAUCCAAACAAGGCGUUCAUAUCCCACGCAUCAAUUGAACUGCCAGAUGAAAGGUUCUUCUACCAGUUAUUCAAUCGAGUUCAGAGAGAAAUUUGCUCAAGCAGAGUCAGGCCAUCUUUGGCUACUCUACUUGUCUCUUAAAAAAUGCUAUUAUAGCAAUUGGCGUUUUGAUAAUAAUCUCAUUGAGUUGUCGUUUCGGCCUGUGUCUGGCUCAGGGUUGCAGGUGAAGAGAUGUGGUUUCCAUCCCAUUUAUAGGCACAAAGUUGAGUUCUUCAACCAAAUAAGAAACCAAUGGACUCACUCACUACACUGCCUAUAAUAUGAAUGAAUUCUAUCCCGAUUCUGUUUGAUCAAAGAUACUUGUAGCCACAACGUCAAGGUGAAGUGUGAAUGAAUAUUUGGGCUUGAAGAGUGGGAAUGGUGUUCUGUUGAUGAGGAACCACAGCCUGAAACAUUUAAUGCAGAAGCCUGCUUAUUCUCUGAAUUCAUCGAUAAGCAUUCAUCUUCAAAUUCAGUUCAUGUUCUUUGCACUUGGUAAUUCAUUUACAUUAAUUUUAUUAAUUUAUUGCAUCUCCUUAUCGAAAAACAUUUGAUGUUAAAUUACCAGAAAUCCUCUGCUUGGAUCAAAAGCAAAGAGUACCUAUAGUUGUUUAAGAAUGUGCCUUCAUGAAUUGAAAUAGCAUUACUGCUCUAUUAGCUUGGCUCCUCACUUGAAUUUCUUUGAUGUUUGUUAAUAAUUCCAAAUUCCAGUGAACAUGGAUUUUGAUCGAGAUAAUCCUAUGCUUUUGCCCUGUUGAUAAAAUCAAGCAGUUGUUGUGAUUGUUGCAAGUGUUUCUUAUUUUAUAUUUUUUCGUUUUUGUUGUUUGGUUUGUGAGAAGAUGUGGAAUUAGAACUGCACUAGAGUGAGAAGAAAUGAGAAGAAAAAGAAAGCAUGUAAAGUUUAGUGAAUGUGUGUGUGUAUUUUUUUUAAAGCCUUGAAUUUUUUGAUUUCUCAUGAGUUGAAAAUUAAGGAUUGAAACAAAUCUUCUGUUUUGUUGUAUUCUUAUUAUAUUUCUUCUCAUAAAUUUCUCAUUUUUGUAAAUAGUGCAUAAUUUGGUAGAAGCUUAACUGAAAGCCACUAAUUUUACUACAAGAAUAACUUAAUUUUUAAUUCAAUCCAGGGAUUCAAAAUGACUCAGAGUUCUUUCGAACUUAAAUAACAUGACAACUUAACUAUCCAUUCCCUUCUUUUUGUGCAAAAGUUGGCAGAUUCGGAGCCAAUUAGGGUGAGUUUUUUGGUACACUUGAAGGGGCUGGUGUCAUAGUUCAUGAAUUGCAUUGCUAUGAAUGAAUAACAAAGAAAUUAGAUUAGCUUAUUGAAUCUGUUUGAAUUUUUUUAUAUAGCCUAUGCAGUCAGAGGCAUUUAAAUUAUGUGAGUCAAAGUUCUCACAUAUUAGCUGUGCACAGUGCUUGAAAUUGCUUGGUAACAACGGUUUGGCCUUUUCAGUUUUAGAGAGUAUGUCAACUAAUGCCAGCCUUUUCACUCUGUUUCUCUCGAAUGCUCUUGAGCCUUAUGCAUAAAAAUUUAUGCUGUGGAAAAGAUUAAUCUAAGGGCCAGGAGUUUCUAUAGAAAGAAUAUAAAGAUGAUAAGGUUUGUUGUGUCCAUCUCAAAUAUAUUAUGGGUGUUAGGAGUAUCUGAUGAUGCUGAUGAUGUUGUGCAGUGAUGUUAAGCUGAUGGUACUAUGUAGUGAUGCUGAUAUGGUGUUAUGCAGAGUUUACAGAGCAUGAUGGAAGAACAUGAUAAGGCUGGUGGUUUAGCAUGUAGCUUAGUAUACCAGCUGAGAAUUAGUUAUGCUGAGCUGUCAAGUUGGUUAUAACUGAUUCAGUAGCCUUUAACCACGCAUGAAGAUUCCAGAACAAUCUAGCUACUAGAUUCUUGUAUCCAUCUUGUAGUAUAAGUAGAGUGAUCUGUAGAUUCUGUACACAUUGUUAAGUAUGCUAUGAUUGAAUAAAAUACAUUUUUCGUCACUUUCAAUUUCAUUUUCUCUAUAACCAAACACUGUUUUAGCCGAAUUCAAUCAAUGGGAAUUAUAAGAAAAUAAGCAGUAAAAGCAAAUAAACAUUAGGGAAAUGAACACUCAACAAUAUACCUACAUGUAAACAUCCUCGGAAGAUCUAAGAAGUUGAGCAUAGUACACAAACGCACACAGAGAGCAAUUGAAACUUGUAGCAAGUCUGCAGACUGCAGAUACAUGUCCGUAUCAGCACUAGAAUUUUGCUUGGAAGCGUAGCACUUUGGAUUAAAGAUAUACUUGUUGACUUGCUUCUGUCCACAGAAACAAUAAGAACCUUCAGUUGGAAUGAAAUCAGAGAUACAUUCAGAACCACCUUGAGGAAUUCAUGCUCAACAGCAACUUCAGUAAUAAUCAAGAUUAUAAACAGUAGAGAGACUCCAUUCAGCUUCAAUCCCGAGUGUCCCGAGUGUAUGGAAACUGGAUGGAGACUACACUUCUGCACCUUCAAUCCCGAACUAGUUUGAAACAACUAAACUUGGUCAGAUCCAAACUUCCAGUCAAGAUUAUUGCACUGUUGAAGAUCAAGAAUAUAAUGUAUACGAGCUUCUAUUUGAUCAGCUUUCAUGUGGUAGUGGUAGUGAUGUUUAUGUUUGCCUCUGACAGGAUGUGAAUGUUUUUUAACACGAAACGCACAGCAAAUAGCAUAUCCAACCAUCUUCUUCUUAUCGUAUGAAUCUGGAGGACUUAUUAUUGUUAUUGAAGAUCCCUCAUUCGGAUAGUCGAACCACUCCGGAAUCUUACGUCUAGGAAUAGCUAUGCUGAAAUCUGACUCCCAGGAAGAACAAUGGUGAAAACUCAGGUACUUUGUGGGAUCAUAUAACUCUAUUCAAUUAUUUAAUGGAUGAAUGACAUAUUAGUUGAGAAAUUCAACAUUACACGUGGGUAAAAUAAUAGAGUUUUGGAUCAGCCGUCAUCGUAUUCUUUCUUUAAUGUUAAACAAAUUGUUGGUUAUAAAUAAUUGGUGAUCAAAAUUGAUUAAUCUGUUUAUAUAAAUUAUUGAAAUUGAUCUUGUUCAUAAAAAACACUGCAUAUAGCUAGUAUAGUUAAUUUUGAUCUUCCUAAUGAUGGAGGUUGAAAAGUUUUGAGUCUUCGUAUAUGCAUUGUGAGAGUAAUUUUUCUCUUUCUUUCAGAAACAUAUUAAAUUUUUUCAAGCUAUUUCAUACAUAACAUCAAGGGUUUACUUUUCCAAAAGAGAGAUUAAUGCAACUUAACUGGUCAAUAAAAAUUAACAAUAGGUUCAAUUUAAGUUUUAUCUUGACAAAAAGAAAAAUUACAUUAGGUUUAAGAAUUUAAUAAGCUAAAACAAUUAGGAAAUUAAUGGGUUAAAGUAAACAUGCAACUAAAGUGAAAUUAGAAAAAUAAUGAAGAUGAAAUGGAUACAAGUAUUUUUCUUGGUUUCACUUGGAAACCUCCAAUAGUAUGAGUUAAAUGUAGGGAUGGCAAAAAUCCCCAUGGGGACGGGUACCCUCGGGGAUUUUCCUCAUUCGGGGAGGGUAUGGGGAUAAUUUCAUACCCAAUUUCUUAUUCGGGGAGGGGAUGGGGAAAUUUUUUUACCCAAUUUCUUAUUCGGGGAGGGGACGGGGAUGAGGUGGAAUCCCCAUCCCCUACCCAUUUCCCCAUUUUAAUUUUUAAUUUUAUUUUAAUUUUUUAAAAUUACUAGUAAAUAAAUUAUAAAAUUUAAAUUAUAAAAUUAUAAAUAUUGGUAAAAAUAAAAAAUAUCAAAAUAUUUAUAUUAUUAAACUUUUGGGCCUAAUUAACUAAUUAAAGUCCUAAAUUUUUAUUUAGGAAAUUAAAAAGACAGGGUAGAUUCUAUUAGCCCAAAAAAUUUUAAUUUUAAUAUUCUUUAAAUAUUUUAAACUUAAAUCUAUUUUUUAUUUAUUUUUAGAUGUUAUAAUUGCCCACAGCGAAUCACAAUUUUAAUAUCUAAUCUAAUCUAAUAUAAUAUUUGCUCUUGAUUUGCUCCGAUUUAACUAUUGUGUUGUAAAGGGAAUAGUUCACAUUUAUAAAGUGCCCACGCCACCAUUGAAAAAGUUAAUUUUGAAUCUAAAUUCGAUUUUAUUUGUAACAAUUUUGUAUUAGACUAUUAAUUUGUUCAUGAUAGUUUGUAAAAGAAGUUUGUAUCCCUUGCAUGCUGCGUUACUUAUUAAUUUAAUGUAUGUGACUUUUGUAAUGGAUAUUAAUGUAAGAUAUAUUUCGAACUUUAAUUUUAUUUGAAUUUUUUAUUUUAAUAUGAUUAACUCAAAAUCAAAAACAAAAAAAAAUAUAUUAGUUAUUCGGAGAUCGGGGACCCUCGGGGAUCCCCUGUUAUUAUUCGGGGAGGGGAUGGGGAUUCUCUCAAAUAAUUCUGACGGGGACGGGGAGGGGACAGAGACAUACGCAAAAUAUCGGGGAUGAGUACGGGGAGAUUGGUCCCCUCCCCUCCCCUCCCCAUUGCCAUCCCUAGUUAAAUGUUAGAAAAUUGAUGGGUAAAGCUGACACACAACUAAAGUAAAAUUGAGAAACAAUAAUCAUAAAAGAACACCAGUGAUAACACUAUGAAAUGAGAGUUAUCAUGAUAUUUUUAUGCUUAAAUUAACAUUACUUAGAGAGUAAAUGACAUAUUUUCAUUGCAUUUUAGCUACAUUUAUGGGUAGUCAUUUAAGUUUAAUUUUAAUAAAAUUCAUGUGUUUUUAGAUUAUUGUGUGCUUUGAUUACUUGCAUAAUUGUAGGUGACCAAGAAGCUCAAAUUUCAUGGAUGGAACGUUGCUGUAGCAGGCUUGCGGAGUUACAAAAGAACUUGGAUGAGAAGUAAUUUUGAAAUAAUGAAAGAUGCUGGAGCAAUAUGUUGUAGUACUAUUGCUGCAGCAACUCCUGGAGCAACGAUAAAUGAGAUAUCACACGUUAAAUAGAAGACCGCAAUCUAAAGUUUCCAAAAAUAAGAGAUUCACUGCCAUACGUUUCUGGUAACCCUAAUUUUGAUUUAUAAAAAGAGCACAUUACAAUGAAAAAAGGAGAGUUGUCAUUAGAGAAAAGAAUCGAGAAACAGUACAAGAGAAAAUAAAGAUAAAGAGACAGAAUUAAGGGCUGCAUCAAAGGAUUUAUGAAGAAUAUUAAGGGGAUUCAUAAGGACGAGCGGAUUUCAACUCUUAUUCUUACUCUCUUAUUUUUAUCUUGUUAUGAAGACUUGUUUGAUGGCUGAAACUAUUUUGGUUUUUGUUUUAUAACAAAUUAUGAACUAAAAUUACUUAUGGUUGAGUGAUAAACAAUGUUGAUGGUUAACUGACUGAUUAUAUGUGUUGCUGCAUGUGUGCUAUAGCAUGUUGUUUUUAUAAUACUUAUUUCAAUUCACUAUUUUUAGCUGACUACCCAUUUAGUGGUACUAGCUAAGUAAAAGCCUAAAAAAGGUCUGUCUUAGUGGGACAUAUCAAAGUAAUUCUUGGUUUUAGGUUGGAUUUCAUGAGUUGAGUUUAACUUGAUUCAAAAAAGGUCAUGCUUAAUCUAAAAUUAGUGAUGAACUAGACAUAGAGAUUUACCUUGUAGGAUAAUUAGAAUCUAAAACGUGUAAUGCUAUAUUUUAUGUUAGCAUAACAAUUGGUCACUGUUAAGUUGUAUCAAGAUAUAAGACAUCCAAUAAGUGAUAGCUGAUGAUACAUAAGGAUUCUGUAUAGUACUGUAAAAGAUGUUGUAGCAACAUAACCAAAAAUUAGAAAAAUAGUCAAAACCAUUAAGAGAGUUUAAUCACUCAACUACUCUAUUCUCAUUGAUUAUAUCCUUGUAUUUGACGUGAUGAUUUACCUUAUUGCAUUUUUAUUUUAAUUAAUUCAUUAGUUUUAUAAAUUAUUUUAUUUUUAAUUUUGGAACAAAAUAAGGUUGCUGCAGCAAUUCAUAUAACAUCAAUUCCUAUGGAGACAAUCUCGAAUACUUAUCAUUAUAUUACUUGUUGUGUACACUUGCACAAUGACACCCAUAGCAUACAACAAUCAGAAUUUUCAUAGUUAAACUUUUAGCCUACAUUCAUAGGUGAAGACAGAAGGAAAUGUUUUACUAAUGAAAAGAAGUUAUAAGUAUUGUAGUACUUUGUCUCACAAUCCAAAAACCUUAAUAUACCUAAACUCUAAAAACAUUAGAACAAGAGUUUAAAGCUCUCAACACACUCUUAGUCUCCAAUUCCUGGCUCUGUCACUUCACAAUUAGAUUGAGAAUUAAAGAAAAUGAAAUGAAUGAAGAGGACAAAUGAAACCUCUAUUUAUAGGCCAAGCAAUACCCAAAAUCAGCAAUGUUGGACUUUAAAAUAAUAUAUAUUUUCAUUCAACUUUCAACUUUGGUGACAAAGCCAAAAGUUGUGUGCUAGACAAAUGCCUCCCACUUACUCAACAAAUUAUGCCAAAAGUCAAAAGUUGCAUGUUAGCAACAUAUAAUUGUUUGCCAUAUACAUGCACAUGUUCAACAAUUCUCCCACUUAGAGACUUGAUUGAGAACCAAUCAUGUCUCCACACCAUCCAUUCUUUUUCGUCAUUGUUAUGUUGCUUACAUCUCUGCUAGGCUACAAGAGGAUCUACUCCAUACAAACUUGUCAGCAUUGGUUCGCUUGGUCAAAACAUCUCCUCGGUUCUCUUUGGUAUGGAUUUUUUUGUAAUAAAGUGGUAUUGUACCUGAUAACUCUAGAAAAUGAGAGUUAUCAUGGCAUUUUUAGGCUUAAAUCAAGACUCCUUAGAGAGUAAUUGAUGUGUUUUAGUGCAUUUUAACGAUAGUUUGCAUUACAUUCAUUUUAGUUUAAGUUUAAUAAAGUUUACGUGAAUUUUGAAUAAUUGUAUGCCUAAAACAUAUGUUCAACUAUAGGUCAAUGGAAACCUGAAUUUUAUGGAAAAGAUGUUGUUGCAAUGGACCUAUAAAGAGGACAAACGAGCAUGGCUAUAUAAGAAUUGGAGCACAUCUGGAAUAGUGAAGAUGCUAUAGCCAUUGUUGUAGGCUGUAGCAAUCCUUGAGCAUUGACGGAGAAAAUAUGGGCAAGAUUUUCAUAAUAUUGCGAUAUGCAGUUUUCUAAUCUGAAGAUGCAUGCCCUAGAGUUUCCAGUUACCCUAAUUUGUGAUUAUAAAAUGAGGCAUACAUGCAAAGGAAAGAGGAGGCCGUCAAUCGAAACCAAAAUAGAAAAGAAAUGAAGAAGAAACAGAAAUCCCGAGCAGAAUUCAAGACUUCACCAAUAGAAGAAAUUUACAGAUUCUAUUGGAAUUCACUCUUUCUCAUUCUUUUCUUGUCAUUCAUUGAUCAUGACUAUGUACUCGAUGGCUACCACUUGGUUGUUUAAUUUCUAUGCACAAAUUAUGAGCUAAAUUUAUUUAUGGUUGACUGUUAAGCUAUCUUGAUGGUUGAUUGACCGAAAAUAAGUAUUGCUGCAUGUUUGCUAUAGCAUUUUGCUUUAAUAACAUUUAUUUAGAUUCAUUAUUCUGGUUGACCACUUAUUUAAUGAUACAAGUUAAGAAAGAGCCGCAAAAUGGCCUAUUUUAGUGGAACAUAUUAGAGCAAUACUUAGUUUUAGAUUGAGUUUCCUAAAUUGAGUUUAACUUGAGUCCAAAAAGGGUAAUGCUUAAUCUAAAGAUUAGUGAUAAACCGGAUGUGGGGAUUCACCUUGUAGGGUAAAGAGAACAUGAACGUGUAAUGUUAUAUCUUAUGUUGACAUAGCAAUUGGUCAUUAUUAGGUUGUAUAAAGAUAUAAGACAUCCAACAUGUUACUGCUGAGGAUAAAGAUGAAAUAUAAGUGUGCAACCCAAGAGGGGGGUGAAUUGGAAUUUUAAAAAUUAUCCUAGAAAAUCCACACAACAAACAAUCUAAUGUCUUAAUAAAAAUUGAAAGCAAUAAGUUCAAUAAAAGCACAAUAACAAAUGAGUAAGGGAGAAGAGAAACAAACACACGAAUUUUUACGUGGUUCGGUAAUCCCCGCCUACGUCCACGCCUCCAAGCGAUCCAAACUUGAGGAUUUCACUAUCCAAGCCUUUCCAAGGCUUCAACCAUUUACAAUUAACUUCAAGGUGUCAAUGAACCUUUACAACAAAGAGAUUAUCUCCCAAUCUCUUCACUCAAGUGUCUCACACACUCAAACUUUUACAAUUAAGAUGAAGAAAUGAAAGUUACAAUAAAACUCACUCAAAGAUUAGAUAUUCAAAAAUGAAGAACAAUAGAUGAUUCAAUGUUUUGUGAUUUGCAAAUUGAAAGCUCAAGAUAUUUCGUGUGCUUUUUGUUUAUGCUUGCUAGAGAGCUUGAAAAUGAGUUGGAUUUGAGUUUAUAUAGUUUGAUCUAAAAAACUAGCCGUUAUGCACAUUUUGGUCAUAACCGGCUUGCCAUUUAGGAAUUUGGUAAGCCGCUUUUAUGUUGCCAUUAAGGCAAAAAUUUGAAUUUCAGAAUAUCUGGCAUGCCGCUUUUCAUAUCCAGUAAGCCGCUUUUGAAAUCCGGAUUGCCGCUUUGCGAAAUUCGGAUAGCUGUUUAUGCUCCAGAAGCUUACUAUCCAAAAUCCAGUUUGCCGUUUACCAUAUCCGGUAAGCCGCUUGCUACAGUAACUGCUACAGUGAAAUAUUUUCUAAAUUUAUAGUUUGACCCCAAAACUUUAUAAAACUGUAUUAUAGCCCAAAAUAUUAUAUUAUUUUGCAAAUAGGUCCAAUUUCAGAAUCUCUAAAUAAUGCUUGCUAUUCCCAAAACUUUUUGAAAUUAUAAUAUGGCCCAAAAUGUUAUGAAACUUUUCCAAUAAGUCCUCCAAAAUUUCGAGCAAUACUUGUUGAUUUCAAAGUUUUCAAAACUCUUUCAAUUAAAUCAUAAACUUGAAAAACAACUAAUUUCAUAAAAUCAUUUUUCCAUUAAAUAUAAAACCUUUAUAAUGUGAAAAUAAUGAUUUAUUUAAAAUAUAUAAAAAAUAAUUUGAGCUUAAAUAUUAAUCAUUCUUAAUCUUGUUUGUUAUCAUCAAAAUCAACAUUAUGCAAACAUAUAUAUUAACAAAAGAUGGUUUAUGUCCAGUGUUGUAACAGAUGUUGCAGUAACCGUACUCAAUAUAAAUAAAAUAGUUAACACCAUUAUAAGAGUUUAAUCACUCAACCACUCUAUUCCAAUUGAAUUUACUUUUGUGUCUAACAUGCAAUUUUCAUUCAUUGCAUUUUCUUUAUUAUCGCGGUUAUUUUACAUAGUCUAUUAGUUGUAUUAGUUACAUUGAUUUUUAAUUGAGAACAUAGAUUACACUGUGAAAUUGUUGUAGCAAGUCUGAUAGCAUCAAUCCCUAUGGAGACGAUCUUGGAUACUCACCCUUAUAUUACUUGUUGUGUACAUUUGCACAUUGACAUUACUAGCAAUUGAGUUAAAGAUUACAACAGUACCCCUAUGUGCUUUGUCUUGAAAUGAAAUGUUGGAUUCCUUGCAAUGUACAAGAUACUCUAAUUGUCACAAAACAAAAACAUUUUCUCUUGUUUGUACCCAAACUCCUCCAACAACCUUUGUAUCUAAAGAACCUCUUUGCAAGGUUAUGUAGCUACCAUUAUUAUGCUUCUGUUGUAGAUAAAGUCACAAUGAUUUUCAGUUUUGAAACGCAGGUUACAGCUUUUCUUGCAAGUGUAAACACAUAGCCAGUAGUAGAUUUCCUUUAUCAAGGUCCCCUGCAAAAUAUGAAUCCUCAAGGCCUCUGACAGUAAAUUUUAAUCCUCCAUAACAUAAUGCAACAUCUAAGAUUCAUUUGAUGUAUCUGAGAAUCCUCUUUACAGUUUUCCAAUAUUCUUCACCAGGAUUCACUCUAUAUCAACUGACUGCUCACACGGCUUGUGCAAUAUCUAAUUUCGUAUAUAUCAUAAUGAACAUUAAACUUCCUAUUGCUGAUACAGAAGGUAUUCGAGACAUCUCCUUCCUCUCUGCUCUGUUGCUAGAAUAUUUACUUGAGGAUAACUUGAAAUUAACAGGAAGUGAGGUAGAAAUUAGCAUACAAUCUUGCAUGUUGAAGCGUCACAAGAUUUUCUUCAAGUAAUUCUUUUGGGAUAGCCAAAUCUUCUUGUUAUUUAUGUCUUAGUGAAUUUGCAUUCCUAUAUUCUUGUUUGCUAGUUUUAAGUCCUUCAUUUUAAACUACCUAGCUAAUUGUGCCUUUAAUUCUUGGACCCAAUCUUUGUUUAGGCCUGCUACUAACAUGUUAUCCACAUACAAUAGUAUAAUGAUAAAAUUAUUAUCCUCAAACCACUUGUAAUAUGCACAGGUCUAAACCGAGUCUAUUGUAGCCAAGGCUCAUGAUGAAGGAAUCAACUCUCUUAUACCAACAUCUCAAUGCCAGUUUGAGACUAUAUAGAGAUUUGUUCAAUCUACAAAAGAAGUUUUCUUUACCUGUUUCAGCAAAACCUUCUGGUUAGUGUAUAUACAUUUUUUCUUUAAGUUCUCUAUGAAAAAACACAGUUUUCACAUCUAAGUGCUCUAGGUUUAGGUUAAAUACAACACAUAUUGCAAGGACUAUUUUGAUUGUCGUGAGUCGAAUUACUAGGGAAAAUAUAUCGUUAAAGUUAAUGCAUUAUUUCUGAGCAUAUCCUUUCACUACCAAUCUUACACGAUACCGCUCUACUUGGUCAUUGCCAUCACGCUUGAUCUUGUAAACAUAUUUUUUUCCUCUGAUUUUUCUUCCACGUGGUAGUGGUAUAAGUUCCCACGUCUUAAACCUAUGUAGAGCUUUAAUUUCUACCUGCAUUGUUGUCAUCCACAAAACAACAUUUAAGCCAUUUAAAGCUUUAUGGAAAGUUGAUGGCUCUGCAUCCUCUGUUAGAAGAUAGUAUACAACAUUGAUCCUAUAACAUACUCUAAGUGCCACACCGACGGUUGUCUCUCGCAAGUUGACCGAUGAACUUCUGUAGCCUCAGACUCCACUGGUUCUUGCUUCUCAUGCUUUAGUGGUGUUUCAGAAUAAUCUAAAUCUUCUUUUCCCGGAUUAUUUUCAUAUACAUUGGUACAAUCUCUGACUUGUUCUUCAAAGUGCUAUCAUUCUCAUUUUUCUUUUGUAGUCGAUCUUCUACAAAGAUAACAUCUCUACUGAUGACAAUCUUGUGGGCAAUGAGAUCCUACAGACAAUCUUGAUAAGAAUCUUAUAGUCAAUCUUUUUUCUUGAGCAUUGUAAGUGCAUAGGGCAUCCAUAUGCAUGCAAAUGAGAAGAAUCACCAGGCUUCCUAGUCUACAUCUCAAUUGGUGUCUUUAACUUAAUUGUUGUAGGUGGCAAUUAAUUUACUACAUAAUAGGUGGAUUUGGUUAUUUCUAACCAAAAUGAGUUGACUAGAGCAGUCUUCAAUAUAACUUGUAUUCAUUCUGUAAGAGUAUUGUUCAUUCGCUCUGUCACUUCAUUCCAUUGAGGAGUGUAUGCCACAAUGAACUAUUUUUUAAUACAUUUUUGCUUACAGCAUAUAAAAAACUAACUAUUUGUAUAUUCUCCACUAUUAUUUGUUCCCCAAACUCUUGAUAUUUUUCCUGAAUUUAAGUUCCACCCGUGCUUUGUAUUCUUUGAACACUGAAAAUGCAUUUGACUUUUUCUUAAUUAGAUACACCUAACAUCUCCUGGAAUAAUCAUCUAUGAAAGUCAUAAUGUACGUUGCACCUCCUAGGGACAUAUUCCGGUGAUUCCCAAACAUUAGAAUGAACCAAGUCUAGAAUGCAUUUACUUUUGGUAUCAGAUUUGCUGAACUUCAAUCUAUGUUACUUACUCGUAACAUAAUACUCGUAAAACAGUAAGUUCGCCAAUUUGAGCCCCGAAGCAAUUUUCGUUCUAAGAGAAUCUUCAAACCUUAUUUUGACAUGUGGUCAAGUUUGAGAUACCACAUCAUCAUCGACUUUUCUCCAUUUGACGAGACACAUACAUUAGCUUCUUGUAAUGUUUCCUCUUUAAGUAUGAACUGACUAGCACUGAUUUUUUCCCAUCUUCAUCAAUACAAGCAUAUCUCUUAAAAUCUUCAUGAUUUUAUUGUCCACAUGAGUUUUAUAGUUAAAACUAUCUAUUUAUCCUAAAAACAAUAGAUUUUUCUUCAAUCCUUUGAUAUGUUGUACCUUCUGAAUUGUGCGAACUGUACCAUUAAACAUUUUUAUUUUGACAGUAUCAAUACCAACGAUCUCCAAGAUAUGAUCAUCACCCAUAUAUUCUCUUAAGAUGGGUUCAUAUCUGUGGAACCAUUCUUUUCGAGAGGUCAUGUGCCAAGUGGUUCAUAAGUCUAUAAGCCAUACAUUAAAUAAUUGUUUUGUCUUCUGCAACCAUUGCUGCCUUGCUGUAUAAAAUGUCACCAUCAAUUGAGGUACUUGCUACACAUCCCUAAACAUUUCAUGACUCAUGAUUUUUACUCUCUUUUCUCUUUUAGUUACUCCAAAACUCUUUCUUAACAUGCCCCAUCUUACCACAUUUGUAGCACCUAAUUUUCUUCUUCUUGAUUUUGAUCUACCAUGCACUAGAACCACGUUCCACUGAUUUUCGUCUCACCAUUAUUAGUGUUCUGCUUGCUGCAAACUUGCUUGCCUAUCUUUAUUGUUGUUGCAUCUACCCACUUCCUCUAAUACAGAGACUAUAACAUCGUCAAAGACUAAAUACUCUGUGCGGAUAUUAUUUGUCAAGUUGAUGAUGAUUUGAUCAUACCAGUCAGGUGAACUUUGAAAUAGAAGCUUUGCAUGUUCAAUUUUCUCUAUUUUAUGACCUAACAUUGUAAGUUGUAAAAAAAAAAUUUUCAAAGUGUUGAUAUAGUCGGUCAUUGAUAUGGUUUCUACCAUUUGAACACUAUAAAGUCUUCUCUUUAAGAAGAUUUUAUUGUGUAGCGACUUGGCCUUGUUUACUUUUGCAAGGGUAUUCCAAAUACACUUCGCUAUCUUUUGCUUUGCCAUACUGGAUAAUAUCUUAUCUGCAAGUGCCAAGUGUAGAUCAAUAAGUGCAUUGUCGUCCAUCUAAUUCCACUUGUCAUUGGUGAUUUUUAUAAACCUUUCUGCAAUUACUUCUAAAUAAUUAUUUUUCCUCGGGAUUGCUCACAUCUUCAUUUUUCACAAUGAGAGAUUGCUCCUAUUGAACUUCUCAAUUUCAAAUUUUGUUGCCAUUUUGUUAAUAAAUACCAUACACAAGUUAGUGUACCACCUUGAGUAGUUAUGAGUGAUCGCACGUGUGAAAAUGCACAGCAGAAAAGUUUCCAGGAAUGACUGGAUGGAUCACAACGGUGCCAUUUAAAACCCAAACUCUCUAGGCUCUUAUCGCCUUUGUGACGGAACUAUCCUAGACAUGUACAAGACCACGUGAUUACUUCUACUCACACUAAUACUCCUUACUUUAUAUUGUGGAAUUCUUCGAUCGCUCCCACUAUUUUAAGUAAACAGUAUCAUAUACAUGAAGAGUAUUGUAUACGUGAACAAUAGCUGACUCCAAAAACUAUAACUAAAUGGCUCUGAUACCACUAUUAGGAAAUUGAUGUGUGAAGCAGACACAUAAUUAAAUUGAAAUUGAGAAAUAAUGAUCACAGGAUGACACCAUAAUUUAGGUGGUUCUGCUUUUCACCUACAUCCACGGGCAAAGGCAGAAGGAAAUAUUUUACUAGUGAAAAGGAGUUACAAGUACUGGAGUAUUUUGUCUCACAACCCAAAAAACCCAAUGCACCCAAACUCUCAAGACACUAGAAUAAGAGCUUAAAACUCUCAACACACUCUCAAUCUCCAAAUCUUGGCUCUUUCACUUCUCAAUUAGAUUGAGAAUUGAAGAAAAUGAGAUGAAUGAAGAGGGCAAAUGAAGCCUCUAUUUAUAGGCCAAGCAAUGCCCCAAAAUCAACAACAGUGGGCUUUAAAAUAAUAUAUAUUUUCAUUUAACUUUCCCCUUUGGUGUCAAAAACAAAAGUUGUGUGCUAGCUAAAUGCUUUCCACUUACUCAUGUCUCCCACUUACUUAACAAAUUAUGCCAAAGUCAAAAGUUGCAUGCGAGCCACAUGAAAUUGUUUGCCACAUGCAUGUGCAUGUUCAACAGUAAAAACCACAAGCAAGGAUUUAACUAGUUUAAACGAGGACUACAAAACCUUCAACGUUGGUGGAUUUCACUAGUUUAAACGAGGAUCACAAAUUUAUCUUUUCUCUAAACAGUAAGAGAGAACUAUUACUCAUUUUCGUAAUAGUUGGGGGCUUAGGCCUAAGAUGCAAAGGUAUGUAUCCAACUUAAAUGACUAGUUUUUCACUAGUGAAUUUGGGACACACAACUCAAUAGAAAGAACACAACACUCUCUCACAAAGCUUAGGCCCUGUUUGGUAUUAUUUUCUAAAUGAUGUUUUCAUGAAACAAAAAUGAGAAUGGAAAUGAUGUUUUCAAAUUUGUUUUUAAAAUUUAAAGUGUGUUUUGUAUCAUUUUCAAAAAUAAUCUUGAAAAUGAAAAAAGUUAAAUACUUUCGAUAAGAAAAUCUUCAAGAAUUAUUAUUAGAAUAAUUUUCCUAAACUUAAAAUUGAGUAAUGAAUAAUUAUUUUUAUUAUUUAAUCAGUUUAUUUUUUUAAUUUUAAGAAUAAAUUAGGUGAUCCCAUUAUUUUUUUUUGUUUAAAGAAAAGUUAUAAACUCUACAUAUUUGAUUUAAUUAAUAUAUAAAAACAUAAAUAUUAUAAUGUAUAUAAAAAGAAAAGAUUAUUGUGGAGGAGGGAAAUCAAUUUUUUGGGAAUAAUAAUAAUAAUAAUAAUUUUGAAAUUAUUAAUAUUUUGUGAGGUGUUGGAAGAAAAUUGUUCAUUUUGAAACUUAAUACUGUAUUGGAAAAUAAGGAAAACAAUAAAAAGUUGUUUUCCUAUUUCUUUUGUUAAAAAUGUAGAAUGAAUUUUAUAUUUUCAAAAAUAUGUUCAAAAAUGGUCUACCGAACAAGUAUUUAGUAUUUUCUGAAUGCAGAAAACAAGAAGCAGGAUUUGGAAACAAUACUAACGGACCUUUACUUGCUCCCAAACAAUGAUCUUGCAGAUACUUUAUUUUAUCGAAAUGAACCUCAAACAAGUUUAUUUGCUUCUGGCUGUCAUUGACUCAUUGACCAUUAGCAAUAUAGUAUUAGGUAGUGCCCUCUCUUUUCUUUUUUAUCUUUGUCUUCUCCAAUUCGAGCUACAAAUGUUGCGAAGAAUUCCUUUCCAUCUCCUCUCCAUUGUUUGGCUUCAAUAUUUUGGAUUUGAAUGGAAUCACAAUUUCUCACCUAUUGUUAUACAAAGUUUCGAAUACAUUAUUAUAUAAAAGUGUAAGUUAAAAAAAAUUAGAAUAAAAUUUAAUAAUAUCAUAAAAAAAUUUAUAUUUUACAUCAUCCAAUUUUUGACAAAAACUCAAGUAGAUAUCACAAGUAACGCAGCACCAACAUUUGAUUUUUUUUCUACUUUUGUACCCAAUUUUCAGCCAGAGUUAAAGUAAAUAAAUUUUAAUUAAUUUAUGAAAAAAUAAUAAUAAUAUGAGAUCGACGGGUCCCAUCGAGAUUUUCUUAUCUCUUUAGUAAAUUUCCUGCAUAUCUAUUUUGCAUCAACCUUAACAUUGUAUGUGAAAAAUUUCUGCAUAUUUAUUUUGUCCUACGGAGACAAUAUUUUGAGAUUCAUAUACAAUUAACAUAAGGAAGCUUCCGAGAAAUUUCUGGGUGGACUUCAAAAUGAGAAAAGAAAUUAAAUUUGUUGGACCACCAUCAUGAAAUUUUAAAUUUUUUGGACCCCAAUCUGCCUUUGUCUUUUCAUCUGAUUGGAAGCCACUCGAUGACAUUGACUGAUCAUUGACCAUUUGGUGCUCUCUUCUCUUCGUCUUCUAAUUCAACUUACCGUCAUGAAAUUAAACGAUCAUUCGAGGCAUCUUCAUCGAAAUUAUUUGUUGCGACAAUCCCAUAAUAAACGGCAAAUAUCAAUCGCAUAAAGCAUACACGGAUAAGUCAAUGUUUACGGGGAAAGAUUAAAAAAAAAAAUUCAUUAUUAAAAUAUAUAGGGAAUACAAAUAUUGAAAUAUUUAUAUUAUAAACCAAAUUCUUAAUAAAAUCAAGUUCUCAGAUCACUCGAAAACAUUUUUGUUAUCUCAAUUGCUAAAGAAUUGCUUCUCAUAGAACACACGUUAAGUUUUCAAAUUGUUGGAGACUUUUCUCACACUGGCUCAUGGAUUCUGCAUCCAAUUUAUAGGCAAAUCUAGAUUUCAAAUGUCAAGAAUAACGGAAUCUAAUAGCUCGCAAUUAGAGCAUGCAAAUCUUGACUUUUAGAAUGCGAAAUCUCUGACUUUUAGGCUCGGUGAAAAAGUGAAGAACGAACAUGGCUUGUUUCCAAUUGCACGAUAAAAAAAUUCUAGUAGACUGUAAUUAUUGAAACAUGAAUAACUAGAAAUAUUUUAGAUGGUGUAUUUAAAGAAAAAAAACGUACUAAAAAAUCUAAGUCAUGUAUUGAUGCGCAUGGGAGUUGUUAAUAGACCCAAUUGUUGUAGUUAAUUAGAUGACUCAAUGUAUCGGCUUUGACUGUGAUCUGAGAGAUGGAAUUACAAAUAUAAAUUUGGGUAAUAAAAGAAAAUUUCUUGUCAAAAUCUUUGAAAAAUACGCCGAAAUUUCUGGGGAAAAUUUUAGUUAUUUUUUUUCCCCUGCAGACGUGUAGUUUGGGGCAAGGAAAGUUUUUUCUCUUCUAAUAUAAAUAGGAAAAUUAUGAUUUUUUGUCCCUCACAUUCAGGAAGGCUCAAGGAAAGUAAGUAAUCGUGAGUAUGAGUCUAUGGGAAAAUAUGCUGUGAGAUUAAUUGGUCUUUUAUUUUAUUUUUAUUUUUAUUAUUUUCUUUAGUGACGGUGGCGAAUAGUAUUUACACCUUUUUUUACUAUUAAUUUUUAACCAUCAUUCACUAUUUCUUUCUUUUGGAGAAACGCGGUUCAACAGUAACCAUAAAGCUGGAAUUUUAAUUGUGGAGGGUGCACAAGAGUAAUAUAGAGUGUUUUAGUCUAUUCAGUGUGCAAAUAACCCAAUGUUAUAAGAGUUAUGAAUAUAUGUUGUAUGUAUUUGUAAUAUUUUUGUUUUGGGAGGGGGUUAUAUUAAUUUAAGAAUUCAACUUCAAUCUAGACAUCAAAAUAUGACCAUUUAUUUCGUUCAAUCAAUUAACCCAUGAAUUUAUGGUCAGACUCUUGGAUUGUUUGUUGAUUGGAAAGGCUAAAAUUGAGUGGGAAAGUAAAGCAAUGGAGGAAUAGAAAAAGAUCUAUGGCAAAGAUCGAUGAACAGUGGCCAUGAUUUAAUAAUGAAUUACAGACAUGUUGGCCUUACGGAAUAUGUUGUUGACAAAAUUAUGGAGUCUCGAUUUCUUGGGGAUGAAUGUGAUUUGUGAGAAUGGGGGAUGAAUUUUUUUUAUUAAAGUUUUACUGAAAAUAUAAUAGUUUAUUAAAGUUUCCUACAUUUGUGACAAAAUUAUGGAGUCAUCCAUGCUUCUUGUCUUCUGAAUCUUAUUUUAUUAAAGUUUUACUGUCAUAUAAUCAAUUAUCUCAUACUUUAGAUUGAAUUAAAUAAAUUUUCAAAUUUUGAUGCUUAGAUUACAAUUAAAUUCUUAAGUUAAAAUAUCCCUUCCCGUUUGUUUUUUAUCUAAAAAAAUCGUUGGUACUGAAAAAUAAAUAAUCUUAUUUUUACUGAAAAUAUAAUAGUUUUAGUCUUCUAAUUUGUUUAUUUUAAAAGUAACUCAUUCACCACUUUACAAAAUCAAAAUCUUCUGUAGUAAUGAAUUGAUUUUACAAGAAGUAACUUUAAAGUUUUUACCAAACACUUAUGUUAAUCAUUAGCCUCUCAAUAUCACUUUUGAACAUCCCAAUAAGCAUAAACUAUUUCAUUUUCUAAAUAAUAAAUGCAAAAUGAUUGAAAUACUUUUUAUAUCAUAAAAGUAAAAAUAAUUUUAUUGUUUGUAUCAAAUUAAUAUUACUUAGAUAUAUUUAUAUUUAAUUAAAUUAUUAGAAAAUUAUUAAAUAAUAAAAUAAUCUUUUUAUUCAUAAUAAGACAAAUUUAGAGAAAAAUUAGAUGGUAUUCGUUAGGAAACUUUAGAGAAAAAUGAAUGUGGAACUGUCCCACCACUUGGGAUUCUUUCACAUAAUCUUUCAGUGGAUCUCAUUAACUUUUAUUUUGAAAAAUCAAUUGAUGGUAUAGCCUGGUAGGGUAAUACUCUAGGUGGUCCCUUUCGCGUUUUUAGUUGUCGUACACGAUUUAUCUCUUCCUCACUUGAAAUAAUAGUCAAUAAAGCUGCAUCUUCACUGGAAUUAUUGUCUACAGUACUUCCUGAAAAAUGAGAUAAAAAAUAAUUUUAUAUAAACUUCAGGAAGGUUUCAAGCACCAAUAAUUAUUUAAAUUUACUCACAAGAAAUUACUUUUAAUAAUAAUAAUAAUUUAUAUCAUGAAUAUUUUUAUGAUAAAUUUUUAUAAAAAAAUGAGUGCUUAAAAUAACUGUUUAGAGUGCAAAUAAUAUCGUCUAAUUGAUAAUCCUCCCUGCACAAAUACAAUUUCUUAAUAGGGCACGUGUCAGUAGAAUUGAGCACAGAAGCGUGAUUGGAAAAGUCUAUGGUGGAUUGUUGGGAAAUUUACACGCUCUCCACCUUUUUGGCUGCAUUCACUGUUUUCGUAUUUCUUCACUGGAUAUGAAAGUCAAGAAGAAAGCUGCACCUUCAGUGCUUUUGUUCACAAAUUAUUUUUGUUAGAGCUCAUAAUUUAACCAAAACAAAAAAGAGGACAAAAGCAGGACACUAUUGCCAAUAGUUAUGGUCCGACAAAUUUGAGAAUUGAUCAAGAAAGCAAAGGGUAGCCGGUAGCGUAUGAAAUUGCGCGUUGAAAUUAUGGUGCUUUUGGGUAAUUCACACCCUUUUUAACAUUUUUCUUUCUACGAUUGAAUAACGCGGAAUAAUUUCAAUUAAAAGUGAACAAAGCUGCAUUUUAAGUGAAAUUAUUGUCCACAGUGCUAAGGAAAUCAAAUGAGAUGAAAUUAUACUCCCUAGAAGGUUCCAAGCAUCGUUUUACUCUUGAUAGAUACUACAGUCGCUAACAUUUGCUCGACAGCUCGAGAAAACUACGCCGAAUUUUUCGGGAAAUUUUUACUUUUUCUCUUCAAACGUAAAGUUUGGGGCAAAAAAGUUAAAAGUUUAAAGGUGGGUCCAAUUAUUCUUCUUCCUGUUAUUUACGCACGGCCUCCCAUUCACGUUAGUCGGACUUCAAUUAAUUUUAGGAGAUGAAACUACCACGAAAUUAACUCCAAGUGAGGGCCUAGUAAAGCAGCCAUAUAUUCCACGCGUAUUUUAUUCAAUUAAUUGAUUAUCAUCACAUCCCACGUCAUAUUAUUAUUGUAUCAACUUUACUUAUACUUUAUUACAAGGAUCUCCAUAAGUUGCAGCUAGCGUAAGUUACGUCUGUCCUGUCAAAUUUCAUUCAACUCCUAUAUUUUAAGUUAUUUACACUUUAUUCAUAAAUAUUAUAAAACUUUAUAUAUUGUAAAAUUUUGGUAAGCUCCUUGUACUCUGUUUUAUUUUAUUAAAACCCUUACAAUACCAAUUCAUCCCUAUAAUUUUAAAUUUCCAAUAUGCCCUCCAUUUAAUUAAAAAAUAUAAUAAUUAUUAAAUGAAUUAUAAUUAUAAUAAUUAUUUUAUUAUAACUAUAAAAUAAUAAUAAUUUUAAAUAGAUUAUUAUCAUCAUUAUUAUUAUUAUCAAGAAUAAAAAAUAUUAUAAUUAAUUAAUCUAUUAAUAAUAAAUUUUUCGUUAAAUUGUUAAUAAUAAUAAUUAAUGAUAAUUAUUAUUAAUGAUUAAUUUUUGAAUAAUAACAAUAAUAACAAUAAUUAAAAUACAAAAUAAUAAUUAUGAUAAAAAUUAAUUAAGGAUUUUAUAGUAAUUUUUUACAAUAUAACUCAUUCUGAUUUUCAUUCUAAGAUAAGGUAAACACAUAAAUGGUAAUACAGUUCAUUAUAAUUACGAUUCAUGCAGUUCAAGUAAAUAAAUUAUUCUAAUUUCAAUUUCUCAUUUUGAUUCUACCUAUUCUGAUUCUAACUCAUUAUGUUUCCAAUUAAUUUUGAUUUCUGUUUAGUGAACGCACUAUAAAAUUAUAAACUACUCUAUGAAAUUCAUAAUACUUAUGAAUAAAUUGUAAAUGAUAUAGAAUGAUCUAAUUGAAUAUAGAGUGGUCUCCCUGGAAGGUUCCAAGCAUCGUUUUACUCUUGACAGAUACUACAGUCACUAACAUUUGCUCGAUAAAACUACGCCGAAUUUUCCGAGAAAUUUUUUGCAUUUUCUCUUCAGACGUAAAGUUUGGGGGCAGAAAAGUUAAAAAGUUUAAAGGCAGGUACAAUUAUUCUUCUUCUUGUUAUUUACGCAUGGCAUCCCAUUUAGAUUAGUCGGACUUCAAUUAAUUUUAGGAGAUGAAACUACCACGAAAUUAACUCCAAGUGAGGGCCUAGUAAUGCAGCCAUAUAUUCCACGCGUACUUUUUGUAUUGUAAAAUUUUGUUAAGCCUCUUGUAUUCUGUUUUAUUUUAUUAAAACUCUUGCAGUACCAAUUCGUCCCUAUAAUUUUAAAUUUCUAAUAUACCCUCCAUUUAAUUAAAAAUAUAAUAAUUAUUAAAUGAAUUAUAAUUAUAAUAAUUAUUUUAUUAUAAAUAUAAAUAUAAUUAUAAUUAUUAUUAAUGAUUAAUUUUUAAAUAAUAAUAAAAAUAAUAACAAUAAUUAAAAUAAAAAUUAAUAAUUAUGAUAAAAAUUAAUUAAGGAUUUUAUAGUAAUUUUUUACAAUUUAACUCAUUCUGAUUUUCAUUCUAAGACAAAAAAACACAUAAAUGCUAAUACAACUCAUUAUAAUUACGAUUCAUGCAGUUGAAGUAAAUAAAUUUUUCUAAUUCCAAUUCCUCAUUUUGAUUCUAGCUAUUUCGAUUCUAACUCAUUAUGUUUCCAGCUAAUUUCAAUUUCUGUUUAGUGAACGCACUAUAAAAUUAUAAACUACUCUAUAAAAUUCAUAAUACUUAUGAAUAAAUUGUAAAUAAUAUAGAGUGGUCUAAUUACAAUAAUAAAAUGUAAAUAAUAUAAAAUUCUAAUUGAAUGACAUCAUUAUUCAAAAAUUAAUUAUUAAUAAUAAUGAUAAUUUAUUAUUAUUAUUAUUAACAAUUUAACAAAAAAAUUCUUAUUAAUUAUUGUUAAUAGAUUAAUUAAUUAUAAUACUUUUUAUUCUUGUUAAUAAUAAUAAUAAUAAUCUAUUUAAAAAUCAUAAUUAUAUUUAUAGUUAUAACAAAUAAUAAUUAUAAUUAUAAUUCAUUUAAUAAUUAUUAUAUUUUUUAAUUAAAUGGAGGGUAUUUUGGGAAUUUAAAAUUAUAAGGGGCGAAUUGGUACUCUAAGGGUUUCAAUGAAAUAAAACAGAGUGCAAGGGGCUUAAAGAAAGUUUACAAUACAGAAAGUUGUAUAAUACUUAUGAAUAAAGUGUAUAUAAUAUAAAGUAUAGGGGCUGAAUGAAAUUUGACAGGGCAGCUGUAACUUGCCUCAGCCGUAAGUUAGCCAAAACAAUGGAUUUAACUAAAGUGCAUUUGAAGUCCAUUAAGGAUAUUCUUCUAAUCUUCUCUUCAUUAUUUUGGUUUUGCUCUUUUUUUUUUUAAUCCCAUUUUUAGUCGAUAUAGAUGUAUAUGUUUGAUCAGUCCUUGUCGGUUAUAUAUACAUAUGUACUUUUGGACUGUCAUGGGACUGUACCAUUUGGAAAUAUCACAUUUUAUUUCCCGAUGCGAUAAAUUUUCUUCUCCAUUGAACGUUCUCUGGAUGCUAUUAACCAAAAAAUGCAACAUUUUGUUCUGUUUAUAAAUUCGGAUUAUUUGCUUCUGACUGUCAUUGACUCAUUGACCAUUUAGCAAUAUAGGUUAGGUAGUAGUACCAGCUCUUUUUCUUCUUUUGUCUUUCUCUUCUCUAAGUUAAACCAUUAUUCUAGGCAUCUCCAUUGGGAUUAUUCCAUCUGUACUUUACCAAAGGGGCAAAAAAAAAUUGUCACGAAACAGCGUGGAAGGUUCAGAGAAAAAUUUGCUAGUGUUUUCUUUUUGUUAAAUUCAAUUGGUUGAAUUUAUUUUUUAUUUUUUUAAAAUAGAAAACUAUAUUACAAAGAGUGCUGCUAGGUAGCGAGAGGAACGAGAGAAUGACGAGAGAAACGACAUUCUCUCCCGUCGUUUCGCUUCUCGUUCCUCUCGCUAAAGAAUGAAUAAAAAAUAAUAAAGAAAGACUGCUUUAAUCACUUCGUGCCCAGGGAAAUUUUAGCAUUUUGUCUCCAGCCCCCACUCUCCCUCUCUCCCUCACUUUCCUCUCUCCCUCACCAGCUUCUCUCCCUCACGCUUCCAGAAGCUCCGUCACAGAUUCCGGCGUGCCUCACGCUUCCAGAAGCUCCGUCACGGAUUCUGGCGUGCCUCACGCUUCCAGAUCCCUCACGGCUUCCUUCCGGCGUGCCUCACGCUUCCAGAUCCCUCACGGCUUCCUUCCGGCGUGCCUCACGCUUCCAGAAGCUUCCUCACGGCUUCCGUUCUCGGCUAAAGUUCUUGAUCCGAAUCCGAAAACGAGAAUGAGCAUAGAGAAGAUUAUGAACAUUUCUUGGUUCCAGAAAUUAUUGCAACAACAGAGAAAGACGGGGCAAGGAAGCAGUCUUUUUGAAUUAGGGGUAGCUGAUAAUAAUAAAUAUAUUCUUAAGGAGAAGAUACCGGAUAUGGUAUCAAUUUUGUAAAUCAGAUCAGUUUUUUGUUUAGUGGAUUUAGUUUGAAUGGAAUUCUCGGGUGUUUCUUCAGUUGCCUCUUCUGUUCUGCUCUGUUUGUUUAUCAUGCAAACUUUAUUUGUUUUUCUAAUCCCAAAAUGCAUACAUUUCCAGAGGUAGGAAGAAGCUAAAUCUUUAUGUUAAAUGCUAAAUUUUUCAAAAAAAAAAAUAUGGUUGUCUCAGUGCUUCCUGAAGACGCAGAAGCAGCCUAACCAAAGUAUGAACUGUUUUUUUAAAAAAAAAGAAGGAAAAAAGCAGCACUCAGAUGUAGCAUUUUAGCUAUCGGGCUAUCUGAUAUCACUAUCAUGAUUUCUUUAUGUUAGUUGCCUAAUAAGAAUAUGUUCAUCUGCAGCGCUUCUUUAACAACACACCAUCGUCAUAAGCCACGAAAGUUCAUGAUGCAAGUGCUUUACUGAAUCUGUUGUUCAAGUGGAUGCUGGUAUCCAGAAGUGUGGUAGUGACAUUCUAAUACAUAGCAAACCAAUCACAUAAGCCAACCAUGAAAAUGCAUAGGCAGUCGUUUUGAGUCAAAAUUUUCUAUAUCUUUACACAAAAUCAGAGACUUGUGUGUACUCAAAAAAAUGGAUUAAGAGAAGAUCUAAGCAUUGUUGUAAUCAUCAUCACAUUCUCCGAUCACAGAUGACAGGGUCGACAUCCAUGCCUGCAAACCACUCUGAGCAUUCUUCUUCCUUGUUAAUUCCAGCUUGUUUACAGCUCGCUUUGGUGAUGGUGAUUUGCGUGAGAAGAGCGUGAGGGAGAGAGGAAAGCCAGGGCUGGAGAUAAGUUGAUGAUUUCCCUCUGCACGCACUGAUAAAGCACUCUUUUUUUAUUUUUUUUUAUUAUUUUAAUGUUUUAACGAGCGAGAGGAACGAGAAGCAAAACGGCAGCAACUGCUGCCGUUUCUCUCGUCAUUCUCUCGUUCCUCUCGCUACCUAGCAUUUUCCUAUUACAAAACUUCCCGGUAGGUUCCAAGGAAGUAUCUAACAAAGCAUCUUUAUAUAACCUCCAUAGACUCAGUCGCAUAAAAUUAUUUUCACUUCCCAAAUUUUCUCAUCUGAUCAAAUCUCUCAUCCACUGAACUGUUAUGGCUUCUUCUUCCUCUUGUCCACCUCGAAACGCUAAGGAGAUGUAUGAUGUUUUUCUGAGUUUCAGAGGAGGGACACCCGUGACAACUUUACCAGCCAUCUUUAUUCAGCCUUGUCUCAGAAAAGUAUUGAAACUUUCAUUGAUGACCAACUUAUCAGAGGAGAUAACAUUUCACAGUCUCUUCUUGAUACAAUUGAAGCAUCAAGCAUCUCAAUUAUUAUUUUCUCAGAAAGGUAUGCUUCUUCUAGAUGGUGUCUCGAUGAACUUUUGAGGAUCCUCGAAUGCAAGCACGAUUAUGGACAGAUUGUGAUUCCAGUUUUCUAUCACGUUGAUCCAUCACAUGUGAGAUAGCAAAGCCAGGAUUCUUCUUUUGGGAAUUAUUUUAGUGGGCUUGGAGAACGUUAUCCAGAGAAGAUGCAAAGAUGGGGGAAUGCUUUGACUGAAGCAGCCAAUCUCUCUGGCUUUGAUUCUAAUGUCAUUUGGUAUGAUAAUUUUCUAUCUAAUUCUUAGUAUUAAUCUAGUACAAGUAAUAAUAUAUAACAUUAACUAUGACAAUGUGUUUAAAUAUUUAUCAGUAAUAUAUUAAUUAAAUCAUUCUUAAUUAUGGGGAUUAGGUUAUUUUCUUGCACAUUUGAAUAAGUUUCCAAUUAAAUAGCUAUUUGAUGAAAUUGAUCUUCACAUUAUAUUAAUUAGCCAUUUUAUAUUGCAACUAAUUAAAAACACACGAUUCUCUGUCUCGUUUACAUAUAUUGAACUAUAUAAUUGCUGUUAUUUUUUUACUAGGCCUGAAUCUAAACUUAUUGAGGAAAUUGCCAAUGACGUUUUGAAGAGGCUAGAUGCGACUUUUCAAAGUGAAAACAAAGGCUUGGUCGGAGUUGCACGCGCCAUUGAAAAAAUUGAAUCAUUAUUACGCAUUGGGUCUGAGGGUGUUCGCAAACUAGGGAUUUGGGGCAUCGGUGGUAUAGGCAAGACAACAAUCGCUGGUGCUGUUUUUAACAAAAUCUCUAGGCAUUUUGAAGGUUCUUACUUUGCGCUUAAUGUUAGAGAUGCAGAAAAAACUGGCGGAAUAAAGGACUUGCAAAAGAAACUUCUGUCCGAGUUAUUAAAUGAUGGAAAUAUGAGGAACAUCGAGUCUCAACUCAACAGACUUGCUCGCAAGAAGGAUAUAAUAGUUUUCGAUGAUGUGGGUCAUCGAAGACAAAUAGAAUCAUUAAUUGGAUGCCUUGAUGAGUUAGCUUCAGGGAGUCGAGUAAUAAUAACAACAAGAGAUAAACAAGUCCUUAAAACUUGUUGGGCCAGUCAAAUAUAUCAGAUGAAGGAAUUAGUAUAUGCUGAUGCUCAUAAGCUUUUCUGUCAGUGUGCUUUUGGAGGAGACCAUCCAGAUGCAAGUCAUACAGAGCUCACAGACAGGGCAAUCAAAUAUGCACAGGGAGUUCCUUUAGCUCUUAAAGUUUUGGGUUGCCAUCUAUGCGGAAGGAGCGAAGAGGUAUGGGAAAGUGCAAUGAGAAAACUGGAAAAAAUUCCUCACGAGGAAAUCCAGGAGGUGUUAAAAAUAAGUUAUGAUAGCUUGGAUGACUCUCAGAAGAAUGUUUUUCUAGAUAUUGCAUGUUUCUUUGAAGGAGAGCAUAGAGAUGAGGUGACAAGCUUUUUUGAUGCUAGUGGCUUCCAAGCUAAAAUAGAAUUAAGUGUUCUUGAAGGUAAGUCUCUCAUAAAUUUAGGCUUAUUUGAUGAGAUAAGAAUGCAUGACUUGCUACGAGAUAUGGGAAGAGAAAUUGUUCGAAAAGAAUCUAUCAAUCAUCCAGGAAAGCGAAGUCGAUUUUGGCAUCACAAGGAUAUUUAUGAAGUUUUGAACAAAAAUACGGUGAGCAAUAAUAGGUUCUUGACCAUAUCUUAUUUGUGUUACAUUAUAGUAGUAUUUUGUUUGAAUUUUUCUUUUUGAAUAAGAAUAGAAUUAAUACAGCUUAAAAUUAAUUGAAGAAUAAUAUUAAAAAAUUGGUAAAAUAAAAUAGCUAGAUCCAAUGUUUCCCCCACUCAGUUUGCAACAUGCCUCUAUUGGGCUAAGUUCAGAAUCCCCCAGCAAACUAGCGCUUUGGGAGAGAGAUAAUUAAAAAAAAAAAAAAAAAAAACCUCAUCCUUUUUCACUGAAAAAAAAAAAUUGCAUUUCCUUUUCAACUCUGCCCCUUUCUUUAUUUUCACUAAAAAAAAAUUGAUUGAAUUAAUUUUACAGUUUACAUAUUAAGCAUUUUCUCGAAUUUUCUAUUUUACAAUUCCUAAUAAAUUUACCCAAGUCGCUUAUUAUAAAGUGAUUGUAAUAUUUCUAUUUGGGUUUUACGGCUUAAAAAUAAUUGUUUAUUUGUUUGCUUCAAUUAUAUUCCAACUUAUGAUCUCCUAUUUGAUUGUUAGGGAACUGAAGCAAUCGAGAGUAUCUCCUUGGAUAUGAAUAAAGUCAAUAGAGAGAUACACAUGAAUUCCUAUACUUUCUCAAAGAUGCCUAAAUUGAGAUUCUUGAGAUUCUAUGGAGAUAAGAAUAAAUGUAUGGUGUCUCAUUUGGAGGGUGUGCCAUUUGCUGAAGUGAGGCACCUCGAGUGGCCUCAAUGUCCUUUGAAAACGUUGAAUAUAUGUGCGGAGAAACUUGUUUCACUUAGAAUGCCUUGCAGCAGGGUUGAACAACUUUGGGAUGAUGUUCAGGUAUAUAUUUAUUUGAAAUUCUUUCAGUAAUAAAUUCUAAAUAUAGUUGAUGCUAUAAUUAAUAUAUGUGAUAGUAUCUGUUUAUUUGUAAAGAUGAUGAUGAUGAUGAUGAUGAUGAUGAUGAUGAUGAUGAUGAUAAUAAUGAUAAUAAUUUUUUGGGGGGCGCAGGAUCUUGUUAACUUAAAACAAAUAAACCUAAGUGGAUCCGAGUCGUUAACGAAACUCCCAGACUUGUCACGGGCCAAAAAUCUUGAGAUUCUGAUAUUAGCAGUCUGUUUAAGUUUGAUGGAGACUCACUCAUCUAUUCAAUAUCUAAAUAACUUAAAUAUCUUGAUCUAAAUAAUUGCAAAAGCCUGACGAGUCUUCCAACUAGCAUUCAGUCGAAGUAUUUCAAGCAACUUGCGCUUCAUGGUUGCUCAAAUUUGAAGAACCUCCCAGAGAUCACAUCUUGUUUUUGGUUAGAGUUAUCAGAAGUUGGAAUCAAAGAACUGCCCUCAUCCAUUGAGUGUCAAUCCAAUCUGAAAGAACUACUUAUUAUGAAUUGUUCAGAGCUUGAGAGCAUCUCGAGUAGCAUAUUUAAGUUGAAGUCUCUUGAAUCUAUUGAAAUCUCUAAUUGUUCAAAUUUUAAGAGGUUUUUGGAGAUCCCAUAUUGUAAUACAGAUGGAAGUACUGGAAUUAAGCGACUAAACUCAUGUAAGUUGGUACUGAAAGAAUGUUCAAAUAUUGAGAGUCUCCCAAGCAGCCUGUGUAUGCUCAAAUCUCUGACAUCUCUUCAAAUCAUUGAUCGCCAAAACUUCAAGAGAUUGCCUGAUGAGCUUGGAAAUUUAGAAGCCUUGGAGUAUUUGACCAUUGAUGGAACUGCUAUAAGAGAAGUACCGGAAAGCCUCGGUCAGUUAGUCAUAUUACGGCGGUUGCAUUUGGCUAACUGUUCAGAGCUUGAGAGCAUCUCGAGUAGCAUAUUUAAGUUGAAGUCUCUUGAAUCUAUUGAAAUCUCUAAUUGUUCAAAUUUGAAGAGGUUUCUAGAGAUCCCGUCUUGUAAUAUAGAUGGAGGUACUGGAAUUGAGCAACUAGCCUCAUGUAAGUUGGUACUGGAAAAAUGUUCAAGUCUUGAGAGUCUCCCUAGCAGCCUGUGUAAUCUGAAAGGACUAUAUAUUAAGGACUGUUCAGAGCUUGAGAGCAUCUCGAGUAGCAUAUUUAAGUUGAAGUCUCUUGAAUCUAUUGAAAUCUCUAAUUGUUCAAAUUUGAAGAGGUUUCUAGAGAUCCCGUCUUGUAAUAUAGAUGGAGGUACUGGAAUUGAGCAACUAGCCUCGUGUAAGUUGGUACUGGAAACAUGUUCAAGUCUUGAGAGUCUCCCUAGUAGCCUGUGUAUGUUCAAAUCUCUGACAUCUCUUGAAAUCGUUGGCUGCCAAAAUUUCAAGAGAUUGCCUGAUGAACUUGGAAAUUUAGAAGCCUUGGAGGUGCUGAAAGUUAAUGGAACAGCUAUAAGAGAAGUACCAGAAAGCCUUGGUCAGUUAUCCUCACUAGAAAGUUUGGUACUAUCUAAUAACAAUUUGGAGAGAUUACCAGAAAGCCUCAAUCAGUUAUCCUCACUAAAAUAUUUGCACCUAUCCGAAAACAGUUUGGAGGGAAUACCAGAAUACCUGAGGAGUCUUUCAAGUAAGUUGACAUCACUCAAUUUAUAUGUUGACUUGAGAAAUCGUUUGAAAUUGGACUCGAAUGAGCUCAGUGAAAUCGUCAAAGAUCAGUGGAUGAAGCAGGUGUGUCUUUCAACUCACUCCAUUCAUUCUAUUUUCUUUUUCUUUUUACUUUAAUUCAAGUUAUCAUUAUUUUUCAUAAAUUAAUUAAUUAAUUUUUAUUAUUUUUUUUUUUUGUGUUGCAGUCGUUUGAUGGUUUCUUUGGGUUUGGGAUGGCUAAAAGUGUGUAUUUCCCUGGGAAUGAAAUUCCAAAGUGGUUAAGGUAUCAAAGUAUGGGAUCUUCUGUAACCUUGAAGACGCCACCAGCAGUUUUCUUCAACAAUAAAAUAUUAGUAGGCUUUGCUUUUUGCAUUGUUGCAGCAUUUCAUCCUUCAGCAGCAUUUCAUCCUUUAGGGUUUUUUUAUGAAGUGAUCUGUGGUUGGAAACGAAAAUCCAAAAACUUAAUCGACAGUUUUCAGCCUUUGGAGAGAUGGUGGCGUUUGGGGAGAAUUAGUUAUAUUGAGUCAGAUCACGUGUUCUUGGGAUCUUAUCCAUUGGGUUCUCUGGAUUUUUUAAGUAUGAGAGAUAAUGAGGUCUCUUUUGAUGAGGUCUAUUUUGAAAUUUCGCCUAAUUUUGGUUGUAAAGUGAAACAAUGUGGGAUUCAUUUGUGUACGCUCAAGAUUCUACGGAAUCAAGAGAAGAGGAAGAGGAGGAAGAGGAACCUGUUACACACUAAAAGACUGAAAUGUUCUUCAACUCCAAAGCAGCUGGUACUCUUUGGCACGAAAAUCAAUCUGUAGACCUUGUUUUUAUCUUCAUUUUAUAUAUGCGUUUUUCAAAUACGUUCGUUUAUGUAAUAUUUAUUAAUUGUUUGUUGUUGGAUGGAUGAAUCAAUAAAUUCAAAAUAAAUGGUAAUUAAACGAGGAUGUAGAUCUAUGAGUUCUCUCUUUGUUUUAUCUUUAAUUUGUGUUCGGUUCAUGUCUGGAAUAUCCCAAAAAUUACAUAUCCAUUUACUAACUAAAAAUGCGCUGAUUAGAUUAAAGAUUAUUUUAGUUAUUCUUACUUUUUCAGUUUAUAAGAAUAAAAUUGUUUUGUUAAGUUUUGAGAUUUGAAUUUAAAAGAAAAUACAAAUUCACUCUUGAGGAUUAAAUUUACCGUAUUUUAUAUUAAUUACUAAUUAGGUAUGACAAGGUGAAUGAUGUUGUGAAAUUUAGUAUUCCUAUGAGUAGUGAUCUCAGUAAGACAGUAAAGUACCUGUUUAAUACUUGUGAUAAAUUACAGGCUCUGUUUAACAUAUCAAAUACCAAAUUUUAAAUAUUACAAACAAUAACAAACAGAAUGUAGCUCCUAAUCGGUUAUUUGUUUCGGUAAAUAAACCCCACCAUUCCGUUUCAAGUUUCCCCAGUCAGUUCCAUUGAUCAUAUGCUGAAGCUACGGUGGAAUGAUAGAUCUUUUAGUUUCCUGCACAUCGAAACUCUCUAAUUGGUGUGUUAUUUUUUCGUGAAAUUUCUAAUAUCUAUUAAUAAUUUCUUGAUGUUACUGAGAAGUUAGUAGAUCAUGGGAUGAGAGCCCAAGGCUUUUUGGCUGAUCUAACUCCUAUUACAAUCAAGUUGGUAACUGCAUUUGGUAAUUAUAUCUUCAGUACUUGCAAUCUUUUAUCGCCUUUCCAAGUUGAUCUUAGUUAUUUGUUCUUAAUAUGUCUAAGGGUAUGGACUUGAUGGAAGGGUCAGGUUCUGUGGUGGUGUUAGAAUUGCUAGAAAACAUUGUUGUAUAGGUUCCGUUAUGAUAUUCUCCUGUGCCAUAUACAUCAUCGUUGUUUUGCAAGUGCUCUACGGCAUUCUUUACUGGAUAUGAAAUAUUUCAAGAUGGAAAUGAAAUAUCUCUAAAGCUACACACAAGCACAGGUUGGUCAUUUUAUUAUUUAAAAGUCUUCUAUCGCUUUUAACUUAAUUAGUUCGCAUGAUUCAUUUCAUAGAGGGUUGACCUGCUCUGUGGUCCAAACUUCAUUUGAAACAUAGGAAACUCCUUGGUAACGUUUUUUAUAUUGAAGAUUCUACUGCUCAAUUCUGUUGCUGUGCAGUUGGGCACGAGUCAACAGCAACGAUAGACUUGAAAGUAAUUUUUGCUGGGCAUGAGACCAAGUAACCAUUUUGUAUUUUGCUCGUCUGAUAGCGUUCUGCCAUACGGCAAUUUACCAAGCAUGGCUUUACAAAUGGAUUGCAGAAUUAUUCAAGGUGUUCUGCAUCUUUCAUUAUUGGACCAACGAACUAUUCACGAGUCAGUAGUGAACGAGAGUUCUAUAUGGUGGUUUGCUUUAAAUAUUGAUGGAAAAAUGUAGUCCAUUGUGUUUUUUUUAAUUAUAUCUUCAACAUCGUUUAGAAGUUCAUCUUUGUUAUCAAUAAGAGGUAAUAAUCUUGUUCCAUUUCUUGGUUCCAUCCAGCCUUUUAACUGCUCUUUUUAAGUGUUUGACACCCGUAUUGGCUGCAUUCACUAAGCCUUCUUCAAAUGAAUAUUACACAAUAUGAUCAAUGUGAUCAAUGGCGCAGGCUUUUUUAUGAUGUUGGAUGUUUGACUUUUUGUUUUAGUCAUAAUUUAGAUUCUUUGCAUCAGAUAUAUUGAUGGGUCCUACAUAAAUAGUUUUGCUCUCUGUUGGGUGCUUGAUUUGGAUAUUCUUAUUAUACACUGAUAUAAUACCAAGGCAAUUCUUGUUUCUAUUAAUUGAUGAAGUUACGGUCUGACUUAUGAAACAGGUUCAUGUUGUUCUGGUUGAAGUAGCUUCUGCUGCUGCAAAUGCUACACCGAGCCUGGAAGAAAUCCUUCGUUCAAAAGAGAGGUGCGGCUCUUUUGAUUAUGUUACAUAAUAUUUGUGUACGCACAUGCAUGAUUUGACCUGUAUGCGGUUCAAAUUUGCUUUUCCUUGUCACAAUAGUUGAUUGUUUGGAAAUGAGGUAGAGCAAGCUAGUGAUACUGAACAGUGUCAUUUUCCAUUUGUUUAACAUUUUGGGAUGAAUGGUUCGAUCAAAACUGCUAAAUGGUUGCUAAGUUCUUUUCCCAAAGUCCUUUGAAAUCUGUUUGCAUUUAUUAGAAUGGAAAUACAGUGCCAAGAGGAGGAGGUAAAGACCUGAACAGGGCAUACGUGCAGGACACGAUGGCUCAUAGACCUGCGGACAAUGAAGAGGAACGCCUAUGGAUGUGUGUCAAGAAGCAGGUGGUUAUAUCAUAGAAGAGAUUUGAAGAGUUUGGCUGCUAGUGUGCAAUGUGUCCAAAGAGCAAUCUCAUUCUAUGCAGUUCGCGAUGCAUAGCUUCCAACUAGCUCGAAAGGCAAGAACCUUACUUUAGAGGUGUAGGUUGCAAAGAGGGGUUAACUUUGCCAACUAAAUUAUCCCUGCAGUUACUUACAAAAAAGUUCUAAGACUGGUGUGCUUGACCGAGGAGGCAGUUGUUGCUUCCCAAAUUGAGAAAAGGAAGACAUGUUGAAUCAGCAAUAUAUCUGUGUCAGGUUAAUGCCAUUCAUGCAUCAAUUCUUGUAAGGGGAGGGAUGUAUUUUGUUUCAUCUAUUUACUUCUUUAUCUAUUCUGUGCAUUGAUAAUAUUGUUAAAAUUUUCUUACGAUAAUUUGGGUAGCGCACAGAGCAAAGCAAGGAUUGAAGAGUUUCUUCAGGAGGGAUCACUUUCGGAAACAGUCUGAACUCCUUUCUAAACUAACACAUACGCCAAUUUAGCACUCCAUGAUUUUUGCUGAUAAUUCAUAUUUUCGCUGCAUAUUUUUAUUGAGUGAAAAGCUUCUUAACCACUUCAUGAUCCCACCAGCACUUUGCUUAAGCUUCAUUUGAUUAUAAUCACUGGAAGAGGGUAUGAGUUUAUGUUUGUGUACUUAGAACAAUGUAUAGUUUCCUGAAUGUUAUGAUUUUACAUUGUGCCCCUAUGUCAGAACAAAGGAUUCAAAGUGUAUUUGAUUUCCAUUUAUCAUAUUCUUCUAUUCAUUAUUUUGUUUUUACUUUUCAUUUCUAUUUUUCAAUCAUUGAUUGCAUAAAAUUUGAGAGAUUGCCUGAUGAAAUUGGAAAUUUAAAAGCCUUGCGCUACUUAGAGAGCUGAAGGAACUGCUAUAAGAGAAGUGCCAGAAAGCCUUUGUUUGUUCUCCUAGCUACAAGUAUUGAUUCUAAGUGACAAUUGCAAUUUUUGUAUGCUCAAGAUUCUGCAGAAUCAACCGAAGAGGAGCCACACCGCAAAUGACUGAAAUAUUCUUCAACUCCGUUGCAGCUGCUACCCUUUUGCGAACGAAUCAUUCCAUAGGCCUUGUUUCUUUUUGCUUGAUUUGUUUUUCACUUUUAUCUUCUUUUUAUAUAUGCGUGUUUUUUUCAAUUCCUUCAUUUCUUGUAACAUUUAAUAGUUGUGUUGUUAUUUGAUGGAUGAUCAACGAAUACAGAAUUAAUUGUAAUUAAUUGAAGACGUACAUUAACUAAUUCUUUCUUUUUUCGUCUUUAAUUUGUGUUCAGUACAUGUCCGGACCCCAGAAGUUACAUAUUCAUGUAAUGUCUACUACCAUAGUUUGACAUUUGAAAUUACAAAACAUGCGCUGAUUAAGAUUAUUUUAAUUAUGCUUACUUUUCAAAUUUGAAAAUUUAGAAGAAUAAAAUUGUUUUGUUAAGAUUUGAGGUUUGUAUUUGACACAAAUUUACUCUUGAGGGUUUAAUUUAUCUUUAUUUUAAAUUAAUUACUAAUUAGGUAUGAUAAGGUGUAUGAUGAUGUUGAAAAUUACAAUGGAGAGCAAUGAUUACAGCAAGGCACCCAUUUAAUACUUAUGACAAAUUUAGAUGGUUGGCAAAUUACAGGAUCUGUUUAACCCACCAAAUGCCAAAUUUUAAGAAUUACAAACAAUACAAAACAGAACAGACCCCCUAAUGGGUUAUUUGUUUCAUCAAAUAAGCUCCCCUUUCCAUUUCCAAUUUCCCCAGUCAAUUCCAAUGAUCAGAUGAUUAUGCUAAUGAAAUGUUGAAAUUCCUCAGUAAGAUCAGUUGCAUUAAUGCUUUUAUAGCUCAAGUUCUGUUUGAACUCUAAACCUUAGAGGAUAUUUUGCACUGCAGUGCUGUUAGGCACAAAGAAUUGGAAAAAUGAUCUGCUUUCAAAAUUGAUGUGGCAUAGAUAAUUAAUUUAUUUAUUUUUGAUAAGGAAAUAGCUUUUUCAGUCAGACUCAAUAGCUUCCGCAAAAGUCUAAAUCUGAGAGAUCCUUAGGAACUUCAUGAAAGUCUCAGGUCCAUACUGACUAGUGCUCUUCAGAGCAAGUUAGACAGAAUGGCUCUGCUGAAUGCUAUGGCACAACAGAUUCGCAAGUGUUUGAAAGUCAGGGUUCUACACCUCCUACGCAGAUUCGCAACUGUUAAGGUUUGAGAGAAACAAGAUUGAUGAAAUUCUAAUUUAAACCAAAGAACAAGAAUGAACAACAACCGAUCAAGAGUUAGACUUAAGAACAACAUCAAUGCACUUUUAUUGAUAGAAUCACGUAGAAAUUGACCAGCAAGAAUAGAGAGUGAAAACUAAGCUUCACCACGAAACAAAUUUUUCACAAAAUGGCUAAGCGAUUACAGAAAACAAUGCCAAGAAACAGAGCCUAACGCUCAGCUUUACACAGGUUUUUUUUAAAAAAAAUAAUUCUUAACAAACUCUUAUUUUGUCGGUUAUGCACGUCGGUUUGGAUAAUAUCCCGAACCCCCAAACUGUAACUUUUCGAUCAUUUGCAAAUAAUUCCAAUAAUAUCUGCAAAACAGCCCAGUAACAACAGAUAGGUGAGUAGAUGGUUCGCAGCGCUGGGGGGACGAGAUCUUUAGCAUCGCAAAAUUGCUGCAAAUUUGAGGACAACUUCCUGCAAUGCAAUACGACUGGUGAGGUGAACUUAAUUUCUUUUUGUUGUUUCUUCUUGUGCUUGCAAAUUUUGCAAAUAGCUUACUAGAAAGUUUGAUUCUCUAAUGGCAUUGUUUACAUUCUUUCCAUUUAUAUAACUAGAGAAAUGUAAAAGGUGAAAACUAGAUGUAAAGGAGAAUGUGAUAAUAUCCUCUCUAGAACUGAAGCUUGUAGAUUGUUACUUGAUUUCAGGAUAUAUAUCAGCUGUUUUAAAUUUGUGAUACAGGGUUUUGGUUUGGAAAUUGUCGCCAGUUUUGAGACUUUUGAAGGGAAUUUUCUGAAUAGGAUCUAACAGCUCAAUUUGUAUGCAACUGGAAUCAAAGAGCUGCCCUCAUCCAAUGAGAUCUUACUAGUUACAUUUGAGCUGAUUAACUGUUCGAGGAUUUUGAAGUCUUUGGGGGAGCAUAUGUAAGUUGAAAUGUCUUUGAGAUUUACUCUUUCUGGUUGUUUAAAUCUGAAGAGGUGUCCAGAGAUCUCAUCUGGAAACAUAAAAAGUUUCCGUUUGGAUGGAACUGCAAUCAAAGGACUGUCCUUCGCCUUAAGAGUUUCUAUCCAAGGCUUGAACAUCUCCCGAGAAGCAUAUUGAAGUUGAAAGAUCUUCCAGAUCCUAAUCUUUCUCAUCGUUUGAAUUUGAAGAGGCUUCCACCGAUCCCAUCUUGUAAUAUAAAAGUGUAUAAUUAGAUGGAACUGCAAUCAAAGAACUGCCUUCAUCCAUGGUGUCUUUUUGGACUUGUUGCUUUGUCUUAUGAAGAGUUCAAGGCUUCAUCAUCUCCUGAUAAGCAUAUUUAAGUUGAAAUAUAUUGAAGAUCCUAAUUUCUCUAGUAGCAUAAAUCUAAAGAGGAUACCAGAGGUGUCAUCUUGCAUAUGAAAUUUUUAUAUUUAGAUGGAACAACAAUCAAAGAAUUGUCUUCAUCCAUUGCAUGUCCUUCUAACCAGUUAUCUUGAGUCUUUCAAUUUGUAAAAGGCUUGAGAGUGUCCCAAGCAGUCUAUAUAAGUUGCAAUGUCUUCAAGAUCUUUAUCUCAGUGGUUGUUCAAGUCUUCAGAGAUUUCUAGAUAAACAUGAAAAUUUAGAAGGCUCUAAAGGAAAAUGCAGAGACAUAAAUGUUGGUGCAUAAACACUUAAAUUUGUUUGUUGGGCUGACGAAUUAGCACUGCAGCUUUUCUACUCGAGCAGAUAGCUUCGACCAUGAACCUGCUCCACCAUAUCUCUUACAUUCACAAAACUUAGUUAGAGGGGCGCCGAAUGUUUUUUCGGUGAGAACCCUUAGAUGCUCAAAUCAGAAAUUGGGGCUUUUAGGAAAAACUUAUGGUACAACCCUCAUGACUUUCUAUAACUGCUUUAAACAAAAAGCUUUUUAAUUAAUCUAGAAAAGAAAGAAAAAGGAGAGAAAUUAUUAAAAUAGAGAGAGUAAGAUAGUUCAGUCCAUCCCAUUACCUACAUGGCUGGGACUUUUAUAGAUGGACAAAACCACCGCCUCAAAGUCGAUGCAUGAUCGUUAGUGGAUGAGCCAGAUGACCAUUAGUGGAUUAGCUUCGUGCCCGAAUAUUUGGGAGAAGAAUCCCGAGUUGACCUUUGACCAAUUCUUGUGGUUGUCUUCGGCAGAUUUCUCCUCAUGUCACCCCAAUUAACCGCUCGUCCUCGAUAUUCUUCUUGUGAAGGUAAGGAGGAUUAUCCUCAAGCCAAUCCCUUCGCACCUUAUUUGAAGAGAGCACGAUUCGAGCACGACAGCGUCUAAUCAUGCUGUCUUUUUGUCUCCCAAAAGGGAGCCAUUGACUGUUAUUAACCAGAUUCUACCCAUAUUACUCCUCAUAAUUGCUUGGUCAUUACUAGCUUCCACAUCUGGCUUCGUGAGCUUUGCUACAAAAUCUGCCAGUGUUGAAUUAGCUGAUGAAGCUGAACCUCAUGCAACACACGUUGGAGUGCCAGCUGGAAUUAAGCCAGCUGUAAAUCCAGUAGCUAGUCUAUAAGUGAAAGUGAAAGGUGCACGUGAGAAGCUGGAAAAUUCCAGAUGGCAAAACUGUUAUGAAGAGAUUCCCAUGCAGUUGGAUGAGGCUGAAAUUAGUUAACAAAUCAGCUCCUGUUAAUUGUGUUGAAGUUAGUUACAUUAGCAUUUGUUAUUUAGAAGUUAUAUUGCUUAGCUGUAAUUGGCGUGAUUAGCAAGCAUUAGAUUCUACUAUAAAUACUGAGCUAAGCUCAUUACUGUAAUUAGUUUUUGUGAUAAUAAAAAUACAAACAGAUCUUCAUCUUCUUCCUUUGAUCUUCAAAUUCCAACUUGGUAUCAGAGCUAGUUGUUAUAAUGGCUAGCAAUGAAUUUCAAACCACAAGCACUCGAGCUUCAAGCUCAACUGCAAAUCCAAUCACAAACUAUAUUGAUCUACAAGUGAGUGGUCCAUAGACACUCUGUAGUUAAUUAAAUGAGCUGUGAUUUGAGAUAUGAAUUUACAAAUGUAAAUUUGGGAGGAAAAAAAAUUUAUGGUCAAAAUCUUUGAACUCUCUGUCGUUAACUGAACGAAACACGUCGCAUUUUCUGGGGAAAUAUUUUAGUUUUUUUGUCAUUGCCUCACAUUAGUCGGUCUUCAGAAGUAGUGAAACACCCAUAUGUCUCACGCGCAUUUCAUUCAAUUAAUUAAGUAUUCUUACAUCCCACAUUAUUGUUUCAACUUGCACUGUCCGAAUAACUAACCAGAGUUUUUAUUGAAAUUAUUGUGUCACUUAUUAGAAAAGAGAUAGGAAAAAAAGUUUAAUUCACAAGCCAACUUUAAAAAGGCCGAAAAAAAAAAGAAGACUGGAGUAGAUUACAAGUAUUAAAUGUAUUGAUGAGGUUUCAACAUUUUUUUAAAAUCUUUUUAUAUAAUUUUUUUACCAAAGUUCAAAUAACUAUUUUCAAUUAGUUUUAAGGUAAUAUAAGAUGACGAUGAUAAUACGGGAUGAACAUCAACAUAAAAUUUAUUGGUGCUUCAUCAACACUGAUUUUCCCAUCUCUUCAGUAAAUGUUUUACAUAUUUAUUUUGCAUCUAAUUUCAUAUUAUUGACAGUUAAUAGAAGUGAUUAGUAAUUAAUAGAAGACUUAAAAGAAUUAAAGAAAAUGGGCUCAGCGUGCAUGAAAAUAAAUACAAGAGAUUAAAUGAAAAGAAAAGAUUGCGUGGUGGACUUCAAAAUGGACACAUAAAAUAAAUUUUGUAUUUUGUUUCAAAAUAAUUUCCAGCAUACAAAUUUUUUUUUUUUUUUUUGAUUAAGAGGGGCUCUAAACAGAGCUAAGGAAUAACAAAGCGGGGAUAGACUACCCCAUAAUUAUCUUGGGACAUAAACUGAAGCACUCCUUUAUCUUGGGACACACCCCAGAGAUAUGAGUAGAGCCACCUUUCUUCUCAUCAGCACAAAGGAUGGAAUUGAAAUCGCCUCCCACCAGCCACGGGCCAUGAACCGUUCUAGCUAAGAAAUCAAGGUGAUCCCACAAAUGCCGUCGCAAAAUAGGAUUAGGGCUCGCAUACACAGCUGUGAUCCAAGUUUCAAGAAUAUUAUUCUUUGAAAUUUUGAAAUGGACGAAUUGCUUAUGAUUGAAUAAGACUUCCACAUCAAAAUAACCCCGCCAAAGGAUCCAGAUACCUCCGGAAAAACCCGUAGCUUCAAUACGAUGGGAAUACUCAAAUCCGCUGCAUUUAAUAAAAUCAUCGGCUUGCUUCCCACUGAUUCUAGGCUCCAUUAGACUAACCAUGGAAGGGCCAUAAUUCUUUAUAAGGGUAUUAAAAGAGCGACGAAAACCCUUCGAGGCUGUCCCCUGUACAUUCCAAAAAAGGAUUUGUAACUUCAUGAAAGAAAGAUUGGAAAAGAAUAGGACCUUACUGCAGCGGCUGAGAUGCCUCUUCGGCUAGGUCCAUGGCCGUUUCUUCAACAAGGGACACAUCACCUUCUGAGGAGUCAGCCCCGUCCUCACUUGUAGCCACAUAAUCACUAUCAUUCGCAUCGUCUUCCAUGUCCAUGUUAGCAGCUAACCCCGUGAGAUUGGGAGGGUCACCGUCUAAUUCGGGCCAAGUGAUAUGCCCAUCAACACUGUUUUGGCCAUUGGAAGUUUUAGGAUGGACAUCAGUACAAGGGGGGUGAGCAGCGGCGUAAUCAGUAGAGAAAGAGAUGGCCGAAUGAUGGAGGGGGUUUAAACUAGUAGGAACGUGCACAGGUAGAGGUAAAGGAUUAGGGCUCGCAUGGGUUGCAUGGAGGUUGGUAACACCUCGUGAGACAUGUGUGUGAAAAAUGCUUUGGGGAGCUGUGUUUUCUUUAGUAUGGGAUUUCGCAUGCAGUCCAGUAGAUGUUCCCAUGUGUCUCAGUUCUGUUGGCUUAGCUGACUUAUGGGCAUCUUUUCUUCUAGUGGGUUUACUUUUUGUCGGCCAAGUAGGGCUAGAAUUAAUAGUAUUGUUCUCUCGAUGUGUCUGUUCCAUAUGGGCAUCCUGUUUCUCCUCGUGGUUUGAUUCUCCUUCCCCGAGAGUAGCUAAGAUAUUGAAUCUCGAUUCCUUCCCAUGCUGCCCUCGAAAAACUUGCUCAGUUGCCUGACUGGAAUUGCUGUCCUUCUCCACUCUCGGCUUUCCUUUGCGAGCCACUACCAUCCAUGGCCCGAAUUUUGGCUCAUUCCGGCUGUUGUUUCCGGCCUUACUCAUCCACUGCUGCUCCGCCGGACCACCUGGUAUUGGCAUAUCGUCCUCAGUCAGACCAUUAUUCUCCCUCUCUGAACAGUUUUCUUUGUAAUGACCGUACUUCCCACAGUGGAAACAAAUAACCGGGAGAUUCUCGUACUCAACUCUCUGAAUUUUACCAUCCAACUGAAACUGAGAAAUCAGAGGGCUCUUAAGAUCUAUUUCUACUGCUAUUCGAGCGAAUUUACCCCUCUGUGCAGAUUCUGUAGUAUAGUCGAUACGGAUAACCGAACCAAGGAUUUGCCCAAGCCGUCGGAGUAUUUGCUUGUGGUAAUAAUGCAGAGCCAUGCCCGGGAGACGAAUCCAGGCCACCACUUUAUCUAUCUCCCCUUUAGAACUAUCAAAGUGAGGUGACCAUGGUUGUACCGUCAGAUAAUGUCCCAUAACAGUCCAAGGUCCGGAUGUUAAAACAUAAUCUGCAUCUCCUGCAUUCUUGAAACGGACCAAGUAAAAAUCAUUCUCUAGAUCAAUGAUGUUAAAUCCCGGCGUCAAGUUCCACAACGAUUCCAAUCUGUUACACAAAGCCCUGUAUCCAAUGCGGCGACCCAAUAGUUUAACCACAAUUGUAUUCUGCCAAGGCUUGAUCAACUGCUCAUGAACUUUCGGUGAAAAAGUUAUGGAUGGCAUAGAAUCAGUAUUCAUAACAAUUACAUCCUCCGGUUUUAAAUCUAGAUCUUCGUCGCUGCCAAACAACUCUUCCUCUGUAUCCUUUUGUGACUUCAUUAAUUGAUCUCGAAAGGAUAGGCGCUCAGAAGUUUCGCCAGCAUCACUUUGAGCUCUAAACUUGGCCUUCUUGGUGGAGCGAUCAUCAGCCAUGGGUGGGGGAGGGGUUUUCUCAAAGCUUUCCUGCAUUCCUUUCAAGUCUUAAAUAUCUUUUUUACAUCCGCAUUAUUUUUCUUCAUACAAAUUUAAUUAUAUGGUAACUCCUUUUUCUGUGUCUUAUAAUUUCAACCUACAGUCAACAAGUUAAACCGUUAUUCUAGGCAUCUUCAUUGGAUUAUUGCAUCUGUACUUUACCAAAGGGAAAACAAAUUGUCACGAAACAGCGUGUUUCUUUUUGUUAAAUUUAAAAGAAAACUUUAUUACAAAACUUCCCGGUGGGUUCCACGGAACUAUCUAAUAAAGCAUCUUUAUAUAACCUCCAUUGACACAGUCGCAUUAAAUUAUUUUCACAUCCCAAAUUUUCUCAUCUGAUCAAAUCUCUCAUCCACUGAACUGUUAUGGCUUCUUCUUCUUCCUCUUGUCCACCUCGAAACGCUAAGAAGAUGUAUGAUGUUUUUCUGAGUUUCAGAGGAGAGGACACCCGUGACAACUUUACUAGCCAUCUUCACUAUGUUUUGUCUCUGAAAAGUAUCAAAACUUUCGUUGAUGACCAACUUAUCAGAGGAGAGAACAUUUCACGGUCUCUUCUUGAUACAAUUGAAGCAUCAAGCAUCUCAAUUAUCAUUUUCUCAGAAAGGUAUGCUUCUUCUAGAUGGUGUCUCGAUGAACUUUUGAAGAUCCUCGAAUGCAAGCACGAUUAUGGACAGAUUGUGAUUCCAGUUUUCUAUCAAGUUGAUCCAUCACAUGUGAGAUCGCAAAGCCAGGAUUCUUCUUUUGGGAAGUAUUUUAGUGGGCUUGAAAAACUUUAUCCAGAGAAGAUGCAAAGAUGGAAGAAUGCUUUGACCGAAGCAGCCAACCUCUCUGGCUUUGAUUCUCAUGUCAUUAGGUACAAUAAUUUUCUAUCUGAUUCUUAGUAUUACAUUAACUAUGACAAUGAGUUUAAAUAUUUAUCCAUAAUAUAUUAAAUAAAUCAUUCUUAAUAAUGAGGAUUAGGUUUUUUUCUUGCACAUUUGAAUAACUUUCCAAUUAUUUUAUUUGAUGAAAUUCACAUUAUAUUAAUUAGCUAUUUCAUAUUGCAACUAAUUAAAAACACACGAUUCUCUGUCUCGCUUACAUAUAUUUGAACUAUGUUAAGAAAAUGUAAGCUGAGUCAGAUUGCCACGUCAUCAGUUGCCAAGCUGUCAUUCUGUUAUGCAGAGUGUCAUUAGAUUCGAAGUUUGUUAAGUUCCUUCCAAAAGUUUGUUACUAUCAGCUAGUUCUCAACUCAUGCUUUACACGUUGUAGAAGAUUCCAGAUCACACUAUAAAUAGCUCUGUAAUGUUUAGAUUGUUAUGUGAGCUUAAUAGAAACAAAUUUUCCAGCUUCUAGAUUUCUCUCGUUAAGCAUUUUCUUUCUCUUUCUUCUUUAUUUUCUUGUUAAACAAACAGAGUCUGGUACUUCUUAACUAACUAUAUAAUUGCUGUUAUUUUUUUACUAGGCCUGAAUCUAAACUUAUUGAGGAAAUUGCCAAUGACGUUUUGAAGAGGCUAGAUUCGACUUUUCAAAGUGAAAACAAAGGCUUGGUCGGAGUUGAAUGCCCCAUUGAAGAAAUUGAAUCAUUGUUAGGCACUGGGUCUGAGGGGGUUUGGAAACUAGGGAUUUGGGGCAUCGGUGGUAUAGGCAAGACAACAAUCGCUGAUGCUGUUUUUAACAAAAUCUCUAGACAUUUUGAAGGUUCUUACUUUGCGCAUAAUGUUAGAGAUGCAGAAGAAACUGGCAGAAUAAAGGACUUACAAAAGGAACUUCUGUCCAAGUUAUUGAAUGAUGGAAAUGUGAGGAACAUUGAGUUUGAACUCUACAGACUUGCUCGCAAGAAGGUUCUAAUUGUUUUUGAUGAUGUGAGUCAUCGAAGACAAAUACAAUCAUUAAUUGGAUGCCUUGAUGAGUUAGCUUCAGGGAGUCGAGUAAUAAUAACAACAAGAGAUAAACAAGUCCUUAAAAGUUGUUGGGCCACUCAAAUAUAUCAGAUGAAGGAAUUAGUAUAUGCUGAUGCUCAUAAGCUUUUCUGUCAGUGUGCUUUUGGAGGAGACCAUCCAGAUGCAAGUCAUACAGAGCUCACAGACAGGGCAAUCAAAUAUGCACAGGGAGUUCCUUUAGCUCUUAAAGUUUUGGGUUGCCAUCUAUGCGGAAGGAGCGAAGAGGUAUGGGAAAGUGCAAUGAGAAAACUGGAAAAAAUUCCUCACGAGGAAAUCCAGGAGGUGUUAAAAAUAAGUUAUGAUAGCUUGGAUGACUCUCAGAAGAAUGUUUUUCUAGAUAUUGCAUGUUUCUUUGAAGGAGAGCAUAGAGAUGAGGUGACAAGCUUUUUUGAUGCUAGUGGCCUCGAAGCUAAAAUAGAAUUAAGUGUUCUUGAAGGUAAGUCUCUCAUAACUUGCUUCCAUAACCACAUAAGAAUGCAUGACUUGAUACGAGAUAUGGGAAGAGAAAUUGUUCGAAAUGAAUCUAUCGAUCAUCCAGGAGAGCGCAGUAGGUUGUGGUAUCACAAGGAUAUUUAUGAAGUUUUGAAGAACAAUUCGGUGAGGAAUAAUAAGUUUUUAAUUGUAUCUUAUUUGUGUUACAUUUAUAUUAGCAAUUUGUCUGAAUAUGUCUUUUUGAAUAAAAAUAGCAUUAAUACAGCUUAAAAUUAAUUGAAAAAUAAUAUUAAAAAAUUGGUAAAAUAAAAUAAAUAGAUCCGAUAUUUCCCCAACUCAGUUUGAAACAUGCCUCUAAAAUCCCCAGCAAACUAGCGCCUUCGGAGAGAGACCCAAAAAAAAAAAAAAAAAACACCUCAAAUCUUAUUGCAUUUCCUUUUCAACUCAAGCUCUGCCCCUAUCCUUAUUUUUCACUAAAAAAAUUUGAUUGAAUUAAUUUUACAUUUUACAUAUUAAGCAUUUUCUUGAAUUUUCUAUUUUACACUUCCUAAAAGCAUUACCCAAAUAGUUUAUUAUAAAGUGAUUGUAAUAUCUCUAUUUGGGUUUGACGGCUUAAAAAUAAUUGUUUAUUUGUUUGCUUCAAUUAUAUACCAACUUAUGAUCUCCUAUUUGAUUGUUAGGGAACUGAAAAAAUCAAGGGUAUCUUCUUGGAUAUGAAUAAAGUCAAUAGAGAGAUACACAUGAAUUCCGAUGCUUUCUCAAAGAUGCCUAACUUGAGAUUCUUGAGAAUCUAUGGAGAUGAGAACAAAUGUAUGGUCUCUCAUUUAGAGGGUGUGCCAUUUGCUGAAGUGAGGCACCUCGAGUGGGCUCAAUGUCCUUUGAAAACGUUGAAUAUAUGUGCGGAGAAACUUGUUUCACUUAGAAUGCCUUGCAGCAAGGUUGAACAACUUUGGGAUGAUGUUCAGGUAUGUAUUUAUUUGAAAUUCUUUCAGUAAUCAAUUCUAAAUACAAUUGAUGCUAUAAUUAAUAUAUGUGAUAGUAUCUGUUUAUUUAUAAAGAUGAUGAUGAUAAUAAUAAUAAUAAUAAUUUUUUGGGGCACAGGAUCUUGUUAACUUAAAAGAAAUAGACCUCAGUGGAUCCGAGUCGUUAACGAAACUCCCAGACUUGUCACAGGCCAAAAAUCUUAAGAUUCUGAUGUUAGGCGGCUGUUUAAGUUUGAUGGAUACUCGCUCAUCUAUUCAAUAUCUAAAUAAACUUGAAGUUCUUUAUCUACGAAAGUGCGAAAGCCUGACGAGUCUUCCAAUUAGCAUUCCUUUCAAAGAUAUCAUUAACUUCCCAGGUGGAAUUGUUAGAGUGCAAUUUAUGCACUAGUUUUGCAUUAUUUACUUCCCUUAAUAUCAAUGUUUUGCACUUAAUAAUAGUGAUUUACUUGUGUUUUACUUUUGUAGGUGCAAUUCUAUUGAUUGAUGAUAUAAUUGAGCUAUAAGAUGAUGUUUAAGGAUGAUUGUUCUCUUAGAGAAAUUAUGAGCGUCAGAAGAACUUUGUUGAUAAGGCGUGGGCGCGUGCUGUCAACUGCGGACCUGCAGUUUUUAGUUUAACGUGUUUUGUAUUUUUGGUUAUUUUUGUAAUUACGAAUUUAAUAUUUCAGAUAUUAGGUUUUUAUUUUAAAUAGAAUUCUAAAAGAGAAGAGAGAGAGAGUAUUUAAGGGAGGAAUCUAUUGUGAAAAAGGGGGGGAUUUUGGAUUGGAGGAAAAGAAAUAAACCCUAGAUCUUAAUUUUUCUCUUCUCUCUAUGAAGAACUAAACCUAUUUUUCUGGUUGAAGGAUAAUAAAGCUUUGAUUCAUCACUACUGUGAGAUCUUUCUUGUGCUUUAAUUGUUUUAUUGCUUUUUGGGUAUUUGUUUAUUCUCUGAAUUAUUUUCAUGAUUAUGUUUGUUAAUUAGGUAAUUAGCCACUAUUUAAUUAUCAACUUAAUCUAUUGUCAAUUAAAGGAUUCAUCGUAUGAAGAAUUUAAUGUUUGUGACAAAUAACAUAGCAGAGAGUUGUGUUGUGAGAAUAAACAAUCUAAUUUAAAUGAAUCAUCAUAUGUGUUGAUUAGGAUUUGGGUCUCUCUGGUUUUUCAGGCUGUCAAUUGAUUAAAUCCUAUGAUCGUAUCUAGGGUUGUCCAUUGAUUAGGGAAAUAACCAACGGUCGUACCUUGGUUAUCGACUAGUUAAGGAGAGAUUGGCUAUUAGAGGGUCUCAAUAGCUAUAACCGGUCUAUUCAUAAGUAAUAAUAAUCUAUAUUUGAAUAAAUGAUCAGUAGUCGAAUCAAGCUGAGUUAAUUCCUUCAACCAGAGCUUUCUCCAAUUUGAAUUACAACUUUAAUUUGCAUUCUUGUUAUUUCAAUUUGAUUUUUAUUAUUGUCAACAAUUCCCCCAUUUUACGUUUUACGUUUCAAAAGGAUUUAAAUAAUUACCGAUCUCUGUGGACACGACCCUGCUCAAUCACUAUACACAAUUUAUUUAGAGUAGAAAUUUAUUUUUGUUGGAUUCGACAACCAUCAAAUUUUAGCGUCGUUGUCGGGGAUUGGUGUCAUUUAUUUAAUCCUUUUUACGUUUUACUUGGUGUAUGGUUCGUUCUUCUCGUACAGGUACACUUUCGUUUGAUCUUGAAAUUGAGAAGACAGCUCGCCAGCUGAGACAGCAGACUAAGCGAGCUAAGCAACGAUCCUCGUCGCCUUUGCUUUUUGAAACAGAUACGGUGCCUAAUUUAGUUGAAUCAUCUAGCGAUUCGGAAGAACAAGUGAUGGAUAGACCUGCACCUGUAGAAAGAACUCUUAGAGAGUUAGCUGAACCAGACUUGAAUCAGCAACCACUCUGCAUUCAAUAUGUAGAUUUGGAGGUAAAUUUUGAAUUAAAGUCUAGUCUUAUUCAUUUAUUACCCAAGUUUCAUGGUUUUGCAGGUGAAGAUCCUCAUAAACAUCUUAAGGAGUUUCAUGUUGUGUGUUCAAGUAUGAGACCACAAGGCGUGACUGAAGAGCAGAUUAAGCUGCGUGCUUUUCCGUUCUCUGUAGAUGGGCUAGCUAAAGACUGGUUGUAUUACUUGCCUCCUGGAUCGAUUACAACGUGGAAUGAUUUGAAGAAGCAGUUCCUCGAGAAGUACUUUCCUGCUUCAAGAGCUGCUAACAUCAGAAAAGACAUUUGUGGGAUCAAACAACUUCCUGGGGAGACUUUGUAUGAGUAUUGGGAGCGAUUCAAACAAUUGUGUGCCAGCUGUCCUCAGCAUCAGAUUUCUGAUCAACUUCUUAUUCAAUAUUUUUACGAAGGAUUAUCAUUGAUGGAUAGGAGUAUGAUAGAUGAUGCUAGUGGAGGCGUGUUGGUGAACAAGACCCCUACUCAAGCAAAGGAGUUGAUCUCAAAUAUGGCUGCCAAUGCACAACAAUUUGGCAGCAGACAAGAUGCCACUUCAAGAACGGUGAAUGAGGUAAAUAUUUCUUCUGUUGAACAACGUUUAGAUAAACUUACUUCCCUUAUGAAAAAGUUUGUUGUAGGUAAUGUGCAACAGGUGAAGACUUGUGGCAUUUGUUACAAUAUGGGUCAUUCAACUGAUAUGUGUCCUACACUUCAAGAAGAACCCGUUGAACAAGCCAAUGCAGUUAGAGGAUUUCCAGGCAUGCCUCAGAGGAGGUAUGAUCCUUAUGCACAAACAUACAAUCCGGGAUGGAAGGAUCAUCCCAACUUCAGCUAUGGAGUUAGGCCGUCAGGAUUCCCACAACAAUAUGCACCAAGACAACCAACACCUCCACAGUCAAACUCCAAGUCAGGUAUAUCUCUUGAAGAAAUUGUUAAAUCACUUGCGACUAACACUCAACAAUUUCAGCAGGCAACUACAGCAAGCAUUCAGAACUUGGAGAACCAAAUGAGUCAAUUGGCGACUACAGUGAGCCGUCUUGAGUCUCAAGUAUUAGGAAGAUUGCCUUCACAAUCUGAGGUGAAUCCAAAGCAAAACGUUAGUGCUGUCAUCCUUAGAAGUGGGAAGGAGUUGCAAGAGCCUAGUAAGAAAGUGACAAAGCAUGUAGAAAAUGAGCUUGAGAAGAAUGAAUUGAUGCCUAAAUCUCAAGAUACGCAACCCACCAGAGCGAAACCCCUACCUAUUGUGAUACCUCCUCCUUUUCCAAGCCGGUUUACAAAAUCCAAGAAGGAGGAACAAGAGAAAGACAUCCUUGAGACAUUUCGCAAGGUUGAGGUAAAUAUUCCUUUAUUAGAUGCUAUAAAACAAAUACCUCAAUAUGCUAAAGUCCUUAAGGAACUGUGCACCUCCAAAAGAAAAUUAAGAGGAGAUGAAAAAGUUCACAUGGGGGAGAAUGUUUCAGCAGUUUUCCAAAAGAAACUACCUCCUAAGUGCAAGAAUCCAGGUAUGUUUACUAUCCCUUGUAAAAUUGGUAGUGUUAGAGUUGAAAAGGCUAUGUUAGAUCUAGGAGCUUCUAUUAAUGUCAUGCCUCGUUCCAUUUAUUCAUCUUUGAAUGUUGGUCCAUUAAAAGAAACUGGCGUGAUAAUUCAACUAGCUGAUAGGUCUAAUGCAUAUCCUGAUGGGGUAUUAGAAGAUAUCUUAGUACAAGUUAAUGAGUUGGUUUUUCCUGCUGAUUUUUAUGUACUUGAUAUGAAAGAUGAUAACUCCUCUAAUUCUGUCCCAAUUUUGCUAGGAAGACCUUUUUCUUAAGACUGCUAGGACUAAAAUGGAUGUACAUAAAGGGACUCUCACUAUGGAGUUUGAUGGAGAGGUUAUAGAAUUCAAUAUGAAUGAUACCAUGAAAUAUCCUAGUGAGGAACAUUCGGUAUUUUCUGUGGAUGUUAUUAACCCUAUAGCGCAGGAAAUUUUUUACAAGGAAAAGACGAAGACAUUUCAUGAUAGAAUGAUUUUGAGAAAGGAGUUCUCAGUUGGUCAAAAAGUUCUUCUUUUUCAUUCUAAGCUUAAACAUUUUCCGGGUAAAUUACGUUCUUGCUGGGUUGGACCUUUUAUUGUUACUAAUGUUUUUCCUCAUGGUGCAGUUGAGAUUCGGAGUCCGAUCUCUGACAAAGUUUUUAAGGUUAAUGGUCAUCGCUUAAAACCUUUUUAUGAAGGUUUUUCGGUGAAUAUUGUGGAGGAUAUGACUCUCGAGAGUCCCAAUUAUGGAGAUUGAUGCAUAAAUGUGUCUAGCCAAAGACAUAAAACAAAGGCGCUUUUUGGGAGGCAAUCCAAAUAAUUUAUUUAUUUUGGUUUUUGUCAUAUCUUCUUUUAAUUUUGAUUCAGAUUUUUUUAAAAAAAUAAUGUGUUUGCUUAUUUUGGUCAGAAGAAAAUUUUUGAUAAGGCGUGCCCACGUCUUAACUAAUAAGUACUUCUGUGAUUUUUAAAGUAAAAUGGUUUUAAGGCGUGCCCACGUGCUUAUUAGAAAAGUACUUCUGAAAUUUUUAGUGUCUCAAGUGAUUCAUCACUAAAAAAAAAAAAAAAAAAAAUUAUUUUAUUUUAUUUUUUUUUCUAUCUAUUUAUUUUAAAAAAGCAAAAAAAAUAAAGAGAUUUUCUUUUGUUCUUUCUUUUAUAUAUAUAUUUAUUUAUUUAUUUAUUAAAAAAAAUUUCAAAAAUCACUGUUAAAAAAAAAAAAAGUUUUCACUGUUCACAAAAUCCCUAAUUUUCCAGAACUUGUUUUCUUCUCCAGCCGCUUGCAGCACACCAGCAGCACCCGCGAGCGCAGCACCAGCAUCGAGCACCAUCCCGCGAGCGCAGCACCAGCAUCCCGUGUCUCGCAGCCCAGCAACGCGCAACGAAGUCCCAGCAGCGCGCAACGCAGCGCAGCACCCGCAAAGCAAGCCUCAGCAGCGUGCAGCGCGAAUCAGCCCCAGCUGCGAGCGCAGCGCGAACUAGCCCCAGCUGCGAGCGCAGCGCGAACUAGCCCCAGCCCGAGCACGCAACGUAACAAGCGUCACCAGCACGCGCACCAGCAAUCCCCCAGCGCGCAGCAACAGCCGCAGCACGCAGAUCCAGCGUCACCAGUUCUCAGCAUCAGUCCCAUCCGCGCGCAACUGAACCAGCAGCCGUGCACCCGCAAGCUCCAGUCGAGCAGCAAUAGUCCGCAACCAGCCUGCGACCUGCAUUCCAGCCGCGUGAAUCGAAAUCCUUGACAAGAUGGAGCAGAAUUUGGCCGCAUACUUCAAGAGUGUGAGAUUUAUCCCACCAUUCCCGCCAAGCCCAUAGACGUUAUGAGGAUCAAAGCUCACAAUUCAGGGAAGUUUUUGCCUUUAAUCUUUUAUCCUUACGCUUUAAUUUUUAUGUGAGCUUUGAUUAUCUUACAUUGGGGACAAUGUAAGUUCUUGGUGUGGGGGAGGGAUUUUUGCAUUAUUGAUGUCUGGAAUUAUUGUUUUCACUCUACUUAUCUUUUUUUCACUCUACUCAUCCUUAAAUGAUUUUGGAGUUAGUAUGCUUUAUAUAUUAUUAAUUUUCUUUUCCUUUAUCUCUCACUACUCUUUUCCCAUCUAUCUCACAUUAUUUACAUCUAUUUUUUUUCUACCAUACUUUUUCAUCACUCACAUUUUAUCUUUCAUUUUUUUACUACAUACAUCUUUCUCGCUUAUUAUCCUUUUUACCUUUACUUUUAUAUCUCACUCAUACCUUCUUCUCAUUCUACACCACUAUUGAUGGUUGAUUCAUUUGAAGAGUGCAUAGGAUUUGAUGGCAAAUUUACCAACUUUGUGAGGAUUUGAGCCUAUGAGCAACCACUUUGCUCUAAUUAUUUUUGUUAUGUGAAUAUCAAUCCUAGUUUGUUUAUUCUAGAACUUGCUUUAUUAUGCAUGUUGAAGCCACAUUACGGGAUUUUAUGCAUUAAAAUGAUAAGGGCAAACCAUUUACCAUUUUUCUAUUCUCGCAUUUUCCUUUUUCUCUACCCGAAGACCUUUAUUUGCUACCUUUGUUUGAGCCUUAACAAUUACCCAUCUAAUUCUCUCCGUCUACUUAACCAUUUUUCUUCUUUUUUGAGCCUCAAUUUAAGGAGAUUUUUGGACUCAUUGUGUGGAUAUAUUUUGUUGCUUUUUCUACCUUGUAAUAAAGUUUCUCAAUUAGAUCAACAAGCAUUAUGCUUGAAUUAAAUUGUGCAAGGUUCGUUUCUUUUGUUUGAUUCAAAAACAAAAACAAAAAAAAAAAGAAAAAAAAAAGAAAAAAAAAAGAAAAAGAAAAAUCACAAAAAAAAAAUGUUUACAUUCUUGGUGACUUGAGUAGAAAUAAGCAUUUUGAUAUCAUAAGUUCAUUCAAUGAGUUCAUUCUUCUCGUUUUGAUCUCUUUUUCUUUCGUAAACCUUUCUUUUUCAUUUAACCCAUUUAACCCCAUUACAACCCUUUUAAGACCCUUAGAUUUUUGCUUUUUAUUCAUGUUUUGUGGAUUGAGAUGUGAUAUAUGAGCAAGCUUAUGGUAAUAGCAUUCUUUGAUUUGAUUUGAGUGGAUAAAUGACACCCUAAACACUUUGAGUGCAUGGAGUGAAGUUAUUGAGAGGGCUAUUACAUCUUGUUGCACUUGAAUUUUGAAUGGAUCUUCUUGGUGGUUGAAUGUUCUUAUUCUAUCUUAUGAAAUUCUAUGCUUUAAAAUCCUUGUCUCUCGAACGUUGAACGACUUAAUUUUUUGAGGUAUGCUUGCUUAAAAUUGUUUUUGGAUGAGUUGAGAUGAGAAUUUAGUGGAGAUUUGAGAUUAGUCUUGAGUUAUAUGCUUGAGGACAAGCAUCAUCUUGGUGUGGGGGAAUUUGUUAGAGUGCAAUUUAUGCACUAGUUUUGCAUUAUUUACUUCCCUUAAUAUCAAUGUUUUGCACUUAAUAAUAAUGAUUUACUUGUGUUUUACUUUUGUAGGUGCAAUGCUAUUGAUUGAUGAUAAAAUUAAGCUAUAAGAUGAUGUUUAAGGAUGAUUGUUCUCUUGGAGAAAUUAUGAGCGUCAGAAGAACUUUGUUGAUAAGGCGUGGGCGCGUGCUGUCAAUUGCGGACCUGCAGUUUUUAGUUUAACGUGUUUUGUAUUUUUGGUUAUUUUGUAAUUACGAAUUUAAUAUUUCAGAUAUUAGGAUUUUAUUUUAAAUAGAAUUCUAAAAGAGAAGAGAGAUAUAGUAUUUAAGGGAGGAAUCUAUUGUGAAAAAGGGGGGGAUUUUGGAUUGGAGGAAAAGAAAUAAACCCUAGAUCUUAAUUUUUCUCUUCUCUCUAUGAAGAACUAAACCUAUUUUUCUGGUUGAAGGAUAAUGAAGCUUUGAUUCAUCACUACUGUGAGAUCUUUCUUGUACUUUAAUUGUUUUAUUGCUUUUUGGGUAUUUGUUUAUUCUCUGAAUUAUUUUCAUGAUUAUGUUUGUUAAUUAGGUAAUUGGCCACUAUUUAAUUAUCAACUUAAUCUAUUGUCAAUUAAAGGAUUCAUCGUAUGAAGAAUUUAAUGUUUGUGACAAAUAACAUAGCAGAGAGUUGUGUUGUGAGAAUAAACAAUCUAAUUUAAAUGAAUCAUCGUAUGUGUUGAUUAGGAUUUGGGUCUCUCUGGUUUUUCAGGCUGUCAAUUGAUUAAAUCCUAUGAUCGUAUCUAGGGUUGUCCAUUGAUUAGGGAAAUAACCAACGGUCGUACCUUGGUUAUCGAUUAGUUAAGGAGAGAUUGGCUAUUAGAGGGUCUCAAUAGCUAUAACCGGUCUAUUCAUAAGUAAUAAUAAUCUAUAUUUGAAUAAAUGAUCAGUAGUCGAAUCAAGCUGAGUUAAUUCCUUCAACCAGAGCUUUCUCCAAUUUGAAUUACAACUUUAAUUUGCAUUCUUGUUAUUUCAAUUUGAUUUUUAUUAUUGUCAACAAUUCCCCCAUUUUACGUUUUACGUUUCAAAAGGAUUUAAAUAAUUACCGAUCUCUGUGGACACGACCCUGCUCAAUCACUAUACACAAUUUAUUUAGAGUAGGAAUUUAUUUUUGUUGGCUUCGACAACCAUCAGGAAUCAAAGAACUUGAAUAUUUGAAUGCAUUCAAAGAACUUCAAUGUUUGACUAUAAUGCAACAACUUCAAAAUUUGGCUCAUCUUUGAUAUUGAAUAGAUGAGCGAGUCUAUUCAAUAAGGUAACAUUUUUCAAGAUUCAAUUAAAUCCCAUUGCUUUUUUUCCGAGGAUGUUCAUGAGAUCUUUGAAAGUUGGAAUCAAACAUAGAUCAAGUUCUCAAUCUAAAAGGACAAAGCACAAAAAAUUAAACAACUUGUGAAAUCUCCCAGUGUUGUCUUAAAUGUCUCCAUAAAAAACAUGGUCGGCCAACUUUGCUCCAUCACCAUCACGCCAGCUCGCUAUGCCACGAGACACCCCCAGCUUCAUCACCAUCAUGUCACGCGAACCACAACUCCUCCACCAUUGUACCGUCUGAUCUCAUCAGUGCACAACACUGUUUCAUUGCCGCCGUGCCUCUUCUUCAUUGUCCUGUCAUCAAGCUGAAGGUUUGACUCUCAGUUUGUACUUGAUUACUGAAUUUGGGUUGGACUUUUAAAUUAAGGAUUGAUUGAAUUGGUUGGUGGAUGGGGUUUUUUUUUUUUUUUAUCAGUAAACUUUGUUGAAUCAGUGCUAGAAUUAAUAAUUUUCUGUUUCUUUUGUUGGAAACUAUUAUGAAAGGAAAAUGAGUUUUCGUCUCUUAUCUUGCCUCGAUAUUUGGCUAUCGGAAGAAAUUUUAUUUGAACUUAUUUCCUUUGUUGGGCUACGAGGACGCAGAGGCCCAAAAUUGCUAGUUGCUUGAUAAUUUUGGGAUAAAGAUGAAUCUUGAAAAAUGUGCGAGGAUUAUAUCAUGUGCCAAAUGGAUUCAUGGUUUGUGUGUUCAUGGGUUAUUGGAAAAGGAAACAACCGUUACUCACAAGAAAAAUGCCCUAGACAAAUGGGAUUAUGUUAUGGUAUGAGCAGAAGCAACAUAAGUGUGAGUUGAAAAUUGUCCAAAACUUAAUUAAAUCAUCCAAAGCAAAAUGUGUAAUGAUGAGGGGUUUGGGUUUUGCUUGUUUGAGUGUUGAAGAGAUCAUUAUUGCGGCUCUUCUGGGAGACAGCGAAAGCAUUUGCUUCCUAAUUCGAGCUUUUUAUUACUAUUACUAUUAUUAUUAUUCUUUAUUUCUCAUAGCAGUAACCAGUCUGAUUCAUCAGAUAUAAAUCUACUGUUAUCAUCAUGAUGAUCGUAACACACAUCUCUCAUUUAUUUCUUCUUGUGGAAAAGAAAACUCAUCUGCCCAUCACUCGCAUUUAGCAUGUUUUGCAAGAAAACAUGGCAAUGCAAAACAUUACCACUGCCUCACGUUAACUUUGCUUGCUUUGUUACUCACAAGAUUACAAAAAGGAUUCUUCUCUUUCACUUUUUGGUAUUUGAAAUUUUGAAGUAUAAAUGUUUAUUAAAUAUUUUAUUGUUUUCGGAGAGUAAUUUAUUUCCACUUGUCUUUCAUCUAUAUAUAUGUAUAUAAUGUGUGUGUGAACACUCUUAAGCAUUUGGAAAAUUUACGAAAAUAACCAUUAAUAUUUUAUUAUUUUCGCAAUUAACCCUGUCAACUUUUUUCUAUCAACAUUAGUCAAACACAAGCCUUUCUUCCCAAAUUACCCUUCUUUACAGAACAAAACCAACAUCGUUUCUCCCAUAUCGCCAAACCAAAAGUAGCUUUUCACUCUUGAAUCAUCAGCCAACGGCGACCGCAAAAGACAACGGUAAAAGUGAUAUCCGAUCAUAAUCUAUCCGGAUCCAACACAAAUCGACAUCACUUAGUGGUAUGAAUUAUUUUCUGAACUUAUUGAACUGAUUCGGGUGAAUCUGAAUCUGGCGACAGGCUGUCUGUCGCAGCAAAACUUGGUGCGAAUGGUUGGUGCGACAGGCACCUGUCGCACCAAGCAAGGUGCGACAGGCACCCUGUCGCACCAAGGUUCGACAGGCACCCUGUCGCACCAAGGUUCGGGCGACAGGUUGCCUGUCGCACCCACCCUGGAGAUUCAUUAAAACUGUAUUAUUUUAAUAGGACUCAAAUAAAUUUUUUUUUAUAAUUUCAGGGUUAAUGGAUUUAAUUGUACUUGAAUUGUGUUACGAUGGUUGGUGGGAGACAUUAGAGAAUGGCCGUAUGGAGUACGUGAAUGGUAAAAAUCGAGCUUUUUUUGUUGGAAAAAAUUAUCUGUUUGAUCAGUUAUUGGCAAGAGUAUACGAGGUGUUACAAAUAAACCCUAAUGACUAUAGUAUCACAAUGAAGACAACUUUGAGAUCUAGUAACACAUUAUAUCGUAUAUGUGCAAUGCCCAUGGAUAUAUGUGAUGAUGAAAUGGUGAGGGUUGUAUUGCAUAUGGCAUAUGACGUAGCUAAUUUUGGAUGCAUUCCUAUAUUCGUGACCACAUCACCUCGAGUUCCGAGUGAAGGUAUUGAGCCACAUGUCGAUACAGAAACUUCGUUUAGAGCAAAUAUGUCUGGCCCCGAUAAUGAUGAAGAGGUGUUGCCAAGGACAAUAUCGCUGCAGCAAUAUUACUCUCCAAUCCACAACAAUUAUGACAACAUUGAUGAUAAUGGUGUUACGUUACAGGAUGUUGGAGCAACGGUAUUUCCAAUAACAACGUCGUUGGAGCAACGAUAUUCUCCGUAUCACAACAAUGAUUUUCGGGACAAUGAUGAUUUUCAUAAUGAGACAGAGGGGGAUAAUGUUUGUGCAGAACCUUCUAAUAAUACGAGGCGGGGCACUCGUUUCAAUAAUGAUGGUGAUGAUGGAGGAGCCGGUCCUUCGAAUGUUCCGUCGUUUCAGCAUGAGGAUGAGGGUGAAGACAAUACUCCUGUGAAUAACAGAGGCAAUAGAUCUAUUCCUUCUAUGGUUCGAUCGAGAAGGAGAAUUGACCCCCUUACAAGUCUUGCUCUAACUUUGCCUUCGAACAUGGUUGCUCCAAGCUUUGUUAGCAGUUGUGACUCAGAUGAUAUCAGCGUGGGUAAGCUAUUUGCUGAGAAGAAUGAGCUUAUAUUACAACUACGCAAGGUGGCCUUUAGAGAUAAGUUUGAUUUCAAGAUUGCACGGUCUACUACGACACGUUUUGAGGCUCACUGUUGUUUAGAAUCAUGUAAAUGGCGUAUUCGAGCAACUAGAAGUUCGAACGAGCAAAAUGUUCCUUGGGUGGUGAAGAGAAUUGAUAAUGUACACACUUGUCAUAAUGAGGUAUUGGUUGAUGGACGUCAUCAAGUAAAGAGCCGGGUUGUCGGUCAUAUUAUCACAGAAAAAUAUAUUCAAGAUAAGAGGAUUUAUACUCCCAAUGACAUAAGAGCAUAUAUGCAACAGGAAUACGGUGUUCAGUUAACAUACCAGCAGGCAUAUAGGGCGAGAGAAGUUGGUCUUGAAAUAGUUCGCGGCAACCCUGCAGAGUCAUACAACUUGCUCCCUAAAUACUCUCACGUACUAACUAUAGCGAAUGAGGGUACAGUCACUCACCUCGAGCAGGAUGGAGAUGGUAAUUUCUUGUACUGUUUUGUAGCACUCGGAUCUUCCAUCAAGGGGUUUAUGCAGUACAUUCGGCCUGUCAUUGCUGUAGAUGGUACUCAUCUGAAGGGACUAUAUCGUGGAAGCAUGUUCGUGGCAACAUGUCUUGAUGGUAACAAUCAAUUGUAUUUGUUAGCCAUUGGGAUCAUGGAUUCAGAAAACAAUGAUGCUUGGGAAUGGUUUAUGCUGAAGUUACACGGAGUGAUUGGUGAUAAACCUGAGUUGGUAAUUAUCUCUGAUCGAUGCACUACCAUAAGGAGAGCCGUUCUUAAAGUAUUUCACAAUGCAACUCAUGGCGUUUGUUUUUACCACGUCAAAGGUAACAUUAAGUCACAAUUUAGAAUGUCCAAAGCUCUUUGGGAAGAAUUUGAGCCUGCCUUUAUUAAUGCAGCAAAAGCAUAUGGCCACGAGGAAUUUAAGAGACAACUUGAAGGGUUGUGGAUGAUCCACUCAGGUGCGGCUGAUUACCUAGAAAAUAAUGUCGGUACGUGUAAUUGGGCAAGGUCUCAGUUUGAAGGUAGGAGGUACAGCAUUCUUACCACUAACAUCGUGGAGAGUGUUAAUGCUUUCAUGAGGGAACCUCGAAAAUUUCCUGUUACUCAUCUUAUUGAUCACUUUAGGAAAAUAUUGCAGCAAUGGUUUUAUGAUAGAAAAAUUGUGGCUGAAUCAAUGACUACUCGGCUAACAACAUGGGCGGAUGAAAUAGUCACUGAGAGGAGAACUAUAGCUGAAAGAAUGAUAGUUCGGCCGGUGUCGCCGCAUCGCUUUCAAGUUAUAGGCGGUGGGCUUAAGGAAGGGUUGGUUGACUUGCAAAAGAGAACUUGCUCCUACAGAGUGUUUCAGCUUGAUCAGCUUGUGUGUGCUCAUGCAAUUGCGGCGUGUCUAACACACCGGGUGGAUUUUAUUAACCUUUGCUCGGACUUUUACACUACAGAAUCGUUGGUGAUGGCUUAUGCACAACCAGUGGAGCCAGUUGGUGAUGUGGCUGAUUGGGAAGUUCCAGAUGAAAUUCAGGAGAUGCAAGUAUACCCACCAGUUGAGGCACCACCACCUGGCCGUCGUAAAGAGCUCAGAAUACCCUCAGUUGGCGAGGACGUUGACCGGCGGACUGUAAGAUGCGGCCGGUGUCAUGAACUAGGCCAUAAUCGUAAGCGAUGUAAGAAUCCUAUUGCGUCGACUCGAAGUUAGUUGUAUUUUGUGUGUUAUUCGUUGGUUAAAACUAUUAUUGUUUUUUGUGUAUUGUACACUUAUAUUUCAUAAAACUUUAUUUUAUUUUAAAGUUCAAAAUGUGAGGCAUUAAAAUUAUAUAAACUUAAGUGUUCAAAUUAAAAAAAAAUUCAAAUUUCAACAUUAAAAUUACUACAUAGGUCUACAAUAUAAUAUCGUCAUUAAAUAUAUCAACCGCAAUCUUCUUUCUAAAAUACUCGACAUGACUAGCGUUAAACUCCAAUCUAAGCCCGAACAUUAAAUACAUCGUAACCAUCAAUACAAAAACACCGCAAUCGCCAGUUCCGGGCUCUUAUUGCGACGCGCUCUUAACUGCGAUAACUUUCCAUGGGUCUUCACUCCGCAACUCAGGUCGGAUAUUGUAGAAGCCAACAUAUUCCAACCAUCGAGGGAAUAUAACUUCAAGUGGCUUGAAUUUCAACUUGUACCUUUUGUUGUCGCGAAAUGUGAGUAAUGAGUCAUAAAUCCAGACUUUAUUUUUCCGAAAGUCAACUCGUGCUAGUACCCAAUGCGCGCCGUCCAAGUUAACAGGGAUGAGUAACUGCAUAUAAAAAUUGUUCAAAAUGUUUGUUAUAUAUGCAAUUGAAAUACAACAAAGAAAAAGCAACAACUCGAAUAUUUUCAUUAUAGAGCAUGUGAAAUGUAAUAAAAUACAUACCAUAUCGACAUCCGUCAUUGAUUUGGACAUUGUGUGCUGUCGCCCACAAAGAUAACUAUUCAAGCGGUCGUCGAAUACCAAUGAUUCGACCGCACAAUCCCCGUUAUUCCAUAACUGAUUCAAGAACACCUAGUAUAUAGAUAACCAAGAAAUGCAUAAAUUAACAAAACUUAAAGGCAAUAAUUAAAAAAAAUUAAAUAGUAUUUAUAAGUUUUGUCGGCACGUUAUCCAAAAAAAUGUAUCAGUAUGUGUGACACGUUGGAGUAAGGCAUUUGGAUACUGCCGUUAUUUCUCGCUAAUCAAGCGGAGAUACUCGUGAAUAUGCUGUAGAGAAACAGAAAUAUUACGAUUUAAAAGAAAAUUUUUAUACACAAAUCCACAACACUAAAAAAACUUCGAAAAUAUAAAUACCUCAUCGCCUAGCCAUCCCAUCGAAGCUGUACCCAAAAUUAUUUGAAAGAAUGACCGCGGGUGCUGGACUCUCCGGCGGACUCUGAUAUCACCAGUGAACCAUCGAUCAAACUCAGCAAACAGACUAGAGUCCUCCAAUCCUCUCAGUGGAUUUACAUCCACACUCGUACUCAUGUCAAUCGCAUGCUCCAUGAUUUGGGGUCGAGGUAAAGGCCGGACGUUCUGUCCUCGCCUGACCGGAGGAAUCAUGUAAGGACUGUUAUAAACAUACGAUGGUAUGUACGCGCGGCCGAACUUACUAACGCCCGGAGGCACCUCUGUGAACACCUGCACGCUCUCCCCACUAACAUCCCCGUACAAACUAUACAAUGACGUAGGCGUAGACAAAUUUUCAUUGCCCACGUCAGUAUACACUCCAUAGUCAUCCGGGGCCUGUACAUUCGCCAAAAAGAACAUAUUAAAUAACUAUCAAAUUAAAAGUUAAACGAACAUAAUUAUUAAAUUUAAAUUAGCUUACCGCAUACGAGCGUGCAGUGGGAGAAUCCUUAUUUGGACGUUUAGAAAAUGUGUCGAUGAAGCCAACAACGGUUUCUUUAAAAUCUUUUAAUUCUGACUUUAUUUCAUACACGUUACGAUCAAUCUUAUCCAGCCGUCGUUGUACGUAAUCAUUAAACUGCUUUGUCCUCGACUAUUACAAAAGAAAAAAAUAAAACUUUAGAAUAACAAUAAAAAAAUAAUAAUUGAUAAAGGAAAAUAUCGUAUAUUAUUUCUAACCUCAGAAUCCCGUGCGUCAUCAAAGUUGUCUGUUUGCUGCUGGUGGUCAUCAACAGCCACCUCAUCCUCAAAAGUGUCAUGACCCACCUCAUCCUCAAAAGUGUCAUGACGCUGCUCUGGUAUUGGGUUUGGUAUGUCGUCAUGAUCGUCAUGCUCGUCUGAUUGCCUUGUAACCGACGGCAUCGCGUUGAUUGAGGGUUGGUGCUGUAUAAAGUAUCAUUUAAAAUUAGUAAAUGAAAAGUCAAAAAUUUCGAUUAACAAAUUUUUAGUACUUAGAGUAUACCGACCUUAUGAACCCAGUCUGGAAUGCUUGGCAAGUAAUCCUUCACAGAGAGCCAAUAUUUUCUGCUACUCUCCUUUGAAUUUGGCUCAAGAGUUUGUAAAACGUCCCCCUGCCAUAAAUUCAAUUGAAAAUUUUAAGUAAGUAUACAUAACUUAAAUUUAGUAAAGUUAAAAAAAUAAGUAAUACAUAUUACUUACAAGACGAGAUUUGUCGUUGAAGAACGAAUAAACCUCCGCAAAGUUGAUUCUCGAAGACGCCAUGGGCUUCCAUUGCAGAAUGCGGGGAAUCUUAUUCUUCGUUUUGACGACCCAUGUUGAUGGCAACCCUCCGAUUGCUUCGUAAAUCCAAGCCUACAACAACCAAAGUGAAAAAUCAAAUAAAACAACUAUCAAAUAUUUAAUACUAUAAAACUUAUUAAUAAACAAAAAAAAAAGCACCUGAACCCUAGACGUAAAGCCGUAAAGAUUAUAUUUUUCAAUAUUAUGAUCUGGAUUUUUCAACCGAGUCUUCUUAAAUUUCUCGUCUUUCUCGAACAGUGCAUUGUCAAGACUCUCGUAAAUCAUUUCCCACGACAAUAGACCCCAUGGACGCUUUCGGAAGUACUGUAUAUCAUCAACUUGGUCAAGCUAAUCGAAAUUAAUUUGACAGUGAUUUUUUCUUGCAUUUAGUACUCUGUCCGCAAAAUAAAACAGCGCAAUCUUUAAUGCGUCCAUAUCGUCCAUUUCCUCGAAUUUCAACUCCUUAAAUACUGCAUCGAAUUGCUUCACAUUAAUCUUACGAUGCACACCACCAAAAUAUGUAUUCCGUAGCCUCUGCUCCAUUUCAUCAUUUUUUUUAUUGGUAUCAACACCAAAUGAAAGUCCAGUAACCAAGCACCAUUCGACAAUUGACAAGCGAAUCAAAUGCUUACCAAUUUGAAACCAUAACUGAUCCUCACGGCUAUCUUCUUCAUAGGCCACUUGCCGCAGUAAAAGAUUGUGCAAAAUUACCCCACUAAAUGGAAAACUUCGACACUCCAAGAAAUGCCCAAAUAUAUCCUUUUUGAACAUAAUCAACUGCCGCUUUGUUAAUUUUUCCUCGAUGGCUUUUACGACCGAAGAUAACAUACACAUGCUCGAAAUUCGACCAGGAAAGUGAUCAGCAUAACGAAAAUACAUCUUGCCUACUUCAAUAUCCGAUGAUUCUGAUUUCGCCAUGUAUCUGUAAUAUUUAUAAAAUUAAUACAUUACAUUUACAAAAAAAAAAAACUCGGUAAAAAAAAAAACUCUAAUUUUUUGUGCGACCGGCGCACCUGUCGCACCAAACCUGGUGCGACAGCAAGCCUCUCGCACCAAUCUGGUGCGAGAGCGCGCCUGUCGCACCAGAUUUGGUGCGACAGCGUGCCGCGCAUGGGCGCGCGCGCGCCCUGCCCCCUCCCUCCCCACCCCCAAAAUUAAGCACAAUCACUCCAAAAUCGAAAACAAUACUCCCAAACACCACCAACCACCACAAACAUCAUCACCACCACUAUUAAUCUCAAGCUAUAACUAUUAUUAUUCUAAAAUCUCAUUUUAAAUUAAUGAAAAUAAGAAAAAUGACUAACCUAGGUUUUGUUGAAGGUUGUAGAUUGUAGAUCGGAUGCCGGUGAGAGAUGGAGCCGCCGCCGACGAGGGUUGAUGUCGCCGCCGAUGAUGGGAGUUGGAUCGGUUUGUGAGAGAUGAGUGAAAGGGAGUGUUGGGGGAGAGAUGAGGGAGGGGUAUUUUGGUCUCAAAUGUUGUUUUAUGGCUAAUGUUGGUAGAAAUAUUUUUGGGGGGUUAAGAUGAAAAAAAGGGAAAUUUUUUUUGUUAUUACUGUAAAUUUCCCUAAGCAUUUUGGUUAGUAUAUAAUAUAACGUUAGAUUAACUGAGGAAAAAAUUGAAGGUAGAAGGUACUCAGUCACUAGGUCAGUUAAGUAUGCAAUUGUUUGGAUCACACAUUAUAGACCAUAGACGUCAACAAAAGUGAUUAUUAGAUAUUGAUGUUUAUAUUGUCUUGUCCUAAUAAGACUGAUCUUAAUAACGCUCGAUAAAAAGUCAAUUAAUGAUCCAUUUGAGAUUCAAGUGUUACGAAAUGUCACUGAACUAAAAAUAAUGGUUAGUAAAAGUUGGAAUCAAAGAACUGCCCUCAUCCAUCGAGUGCCUAUCUAAUCUGAAAAAACUAUAUAUUGUGGACUGUUCAAAGCUUGAGAGCAUCUCAAGUAGCAUAUUUAAGUUGAAGUCUCUUCAAUCUAUUGAAAUCUCUAAUUGUUCAAUUUUGAAGAGGUUUCUAGAGAUCCCGUCUUGUAAUAUAGAUGGAGGUAUUGGAAUUGAGCGACUAGCCUCAUGUAAGUUGGUACUGGAAAAAUGUUUAAGUCUUCAGAGUCUCCCUAGCAGCCUGUGUAUGUUCAAAUCUCUGACAUCUCUUGAAAUCAUUGAUUGCCAAAAUUUCAAGAUAUUGCCUUAUGAACUUGGAAAUUUAAAAGCCUUGGAGACGUUGAUCGUUGAUGGAACUCUUAUAAGAGAAGUACCGGAAAGCCUUGGUCAAUUAUCCUCACUAAAAAUUUUGGUACUAACUAAUAACGGUUUGAAGAGAUUACCAGAAAGCCUCAAUCAGUUAUCCUCACUAAAACGUUUGGUACUGUCUGAUAACCCUUUGAAGAUAUUACCAAAAAUCCUCAAUCAGUUAUCCUCACAAGAAUAUUUGGAACUGUCUGAUAACUAUUUGGAGAGAUUAAAAAAAAUCCUCUCGGAGCAGCAAAUAUCACUAGAAUAUUUGCUCCGAUCCGGAACGAGUAUCGAGGGAAUACCAGAAUACCUGAGGAGUCUUCCAAGUAAGUUGACAUCACUCAAUUUAUCUGUUGAGUUGAGAAAUUGUUUGCAAUUAGACCCGAAUGAGCUCAUUGAAAUCUUUAAAGAUGAGUGACUUAAAAUUCUUAUGAAUUGCUUAAGUAUGCAAGCAGAGCAGAAAACAAACAAUCUUUGUAUAUUAUGAUAUAACAUGAAUAAUAAUAGAUAUACACAUCCUUCACAUAUUUAUACUAAACGUGAAAAAUGGUAGCUUGCUCAAAGGGAAACAGAAAUGAAUAAGACAAAAGAUUACAGCUGCACUAGCCAAUCAUUGAAACAUUCUAGAAACUCCAGCUUGCAGUAUUCACGUGUAAAUAUUCCCCUGCAUAACAGUUUUGCCAGCUCAUUGAAGACACCUCAGCUUCUUCAUCAGCUGGCUGCUGGAUAUGGCUGCUCAGGUGGCAUGCCAACAUGGCCUUGGGGUCAACUGUUGACUCAUCUUCAUAAUCUGAAUUCUCAACAGAGUGGAUGAAGCAGGUGUGUCUCUUAACUCACUCCUUUCAUUCUAUUCUCUUUUUCUUUUUUCUUUAAUUCAAGCUAUCAUUACUUUUCAUAAAUUAAUAAUUUUUUAUUUUUGUGUUGCAGUCGUUUGAUGGUAACAUUGGGAUCGCUAAAAGUAUGUAUUUCCCUGGGAAUGAAAUUCCAAAGUGGUUUAGGUAUCAAAGUAUGGGAUCUUAUGUAACCUUGAAGACGCCACCAGCAGAUUUCUUCAAUAAUAAAAUAUUAGUAGGCUUUGCUUUUUGCAUUGUUGUAGCAUUUCCAGCCUCAGAGUACUUUGAGCAUCAAAUCCCAAGGACAUCUCGACCGUCGUUCUUUGGGAAUUAUGACGUGUACUGUGAUUGGAAACACAAAUCACAGUACACGAUUUGGGAAUUAUUGCUCUCUGUUGGGUGCAUGAUUUGGAUAUUCUUAUUAUACGCUAAUAUAAUAGCAAGGUAAAUCUUGUUUCUAUUAAUUGAUGAAGUUACUGGCUGACUUAUGAAACAGGUACAUGUUCUGGUUGAGGUAGUUUCUGGUGCUUCAAAUGCUACACCAAGCCUAGAAGAUAUCCUUUGCUUAAGAGAAAGGCGUGGCUCUUAUGAUUAUGUCACAAAAUAUUUGUGUACGUAAACGCAAUGAUUUGACUUGUACGUGGUUCAAAACUUCAAAUUUCCUUUUCUUUGUCACAAUAGUUGAUUGUUUGGAAAUGAGGCAGAGCACGCUAGUGAUACUGAACAGUGUCAUUUUCCAUUAGUUCAAGAUUGUUGGGAUGAAUGGUUCGAUCAAAACUGCUAAAUGGUUGCUAAGAUCUUUUCUCAAUGUCCUCCAAAAUCUGUUUGCUUUUACUGGAAUGGAAAUACAGUGCCAAGAGGAGGAGGUGAAGACACGAUCUUCGAAGAAAGAAAAUGAGGCAGAGCAAGCUAGCGAUAUUGGACAGGGUAUACAUGCAGGGGCACGACGGCAUUCUUAUUUCUCUCUCCAUCAAUUCUUAUUAAGGAGCCGAAGGGAUGUAUUUUAUUUCAUAGAUUUACUUCUUCAUUGAAUAUUUUGCUACUAUACCAAUGAUGCAACUUUUUGUAAUAUAUCUGAGUUGAAAUGAUGCUAGAGCUUGAGGCGAUCUUUUUUUUUUGGCCUUUUUGACAGUUCAAUUGGUGACUCUAAUAACUCCGUUGAUUGUCUUAGAUAUUUUUGGUGCAUAUAUGGUUGCAUUUUCUUCCUGAAAUUCUUGCUUAGAAGAUAGACAACAAGAUUUCAAUGCAGCAAGGGCAAGAUUUCAAGAUUUUCUUCCGCAAAUUCUUCCAUAUUGUCUUGCUUUCCUUGAAACUCUUUAGUAUCAAGAGCUGACCUUACUUCGUUUGGAGACAAUGCGUGCCUCCUAUACAUCAAAGCAUCGACAAAAUGCUCAUAGGACUUGGGAAGAGUGUGAAUUAAAAGAAGACCUUUAUCCUAAUCAUUUAAUGCCUCAUUAAUGGUCUCCAAAGUAUCACGUACUUCGUUAAAUUCUUCAAGAUGAUCAUCAACAGAUGAGCCUUCAACCAUCUUCAACGUAAACAUCCUCUCCUUGAUGUAAAGUCUGCUUGAAAUAGACUUUCCAACUUGGUCCACAAGUCAGGAACUGUCGUUUCUUUGGCCACCUCUCUUAUCUUGAGUCUGCAAGGCUCAAGAUUAUUGUGCCUCUAGCCUUUUUAUCAAUCUCUAAUUAAAUGUUCUCUAAUCAAAUAUGGCGCGCACGAGUUAGUAAAAGCAUGUGGCACGCACGUGAGUCAACAAGAUUGGUUCCAAUUUCCAAACAAUGUCCUCUGGCUGUCAGUUCUUCGGAUUAGCUUCCUGUAUGCGUUGUCGUCCAUUUCCAAAUAAUAUACGUCAGCUAAUUCCAAAACCACAUACGACAUUGUCUGUCGCUCUGUUUUGAGAUCACAGAUUCAACUUUUCAGUGUUAUAAAAUUUUGGAAAUGAUACGUCUUUGUCUUUCCAUGGAACAUAAUAUACAAAAGGAUUUUUGAAUGUGUUGCGUCGUGUUAUAAUUGGACGCUCUUUCAAUAGGUAGAAUCAUUCAUUAUUUGACAGCUGGGCUACACCAAAAAGCAAGAGGAAAAACAUUUUCAAUAUUCUUUAGUGAAUUACUAUUUUGGUAUUUAUAUAUAUAUAUUCCGUUGUCACAUUCAAUUAUUUUCAUCUGAUCAGUCUCUUGUCCAUUAAUUAGGGAUUUCAUUAUUUUUCAUCAAUUGAAUCUUUAAAAUGCAAUUGCUCAGAUGAACAUUAGUUAAUUUAAUUCGCCCAGUUCUGAUUUUCGUUAAAUUAAUAUAGUUUUUGAGUGUUAUAUGAGAGAUGAAUUUACAAAUCUUUAUGUCUGUGUAAAGAAAAUUUUCAGUCAAAAUCUCUGAACAAUUUUUCUAGAAGAAUACCACUUCCAUGAAAAAUUUGUUUUUUAUUUCCUCUUCAAACGUAAAGUUUGCGUCACAUACAUUAGUCGAUCGGUCUUCAACUAACCUUUUUUUUUUUAAAUAAAAAAAAUGAAUGGUUCUCAAUUAGCUUAGUAAAGUAGACAAUGAGAUGAAACUACCGCGAAAUUAACUACAAGUGACGGGAGUAUGUAAAGCAUCUAUAUAUCCCACGCGCAUUUCAUUCAAUUAAUUAAUUAUCAUCACUAUCCUAUCAAAUGGAAGGUUCAAAGAAAGUAUUUGUUAGAGUUUUUUUUUUUUUUUUUUUAGUUUAAUCGUUCGAAAUGAUUAAAAGGUAGACGACUAUUCGCGAAAGUUGAGGUAUAUAUUGAUGAGCUACCAACGUUUGUUUGUAUUCUUAUAUUACCAACGUAUUUUGGUCAACUUUGCUAGCAUCUAAUAGAAAAUCUAUGUAAAAUUUAUAUAAAAAAAAUUGAAAAUUACUUAUACAAUUUUGAUCUUACAAAUUUAUAAAAGCUAAAUAAAUAGGUUAGCACGUAUAGGUAUUAAGACAACUUUUGAUUUUACAGCAUGUACUUAAAUAAAGAAAGUCUUUGAUGUUCUGGUAGCAUUGCACCUUAUCCAUUCAUUACUUAUUACAUAAUUAAAAAAAAAAAAAAGGCAAAUAUUUCGGGCACUGUAGCAGUUCUCCAUAAUUAAUGUCUACUUCGAGUUUAACUCAACGACCACUCAAAGCAGCUUCAUACGAAGUUAAUAAUUGGAUGGACUUGAAAAAGGAAUGUUCAAAAAAGUAGUCAAAGGAUUUAUACUUUUCAUAUUUUUUUUUUAAAUUUAUUUUAGCUGUCAUCAAUUAUUUGUUUCUUCAAUUGAAACUGAGAUGAAACUGCAACGAAACUUCCUGGAAUUAAGGUUCGAAGCAAGCAUAUCUGUAUACACUCUGCACUGACAUUCAUCUAUUUUCACAUCUACCAAUUUUUCGGAUCAAUUGAACUACUUCUGUUAUGGCUUCUUCUUCUUCUUCUUCUUUAUCUCCUCGAAACAUUAACAAGUAUGAUGUUUUUCUUAGUUUCAGAGGAGAGGACACCCGUGACAACUUUACCAGCCAUCUUUAUUCUGCUUUGUCGCUAAAAAGUAUUCAAACUUUCAUUGAUGACCAACUUAAUAGAGGAGAUGAAAUUUCACAGUCUCUUGUGUAUGCAAUUGAAAAUUCAGCCAUUUCACUCAUCAUUUUCUCUGAAGGGUAUGCCUCUUCCAGAUGGUGUCUCGAUGAACUUGUGAAAAUCCUCCAAUGCAAAAGAGAGUAUGCACAGAUUGUGAUUCCAGUUUUUUAUCGCGUUGAUCCAUCGGACGUGAGAAACCAAACAGGUCCUUUUGGGGAUUCAUUUUCAAAGCUUGAAGAAAGAUUUAAGGAGAAUUCCGAGAAGCUGAAGAGUUGGAGGAAUGCUUUGAAGGAGGCGGCCAGUUUUUCUGGCUUUGAUUCUCAGAACUUUAGGUAAUUAAAGUUCUUUCCUCAUACCAUAAUGAUGAUGCCACAUAAAGUUAUUUUCUGCUCAAUUAAUUACCAGCACUCCUGAUAGUUAUAGUGAUAUUUUUUGUCAAAUAUGCUGAAUUAUAUACUUCAAUUUUAUUAGGUAUCCUAAUGCUUUUCGCAAGUGAUUUGUGGUAUUGAUCUUUGAUAGUGACAAUUGGUGUGUUGAAUUCUGUACGUGAACAACUUGUAGAUUUUUCGAAAUUUAAAUUCUUUUAAAAGAAUUUUGAAGGAUUAAUAAAAACGGUAUUUAUGUGUUUUCAUUGGGUGUCCUGUCAUAUUUUAAGUAGUUUCAAUAUGUCACUCAUAUUCUUGAAAUUUAAGAGUUAUUGAUUCAUACUUGGUGCAAAUCCAUCCUAUUUGAUUUUACUGCUAUUUAACAUAUUUGUUAGGCUUGAAUCGGAACUUAUAAAGAAAGCUGUUCAUCACAUUUUGAAGAGACUGGCUGAAAUGUCUCCACGUAACUACAAAAACCAGUUGGUUGGAGUAGAAUCAAGAGUUAAGGAAAUUGAAUCUCUAUUAGGUGCUGAGUCAAAAUAUGUUUACACUUUAGGGAUUUGGGGCUUCGGUGGUAUGGGGAAGACAACAAUUGCUCGAGCUAUUUUCGAUAAAAUCUCUAGUAACUUUGAAGGUUCUUGCUUCCUUCAAAAUGUUAGAGAAGAAUCACAAAGACCGGGAGGAUUAGCUUAUUUGCGACAAGAACUUUUUUCAAAAUUAUUAAAGGAAGAAGAUGUGAUUCUUGAUAUUGACCUAAACUUUAGAAGGCUCAGCAGCAGGAAGGUUUUGAUUGUUUUUGAUGAUGUGACUUGCUUCAACCAAGUAGAAUCCUUAAUUAGAAGUCUCGAUUGGUUCAUGCCUGAGAGUCAAAUCAUUAUAACCACAAGAGAUAAACAAAUUCUUAGGAAUUGGGGAGUGAAAAAAAUAUAUGAGAUGAAGGCAUUAAUGUUUAAUCAUGCCCUUGAGCUUUUUAGUCGACAUGCAUUCAGACAAAACUAUCCGCAUGUGGGUUAUGAGGAACUAUCAAGGAAGGUAAUGGAAUAUGCUCAAGGUGUUCCUUUAGCUCUUAAAGUUUUGGGCUGCUUUCUAUUUGAAAGGGAAAAAGAAGUAUGGGAAGAUGCAAUAAACAAAUUGAGAAGGAUUCUCCAUCCUAGUAUCCAAGAGGUACUAAAAUUAAGUUAUGAUGGUCUGGAUGAUAAAGAAAAAAACAUUUUCCUAGAUGUUGCUUGUUUCUUAAAUGGUGAGGAUAUAUAUUCGGUUAUGAAGUUCCUUGAUACAAGUGGCUUCUACCCAGAAAUUGGUAUUAGUGUUCUUAUUGAUAAGUCUCUCAUUGCUGUUUCGUGCAACAAGAUAACAAUGCAUGAUUUGCUACAAGGAUUGGGUAGGGAAAUUGUUCAGCAAGAAUCAAUUAAUCGUGGAAACCGUAGUCGAUUAUGGCAUCACGAGGAUAUCUAUGAAGUUCUUACACAUAAUAUGGUAAGCAUUUUGUUGGGAUUAUUAUUUCUGAAUUAUCUUGCAUUUACUAAGUUGAUAUUGUACAUAUAUUUAUAUACGCUGAAACUAAAGAAUCAUAGAAUAUAUAGAAAAGUGACAAUGAUUUAAAAAAAAAAAGUUUUUAGAUCAUGUAAUGUAGCAUUAAUAAAUAAUAAAUACCAUGCCAACAUUUAUAUUAUCUUUUGUACGAAUAUAAAAUUUAUAUGUCACUUUUGUAUAGCAAACAUACAUAGUUUAUAUGUUUGGUGUUACUUGUAUGAUUACCCUUUUUUUGUAGGUUUGCAAUAACGAGUUUGGCCGCCUAACAAUAAUUACCAACUUGCGUUACAGAAUUGUAUCCGAAUUAAGUAUUUAAACUAAGCAAACUUAGUACUAUUGUUACGUAAUUUUGAUUUUAACUUUAUGGUCUUUCAUUGGUUAUAAGGGGACUGAAAAAAUUGAGGGCAUCUGCUUGGAUAUGUCUAAAGUGAAGGAGAUCCAUAUAAAUUCCAAUACUUUCACAAAGAUGUGUAGAUUGAGAUUUUUGAAAUUUUAUAGCUCAAUUGAAGGAGAGAACAAAUGUAAGGUGUCUGAUUUCCAAGGCCCUGGAUUUGCUGAAGUGAGGUAUCUUCACUGGCAUAGAUAUCCAUUGAAAUCAUUACCAUCGAAUAUUCAGCCAGAGAAGCUUGUUUUACUUGAAAUGCCUCAUAGCAAUAUUCAACAACUCUGGGAUGGUGUCCAGGCAUGUAUAUCUUUAUAUAUAUAUUCAUGUUUCAGUGAUAAUGUUAUAACUAUGAUCAUACAUGCUAAUAUUUUUCUCUGCCUCUUUUUUCGAGAGCAGCAUCAUGGUAAGCUAAAGCAGAUAAUCAGUGUUGUCUGUAAUAUUUUUACCAACACUCCAAAGCCCUUGCUGAUUCCACAUCUGGACAUGCUAGUUAUCUUGAAUCUAAGCGGUUGCUCAAAGCUGAAGAGGCUUCCAGAUAUCUCAUCAGCUGGUAAUAUGCAAAAGAUAUUUUUAAAUGGAACUGCAAUAGAAGAAUUGCCUUCAUCGAUCGAGUGUCUACGUGGGCUUUUGGGCUUAUACCUUGAAGACUGUAAAAGUCUCAAGAGUCUCCCAAACAGCCUAUGUAACUUAAAAUCUCUUGCAUAUCUUAACCUCAAUGGUUGCUCAAAUCUUCAGAGAUUGCCUGAAAGUCUUGGUCAGUUAUCCUCACUAGUUGAAUUGUAUCUGGAGAAAAACAAUUUGGAGAGAAUACCAGAAAGCAUUGUACACCUUUCCAAGUUGAAAUUUCUCUUCUUAAGGUAUUCUCAGAGGCUUCAAUCCUUACCAAAGCUUCCAUGCAGUCUAUUUAAGUUGGAUGCCCAUCGUUGCAUGGCACUGGAAUCAUUGUCAGGUUUAUUCUCAAGUUACGAAUCUUAUCGGCAAAAUUUUGACCUGAGCGAUAAUUUUAAAUUGAACCAGAAUCAGCUCAGAGGAAUUGUCGAAGAUGCUAUGCUAGAAAUUCAGAUUAUGGCGACUACUCGCUGGAAAGAAGAAGAAGAGCAAAAUGUCUGUGCGUGUGGUUAUUUAUUUUUAAAAAAAAAAUCUGCACAAGGCUUUUUUUUUGGUUCUUUAAUAACUUUAAAUAAAAAUUAACAUUAUUUUUUUAAUUACUAUUUUGGUGAUGCAGAGAUAUUUCCCAUCAUGUGAUGGUCUCGUCAUUUUACCUGGGAAUGAAAUUCCAACGUGGUUUCGGUUUCAAAGUAUGGGAUCUUCUAUUACCUUGCCACCAGGUUGCUUGAGUAAUAAAAAAUUACUCAGCUUUGCUUUUAGCGCUAUUGUAGCAUUCCCACACCAUCAUUUCACGGAAAGGAAGUUUCUAUUGUUCGGUGAAUUCAAAGUCAAAUCCUACAUAAAAAAGAAAAAAGAAAAAAAUCAAUAUUUCGAUCCUCUUGUCGUAAAGAUUUCUUUGGGAGUUGUUAACUUUGUAGAUUCAGAUCACUUACUUUUGGGUUACUAUUCCACUAUACCUCUUACCAUCAUACAUCCUCAUGAUUGGGAAUACAAUAUCGUUCCUGAGGCAGUCCGGUUCGGUGUUGAGAAAGCUACAGGUUCCGAAUCGUUGGAGAUAGAGUGCAAGUGUUGCGGGAUGAGAAAAUGGGGGAUCCAUUUUUUUUGAAGAGGAGGAACCAGACCCAAAAGUCUGAAAUAUUUGUAAUUGUAAUUUUAUUGUUUUUCUUUUGCCUGCCACUAUUAAAUUUUUUUUACUGAAAAACACCUCAGCAAAAUGAGGGAAACAAUUAUUCAAAUAUUAAGGAUUGCCUCAAACUUAUAUUAUUAGUCUAACAACUAUUCUCAACCAAUGUGGAAUAAUAUUUUCAAUACAAUUUAUAUGAUUCCUCGUAGGAGGUAUCUUAAUUCUUCAUUAUCGUCAGGAUUUCCUGAAGUUGUUCAUUCCUGUAAUCUCGGCGGUUGCUGGUUACUUGGAAAUGGAUCUAAAGUCGAAGCCGACAAGCCUUGUUAAUUAUUUUGGGUAAUCGCUAUUAAUAUGCUACUGCACAACCUUUUAUCAUUACUAAUAGGAAAUGUCAAUAUGAGUUGUUGGGGACAAAAUUCAUUUAUUCACGUGGCUAGUAUAAUUUCACAUUUAAAGAUACAAUAGCCACUGAUUAUUAAGACAAAUCAAAUGAACGGUAUAAAUGUAUAAUAUACUUAGCAACACUGUGAUAUUGCUUGGCAUCCUAGUUCCUGCACAUUGCUGAAUCUCUCAAAUCGGUGUGUUAUUUUUUCUAUUAAUUAAUAGAGGCAGAGCAACCGAAAAGUUGAACAGGGUCAUGAGGUCCUUUUCCUGAUGUAAUUGGAGUACGACCAGUAUUAAUAUCAGCUGCGGCUAACAAAUGCAUGUUUAGUGAAUGAAGCCCUGCUUAACCACACUCCAUUGGUACCAUCACCACUUGGUUUAAAAUUCACUUUAUUAGAAUCAUUAGAAGAGAAUGUUUAUGUACACAGGAUUGUAGCCCCUGAAUGACAGGAUUUUGAGGCGCCCCCAUGUCAUGUCAAAACAAUAUAAUGAAAGUGUUUUCAAAUCCAUUAAUCAAACUCUUCUAUUCAAUAUUAUUUUCUUUGCAUUUUUUUCAAUCCUCCCCUCAUUUUUGGACGAGAUAUAGAUGUAUUUGCUUUGUAUCGGUUAUGGUUAUGUACAUACUUUUAGACUAUGAUGGCACUGUAUCAUUUUGAAAUAUUUUCUCCUUUGUUUGGCUCAAUUUUUGUAAAAGUAUCUGUGGAAUUAGUCGUAAUUUCAUCUAAAAUAGUUAUAGCAAACUUGAUUUAUGGCCAUUAUGAAUUGUCCUUUACAAAGGACAGAUUCACAUGCUUUCAAACAGAAAUCCUCAUGACCUCUAGAGGAUUCUGAUCAAAUGCUGAUUCAUCCAACACGUCAUCACAAUUUCUUAUUUAUGCCACAAUACUGUCUGAUGCACACGAGUCGUCUUCACGACAGAGCUUUGGAUAUGAGGGGUUCAUUGAGGCAUUUUGUCGAGCACUCUGUCCAUUCUAUCAAACACCCUGCAUUGUCUAUCAUUUUCCAACAAUCUUAAUGUCCAUUCCCUGGAAUGUAAAUUCCAUGUUCAAAUUUCAUGGUAUUGCUGUUUUCCUACUAAUGAUGUUCAUAGAAAUGAUACUUUCUCCUCCCCCCAUUGAAAAUAUGCCUUAAAUAGAAUGUCCGGAUGAAUUAUACGUAAUGCACUUUUACCUCGGCAUUAUCAAAUGAGAUUACUUACCCAAUCGGUCAAUUACGUUGGACUUAUGGCUCUUUAUGAUUUGGAAAAAUUCCUGUAAGUGGAGGGAUGCAUUUUAUUUCAUAUAUUUAUUUCUCUAUUGAAGAUUCUGCUAUUUUACCAAAAAUACAAUUUUUUGAACUAUUUCCGAGUUGGUAUGAUCUAGGGCUUGGGGCAAUUAGUUUUUUUUUACUGUUCAAUUGGUGUCUCAUUAUAUAAAUUUUUUUUUUUUGUCUAAGAUAUUUAAUGAAGCAAGGCUGGUAGGGCAACACCGAAAUUACUUUAUAAGUUUUCCUUCCGCAUUAUUUGUUUGAAUUUUAUUUUAUUUUUGUUUUCAAUGCCCAAGUUUGCAUGAGAACAAUCCGGCGCAUUUUUUUUGUCACCACUCAUCUUUUAACAAUAAAUAAAUAAAAAGCCUAGAACAAUCUUUGCCAAUCAUAUAUUUUUUAGGGAAAUUGUGGUCAGGAAUCGACUUUCAUAUAUUUUUUAGGGAAAUUAUCUUUGUACUGUCUUUAUUUUGUCAUAUAUACAUCUAAUCACUGUAAAAUUUUGACAUAUUCUUUACACCACUUUUGUUUCUCAACUUGUAUCGGUCAACCACUUUAAUAUUAAAAAUGACUAUUUUACCCCUAAAUAAAUUAAAAUAUUAUUUUAUUCUUUAAAAUUUUGAAAAAUAAAAAUAUAAUUACAAGAAUACCCCUAAAUUAAUAAAACAAAUAAAUCUCAAAAUCUAAGAUGUUAAUGUUUUAUAAUUAUAAUUUCAUUUAAUUUUUGUAAGUAAAUUAAGUAUGGCAAAGUUUACAAAAAUUAACAUGAAGAAAAAAGUACCUUAUAAUGAUUGUAAACUUCCCUAUAAUUAAAAUUAACAAAUUUUUCUAUACAAAUUGAAGAUUCUGCUGUAAGAAUAACUAGUUUUGAAGUCCAACAAAAAUACACUCACUAGUUGUGUUCUUGGAAUAUCGGCUUACAAAGUAGGACUUGUUACAAAUAUAACAUAUACAAUCACCAACAUAUAGGUUUUCUAUUAACCAUCAGCUGCAGAUACAAAACUUCCAAACCCAUAAUUAGAUAGUGUUAUACAUGAUCAUAUUAGUCAAGGAUUUGUGACAAAUGUCAAAUAACCAAAGUUUAGAUAUAAGCAAUAAAAUGAAAAUAUUAUUAAAAUAGUUGUAAAGCUUACCUAUUGAAGGAAAAUUACAGCAAGAAACAAUCACAAUAUAUUCAAGUUGGAGUUGGAUUGCACUUGGAGUGGUGAUACUUGACCCUCUCAUUAUAUUUCACUAGCCCUUGUUUUUUAGUUAACCCUAUUAAAAAUUUUAAACUAAUCUUUAUCUCUCAACAUACCCCAUCUUAUAUCGAAUUUACCCUUAUUAUAAUUUUUAUCUUUUUUCCAAAACAUUGUAUAAAACUUAUAAAAUCUAUUUUAAAAAGAAAAAAAAUUUAGAGUUACUAUAAUCUCUCUCUUUCUUUUUAAAAGUUUUAUUCACCGUGACCAUAACUGUAAAAAAAAAAAUUGAGUUUUGUUCAUCAUCCUCUAUUGAGUAUUGUAAAUUAACUUCUUUCACGAUUACAAAAAUAGAGUAUACAAUAGUUGAGAAGAGACAAUAAUUUAAAAAAGUUAAAAUAAAUUAAGGUUAAAGAAAUUAGAUUAGCUAAAUUAGACAUUAAUAGAAAUUAUCAUGUGAGUGCACUUAAAAACUAUUUAUCCUUUUAAGUUAUUUUAUAUAAGGAUAAAAUAGUUAUUAAUAUAAAAGUGAUUAGUGAAGGUUGGUGAGAUAUAAUGAGGGAGUCAAAUAUGACAACUCCUGCACUUAAAGAGCAUCCAAGCACACAAAUAAUAAUAAUAAUAAUACUAGUUAUGUUGUUUCCCAUAGCUUUUAUAAGUUUUCCUGGCCCAAGCAUCCCCUCAUUGUUGCUUAAUUCAUUUCGGCCCUUUUAACCCUUCAAGUUAUUUGAGCCUACUGAGCCCACUCCAGCUUCAAUCACCAUUUCAUUUUCCCGCCUGUGUUUUGUACUCCAGACACAUAUGGGUGCUUUAUUGCACUUUAAGAAAUUAGAUUAGUUAAAUUAGAUAUUAAUAGAAAUUAUUAUGUGGGUGUAUUUUAAAAGUUAUUUAUCCUUUUAAGUCAUUUUAUAUAAGGAUAAAAUAAUUAUUAGUAUAAAAAUAAUUUGUAGAGGCUGAUGAGAUAUAAAGAGGGAGUUAAAUAUGACAGCUCUUGCACUUAAAGAGCAUCCAUCCAAGCACACCCAAAAAAAAUAAAUACUAGUAAUGUUUUUCCCGUAGUUUUUAUAAGUUUUCCUGGCCCAAGCAUCCCUUCCUUCUACUUUUCAAUUAACUUUAGAAAAGUAGACAUAUCACAAAAUUGAACACCUAGUGAAAAGAGUGUAGUAAUUAGUAAAGCACCCAUAUGUGUAUAUAUGGCUCCCACGCACAUUUCAGUCAAUUGAUUAAUUAUCUUCGCAUUCCGCAUCAUUGUAACCCAGUGUAAAGAGAAAAAUCAAUUUCUCCAUGCUUUUUUUUUUUUUUUUUUGCAGUGAGAGAGUUGUUUUCUCUUUUUUUUUUUCAUUUUAUUAAAAAAAAUUUGUUUAAUCCUCUAUUCUUUUGUUUGUCGGUAAUUUUUUAACCCAAUAAGUUUAAAAAUUUUCCACAUAAAGUGCUUGUGUAUAAUUUUAUCUUCAAUAUUUUUUCAAAUUUCACUAUAAUUAUUGCAUGUCAUAAUUCCCUAACAAACACAAAAUUCCUCUGCAGCUAAUAUAAGGCAGCUUCUGAGAAAUUAUUGGGCGUACUUCAAAAAGGAAAAAGAAAUUAAAUUUUGAAAUUUUGUUUCAAAAUAAUUUUCACAGAUAUUUAUCAUAAAUCUUUUUUUCUAAGUCUUCUAAUUCCAACUCACAGUCAGCAAGUUAAACUGUCAUUCUAGGCAUCGUCAUUGAAAUUACUGAAUCUUUAAUUCGAAGAGGGUGUUUGUGUACUUAGGAUUUUAUAGUUCCUGGACGUCAGGAUUUUAUGGCUUUCCUCAUGCCAAAAUAAUGAAUUCAAAGUGUAUUUGAUCAUUCCCUUUUUAUCAUAUUCUUUAUUCUUUAUUUUGUUUUUGUUUUCACGGACGAGAUAGGGACUCAGCUAUCUUGCAACAGUUGCAAGGUACCAUCAAAUUUUGUCUUUUCUUAAUUUCAGUCCUUUGCCAUUAGAUUUAGUGAAAAUAUAGUUUCAAUAGUAGAGAUUUGUACAUUUAAAUAUUAACAUUACACUUUCUGAUAUUUAUUAAAAGCACAAACAAGUUAAAAAUGUAAAAGUUUUAGCACAUAAGUCUGGAUUGUUUACAAUUUAUAUUGUUUAAUUAGUAGUGAGUAUUAAAAAUAAAUUUUAUUUUUAAUAUUAUAUAUUUUAUUUAAAAGAAUAAAUUUUUAUUAUUAUUUAUUUUAUUAAAAAUAAAUGUUAUUUAAUAUUAUUUAUUCUAUUUUAUUUAAUAUUAUUUAGUCAUAUGCUUAUUAUUAUCUUUAUUCUCUCAAAAAACUAAAUAACAUAAAAUAAAAUAAAAUAAUCAAUAGGGAGCCUUAAAAAUAAAUAUUAUUUUAAUAUUUUUAUUUUUGUUUAUUUAAUAUUAUUUAAUCAUAGGCUUAUUAUUAUAUAUUUAUUUUUUAAAAAAUAAAUAAUAUUAAAUAAAAUAAAAUAAUCAGUAGUGAGCCUUAAAAAUAGAUAUCAUUUUUAAUAUUAUUUAAUUUUAUUUUAUUUAAUAUUAUUUAGUCAUAGGCUUAUUAUUAUAUUUAUUCUUUCAUAAAACUAAAUCAUGUUAAAUAAAAUAAAAUAAUCAGUAAUGAGUGUUAAAAGAUUAAUAUUAUUUUUAUUUAGUCAUAGGCUUUUAAUUAUAUUUAUUCUUUAAAAAACUGAAUAAUAUUAAAAAAUAAUAGUGUCUUAAAAAAUAUCAUUUUUAAUAUUAUUUAUUUUAUUUACUUUAAUAUUAUUUAGUCAUAGACUUAUUAUUAUAUUUAUUCUUUUUUAAAGAGAUAAAUAAUGUUAAAUAAAAUAAAAUUACAUUUUAGAAAGUUACUAGCCAAAGUAUAUAAACUUAUAAAUAAAUGAAAAAAAUAAUAUUAAAUAAAAUAAAAUUACAUUUUAAAGAGGUGCUAUUUCGUAGAGAUAAGAUGCUCGAUUCAGUAUGUUCCAUCAAACAAUUGCUCCACCAUUUGGCAUUUUUGUAGAUAAGCUAUCUUAAUCUGAUUAUUUUGUAGAUAAACUUCAAUGUACAAAACUCAGUCGUUUUGCAGCCGUUUGAUUAACCAUCAACAACUUGUAAUCCUGUGACAGUUUGAAACCAGAACAUAAUUAGUAUAAGCACAUAAAUUUUAGGAUCGAUUUAGACAUGGUAUGGUUUGAGUAUUUCUAACACUUCCUAGUGAUGCAUCUAUAGGAGUUUCUUUUAGAAAAUAUAUCAUUAAAUUGGCCAUCUUGACCAUUGACCAUCGUCUGAUUAUUAUUAUUUUUUAUCUCGCUUACCACGUUGAUAGUGCGGCAUUUUGGGUACUACAAAAAGCACAACGACGAUUAAAGAGCUGCUUCAAAUAAUUCAUCUUUCACUUUUGUUGGGUGAAGUGCCGCUUAACUACUUCAUGAUCCCCCCAGCACUUGAAGAGGGUACGUGUUUGUGUACUUAAGAGUUAAGACUAUCUAUAGUUUCUAUUUGUUGGGACUGUACGGUCUGCCCUAUUAAGCUUGCAUGGAACUUAACGUCGUAUUGCUAUAGUGUCACAAUAUAUACACGUUACAGCUAGCGAAAAUAACGAAGGAGAUAAUAAGUAAUACACUCCUUAACAUGAUGAACUACUGCACUUCUAAACAUAAUGAAAUACAACCAACUAAGAACGUGAAGAUCACGUUCAGCUAUUACGCCCCCGCAAGAGAGGUAUACCGUCGAGAACACCGAGCUUGGACCGUGCAUGCUCAAGGGGAAGCCGGGGAAGCGGCUUGGUUAAGAUAUCAGCGAGCUGAUGCUCCGAAGGAACAUGAGCAAUAGACAGCAAACCUUGCGCAAUCUUAUCACGAACAAAGUAAAAGUCAAUUUCCACAUGCUUCAUACGAGAGUGAUAUCUAGGAUUUGUGCAAACAUGAGUGGCACCAAGAUUGUCACAGAGCAGCUUGGGCAUAGGGGUCCGAAUACCAAGUUCGGAGAACAAGUGUCGAAGCCAACAAAGCUCAGAAACGGUAGCAGCAAUGGCGCGAAACUCGGCUUCAGUAGAGGAACGUGCCACAGACUUUUGCUUCUUCGAAGACCAGGAAAUGAGAUUGCCACCAAGGAAGAUAGCGUAAGCACUCGUAGAGCUGCGAUCAUCAAGAUUGCCCCCCCAGUCAGAAUCACUAUAAGCAGCAAGUAUAGAGGAUGAAGACUGACGAAGAAAAAGGCCAUGAAAAAUUGUAGCUUUCAAGUAGCGGAGAAUGCGCUUGGCAGCCUGCCAAUGCAACUGAGAGGGACUUUGCAUGAACUGAGAUAGUUUGUUGACCGCAAAGCAGAUGUCAGGACGAGUGAGAGUGAGAUAUUGCAAGGCACCAAGAAGCUGACGAUAAGACGUACCAUCAGCAGAGACAGAACCAUCGGUUUGUUGAAGACCAACGGUGGCAGACAGAGGAGUGGCAAUAGGUUUAGCAUCAGUCAUGCCAAACCGGUCCAAGAGAGAACGAACAUAGUGAUGCUGAGAGAGAAACACACCAGAAGGAGUGCGAAGCAACUCAAGCCCGAGAAAAUGAUGCAGAGAGCCAAGGUCCUUGAGAGCAAAAGUGGAAGCAAGACGAUGAAUGAAGUGCUGAAUAACCCGGCCAUGAGAACCAGUAAUAAUUAAGUCAUCCACAUAGACAAGGAAAUAAAUACGAUGACCAUCACGGUGAUAAAGAAAAAGAGAAGCAUCAGUCCUGCUUUGGUGGAAUCCAUAGGACAGCAAAAAUUUGUACAGAGUAAUAAACCAUGCCCGAGGCGCCUGCUUAAGGCCAUACAGGGACUUACGUAGCCUGCAGACAAAGGAAGGCUGGUUAGAGUCAAUAAAACCAGGCGGCUGCUUCAUGUAAACCUCCUCAUCAAGAGAACCAUUGAGGAAGGCGUUAUUGAUAUCCAACUGACGAAUCGGCCAACCAAAUUGCAAGGCUAAACAAAGAAUAACACGAACAGUAGUGGUCUUGACAACAGGGCUGAAAGUAUCGUGGUAGUCGAGACCAGGACGCUGAGUAAAGCCCUUAGCAACCAGCCGCGCUUUAUACCUGUCAACAGAACCAUUGGGGUGGCGUUUGACACGAAACACCCACUUACAACCAACCAAAUUUUGAGAAGGUACAGGAGGAACAAGAUCCCAAGUAUGAUUAGAAAUAAGAGCAUUAUAUUCAAUACGCAUGGCCUGAAGCCAUUGCGGGUCGGCAAGGGCAGCCUUAAUACUAGUUGGUUCAACAGUAGAGGGCAGCGGAUGUGUGGAAAUAAUAGGAGCGAGGGUAGUGUGGUCAAGCUGUUUUGGUUUAUAAAUGUUAUUGCGUGACCGGGUUAUCAUUGGAUGGGUUCGGGUCGGCAGUGGAGGUGGAGGUGUUGGUGGUGAUGGUGAUGGGGCUGUUGGUGACAACGGGAAAGUAGAUGGGGCCGGUGAUGAAAGAUUAGAAAUGGGAGAUGAGGGAGUUAGUACUGGUGCAUGGACAUGGGGAGGUAAAGAGUCAUAAGUAUGAGGGUUAUGAAUAAUACCCGAAGUAGAGGUGGAAGAGGCCGGUGAAGAAUCGGAGCUAGCAGGAAGCGAAUCCGAAGUUGCAAGACGGGAACCACCAGGAGAAGAGGAGUGAGCCGACAGAACCGGGACGGAAAAAAUGGAUGGAAACCAGGAGGUGAGUGAAACAGAGGAGGGAGAGGCAGUGGAUGUGAGAGAUUGAUAGGGAAAUUGAGACUCAAUAAAUUGAACAUCACGGGAAACAUAAAUCUUACCAGACUGAACAUCUAAACACUUGUAUGCACUUUGUUGUAGGCAAUAACCGAGAAACACACAAGGCUUGGACUUGGGCUCUAGUUUGUUGCGCGUAUAUGGGCGUAACCAUGGGAAACAGAGACACCCAAAUACACGUAGUUUGUCAUAAUUAGGAUGGGCAUCAAAUAAGAGCUGGAACGGACAGGUCAUGUAUGUAGUUUUGGAUGGUAGACGAUUAAUUAAGUAGGUGGCGGUUUGAAACGCAAACGUCCAAAAGCUAGGAGGUAGUGAGGCUUGAUGCAGUAACGCCAACCCCGUCUCAACAAUAUGUCGAUGACGACGUUCGGCGACUCCAUUAUGUUGUGGUGUGUAGGGUGGUGUAAACAAGUGAUUAAUGCCCGUCUGUUGAAAAAAUGAAGUGAGUUUGAGGAACUCACCACCACCGUCGGUGUAAAUAUUACGAAUAGUAGUACGAAAAUAAUUUUCAACAAGUGUUUUAAAACGAACAAAUGUAGAGAAAACAUCAGAUUUUAGUCGUAACGGAAAAAAACCAGACAUACUUAGUAAAAUGAUCAACGAAAAUCACAUAGUACUUAUAAUUAUCAAAGGAAGUAACAGGGGCAGGACCCCAAACAUCAGAAUAUAUUAAAUCCAAGGGACGAGUACUACAUAAAGAAGAUUUGCCAAAAGGGAGCCGAUGGCUCUUAUUGCAUAAACAAGACUCACAAGACUCAAAAUCCAAGUGCGAAGACAAAUUGAAAGUACGAAGAACAAAUUUCAAAAUAUCCCUAGACGGAUGGCCUAGACGUUGAUGCCAAUGAGCGGCAUUAGUUUUUAUUGUAGCAUUUGAAGUGGGCAAGGCUGGUACGGGGAAAGAAGAAGCUGCCGGCCACUCAUAGACACCCUGAUUAUUCCGGCCUUGCAAGAGGACCGCCCCCGUGCUCAAAUCCUUCACCUGAAAAUGAUCAUGAAAGAAUUCAAUGAAGGCUUUAUUAACAUUGCAAAAUUGAGACACAGAGAUUAAAUUUCUGUUGAUAGUCGGAACAUAAAGAAUAUUUUGCAAAUAAAAUUUUGAGCUAGAGGUACAUAAGGAAGUUGAGCCAGUGUGAGAUAUACCAAGACCCAUGCCAUUACCAACAAUGACGGAAUCAGAACCAUGGUAAGGACUAUGAGUGCUCAAAUUUCGGAGAUCUCCUGUAACAUGAUGUGAGGCGGCACUGUCGACUAACCAAUUGGGGUUGGAUGUGCCUGUGGUUGCUGUGUGGUUCAUAGUCGGACUGUUUUUGUGGGAGGUAAAAUCUGGACAAUCUCGUGCUGUAUGACCCUUGGUACCGCAAAGUUGACAGUAGCCCUGGUACCCGGUGGGCUGCUUCUUUUGAUAUCCUCCAUUGUUGCGAUACUGGCCUUGUGGGUUGCGAUUCUGAGACUGGUAAUUUCUGUUGUUGUUGCCAUUUUGAUUUGGAUACCCACGGUUAGAACCAUUAUUAAAUCCCGGAUUGCUGUCUCUUCUCUGGUUCUGAUAAGGGCCACGGUUUGUUGUUUGUUGUUUGACUGCGGCAUUGACAGUGAUAGCCGUGUCCAUGGAUUUUUCCUCUCGCUUCAACAUAUCUUCGUAAUCUACAAGCUUUUCAUACAGCUCAUCAAAGGAAAGUGGUGUCUCACGGAUCCGAACACCAGCAAUAAUUUCUUUGAAAUCUUUUCCUACGCCAUUAAUAAUUUGUAUAACGAGAUCAUCAUCUGUAACAGGAACAUCAAUCAAAGUAAUUUCAUCAGAAAUAGAACGUAAGUUAUUUAAAUAUUCGGCAACAGGUUGUCCAUCACGACGAGGUCGUGCAAGUCGUUCUCUAAGAGAGAUGACGCGACUACGGCUACGAUUGGAGUAUAGCCGUGCAAGCUUAUCCCACGCUUGUUUGGAUGUUGUGGAACUAGCUAUGAGUGGGGCAACUCUUUCGGUGCAGGAGGCUAGGAUGGAAUGAAAGAUCAACUGAUCUUGGCGUUUCCAUAAGGUAUAGGCUGUGUUGAUGGUAGGCGGACCAUUACUGCUGCCAGUUUCAUACGGAGAAGGGCACUCAGAUGUGCCAUCAAUGUAACAUGUCAGAUUGUAGCCAAAAGCUAAAGAGAGGAAUUGCGCUCUCCAUGUAAAAUAAUUUUCAGGUGUAAGCCGUAUAGGCAAUUGGGCAGCGGCGUUGAUUGAAACACAAUCAUUAGCUUGGUUAUUUGAUGAGUGGGGACUUUGGUUGGCUGGUGAGGUAGAGGAGAUGGCUGAGGGUUCGGCAGCCAUGGUGAAAGAAAAGAAAAAAGAAGGAUCGAUUUACUCUUGUUAGAGAGAGAAAGAGGGCUCUGAUACCAUAUUAAGCUUGCAUGGAACUUAACGUCGUAUUGCUAUAGUGUCACAAUAUAUACACGUUACAGCUAGCGAAAAUAACGAAGGAGAUAAUAAGUAAUACACUCCUUAACAUGAUGAACUACUGCACUUCUAAACAUAAUGAAAUACAACCAACUAAGAACGUGAAGAUCACGUUCAGCUAUUUGCCCUUCUGUCAUAACAAUGGAUUCAAAGUGUAUUUGAAUUCCACUUAUCAUAUUAAUUAUUCUGUUUAUUAUUUUGUUUUUGCUUUUUCGUUUUCAUUUUUCAUUAUACAUACAUACAUACAUACAUACAUACAUACAUAUAUAUAUGAAUUUUUACAAAAGAUGAUUUUGUCUUUGUAAUGUAAGUUUAACAAAGGUUAUAUUUGUUGAUUUAUACAUAUAAUAGAUUGUUUCAAUCUCCUAACAAGAGGAACAAAAGUAAUUACAAAUGAUUUGUCAAAUUUUGUUAAGUUACAAAAUAGUAUAUUAUACACUCAAAUCUAACAUCAAAUACAUAGCAAACAACAACUUCAAAAGCAAAAUCCCUAGAAGCAACUCCCAUAUCUUCAUCAACCAACGGCUUCAAAAGCAUCCCAUGAUUUUUGUUAAUAAUUCAUAGUUUCAUGACUGCAUAUUUUUAUUGAGUGAAGCCUUGCUUAAAAAACCCAUUCCACGAUCCCAGUCCCACCACGCACUUUGUAUAAAAUUCAAUUUAUUAGAAUAAUUAGAAUCAUUAGAAGAGGAAAUAUGUUUGUGUACUUUGGACUACAUAUGGUUCCUGAACGUUGGGAUUUUACGUGUGCCCCUUGCCUCCAUGUCAAAACAAUAUAUUUAAUUAAAGUGCAUUUGAAAUCCAUUAAGCAUAUUCUUCUAAUCUUCUCUUCAUUAUUUUGUUUUUGUAUAUGUUUGAUCAGUUCUGGUCGGUUAUAUAUACACAUGUACCAUUUGGAAAUAUCACAUUUUAUUCCCCAAUGCGAUAUAUUUUCUUCUCCAUUGAAGGUUCUCUGAAUGCUAUUAACCAAAAAAUGCAACAUUCUGUUCUGUUUAUGAAUUGGGAUUAUUUGCUUCUGGCUGUCACUGACUCAUUGAACAUUAGCAAUAUAGCAUUAGGUAGUGCCAGCUCUUUUCUUUUUUGUCUUUGUCUUCUCUAGUUCGAGCUACAAAUCCAUGUUCCGAUGAAUUCCUUUUCCAUCUCCUCUCCAUUGUUUGGCUUCAAUAUUUUGGAUUUGAAGUAAAUUUUCCGCAUAUUUAUUUUGCAUCAACCUUAACAUUGUAUGUGAAAAAAUUCUGCAUAUUUAUUUUGUCCUGCAGAGACGAUUUUUUGAAACUCACAUACAAUAACAUAAGGCAGCUUCAAAGAAAUUACUGGGUGGAGUUCAAAAUGAGAAAAGAAAUUAAAUUUUAUUGGACCACCGUCAUGAAAUUUUAAAUUUUUUGGACCACAAUCCGCCUUUGUCUUUUCAUGUGAUUGCAAGCUACUCGAUGACAUUGAUUGAUCAUUGACACACGCACACGGAUAAGUCAGUGUUUACGGGGAAAGAUAAUAUAUAUAUAUAUAUAUAUUCCACUAUUAAAAUAGGGAAUAUAAAUAUUGAAAUAUUUAUCUUACAAUCCAAAUUCUUAAUACAAUCAAGUUCUCAGAUCACUCGAGAACAUUUUAGUUAUCUCAGUUACUAAAGAAUUGCAUUUUAGUUAUCUCAGUUACUAAAGCUUGCUUCUCAUAAAACACACGUUAAGUUUUCAAAUUGUUGGAGAACUUUUCUCUCACUGGCUCAUGAAUUUUGCAUCCAAUUUAUAAACAAAUCUAGAUUUCAAAUGUAAAAUUAUGAUUUUUUGUCCUUCACAUCCAGCAUCCAAGAAGGCUCAAGGAAAGUAAGUAAUCGUGAGUAUGAAUCUAUUAAAAAAUAUGCUCUGAGAUUAAUUGUUCUUUUAGAUUAAUUGGUCUUUUAUUUUAUUUUUAUUUUUAUUAUUUUCUUUAGUGACGGUGGCGAAUAUUAUUUACGCCUUUUUUUAUUAUUAAUUUUUAGCUAUCAUUCCCUAUUUCUUUCCUUUGGAAAAACGCUGUUCAACAAUAACCAUAAAGCUGCAAUUUAAGGCCCUACUCUUCAGCAAAAUUAUUGUGGAGGGUGCAGAAAUAGUAAUAGAGUGUUUUAGUCUAUUCAGUGUGCAAAUAACCCAAUGUUAUAAGAGUUAUGAAUAUAUGUUGUAUGUAUUUGUAAUAUUUUUGUUUUGGGCGGGGGUUAUAUUAAUUUAAGAAUUUAACUUAAAUCUAGACAUCAAAAUAUGACCAUUUAUUUCGUUCAAUCAAUUAACACACGAGGAUUGUUUGUUGAUUGGAGAGGCUAAAACUGAGUGGGAAAGUAAAGCAACAGAGGAAUAGAAAAGAUCUAUGACAAAGAUCGAUGAACAGAAGUGGAGAGGAACAACAGUGGGCAUGAUCUAAUAUUGAAUUACAAAUAUGUUGGCCUUACGGAAUAUGUCGUUGACAAAAUUAUGGAGUAUUGAUUUCUUGGGGAUGAAUAUGAUUUGUGAGAAUGGGGAUGAAUUUUGUUUCCCCCAAUUUAGGUUAGGAAUUGCUAUUACUAGUAUAAUCGUUGAGGAAUGAGGAAAAAGAGUCGGUAUUCUCUCUCUUCCUUUAUUAAGUUUUAAUAUGUCAUCUAUGUUUUUUGUUUUCUGAAUCUUAUUUUAUUAAAGUUUUACUAUCACAUAAUCAAUCAUCUCAUACCUUAGAAUGAAUUAAAUAAAUUUUAAAGUUUUGAUGCUUAGAUUACAAUCAUAUUCUUAAGUUAAAAUAUCCCCUCCCGUUUGUUUUUUAUCUAAAAAAAGAAAAAAAAACAUUGGUACUAAAAAAUAAAUAAUCUUAUUUUUACUGAAAAUACAAUAUUUUUAGUCUUCUAAUUUGUUUAUUUUAAAAGUAACUCAUUCACUGCUUUGCAAAAUCAAAAUCUCCUGUGGCAAUGAAUUGAUUUUACAAGAAGUAAUUUUAAUAGUUUUUACCAACCAUUUAAAUUCAUCAUUAGCUUCUCAAUAUCACUUUUGAAAAUCCCAACAACAAUCUCAAAUUGGUCAAUAAAUUACUUCAUUUUCUAAAUAGUAAACAUAAAAUGAUGGAAAUAAUUUUUAUAUCAUGAAAGUAAAAAUAAUUUUAUUAUUUGUAUCAAAUUAAUAUUAUUUAGAUAUAUUUAUAUUUAAUUAUUAUGUUAUUAAAUUAUCAAAUAAUAAAAAUAAUAUUUUUAUUCACAAUAAGACAAAUUUAGAGAAAAAUUAGAUGGUGUUUGCUAGGAAAACUUAAGAAGGAAAUUAAUAUGGAACUGUCCCACCACUUGGGAUUCUUUCACGGAGCGUUUCAGUGGAUCUCAUUGAAUUUUAUUUUGAAAAAUCAAUUGAUAAUACUGGGAUGGUAUAGCCUGAUAAUACUCUGAGCGGUCCCUUCAACCUUUUUAGUUGUCGUACACGAAUUAUUUCUUCACUUGAAAUAAAAGUCAACAAAGCUGCAUCUUCACUGAAAUUAUUGUCCACAGUGCUUCCUGGAAAAUGAGAUAAAGAUAAUUUUGAAGAAACUUUUAGGAAGAUUCCAAGCAUUAAUAAUUAUUUAUAUUUACUUAUAAUAAAUUACUUUUAAUAAUAAUAAUUUAUAUCAUGAGUAUUUCUAUUAUAAAAUUUUUAUAUGAAUGUAAGUGCAUAAAAUAAUUGUUUAGAGUGUAAAUAAUCUCGUCUAAUUGAUAAUCCUCGCUAAUCAAAUACAAUUUGUUAAUAGGGCACGAGUCACUGCCCCCCUUGAGAAUUGAGCACAGAAGCAUUUACUAUUUUCUAUGGUGGAUUGUUGGGAAAUUUACACCCUUUCCACAUUUUUCCCUGGAAGGUUCCAAGCAUCGUUUUACUCUGCACAGACACUGCAGUCACCAACGUUUGCUCGAGAAAAAUACGCCGAAUUUUCCGGGAAAUUUUUUGCUUUUUCUCUUCAAAAGUAAAGUUUGGGGACAGAAAUGUUAAAGGUUUAAAGGUGGGUACAAUUAUUCUUCUUGUUGUUAUUUACGCAUUGCCUUCCAUUCACAUUAGUCGGUCUUCAAUUAAUUUUAGAUAAGGAAAUGAAACUACCACAAAAUUAACUCCAAGUGAGGGACUACUGAAGCAGCCAUAUAUUCCACGCGCAUUUUAUUCAUUUAAUUAACUUAUGAUCACAUCCCACAUCAUAUUAUUAUUGUAUCAACUUGCACGGUCGUAACAAUUAACAGAAAUUUUCAUUAAAAUUAUUACAUUAAUUUUAAAAUAGAAAUAAGAAAAAAAAAUCUUAAUACUGAAAAAACAUAAGAUGAAAUCGUGUGUCAUUUGUCACGAGUCAAACUUUUGAGAAAAAUACACGAAUGAAUGUGGCGCGUAAAAGGUGUUGAUGUACUAUCAACAUUUUCAUUUUAUUUUUAUUUAACUUCCAUAUAUUUUUUUUAUAAGCUGUCAUCAAUUAUUUGUUUCUUGCUCUGCGCGUGCACGACAAGACCUACUAUUUGCACCCUUUUAACCCUUUUAGUUGUCAUGCACUAUUUUCCUUCUUCACUUGAAAUGAAACAGUCGGUAAAGCUGCAUCUUCAGUCGAAUGUAAACUUUUUAAGAAAAUAAACAUGUUAGCAACCAAUCAGGGGCAUGAAAAUGGUUGUACAUAUAUAUAUUUGCUGACAAUUCCUCUUUGAAAUUAAUCGUCUUUUAUAUUAUCUUUCAAAAUAUAAUAUAUCUGAUCACAUGGAUUAAUUUAGAGGAUAUAUAAUUUCAAUGAAAGACUACUAAUCGAGGGCAGUUUCGAUUCUGAUUGAAUGGUAGAUGUAUAUAUGAGCAUCAUUCUAAUCAUUAAAUUGCUAAAAUUAGGAAGUUAACUUCGAUCCAACAAUUAACUUUAAUGGAGCAGCAGGGAGUUGUUUUCUUGUUUAAUUGUUUUGUUUAUGUUAGAGUUAUUUUAUUAAUAAAAAAUUGGGUUAUUAUCAUUUCACUAUUUUAAAAAUUGUGAAAUAUCAAAUGACUACAACAAGUAUUGUCUCUUAUCAAUUUUCUAUUAUAUCUUUAUAAAAAUAUCAUUUUACUACUUUUUUGUUAUAACCAUUAGUUGACCAAUUAAUUGACUAACAAAAUACCAAUUUUCACCCUUCAUGAUUAAAAAAAAAUACUUAAAACUUAUUUACAAAAUAAAUUUGUAAUAUAUUUAUUCAAAUGAAUAUAAAAUACGGGAAAAGGACAAACACACCCCUAACGUUUAAGCAAAGGGACAAAAACUCCCCUAAUGUUUCAAAAAAGACAUUUACACCCAAAUUUAUUAUAAUUUUACUAUUAUACCCUUCUAGCAUAUAUAUAAAAAAUUAUUAGAUUAUCCAAUUUGUCUAUAUAUUGUUAAUAAAAUUAUAAAUAGACCCUCAUUGCCUCAUUCUUCUAUUUAAAUUUUUAUCAAUAACCAAUUUUCAAAAAAGACAUCUACACACUUAAAAAAAAUUAUAAAUAAAUUAUAAUUUUAAAAAUAAAAUUGGUUAUCAAUACCAUAAUAAAUAACAUAGAAAAUUAGUUAUAAAUAUACAAGUUUAAAUGAUUGACAUGUGGAGAAUCGUUAAAUAUGCAAGUUUAAAGUUUAAAUAAAAUUGGUUAUUAAUAACUAAUUUUAUUUUAAACUUAUAAUUUAUUUACAAUUUUUUUAGGUGUAUAGAUUUUUUUUUUUCAAAUUGAUUAUUGAUAAAAAUUUAAAUAGAGGAAUUGGGCAAUGAUGGUAUAUUUAUAAUUUUUUUAUAAUAUCCAACUAGUCUAUUUAUAAUUUUAUUAAUAAUAUAUAGACAAAUUGGAUAAUCUAAUAAUUUUUUUAUAUGUUAGAAGGGUAUAAUGGUAAAAUUAUAAUAAAUUGGGGUGUAAAUGUCUUUUUUGAAAUGUUAAAGAGGAUUUUUGUCCCGUUACCUAAACGUUGGGGGUGUGUUUGUCCUUUUUCCUAUAAAAUACCAACAUAAUUCUUUUUGCUGGAAUUAUGAUAUAUGAAUUACAAAUUUAUCUUAUUAUUUUUUUAAUCAUGAAGGGUAAAAUUGAUAUUUUAUUAGUUAACUAACUGGUCAACUAACGGUUGUAACGAAAAAGUAGUAAAAUGAUAUUUGUUGUAACAGAAAAGUAGUAAAAUAAUAUUUUUAUAAAGAUAUAUUAUGAAAAUGAUAGGAGAUAAUACUUGUUGUAAUCAUUUGAUAGUUGACAAUUUUUAAAGUAGUAAAAUGAUAAUAACCCUAAAAAAUUUAGUUAAAAAAGGGUCUAAUGAAUAUUUUGGAAGGUUUAAAUAACCUCACCCCCCCUUUUUUUUUUAUAAUGGAUGCUUUUAUGAUUUUAUCCUCACCAACCUAAUUUAUAUGAAAUAGUAUACUAAUGUUAGGGGAGGUAUUUGAGAAUAUGUGAAUAUAAUUUAUUAAACGGAGAAUACGCCAAAAAUUAGGGGAGGUUUCUGAUAAUUACCCUUUUAGUUACUCCUCCUCAAUCCGUCCAAGGGCAUGAACUUGAGGGAAGGGUCAGGUUCUGUGGUGGUGUUAAUAAAAAGAUAAAUUACAUUGGAAAGUAAGUGGCGUUUGUUGGGAAAUUCACACCCUUUAACCUUUUAGCUGUCAUUCGCUGUUUUCUGAUCAAAAUGAGUCAACAAAGUGAUUCAACUUCCAAGCACCGACAUAUUCCACAGUUCUUUGAUUCAAUUAAUGUUUUAUCUUAUCAAAAUCUAUCUAAUCAAUUGAACUGUUUCUGCUAUGGCUUCAGGUACCAGUACCACAAUUAACAUGUAAAUUUGAAGGAUCAUGCUACGUUACAAAUUAUAAAAUGGGGUGUCUGAUCUACUUAGACCCACCACCAGUUAAUCCAUUGGGCUUAUCUUAAUUUUGCCUAACAUAAUCUGUACGGUAGGCGAGCCCAAGUGUAAAUAAAUCAUGUGUUUAAGAAGAAGCGUUAAAAAGUUGUUAAAUAAUUCUACAUAUUGUGGAAGUGGUGUAAAUCGUGUAUUUAUAGAAAAAAAUGUAUUGAAAAAUCUAAGUCAUAUAUUGAUCUACAAGUGAGUGGUCCAUAGACACUCUGUAGUUAAUUAGAGGAGCUGUUGAUUUGAGAUAUGAAUUUACAAAUGUAAAUUCAUGAGAGAAAAACAAAAUUUUCUGGUCAAAAUCUUUGAACACUGUAGUUAAUUGAAUGAAACACAUCGCAUUUUCUGGGAAAUAUUUUAGCUUUUUGUCAUUGCCUCACAUUAGUCGGUCUUCAGUGGUAGUGAAGCAUCCAUAUCUUUUACGUGCAUUUCAUUCAAUUAAUUUAUUAUCAUCACAUCCCACGUUAUUGUUUCAACUUGCACCGUCCGAAUAACUAACAAGAAUCUUUAUUGAAAUUAUUGUGCCACUUUUAGAAAAGACAUAGGAAAAAAGUUGAAUUCACAAGUCCAACUUUAAAAAGGCCGAAAAAAAAAAAAGACUGGAGUAGAUGUCACAAGUAUUAAAUGCAUUGAUGAGGUUUCAACAUUUUUUAAAAAUAUUUUUAUAUAAUUUUUUACCAAAGUUCAAAUAACUAUUUUCAAUUAGUUUUAAAGUAAUAUAUAUAAGAUGAUGAUGAUAAUACGGGAUCAACAUAAACAUAAAAUUCAUUGGUGCUCCAUCAACAUUGAUUUUCCCAUCUCUUCAGUAAAUGUUUUACAUAUUUGUUUUGCAUCUAAUUUAAUAUUAUUGAAAGUUAAUAGACGUGAUUAGUAAUAAAUAGAAGACUAAAAAUAUUUAAAGAAAUAGGGCUAAGCGUGCUGCGUGCAUGAAAAUAAAUACAAGAGAUUAAAUGAAAAGAAAAGAUUGGGUGGUUGACUUCAAAAUGGACACAUAAAAUAAAUUUUGAAUUUUGUUUCAAAAUAAUUUCCAGCAUACAAAUUUAAUUAUAUAGUAACUCCUUUUUCUAUGUCUUCUAAUUUCAACCUACAGUCAGCAAGUUAAACCGUUAUUCUAGUUCUAGGCAUCUUCAUUGGGAUUAUUGCAUCUAUACUUUACCAAAGGGAAAAAAAAUUGUCACGAAACAGCGUGGAAGGUUCAGAGAAAAUAUUUGCUAGUGUUUUCUUUUUUUUAAAUUUAAUUGGUUGAAUUUAUUUUUUUAUUUUUUUUAAAAAAGAAAACUGUAUUACAAAACUUCCCGGUAGGUUCCACAGAACUAUCUAAUAAAGCAUCUUUAUAUAACCUCCAUUGACACAGUCGCAUUAAAUUAUUUUCACAUCCCAAAUUUUCUCAUCUGAUCAAAUCUCUCAUCCACUGAACUGUUAUGGCUUCUUCUUCCUCUUGUCCACCUCGAAACGCUAAGAAGAUGUAUGACGUUUUUCUGAGUUUCAGAGGAGAGGACACCCGUGACAACUUUACUAGCAUUCUUCACCUUUUUUUGUCUAUGAAAAGUAUCAAAACUUUCGUUGAUGACCAACUUAUCAGAGGAGAGAACAUUUCACGGUAUCUUCUUGAUAUAAUUGAAGCAUCAAGCAUCUCAAUUAUUAUUUUCUCACAAAGGUAUGCUUCUUCUAGAUGGUGUCUCGAUGAACUUUUGAAGAUCCUCGAAUGCAAGCACGAGUAUGGAACGAUUGUGAUUCCAGUUUUCUAUCACGUUGAUCCAUCACAUGUGAGAUCUCAAAGCCUGGAUUCUCCUUUUGGGAAGUAUUUUAGUGAGCUUGAAAAACAUUAUCCAGAGAAGAUGCAAAGAUGGAAGAAGGCUUUGACCGAAGCAGCCAACCUCUCUGGCUUUGAUUCUCAUGUCAUUAGGUACAAUAAUUUUCUUCUGGCUUUGAUUCUCAUGUCAUUAGGUACAAUAAUUUUCUAUCUGAUUCUUAGUAUUACAUUAACUAUGACAAUGAGUUUAAAUAUUUAUCCAUAAUAUAUUAAAUAAAUCAUUCUUAAUAAUGGGGAUUAGGUUAUUUUCUUGCACAUUUGAAUAACUUUCCAAUUAUUUUAUUUGAUGAAAUUCACAUUAUAUUAAUUAGCUAUUUCAUAUUGCAACUAAUUAAAAACACACGAUUCUCUGUCUCGUUUACAUAUAUUUGAACUAUGUUAAGAAAAUGUAAGCUGAGUCAGAUUGCCACGUCAUCAGUUGCCAAGCUGUCAUUCUGUUAUGCAGAGUGUCAUUAGAUUCGAAGUUUGUUAAGUUCCUUCCAAAAGUUCGUUACUAUCAGCUAGUUCUCAACUCAUGCUUUACACGUUGUAGAAGAAUCCAGAUCACACUAUAAAUAGCUCUGUAAUGUUUAGAUUGUUAUGUGAGCUUAAUAGAAACAAAUUUUCCAGCUUCUAGAUUUCUCUCGUUAAGCAUUUUCUUUCUCUUUCUUCUUUAUUUUCUUGUUAAACAAACAGAGUCUGGUACGUCUUAACUAACUAUAUAAUUGCUGUUAUUUUUUUACUAGGCCUGAAUCUAAACUUAUUGAGGAAAUUGCCAAUGACGUUUUGAAGAGGCUAGAUGCGACUUUUCAAAGUAAAAACAAAGGCUUGGUUGGAGUUGAAUGCCCCAUUGAAGAAAUUGAAUCAUUAUUACGCGUUGGGUCUGAGGGUGUUUGCAAACUAGGGAUUUGGGGCAUCGGUGGUAUAGGCAAGACAACAAUCGCUGGUGCUGUUUUUAACAAAAUCUCUAGACAUUUUGAAGGUUCUUACUUUGCGCUUAAUGUUAGAGAAGCAGAAGAAACUGGCGGAAUAAAGGACUUACAAAAGAAACUUCUGUCUGAGCUAUUGAAUGAUGGAAAUAUGAGGAACAUCGAGUCUCAACUCAACAGACUUGCUCGCAAGAAGGUUCUAAUUGUUUUUGAUGAUGUGAGUCAUCGAAGACAAAUAGAAUCAUUAAUUGGAUGCCUUGAUGAGUUAGCUUCAGGGAGUCGAGUAAUAAUAACAACAAGAGAUAAACAAGUCCUUAAAAAUUGUUGGGCCAAUCAAAUAUAUCGGAUGAAGGAAUUAGUAUAUGCUGAUGCUCAUAAGCUUUUCUGUCAGUGUGCUUUUGGAGGAGACCAUCCAGAUGCAAGUCAUACAGAGCUCACAGACAGGGCAAUCCAAUAUGCACAGGGAGUUCCUUUAGCUCUUAAAGUUUUGGGUUGCCAUCUAUGCGGAAGGAGCGAAGAGGUAUGGGAAAGUGCAAUGAGAAAACUGGAAAAAAUUCCUCACGAGGAAAUCCAGGAGGUGUUAAAAAUAAGUUAUGAUAGCUUGGAUGACUCUCAGAAGAAUGUUUUUCUAGAUAUUGCAUGUUUCUUUGAAGGAGAGCAUAGAGAUGAGGUGACAAGCUUUUUUGAUGCUAGUGGCCUCGAAGCUAAAAUAGAAUUAAGUGUUCUUGAAUGUAAGUCUCUCGUAACUUGCUUCCAUAACCACAUAAGAAUGCAUGACUUGAUACGAGAUAUGGGAAGAGAAAUUGUUCGAAAUGAAUCUAUCGAUCAUCCAGGAGAGCGCAGUAGGUUGUGGUAUCACAAGGAUAUUUAUGAAGUUUUGAAGAACAAUUCGGUGAGGAAUAAUAAGUUUUUAAUUGUAUCUUAUUUGUGUUACAUUUAUAUUAGCAAUUUGUCUGAAUAUGUCUUUUUGAAUAAGAAUAGCAUUAAUACAGCUUAAAAUUAAUUGAAAAAUAAUAUUAAAAAAUUGGUAAAAUAAAAUAGAUAGAUCCGAUGUUUCCCCAACUCAGUUUGAAACAUGCCUCUAAAAUCCCCAGCAAACUAGCGCCUUCGGAGAGAGACCCAAAAAAAAAAAAAAAAAAACACCUCAAAUCUUAUUGCAUUUCCUUUUCAACUCAAGCUCUGCCCCUAUCCUUAUUUUUCACUAAAAAAAAUUGAUUGAAUUAAUUUUACAGUUUACAUAUUAAGCAUUUUCUUGAAUUUUCUAUUUUACACUUCCUAAAAGCAUUACCCAAAUAGUUUAUUAUAAAGUGAUUGUAAUAUCUCUAUUUGGGUUUGACGGCUUAAAAAUAAUUGUUUAUUUGUUUGCUUCAAUUAUAUACCAACUUAUGAUCUCCUAUUUGAUUGUUAGGGAACUGAAAAAAUCAAGGGUAUCUUCUUGGAUAUGAAUAAAGUCAAUAGAGAGAUACACAUGAAUUCCGAUGCUUUCUCAAAGAUGCCUAACUUGAGAUUCUUGAGAAUCUAUGGAGAUGAGAACAAAUGUAUGGUCUCUCAUUUAGAGGGUGUGCCAUUUGCUGAAGUGAGGCACCUCGAGUGGGCUCAAUGUCCUUUGAAAACGUUGAAUAUAUGUGCGGAGAAACUUGUUUCACUUAGAAUGCCUUGCAGCAAGGUUGAACAACUUUGGGAUGAUGUUCAGGUAUAUAUUUAUUUGAAAUUCUUUCAGUAAUAAAUUCUAAAUACAAUUGAUGCUAUAAUUAAUAUAUGUGAUAGUAUAUGUUUAUUUAUAAAGAUGAUGAUGAUGAUAAUAAUAAUUUUUUUUUUUGGGGGCACAGGAUCUUGUUAACUUAAAAGAAAUAGACCUCAGUGGAUCCAUGUUGUUAACGAAACUCCCAGACUUGUCACAGGCCAAAAAUCUUAAGAUUCUGAUGUUAGGCGGCUGUUUAAGUUUGAUGGAGACUCGCUCAUCUAUUCAAUAUCUAAAUAAACUUGAAGUUCUUUAUCUAAGAAAGUGCGAAAGCCUGACGAGUCUUCCAACUAGCAUUCCUUUCAAAGAUCUCAUGAACUUCCCAAGUGUCACAUCUUGUCAUGUAUAUACUUUAGAGUUAGUAAAAGUUGGAAUCAAAGAACUGCCCUCAUCCAUCGAGUGCCUAUCCAAUCUGAAAAAACUAUAUAUUGUGGACUGUUCAAUGCUUGAGAGCAUCUCAAGUAGCAUAUUUAAGUUGAAGUCUCUUCAAUCUAUUGAAAUAUCUAAUUGUCCAAUUUUCGAGAGGUUUACAGAGAUCCCGUCUUGUAAUAUAGAUGGAGGCAUUGGAAUUGAGCGACUAGCCUCAUGUAGGUUGGUACUGGAAGAUUGUUCAAGUCUUCAGAGUCUCCCUAGCAGCCUGUGUAUGUUCAAAUCUCUGACAUCUCUUGAAAUCAUUGACUGCCAAUAUUUCAUGAUAUUGCCUGAUGAACUUGGAAAUUUAGAAGCCUUGGAGACGUUGAUCGUUGAUAGAACUGCUAUGAGAGAAGUACCAGAAAGCCUUGGUCAAUUAUCCUCACUAAAAAUUUUGGUACUAUCUAAUAUCAAGAGAUUACCAGAAUAUUUGCAACUACAUUUGCAACUACCCGAAAACGGUUUGGAGGGAAUACCAGAAUACCUGAGGAGGAGUCCAAGGAAGUUGACAUUGGAUCCGAAUGAGCUCAGUGAAAUCGUCAAAGAUGGGUGGAUGAAGCAGGUGUGUCUCUUAACUCACUCCUUUCAAUUAUAUUUUCUUUAAUUCAAGCUAUCAUUAUUUUUCAUAAAUUAAUAAUUUUUUAUUUUUGUGUUGCAGUCGUUUGAUGGAAACAUUGGGAUCACUAAAAGUAUGUAUUUCCCUGGGAAGGAAAUUCCAAAGUGGUUUAGGUAUCAAAGUAUGGGAUCUUCUGUAAACUUGAAGAAGCGACCAGCAGAUUUCUUAAAUAAUAAAAUAUUAGUAGGCUUUGCUUUUUGCAUUGUUGUAGCAUUUCCAGCCUCACGGUACUGUGACUUUGAGCAUCAAAUCCGAAGGAAAUCUCGACCGUCAGUCUUUGGGAAUUAUGACGUGUUCUGUGAUUGGAAACACAAAUCCCAAGGAAAUCUCGACCGUCGAUCUUUGGGGAGAAUUAGUUAUGUUGAGUCAGAUCACGUGUUUUUGGGAUCUUAUUUAUUGGGUUCUGAGGAUUUAAGUAAAAGAGAUGAUGAGGUCUCUUUUGAUGAGGUCUCUUUCUACACUAAGAGAGAUGAUGAGGUCUCUUUCUACAAUUGUUCUUUAAAUAAGAGGAUUUACGGUGAAUAUUGUGAAGUGAAACAAUGUGGGAUUCAUUUUGUGUACGCUCAAGAUUCUACGGAUAAAGUGAAGAGGAAGAGGAAGAGGAAGAGGAAGAGGAAGAGGAAGGAUGAAGAGAAGAGGAAGAGGAAGAGGAAGAGGAACCACACACCAAAAGACUGAAAUGUUCUUCAACUCCAAAGCAGCUGGUACUCUUUGGCACGAAAAUCAAUCUGUAGACCUUGUUUUUGUCUUCAUUUUAUAUAUGCAUUUUUCAUUUUACGGAAUGCAAUGCCAAUGAGAAAUUCAAGCAACCAUCAUUGAAUUGGAAUUGACAGGUUUGGCCGCCAAAUAUUUGCUUAAUUUAUUAUUCUAGUCAGUGCUUCCCCCGCGAGAGUACUGCCCUUUAUAGAUUUACAAGAAUAUUUGGUUAUUCUUAAUUAAUAAAUUUAUAAUCUAUAAAUUUAUAAUAAUGAAUAUCUCGUUUAAUCGUUCGUGAGAUCGGGCCGAGAAACAAGGAAAAAGUUGCAUAUUGUUAGCAUGCCUUAGAAAUUCAGAAUAAUGUCUAAGUGCAGUUGAUAACCCUUGAAUUAUAACUUUUAGCAUGAGAGAUAUUUUAUGAGCAUAAUUUUUGAGGGCUCUUGUAGGUUAGCUCCAUGAAGCAUAUCAUCUUGUAGAAUAUCUGUGGUUUGAGUAUUUUAUAGAAUGACUUUGGGAUUGGGUUUGGGAUGAACUGGCAUUGUUGUCAAGGUACAAUUUAUACUUUGAAAUUUGGCAGUCUGAAAUCAUGUUGGCUCAGUUCUCUUCAAAAUUGCUAUAUUGCAUGCAGCUAUAUAAAGCUUUUGUAAUCUGCUGUUAUAAUCAUGCUGAAUUUUAAUCACUACAGGGACUGAGCUCCCUGUAUGCGCUGUGGAUUACAGUUGCUUGAUUCAUUUAAUGGCACGGUGUUUUGCAAAUGGUUUAUUAACCUUUUUGGUGCCUUAUCUAACGGUUUUUUUUUUUUGGGUCUUGAUUUUGCAGCACCACCAUUGAAAUUAAUUGGCUUGCCUGGAUUGGAUCAACGAAUAAUGGAUGAUUCAUUGGUGAGUGCUUGUUUAAUUUUUUUAGACCUUGAUGCUCUAAAUAUUGAUGUAUCCCAUUAUAUAUUUAUUUGAUAGAUGUUAUUUGCUUGUGUUUUCAAUGGUGGAAAGAUGUGGUCUGUUCUUUGCAUGUGAAUUAUGGUUGGUAACUUAUAAGUUAGUAACAAUAAUUUUGUGAUGUCCCUCAUAGGUUAGUGAAUAUGCCGAGUACAAUGAUGCUAUUUUACUAGUAAUUAUUCCUGCUGCCCAAGCGCCUGAAAUUGCUUCAUCUCGAGCUCUUAGAGUUGCCAAGGAGUAUGACGGAGAUGGUAAUAUGCUUAGACAUUUUUAUACCUCUAAUUUUGCUGUUAAAUUUUUUGAUUUGUAAAUCAAAAGAUAUGCUAUUUAUGAUUUUCAUAAUCUUUGGCACACUAGUACAUUUUUUGGUGCAUCCUUUGAAGUUGCAGGAAUGUAACUCUGCCUUCUCCUUCCUAUUGCUAUCAUUACUGUUUCCUUGUUAAUUCUUUAUCUCGCUAAUUUGGGAGCUUAUUUUGUUAACGACAGGAACCAGAACUGUUGGUGUAAUAAGUAAAAUAGAUCAAGCUUCUGCAGACCAAAAAGCUCUUGCUGCUGUGCAGGCUCUCCUGUUAAAUCAAGGUCCACCAAAAACAGCUGACAUUCCGUGGGUUGCAGUAAUUGGUCAAUCAGUAUCACUAGCUACUGCUCAGUCUGGAUCUGAGAGCUCCUUAGAAACUGCUUGGAGGGCAGAAAGUGAGUCUCUUAAGUCUAUAUUGACUGGUGCUCCUCAGAGUAAGUUAGGCAGAAUAGCUUUGGUGGAUGCUUUGGCUCAGCAGAUCUGCAAGCGUAUGAAAGUCCGGGUGCCAAACCUCGUCUCUGGGUAUUAAAUGAUUUCCACAUGCUGCAUGAAAUGUUUCAAUUUUACGCAUGUUUUAGUUUAUCUUUGGAAAGUUGCAUUCUUUUUUUUUUUUUUUUUUGACGCAUGAAAAUGAUUUUCUUGAACACACUUACAUCUUUGGAACUUGUUUUACUGUCACAAAUGGAUUGUGAGAACUUGGCAAUAGGAAGUUCGAGAUACAUUUAACCAUAAAAAAUUUCUCUUCUGCCUGGUAGGCAUGUCAUUACUAAUCAUUGUGCUUGUAAUUGUCUUCGAUGGUUAGAGGAUGAUGAUUAUUAUUGUUAUUAUUAUUAUUAUUAUUUUUUAACUUCUAUCACCCCUAUAACUCUUUGUCUUGCACUUUGCAUUGUAGUUAAUAAACACAGUUCAGUGGGAGUUAAAAUUGAAAAUAAAGAUAUCUUAAUUCAUAUAAUUAAUUAUUCCUCGACCCUUUUUCAUGACCCAGCUUAAUGUGUAAAUAUGUAUUCAGUUUUUCCUUUAUGAAGUGUAUGAGUACUUCUUCCAGUUAAGGUAACUCCUUUAUUACUUAUACCUGUGCAGGUUACAAGGAAAGUCUCAAAUAGUUCAGGAUGAGUUAGUGCGGCUUGGUGAGCAGAUGGUCCAGAGUGCUGAGGGCACGAGAUCUUUGGCUUUGGAGCUUUGUCGUGAAUUUGAGGAUAAGUUUCUGCAACACAUUACAACUGGUGAGGUGAGUUAUUUUUGUUUUUGUGCUUGGUGACUUUCAUGUAACAUAUGUCUUCUUUCUUAGUUUGCUUAUAUUGUUUUGAUUUCUCAAUUUGUUUUUCAGUAAUAGUGUAUAUUACCAUGUACAAGAAAAAGCUUUAUAUAGAAAUUUGAAGGAGGAAAUCUAAGACAUAUAUGAGGGGAAUAUGAUACUUUUUUUGAUAAGAGACGGGAUUAGGGAUGGCAAUCCCAUUUUGGGACGGGAUUGGGACAUAUUUUUGUCCCAUAAAAACAGUUAGGGACGGGAGUGGGACAUUUUUUAUCCCACUUGCAUAUACGGGUCGGGAGUGGGAUUGGCAAAUUCCGUCCCAUCCCGUCUCAUUGCCGACUAAGAAUGAGAAUUUUUCCAAUUGGAAUGGGAUCCCGUAAGAUCCCAUUUCUUUUGGGACGGGAUCGGUACAUAUUUUUGUCCCAAAAAAAUAUAUAGGGACGGGAGUGAGACGUUUUUUCAUCCCAAUUGCAUAUACGGGACGGGACUGGGAUUGGCAAAUCCCAUCCCAUCCCGUCCCAUUGCCAACCCUAGGCAGGAUUGUGAUACUAUCACCUCUGGAAUUGAAGCCUUCUAUAAAAUUAGAUGGAAGUGAGCUCCAUUACUUGUAUCAAUUUGUAAUCCCUCUCAUUGUAGAAGUUUACCUGGUCCUUGGACCUCUAAUGAGAAGCUUCUUAAUGUAUAAUGUGGUUACUGCUUCUACCUAAUGGAAUGUGUGAAGCUGGCAGGGACUAGGGGUCUUUUGUAGGAGAAACUAUUUUUUCAAACCUAUUCAAGUGCUUAGAGGUAGUGCUUGUUUUACUAGGUCAGCUGAGGAGGGGUUGAUGUCUGCUUUGCGGUCAUUGUAACCUUAUUAGUUCCAGGUAGCUCCUUUAAAGUUGUUUUUGCUCUCUAACGCUUUUUCGGUUGACGAGUGUGUCUGGUCAUGGAAAUGUAGGGGUUGGAUUCCAAGUGUUGGAAGUUCAUAUGGUAGUAUGAGGAAGCCCCUUUUUAUGAUCCAAAUUUGGUUAACUAAAAUGGAUCUAAUUGGUACUUCAUGCUUGUUCUGUUCCUUUGGUCUUUUAUUAUUUUUUCCCUUUUCUUACUUAUAAGUUUGAGGCCAUGUCUAAUUGAUAAAUCUCUAAGUAUCAGUACUUCUUCUGGUUAAAAUAGUUAAUGUAUCCAAACUUUGUUUAGUGUCCUGCUCUCUGUUUUUAUUGGCUAGUGAUUUUGGUCGUGCUUUUUUGCGUGGCCUAUGGUAUUUUCCUCCGUCACUACCUGAAAAGUAUAGGAUACUGAUUUUUUGAGAUAUUAGUUGUCAUAACAUUAUGUCAAUGCAGGGUUCUGGUUGGAAAAUUGUUGCAGUUUUGAGGGGAAUUUCCCGAACAGGAUCAAACAGCUUCCUUUGGACAGACAUUUUGAUAUUAAUAAUGUCAAGAGGGUAUGUUGGUGCUCUACUGCUUAUAUCUAUUGUGUUCCUGUUGUAUAUCUCAUAAUUUUUUAGAUUUUGCAUUUGCAUUGAUCUUCUCUUAUUCAUUUCUUAUCAGAUUUUGUUAGAAGCGGAUGGCUAUCAACCAUAUCUAAUAUCCCCUGAAAAGGGUUUGAGAUCUUUGAUCAAAGGUGUUCUGGAGCUUGCAAAAGAACCCUCUCAUCUUUGUGUUGAUGAGGUAAUGGAACCAUGUAUAUAAAGAUUUUACCCUUUUUCUCUUUUUAUGAUGUUGAAUGUUAAAUUUUUUGUUUUGGCCUUAACAUAUGGUUCCUUCAUAGUAUUGUUAGUCAAUAGUAUGCUCUCUGUUGGAUGCAUGAUAUGGACCAAAUGAUACACUUUGUAAUAUUUUUCUUAGGCACUACAUUUUAUGUUCUUUUUGUUCCUCAAUAACAUGCUUAACUAAUGACAAGUACUUCAGGUUCAAUAAGGAGGAUUUGUCAACUUUUAUUUGACUUAAGAGGUCAGAUAUUCUUAAAAUUUGUUUUUCUAGAAUAGGUACAUCAGGUCAUUUGAUGUCGUUUACCCAAUUUUCUUUAUGGAUGGCAGUGAAAAUCUGAAGCAAUUAUUGUUUCUGCUGACUGAUAUAGUUCCUGGCUGACUGGUAAAACAGGUACACCGUGUUCUGGUUGAUAUAGUUUCUGCUGCUGCAAAUGCUACGCUAGGCCUGGGAAGAUGUCCUCCUUUUAAGAGAGAGGUAUGGCUGCUUUUGAUUAUGUGUCAUAAUAGCUUUUCUGCAUUUGUACAUGAUUAGACCUAUAUGUGGUUCAAAUUUCCUUUUCCGUGUGACAAUAGUUGAAUGGUUUGAAACUUUUACAAGGUUGCGGCCAUUGCAAGUCCUGCCUUAGAUGGGUUUAAGAAUGAAGCAAGAAAGAUGGUGGUUGCACUAGUUGACAUGGAGAGAGCUUUUGUCCCUCCCCAACAUUUCAUUCAUUUGGUGCAGAGGAGGUAUUCUCAAAAUGUUUGGCUGGUAUAUUUUACGUAGUAAUGUCAAGCUGUGAUAUGAUUGAACUUCUUUGAUAUAUUUGAGAUAUGUGCAACAUUGUCUUCUGGAUAUCUGGGUCUGAGUUCUUGUGAUGGGAUAGCUUGUCAACAUUUAUUUCUGGAACAUUUUGCUUUGAAAAUGCUGACAUUACCAACUUUUCUGAAAUUAAUGUCAUAGUCUAUUUCUUCUCUCUCCCCAAUUUUGCAUGAGCUGAGUUUUGAAUGCAUGCAAAUGCAACUCCACGAAUUUAGAAAAUUUGGUAUUUAUUAGAGUCUAAAUACUAUUGUUGGGUAUUUUCCUAUCAACUUAAAGCUAGCAGUUUUGUAUUUGACCUUUGUUGUCAGUCGGGCUAGUGUUUAGAUCCGAUUGUGUUUGUGUAGGUUUGGUUCCAAAUGAUAUCAAAUUCUCUAUGCAUGAAACCAGCAUUUUUUCAGUUUAAACUCAGUUGUUUGGGCCUUUUCUAUUAGUUUAAGCCUUUGGGACCUAUGGUUCCUUAGCAUUACUAUUUUUUUUUCCUCUAAUUUCUUUCCUGAAAGUUCUGUGCACCAUGCUUAUUGCGUAAUCUAUUUAUUUUGUUAGGAUGGGAAGACAGCGGCAAGAGGAGGAGGUGAAGACGCGAUCUUCGAAGAAAGCAAAUGAGGCAGAACAAGCAAUACUGAAUAGGGUACGAUGUCCUUUUCCUGAUGUAAUUGGAGUAUGACAUGAGGAGGAUGGGACAUACUGAGGAGGCACUAGUUCCUUUUAAUUUCUCCUUAAGAAACACAUUUAAAUCUCUACUUUAUGUUUUUCCAUAUAUUCUCCUUCAGGCAACCAGUCCUCAAACAGGCGGUCAGCAAACUGGUGGAAGUUUAAAAGCAAUGAAGGAUAAAUCCAGUCAAGCAGAGAAAGAAGCAAAUGAAGCUUCUGCUUUAAAGACUGCAGGCCCUGAAGGAGAAAUAACAGCAGGUUUGUGAAAAAAAACUGUCUGCAUCUUAUGUUAUUAGGCUUUACUGAAAAUUUCUUCUUAAUGUUGUUAUUGCUGUGUGUUGUGUAGUGUUUUAUUAUUGUGUCAAUGAUUACUGAAUUCAGAAGGCUGUCUAUCUUUUCCUUUUAUUUGAGUGAAAGAUCUUUUAGCUCUGGUUAAUGGUCUCUUGACUUUCCGGAAUUGUUAUGAUUUUAAGUCCUGAUGGAGGCCUUCAUUGAAAGAUAUUUAAACAACAUUUUUAAUCUAUUGAAAGAAAUGAUCAUGGGUUACUAGAUGGGCUUGAUUCGUUAGUCUAUUAACCUUGGAUGCAUUUGAUCUAUAACAAUACCUGUGGUACGUCAUUGACUGGAAUCAUUUGCAUUCAUAGUCGUUCACUAGAAUCAUUUGAAUACCACUAUACUGCUUUCCGAUUCUCUGGGGGUAACCUUGCUGUUGCUUGUGUUGAAAUAAGCCGAGAUUCAUGGGGGUGGAUAAGUUUUGAACAUCAAACUCUUUCUUGGAUUGAGUGUCAUGGUCUUCUAGCUUAUGCUGCAUUGGCUUGUUCAUUUUGUCCCUUGGACUGCAUUUGGAGGAAUAGAUGCCUGAAUUCAGUAUGAGCAAAGUUAAGAGUAGAUAAUAUACAUCAAAUAUUGUCUGGAUGGAAAAUUGUGGAUUCCAAUUUGUGGGACAAGUCUCUGAUUGCUAAAGUAGUAUUAACUAGGGUUGGUCCCAGAUGUGUAUCUUGACAUUUUCUUUAACCUUCAUUACUUUUUCAUCAAGCCAUAAAGUGCCUGCAUACAAGUUGAAGACCGGGAAACUUGCAACUGCUGCGCAAGACGAUAUACUGUUGUAGCAGAUAAUUAGCUAUUCAAUAAUUUUGGUUUAUCUCAUUAGUAUUUGUGGAAUGCCUUUGAAAUCCUUGAUUAGUAUUUGUGGAAUGCCUUUGAAAUCCUUGCAUGCAUGGUUCAUAUCCCAGCAGUUUAUGGAUAAAGGCAUGUUAAUCCCCCUCUAGAUGAAAUUACUUAAUUGCUUAAAUGAGUUUUUUUUUAGAAGUUUGUGACUAUUUUUUGUUGUCCAGGUUUCUUGUUGAAGAAAAGUGCAAAAACUAAUGGAUGGAGCAAGCGAUGGUUUGUUUUGAAUGAGAAGACUGGAAAGGUUUGUAACUAACAUUUUGUCCCAUACGCUUACAUUUUUUAGACAUGGAGUAGUAAUGCUAUUCAGAUGUUUUAAGUGCUUUUGGGCAUGGUAUCUAACCUUUGUUAAAUGAUUUUAGCGUUACAAAAUUUUUAAAAUGAGUUACAUUCUAGCCUCCAUUCUCUUAUUUUUUAUGUUUUUGCAUUAAAGAAAUAUAGGACACUGUUAUGAUAGGCAUGAUUUAAUCUCAAUCAUCCUUUGUUUGACAGCUGGGCUACAACAAAAAGCAAGAGGAAAAGCAUUUUCGUGGUGUCAUUGCUUUGGAGGUAUGGAGAAUUAUUACUCUGUUUCAGUUUUGGUAUUAUAUUAUUUAUUCUUUUGUCACAACCUUUUUUCACCAUUUUGUCGUUUAUUGCCGUCUUACUGGCUGGACAGGAGUAAGAGUUGUAUAUGAAUAAGCCUAUAAAUAACCUUUAUCAAUGAAGUUUGCCUUAAUACUGCAAUCGGAACACUUUCUAAGUUAAAAUGGAUAAAGAUGGCCUAUGAUAAAUUUAACAAGGUAACAGUGGCCUCACAUACUAACGAACUUCAAGUAAAAUAUUUUAAGCUUUUUUCUUUGUUUUCUUUGGAUACAUGCUACCCAGUGUUCAUUCCUUUGGAUGUUACUUUCAAUAUUUUACCAAGUAGCUUCCGUUUUGAGCUGUUUUUCAUCUCACUUCGCAAUAAUGUAUGUACAUUUGCUGGUGCAGGAAUGUAAUAUUGAGUAGAUUCCGGAGGAGGAGGAACCUCCAGCAAAAAGUUCAAAGGAUAAAAAGGCUAAUGGACCUGAUUCUGGGAAAGCACCAAGUCUUGUAUUUAAGAUUACUAGCAAAAUUCCUUAUAAAACUGUUCUGAAAGGUAUUCUUAAUGUUUAAACCAUGGAGUUCCUCUGGCGGUGAAUUUUCUUUUUUUAUGUAUUUUUUCAAAUCGAUCUGCCUUUAUCUUGCAGCCCACAAUGCUGUUGUUUUGAAAGCUGAGAGCACCGCUGAUAAGUCGGAAUGGAUAAACAAGAUAAGCAAAGUUAUUCAAGCUAGGGGAGGACUUGUUAGAGUUGCUGAAAGUGGUCAUAUGAUGCGUCAGAGUCUUUCUGAUGGUUCUCUUGUGAGUUUACAGUCUCUUAAAUUUGCAAUACAAAUUUUGAAGUGAAGAGCUACUUACCUGUGAAGGAUGUUGUUCCGUUUGCAUAUGCAUAGAAAUUGUGAUCGAGUGUUAAUUUCUCUUCUUGGUGGUUUUUCUAGGAUACAAUGGCUCGAAGACCUGCUGACCCUGAGGAAGAACUUCGAUGGAUGUCUCAAGAAGUACGUGGUUACAUCGAAGCAGUUUUGAAUAAUUUAGCUGCUAAUGCGCCCAAAGUAAGCUCAUUCCUUAACUUAAAUCUCCAUUUUUUUUUUAUAAGACCGUCAUUUUGAUUUUAAAAUGUUUGUUAAAUCUCUAUUUGAAACAUUUUGAUGAUGGAAGUAUUGGGUUAUGUAAUAUGCAGAAAGCAGCCCUAGAACAAGUGCCGCAUCAGGUGAUGACUGGAGAUCCGCAUUUGAUGCUGCUGCCAAUGGACCUGUAAGCCUUCGCAGCUACUCUCGGUCUGCAUCCAAUGGUCACAGCCGGCGUUACAGUGAUCCAGCUGAGAAUGGUGAUGUGAGAUCUGGUUCAAACUCGGGCAGUCGUCGUACUCCUAAUCGGGUGCCGCCACCUCCGCCACCAACGCAGUCAGGCUCCAAGUACUUUUAGGUGGCUUACAGAUUUUGGUUGACAAUUCAUAUUUUCUCUGCAUAUUUUUAGUGAGUGAAGGCCUGCUUAACCACUCAUGAUUCCAGUAGUUGGUUAAUCACUUCUUUAGAAUCUUCAAAAGAGGGUGCUUUGUGUAAAUAGGACUCUAUAGUUCCUGAGCUGAAAGUCAGGAUUUUACGGCUUGCCCCUUGUCAAAACUAUGAAUUCAAAGUGUAUUUGAAUUCCAUUUAUCAUAUUCUUCUAUUCAUUAUUUUGUUUUUGUUUUUGUUUUUGUUUUUGCUUCUGCUUUUGGCUCCUCCCCUCAUUUUUGGACGACGGUAUAGUUGUAUUUGUUUGUGUCAGUUCUGGAUAUAUGCUUUCGGACUUUUGGCUUUGUAUCAUUUGGAAAAUUCUUGUAAGGGGAGAGAUAUAAAAAUAUUUCAUAUAUCUACUUCUCUAUUAAAGAUGCAACUUUUUGUUGUAUUUCUGAGUUGGGAUGUUGCUCGGCGAUUAGUUUUUUUUUUUUGACAGUUUAAUUGGUGUCUCAUUAUAAUAUAACUAACUCUUUUGAUUGUUAUUGAUUUAGUGAAUCAAGGUGGCCAUCAUACGGGGCUUAUUUAAUAUGUUUUCCCUCUACAUUAUUUGUUUAAUUUUUAUUUUAUUUUUAUCAACUAAUUGUUAUGCACCUCAGUUAGUCUGUAACUGUACGAGUAUAAUGGUUUAAUUAUUUAUUUUUUUAAUAUUUUGGAGUAAUCUAUUUCUUAUCAAACUGCAACAAGUUAUAGAUUAUUUUCGUUAGAGCCCGUGGACAGACGCAAAAGCCUAUACACUACAGUCACUGCCGGUGGUUACGGUCCGGAAAAUUUGAGAAUCACUGUAGCUUUUAGUUUUUCUCCCUUAAUUUGCCGUGAUAGUUACAAGUAAAUUUGAGAUUUCUUCUUAUAAAAUGAUUUGUGAAAUUAAUGUGUUUACUCCACAUAUUUAUGAAGGUGCUGUUCACACACAUAAAAUACUCUAAAGACUUUAUUUUUUUUUAUGAACAAAAUUUAAUUAUUUAGUUAGAUGAUCAAUUAUUACAUUACUAUAUAUAUAAAAAGAAAUUCAAUUAACUAAUCUUAAACCACUGUACAUGAAUUAAUCAAUUUAAUAAAAAUGGCUGGCAAAGCUACCUAAGUUAGUCACCAUAUAUCCAGUUGUUGGUUGUGGCAUGAGCAUCAAGGUCAGGUUCAAUUAGUUUCACCAGCAAGUUAUUAUUAAUUAUCAGUACCAGCUGCUGAAAAUACCCAAGAAGAUUUAAAGGGAUUGAUCAGUUAAUGACAUGGAGAUACGUCAAGUUUCAAUCCUAUUAGGGAUUUAUUUAUUUCUUUUUCUUUUUCUUUUUAAAUAUCGGCAAAGCUUAAAGAGGAGAGCCAAGAGAGCAAAUUUGUUAAACAAACAAAUUAGAACAACGAAAGGCAUUAAGGUAAUAGCUGAAAAUCAUAAAUAAUUGCACUUUCUACAUUGCGGCGUGGAAAUAUACGAAUAAAUUAUAAAGCAAAAAUUUUCAGACAUACUGAAGUUAAAAUUUUUAGACACAUUGAGUUCAGACCGUUAAAUAAAAUAUAUUAAUUUGAUUCAUUUUAAUAUAACGUUUUUUGCGCAAAAUUUAUUUAGGAAUAUGCACUAACAAAUGUAGCCAUAUCUAUGAUGGUAACUUUUUCUCUAAUCUCUCCUAUUUUGUCCUUCAAUUAUUGCCGCUUUAUAAAUAUUUAUUUAAGAUGAUCUAAAGAAAAAGUUUAGGUUUUAAAGUUAAAUAGAAUUGAAUGCUAAUUGAGUGUGUUAAAUAAGUGUUCAGAGUAAUAAUGUUAUAUUUAUUCAUAAUAGAUUGUUUUUAAUAAAGUAUUUUCAUAAUAAUUUUUUAAUUAAAAUAUAAGUAUUUUUAAUAGUUUUUCAAUUAAACCAAUCAGCGAAAGGCCGAAUAGUAGAGCAGCAGUUGUUUGGACCUCAUAAAAGCAUUCUAGAAAAUUUAGUCUUUCAUCAAUUAGUAAUAAUUAAGUAAAGACAGUCUUCUCGUUUUUUAAAUGUAAGUAGAGUAGAGGUUAUUCUAAUAUUAAAGAGAAUUUUUAUUUAUAAAUAUUAAUAGUAGUUUGAUGCAAUAAAAUUAUAGUCUAAUUGGAAUAUCAGUCUUAAAAAUAAUUUUCGAUUGCAAACAGCCACCGCACACUAUUAAAAUCCUCCCGACUACAAAUGCUAAUUGUUAACAGGACGCGUGGCAGUCGCCUAGCACUGCUAUUGAGCACAAAAGCGUGUAUGGGAAAGUCUGUGGUAGUUUGUUGGGAAAUUUACACCCUUUUUCACCUUUUUGGCAGCAUUCACUAUUUUCUUUCUUCGCUUGAUGAUGGUUGUCCAAGCCAACAAAAAUAUAUAGCUAUUCUAAAUAAAUUGUGUAUAGUGAUUGAGCAGGGUCGUGUCCACAGAGAUCGGUAAUUAUUUAAAUCUUUUUAAAACGUAAAACAUAAAAUGGGGGUUUUGUUGACAAUAAUAAAAAUUAAAUUAAAAUAACAAGAAUGCAAAUUAAAGUUGUAAUUCAAAUUGGAGAAAGCUCUGGUUGAAGGAAUUAACUCAGCUUGAUUCGACUACUGAUCAUUGAUUCAAAUAUAAAUUAUUAUUACUUAUGAAUAGACCGGUUAUAGCUAUUGAGACUCUCUAAUAGCCAAUCUCUCCUUAACUACUCGAUAACCAAGGUACGACCGUUGGAUAUUUUCCUAAUCAAUAGACAACCCUAGAUAUGAUCAUAUGAUUUAAUCAAUUGACAGCCUGAAAAAUCAGAAAGACCCAAAUCCUAAUCAACACAUAUGAUGAUUCAUUUAAAUUAGAUUGUUUAUUCUCAUAACACAACUCACUGCUAUGUUAUUUGCCACAAACAUUAAAAUCUUCAUACGAUGAAUCCUUUAAUUGACAAUAGAUUAAGUUGAUAAUUAAAUAGUGGCCAAUUAUCUAAUUAACAAACAUAAUCAUGAAACUAAUUCAGAGAAUAAACAAAUACCCAAAAAGUAAUAAAACAAUUAAAGCAUAAGAAAGAUCUCACAGUAGUGAUGAAUCAAAGCUUCAUUAACCUUCAACCAGAAAAAAUAAGUUUAGUUCUUCAUAGAGAGAAGAGAAAAAUUAGAUCUAGGGUUUCUUUCUUUUCUCCAAUCUAAAUCUCCUUUUUUCACAAUAGAUUCCUCCCUUAAAUACUCUCUCUCUUUUCUCUUUUAGAGUUCUAUUUAAAAUAAAAUACUAAUAUCUGAAAUAUUAAAUUUGUAAUUACAAAAAUAGCCAAAAAUACAAAACACAUUAAACUAAAAACUGCAGGUCCGCAGUUGACAGCACGCGCCCACGCCUUAUCAACAAAGUUCUUCUGCCGCUCAUAAUUUCUCCAAGAGAACAAUCAUCCUUAAACAUCAUCUUGUAGCUCAAUUUUAUCACCAAUCAAUAGAAUUGCACCUACAAAAGUAAAUCACAAGUAAAUCACUAUUAUUAAGUGCAAAACAUCGAUAUUAAGGGAAGAAAACAAUGCAAAACUAGUGCAUAAAUUGCACUCUAACACUUGAUAUGAAAGUUAAGAAGAAAGCUGCAUCUUCAAUUAAAUCAAUAUGUCCACAAUGCCUCGAAAAUGAGAUGAAUUAAUGGGUGGCUCCAAUGAUUUCAAAGCUACCUAAGUUAGUCACCAUGUAUCCAGUUGGUUGGUUGUGGCCGGAGCAUCAAGGUCAGGUUCAAGUAAUGCCCUUGAACCCUUGUAGGGAUUUCUUUCUUUCUUUUUCUUCUUCUAAAUCUCGGCAAAGCCUAAAGAGGAGAACCGAGAGAGCAAAUUUGUCAAACAAGCAAAUUAGAUAAACGAAAGGGAAAGUAAUAUCUGAAAAUCAUAAAUAAUUGUACGUUCUACAUUGCAGCGUAUAAAAUACGAAUAAAUUGUAAAGUAAAAAUUUUCAGACAUACUGAAGUUAAAUUUUUUUGACACAUUGAGUUUAGACCGUUAAAUAAAAUAAAUCAAUUUGAUUACUUUUACUAUAACAUUUUUCUCGCAAAGUUUGUUUAAGGAAUAUGCAGUAACAAAUGUCGCCAUCUUUAUGAUGGUGCCUGAACUUUUUCUCUAAUCUCUCCUAUUUUGUCCUUCAAUUAUUGCCGCUUUAUAAAUAUUAGUUUAAGGUGAUCGAAAGAAAAAGUUUAGGGUCUAAAGCAAAAGAGAAUUGAAUGCUAAUUGAGUGUGUUAAAUAAAUGUUUAGAAUAAUAAUGUUAUAUUUAUUCGCAAUAAAUUAUUUUUAAUAAUAAUUAUAUUAUAAAUAUUUUUAUAAUAAUUUUUAAUUAAAAUAUAAGUAUUCUUAAUAGUUUUUUAAUUAAGCCAAUCAGUGAUAAGUCGAGUGGUUAGAGCAACAACUGUUCCAAUCCCAUAAAAUUAUUCUAAGAGAUUCAAUCCUUUCUCAAUUAAGAAUAAUUGAGUCUAAUGUGACUAGAGUAAUGAUGGUUCGAAGAAAAAUUUUAUUUAUAAAUAUUAAUAAUAAUCUCGUAUAAGUUUAUCGACUGAUCGGAAUAUCAGCCUUGAAAAGAUAAUUUCCAAUUGCAAAUAGCCGCCGCACCCUACUAAAAUCCACCCUACUACAAAUCCUUAAGUGUAAAUGGGACACGUGUCGGUCGCUAGCACUGCCGUUGAGCCAAAAGGGUGUAUUAAAAAAAGGUCUGUGGUGUAGUUUGUUCGGAAAUUUACACCCUUUUCACCUUUUUGGCAGCAUUCAGUAUAUGAAAGUAAAGAAGAAAGCUCCAUCUUCAGUGAAAUUAAUAUGUCCACAGUGCGUCGAAAAUGAGAUGAAAUUAAUAAUUAUCCCCGAAACUUUCAGGAAGGUUACAGGUAUGGAUAUAUUCUGCACAGUCACGCUCAUUUUGAUUCAGUAAUUGUUUUCAUCUCAUAAAAAUCUUUCUAGUCAAUUUAAUUUUUGUUAUGGGUUCUUAUUAUUAUUCUUCUCCUCCUCCUCGAAACAAUAAGUAUGAUGUUUUUCGAAGUUUCAGAGAGGGGUUUUUAAUUAAAUACUCUUUAAUAGUUUUAAAAUUAUUUAAAUACCUCCUCCCUUUUUGGUUUUCAUGAAUACCCUAACAAAUAUAAGUAAAGUCGGAAAUGCCCUUAAUGAAUACAUCAAAUUCACUCAACUUCAUUGUCUUCAUAUUUUUUUCCUCAUUUCUUUCACCCAAAUCUAUUUUUACUACCGAUUCUCUCAAAAUCUCUUAGAAUCUCUCAAAAUCUCUCAUAACUUCUUACACAAAUACAAUUAUAUAUUCAUUUCUUUAACACCCACUCUUUCUUUAACUGAUAUGAGGUGCAUUGCUUAUUAAACAACCCAAUAAGAUAUGUUAAUGUUGUUGGGUUUUAAAUUUUUUAAUUUUUAGGAAAAUUUAGAAAUUUUCCUCACAUUACAAUGUUUUAUUUUCACCAUUUUUUCUUAUAUGUAGAAAUAUAUGCAAUGUAGGUUGUUUAAUUAUUAUUUUUCAGCAAUAUAACUUAUUUAUGGCGAAAAUAUUUUGCGUCGUGCAUUCUUUUGAUACCGUGUACGUCAUAUAGUUAGUCAUGUAGGUCGUGUAAGUAAUAUAGUCAUGUGAGUUGUGUAGGUCAUAUAACUAAUAUAGUCAUGUAGGUCGUGUAAGUCAUGUAAGUAAUAUAGUCGUGUAGUUACUUGUAUAUGAAAUUUAAUAUUAUUGUUUUUAUUGUAUCAUCAGAUAUAGUUUUGGUACGUGUGCCUAUUCUUUUCAAUAGUGAAUGGAUUGAGCAAAAUGACGAGUAUAAGUUCAAAGGUUCCAAGGCUAAAGGGAUAAUGAUACCAUGAUCGACAACAUAUGCUGAAUUGGUGGAGAAGAUAGCUCAAGUUAUUGAUAUAGAUACUUCGGAAUUCGAAAUCACAAUGAAGUUUAAGCUUAAGACAUCUGAUCAUAUGCCACCAGUUACAAUUCAAACCAAUGAUGAUGUAGAAUUUUUCUUAGAGGAAGUAGCUAGUGGAAUGGAGUUUAGAAACCCGUUAUGCAUUACUUUUGAACGUAUAUCAAUUUCAACAGUUCCGGUGGAUAGACAACCUUCACCUCGUCCUUCAUGGGAAGAGAGUCAUGCUUUCUCCAGUUACGUGCCUCCAUCAUUUCCUAUUCUCUCGAACAAUUUUACUAUUGCAGAUGAAUCACCAAUUGAGUGUUUGCCUACUACGCAACCGACUGACGAACAAGAAGCAGUUAAUGAAUUUGUGACUGGAGCUGAUUGUUUGGAUGAGCCACCAUUAGCUGUUGAUUCAACAUUAGGAGAUAAUACUCCAGCUACUAUAAGUUCAAGAACCUCAAACAAUGCACAUGUUCCCAGAAUAAAUUUACUUGCUAGUAGCAGUAAUUUAUUAUCAAUAGAAAUUAGUGGUGAUACUGAUGUGUCGAUGGUGAAAGAGGUGUUUGAGUCAAAGGAGGAAUUGCAAGAAAAGCUUAAAGCACUAGCUGUGAAAAAAAGGUUCCAAUUUAAAACCCCAAAGUCAGACAAGGACUUACUUGUUUUUGUUUGUGUAGAUGACUACUGCAAAUGGCGCCUUCUGUGCAAGUAGGCUUAAAGGUUGCAACAUGUUUGAAAUUAGAAAGUAUUAUAAUGUUCAUACUUGCUCCCUUGAUUCACAAGAAAAAGAACAUCGUCAAACUUCAUCCAAGCUAGUUGGGCAAAAUUUUCAGCACAAGUUUGAUGGUGCUUCAUCUUCUUAUAAGCCAGCUGAUAUUAGGCAAGAUUUUCAAAAGGAGUUUGGUUAUGAAAUAAGUUAUCACAAGGUGUGGAGAGCAAGAGAGUUUGCAAUGGAGAUGGUUAGGGGCACUCCGGCAGAUUCAUACCAUUUAUUACCAUCGUACAUGGCAAUGGUUGAAAAAAAAAUCCUGGAAGUCGAACAUUUAUUGAAAAAGACAGUGCGAACAACUUCAAGUACUGUUUCAUGGCCAGUGGAAGUUCUUUGAGAGGAUUCACUUUAUGUAUUAGGCAUGUUAUUGCAGUUGAUGGUACAUUCAUGAAGGGCAAGUAUAAAGGAACAUUAUUCAUUGCAACAUCUCUUGAUGGCAACAAUCAACUUUACCCUGUUGCAUUUGGUGUAGAUGAUAGUGAGAAUGACGCUUCAUGGGAAUGAUUUUUUUCGAAGUUAAGAGAUUCCAUUGGUGAUGUUCCUAAUUUAGUAUUUAUUUCUGACUGCCACGGAAGUAUUAAGAAAGAAGUUAAUAAAAUAUUUCCUGGUGCAGGGUAUGGCAUAUGUACGCAUCAUCUAAAAUGAAAUGUAAAUGCUCAUUUUAAAGAAGUCGAUGUGGGUGCUUUAUUUGAAUUGGCUGCAAAGGCAUAUCAGCCCAUUAAAUUUACUCAAUAUAUGAAUGACAUCCGUAGUGUUAGUUUGAAUGUUCACCAGUACCUGACUGAUGCCGGAUAUGAGAAGUGUGCUUGUUCUCACUUCAAGGGGAGGCGUUACGGGAUUAUGACGACUAACAUCGCAGAAAGUAUGAAUUCUGUCUUAAAAGAAGCACGAAGCUUGCCUAUUCAUAAGUUAAUGGAUUCUAUCAUUGACAAACUGCAAGAAUGGUUUGCAAAAAGGCGAGAAUUGGCAAUGGAUGCAUGUGCUCCAAUGACUACUUGGGCUGAGAAACAGUUGAAAGGGAAAUUGGAAAAAUCACACACAUAUCCAGUAAUAUAGAUUAAUUUCCAUGAGUUUAUAGUUAAGGAUGGCGACCUUGAUGGCCAUGUUGACGUGCUACAAAAGACUUGCAGUUGUAAUGAGUUUCAAAUUAACCAACUUCUUUGUGAACAUGUGGUAGCUUGACACUUUGCACGUUUAUUAGUCUCUUUAACUUCCAUGGCCACAUAAUUUUUCUGCACAACACCACUAAUUUUCUAUUAUGAGAUUGGAGUGGCUGAUUUUGUACUCUUUGAGUCAACAUAAAAAUCAUUUUCAAGUUGUUGCAGCCAAUUUGUUUGCCAAAACCAUUGUAGAUUAAGCUAUGAUGCCUCUAUUUCAUCAGCGACAUCCAACUUCUCUAGUACCUUAAGCUAUAAUAAUUAGGCCAAUUAAUAAAUGUCAAAGAUAAAUUAAAAAAAAAAAAGAAAAACAUUGAAGGUCUAGAUUGUUUGUUAUUACCUUUUUCUUAUCAAAUAUGGAAGAGUCAAUCGAAUUAGAGCUAACAUGCUUAGUGAUUGUCCAAUUUAGGAUUCUUGGAUAUUUGACAUGCUGCUUACAUUUUGAGGCAAAAGUUUUACACACUUCACUGAAAAUUUCAAGUGGCCAUACUUGUGCAAGUAAAAGAACUAAUUAAUAUUCAUAAUCUUAACAAUCUCUACGAAAACAAUAUUGAUAAUUUGUCACCUGAACUGCAAAUGGACAGCCAUGAAGGUUGUAUGCCUCCUUUUCAGGGACAGAGUUUGGAAUUGCCCUUUCUUUAUUUUGUCUAAUUGCAAUCACAUUCUUUAUACUUUCUAAUGUGUUCUCAGAACAGACACGACCCCAAGGAAAUUUAUUGAAAUCUUCAAAGUUGUCAAUGUGGAGAAUGUGAUCCCUAAUUAUAGAUGAUCUAUAUUCUUUUCCAAGUAAUACAACCUCCAAAAACUAUAACAUGACAUAUUUAACCAUUUUCAUAUCAUCCUUGGACUUAGUUGCUUCAAAUAUCUAACCUAGAGUUGUGUUAGUGAACUAUGUGCAACCGUCCAACAAAACAUCACUUACACGACCACCGUAAUCAAUAAUGUCCAAGUUAGUUCAUAAAUUUCUUCACAAUUCAGUCCAGUAACUAAUGCAAAUUCAAACAGUGAAAAUCGGCAAAUUUUUUUCCCUAUCUUAAAAUACAUUGCCUUAUCGGAUGAAUGCACAUGCCUUAAUACCAACUUGUGCAACAACUGGGCACAAAACUGAAACUCAUUCAAGUCCAAAAAGUGCCCAAAACAUGAUUUGCAAAAAAUCCCCAAUUGUUCAUCACUAAGUUUUUUUUUAUUAUUCUUAUUGGUUCUAACGUUGACAAAUUAGUAAUUUUCACUUUCGGUUUGCCACGUUUCAUUUUUUUUUAAAUACUUUUCGUUGACAUUUUCUGCAUGGCAACAAAUAUAAAUUCUUAGCAAAGAUUAAGUCUUUAAACAACUAAGUUAUUAUAAUGAAUUAACAACAAUGAAAAAAGUCGUGUAAUUUUGAGGUUGUGUAAUACAUGAAGGUCGUGUAAUUGUGCAAUACAUGAAGGUCGUGUAGUCGAGCAAUACAUGAAUGUCGUGUUGUCGUGCAAUACAUGAAGGUCGUGUAAUACACAACCUUGAAUCUUACAUAACCUUACACGACCAAAUCGUGUGUUACAUGACAAAAUUAUAAUCGGCACAAUUCAUCAAUUUUUCACAAUUUGGAUGCAGCAAAACAACUAGAAAUUUAUUUUUGAACAUGUAAUGAGAGAUUCGCAACUAAUUAAUCUAUUUUUUCUAUAUAAAACCCUAACUUUUUGUUUUUUUCCCUGAAUAUCAACAAGAAAACUAAUUACAGGGAAUUACUUACCUCAACUAGUUACAUUCUGACCAUUUUGCAGUAAAGGAUCAGCUCUUGCCGGCGAUUAUGUAGCGACGAACUAGGCUUCUCUUUCUCAGUUGUGGCAGCUUCCCUUUCUCAGGCUCAGUUUGCUCGUGUUGAAGUUCGAUUUAGCAUGUAUGGAGAAUGAAUGUUUGUUUCAGUAGAGGUAAUGCCAGUGAGGGAAUUACAGAGGUGAUGCUGGUUGAUAUUCGAUUUAGCAUGUAUGAGAAUGGAGGAUGAGUGUUUGUUUGUUUGUUUGAGUAAAGGUAAUGGAGGGAAUUGCAGCAGAUAUGAGUGCCAAUUGCGCCCGGUACACCUCCAUACUUCAAAAAUUAUCUCAAUACCCUAAAAUCAGUUUUUGCCAAAAUUUUCAUCGAUACCCUUUAAAAACUGAUAGGAAAUUACUAAGCUAUCCUCAUUUUAAAACAUUUCAACUCAACGGACAGCACCUCUCCCUUCUCUACUGAAGCAAACAAACACUCAUCUACUGCAAUUCCCUCCAUUAUCAAACUCAAACAAACAAACACUGCAAUUCCCUCACCGGCAUCACCUCUACUGAAACAAACAUUCAUUCUCCAUACAUGGUAAAUCGAACUUCAACACGAGCAAACUAAGCCUGAGAAGGGGAAGCUGCCACAACUGAGAAAGUGAAGCAUAGUUCGUCACUACAUAAUCGUCGGAGAGAGUUGAUCAUUUACUGCAAAAUUGUCAGAAUGUAACUAGUUGAGACAAGUAAUUCCAUGUAAUUAGUUUUCUUGUUAAUAUUCAAGGGAAAAAAACAAAAAGUUAGGGUUUUAUAUUGAAAAAAUAGAUUAAUUAGUUGUGGGUCUCUCAUAACAUGUUCGAAAACAAAUUUCUAGUUGUUUUGCUGCAUGCAAAUUGUGAAAAAUUAAUGGAUUGUGCUGAUUAUAAUUUUGUUAUGUAACACAAGAUUUGGUCGUGUAAGGUUAUGUAAGAUUCAAGGUUGUGUUUUACACGACCUUCAUGUAUUGCACGAUUACACGACCUUCAUGUAUUGCACGAUUACACGACCUUCAUGUAUUACACGUUUACACGACCUUCAUGUAUUGCAUGUUUAUACGACCUUCAUGUAUUAUACAAUUAUACGAUCUUCUUGUGUUACACAAUUACACGACCUUCAAUUCCACAUUUUGUUUCUUGUCAAUAGAAUCUGCACAUUACAUUUAGUGAAAAUAUUUUAUCACUGCGAAUGGUGUUCUUAUGUGUAUAACAUUACAUUAAUUUCCUAUAGCUGCUAUUUUUUUUUCUUAAUUGAUUUCAUGGAUUAAUUAUAUGCAGGCAUUCCUCAUGUAUGCUUGUAUGCUUGGCCAGAGGAAGAAAGCACUUUGAAGAUAAAAAAAAAAGAAAAAAACUUUUUAAAUGGUUGUAAUAUGUUUAAUUGCGACUUUAAAAUUACAUGAAUUUUUCCAUUAAUCAUUAGAUUAAUUUAGUUCUUUAAAGACUUAAUUUGUGCUAAGAAUUUAUAUUUGCUGCUAUGCAGAAAAUGUCAAUGAAAAUUAUUAAAAAAAGAAGUGAAAUUAAAUUGGAAUCUAAAAAAAUUCCACAUCAUCAUCGGUUUGAAUUGUAAUUGGUGGCAUAGGAUCAGAUGUCUUAAGUUUGAACUUCAUUGUGAUUUUGAAUUCUGAAGUAUCUAUAUCAAUAACUUCAGCUAUCUUCUCCACCAAUGCGGCAUAUGUUGUCGAUCGUGAUAUCAUUAUCCCUUUAGCCUUUGAAUCUUUGAACUUAUACUCGUCAUUUUGCUCAAUCCAUUCACCAUUGAAGAGAAUAGACACACGUACUAAAACCAUAUCUGAUGAUACAAUAAAAACAAUAAUAUUAAAUUUCAUAUACAAGUAACUACACGACCUACAUGACCUACAUGACUAUAUUACUUACACGACCUACACGACUUACACGACUAUAUUUCUUACAUGACCUACACGACUUACAUGACUAUAUUACUUACACGACCUACACGACUUACACGACUAUAUUUCUUACAUGACCUACACGACUUACAUGACUAUAUUACUUACACGACCUACAUGACUAACUAUAUGACGUACACGGUAUCAAAAGAAUGCACGACUCGAAAUAUUUUCGCCAUAAAUAAGUUAUAUUGCUGAAAAAAAUAAUUAAACAACCUACAUUGCAUAUAUUUCUACGUAUAAGAAAAAAUGGUGAAAAUAAAACAUUGUAAUGUGAGGAAAAUUUCUAAAUUUUCCUAAAAAUUAAAAAAUUUAAAACCCAACAACAUUAACAUACCUUAUUGGGUUGUUUAAUAAGCAAUGCACCUUUAAAGAAAGAGUGGGUGUUAAAGAAAUGAAUACAUAAUUGUAUUUGUGUAAGAAGUUAUGAGAGAUUUUGAGAGAUUCUAAGAGAUUUUGAAAGAAUCGGCAGCAAAAAUAGAUUUAGGUGAAAGAAAUGAGAAAAGAAAUAUGAAGACCAUUCAUUGAGUGUAUUUGAUGCAUUCAUUAAGGGUAUUUCCGACUUUGCUCAUAUUUAUUAGGGUAUCCAUGAAAACCAAAAAGGGAGGGGGUAUUUAAAUAAUUUUGAAACUAUUAAAGGGUAUUUAAUUAAAAACCCCCAUAUAUGAGUGUUUGUUUGCUUGAGUAGAGGGAGGGAGAGGUGCUGUCCGUUGAGUUGAAAUGUUUUAAAAUGAGGAUAGCUUAGUAAUUUCCUAUAAGUUUUUAAAGGGUAUUGAUGAGAAUUUUGGUAAAAUCAAAUUUUAGGGUAUUGAGAUAAUUUUUGAAGUAUGAAGGUGUACCUACCGCAAUUCCCUCAGAGGACACUCGUGACAACUUUACCAGCCAUCUUUAUUCAGCCUUGUCUCAGAAAAGUAUUGAAACUUUCAUUAACAGAGGAGAUGAAAUUUCACAGUCUCUUGUGGACGCAAUUGAAGCAUCAGCUAUCUCACUCAUCAUUUUCUCUGAAGGGUAUGCCUCUUCCAGAUGGUUUUUCGAUAAACUUGUCAAAAUCCUCCAAUGCAAGAGGGUGUAUGGACAGAUUGUGUUACCGGUUUUUUAUGGCGUUGAUCCAGCACCCGUGAAAUGGCCAACUGGGUCUUAUGGGGAUUCAUUUUUGAAGCUUGAAGAAAGAUUCAAGGAAAAUUCAGAGAAGCUGCAGACUUGGAGGAAUGCUUUGAAGGAAGUGGCUGGUUUGUCCGGCUUUCAUUCUCAGAACAUUAGGUAAUCAAAUUUCUUUUCUCAUACCAUUAUGGUGAUGCAACAGAAUGUUAUUUUCUGCUUAAUUAAUUACCAGCGCCCCAGCUAGUUAUAGCGAUUUUUUUUUUUUGCCAAGUAUGCUGAAUUAUAUACUUCAAUUUUAUUAGGCAUCCUAAUGUCUUUCGGCAAGUGAUUUGUGGAAUUGAUAUUUGACAGUUACAUUUGGUGUGCUAAAUUCUAUAUGUGUUAAACUCCUUUAUAAGGAUUUUGACAGAGUUAUUAAAAUCAGCAUUUGUGUGUUUUCAUUGGGUGUUCUUUCAUAUUUCAAGUAAUCCAAUCUGUCACUCGUAUUUCUGUUUAAGAGUUAUUGUCAUAUUUUCGUGCAAAUCCCUCCUAUUUGAACUUUUUAUUUUACAUAUUUGCUAGGCCUGAAUCGGAACUUGUAAAGGAAGUUGUUAAUCAAAUUUUGAAGAGGCUGGCUGAAAUGUCUCCGUGUAGUAAUAAAAACCAGUUGGUUGGAGUAGAAUCAAGAGUUGAGGAAAUUGAAUCUCUACUAGGUAUGAGUCGAAAGAUGUUUAUGCUUUAGGGAUUUGGGGCAUCGGUGGUGUAGGCAAGACAACAAUUGCUAGAGCUAUUUUUGAUAAAAUCUCUAGUAACUUUGAAGGUUCUUCAGAGAAGAAUCACAAAGACCAGGAGGAUUAGGUUGCUUGCAACAAAAACUUCUUUCAAAAUUAUUGCAGGAUGACAAUGUGAUUCCUGAUAUUGCCCUGAGCUUUAAACGGCUCAGCCGCAGGAAGGUUCUGAUUGUUCUUGAUGAUGUGACUUGUUUCAGACAAAUAAAAUCCUUAAUUGGAAGUCUUGAUUGGUGCAUGGCAGAGAGUCGAAUCAUAAAAACAACAAGAAAUCAACAAGUGCUUAGAAAUUGUUGUGUCAAAGAGAAAUAUGAGAUGAAGGAAUUAGGAGAUGAUCAUGCACUUGAGCUUUUUAGUCGACAUGCCUUCAAACAAAACAAUCCUCAUAUAGGUUUCGAGGAACUGUCAAGCAGGGUCAUACAAUAUGCUCAAGGUGUUCCAUUAGCUACUGAAAUUUUGGGUUGUUUUCUAUUUGAAAAAGAAAAACAAUUUUGGGAAAGUGCAAUAAACAUAUUGAAAAGAAUCCCUAAUAUGGAAAUCCAGAAGGUGCUAAAAAUAAGUUUUGAUGGUUUGGAUGAUGAAAAGAAAAACAUUGUUCUAGACAUUGCUUGUUUCUUUAAAUGGAAAAAUAAAGACUUGUUUAUAAAAUUUCUUAAUGCUUGUGGCUUCACUGCACAAACAGGAAUAAGUAGUCUUGUUGACAAGUCUCUUAUUUGUAUGCACAGCAACAAUAUAACAAUGCAUGAUCUGCUACAAGAAAUGGGUAGGGAAAUUGUACGGCAAGAAUCAACGAAUGAUCCAGCAAAACGUAGUUGGUUGUGGCAUCAUGAGGAUAUUAUCAAAGUCAUCACAUCUAAUACGGUAAGCAUUUUGUUAGAGAAUAUAUUAUUUUGGAAUGCUAUUUAAUAUUCAAAGUUUACUUAUAAUCGUAUAAAUAGAUGGGUUUAUAAAAUUUAUAAAAGAGUGGCAAUGAUUAUGAGGGGAAAAAAAAUUGGAAAAAAGGAAACCAGUAGUGCAUGAUGUAGCAAUAAUGUAUAAUUGCAAUGUCAAUUUGUAUAUAACAGUUUGCGGACAAACACUGAUAGUUUAUACGUUGUCUGCAUUGAUAGUUUAUCGUUUAGUAUUACUUAUAUUAUCCUGUUUCUUUGUAAGUAGGUUUAGAUUUACCAGUUUGAUUGCCAAACAAUAACUAUCUACUUGAAUUGUAUAAAUUUGAUUUUAACAUUAUGGUCAUUUUAUUGAUUAUUUGAUUUUAACAUUAUGGUCAUUUUAUUGAUUAUUUGAUUUUAACAUUAUGCUAAAGCAGAAAAUCAUCUCUGCCUGCAAUAUUUUUACCAAAACUCCAAACCCCUCGUUCAGUCAACAUCUGAACACGCUGGUUGUCCUAAAUCUAAGGGAUUGCAAAAGCCUCAAAAGUCUUCCAGCUGGAAUUCAUUUGGAAUUUCUUAAAGAACUUGAUCUUUCAGGUUGUUCAAAACUGAAGCGGCUUCCUGAUAUCUCAUCAGCUGCUAAUAUAGAAGAGAUGUUUUUAAAUGGAACUGCAAUUGAAGAGCUGCCCUCAUCCAUCGAGUGUCUAUAUAAGCUUUUGCACUUGGACCUUGAAGAUUGCAAAAGCCUUAAGAGUCUCCCAAGUGGCCUGUGUAAGUUAAAAUCAUUAAAAUAUCUUACUCUCAAUGGUUGCUCAAUUCUUCAGAGAUUGAAUUUCGAUAUAUGGAGCAUUUUGCCGUUAGUAUUAACAACUUUUAUUUAUGUCUAUAAGUUCUUUGUAGAAACAAGUGCCGCAUCAGGUGAUGACUGGAAAUCUGCAUUUGAUGCUGCUGCCGAUGGACCUGUUAAGCCAUCGCAGCUACUAUCGUUCUGCAUUCAAUUGUCAUAGGGGGGAUUACGGUGAUCUGGCCUAGAAUGGUGAAGUGAGAUCUGGUUCAAACUCCAGCAGUCAUCGUAAUCCUAAUGAGGUGCUGGCACCACCACCAGCAGCAGCACAGUCAGGAGGCUAUAGGCACUUGUCGUUGGCUUACAGAUUUUGGUUGACAAUUCAUAUAUUCACUGCAAAUUUUUAGUGAGUGAAGCCCUGUUUAACCACUCCGUGAUUCCAGUGCUUGUUCAAAAAUCACUUUACUAGAAUCUUUAGACGAGGGUGUUUUGUGUACAUAGACAUAGGACUCUAUGCGGCUUGCUUCAUGUCAAAGCAAUGAAUUCAAAGUGUAUUCGAAAUUCAUAUAUUAUAUUCUUUCUUCUUUUCAUUAUUUUGCUUUUAUUUUUGGUUCCUCCCCUCAUUUUUGGACAACGAUAUAGAUGUAUUUGCUUGUAUCAGUUCUGGUUAUAUACAUACUCUUGGACUCGUGGCUCCGUUUAGAAAAAAAAAAAUUCUUGUAAGGGCAGGUAUGUAUUUUAUUUCAUAUAUUUACUUCUCUGUUCAAGAUUCUGCUACUAUAACCAAAGAUGCAACUAAUUCAGUAGGUGUCUGAAUUAUGUUAUUAUUAUUAUUUUUUGACAAUUCAAUUGCUGUCUUAUUAUUAUAUAUCUCUUCUUUGAUUGUCUCACACAUUUAUGGAAUAUUUUAGGAAAGUAAAUAGCUUUUGUUCACUAAUUGUUUUUGUUAGAGCAAUAGAGCUCAUAUUUUGGCGGGAAGGACUGGAACAUGACCCUAUUUCUAUUGCCAAUGGUUAUGGUCCGACAAAUUCGAGAAUUGACCAAGAAAGCAAAGGGUAGCAUACGAACUUGCGGGUUGAAAUUACGGUAAUUUUAAAAUUAUUGUCCAGAGAGCCAAGGAAAUCAAAUGAGAUGAAAUUAUCAAGAAACAACCUGGAAGGUUCCAAGCAUCGUUUUACUCUGCACAGAUACUACAGUCACCAACGUUUGCUCGAGAAAAAUACGCCGACUUUUCUGGAAAUUUUUUUGCUUUUUCUCUUUAAAGAAUUAAAGGUAAAGUUUUUGGGGCAGAAAAGUUGAAGGUUAAAAUAACAAAUAACAAGGUAGUGGACUCCGCUACCAUAUUACUUUUAAGUUUCAGGAAGAUUCCCACUUCCAAGCAUAAUAUAUUCUGCCUAGUGAUUGAUUUCCAAAUUUCGAAGUUGAUAGCUGCUUUUGGUAAUUAUAUCUUCAUCACUUGCAACCUUUUAUUUCUUUUCCAAGUUAAUUUUAGGAUAAUUAUCAAAAACCUAUCCUGAGAUUUGGUGUAUUCUCAGUUCGAUAUAUUAUAUUCGUGUAUUCUCAUAUUCCUCCCCUAACGUUAGUAUACCAUUUCUUUAACCGUUUGUUGCAUGAUAAAAUGAUCAAGUUACCCCAGAAAAAAAUAACUUGUAUACUGAAAAUAAAGAAUUGUGUACCAAUAUGUUUGUUUUGGCGCCAAAGGGAUGUAAAUACAAUUAAAAUACCAAAUCAUCCCUACUACUUUCCAAAAUGACUUUAAUGAAUGAAACAAACAAAAGAUUUGAUCCCAGUAUUAAAAUAAAUAUACAUAUAUAUAUAUAUAUGAAAGGAGUGAAAAAAUUUUGAACUUGAGAAAUACUUUUUUGACUUUAGAAAUAGUGUAACACUAUUCACGCCAAAGAAGGAAGAUAAUGAAGCCAAUUCCCCACAUAUAAAGCCAACAAAAUUAAUUGAGUGAAGCCUUGCUUAAAAAACCCAUUCCAUGAUCCCAGUCCCACCACGCGCUUUGUAUAAAAUUCAAUUUAUUAGAAUAAUUGGAAUCAUUAGGAGAGGAAAUAUGUUUGUGUGCUUAGGACUACAUAUAGUUCCUGAACGUUGGGAUUUUUACGCGUGCCCCUUGCCUCCAUGUCAAAACAAUGGAUUUAAUUAAAUUGCAUUUGAAAUCCAUUAAGCAUAUUGAUGAGCACAAUUUAUAUACAUAUUUUACCCUUAAUUAUUUAAUUACUAAUUAUUUUUAUUUGUUAUUUUUAAUUAAUUAAAUUAUUUUAUUGAAUAGGGAAUUAAUUGGAGAUUAUAGAUAAAAAGAGCAUAAAAGAGUUCAAUUUACAAAGGAGAGAAAUUGAUUUAGCUUUAAGAAGGGACCCACACUUGGCUUUUAUAAUUGGAAAAAGGAGUUCUUAAGCAAUUCUAAGUGCAUAGGACGUGUGAAUCAAGUAAAAGGCUAAGCCUUUUGGCUUUAGGAUUGACAAGGUGGGGCCCAUUUUAAAGGCUAUAUAAGAAAGCUAAGCUUUUGACUUUUGAGAGGGUGAAGAGCCGCCAGAGGACAGAAACAAAAGGCUGAAAGAGAGCAAUCGGCAGCAGCAAUAUUUCGGCUUCCCCAUAGCUGAAUUUAUUUAUUUUGUUGCUCCCAAUUCAAGUAUGUCUAGCUAAUUUUUUUAUAUUGAGGUUAAGGAUGAAACCCUAUUCAAUGAAAUAAUUAUCUCUUUUUAUUUAAUUAAUUCCCUAUAUAUGUUCUUUGAUAAUUAUGGUUUUUAUUUCACAUGAUUAAUUGGAUGUUAUUAAAAUCUUUUCAUCAAUUCUGUCAUGCAUUAUUGAUUGUUAGGAUUAAUAUUCGAUUAAUUCUAUGCUUGGAUCUUUAAAGUUUAUACAUGAUUAUCUUUGAUUUUAUGUCUUUCAUUAAAUUGUUUACAUAGGGUGCUUAGGAAAACUUUGACUCUUUGUUAUUCAAUAUGUUUACAUGGGAUGCUUAGAUGUCAUAUUAUUAAGCAGAAAAAGAACCUACAUAAGAUUAAUUUUAUUUGGGCUUAAUUGUUAUAUCCAUGAGAUGACAUAGAUUGAUUUCGAGUUGUCACUCUAAAAUUGGGGAUUAAUUAAUAAUUAGAUAAUUACUAGUUGAAUAGUGGUGGAUUCUGAAACCUUGGUAAUUCUUAUCUCAUUAAAUUCUCCUUUAUUUUAAUUUCCUUAGUUUAAUUGGUUUAAUUUUCUUAAAAAUUCAAUUUGCUCAACUAGGUUAGAAUUAAUAUUAAUUUUAGAUUUAAAUUAGACUUUUUAAUUUAUAACAAUCCCUGUGGGAUCGACCUCGUUACCACUAUUCUAUUUCUAGAUUCGUGCGCUUGCGAGUAUAUUAAAAUUUUCACAACAAGUUUUUGGCGCCGUUGCCGGGGAUUGUGCUAGAAAGUCAGUUUAAUCUAGGUUGAUUUGAUUCUUCCACUAGUUAUAAUUUAGGUUGUCUUUUAUUUUUUUUAAUUAAAAAAAAACACAAAAAAAAACUUUUAUUUGUCUUUAAAUUCAUUCUUUAGUUGUUUAAUUUCUUUUUUUUUUUAAUUUCGUUUAUUCUCAUUAUUGUUGGUUCAUUUUAUUUUAUUUUAUUUUUCUUUCUUUCCUUGUCUAGUUAGUUUAUGAGUGUUUGGGAACGUGAUUCAACAAAUCGUUUGGUUAAAAGAGAGUCGAAAAUUGAUAGUAGUCAAGCUAGUUCUUUAGAAGUGAUGGAUGACCCAAAUAGAUUAUUACCAAUACUUCCACCAGUGCAAGCAGAGAAAACCCUUAGAGAAUACUUUUCACCACUUGCAGCCAACCAACCAUCUUGUAUUGUGUUGCCACAAACUACAGCAACACACUUUGAACUUAAGCCCUCAGUCAUUCAACUUUUACCAUCUUUCCAUGGGUUAGAGAGAGAGGAUCCAUAUUUGCACAUUAAGGAAUUUCUUGACAUAUGCUCUACAUUUCGUUUUCAAAAUUUUAAUGAUGAGUCAAUUAGGCUUCGUAUGUUCCCUUUCUCAUUAAAAGACAAAGCGAAAGCUUGGUUGAAUUCACUUCUUGCUGGGUCUAUUUCUACGUGGGAUGAAUUGAGUAAUAAGUUUCUCACCAAGUUUUUCCCUAUGUCUAAAACAAAUGCCCUUAGGAGAGAGAUAAGUGAUUUUUAUCAAAGAGAUGGUGAGCAAUUUUAUGAGUGUUGGGAAAGAUUCAAUGAUUUACUCCUCAAGUGUCCCCACCAUGGUUUUGAAAAAUGGAGACUUAUACAGUGCUUUUAUAAUGGUUUAACUAUGUCAAAUCGUCAUAUGGUAGAGUCUAUGAAUGGUGGGAGAUUUUUGAACUUACAUGAAGGGGCUGCAUGGGAUUUCUUUAAUUCACUUUCUGAAAAUUCUCAACAGUGGGAUUUUUCAAAUCAAAGGGAAAAAUUAUCUCAAGUUUCUAGAAAGGGGCUAUAUGAAGUUAAGGAUGAUUUAGAUAUGAAAUCCACUCUAGCUACACUUUCUAGGAAAGUAGAUGCCUUAGUUAUGAACCAAUCCAUAAAUCAUCAUCCUAGUGUAGCUAAUGAGGUUUGUGCUCUUUGUUCUAACUUGUCUCAUACAGCACAGAAUUGCCCAUCAUUACCAGCCUAUCAAGAGGCUUAUUCUGAGCAGGUACAUGCCUUACAAUCAUAUGAGAAAACCUCCAAUAGUCCAUAUUCAUCCACAUAUAAUCCUAAUUGGAGGAAUCACCCUAAUUUUUCUUGGAAACAAAAUCAACAAUUUGUCCCUCCUAACCAAGUAUAUCCUCCUGCCCAACAACCUAUGUCUCAAUUUGUUGCACCCCAACAAAGAAAGCCUUCUUUAGAGGAUACACUUCAAAGUUUCAUUCAGUCAACCCAACAAGCUUUUCAGUCAAACACUCAAGCUAUUCUAAAGCUUGAACAUCAAUUGGGUCAAUUAGCAACUACUGUAGCGGAGAGAGAAAAAGGAAAAUUCCCAAGUCAAUCAAUUCUCAAUCCUAAAGGAGUGCAUGAAGUUGGAUCGAGUUCGAGCCAUCAGCAUGAAGAAGCAAAAUCUAUUAUGACCUUGAGAAGAGGAAAAUUAUUUGACAACAAAGUAGAGGUUCAAACAAGGAAGACAUCUGAGCCUACUUCUUCAGAUCCAGUUCCAUCACAAGACUCAUCAACAAAUGAUCCAGAAGAGAGUGGCCCACCAGCUUACAUUCCUAAGGCUCCUUUUCCUCAAAGGUUAGCAAAGGUAAAGAAAGGGACUUCAACAUGUGAGAUUAUGGAAAUCUUCAAACAGGUAAGUAUAAACAUCCCUUUACUCGAUGCUAUUAAGCAAGUUCCUUCCUAUGCCAAGUUUUUGAAAGAUUUAUGCACUAAAAAGAGAAAUUUACAUGUCACUAAAAAGGCAUUUUUAACUGAACAAACUAGCAAUUUACUUCAAUGUAAAAUGCCACCAAAAUUUAAGGAUCCUGGUUCUCCUACUAUCUCAUGUGUUAUAGGAAACCAAUGUUUUGAUAAAGCAUUAUUGGAUUUGGGUGCUAGUGUUAAUCUCUUGCCUUAUUCUGUUUACAUGCAGCUUGGAUUAGGUGAGUUAAAAUCAACUCCUAUUAUUUUGCAACUUGCUGAUAGAUCAAUGAAAAUACCUCGUGGUAUUAUAGAGGAUGUGUUGAUACAGAUUGAUAAAUUUUAUUAUCCUGUUGAUUUUAUCGUUAUUGAUACUCAGCAUGUACAUGAUCCUAAGAAACACACUCCAGUUAUUCUAGGUCGUCCUUUCUUAGCUACAGCUGAUGCUCUUAUUAAUUGCAGGAAUGGAAACAUGAAGUUAUCUUUUGGUAAUAUGACCAUGGAAUUGAAUAUUUUUAAUGUUACCAAGCAGCCACAAGAAGAAGAUGAAUUUGUUGAAGCAAAUAUGAUAGAGGAAUUAGUAGAAGAUUCAUUCAUUUCUAACCAUAAUGAUGAUCCAUUAGAGGCAUGUCUAACUCAUUCUGAUUUAUCUUUUAAUGAUGACAGUGCAAUUGCAGAAGUCAGCGCUUUACUUGAUGCACCUCUAAUUACGGACACAACUAAAUGGAAGGCAAAGUCAGAAUUACUGCCUCAUUCUGAGAAGAAAAUUGGCCCAUCUGCGGAGGCACCACCAAAAUUGGAACUCAAAGCACUGCCCGACACUUUGGAAUAUGCAUUCUUGGGAGAAUCUGACACUCUACCUGUUAUUAUUUCUUCUUCCCUCGAUCUUGAGCAAAAAGGUAAAUUGUUAGAUAUUCUAAAAGAGCAUAAGGAGGCAAUAGGAUGGACCAUCGCUGAUAUUAAAGGUAUUAAUCCAGUAGAUUGCAUGCAUCGUAUUCAUCUUGAAGAAAAUGCUAAACCUAUUAGGGAAAUGCAACGUAGGCUAAAUCCUAACAUGAAAGAAGUGGUAAGAGCUGAAGUAAUCAAAUUAUUAGAUGCAGGAAUUAUUUAUCCUAUUUCAGAUAGCUCUUGGGUUAGCCAUGUGCAAGUUGUUCCUAAGAAAUCUGGUGUUACAGUAGUUACUAAUGCUAAUAAUGAAUUAAUUCCCACUAGAGUAACUACAGGUUGGCGUGUUUGCAUUGAUUAUAGAAAAUUGAAUUCAUUCACAAGAAAAUAUCAUUUUCCUCUUCCAUUUAUUGAUCAAAUGCUUGAUAGACUUGCAGGUCAUGAUUUUUAUUGUUUUCUAGAUGGAUAUUCAGGUUAUAAUCAGAUCCCUAUAGCUCCAGAGGACCAGGAGAAAACUACUUUUACUUGUCCCUUUGGAACUUUUGCAUAUAGGAGAAUGCCAUUUGGUUUAUGCAAUGCACCUGCUACUUUUCAAAGAUGCAUGCUUAGCAUUUUUUCUGAUAUGGUUGAGAGAUUUCUUGAAGUAUUCAUGGAUGAUUUUUCUGUUUAUGGAGAUUCUUUUAAUGAAUGUUUGCAGCAUCUAACAUUAGUUUUGCAGAGAUGUAAAGAAAAGAACUUGGUUCUAAAUUGGGAAAAGUGUCACUUCAUGGUAACACAAGGUAUUGUUCUUGGUCAUAUAAUUUCUAGCAAAGGUAUAGAAGUCGACAAAGCUAAGGUGGAUUUAAUUUCUAAUCUUCCACAUCCCAAAUCCGUAAAAGAAGUAAGAUCUUUCCUUGGACAUGCUGGUUUUUAUAGAAGAUUCAUUAAAGAUUUUAGUAAAAUUUCUAGACCCUUAUGCAAUUUACUUGUUAAGGAUUUACCUUUUAUCUUUGAUGAAUCUUGUCUUGAUGCUUUUGCAAAGCUUAAGAAAUUAUUGACUUCUUCACCUAUCAUUCAGGCACCUAAUUGGGAUUUGCCUUUUGAAAUUAUGUGUGAUGCAUCUGAUUAUGCAGUAGGAGCAGUUUUAGGACAAAGAUUAGAUCGUGUGCCUUAUGUGAUUUAUUAUGCUAGUAUGACACUCAAUGAUGCACAGUUGAACUAUUCAACUAUAGAAAAAGAAAUGCUAGCUGUGGUGUUUGCACUUGAUAAAUUCAGAUCUUAUCUUAUAGGAUGUAAAGUGAUUAUUUUUACUGAUCAUGCUGCUUUAAAAUAUUUGUUUACUAAGAAAGAUGCUAAGGCAAGAUUGAUUCGUUGGGUGUUGCUUUUACAAGAAUUUGACAUUGAAUUUAGAGAUAAAAAAGGUUCUGAAAAUGUUGUGGCGGAUCAUUUAUCUCGCCUUGAUCUUAAAUUUAUUCCAGAAUCUUUACCUUUGAAUGAGUCUUUCCCAGAUGAGCAACUUAUGAGUGUAAAUGUUGUACCAUGGUUUGCUGAUAUAGUUAAUUACCUUGCUACAGGUCAAAUCCCAGAGCACUGGACUAAGCAAGAUAGAACAAAGUUCUUAUCUAAAGUGAAAGACUUCUUUUGGGAUGAUCCCUAUUUAUUUAAAUAUUGUGCUGAUCAGAUUAUUAGGCGAUGUGUUCCCGAUAAUGAAAUUCAAAGUGUUAUCUCAUUUUGUCAUGAACAAGCUUGUGGAGGCCACUUUAGUGCUAAAAAGACAGCAACAAAAAUUUUACAGUGUGGUUUUUAUUGGCCUACUCUUUUUCAUGACGCUUAUAUUUUCUGUUCUUUGUGUGAUAGGUGCCAACGUAUGGGUAGCAUUUCAAAGAGGAACAUGAUGCCACUCAAUCCUAUUCUUGUGGUUGAGAUCUUCGAUGUAUGGGGUAUUGAUUUCAUGGGACCUUUCCCUCCAUCUUUUGGUUAUCAGUAUAUAUUGGUUGCAGUGGACUAUGUGUCGAAGUGGGUUGAAGCUAUUCCAUGCAAAACCAAUGAUCAUAGGGUUGUAGUGAAAUUCUUGAAGAGUAAUAUUCUGUCUCGUUUUGGUUUCCCUAGAACAAUCAUUAGUGAUGGUGGCACUCAUUUUUGUAAUAAACCUUUCAAAACUCUUUUGGACAAAUAUUCCAUUACACAUAAGGUUGCCACCCCAUACCAUCCUCAAACCAGUGGCCAAGUAGAGAUUUCUAAUAGAGAGAUCAAACAGAUUCUAGAGAAAACAGUUAGGUCAGAUAGAAAGGAUUGGUCUUUGAGACUUGAUGAUGCAUUGUGGGCAUAUAGGACUGCUUUUAAAACACCAAUUGGGAUGUCACCUUAUCGACUUGUGUAUGGAAAAGCAUGUCAUCUGCCAGUAGAGUUGGAGCAUCGUGCAUAUUGGACGAUCAAGAAAUUCAAUUUUGACAUGCAGCAGGCUGGUUCCAAGAGAAGAUUACAACUAGCAGAACUUGAAGAGAUCAGGAAUGAUGCAUAUGAGAAUGCCAAGAUUUAUAAACAGCGAAUGAAAGUCUUUCAUGACAAACACAUUUUGAGAAAAGCCUUUACACCAGGUCAGAAAGUACUUUUAUAUAAUUCCCGAUUGCAUCUCUUUCCAGGUAAGUUACGUUCCCGAUGGUCUGGUCCUUUUAUAGUUCGUACUGUCUUCCCUUAUGGAGCAAUUGAGAUUGAAAAUCCUAAAAAUGGUGAUUUAUUUAAGGUCAAUGGUCAAAGAUUAAAACCAUUUUUAGAAUUAAGAACACCAGAAGUUGAGGAGAUACUUUUAGAUGAUCCUGUUUAUUAGGAUUAAUUAAGUUCAUCUUUGCACUCUUGUUUUAUUUUAAUAGUAGGUUUUUUUUCUUUGUUUGUUUUUCUUUUCUAGUAUUUUUCUUUUCUAAUGUUUUCUUUUCAUUUGGUAUUUUCUUUUACGUUUUCCCAACCCAUCCAGGUGUGUUCUCUCCAACUUUCUUUUUAUUAUUUAAGUUUUUAUUAUUAUUAUUUUUUCUUUCAUUUGUUUGCAUGCAUAUCUUUUGUUUGUGAAACAUUGAGGACAAUGUUCCGAAUAAGUUUGGGGGUGAGAAUAGUGUGUGCUUUGUUUGUUAAAAAAAAAAAAAAAAAAAAAUUCAAAAAUUCAAAAAAAAAAAAUUGUGUUUUUUUGUUUCUACGUGAAAAGCCAAUGAUAAGAACUUGAUUGACAAUGAAUAUGGUUUUUAGAAAGGGUUGAAUAUUGUCUUAGUUUAUACUUGAUUCUUGUGUUAGUUCCUCUUGAUUGAGAUUCUUUAAACCAUGAGCACUAAUAUCAGUUCUUUCAUGAUUUUGACUUGAAAUUUGAGAUUGACGCAGCCUGAGUUGAGAAUUUUAGAUAGAGUAAAUGACUGUUUGUCUUGAUUCUUAUCUCCACAAUACAAAAUAGUAUAUACGGGCGCCAAAGUCAGAAAUAGCUACCUAUAACCCUUAAGAGUGAAGCUAUCCUUGAGUAAUUUGGGCCUAUGUACCACAAGUAUGUAGAGGAUAAUCUACCAUGAGAAGAAGGCUACCUUAAGGGGUAGAGUGAAAGCUCCUGACUAUGGUUAAAAAAAAAAAAAAAGAAGAAAAAAGAGAAAAAGAAAAGAAAAAAAAAUCAAAUCAAGUGCAUGUGCUGAAAAAAAAAAAAUCAAAGGAAAGUGCACAUAAAAGCCUGUGAGAGAAAAAAAAAAAAAUUUUGGAGAUCAAGAUAAUAAGAUUAGUUUGACCUACUUUGUUCUUUGUUUGAGGCGAAGGUUGUUGAUGUUGAGGAUUUUGGGAAUGGAUUUGAUUGAAUUGAUUUCACACACACACUACAAGAAUCGAAAGAGAGAUGGGAUUGAUUAUUGAAUUAAAGUUAGAACUUUGCCAAUAUUUGAAAUUUUCUUUGAGCUAUAUAAUUUAUGCAAUCUUUGAGGCUAUCUUCAUGUUUUGUUUAAAGCUUGUUGUUCUUUUCAUUUUAUUUUUAUUUUAAUUCUUUGAAAAAUGAUGUUUGUGGGUAUCAUCACUGAAGCCCUCACGAGACUAUAACUCGUCCACUAGGGCCGCCUAGGGGUUUAAAGGCUUGUUGCAUACGCUAAAUGCAAUCGCGAUUACCUGCGAAAGUGGUUUAGUUAGGAUUUACUUUUUGUUUCAUUAUUUUUAUUUUUGUUUUUUGUUUUAGCUUUGCUCGAGGACUAGCAAAAUCUAAGUUUGGGGGUAUUUGAUGAGCACAAUUUAUAUACAUAUUUUACCCUUAAUUAUUUAAUUACUAAUUAUUUUUAUUUGUUAUUUUUAAUUAAUUAAAUUAUUUUAUUGAAUAGGGAAUUAAUUGGAGAUUAUAGAUAAAAAGAGCAUAAAAGAGUUCAAUUUACAAAGGAGAGAAAUUGAUUUAGCUUUAAGAAGGGACCCACACUUGGCUUUUAUAAUUGGAAAAAGGAGUUCUUAAGCAAUUCUAAGUGCAUAGGACGUGUGAAUCAAGUAAAAGGCUAAGCCUUUUGGCUUUAGGAUUGACAAGGUGGGGCCCAUUUUAAAGGCUAUAUAAGAAAGCUAAGCUUUUGACUUUUGAGAGGGUGAAGAGCCGCCAGAGGACAGAAACAAAAGGCUGAAAGAGAGCAAUCGGCAGCAGCAAUAUUUCGGCUUCCCCAUAGCUGAAUUUAUUUAUUUUGUUGCUCCCAAUUCAAGUAUGUCUAGCUAAUUUUUUUAUAUUGAGGUUAAGGAUGAAACCCUAUUCAAUGAAAUAAUUAUCUCUUUUUAUUUAAUUAAUUCCCUAUAUAUGUUCUUUGAUAAUUAUGGUUUUUAUUUCACAUGAUUAAUUGGAUGUUAUUAAAAUCUUUUCAUCAAUUCUGUCAUGCAUUAUUGAUUGUUAGGAUUAAUAUUCGAUUAAUUCUAUGCUUGGAUCUUUAAAGUUUAUACAUGAUUAUCUUUGAUUUUAUGUCUUUCAUUAAAUUGUUUACAUAGGGUGCUUAGGAAAACUUUGACUCUUUGUUAUUCAAUAUGUUUACAUGGGAUGCUUAGAUGUCAUAUUAUUAAGCAGAAAAAGAACCUACAUAAGAUUAAUUUUAUUUGGGCUUAAUUGUUAUAUCCAUGAGAUGACAUAGAUUGAUUUCGAGUUGUCACUCUAAAAUUGGGGAUUAAUUAAUAAUUAGAUAAUUACUAGUUGAAUAGUGGUGGAUUCUGAAACCUUGGUAAUUCUUAUCUCAUUAAAUUCUCCUUUAUUUUAAUUUCCUUAGUUUAAUUGGUUUAAUUUUCUUAAAAAUUCAAUUUGCUCAACUAGGUUAGAAUUAAUAUUAAUUUUAGAUUUAAAUUAGACUUUUUAAUUUAUAACAAUCCCUGUGGGAUCGACCUCGUUACCACUAUUCUAUUUCUAGAUUCGUGCGCUUGCGAGUAUAUUAAAAUUUUCACAACACAUAUUCUUCACUUCAUUAUUUUGUUUUUUUUCUCUUUUUUCCCCAUUUUUCAAUCCUAUCUCAUUUUUGGAUGAUAUAAUGAACAUGUUUGAUCAGUUCUGGUCGGUUAUCAUUUGGAAAUAUUACAUUUUUUUUUUAUCCCAAUGCGAUAUAUUUUCUUCUCCAUUGAAGAUUCUUUGGAUGCUAUUAACCAAAAAAUGCAACAUUUUGUUCUGUUUAUAAAUUGGGAUUAUUUGCUUCUGGCUGUCAUUGACUCAUUGACCAUUAGCAAUAUAGCAUUAGGUAGUGCCCUCUCUUUUCUUUUGUCUUUGUCUUCUCCAAUUCGAGCUACAAAUGUUGCGAAGGAUUCCUUUUCCAUCUCCUCUCCAUUGUUUGGCUUCAAUAUUUUGGAUUUGAAUGGAAUCACAAUUUCUCACCUAUUGUCAUACAAAGUUUUGAAUACAUUAUUAUAUAAAAAUGUAAGUUAAAAAAAAUUACAAUAAAAUCUAAUAAUAUCAUUAAAAAAAUUUAUAUUUUGCACCAUCCAAUUUUUGACAAAAACUCAAGUAUCACAAGUAACGCAGCACCAACAUUUGAUUUUUUUUCUCUACUUUUGUACCCAAUUUUCAGCCAGAGUUGAAGUAAAUAACUUUUAAUUAAUUUAUGAAAAAAUAAUAAUAAUAUGAGAUCGACGGGUCCCAUCAAGAUUUUCUUAUCUCUUUAGUAAAUUUCCUGCAUAUUUAUUCUGCAUCAACCUUAACAUUGUAUGUGAAAAAUUUCUUCAUAUUUAUUUUGUCCGACAGAGACAAUAUUUUGAGAUUCAUAUACAAUUAACAUAAGGAAGCUUCCAAGAAAUUAAUGGGUGGACUUCAAAAAUGAGAAAAGACAACCACCAUCGUGAAAUUUUAAACUUUGUGGACCACAAUUUGCCUUUGUCUUUUCAUCUGAUUGGAAGCUACUCGAUGACAUUGACUGAUCAUUGAUUGUUAGAGUGUAAUUUAUGCACUAGUUUUGCAUUGUUUACUUCUCUUAAUAUGGAUAUUUUACACUUAAUAAUAGUGAUUUACUUGUGUUUUACUCUUGUAGGUGUAAUUAUAUUGAUUGGUGAUAAAAUUGAGCUACAAGGUGAUAUUUAAGGGUGAUUGUUUUCUUGGAGAAAGUGUGAGUGUCAGAAGAACUUUGUUGAUAAGGCGUGGGCGCGUGCUGUCAACUGCGGACCUGCAGUUUUUAGUUUAACGUGUUUUGUAUUUUUGGUUAUUUUUGUAAUUACGAAUUUAAUAUUUCAGAUAUUAGUAUUUUAUUUUAAAUAAAAUUCUAGAGGAGAAGAGAGAGAGAGUAUUUAAGAGAGGAAUCUAUUGUGAAAAAAAGGGGGGAUUGGAGAAAAAGAAAGAAACCCUAGAUCUAAACUUUUCUCUUCUCUCUAUGAAGAACUAAACCUAUUUUUCUGGUUGAAGGAUAAUGAAGCUUUGAUUCAUCACUACUGUGAGAUCUUUCUUAUGCUUUAAUUGUUUUAUUGCUUUUUGGGUAUUUGUUUAUUCUCUGAAUUAGUUUCAUGAUUAUGUUUGUUAAUUAGGUAAUUGGCCACUAUUUAAUUAUCAACUUAAUCUAUUGUCAAUUAAAGGUUCAUCGUAUGUAGAUUUUAAUGUUUGUGACAAAUAACAUAGCAGAGAGUUGUGUUGUGAGAAUAAACAAUCUAAUUUAAAUGAAUCAUCGUAUGUGUUGAUUAGGAUUUGGGUCUCUCUGGUUUUUCAGGCUGUCAAUUGAUUAAAUCCUAUGAUCGUAUCUAGGGUUGUCUAUUGAUUAGGGAAAUAACCAACGGUCGUACCUUGGUUAUCGACUAGUUAAGGAGAGAUUGGCUAUUAGAGGGUCUCAGUAGCUAUAACCGGUCUAUUCAUAAGUAAUAAUAAUCUAUAUUUAAAUCAAUUAUCAGUAGUCGAAUCAAGCUGAAUUAAUUCCUUCAACCAGAGCUUUCUCCAAUUUGAAUUACAACUUUAAUUUGCAUUCUUGUUAUUUUAAUUUGAUUUUUAUUAUUGUCAACAAAACCCCCAUUUUAUGUUUUACGUUUUAAAAGGAUUUAAAUAAUUACCGAUCUCUGUGGACACGACCCUGCUCAAUCACUAUACACAAUUUAUUUAGAGUAGGUAUUUAUUUUUGUUGGCUUCGACAACCAUCAAAUUUUGGCGCCGUUGCCGGGGAUUGGUGUCAUUUAUUUAAUCCUUUUUACGUUUUACUUGGUGUAUGGUUCGUUCUUCUCGUACAGGUAAGCUUUCGUUUGAUCCUGAAAUUGAGAAGACAGCUCGCCAGCUGAGACAACAGACGAAGCGAGCUAAGCAACGAUCCUCGUCGCCUUUGCUUUCUAAAACAUAUACAGUGCCUGAUUUAGUUGAAUCAUCCAGCGAUUCAGAAGAACAAGUGAUGGAUAGACCUGCACCUGUAGAAAGAACUCUUAGAGAGUUAGCUGAACCAGACUUGAAUCAACAACCACUAUGCAUUCAAUAUGUAGACUUGGAGGUAAAUUUUGAAUUAAAGUCUGGUCUUAUUCAUUUAUUACCCAAGUUUCAUGGUUUUGCAGGUGAAGAUCCUCAUAAACAUCUUAAGGAGUUUCAUGUUGUGUGUUCAAGUAUGAGACCACAGGGCCUGACUGAAGAGUAGAUUAAGUUGCGUGCUUUUUCGUUCUCUGUAGAUGGGCUAGCUAAAGAUUGGUUGUACUACUUGCCUCCUGGAUCGAUUACAACAUGGAAUGAUUUGAAGAAGCAGUUCCUCGAGAAGUACUUUCCUGUUUCAAGAGCUGCCAACAUCAGAAAAGACAUUUGUGGGAUCAGACAAAUUCCUGGGGAGACUUUGUAUGAGUAUUGGGAGCGAUUCAAACAAUUGUGUGCCAGCUGUCCUCAGCAUCAGAUUUCUGAUCAACUUUUUAUUCAAUAUUUUUACGAAGGACUGUCAUUAAUGGAUAGGAGUAUGAUAGAUGCUGCUAGUGGAGGUGUGUUGGUGAACAAGACCCCUACUCAAGCAAGGGAGUUGAUCUCAAAUAUGGCUACCAAUGCACAACAAUUUGGCAGCAGGCAAGAUGCUACUUCAAGAACGGUGAAUGAGGUAAAUGUUUAUUAUGUUGAACAACGUUUAGAUAAACUUACUUCUCUUGUGGAAAAGUUUGUUGUAGGUAAUGUGCAACAGGUAAAGACUUGUGGCAUUUGUUCCAAUAUGGGUCAUUCAACUUAUAUGUGUCCUACACUUCAAGAAGAACCCGUUGAACAAGCCAAUGCAGUUAGAGGAUUUCCAGGCAUGCCUCAGAGGAAGUAUGAUCCUUAUGCGCAAACAUACAAUCUGGGAUGGAAGGAUCAUCCCAACUUCAGCUAUGGAGUUAGGCAAUCAGGAUUCCCACAACAGUAUCCACCAAGACAACCAGCACCUCCACAGUCAAACUCCAAGUCAAGUAUAUCUCUUGAAGAAAUUGUUAAAUCACUUGCGACUAACACUCAACAAUUUCAGCAGGCAACUACAACAAGCAUUCAGAAUUUGGAGAACCAAAUGAGUCAAUUGGCGACUACAGUGAGCCGUCUGGAGUCUCAAGUAUUAAGGAGAUUGCCUUCACAAUCUGAGGUGAAUCCAAAGCAAAACGUUAGUGCUGUCAUCCUUAGAAGUGGGACGGAGUUGCAAGAGCCUAGUAAGAAAGUGACAAAGCAUGUAGAAGAUGAGCUUGAGAAGAAUGAAUUGAUGCCUCAAUCUCAUGAUGCGGAACCCACCAGAGCGAAACCCCUACCUAUUGUGAUACCUCCUCCUUUUCCAAGCCGGUUUACAAAAUCCAAAAAGGAGGAACAAGAGAAAGACAUCCUUGAGACAUUUCGCAAGGUUGAGGUAAAUAUUCCUUUAUUAGAUGCUAGAAAACAAAUACCUCGAUAUGCUAAAGUCCUUAAGGAACUGUGCACCUCCAAGAGAAAAUUAAGAGGAGAUGAAAAAGUUCACAUGAGGGAGAAUGUUUCAGCAGUUCUCCAAAAGAAACUACCUCUUAAGUGCAAGGAUCCAGGUAUGUUUACUAUCCCUUGUAAAAUUGGUAGUGUUAGAGUUAAAAAGGCUAUGUUAGAUCUAGGAGCUUCUAUUAAUGUCAUGCCUCGUUCCAUUUAUUCAUCUUUGAAUGUUGGUCCAUUAAAAGAAACUGGCGUGAUAAUUCAACUAGCUGAUAGGUCUAAUGCAUAUCCUGAUGGGGUAUUAGAAGAUGUCUUAGUACAAGUUAAUGAGUUGGUUUUUUCUACUGAUUUUUAUGUACUUGAUAUGGAAGAUGAUAACUCCUCUAAUUCUAUCCCAAUUUUGCUAGGAAGACCUUUUCUUAAAACUGCUAGGACUAAAAUUUAUUUCGAUGUCUUCUUCAUAUGGUUGGAACUCUAGAUAUGGCUUUAAUCUUUGACCAUUAACUUUAAACGUGACACCAUUUUUUAAGUCCUUAAUUUCAAUUGCCCUAUGUGGAAAAACAAUAUGAACAAUAAAGGGACCAGACCAUCGAGAGCGUAACUUACCUGGGAAUAGGUGCAAACGAGAAUUGAAUAAAAGCACUUUCUGACCUUUUGUGAAAGAUUUUCUCAUAAUUUGCUUGUCAUGGAAGACUUUCAUUCGUUGCUUGUAAAUCUUAGCAUUUUCGUAUGCGUCAUUGCGAAUUUCAUCAAGUUCUGCCAGUUGUAAUCUUCUUUCUGAGCUGGCUUGCUGCAUGUCAAAGUUGAAUUUCUUGAUGGCCCAAUACGCACGAUGCUCGAGUUCCACAGGUAGGUGGCAAGCUUUUCCACACACUAGCCUGUAGGGUGACAUCCCAAUCGGGGUCUUGAAAGCCGUUCUAUAUGCCCAUAAUGCAUCAUCAAGUCUUAAUGACCAAUCUUUUCUGUCUGGCCUCACUGUUUUUUCUAAUAUGUGCUUUAUUUCUCGAUUGGAGAUCUCAACUUGGCCACUGGUUUGCGGAUGAUACGGGGUCGCCACUUUGUGUGUGAUUGAAUACUUUGUCAAAAGAGCUUUGAAUGCUUUGUUACAAAAGUGGGCACCACCAUCACUGAUUAUUGCUCGAGGGAAUCCAAAGCGCGAAACAAUGUUGCUUUUAAAAAAUCCUAUCACCACCUUGUGAUCAUUGGUUCUACAUGGAAUUGCUUCUACCCAUUUUGAGACGUAGUCAACAGCAACCAAUAUGUAUUGAUGGCCAAAAGAAGGGGGAAAUGGUCCCAUGAAGUCGAUACCCCAUACGUAAAAAAUCUCAACCACUAAAAUUGGAUUUAGUGGCAUCAUGUUCCUUCGUGUAAUGCUCCCCAUUCGUUGACACCUAUCAUAUGAAGAACAGAAAGUGUAAGCGUCUCGAAAUAUAGUUGGCCAAUAGAAACCACAUUGUAAAACUUUAGUUACUGUUUUCUUCGCACGAAAAUGGCCUCCACAAGCUUGUUCAUGGUAGAAUGAAAUAAUAUUAUGAAUUUCAUUUUCUGGGACACAUCGUCUAACAAUUUGAUCUGCACAAUACUUGAACAAAUACGGGUCAUCCCAAAAGAAAUUCUUUAUCUCUGCAAAGAAUUUAGCCUUGUCUUGCUUGGUCCAAUGCUUUGGAAGUUUCCCUGUAACAAGAUAAUUAACUAUAUCAGGAUACCAUGGUAAUACUUCCACACUCAUUAAUUGUUCAUCUGGAAAUGACUCAUUUAAUGGUAAUGGUUCUGUAAUUGUGUCAAAAUGGAGACGAGAGAGAUGGUCCGCCACAAUAUUUUCUGUGCCUUUCUUAUCUUUGAAUUCCAAGUCAAAUUCUUGCAAAAGUAACACCGAACGAAUUAGUCUAGCUUUUGCAUCUUUCUUUGUGAGAAGAUAUUUAAGAGCAGCAUGAUCUGUGAAUACAAUUAUUUUACAACUAAUGAGAUAAGAUCGAAAUUUUUCUAAUGCAAACACUACUGCUAGCAUUUCUUUUUCAGUAGUUGAAUAGUUCAACUGUGCAUCAUUCAAUGUCAUACUAGCAUAGUAAAUAACAUGGGGAAUUCGAUCAACUCUUUGUCCUAAUACUGCUCCUACUGCAUAAUUAGAUGCAUUACACAUGAGUUCAAAUGGUAAGCUCCAGUUUGGGGCCUGAAUAAUGGGUGAUGAUGUCAACAAUUGCUUUAAUUUUUCAAAAGCCACAAGACAUGAAUCAUUAAAGAUAAAAGGUACAUCCUUAGCAAGUAAAUUGCAUAAGGGUCUAGAAACUUUGCUAAAAUCUUUAAUGAAACGUCUAUAGAAACUAGCAUGCCCAAGGAAAGAUCUUACUUCUCUGACUGUUUUAGGUGGAGGAAGAUUAGAAAUGAGAUCCACCUUAGCUUUGUCAACCUCAAUACCUUUGCUUGAAAUGAUGUGACCGAGAACAAUACCUUGUUUUACCAUAAAAUGGCACUUCUCCCAAUUUAAGACCAAGUUCUUCUCGAUACAUCUCUGCAGAACUAGUGUUAGAUGAUGUAAACAUUGAUCAAACGAAUCACCAAAGAUAGAAAAGUCAUCCAUAAAGACUUCAAGAAAUCGUUCAACCAUAUCAGAAAAAAUGCUUAGCAUGCAUCGUUGAAAUGUAGCAGGUGCAUUACAUAAUCCAAAUGAUAUUCUCCUAUAUGCAAAUGUGCCAAAAGGGCAAGUGAAAGUGGUUUUCUCAUGAUCUUUUGGUGCUAUGGGGAUCUGAUUAUAUCCUGAGUAGCCAUCUAGAAAGCAAUAAAAUUCAUGGCCUACUAAUCUAUCAAGCAUUUGAUCAAUAAAUGGUAAAGGAAAAUGAUCUUUACGUGUGACAGAAUUCAACUUUCUAUAAUCAAUACAUACACGCCAUCCUGUAGUUACUCUAGUGGGUAUCAAUUCAUUAUCAGUAUUUGUAACUACUGUGACUCCUGACUUUUUAGGGACAACUUGUACAGGACUGACCCAUGAACUAUCAGAAAUUGGAUAAAUGAUACCUGCAUCUAAUAGCUUAAGGACUUCAGUUCUAACAACUUCUUUCAUAUUAGGAUUUAACCGACGUUGCAUUUCCCUAGUAGAUUUAGCAUUUUCAUCAAGGUGAAUGUAAUGCAUGCAGUCUACCGGGUUUAUACAUUUUAUGUCUGCUAUGGUCCAUCCUAAUGCUCCUUUAUGCUCUUUUAAAAUAUCCAACAACUUACCUUUUUGUUCGUCAUUUAAGGAUGAUGAGAUGAUUACCGGCAGAGUACUUUCUUCUCCCAAAAAUGUAUAUUCCAAUAUGUUGGGCAAUGGUUUGAGCUCGAGUUUCGGUGGUGAUUCAGAUGAUGGGAUGAGUUUCUUUUCUGAUGGAGCUAGUUGUUCAACUCUUGACUUCUAUUUAUUAGUGUCCAUAGAUGGUGCUAAGUCAAGUAGGGCAUUGACCUCAUCGACCGAUCUGUCAAUAUCAAAAUCCAAACCAAAGUGAGUUAAACAUGUUUGUAAAGGAUCAUCACUAAGGUUUAAAAGAAAAGUAUUAUCAACUAUUGUUUCUAUUAAAUCCACAUCAAUAAUUCCAUCAUCUGCACUGUGAGGUUGUUUGGCAAUGUUGAAAAUGUUUAGCUCCAUAGUCAUGUUGCCGAAGGACAACUGCAUAUUUCCAGUCUUGCAUUGAAUGUGAGCAUCCACAGUUGCCAAGAAAGGUCGGCCUAGAAUAAUGGGGAUGUGCUUCCUCGAAUCCUGUAUUGGUUGAGUGUCAAUUACAAUAAAAUCAACAGGAAAAUAAAAUUUGUCUACCUGGAUAAGCACGUCCUCCACAAUACCAUGAGGUAUUUUCGUGGACCGAUCUGCAAGCUGUAACACCACUGGAGUUGGGUGUAAUUCUCCCAGUCCAAGUUUUAAAAAUACUGAGUAAGUCACAGAUUUACACUAGCUCCUAAAUCCAACAAAGCAUUCUCAAUUGUGCGGUUCCCUAUGCUACAUGAGAUAGUGGGGGAGCCUGGGUCUUUGCAUUUUAGAGGAAUUUUGUGUUGGAGUAUAGAACUAACGUUUUCUGUUAAAAAUGCCUUCUUUUGAACAUGAAUAUUUCUCUUUUUAGUACAAAGGUCUUUAAGAAACUUGGCAUAAGAUGAAACUUACUUUAUAGCAUCAAGUAAAGGGAUGUUAACACUUACCUGUUUGAAGAUUUCAAGAAUCUCACCUGUAGAUUUUCCCUUUUUUUCCCUUUAGCUAACCUCUGAGGAAAUGGAGCUUUAGGAACAUAUUCUCGUGGGUUGGCUUCUUCUUUCUCCUCCGGUGGUGAGUCCUCAACAUUCACAGGUACAAUUUGAUUUUCUUUUGUCACCGGCAUCUCCCCUUUGUUGUCGACUUCUUUUCCUUUUUGCAAGGUCAUGACUGCUUUGACCUCUCCAUGCUGCUGUGGUGAACUGGUACUUGCUUCAUGUACUCCUUUAGGAUUAGGCACUGGUUGACUUGGAAACUUACCUUUCUCAACGGUCAUUGCCAAGGUCUGAACUGAAGAAGCAAGUUGUCCCACCAUCUUUUCGAGGCUUGAAACUGAUUGGGCUUGUGAAUUGAAGCCAGCUCUUAACUCAUUUCAUAGUCCAUCAAUGGUGCGGUUCUGUUGCUCAAUCGUGGAGUGAGUAAGAUUCUUGAGAUUCUGGAAUGAAUCCUCCCAAGGUUUGGGUUGAGAGUAGUUUUGGUUCUGAUUGUAUGGUCUAAAUGGUGGCUGAGAGGCUUGAGGAUUUUGAGAAAUUUGUUGCAUUGGUGGAGCUGGAGCUGCUGGUCCAUUCUGUUGGAAUCCUUGAGACCAUGAAAAAUUGGGGUGGUCUCUCUAUCCAGGAUUAUAUGUGUUGGAGUAUGGGUUGUAAUUUGAUGGCUUUCUCAUUACACCUAUGGCAUUGGCUUGAUCUGAGUAUGAGUCAUGGUCAUGUGGCUCUGUUGAUUUAGCAGUCGAUAACGAUGCUAUUUGUCGAGCAAGACCUUCAACCAUCUUCUUGACUUAUUUGAUUCCCGAAGUUGACUCGCCAAUUUGAACCUCAUUUACUCCCUUAAUUCUUCUAGUAUUCCUGAGUGAUCGACUCCGUUGUUGGGAAUUAUCCGCUUGUCGCUGGAAGAAUUCCCAAAUCUCUUAUGCGCUUUUUGACAUUAGCUCUCUUCCACUUGUUGCCAUUAGUCAUUCUUGCACAUUUGGCAAUAACUCUUCUAAAAAGUAUUGGCAUUGGUGUCAUUUCUCGUACCCAUGAUGUGGACACUUCAAGAGUAGCCCAUUGAAUCGCUCCCAUGUUUCGAAAAACUGCUCGUCCUCUCUCUGGGUAAACUCUGAGAUUUCCCUGCGAAUAGCAUUGGUUUUAUGCACUAGGAAAUAUUUAUUCAAAAAUUUCAUUACCAUUUGUUCCCAUGAUGCAAUGCUAUUAGCAGGUAAAGUAUUUAACCAUGAACGAGCUCUAUCCUUUAAAGAAAAUGGGAAUAAUCUGAGUUUAACAUCAUCGUCUGAAAAAUUUUCAUAUUUAAAAGUUUGACAAAUGGCAUGAAAAUCAUUCAGAUGAUUAUAUGGGUCCUCAUUUUCUAGGCCAUAAAAUGUGGGGAGACAAUUUAGCACACUAGGUUUUAAUUCAAAACUCCUAGCAGCUACAUUUGGGUAUCUUAUACAUGAUGUGCUCAAAUUAGCUAAGGGACUGAAGUAGUUCUUAAAUGGCCUCUCCUGUGGUGCUUGUAAAUCCAUUUUAUUUUUAACGUGUUUGUGUGUGCGAAGUGUUUUUUCUAAUUCAAGGUCUAUAGGUUCAAGAUUAGGAAAUAAUGACCUACGACCAUGCAUGCAAGGAACAAAAAAUAAAUGGGAACAAAACAAAUAAAAAUAAAGAGGAAGGAGAAAUUACGAUACUAACCUUAUCGCGCUAUUAUAGCCUUACUAUAAAAAUACACAAAAAAUACGUGAAAUAAAUUAACUAAGAAUAAAUUAAUAAGAUAAAAAAAUUACAAAGAAAAAUAAAUUGAAAAUUAAAUUACAGAAAUUUAAAGAAGAGAAAAAGAAAAGAAAUACUAACCUUUAAAUGUAGAUUCACUUUUUUUUUUCUUUUUUUUUUUUAAAAAAAAAUUACAAGAAAAUAAUUAAAAGAAAUUAUUCACAAAAAUUAAUUUUAUGAAUUAAAAUUACUUACCUCCCCGGCAACGGCGCCAAAAACUUGUUGUGUAAAUUUUAAUGUACUCGCAAGCGCACGAAUCUAUUGUAGUAUAGAUCAAUGGUGACGAGUGUCAAUCCCACGAGGAGGUGGAUUUUAAUUGUGCGUAGAAUUAAUUUUGUAAAUGAGUGAUUGGAUUUGUGAUGGAAAUGAUUUGGAAUAUGCUAAAACUUAAAUUAAAAUGGCGAGAAUAAAUUCUAAAAUUGGAAUUGAAAUGACGAGAAUAAAUUGAAGAGAAAUCUAUUGAAAUGACGUACUUGGGUAUCUGGAUCCGUAUCAACAUGCAUCAUGGGCUAAAUAUUCCUUAUUAAUACCAAUUAAAUCAUGAGGGGGGAAUCCACACCUCAUGAACCACACUCUAAUCAAUAUGGUGCUAAGGGCUUAUCGUGCCAAAUAAUAAUAACCUUAUACUAGAGAGCCGGUGUAACCAAGACGGUAUCUAGACAAGAUUAUUAUUAUUUGUCGACGAGAAGUCAAAACAUCCACAAAAACUAGAGGGGAAGAGAAAAUAAAUUUACCAAAUUAAGCCCAUGACACAUGUUGAGACUUCACCUUCAACCCAAGCUUGAAAGAAUAUUAGCUACUCAUAAUUGAACUAGGGGCAAAAUGAGAAUUUAUUAAAAUACAUAGAAAAUACAAUAUGGAGAGGGAAUUACAGAAAAUGGAUCCCAAAAAUGGAUUCAGAGCUAUCAAAUUAGGGGGGAGAGGCUCCCAUUUUAUAGAUACAUGGAGUAAAUCAUGGCCAUCGGAUUAAAAACAGUUUGGACGCUCAGGAUUGCGCCACGUCAUCAGUCAACAGUACGCGGUUUGACCACGUGGAUGAACAGUAACACAAUUUGGUCGAAAAUAAUCAUGUGUGAUGCAUGUACCGUACGCGAGAUUUUUCGUCCACUGAUAUGCUGUCACGUCACCAUCAACAGUACAUAAGAAUUUUAGCCAACCAGGAUCGUGACACCUCAUCAGUCAAUGCCACAUCAUCGGUCAAUGCCACGUCAUCGAUCCGUCUAUGUGAACAGUGUCAUGAACAGUAACGUAGACAGUACCGUACACGUGAAUAGUACCGUACAUGUGAAUAAUGCCAUUUUUCCUUUUAUGCUCCUCCUAAGGUUUUCGACCGUCCUGAGUUCAAAAGUGAUGUCCGUUUUGCCGUCUGAUCUCUCCUUUAUUGUGAAAUGACUAUAAUGCCCCUAAAAUACAUAAAAUACUUAAUUAAAAUAAAACACAUGUAAUUAAAUCACAAGAAUGUUAAAUACAUAAAAGUAAGGGUUGUUAGUAAGACUUGAAAUGUAAAAUGACGGUUUUCUCCUUUAUAAAUAUGCAUUUUCUAACACUCAACAAUCACCAUAUGUUUGAUGAAAUUGGGUUGUUCCGCCAUGAAUUAACCUCAACAAGCAUGUCUAAGUAAACCGCGAUACACUGAUGAGACAAGAUUAAGGGUACCCAUAGUACUCAGGGUACCCUAUGACAGAAAACCAUUCCUCGUGUACACCAAGGGGAACUCUAAGAAAGCCUGAGAUAAGUAGCAAGCAUAUUUGAAGGAAUCGCCAUAUGUUUAAUGAAAUUGGGUUAUCCUGCCAUGAAGUAACAGAUAGCUCAGGGGAUAUCCAAGCUUAAAAGUACCCGAGGUACCCCAUACGCCUUGUCGGUAAUGCCGAACAAGGUUACAUAGUAGGAUGGUUAUCUUCACCUUCAUUAUUUAGGAUAAGGGGAUCAACAAAAGUGCUAGAAAUAGCAGAAACACAAGCGUCAGUAUCAAGGAUACCUUAUGGCGACUUCAUCCGAGGUACCCCAGUUGAUCUCCAUGGGCUUUCAAACCAAGAUGUGUGGGGAGCCCUGCUAUUCUCAAUUGCCUUCAAGAUAGCCGGCUUAUCUACCUAGUACUCUACUCUUGGCACCACCAGCCCCAUAUCAGCACUCCAUUCCUCGGUCAUGAAGCGCUCAAAAGCAUUGUCAACUAUGUUCUUAUGUCGAGGUACCAAGUCCUCAAGCUUAACUUAAAGCUCCUCAGGGUCUUCCACCUUAUGGGCCUUCUCCUCUAAAACUUCAUCAAAGUGUCCCCUCAAAGUCUUGUUCACCCCAGAGAUCUUCCCUUCAUGAGGGUACCCCUAGAGGCGUCCUCUAUUCAACUGUCCAUCGGGCUAAACUUUAUACCGCCACGUGUCGCUCCUACUUUUUAUGUAAGUUUCUUUUGCCUCAGAUACACCGCACUGCACACAACAAACCAGUGAGGUACCCUAUCUCCCCCAAAAAUACAAAUUCAUUGUUCAAGAUAGAUUUUGGUUUUUCCUACCUCAAAAUCAGUUGAAAACACUAUGAAUAGUGAUCUAAUACUUGUGAUAAAUUACAGGCUCUGUUUAACAUAUCAAAUACCAAAGUUUAAAUAUUACAAACAAUAACAAACAGAGUGCAGCUCCUAAUCGGUUAUUUGUUACAGUAAAUAAACCCCACCAUUCCAUUUCAAGUUUCCACAGUCAGUUCCAUUGAUCAUAUGCUGAAGCUACGGUGGAAUGAUAGAUCUUCUUUUAGUUUCCUGCACAUUGAAACUCUCUAAUUGGUGUGUUAUUUUUUUGUUAAAUUUCUAUUAAUAAUUUCUUAAUGUUACUGAGAAGUUAGUAGAUCAUGGGAUGAGAGCAGAAGACUUUUUGGCUGAUCCAACUCCUAUUACAAUCAAGUUGGUAACUGCAUUUGGUAAUUACAUCUUUAUUACUUGCAAUCUCUUAUCGCCUUUUCAAGUUGAUUUUAGUUAUUUGUUCUUAAUAUUCUAAGUGCAUGGACUUCACGGAAGGUUCAGGUUCUGUGGUGGUGUUAGAAUUGCUAGAAAACAUUUUUGUAUAGGUUCCGUCAUGAUAUUCUCAUGUGCCAUAUAAAUCAUCAUUGUUUUGCAAGUGCUCUACGACAUUCUUUACUGGAUAAGCUAGCCAGGGUGCCUUAGAGGCAAGAGUCAAGACGAAAAUGAAAUAUAUCUAAAGCUACACACAAGCACAGGUGGGUCAUUUUAUUAUUUAUAAGUCUUCUUUCUCUUUUAACUUAGGCUAACAGCUUGUUGAACCCAAGCAUGAUUCAUUUCACAGAGGCUUGACCUGCUAUGUGGUCCAAACUUCAUUGAAAACUCCUUGGUAACGAUUUUUAUAUUGCAGAUUCUAUUGCUCAAUUCUGUUACUGUGCAGUCAGGCAUGAGUCAACAGCAAUGAUAGACUUGAAAGUAAUUUUUGCUGGUUUACAAAUAGAUUGCAGAAUUAUUCAAGGUGUUCUGCAUUUUUCAUAAUUGGACCAACGAACUAUUCACGAAUUAGUAGUGAACGAGUGUUCUAUAUAGUGGUUUGCUUUAAAUAUUGAAGGAAAAAGGUGGUCCAUUGACCAUUGUGUUUUUUUUUUUUUUGUUGUUAUAGCUCUAAUCUUUUCUUAUGGCCCCAGUGUAGGUUAGUUAUAUGUUGAGCACAAUGAUGCUAUUUUAGUAGUCAUAAUUCCUGCAGCCAAGCACCUGAAAUUGCUUCAUCUCAAGUUCUAAGAAUUGCGAAGGAGUUUUCUGGGGGUCAUAGAGUGCUGAGGGCGCGAGAUAAGCUUGCAACUUUGCUGCAAAUUUGAGGAUAAGUUUCUGCAGCACAUUACAACUGGUGAGGUGAGUUUAAUUUGUUUUAGAUAUUUAUUAUUGUUCUUGCGAAUUUCCAAGUAGCAUAUUAAAAAGUUUGAUUUUUUAAUGACUUUGCUUAUAUUCUUUUCAUUCAUACAAUUUGAGAAUUGAAAAAGGAGAAAACCAAGACGUAAAUGAGAAUGUGAUAAUAUCCUCUCUUAAACUGAAGCCUAGAAGAAAAUUUCUUGAUUAGUAGCUGUCAUAAUGCGUGGUUUCUGGUUGGGAAGCUGUUGCAAAUUUAACGAGAUCAAACAGCUCUCUUUGGACAGACAUUUUGAUUCGAUAAUGUCAAGAGGGAUUGUCUUGUGCCAGUUCCCCGCCUGAUCUUUUAAUCAUUUUAGGAUUUGCAAGUGAAGCGUCAGGAUUUGCAAGUUAAGCGACCUUCUCAUAUUCAUUUUCUGUUCGAUUGUGUUAGAAGCUAAUUGUUAAACAAAGGUUUCAAUGCAGAAAAUAAUUCUAUGUGUAUAUUCUUCUCCAAAUCAGAGGCAAUAUAUGAAGUUAAUUACAUCCUAAAAAAGGAAGAAAUAAAUUGUUUCUAUAUUUAAAUACAAGACUGAUCAACUAAAAGAUUCUCGUACGUAAUUACAAAAUCAAUUCCAUAAUUGGCAGCACAUGCCAACAGCUCAUGCCAGCUCAUGCCGACACUCCCCCUCAAGUUGGAGCAUAGAUAUCUAUCAUGCCCAACUUGUCAAUUAUAUCAUGAAACACCCUUCCUGAUACUGCUUUUGUGAGUAUGUCAGCCAACUGAUCUCCAGAUUGAACAAAUGGGAACUGUAUAGUUUUCUCGUCAAGCUUCUCCUUGAUGAAACGACGAUCUACUUCAACAUGUUUUGUGCGAUCAUGUUGUACAGGAUUCUGGGCAAUCUUUAUGGCUGCUUUAUUAUCACAUUUGAGAUUCAUGGGUUUUGCAUAAUCAAUCCCCAAAUCUUUCAGUAUGUUCUUGAUCCAUAACAUCUCACACACACCUUGUGCCAUUCCACGAAAUUCCGCUUCAGCUCUUGAUCUUGCCACAACCUUCUGCUUCUUGCUUCUCCAAGUGACGAGAUUGCCUUCAACAAAUGUAAAAUAACCUGAGGUCGAUCUUCUUGUUGUCUGGUCACCUGCCCAAUCAGAGUCCGUAUAUCCUUCAAUGUUUGAGACAUUAUUUUUUUAGAACAAUAAACCUUUUCCAGGAGCACACUUCAAAUAUCUCAGAAUUCGAUAGACUGCAUCCAUAUAUUCUUCACUUGGUGAAUGCAUGAAUUGGCUUACUAUACUUACGGCAUAUGUUAUGUCUGGCCUUGUGUGGGAUAAAUAGAUUAACCUCCCAACUAGCCGUUGAUAACGACCCUUAUCAGUUGGAGUUUGAUUUGGUAAAAUCCCGAGCUUGUGAUUCAUCUCUAUAGGCGUUUCAGCUGGUUUACAAUCAAGCAUACUAGUUUCAGUGAGGAGAUCUAACACGUAUUUUCGUUGCGAAAGAAAAAUUCCACUUUUCGAUCUUGCUACCUCAAUCCCCAAGAAGUAUUUAAGCUGCCCAAGAUCUUUCAUUUCGAAUUCAGCAGCCAAAUGUUCUUGUAGUGCUUUCAUUUCAGAUAAAUCAUCCUCUGUUAAUACCAUAUCAUCAACAUACACUAUUAACACCAUCACUUUUCCGCCUUUGUGUUUUAUAAACAAAGUAUGGUCUGAAUUACUUUGUUUAUAACCAGCAGCUUUCAUUGUCACUGAAAACCUCCCAAACCAUGCCCUAGGUGACUGUUUUAGUCCGUACAAGGACUUCUCCAGCUUACAUACUUCAUUUCUACGCAUAGAACUAUGUUUGACACCAGGAGGUAGCUCCAUGUAAACUUCUUCUUCUAAAUCUCCAUUGAGAAAAGCAUUUUUGACAUCGAACUAUUUCAAGGGCCAAUCUGGAUUUGCUGCUAUAGAAAUAAUAAUACGAAUGGUAUUUAUCUUGGCUACUAGUGCGAAAGUGUCUUGGUAAUCUAUUCCAUACCUUUGUGUAUAUCCCUUUGCCACUAGUCUCGCUUUAUACCUAUCAAUGCUUCCAUCCGCUCUGAGUUUCACCAUGAAUACCCAUCUACAUCCAAUUGUUUUCCUUUCCUUAGGUAGUGAAACCAGUUCCCAAGUGGCAUUUUUUUGUAGAGCUUCCAUUUCUUCAUUCAUCGCCUUAGUCCAUUUUGGAUCCUCCAAAGCAUCUUGUACACUACUAGGAAUAGAUAUAGUGGAUAAUUGAUUAAUAGUAAGUGCAUAUGAUUCACACAACCUAUGAGAUGACAUGUAGUUACUGAUUGGGUAUUUUAUUUUGGAUUUGGGAUCAGGUUCAUAUUGUUUCUUUGGAAUUCCUCUAUUUGACCUUUGUGGAUAUCUAGGAUUCAUGUUUUCUACAGAAAAAAAUAGUUUAUUAGACUCAUUAGACAAUGGAUUUGAAAUUGCCUGAGGAGGAACACUUUCGGUUAAUUCUUCAGUUAAUGGUGUAGACAUGGGUAGCUCUAGUGGCCUUGAUUGUGCUUCAGACAUGUCCAGAAAAUUAGAGGGAUCACAUUCGGUUUCAGUCAUGUUAUCACACCCUUGUUGAACCUCAUCAUCGUUUUGAAGUUUUUCGACCAUGUCUUCUAAUUCUACAAAUUCACCUCCUCCUUCAUUUUUUCUUUGACCAUUCUCUUCACACAAACUCUCCCCCUGGAGGGAAUGGUCAGAGACUCCCCCUGAAUAAUAAGGUUCUAAUUCAUGAAAAGAGACAUCCAAAGUUACAUGUAAUUUUUUUGUGUGUGGAUCAUAGCACCUAUAACCUUUUUGAAGAUCAGAAUAGCCAAUAAAAACACAGCGUUUGGCACAUGGAUCAAGUUUAGUUCGUAAACUUUUUGGAAUGUGAGCAUAAACAAUACAACCAAAUAUUCGGGGUUCAAGAUUAGGAAGAUGAGGAAUUGAGAGUAAGGAUUGCAUUUUUUGUUGGGGAGUUUGAAAAUCUAGCACUCGUGAAGGGGUUCGAUUAAUGAGAUAAGCUGCAGAUUUUACAGCUUCUCCCCAAUAAAACCGAGGCAUGUUCAUGCCAAAAAGAGAAGCACGAACCACCUCUAAAAUCUGUCUAUUUUUCCUCUUAGCCAGCCCGUUUUAUUGUGGGGUGUAAGUGCAUGAGGUCUGAUGACGAAUUCCAUGAAUGUUUAAAAACUUGCCAAGAGAGGCAUCCAUAUACUCAGUACCAUUGUCAGAUUGAAGUACACGAAUCUGCUUUUGAUAUUGAGUACUUACCAUUUUGUGAAAUUCUUGAAAGGCUAGACAUACAUCGCUUUUUUUUUAUAAGUAAAGACACCCAAAUCAUUCUAGUACAUUCAUCAAUAAAUGUCACAAAAAAACGAGCUUUAGAAAGAGAAGCAACUUUUGCAGGACCCCAAACAUCUGAAUGAAUCACCACAAAAGGUUUUAAACUUUUAUUUAAACUUGGUAAAUAAGAAGUGCGAUGGCUUUUAGCCAUCUCACAAAUGUCACAAUGAAAAUUCAAAUCAUUUUGAGUUGAAAAAAGAUGAGGCUAUAAUUUUUUUAGAUAACCAAAAGAAAGGCGUCCUAAUCUACGAUGCCAUAACCAAACAUUUGCCUGAGUUCUAUCUUCAUUAGAAGCUUGAUUUGCCUGACUGAUAUUUGGUCCCUCAUUUCCUGUCAAUUCCAAGUAAUAGAGUUUACCCCGUCUAACACCAUAACCAAGAAUCUUCCGAGUUAGGAUGUCCUGAAAAACACAAAAAGUGGGCCAAAAUGUUACAGUGCAAGCAAGUGUGGAGGUAAUUUGGCUAACAGACAAAAGAUUAUAUUCAAGAGAUGGGACAACAAGAACUGUAUCUAAUGUAAGAGUAUUACUCAGGGUAAUAGACCCUUCCCCAUUAAUAGGAGAAGUACUACCGUUUGCAGUGGAGAUAACAUAUUGAGAAGAGGGAAUAACAUAUUUUAAUUGGCCAGAAUCUCUGGUCAUAUGCUCAGAUGCACCUGUAUCAAUAAUCCACAUUCUAUUCUUAGAAGUUACAGAACAUACAGAUGCCUUACCAAUAAUAUCUGGGUGGGCAACAUUUGCUGAAGGUGAUGGUUGUUCUUCAUCCUUUGCUGCUGUCACAUUAGCCUUCCUAAAUAUUUUCUUACGGGGCUUCUUUAAGAAAUCCCACCAAUCGGGAUAGCCAAUGAUUUCAUAGCAGCGUUGUUGUGAAUGACCUUUUUCUCCGCAAUGAGUGCACACAAGGUUGUUAACUUUGCUAGACGAUUGAUUUCCUCGAUUUUUCGAAGAUCCAUUUCAGUUUUGACUGGCCAGCAUGGCAAGGUUCUCCGAAAUUAAAUGAGAGCCUCCCAUUGUUUGUCUCUGUUGGUAAUCCCUUCUAACAUAAGCAUAUGUGCUUUCUAAAUCAAGCUUUGGGUCUUUUCGCAAUAUCUCUCCACGAACCUGUUCAAACUCUGAGUCGAGGCCACUUAGAAAAAUAUGAACUCGAAGCCUAGCCAUUGCAGAAUGCAGCUGUAACACCCCUUCGACUGUGCCUUCUUGAGUGGUAGUCCUAUGAUCGAUUUCCUAAAAAAUGGCAACCAGUUCAUUGUAAUACGUUGGCAAUGGUCGCCCAUCCUGUUUGGUAGAGAAAGAUCUCUGGUUCAGCUAAAAAAUAUAGGUUUCAUUGGUUCCGUUAUAGAAGGUUUUCGAUACAGCCUCCCAUAUAUCUUUGGCUGUAGGGAGACGAAUAAAUCGUUGCAUCAACGAUGGACUCAUUGAGUCAAUCAACCAGCUCUUGACUCUUUGAUUUUCAGUAAUCCAUGAUCCAAGAUUAGGAUCUCCAGGUGCUGGUUUCUUCGUUUCUCCAGUAAGAUAACCAGCUUUGUUGCGAGCACUAAUCCGCAUCUCCAUGAGUUGAGACCAUAAUGAGUAGUUGGUCUCAUCCAGAGUGAUUCCAGUUGGAAAUGCCGAGUUGUCUUGAUGAACAACAACUUGUGGUGCUGGUGGUGGGAUAAUAUACAUUGAUACGCCUGUGAUAUCAGCCAUAGAGUUCACAACAACGGUGAAUAUUCAGAAUACGAAUACGAAUUUCGAGAGAAAAAAAGAAAAAAGAAAAAAUUCGGUUGUCAACACAAAUUCUCUUGAUGAGGAACCUGCUCUGAUACCAUGUCAAACAAAGGUUUCAAUACAGAAAAUAAUUCUAUGUGUAUAUUCUUCUCCAAAUCAGAGGCAAUAUAUGAAGCUAAUUAUAUCCUAAAAAAGGAAGAAAUAAAUUGUUUCUAUAUUUAAAUACAAGACUGAUCAACUAAAAGAUUCCCAGACGUAAUUACAAAAUCAAUUCCAUAGUUGGCAGCACAUGCCAACAGCUCAUGCCAGCUCAUGCUGACACUAAUGGCUACCAACCGUAUCUAAUAUACCCUGAGAUCUUUAAUAAUAGGUUUCCUCGAGCUUGCAAAAGAACUAUCACGUCUUUGUGUUGAUGAGGUAAUGGAACCAUCUGCAUCCGAAGCUCCUUACUUCUAAUUCUUAGAGGCUUUUGCCCUUCUACCCUUUUCAUGAUGCUGGAUGUUCGAUUUUUUAUUUUGGUCAUAAUUUAGAUUCUUUACAUUAGAUAUAUUGAUGGGUCCUACAUAGAUAGUAUUGCUCUCUGUUGGGUGCAAGAUUUGGAUAUUCUUAUUAUACGCUAAUAAAAUAGCAAGGUAAAUCUUGUUUCUAUUAAUUGAUGAAGUUACUGGCUGACUUAUGAAACAGGCACAUGUUGUUCUGGGGGAGGUGGUUUCUGGUGCUUCAAAUGCUACACCAAGCCUGGAAGAUAUCCUUUGCUCAAGAGAGAGGUGUGGCUCUUAUGAUUAUGUCACAAAAUAUUUGUGUGCGCACACGCACUGAUUUGACUUGUAUGUGGUUCAAAACUUCAAAUUUCUUUUUUCUUGUCACAAUAGUUGAUUGUUUGGAAAUGAGGCAGAGCAUGCUAGUGACACUGAACAGUGUCAUUUUCCAUUAGUUCAAGAUUUUUGGGAUGAAUGGUUCAAUCAAAACUGCUAAAUGGUUACUAAGAUUUUUUCUCAAUGUCCUCCGAAAUCUGUUUGCUUUUACUGGAAUGGAAAUACAGUGCAAAGAGGAGGUAAAGACACGAUCUUCGAAGAAAGAAAAUGAGGCAGAGGAAGUUAGCGACAUUGGACAGGGUAUACAUGCAGUGUUAAAGAUAUAAGGUCUGUUUGGUAGGCAGGAAAGUAAAGGAAAAUGUAAACGAGAGAGAAUUGUUGAAAACAGAAAAGAUGCUUUGUAAAUCUUAUUAAUCUGAAUUGAUACAAUGAUAUUUAUAGUGAAGCCUAGAAUCUUCUAAAGCAUGCAAAGCAUGAGCUAGAAACAACUAAACCGUAACCAACUCUUAGCAGGAAUUCAACAACUUUACAAAACAGAAAUCCAGCUCAGCACUUGACUAAGCAUUCCACCUAAGCAACAAUGAUCUGACUUAUCAUUUAAUCUUAACAUUCCCCUUUAAGCUCAAGGUCUUGGAGAGACAUUGAGCUUAGAUCUCAUGUAAGCAAAAUGAUCAAAUGACAAUGGCUUAGUAAAGAUAUCAGCAAGUUGGUCUGAGCUUGAUACAUGUUGAAUUGUGAAUUCUUUCUUAGCCACAUGCUCUCGGAUGAAAUGAAGGUCCAGCUCGAUAUGCUUAGUUCUUGUAUGGUAUUUUGGAUUACUAGCUAAAGCCUCAGCACUCUUAUUGUCACAGUAUAAAAGAGGAGAUGUGUCCAGCUGCACUUUCAACUCUUUCAGCAGAUAGGUUAUCCACAACACUUCAGAGGUGGCUGAAGCAAGUGCUCGAUACUCUGAUUCAGCAGUAGAUCGAGAAACAAGAGUUUGCUUCUUUGAUGACCAGCUUACAAGGUUUGAGCCAAGAAACAUACAAUAACCUCCCAUUGACCUUCUGUCAUCUGGAUCAGAACCCCAAUCUGCAUUUGAGUAAGCUGUCAAGUUAAGUGAACCUGAAUGAUGAAACUGGAGGCCAAAAUGAGCUGUACCUUGAAGAUACCUGAGCAGCCUUUUGCAGGCUUGCCAAUGCAGAACAGUAGGAGCUGCUAAGAACUGACUAAGUUUACUAACUGUAAAUGCUAUCUCAGGUCUGGUUAAAGUUACAUAUUGAAGUGAACCAAUAACACUUCUGUAAAGAGAUGGAUUCUCAAAUGGAUUGCCUAAGUCUUUUUGAAGUUUCUCAGAAACACUUAUAGGAGUAUUGCAACUUUUGCUACCAAGCAUAUUAGUUUUGCUUAGAAUAUCACAAAUGUAUUUUGUCUGAGAUAAAUGCAUCCCUUCAGCUGAUGGUGUAACUUCUAGACCAAGAAAAUAGCUGAAAUCCCCCAGAUCUUUGAGUGCAAAUUCAGAACCAAGUUGCUUGAUAACCUUUUCUAUGAAAACUAUAUUUGAUCCCGUAACAAGUAUAUCAUCUACAUAAAUGAGAACCAUUAUUAUAUCCCUCUCAUUGUGUUGAAAAAAUAAUGAAGUAUCAGACUUUGAAGCUUGAAAACCCCACUGUAAGAGAGAGUUUUUGAGUCUGUCAUACCAGGCUCUUGGAGCCUGUUUGAGACCAUAUAAGGCUUUGUUUAACUUGCACACAUGAGAAGGAUAUUGUGAAUUAAUGAAUCCUGCAGGCUGAUGCAUAUAGCCAUCCUCUGUUAGCUCUCCAUUUAGAAAAGCAUUGUUGAUAUCUAACUGUCUAACUGACCAGUGAUGCAUGACAGCAAGGCUUAAGAUAAUUCUGACAGUACAAGGCUUAACAACAGGGCUAAAGGUUUCAAAGAAGUCUAUGCCAUAAGUCUGAUGAAAUCCCUUUGCAACUAACCUAGCUUUAAACUUUGAAACACUCCCAUCUAGAUUGUACUUCACCCGAAAUACCCAUUUGUUACCAAUAAUUUUUGUUGCUGUGUCUGCUGGUACCAAUGUCCAGGUUUGAUUCUUCUCCAGAGCAGUAAACUCUUCUUUCAUGGCCAUGUGCCACUUGAGAUCAGCUAAAGCCUCUUUAACACUCUUUGGUUCAUAACUUUGUGUGACAGUAAGGAAAGUUUUUGGUUUGAAAAUGCCUGAUUUGGCUCUUGUGGUCAUGGAAUGUUGAUUAAUUAGUGGUUGAGGCAAAGGAGAUAUGUGAGGUGUUUGGUGGGGGACUGAUGUUGAUGAAGAAGAAGGUUCAUGAUGCUGUCUUGAAUUUAAAGAACCUGGUGUUGGCAGCACAGCUGAACAAGGUGAUGCAGCAGGAGACUGAUACGAGCUAUUGUCAUGAAGAGUACAAAGUGGUGAAGAGAAAACUGAUUGAUCAACAGAAGACUGAGACACAGAGGAUGAAGAGAACAUUUCUGAAUAAGGAAAUUCAGACUCAUUGAACUGAACAUGAAUGGCUAUAUAGAUUCUCCUUUAUUUAUCUAAACACUUAUAACCCUUGUGAAGAGGGUUGUACCCCAGAAAUAAGCAUUUCUGAGAAUGGAAAUCAAGCUUAUGUGAAUUAUAAGGUUUGAGAAGAGGAUAACAGGCACAUCCAAACACUUUAAGAAACUGAUAAUCUGAUAACUGAUGGUGUAACUUUUGAAAAGGUGACACAUUAUUCAGAACUGAUGUGGGCAUUCUAUUUAUGAGAAAGGAUGCAGUAUGAAAAGCUUCCCACCAAAAUGAUAAGGGCAUGUUGGCUUGUGCAAGAAGAGUUAGACCAGUCUCAACAAUAUGUCUAUGUUUUCUUUCAACAACACCAUUUUGGUGAUGUGAAUGAGGACAGCUGAACCUAGAUUGAAUACCCUCUUGCUGAAGAAAAGAAUGAAAAAUUCUAAACUCUCCUCUCAUAUCUGACUGCAAUGUUUUGAUGGGCAUAUUGAACUGUUUUUCAACCAAUCGUUUGAAGGUUUUGAAAGUCUCUAAAGCAUCAAAUUUAAGAACAAGAGGAAAAAUCCAACUAUACCGAGUAUAGUCAUCAACAAAUGAAACAUAAUACUUGUAACCAUUCAUAGACAUUUCUGAGGCAGGUCCCCAAAGGUCUGUAUGGAUUAAUUCUAAUGGCUGUUUAGUUCUAAUUUCAGAGGUUGAGAAAUGAAACCUAUGCAACUUUCCUUGUUGACAAGCAUUGCAAAAUUCAAAUGAAUGUUGAUUAUUAUAACUGGAAGACAUACAAGAAUUCUUCAAAAUGACUUGAAUAACAUGCUUGCUUGGAUGACCAAGUCUAUUAUGUAACAAGUUUGCAGAGUUUACACUUGUAACAGACUCUUUAUUGAAAGCAACAUUAGAAAGACAUUCUUUAUUUGAAUUGGAAAAUAAGACUGACAUCAUAGAACUUGGACUAAGAGUUGAGAUAUUGGAAGAUAGCACAGAAUCUUCAUAUGACAAUAGUUUGUAUAAGCCACCUUUAGCAAUCCCCUGAGCAAGUAGUGUUCCCUUCACCUUGUCCUUAACAAAACAUGCAUCAGAAAUGAAUUCAAUAGUGAUGUUAUUAUCAGCAAGAAGUUUUGAAACACUUAUUAAAUUUUUGGUGAUUUUAGGAACACAUAAUAGGUUUUGAAGAUGAAGAUAUGAACCACAAGAGGUGUAAAAGCAAGUAUAGCCAAUGUGUGUGAUUUGUAAGCCCUGACCAUUUCCUAUAAGCAAGGAAUUAGAACCAGAGUAAAGUUUACCAUCAUUCAGAUGCUGCACUAAGUUGGUGAGUAGCUCCACUGUCAAGGUACCAACCCUGAUCUGCUACUCCUUCAGAAGUGGCCAUAUAGGCUGCUCUUGGUCCUUGUUGUUGUCCUGGAAAAAGGUUUUGAGGUGGAUAGUUUGGAAUGAAGUUCUUGUUGAAUCAAUCUCUGCACUCAGCAGCAGUGUGAUUGUAUCGAAAGCAAAUCUGACAAACAACAGCUGCAGAGCUAUAGCUACCUCUUCCAAAUCCACCAGAACCAAAACCACCUCUUCCAUAUCCAUUGUUAAAGCCACCAGGAUUACCUCGGAAGUUACCAUUCCAGUUAUUACCCCUGCCUUGUCCUUGAUUAUUUCCUCUUCCAUUUCCAGUAAAACCACUUCUUCCACCAUUAAAAUUCCAGUUAUUACCCCUGCCUUGAUUCCAGUUCCCUUAAGAGUUAUUAGAAUUCCAGUUCCCUUAAGAGUUAUUAGAAUUCCAGUUCCCUUGAGAGUUAUUAGAGCCUUUUUUCUGAAAAUUUCCAGAUUGAGCUAUGUUUGCUGCAUAAUUGCUUUUCAUUUCCUUAUUCUCACUAAGUUUAUUAUUCGCAAGCCUAGCCUCAUGUGUUAGCAACAUAAAAUAUGCUUCACUGAGAUCCAUUUUCAACAUAUUGGCCUCGACAUAAACAACAACCGAAUAAUAAGAAUGAUCUAAUCCAAUUAUGAGAUGAGUUAUGAAGUCAAUAUCACUAACAGGACUACCAGCUAAUGCAAGACCAUCAGUAACUGUUUUGAGUUUAGUAAAAUACUCAGUCAUUGACAGAGAGCCUUUUCUCAAAUUAUUAAGAAGCAUUUUCAGAUGAACCUUCUUUGCCAUGGACUCAGAUCCAAAUUGCUUUUUUAGACUUUUCCAAAGUUCAAAGGAGGUUUGAGAGUUUACCACAAGGCUUAGUAUAUCGAUACUUAUGGAGGACAUGAUCCAGCUCAGCAGUAGUUGAUCUUAACGCUUCCAUGCUCCAUAUUCUGGAUUUUCUUGUGCUUGAGCUUCAGCAUUCGAAGAACUAGUUAUUCCAGACUCUGACAACAGAUAUUGAGUGGGACAGAGUUUAGAUCCAUCAAUAUAGCUCUCCAAUCCAUUUCCACGAAUUGAAGAAAGCACUUGCUGCUUCCAGAUCGUGUAAUUAGCGCGGUCUAGCUUAAUUGGAGUGGUGAAGGUAAAUGAAGUAUUUAGCUGUGAACUUGAACUUGUUAAGGCCAUUAGAUUGAUCUGAAAAUUAGCUCUGAUACCAUGUUAAAGAUAUAAGCUCUGUUUGGUAGGCAGGAAAGUAAAGGAAAAUGUAAACGAGAGAGAAUUGUUGAAAACAGAAAAGAUGCUUUGUAAAUCUUAUUAAUCUAAAUUGAUACAAUGAUAUUUAUAGUGAAGCCUAGAAUCUUCUAAAGCAUGCAAAGCAUGAGCUACAAACAACUAAACCGUAACCAACUCUUAGCGGGAAUUCAACAACUUUACAAAAUAGAAAUCCAGCUCAGCACUUGACUAAGCAUUCCACCUAAGCAACAAUGAUCUGACUCAUCAUUUAAUCUUAACAUGCAGGGCACCAUGGCUCAAAAACCUUCUGACAUUGAAUAAGAACUUUGAUGGACGUGUGUCAAGAAUUAGGUGGUUAUGUCAUAGUGAAGAUUUGAAUAGUUUGCCAAUUAAAUUUUCCCUGCAUUUACUUACAGACAAGUUCCGAGACUCGUGUGAUUGCUUAAGCAGGCAGUUGUUUUUUUCCAAGUUGACAAAGCGAAGGAAGACAUGUUGAAUCAGUUACAUAUCUAUGUCAGGUUGACGGCAAUCUUAUUUCUCUCUCCAUCAAUUCUUAUUAAGGAGCCGAAGGGAUUUAUUUUAUUUCAUAUAUUUACUUCUUUAUUGAAGAUUUUUCUACUAUACCAAUGAUGCAACUUUUUAUAAUAUAUCUGAGUUGGAAUGACGCUAGAGCUUGAGGCGAUCUUUUUUUAUUGCCUUUUUGAGAGUUCAAUUGGUGCCUCUAAUAACUCCAUUGAUUGCUACCUAGGUGUUCAAAUUUGUAUGAAUACACAGUGAUCAUCGGCAUGUCUCUUCUUGGCAUUUUUGGGACAUCAAUGGUUAUGUCCAGUCAGAUCACAUAGUUUUGGGAAGCAAUUCCUUCAGCAGUUUUGAUUUGGAUGUUGACAGUGAAUAUGAUUAUGGAAAUAAUAAGGUCUUUUUUCAAUUCAAUCCGAGUACAAAAAUAAUUUGUGAACAGAUCAAGUGGUGCCAGAUGGUGGAAAUAUGUGGGAUUUAUUUUAUCGACAGCCAAGAUUCUAGGAAAUCAAAUGAAGAUUAAGCAGAAGUUUCAGCUGAUCUAAUGAGGGAAGAGUAAGCUUUAAUUGAAAGUACAUGAGGUGAGUACUCUUCGUUAUUCAAUGUGUGUUUUGGAUUUUACCUAUAUGGCUGUAUCAUGUAAGCUUUACGAGGUUGUGGCCAUUUUAUUGGCUCUAAAAGUAAAGCAUUAAAAUGGUGGGUGCAAUAGUUGAUCUGGAGAACGUUAUUGUUCCUCCCCAAAAUUUCAUCUCAAAAGGUAUUUAGCUGUGAAUGUGAUUAAACUUCUUUGAUCGUUUAGUUUUAUGCAGGGAUAUGGAUAUAUAUGAAUCUGGGUAAUUUCCAUGGGAUGACACAUGUCAAUUUCUUCCAGAAACAUGGCACUUAUCAAAUGCCAACAUUACACGCUCCCUGAAAUUUAUGUCAUGGAAUCCAUUUAUUCUAUCUUGAUCGCUCUCUGUCCCCCAUUUUUGUAUGUGUCGAGUAUUGAAAUGCAUGCCAAAGAGACUCCAAGGUCUCGAAUGUUUGGUAUUUAUUAGAGUUUAAAUACUAUUGGUAAAUCCUUUCCUAUCAACGUAAGGAUGGGGAUUUGAGUGGUUAAUCAGCUUGGUGAGCUAGACUGAUAGAGUAGAAAAUGAUAUUCUCACAAAUAUUUGUACAACACUUUGCACAAAACGGUGAGUUUUGUCCAAACGGAACACCUCACACACGCAACAAACACACCCAACAAUCACCUUCAUGCGUCUGGCUCUUUUCUUUCUCCCUAUUACAACUUUUCCUCUCUCGCCUCAAAGCUGCCAGUCAUUGCAACAAGCUCCACGACAGCAGCCUCUUACUCCCAACACAAUCGCAGCAGCGUUUUGAAGUGAUUUCACAACUCUUUCUCUCUCAUCUGUCAUUCAAAUCUUUCAAAGUGAUUUCACAAAAUAGCUCUGUAUUUGUUUUUUUUAAGAAUGAAGAAUCCAGUAGUGUUUCUUUUUCUUUUUUUUGGAUUGUAUUACUUGGUGCUUUGAACGAAAUUAGUUUGUUUAUUAAGUUGUGUGCUUUUGCUUAAUCUUUUCUGCCUACUCAAAUUUAACUUUGCUGAGUUUUUAAUUAACCUUAGAAGUAUCUUGCUGAGAAUUGUAAUACAAAGAAGCAAAUUAAAACAAAACAUGGGAAGAGGAAGAAAAAUAAUUAAUUAAACAACAUAGUUGCUUUAAAUACCACAAAAAUUACACAAAAAAAAUGCUUCACUUUAACUGACAAGCAUGGGAAUUUUAAUCAAAGUUACAAACUGUAAAUUUAUUUUUUCUACUGCAAUAAUGGGCAAUAAAUUUUGAUAAACAAACUAGAAUAAUUUGACCAAUAUACAUAAAGAUCUAAACUCAAGAGGCUGCAAAGUUGGUGGAAGAGAUAGAUGGUAGAGUCAAGAACAACAACAACAAAGACUCAGUGAUGACAUUAUUGCUAGAUCCAAGCUUUUGGAAGUUAGAGUGAAGCUUGAUCACCUUGGAUCGCUUCUUCGUAACCCGCCUUCAAAACCCAGCUAACCUUAAGAGAUAGAUUCGUUGGUAUGAGAGCAGUGCUAAAUUUUUGUCCUCGUCCUGUUUUUUAAUUUGUACGAUCAUUUCAUCAUAGCACUACUUGAAUGCAUUUUGAAAACAUUAUCUGCAUGAUGCCCAGCUGUUUAUGUAAAGGCAUGAAUGCUAAUUCAUUAAAAUCUAUAUUCGGUCAUCACUCUUCUUUGCCUCUGUUUUCCUGUGUUCUAAAUUGUUAUAGUAUUCAGAAACAUGAAUCAUUUCACUAGUGUUUGGCCCAAUGCAACACUGUUUGUCUGUAUAACAAGUUACUUCACAAUCACAGCGGCCCUUCAACUUACUGCUAAAUUAGCCAUACUGAAUUUUAGACAACAUAAUUAAAACCAAUUCUCCAUUUUGAUUCCUCCCAUCAGGUACCACAAUGAGCACAAAUUAGCAACUGCAAUUUGCUACAUUCUUUCGUUAAAUGAAAGAUUGCAGGAAAGCGAAACAGUGGCAUAGGGUCACUUACCAACAGCCGAGACGUCAGGAAUUAAGUUACGGGCCUGUUGUGGAUAGAUGAGAGGCAGCUGGGCUUUCAUAACACUUUUCAAUUGGGUUCUUGGGAGCCCAUCUGCUUUUUAGCCCACAGCAGUGGGUGAAAUAUUUGCCCUGCCCCUAUGACCUUUUAACUGCAAAAACCGAAAUUUAUUAAUUCAAUAAUGACUCAAGUUUGCUACUAACUGAAAUCUAUUGUUAGUUAAUAUGAAAAUUAAUAAAUGUAAAAUUCAUAGUUUGUUUUUACAUCACUAAAUAUUUCUAAAUUCAUAGAUAGCAUCAUUGCACUUAAAUUACACAAUCUGUUGAAUGGUGUUGAUAUUUUCGUCAAAUAAUGAUUUAAGAUGCCGCAUCACAGAUAACAGCCGUGAGCGGUUACUUGCUAGCAGUUCGCCGACGAUUGUGAUUUUAUUUCAAUAUUUUAAUUAAUUUUAGUAGCGAAAUACUAAUCAGUAUAAAUAAAUUAGUCCAUAUAAAUUAUAAAAAAUAAUAAUAUUAGCUUUCAUUCACAAAAAAUAUUAUCAACUUUAGAUAGGGGUGGCAAAAAAGCCCGCCCCUCGCACAUGAGAGCCUGGACAAAGGCCCAAGAAAAAAAAUCCGGACAAAGUUCAGACCCAUUACUUUUAAAAAAAUAAUUUUAUAAGUUUUAAUAGCGUUUACAACUAAUAUUUACCAAAGAUAUAAUUUUUAAAGUACAAUUUUCCAAUCUUAAUAUUAAAUAAAAGUCUUAAUAGUGUUUAAUGUUUACUACACACUCACUAAUUUUACUUAAAAACUACAAUAUUUAUUUCACAGCAGCAUAUUUCAUAACACCCUAAAUGACGAUGGUCAAAUAAUAAAAUAACUAGUGUUGAAGUGCAACAAAAAUACACAUAUUAGAUAUGUUCUUGGAACAUCAGCUUACAAAGUAUCACAUGUUACAAAUAGAACAUGUACAAUCAUACAGAUUUUUUAUUAAGCAUCAGUUGCAGACACAAAAUCCUCCAACUCAUAAUUGGAUAGUGUUAUACAUGAUUAUAUUAGGCAAGGAUUUGUGGCAAAUAUCAAAUAACCAAAGUUUAGAUAUAAGUAAUAGAAAGAAAAAUAUAGUAUUAUUUUUUUCAUGGAUUUUAAAGUACAGAAAAGUCCGGAAAAGUUUUAAAACCGCACGACUUUAAAAGCUUACAAUUUUAAACUUUUAAAAUUAUACGGUUUUAAAGCUUUAGCGCACUUUCCUGCAUUUUAAAAUUCUAAACUGUAACAUUUCUAAAAGAAAAUAUUGUUAAAAGAGUUGUACCUAUUGAAGCAAACUUACAGCAAGGUAUAAUCACAACAUAUUCCGGUUGGAGUUGAAGCACUUAAAUUAAAGCGCAUCCAAGCACACACAAAUACACUCAUGCUAGUUACGUUCUUUCCCGUAGCCUUUAUAAGUUUUCUUGGCCCAAGCAUCCCUUCCUUCUUGGUUAAUUCUUUUCGGCCCUUUUCACCAUUCAAGUUAUUUGAGCCCAUUGAGCCCACUUCAGCCUCAAUCACCAUUUCAUUUUCCCGCGACCGUGUUCUGCUCUCUGGACACCAAGUCCAUGCCAGCGGCAAUAUUGUCGGCCGUUUAGUGUGCCUGAAUCAUUCCUUUUUCAGCUUUUCUUGCCAUUUACUCAUCUCACGCACUUCAAUUAACUUUAAAAAGUAGACAAAUCACAAAAUUAAACUCCUAGUGAAGAGUGAAGUAAAGCAUCCAUGUGUUUCAACUCACAGCAUUACUUGACAAACACAAAAUUCCUCUGCAGCUAAUAUAAGGCAGCUUCCGAGAAAUUAUUGGGUGGAUUUAAAAAGAAAUUAAUUUUUUCGAAUUUUAUUUCAAAUUAUACAACAAUUUUUUUUAUUGGGCGAUUAUCUAUUUUGACAGCUCAACGGGUGUCUAAUUAUAUAACAAUUUUUUUUUUAUUGUCUAGCAAGGGCAACACCAGCAAUAUCUAAUAGAUUUUCCCACCACAUACUCUAUUCAUUUUCCGAUCCUCCCUCAUUUUAGGACGCGACUGUUUUUGAGUAAAUUUAUUACGACCAACCAUAUUUUUAUGGUAUCUGGAAAAAUGAUAUUUUUAACACCAGCAAUAUCGUUUAGUAAUAAAUUUUACUCUACUUUUCAUAUUGUGAUAUAUUUUCUUCUGCAUUGGACUCGCUACAUGGUAUAGUUGACGAAAUGGAAUCGUAAAAAAAAAAAUCUUAAUGAAUAUAAUUUUAUUUAAUAAAAAUCUGAAUAGUGAAUAGCACAGCCAUACAUGCUCAUCUGCUUCGGGAUUCCAAAUUUAAUUUCUGGUCAAAAUCUCUUAAUAAUUGUCCAAUUUUAAUUUUAAUUUCUCUUCAAAAGUAAAGUUUGGGUAACAGAAUUUUAGAAAAAUUAAAGAAUUAUUUUUCUGUCAUCCCCGCAUUGGUCCAUGAAUUAUCCUUUUUCUCAUUGCAGUUUCUACAUUUCAUUGUCAUUACUUUAUUCAUUGCCCAGCCACACAUUACUCUUCAAUGAAAUUAUUUAAUAUCACCUUUUGAAAAGUAGAUAAUUUCAGGGGUGGAUCUAGGACUUAAUAUUACUCCAGAUUAAAUUUUAAAAUUUAUAUUUUGAAGUAAAUAUAAAAAUUUAUAUGUAAAAAUAAGUACAGUAAAUAAAGAAUGAACACUAAGAAUCUUAUCCCUCUAAAUAUAUACUUUAGACAAAAACAAUUAUAAAAGUAUAUAAAUUAAAAGUAUUAUUUUUCAAUUAUAAAAUCAGACGUUGCAACCUAUAAUAAUAUGUAAUUAUAUAAGAAUUAAAAAAAUCUAUUAAGAAUUUCAAAUUAAAAUAGAUCAAUACAUGUAAUUACAAUCAAUUAAAAUUGCAAGUAAAACUUUUAUGUAGGGGUGGGCGUUCGGUUUGGGUUAACCCGAGUUCGAUUUGGGUUAACCGGUGAAACUCGAACAGAUUCAAAACUCCAACCCGUUCGGGUUAAAAUUCGGUUCGGGUUGAACCCGAACAGAAUUUUCAAUCCGUUCGGGUUGAAUUUUUUUUUUUUUAAGAUUCAGCUUUUAAAAAUUAAAAAUAUAUAUACAUUAAACAAAACAAAUCCCUAAACAACUAAUUAGCUAAACUCUCGGUCUCUCACUGUCUCACUUCCUCCCCCUCCUUGCUCCCUCUUCUCAGUUCUCACUUUCUUAGUUUCGUGGCCCACGACGACAGCAGCAGCCAGCAGCCUUGUCCAGCUCCAACAGAAACUCUCGGUCUCACCGUUUCACUCCCUCCCCCUCCUUGCUCCCUCUUCUCACUUUCUGAGUUUCGUGGCUCACGACGACAAUAGCAGCCAACAGCCCCGUCUAGCUCCAACAGACACCAGCCGUUCACCGCAGCCCACUCGCCGUCAGCCAGCACGCCUCGCCCGCAACUGUGUCGUGUGUUCACCUAGCAUCGCACUCAACCCAGCACAGUCUCGAUCUGCCUACGCUGUGGGUGCUCCAAGAUCAAGGUUUGUCUCGCUUUGCUGACGCUGUAACUUGCUGACUUGCUCACAGCUGAUGGCAACAACCCGAAUCGAAUUUUAACAGCCUGUUGCUAUUAAUUAAAUUGUAUAUUUUUAAUUAAUUGAUUGUCAAUUAUUCAAUUAUUUGGAGUGGGUUUGUUGUUGUUGACUGAUAAUUGAACAAAUGGAGAUUGUUAUUAGUUAAAUUGGAGUGGAUUUACUGAUAAUUGAACAAUUGGAGACUGUUAUUAAUUAAAUAGGAGUGGUUUGUUGCUGUUAUUAUUCAUUAAAUUGGAGAUUGUUAAUUUAUUGAUUGAUUGAUUUAUUAAUUGAUUAAUUUGUGCUGUUUUUUUAAUUUAGAAAAUGGCAAUAUGUUGAAUUGCUGAUUCGUAGUUAUUAUUAGUGUUAUUAUUAUUGUUUGUGUUUAACGUAAUUGUUGUUUGACAAAAUUAUAUAUAUAUAGUUGAUAUUUGUUAUUAAGAAUGUUUGGAAUUGAGAUUUUUGGAUUUUAAGUGGUUGUUAUAAUUUUUGAAUUAAAUUGUUCCUUAAGGAUGUUUGGAAUUGAGAUUUUUAAAUUGUUUAAAUGUUAUUAAGGAUGAUUUGUAGUUGAUAUUUGUUGUUAAGGAUGUUUGGAAUUGAGAUUUUUAGAUUUUAAGUAGUUAUUGUUAGAAUUUUUAGAUUAAAUUGUUCCAACUCAUUCUAACCUGAACUAACCCGAAUUAUUCUAACCCAAACUAACCCGAAUUAACCCGAACCGAAAUUGUAACCCGAAUUAUCAACCCAAUCUGAUCUGAAUUGCCAACCUAAACUGAACCGAACCGAAUUAAAUUCGGUUCGGGUUGGCGUUUUCAACCCGAUUGGGUUCAAUUCUCCAACCUGAAUGGGUUGAAACUCAAACCGAAACCCGAUUUGCCCACCCCUAGUUUUAUGUUUGAAGUGAAGUGUUAAAUUACCAGACUUAAUAAAUUAAACAAUUAAAAUUUAUUCAUCUUUUCAAAUUGUAAGAGUAUUAUUGGUCAAAAGUUUUAAUAAUAAACUAAAUUUAAUUCAGUAAAAAGGUAUUUGAGUACAGUUGUUUUUCUGUCAGACACUUUAACUCUCUUUCUAAAGAAAUAGAUGUUGAUGAUUCUUCUAUCAAAAGCUUCUUAAAAUACUCAAAUUUUAUGUUUUAAUUGUCCUUUUAGUUAAUACAAAUAAUAAAUAAAAUCUAAAAAUUCACAUAAAAAUUUUAUGCAAAUAUAGAUAAUUGUUACUAUAUGUUGUUCCUAUAAGUACGUUAAUACUAGUGACAAUGUUAAAUUAUAUGGAUUUUUUUUCAAUUAGAAGUUUUUAAAAAUAAAUUAAAGCAAUAAUAAAUUUUUAGCUCCCCAAUAUUUUCAAUUUAUUCAAUAAAUAUAUAAUUUAAUCAUUUUAUAAAAUAUGUCACUAAUUUCAAUUGAAAAUAAUAUAAUUGAAUUAGGGAUAUAUUUGUAAAUAAAAUAAAAACUCUAUUAUUAUAUAAAAUUGAUGAAAAUAUAAGGGUGAUUGAGUUAGGGAUGUAUUUGAAUAUGAAAUAAAAACUCUAUUAUUAUACUAAAUUGAUAAAAACAUAAGGGUGAUUAAGUUAGGGACAUAUAUGAAAAUAAAAUAAAAACUCUAUUAUUUUACAAAAUUGAUGAAAACGGAAGAGGUAUAACCAAUUUUUUCUGGACUAGGCUGGGCUGCAACCCGGUCCAGCCACGUGUAGGUCCCCACUGGAUAAUGUACUCUUCACCAUGGCAAUCAGAUGAAAUUUGUGGGGGGUAACGACGUUGUUUGGUGUAAAGUCAGUUUUAUAGAGCUUUUUUUUUGUAUAUGAAAUGAUUUCAGAAUAUGAGAUUGACGUUUUAUUCGAAGAAGCACAAUCACGUUGGCUGAAGCCGGAGAUGAUGCUGUUUGAAUUACAAAAUCAUGAGAAAUUCGGUUUUACGCAGUAGGCCCCUCAAAAGCCACUUAGUAAGUAAGCUUCAUAUAUGAAAACAAGGUCUAGCUCAAGGGUCAGGAGUAAUCUUCAUAGGACUCAGGUCCUGAAUUCGAGUUUCAACGGGUGCGUGAGUUGAAAAUAACAAUUAAAAACAAAGUAAACUUUGCACUAAGAAGUGCUCCACCUGGACGCGACCAGCUCCACCACGAAGUGGCGACAACGGCGCGACAGCAUCUCCACCGCGAAGUGCUCCACCUGGACGCGACCAGCUCCACCACGGCGCGAUCUGCCUUGGGUGCGCGACACCACCACGCAACACCAGCUCCACUGCCACCUCACCGCGGAACGCCAACACCACCCCACCGCAUCACCACUACACGAUCUGGUUUGAUUUUAUGCAUAUACUAACAUCUUUUGGUUUAUUUCUAAUUGCUCGAUUGAAAAUUUAGACCAAUUACUGCUCAGCAAUAUUGGUCAAUGUUACGUGCUGGAAGUCGGUUGAUUAACAAAAACACUUGAGAUAAAUUCUUUUGAAGUUUAAAAUUGGAAUGAAUUGGUCUAUGGAAAUUUGACUCCAAAGUAUUUGCCUUCUUUGUUGCCUUCCUUUAAAUUUCAAUGGCGUCGAACCUAUUGUAGGUACUAGUCCAUUUAGUUGAAAAAUUAAUCUGUCACGUUGGAUUUGAUAUCCCUUUUGGUAAUUACAGAAACAAAUUGAUGAUUCACUGCUCGUUUAGCAUUAAUGCACAUAAAUGAUGGAUUAGUUUGGCAAUUAACAGAUGUGAUAGAAAAUGCAAUUAAACAACAUGAAAGUGAAGUCAUCGCGUUUGCUCUCAAAAGUUUUAAAUCGACUUGUAAUGGGUGGAAAAACAAAAUGGUCUAGAGGUGCUUUUCUGACUAAUUCGAGAAAAAACAGAACAAGUAGUUUUUGUCGAAAAAAUUCCAAUAAAAUAAAUAGCAAAAUAAUCGGAAUUUUACUGUGGUUUAGGAUGAGAGAAGGGUGCAAAACCAGGAAAAGAAAGGAACUGUUUUCAGCUGCUAGAUAUCACUUUGAUUGUGAAGUUUAGGAUUCCUGGUGUUUUUUGCACUUGCUUUGCAACUGUUUGAGAAAAAUCCUGAUUGGAGAAUUGUCAUUUAAUUUACAUGAUUUUUUUUUUUUUGGUGAAAUUGAUGCUUGCAUCGAAUGAGAUUUCAUUGUAUUUUUUAUGAAACUGGUUGUUGGAGUUGGCGGCAUUUGUUCAUGACCUGCCAAUUAAGUGAUGUUUAAGUCAAGUCUUUGUUCCGGUUUUUGCGAAAACUAAAGAUGACGCUGGUUUGUGGCUAAUUACAAAUGAUUGCUUUAAUAUGACUCAAUGGUAAAACUGGUUGAUUAAAUGGAAGUUUACGCUAUAGUCAAUUAUUACGGCCUGUCUUGUCAGGGAGGCAACGUUGAUUUAGCGUGCUCGAAGACUUGACAUUGGCUUGAAGAAAAUGUAUAAAAUGUCUGAUAUAGAUCCAUCAGUGGUGGGGAAGCGGGGAAGCAAACUUGAAGAUUUUGGGAUGAAAAACACUUUAAGGAGAUGCAAGCACAAAAGCUUCAGAAAUGGAGGGCUGUGCUAAUUGGUCUUUUUAUUAAAAUCAAUUUGCAGCAUUUUCUAUUAUUUGGUCCUCAUUAUUAUAUUACCAUUAUGUUUCUUCACUUGACUUUCACCCUCUGUGGAAAUUACAACCAAGUAUUUAAACUCGAGGAUUUUAUUUACAUGAAUUUUUUAUGAAAUUUAUGCCUGCAUGAAUGAGAUUUCAUUAUAUUUUUUUCUUUUGUUAUAUAUAAAAUAGUGUAGUGGUAGACACUAAAUCUGUACGUAAUUGUUUGUAAUAAACUGCCCUGCAUGUGUGUGCUUAUCAUAAACUGCAGUUUUUAGAUCAUUUUUUGAUGUAUGUGGAUAUGAAUUGCAGGAAAGGAAGUGGGGUACAUGGUUUUAUCAGUGGUGUCGGAGAAACUGAACUUCAACUUCAACGGCGAAGGUUGACCACUGAUAGUAGUACCAUUAUUUUUCUUCACAGACAGAUUCCUUCUCUUUAAUUUUUUAUUCUUUGUUGUCCAAAAUAAUUUAUUCACUUGAUUUUCCGUAUUCAUAAUCUAUUAAGUUUGGUGUUUGACUGGUCCAUAUUGACUUGUACAAAUUGGGGGAGUUUGAAAGCUAGAAGAAGUGCUUGCCUAAAGAAUAAAAUUUUCAGUAUAUUUAUGUAUCAUUCAGCUUGAAACUCAUGCUGUCAAACAUAGUUUGUUCAAGAUUGAUUCAUUCAUUUUCUUGUGUGAAAAUAAGAUGGUCCAACAACAAAAGGUUUUGCUUCAUAUGAAAAUGGUCAUGGACUUGUUCUUAAGUUCUUUUCUGGAAAAUUCAAAGCCUUGUUCAUAUGUAAUUGAACUUUAUUCUACAUUAUGACGUUUGACACCGGACAUCCUCUCUAGUAAAACAGCUGUCAUGUGUAUAUUAUAAGCUAAAUCUUGCAUGGACAAUGUCUUUGAGUUGUGUUUGACUAUGCUUUUUGGCUCGUUCACAUUAACAUUCACACAAGGUUUUGAUAGGCAAUAUUUGUAACAUUAUGCCAAUGUCAUAGGGCAGAUAAGAUUAAUGAUUUCCAUACUUUCAGUACUAUUUUUUCACUGGUUGUUCUCUAUAUCCUGUUGUGUCACUGCAUUGUAAACUUUCCCUUGUCUUUCUCCCUCUCUCUCCCAUUGUACUUGCCAUUAGUUGUCUUUACCAAGAUGUUAAUAUAAUUGAUGCAAACAAAUAGAGGGCAGCAAAUUGUCAUGGGAUACAGGGGAACAAGUUUAUGUUGAUGUUGAAGCGAGCGAGGAUUAACUCCAACGACUUUAAUUUUUUCUGUUUAUUUGUUUGGUUAAACUGUGCAUCAAAAUUGAUAUUUGAUUAUGUUGAACUUGUUUUAUAAUUAUAUACAAUCACUCCAUUCACAUUAUAAUUGAUUUUAGCUUCUGGAUUAUUUUUGUCUUGGUGCUUUUGGCACCUGCUAUUAAACUGUUUGAGAAAAGUGCUGACUAGAGAGUUGUCCUUAAAUUUACAUGAAUUUUUUUAAUGAAAUUGAUGCAUGCUUUGAAUGAGAUUUCAUUGUAUUUAUUUCUAAUUGUAUUUAUUUCUAACUGUUAUAUAUAAAAUAGUGUGGUGAUAAACAUAGAACAAGAACAAUAAUAAAAGAAAAGAAGGCAUUUGUAGUGUUUAUCGCAAGCCAUUUAAUUCUUCAAUGUUGUUCUUUUGAAUGAAAUAGACUUGAAGGUAGUGGGCCUAGUGGCUGAACAGAGAACAUAUUUGGUUGUCAUUUUAUUGUAUUGAUGACAUAAUGACAUUCUUCUAGAAACAAAAAAUGAUAGAAUUUUUAAUCUCACUUUGCGUUAAAUUGCAAAUAAUUUUGAAAACUUUUAACAUGCUUGAGUAAAUUGUUAUUGUUAUUUAAUUGAAUUAUUUGCCUCGAUCUUUAUUUCACAAGUUAUAUAUUUAGAAAAUGUUGAGAAAAUAAAUGUUUUGCCACUGAAAGUUUACGACCAUAAGCUUCGAUUUUUAUGAAAAUUUUGAUUUUUAACAUUUAUAGUAAAAAAAAGAUAAUGUUAAAUUUUUAAGAUUUAAGAAUUUUAUAUUUAGUAUUUUUCUAAGUACUAAUAAAUAUUAUUUUCUAAAUAUAUAAUUUAAAUUAAUAAAAAAAUAAUAAUAUUGUACAGUACAACACCAAACAUAAUAUAACUAAAAAAUUAACACAACACAGUGUAGCAUCAAACACUAUACAAUAUUAUUAUGAUACAGUGUUAAUGUAAUACAAAAUAAUAUAAUACACUUGUAUUAAAAUAAUACAAUACAUCAUAAUAUAAUACAGUGUGCCAAAUGCAGCCAUAGUGCAUUGUGCUCCACACCAUCGAUGUUUAGUGAGAGUGUUCCUAGUGGUGGUUAUGGUGGUACAAGUUCUUCUUCACAUAUUAUAACUUAGGUUAGUUUGGUGGAGGCUGCUAGUGGUGAAGGUGAUGACGCUAUUUGAGUUGCUCACUCUUUCCUUGAAUAUGCUAAGAAGGUUUCUAUUUAGAAUGAGGGCAAGAAAGUAACAUCCAAGGUGGAACAAUAUUUACUUAACCCAGUUGAAGAUCCUAACAAUUUUAAACUCAAUGUUUUGUUUUGGUGGAAGGAGAAUGGAUCGAAGUAGCAAUAUUAGAGAAAAUUGUAAGGGAUAUCCUCGCUGUUCAAGUUUCCACAAUGGCCUCUAAGCUUGCCUUUAACAUUGGGUGCUGUGUUAUUGAUGAUUGUAGGAGUACUUUGACUCUUUAUAUGAUUGAGGCAUUGAAAUUUACCAAAAAUUAGUUGCAAUCUAAACAAUUUGCCAAUCUCGUCUACCACCUUCAAAAAAAGAUUAAGGAGUGAUGUUUCAUACGAAGCUACAAGAAGAUAACAUUUUUCUUGUACAUUAAAUACAUAAUAUAUUUAAAAUGUAUUAUAACUUUAUAAUUAACAUCCACAUGUACUUAGGUUACUUACUAACUUCAAUUAUUUAUUUAUUUAUUUAUUUUUUGCAUUUUAAAGGGUUUGUAAGAUCACAAGCUUCAACGGUUUCAACAACGAGUGCUAACAUUAGUGUUAUUGGUAUUAGAAAGGUAACUCUUAAUAGAUAUUAUUAUUCAUAAUUUCAUAUUAUAAUUUUAGGUUGUAAUUUAAACUAUAAUUAUAGUUGUUAUGCUUUUAAGUUUUAAUUCUAAUUGUAACAUUUUAAUUGUUUUAGCUAGGCAAGUUGAAGUUGGUAGAAUGGUAAUGUGGUAUUGCCUAGGAUUAUUAUAAACUUGACUUGGUGAUGAAUGCCAUAAAAUAAGCCAUGAUUAAUUUUUUUUUAUAUUUAAUCAAGUAUAUAUGUUUUUCUUUUCUUUUUUUUUUGAAGAAUUUGCUAAACAUGUUAUAUCGUAAUGAUAUAAUAGAAAUUAGAAAGAUUGUAACAACCCUUUUGCUUUUAAACUAUAGGUGCUCUUUCUUUACUCAAAUAUGUAAGCUUUUAUGGUUUGUUCAAUUAAAGACAUAAAUUGGGUUUAUUUAUUUAUGUUUGUGUUUGAUGUGCCUUUAUUUGCAACGCGGCUUAAAGAAAGUUAUUGUAUAUUAUUUCUUCAAUUUUUCUCUAGGGGAUCGAUGCACUAACUUGGAGUACAAGACGUUGAAGUUAGAACUUGUCCAAGUGCUUGCAUGGAGUAGUGGAGGAAGCUUAUAUAGUUUUUGACUUUGUGUUGUUAAAGAAACUUUUUUGUGUUUUGGAAACUAUUUAAUUAUUUUUAAACUUUGAUUUUGUGUUCUAAGGACUAAUAUUUGGACAUUGUGCUUUGGAUGGAGACUAUUAAGUUAAUUUGGAUUUUAUUUUAAUUUUUAUUUUUAUUUAUUUAACUUCAUAGUAACUUUCUUUUUUCUUUUUUUUUUAGGGCUGAGAAUUGGUAGAAAAGGAAUAAAAUUACAUAAAAGCAAUCUUAAAAACUCAAAAUAAGAAAAUAAAUCUCAAAAUUGCGAUGACCUAAUUUGACUUGAUUUGACCCGAACCUGAAUUGAUCUGAUUUCACAUGACCCGAAUUGACUCGAACCAUUUAUAAUCUGACUAGCAUCUGAUUUGAACUCAAUCCAAUUUCGUAACCCGAUCCGAUCUGAUUCAAACAUAUUCCAAUCGGGCUACAAAUUUUGGUUGAGUUCGGGUGAAUUUUUUUUCAACCCAAUUAAUUUGAAAUCCGAUCGAUUGAUCCAAACUUGAUUAUGCCCAGUCCUAUUUAGAAUUGUGGUUGAAAUGUUAUAAAUAGUUUAUUUUAUAAUUUUUGACAAAAAUAGUGUUUGGUAAGUUUUUAAAAAGCUAUUGGGACAAUUCUCCUAAUGAGGCUUCACUUCCAAAUUAAACCAAGGCCUCAUUUGGAAUUGUGGUUGAAAUGCUAUAAGCAGUUUAUUUAAUAAUUUUUGACAAAAAUAGUGUCUGGUAAUUUUUUUAAAAGCUACUUAUUUUAUAAGUUUCUACAUUUUGACAGCAUCUUUUAGAAGCAAGUAGAAGGUUACAUUUUAUAAACUGCUUAUUAAAUAAUCAUCAACACCUUUUUAAAGUUUUUGUUAUAACUUUAAUAUUUUAACAAAAGAAUAAUUAUAUUUUUUUUUCCAUAAACCUAAUAUGCAAAAAGAAGAUAAUUUAAACCUAUGUAUAAUUUGGUCAUUAUUACCUUUGCAAUAAAAUUUACGAAACACAUAUUGUGCUUUUCAAAUUCACAACAAUCACAAUUACAUAAUUUAUCAAACAUCGAGCUGUUUUUUUAAUCAGCAGCUUAUUUCAUCCAUGCCGCAAAAACAACUUAUUUCAUUAGCAACCACAAUCCCAAACAAAAAAACAACUUAUUUCAUUAGCAACCACAAUCCCAAACUAACUCAAAGUCACGAAAGUUAGUGACCUAUUAGUUCAUAACUUCCCAAACUGACUCAAAAUCACGAAAGUUAGUGACCUAUUAAUUCAUAACUUGCUGGUAAUAUUACUAGCUUCUUUUCUAUAUCAUUGCAAGACAAAGAAAUCUUAAUUUUAACAAAAAAAAAAAUGAAGGAAAAGAAGAAGUAGGCCGACCUUUGUUGUUUUGAGUCAACAUAAUUGAAUUGACUAUAAAUAAGCCUUCAGUCUUGUGAAAGAAAAACAAAAAAAUAUCAACUUUCUGUUGAUGGCCGUCAUUUCCUCGAACUUAUUCUCAAUUUAUCUUCUUAUACGGUUCAUUUUCAAUCGUCAGUCCUAUAAAACAUUGUAGGAAAAUAGCGUUUUUUUCCAAUUUGCUGAAUGAAUUUACUACUACCACCACUACUACUACUACUAAUAAAGGUAUUUGGAAGGAAAAUAAGUUUACUGUAUAUCAUCAAUUGAGGAUAAAUUUAGAAACAAAUAAUUAGUUAUGUGAUAUUUAACAUGACAUUCAAUGAUAAAGAAAAUAAUUAGUUUCAUAGUAUCAUGUCAUUAAAGAUGGGUAAUAAACCCAACUUUUAUUUAAUACAAUGAAGCAUCGGAAAGAGUAGCUAAUUACGCAUAAAAGUAAUAUCUUAACUUUUUACGAAGCCAUUUGGAUACAUACACACACAGUAUGCAUAUGAAAAAGAUUUCAAUCCAGAACUUCCAGAUUGAAUUUUUUCUUUAUUUCAUUCAUUAUAUAUUAUAUACAAUCCAUUACUUGGAGUGGAAUGGACUCAUGGGGGAGGGCAUCCAAUAAUAGCACCUUGGGGUCUCAGUCUGUGAUGGGGACAACCAACUGCAUUCGCCUCAGCUGAACAUGUAUAGCAACAUGAUAUUUAUUUAUCUAUUUAUAUUAAUUUUAAAUCAAAUUCAACGGCACAAGACAAUUAUUAAUUAAUUUUUUCUUAAAGCAGACCUCAAAGAAGAAACAAAUUUAUUAAAAUAAAAAACACAGAACAACAUUAUCAUUAGAACAAGCAUUUAACCAUUGACCAUCGAAAGGCGAAAUGAAAUCCAGCAUACUAAAAUUAUGAAUGGGUGAUUGAUUAAUUCUAUCAUACUUAAUCCAAUAUUAGAACUAACAUUAAUCAAGAAACAAUAUAUUAACCUCAUAGCUAGAUUCGAUAAAAUACAAAUUCUAAAACAUAAUUAGGAAAUACAAAUCGUACAAGAUUCAACUACGGAGCAUAAUCAUAAGGACAAUUAUAAUAAAUAAAAUUACAACAUAAAAAUAUUGCACUUACUGAUAUCAGAUACCAAUACAAAAAACUGGUGCUAAAUAUAACGUGUUAAAUGAAAAAUAUUGCAAAUAUUUGGACGAUCAAGAGAUUUGAUGGAAACGUCAAGUUAUUAUACAGAGAAAGCUCACCUUUUCGCAUGUUAGCGGAAGUCUCACCCGGCAGGUUUCUAGCUGCCACCUCGGAAGAAGAAAGAAGAGCAAUAGCCAUUACAAGACCGAAAAGAAGGAAAAUCUUAGAGCCCAUUAAUUUUUUAAUGACAGAGGAAUAUUAAUAGGAGAAGGAUAUCAGAUUAGUAUUUUCUUCACUUUAUUUAUAAUAGGUUUAAUAAGUCUGCUAAUUUACUCGGUAAAACUUUAUGAGUUGAGGAAAGAGGCUUAGGGCUCAAAUCUCACUCACAUAAGAGUGAAUUUAACUAGAUUCAUGCUGUGCUUAAAAAGGGUAAGGGAAAAUGUCAUCAGAUCCCUACGAUUUGCUUAAAUGAUUACAUUGACCCUUUUAAUUUCAAAAUUAAUUGCAUAUGCAUCUUUUUUCCUAUUAUACCUUUGAUUAUAAUAACCUAAAAAAUGACUUUAAAAGUUUAUAAUAAAUACCAAUAUAAUAUUAAAAUGAAGUAAUAUAGAAUAAUAUAUUUUAUAAUUAUUUUGAAUAUUAAACAAAAUUGUUUCAAUCUUAUUAAUUUGUCAUAGAUAUUUUAAUGUAAGAAUUUUUUUAGAUUAAUAAUAUUAAAAAAUUAUAUGUAACAUUCAAAAUAAUUUUCCCCAAGGGCACUUGACCGAAUAAUUUUUAUAUAGAUUUAUUUGAUUGAUGAACUAAGUUCAAAUCCUAGGGAAGGUAGGAGUUUAAAAAUUGAUUUGGGUUUUGCUAAUACUACAUUCUAUCUCUAUCAUUUGUCGGGUCAAGAAAAUGAACAGUUCCCCUCUUUUCUGUAAAUGUUAAUUAAUUAGUAUUUUUUUGUUUAAUUUAUAUUUGGCCCCCAUAUGUUCAUUCCUUUUAUGUUAUAGCCACUCCAAUUAACUUGUGAUUUCUCUUUCACGGUUUUUAUUGACAUUCUUGGUCCUCAAAUUAGGGGAUAAAUCGGAUUUUAUUCUAGACCUCAGAGAUAACACUGAAAAUUUCUCUUAUAAGUGCGACAACUUUGUAAAUUGUGUUGAAUGCUUAAAUACUAUUGGAAUAGUAAAGGUUGAAUUCCAAUUCAACGUUUAAGUCGCCCCCUUCAGAAUGAAGGGAAUUUAAAUCCCUCGAUAAUAGCUGUGGCCAUAUAUCAAAUAUGAAUCUACUUCACACGCCAUCUCACUCACUUCUUAGAAAAUUCAUAGUCAAUCCUUGUGCAUUGAUUUUUUUAAAUUGAUGUUGGAAAAUUGUGGUCAUGCUGUGAAGGAUUGUUCUUGGUAGAUUUGUUGAAGCUGAAAAGCAUAUAUUAAAUGGCCUAAUUUUAAAAAAGAAAUUAUUUACUUAUCUUUUAAUUGGGGUUUGCACGCAAACGGCAAGUAGGAAUUAAUAAAUCCUUUUUUUUUUCUCUCUCUAUAUGUCCUUGAUACGGUCUUCCAAAAUAAUUCUAUAUAAUUUUUUUAUUUUUAAAUUCCUUUCAUCAAUUUUUAUUUGCUUUAUCUCUUUAGUUGCAAUCAAAAUGUGUUUUAAUCCGGUAAAAUUAGUUGUUGUGUUUAUAUUAUUUCACGAUUGAUAGAGUCUAAUUGUACUCUUGAUCUCUGUUAGGUCCAUGCUCUUUGUAAGCUUAUAUUUAAUCUGGUACUAACAUUAAUAUAGGGAAGUCUUGAUUAUGAGUUAUUCUAUGCUUAGUCCUCAAGAUAUUUAUAUGGUUUAUUUAUAUUUCAACUGAUAUUCUAUGUAUAAUUUCACUAUUUAGAUGAGAAAUGAUAAGAUUUAAUAACUAAAUAUCACUUGUGUCUAUCAGAUAGUGCCAUGUCAGUGAGGAUACAAAUUAAUAAUCUCAACUGAUAAGUAAAUAUAAUAUUAUUACUUGAAUAUAAGAGCAAUACUAUGCUUUCAAACAUGAAGUCAUUAAAUGCUCUAGAUAUUUCUUGGGAGACAAGCAAGGCAAGAAGAUCAGAUUUCUUCCUAUUUAGAUUCAUAAAAAUUAUAAGAGGAAAGAAACUCUUAUUUGGAAAGAAUCCAAAUCUUUUAAGACUUGCUAUUUUGGUGAAACUGUAGUGCCUACAUAAAGAGAGGUAUUUCACAAUUAAAGGAUGCACAACACAGAGCAUAAAACAGAGAAGCAAAAUUCGGCUUCCUCCUAGAGAAUCCAGAUUUGGCACAUCAUGUUGUGUUGAUUUGUUUUCUUAUCUUCUUUUCAUCUUUGUGGAGAGUUUACGUGGAUCUUGGAUCACUAGACGUUAAAGAAAUGAAGAAUUGCUAUUGAUCACUUUGCGAAGUGUCUUGAGGAUCGAGGAUCAAGAGGGGUAGCGAUUAUUCAAGAGAAGCAGAUUCAGUCUAAGGUUGAGUAAACUAUAUAGUGAUAAACUGUAAGUGAGAGUCUUAAGUUUGGUAAAUCCAUAAUUUUGUAACAUCUCAACUUAGUGAAUUGCUUUUCAUCUGGGCGUAGCCUCGUGGAUGUAGGAUUGAUUAAUCCGAACAACAUAAAAAUCUCCGUGUCAUUUAUUUUCUGCAUUUUAUUGUGUUUUUAGAAAAUUAAUAUUUUUUAUGCGGAUGAACAGUAAUCGUGAAUAAUAACGGUGAACAGUAACAAUGAACAGUAUUUCCAGAAAAAUUAAUUAAGUUGUUAAUUAUUUGUUUUUAAUUACCUACAUCUAUUUGUAAUAGAUCUAAAUUCCUUUCAAUUCAAAUAAAAAAAAUUUCUACAUGCUGGUUAUAAUUUAUACUAGCUAUAUAUUUUGAAUAAAGUACCUCAUUAUGUUACAUAGUGACAUACUAGCUAUUGAUUACUAUUGAUUACAAGCAAGAUAUAUAUUAAAAAAAAUUCUUUAUUAUGUACAAAGUGCAUAUUGAAGUGCAGGUGCUAUCAUUGGCUUAAACUUUAAUGAAAAUUCUAAAAAUCACUUGAAUUUUUAAUCCAUAAAUGUAAAGAAUGGUUUACAAUUUAUUUGUUUCUCUUGAUAACACAAACUUCACAAUCCCUGCAUUUUUUUUUUUUGAUACAAGCAUCAUUUAUAUCUAAUUUAGGUAGCAGGUAUUGAUAGAUUAAUUUUGCUAUUUGAUGCAACAAAAGACAUGAGGGCCCAAAUAGUGGAAUAGAGUAGAUGUGCUUUGUUUAGUGAAUUAUAGUUGGUGUGUCUGUUGAGUGGAAUAUAGUAGGUAUAAUUGAUUAUGAGUACUAUAAAUAUGUACUAAAUCUAUUGUAAAAUCCAACCCACAUUCAAUCAAAUUUGAAUUUUCUUCAAUACAAAUUCCAGUUGUUAAUUUGUAAUAUCUUUUUCUCUUUGUGAGAACACAAGUUAGAGCGAAAUCUAGCAAAACGCUGCGUGAUAACUCUAGGAAAUGAGAGUUAUUACAUUAACUUUAGACUUGAAUUAAGAUCAUUUAGAGAACAAAUAAGGUGCUUUUAUUACAUUCAUUUUAGUUGGGUCUUAAUAAGUUUUACUUAAAUCAAGUAAUUUGUGCUAAAAACAGGUGCAUAAUUAUAGGUUUUAAAUUCAUAAGGGGAUGCUGAGACAUUAGAUGAGCAAGAGGAGGAAAGAAGAUGGCCACAAAAGAAGAAAAGCACAAUAGGGAAUAAUGCAGUGCUGUUGUGGAUGCUAUAGUAACCAGUGCUGCAGCAAUCAGAGAGCAAUGCGGGAGAAAGCUUAGAGCGCGGGUUAGCCAUAAAAUCGCGAUCUGCAUGUUUCCGAAUUUAACGCAUGCACGCUAAUGGGCUUGUGUUUACCCUAAUUUAUAUAAAAGGGAGGCAUGCACCACAUAGAAAGACGACAAGAAAAAGGGAAUUAUCAUUAGAUUAAUUACAAGGAACGAAGAAGAAGUUCAGAAUUGAAGAGUGUUGUUUCGGCAAUAUUGGAGAAUCAUUUAGAAUUACUUGGCUUUGAUUUUCACCGUGCUUAACUUAUAUUUAUCUUCUUCCUUUAACUAAUUUGAUGUAUUCCGAGAUCAAUAUGUUUAUGUUUAUUUUUCUCAUCCAGAUUAUGAACUAAAUUUACUUGUAGUUGAGUGACAAAUAAUCCAAUGGGUUUGUGACUGUUCUUAUAUGUUGUUAUGGUCUUGCUGUAGCAUUUUACUCUAGUAGUUUUUAUGAAUAUAACUGUUAUUUCGGUUGACCACUCAUUUAAUAGUUUUAGUUAACAUAGAGCAGCAAAAGGGCAUGUCUUAGCGGACAUUAUUAGAGUAUUACUUGUUCUUAAGUCGAGUUUGCUAGAUUAAGUUAUCCUGAAUCCCAUAAGGGCAAUACUUGAAGUUAAGAUGUGUGACACUCUAGACAUAGGUGUUCACCUUGUAGGGUAGAAAGAUUAAAGGUUUUAAUGUCGUACCAUAAAUAUAUGAGCAACUGGUCAUUGUUAGUAGAUUUAAAGGUAUGAGACUUCCAACAUGCGAUAGCUGAGGAUGCAGAUUUAUUCUGCCCAGUGCUGCAGCACUUACUGUAACAACUGGUGCUAAUUUGGUAAACAACAGUCACCCCAUUAGGAGAGUUUGAUCAUUCAACUACUAUAUUCCCAAUUGAAUCUUAGACACAUUUAACUUAGGUUAUUUCAUUACAGCAUUGUUUUAUUUCCAUCUCUCGCAAUUAUUAAUUACGAUAGAAUUAUUCGACAAUUGUUUGUUUCGGUCUUUAGUUGAUUUGCACUAUUGAGAUUACUUUAGCAUUUUGAGUAACAUCAAUCCCUGUAGAGACGAUCUUGAAUACUCAUCACUUUAUUACUUGUUGUGUAUACUUGCACAUUGGCAGUGGUAGUAAUUGAUUAUAAAAAACCAACCAACAAGUUUUUGGCGCCGUUGUCGGGGAUUGAUUGUUUAUUUUUUAAGUGUGAAGUAAAUGUUGAUAUCGCCAAAUUUAAUUUGAUUCAUUCUAUUUAUUGGCAGAUCGGUACAUGCAUGCGCAAAGACAGAUCUGUGGCAUUCUAAUUCGAUCCUGAGAUUGAAAGGAUUGUCAGGAGACUACGACGAGAACAAAGGAAUUCAGAAAUUGCUUCAAGCAUGAAUAAUUUACAAGAUGCGCAAAAUUUGAAUCCUCACGGGCCCUUACAACCAGUCAACAUUCAAGAAGAGCAGAAUGAACAUGCUAACGGGAGACAACCAGGCAAUAACAAUAUUAUUUAUAUGGCUGAUGACAGAGACAGAGCUAUAAGAGAUUAUGUUGUGCUAACUCCUCAAGUUGUACAUCCUAGCAUCAUCAGACCUGAAGUAGACGCUGCCAAUUUUGAGUUAAAGCCAGUGAUGUUUCAAAUGUUGCAAACAGUUGGGCAAUUCAAUGGAUUGCCAAAUGAAGAUCCUCAUCUCCAUCUUAAAUUAUUUUUAGAAGUAAGUGAUGCUUUCAAGAUUGCUGCUUUAAGGCUGAGGCUCUUCCCUUAUUCUUUAAGAGAUCGAGCAAGAGCAUGGUUAAAUUCGUUACCAUCUGAUUCCAUCACUACAUGAAAUGAAUUGGCUGAUAAAUUCCUAAUGAAAUAUUUCCCACCAACAAAAAAUGCAAAGCUGCGGAAUGAGAUUACUUCCUUCCAUCAACUUGAAGAUGAAAGUUUGUACGAGGCUUGGGAAAGAUUCAAGGAAUUGCUCAGAAGGUGUCCUCAUCAUGGUAUCCCUUGUUGCAUUCAAUUGGAAACUUUCUACAAUGGGUUGAAUCCGAGUACAAGGUUAAUGGUGGAUGCUUCAGCAAAUGGAGCUCUGUUAUCCAAACUUAAAGUGAAGCUUAUGAAAUUCUGGAAAGAAUUGCCAACAAUAAUUACCAGUGGCCUUUAGCCAGGUAACCAACAGUAAGAGGAUUAGUAGGAGUACAUAACAUUGAUGCAAUUAUAGCCUUAUCAGCACAAGUAACCUCAUUGACUAACAUGGUAAAAGCCAUGACAUCUACUACAGCAACAGUAAAGCAAGUUGCUGAAAUUUCUUGUGCAUACUGUGGUGAAGAACAUGGCUUUGAUAAUUGUCUUGGAAAUCCAACUUCAGUAAACUAUGUGGGUAAUUUCAAUCGACAACCUCAGAACAACCCAUAUUCAAAUACUUACAACCCUGGCUGGAUGCAACACCCAAAUUUUGCAUGGAGCAGCCAGAAUCGAAAUGCUCCAGCAUUAAAUGGACAAAAUGGAAACACAUAACUACCUGGUUUUCAUCAGCAAAGUCAAGGGCAAAAGCAUAACAGUCAGGAUCCAAUCACUUCACUGGAAACACUGAUUAAAGAGUACAUUGCAAAGAAUGAAGCAAUUGUGCAGAGUCAAGUUGUAUCCUUGAGAAACCUGGAAAACCAAAUGGGACAACUAGCCACAGCAAUGAGCAGCAGAACUCAAGGAAGCCUACCUAGCAACACAGAAAACCCUAUGAGGGAGGGCAAAGAACACUGCAAACUAAUUAAUUUGAGGUCUGGAAAGAAUGUUGAUAUCCCAAUUGAUGUAUCUAAAAAUGGGAUGGAAUUCAAUUCAGCACAAAAAUUACCUCAAAAUGGAAGCAUGUUACAACAACCUCCUCUUCAAGACACUGGUUACAUAGGCCAAGCUACAGCAACUGCAAAGAAAAGUCAACCAGAACAUGCUGAAAAAGAAGUUGCAACAUCAGAAGUCACAAACUGCACCAAACCAAACAAGCAAAGUGUGAUAUCUCCUGAAGCUACCUAGCAGUUUAGAUAUCCACCACCUUUCUCACAAAGGUUCCAGAAGCAAAAACAAGACAAGCAGUUCAGUAAAUUCCUGGAAGUGCUGAAGCAACUGCACAUAAAUAUACCUUUUGUGGAAGCUUUGGAGCAAAUGCCAAAUUAUGUGAAAUUUCUUAAAGAUAUCUUGGCACGAAAAAAAAGGCUGGGAGAGUUUGAAACUGUUGCUUUAACACAGGAGAGCAGUCAUAUGCUCCAGAGUAAAAUUCCCACAAAAGUAAAGAUCCAGGGAGUUUUACAAUACCUUGCUCUAUAGGAACUAGGUACACUGGCAGAGCACUUUGUGACUUAGGAGCUAGUAUUAAUUUGAUACCAUUAUCUGUAUUUAAGCAGCUGGGAGUAGGGGAGUGCAGACCAGCAACAGUUACUCUGCAAUUAGCUGACAGAUCUCAUGCAUACCCUGAAGGAAAAAUAGAGGAUGUACUGGUGAAGGUUGACAAAUUCAUCUUUACAGUGGAUUUCAUUGUACUGGAUUUUGAAGCUGAUAAAGAGGUACCCAUUAUAUUGGGAAGACUUUUUCUAGCAACUGGAAAGACUCUGAUAGAUGUGCAGAAAGGAGAACUCACCAUGAGAGUGAAUGAUCAGCAAGUCACAUUUAAUGUCCUAGAGGCUAUGAGAAACCCUGAUGAAGUAGAAGAUUGCAAUUUCCUAAGUGUAGUGGAUUUUGUUGUAGCAGACAGAAUGGACAGAUGCUGCAGUAAUGCACUUGAUAAAGUCACCUUUGAAGAUGUUGAAGAGGAAGAUGUUGCAGCAAUCCAGACAGAUUGGAUGGAUAAACAGAAAUCUAAUAGGCACAACAUGUUUAUUGAACACCUGAAUUUUUUAGACAGGGAAGUAAAAACAACUUUACCAUCUAUUAAAUCACCUCCUAGUUUUGAAUUAAAAUUGUUACCUUUAUAUUUAAAGUAUGCUUAUCUUGGUCAAAACAACACACUCCCUGUAAUAAUUUCUUCUACUUUGGAUGCAGGUCAAGAACAGAGCCUAGUAGAUUUGCUGGGAAAAUACAGAAGAGCAAUUGGAUGGACCAUGGCAGAUAUAAAGGGGAUAAGCCCAUCCAUAUGUAUGCAUAAAAUACUAUUAGAAGAUUGUUCCAGCAAUUCGGUAGAGCACCAGAGAAGGCUGAAUCCUAUUAUGAAAGAAGUAAUGAAGAAGGAAAUCAUCAAAUGGUUAGAUGCUGGAAUCAUAUACCCAAUAUCAGACAGUUCAUGGGUAAGCCCAGUUCAAUGUGUUCUAAAGAAAGGAGGGAUAACAGUAAUGGCUAAUGAGAAGAAUGAACUUAUUCUUACAAGGACAAUGACUGGAUGGAGAGUGUGUAUGGAUUAUCGGAAGCUCAACAAAGCUACAAGGAAAGACCAUUUUUCACUUCCAUUCAUAGAUCAGAUGUUGGACAGACUUGCUGGAAAAUAAUAUUACUGUUUCUUAGUUGGGUAUUUAGGCUACAACCAGAUUACUAUAGCUCUAGAGGAUCAAGAGAAGACUACAUUUACUUGUUCCUAUGGAACAUUUGCCUUCAGAAGAAUGCCAUUUGGGCUAUGCAAUGCUCCAACAACAUUUCAGAGAUGCAUGAUGUCUAUAUUUUCUGAUAUGGUAGAGCAGACUUUAGAAGUUUUCAUGGAUGAUUUCUCAGUUUUUGGAGAAACAUACAAUGAGUGUUUACACAACUUGGAAGAAGUUCUUAGAUGUGAGAUGACCAACUUAGUACUCAAUUAGGAAAAAUGCCAUUUCAUGGUGCAAGAAGGAAUAGUGCUGGGUCACAAGAUAUCCAAGGAUGGUAUUGAGGUAGACAAAGCCAAGAUAGAGGUAAUAGAUAAACUGCCACCUCCAAUUUCAGUAAAGGGUAUUAGGAGUUUUUUGAGUCAUGCUGGAUUCUACAGAAGAUUCAUUAAGGAUUUUUCCAAAGUAGCUAAGCCUCUGUGUUCAUUGCUGGAGCAUGACAAACCAUUUCACUUUGACAAAGAGUGCUUUCAAGCAUUUGGAGAAUUAAAGAAAGCUCUGAUCACUGCUCUAGUAGUUAUAUCUCCAGAUUGGACUUUACCAUUUGAAUUGAUGUGUGAUGCUAGUGAUCAUUCUGUGGGAGUAGUAUUAGGGCAAAGAAAGGAUAAGGUUUUUCAUUCCAUAUACUAUUCAAGUAAAACGUUCACUCCAACUCAGAUCAAUUACACCACUACAGAGAAAGAGUUGCUAGCAGUAGUCUUUACUUUUGAAAAAUUCAGAGCUUAUCUAGUGGGUACUAAAGUAACUGUUUACACAGACCAUGCAGCCAUCAAAUAUUUAAUGUCAAAGAAGGAUGCCAAACCAAAAUUAAUCAAAUUAAUCAGAUUAAUCAAGAAUUUGAUCUGGAAAUUAAAGAUAGAAAAGGGAACUGAGAAUCAAGUGGAAGACCACUUGUCACGACUGGAAGUAGACACUAGUACAUUGACAAGGAAAGGCAUCACUGAAACUUUUCCUGAUGAACAGUUGUUGGUAGUAUAACAAGCACAGAUGCUGCAGCAGUCAGAAUCUCCAUGGUAUGCAGAAUUUACUAACUAUUUAGUAAGUGGGUUGCUACCAUCUGAGCUGAAGUUUCAAGAGAAAAAGAAAUUUCUUCAUGAUGUUAGAAGUUAUCAGUGGGAUGAUCCACAUUUAUACAAGCUAUGCUCAGAUUAAGUAAUAAAAAGAUGUGUUGCAGCAGAAGAAAUACCUUAUAUACUGGAGUCAUGUCAUGCUGCAGCAUAUAGAGGACAUUUUGGUGGUCACAGAAUGGCUGCCAAAUUUCUACAAUCAGGUUAUUAUUGGCCCACUAUUUUUAAAGAUACUUAUGAAUUUUUUAAAUAUUGAGACAUGUGUCAAAGGACAGGGAACAUAACUAGAAGACAUGAAAUGCCAUUGACCAACAUCCUGGAAGUGGAGGUUUUUGAUGUCUGGGGAAUAGAUUUUAUGGGACCCUUCCCAUCAUCUUUGGGAACUUAUAUAUCCUUGUUGCUGUGGAUUAUGUCUCCAAAUGGGUAGAAGCUGCAGUAUUACCUACCAAUGAUGUUAAAAUAGUGGUGGCUUUUCUUCAGAAAAAUAUUUUUUCCAGGUUUGGCGCUCCUAGAGCAAUUAUUAGUGAUGAGGGUACACAUUUUUGCAACAAAAUCUUUGCUGCAGCAAUGAAAUAUGGAGUCAGACACAAGAUAACAACAACAUAUCACCCACAAUCCAAUGGUCAGGCUGAAGUGUCCAACAGAGAAAUUAAAAAGAUCUUAGAAAAAGUGGUGAACCCAACGAGGAAGGAUUGGUCUUUACACUUGCAUGACUCUCUAUGGGCAUACAGAACAGCAUACAAAACUCCUCUUGGCAUGUCUCCUUACCGAAUUGUUUAUGGCAAGGCUUGUCAUUUGCCACUAGAGCUAGAGCAUAAAGCACAUUGGGCACUGAAGAAAUUAAAUUGGGAUAUGCAUGCUGCAGCAGAGCAAAUGAAACUUCAACUUUGUGAGCUUGAUGAAUUACGACUAUUUUCAUAUGAAAAUGCAAGAAUCUAUAAAGAGAGGACAAAACACUGGCACGACAAGCAUAUUCAGCACAAGAAAUUCAACCCUGGUCAAUUAGUGUUGCUCCACAAUACAAGACUAAGAUUAUUUUCGGGAAAGCUCAAAUCACGAUGGUCUGGCCCGUUUAAAUUAUUAAAAUCUUAUCCUCAUGGAGCUGUUGAUCUUCUCGAUGAACAAACAGGCCACGAAUUCAAAGUUAAUGGACACAAGGUUAAGCAUUACAUACAUGCAGCAGCAGAAUGUUCAAAGGAGGUGUUACACCUUAAAGAACCCAGCUAUUGAACAAUGAAAGAAGGUCAAGCUGAAAGACCUUAAAUCAAGCGCUCCAUGGGAGGCAGCCCAUGGUGGAGACGUCCACUUCAAACCAAUUUUGAUCUCCUUUGGUUUUGUAGACAACUCUUCCUCUUUACCAUUUUAUUUAAUCCUGUUUUUCCAUGUUAACCAUUUAUUUUUACCCUUUUCCAUUAUUGCAUACUUUAUCUUCGCUUUAAUUUGAUAUAUCUAUUUCUUUUAAUAAUUUUAGACUUAAUUUUAGUAAGUGUGACAAUUGAAUUCCAUAUUGACAAGUGCGAGUUAUGGUGGCAGAAUUCAGAGGUGAACCACGUGUCAGAAGCUUUAAUGUGGAGUAUGUAUCCGUUGUUAGAAUAAGCGAAUGGGUGCUGCAGCAACUAAUAGUACCGUUACAGUAAAUUAAAAGCUAGAGCCUUUCACUUACCGUUGGAGAUAAAAUCGUGACAAAUGGAUGCAUGGAUAUGGAUAGAAAUUGCCGAAACAAAUCUCUGAAAUUAAAGCUUUAAUUUCACUGGCCGAUGAUUUUGGGAUAUGCGCAUUUAAUUCAAAAUAUUUUAUUCCCUCAAUUAUUUCAGGUUACUGCAUUUAUCUCCAACUAAAAGUCCACUAUAAAAAGGAGUCACUGUGCUUAGUAGUCUAAGCCACUAUUCCCCAUCUCCUUUGCAAAUCCAAUUCUCCUAAUUCUUAACCUCUUCUUCUCUUUUUAUUCUCAGGAACAGUAGCCUCAAUUUGUUACUGCUACAGCAAUGCCGAGAUAUAAGAAAACAGCAAGCCGCCUUAAAGAUCCGUCACAAUUCCAGAGUUACCACGCUGAAGAAAAAUAUGAGGAAUUCAUAGAGCCACGUAGGAUUCUAGAAGAAAAAGGGUUUCAAUUUCCAGACCAACUCACAGGAAUUGUGCAAACAAUUCAUAAUGCUGCGGCAAAGCGAGGUUGGCUAGAGUUUUGUAACCACCAUUGAGAUCCUGUGCUGCCUGUAGUCAAAGAAUUUUAAGCCAAUUUGGUAAGCCCUGAUCAGCACAACAUUUGGGUAAGAAAUACAUUUGUCCCAUUAGACUCCCGUGUUAUCAAUGCUUUCUAUAACUUACCUACUGAAAUUACUUGUGAGUAUGCUAAGUUGCGUGAUAAGUUAGCCCCGAAAAAGUGGAACACCAUCUUCACAACUCUUACAAUCGAAGGGGCAUCAUGGGUUAAUGAGGAAGGGCGUGUAGUUAAUCGGAUAGAUUUGAAACCUAUUGCUAAGGUGUGGGUGAAAUUUCUGAAAUCUAGGCUUAUGCCCACCACUCACACUACUACAGUUUCGCAAGAAAGGUUGGUCUUGUUAUAUGUCAUAGUUCGAGGGCUUCCUAUAGAUAUAGGUAGCAUCAUUGCGAAAGAAAUCCGAGAUUGUACAGUCAAAACUCACCGAACUGUUGCCUUAUUAUUUCCCUCACUCGUCACCAGCAUUUGUGUAGUUUCAGGUGUUUGUCUUGACUCCAGAGAUGAACAUGUAAAAAAUGAUGGUGCUUUACAGCACGUACCAUUGAGCGAGUUGCUGGUGAGAGUGCUGGAACAACCAUUGAACCAGCUGUUGUCAUAGGAGCUAGACGAGCUAUUGGCUUAGAACAAACUAUCCAGGCACUUAGCAAUAGUAUAACUUAAUGAGUGGAAGCUCAGUAGAGGGAAAAUGGUCAGUUUUGGAGUUAUCUACAGCACCUGGACAACCAACUACACCAAUUUGCUCUGUACAUGAAACACACUCACUAGAACUUCCCUGAUGCGUUGCUCCAACAGUUUAAUUUUGACACCCACACCACAGAUGCUCCAGCAGACGCUAGUGCAGAAGCCACUGCCACGGAGGAACCAGCAGAAGAUGCUGCAGCCGAACCACAAGCAGAGGAAGAAUCAAAAGACACUGAAUCAUCUGACCAGCCUGCGGAAGAAGGUGACAAGUUUGAGACUGAUAGCUCACCUAUAGAGGAAGAGGACAACUUGGAGAAAGACCGUGAGGAACCAACCAUCCUAACCCAGCCCAAAACCAGAAAAUAACACAUCAUUCAAGAAGAGGAGGAGGAAGACCUUGAAGAGGAGCCGUCUAUUCCAGUCCUUGAGGGCAAGAGAAAGGACAAGGGUAAAGCAAAAUUGGCAACACCUCCAGCCUCUGAAGAUGAGAUGGAGUAAGUCGAUGCUGAGCUGGCUGCUGCAGCAGCUAGAGCUAUGCCUACACCUGAGCAAGCCAAGCAACUACUUGCGGUUAUUGCUGCCAUCACAGCUGAGGGCCAGGCAGCUGAUGCAUUAACUCAAGAGCCUCCACAGUAAACUCCUAGCCAACCUAUUCGUACCAGUCCAAGGCGAUCCAACAAACGAAAAGGCAGUACGUCUACAGGUACUGCUACAGCAACCCCAGCCACAACUUCUCUCACCAGCCCCGCAGCGAAAAAGACAAAGACAUUGCUAGCCACUUCCCCAAAAGCUUCACCAAAGGAUAAGCUGCGCAGUGCAUCCAAGAAGCGCUGAUAGCAUUCUAUCAUGUGCUGCAGUCCCCACCACAGGGGAGUAUUCUUUCCUUACUAGUUUAUUCUUAAAAAAAUUUAUUUUUUGUCAAAUUGUGUGCAUGUGUUAUGUUUGCUUGUGCCGACACAACAACUCUCCAGUUUGGGGGGGCGUUGUGCUCCCGAAUGCAUAUGUCUAUGUUUGUAUGCAUGUGUUUAUGUUUGUGUGGUGUGGAGCUCUAUUAUCUAAAUAUUUGUGUAUGGAUUUGAAAGCCUAAUGAAGAUAAAUUGAAUGCUAUUCAAUAUAUAUAUGCCAAGUAGAGAUAGUUAUAGAUGAAAGUGAAAUUCUGUCCCGACACUUAGACUUUGGUUGAAUUGCAUGAGACUGUUAGAGCAAAGCCAAAAGAAGAGAAAAGAUCUCAAGUUUGGGGGGGAAGAAGCAAGUUUGAAUAACUGUGAUAUCUAUGGAAUACAAUAUGUUCCAAUGGCUCAAGUUGCUGAGUAACCAGAUCUGAGUAUGUACUCCAUAUGCAGACUUGUGUUCAAAAGUAGCGAGAGUUAUGAGCAAUGUUGUAGCAUAAUUAAAAAAAAACAAGAGAGAAAAGGAAGAAAUCCUCUGUCUAAGGCAUUGAGUAGCCAGGACUGUUCAUGAGUCCCAUGUUCAGCCUUGAGUAAAAGAUACUUCUAGAUAAGAUUACAUUACAAUUACUGCUGCAGCAACUCUAAUAUGGGUAUGGUUUGAGUAAUUGGGUGUCAUCAUUACAAUUGAUUGACAUUCACAUGAAAGAUAAAUAUUAUAGUGAGGAGGUUAAAUAUUCCCUAGUUUGUCAAAUCCUAAAAUAAUCACAGUUGAGUAUGUGAAAGUUAUGAUUACCUCAUUUAUGAAUGAAGUAUUCUCACUGCUGAAAUUCAUGCAAUCCCUUGGUGAUGCUAUAGCAUAUCUAGAAUUCAACCGAAAGAGCACACACACACUAUGGACAGAAAGAAGCUUAAGUCUAGGACUAAUUUACUAUGGUCAUCUUGCAUGAUUGAGAAUAUGAUCUGAAGGUGGAAGAAUCCUUACAAAGUUGAUAAAAGAGCUAAAUUUGUGUGAAUGAUUACUUGUGUGAAGUGUUAGUAUGUGUCAUUACUUGAGGACAAGUAAUAAUUUAAGUUUGGGGGUGUGAUAACUCUAGGAAAUGAGAGUUAUUACAUCAACUUUAGACUUGAAUUAAGAUCAUUUAGAGAACAAAUAAGGUGCUUUUAUUACAUUCAUUUUAGUUGGGUCUUAAUAAGUUUUACUUAAAUCAAGUAAUUUGUGCUAAAAAUAGGUGCAUAAUUAUAGGUUUUAAAUUCAUAAGGGGAUGCUGAGACAUUAGAUGAGCAAGAGGAGGAAAGAAGAUGGCCACAAAAGAAGAAAAGCACAAUAGGGAAUAAUGCAGUGCUGUUGUGGAUGUCUUAGCGGACAUUAUUAGAGUAUUACUUGUUCUUAAGUCGAGUUUGCUAGAUUAAGUUAUCCUGAAUCCCAUAAGGGCAAUACUUGAAGUUAAGAUGUGUGACACUCUAGACAUAGGUGUUCACCUUGUAGGGUAGAAAGAUUAAAGGUUUUAAUGUCGUACCAUAAAUAUAUGAGCAACUGGUCAUUGUUAGUAGAUUUAAAGGUAUGAGACUUCCAACAUGCGAUAGCUGAGGAUGCAGAUUUAUUCUGCCCAGUGCUGCAGCACUUACUGUAACAACUGGUGCUAAUUUGGUAAACAAAAGUCACCCCAUUAGGAGAGUUUGAUCAUUCAACUACUAUAUUCCUAAUUGAAUCUUAGACACAUUUAACUUAGGUUAUUUCAUUACAGCAUUGUUUUAUUUCCAUCUCUCGCAAUUAUUAAUUACGAUAGAAUUAUUCGACAAUUGUUUGUUUCGGUCUUUAGUUGAUUUGCACUAUUGAGAUUGCUUUAGCAUUUUGAGUAACAUCAAUCCCUGUGGAGACGAUCUUGAAUACUCAUCACUUUAUUACUUGUUGUGUAUACUUGCACAUUGGCAGUGGUAGUAAUUGAUUAUAAAAAAACCAAUCAACACUGCGUCAUUAUUUGCUUCCACAAUGUUGAACUAAAGGGUAUCAAUAUAUUUUCUGAUAAUUGCCAUCACGCUUAACCGUUAAAGGUUGUUCGUGGUAGUGUGAAUUUAGAGAUAAAAUCCGUCUAUGUGAGUUGGACAUAUUUGAGGGGAGAAUAGUGAAAAUUGUCCUUAAUUAAAUCAUAUUUCAGACACAAUCUUUGAAAUUAUUGCACCUACACUACAAAACAUAACAAAAAAAUAUUUUCAAUACAUCGAAAAUGAGAAGAAAUUGUCAUGAACCAUCUUUGAAGGUUCAAAUAAAGUACCUAUCUAACAUAUGUGAAAAAAUUAAAUGAAUAAACAUGAGGCGGUUAAGAAGUUAAUAAAAGUAAAAUAAAAGAGCUGGAAAACAAGAGAAACAUAUACACGUGUGAGAGAGUGAGAGAGAAGUUGUCAAACCCAACCCGUUUGACCUGAAAUCGACCCGGCCAUAUCUUCCAAAUCCGGCCACCCCACCGGUCAAGCUUGUUACCAAUUUGAAGCUUGAAGACCGACCAUCAUACCCCAGUCGUCAUUGUCGCGAAAAUCGAUGGGAUCCCCGCCGUUUGAAGCUUGAGAAACCGCGGCCAAAAUCCAUUAUCACCACCAUUGAUUCUACCAGAAUUUGACCACGCCACCACCUCAGUUUUGUUCCCCAUGACUCCCUCUUCCAUUUCCGACCAUCCAUAGCCACCGGGAGUCAUUGUUUCGCCGCCGGUCAAUUGUUGGAGUUUCACAGCUGUUGAGCUAGAUUCCGGCGUCGUGGCCGCGCGUGGAAGCUCAUUGCCGACACUAUUCGACUCAGUGUGAUUGGAGCUUUUAGACUUGAGCUUCCCGGCCAGCGUUGACCAAAUUCUAGUGACCGUUGACGGGUUAGGGCAUUUCGAUAAUUUCACACUCUGAGGGCAAUUUUGUAAUUUUUGAGCCUGUGGAUAUUUUAGUAAUUCCUAGAAUUAAGGAUUGGGUGUAAUUAGGAUUCCGAGGGGUAAUUCGAUGAUUUACGAUUUCAGAGUAUUUUAAUGAUUUACGGACUCGAGGGUAUUUUAGUAAUUUUAUCGACACGGGAGUUGUAAAUUAUGGAUAGAUGUUCGUUUCGAGUUUAUUGCAUAAAUUUAGUCCUAAUUUCGCUUCAGAGAAAAUAAUUAUGUCAUUUUCUUGAUUUAGGAGGAUCUGCGAGCGAGAACCGGUCCGCGGACGUGGACGAUAAUCGAGUCUGAACAUCAUCACUGUGAGUGGAAUAUACAAAACCUAUUUUUAUAGUUAAUUAUGAUAGCAAACCAUGUUUGCGAAAUAAGUAUUUUAAAUGUUAUGAUUUAAUGAUUUCUUUGAAAUGGAUUUAUUCAUGCAUUAGUAUUUUAUUAAAAUGUUUGGUUAAUAAUUUUGCGUAUCGACUUUGAAUAAAACAUGAUAAUAUCUUAGAGAUAAGAAAAGUUGAUUCAAAUGUGGUAUGGUUUAAAGUAUCGUUAAAAGGUAUGUGAAUAUGAGUAUAAUGAUUGUUUUUGAAAUCAUUGGACAGUACCCUUCCUCUCCAAAUACAGUGAUACAAAUGAGAUGAGAUAGAGGCCUUUGGGGCUCGUCUGAACACACAUAGAGGCUUUGGGCCAUGUGUUUGGGUGCCUUUGCCUUUUGGGGGCAUAUGUAUGUGGCAUGAUGAUUACAGAGAUACCGAUAUGAGAUACAAAUAAAUAUUGAGAUACAAAUGAUACAGACGAGAUACAGGCCUUUGGGGCCCAUCUGAGUACACAUAGAGGCUUUGGGCCAUGUGCUUGGGUGCUUUUAUCCCUUGGGGACUAGAUUAUGCAUGCACAAAUAUGAUGAGAUAUGAGAUGAUAUUUCCCUGUCUAUCCGUGUAGCUCUAGGGCGUGACGGUACCCAGAUAGUACGUCAUUGCCCGUCCGUUGAGAUCUUGAUAUGACGAGAUUAUUUUCCUGGGUACAUGUUUGGUGAUGAUUUUCAGAUUUGUAUAUUCUAUAUGAUAUUGUGAUAUGAUUUCCAUGGUUAUUUAGUACGAUAAUAUAUAUGCUUUUCAUGGUUAGUAAUAUGGUUUAAAUGUUAAAUGAUUUACUACUGGUUUCUUGCAUAUGGUUUGAUGAAAUCGUGUUUGGAAAUGAUAUGAUUAUUUCUUUUAAAGUAAGAAUUAAUUUUUAAAAACUAUUAUCCACUCACUGAUCUCACUGAGUUUUAUACUCACCAUUUUUUUAUAUUUUUCCCCCUAGUAGGAGGUUGCAGGUACACCAGACCGACCCGUCGACUGUAAAUAUAUUUUGAGUGUUGGCCACAUGAUGGUGUUAGAAGAUAUAAAUGAUUUUGUUAGGACAUCUUGGUUAUCUCGUUCUUUUGGGAUUAUAUAAUUUUGUUAUAUUAUUCUUUUGGGAUUAAGAAUAAACUAAGAUAUUAAUAUUAGUUAUAAUAUUAUCUUUUUAGACUCUGGAGAUAUCUUGAGUAAAACUCAGCGUUUUGGUUGAGGAUGUUGAACAUUGGAGUUGGUUGUAUAUUGAAUUAUUUUGGGGAGUGUUAUAUUCAUAUUUGUAUAUUAAGAGUGUUAUAUUUAUAAAGGAGACUCUGCCAAAUUUUUGGCAUCCAACAACUGACCUUUUUGUUCGUCAUUUAGGGAUGAUGAGAUGAUUACCGAUAGAGUGCUUUCUUCUUCCAAAAAUGCAUAUUCCAAAGUGUUGGGUAAUAGUUUAAGCUCGAGUUUCGGUGGUGAUUCUGAUGAUGGGAUGAGUUUCUUCUCUGAUGGUGCUAGUUGUUCAACUCUUGACUUCUAUUUAUUAUAUCUAUAGAUGAUGCUGAGUCAAGUAGGGCGUUGACCUCAUUGACUGAUAUGUCAAUAUCAAAAUCCAAACCAAAGUGAGUUAAGCAUGUUUGUAAAGGGUCGUCACUAAGGUUUAAAAAAAAGUAUUAUCAACUAAUGCUUCUAUUAAAUCCACAUCAACAAUUCUAUCAUCUGCAUUGUGAGGUUGUUUGACAAUAUUGAAGAUGUUUAGCUCCAUAGUCAUGUUGCCGAAGGACAACUGCAUAUUUCUAGUUCUACAUUGAAUGUGAGCAUCGGCAGUUGCCAAGAAAGGUCUGCCUAGGAUAAUGGGGAUGUGUUUCCUUGAAUCCUGGAUUGGUUGAGUGUCAAUUACAAUAAAAUUAACGGAAAAAUAAAACUUGUCUACCUGGAUAAGCACGUCCUCCACAAUACCACGAGGUAUUUUCGUGGACCGAUCUGCAAGCUGUAACACCACUGGAGUUGGGUGUAAUUCUUCAAGUCCAAGUUUCACAAAUACUGAAUAAGGCAACAGAUUUACACUAGCUCCUAAAUCCAACAAACCAUUCUCAAUUGUGUGGUUAGCUAUGCUACAUGAGAUAGUGGGGGAGCCUGGGUCUUUACAUUUAAGAGGAAUUUUGUGUUGGAGUAUAGAACUAAUGUUUUCUGUUAAAAAUGUCUUCUUUUGAACAUGAAUGUUUAUCUUUUUAGUAUAAAGGUCUUUAAGAAACUUAGCAUAAGAUGAAACUUAUUUUAUAGCAUCGAGUAAAGGGAUGUUAACACUUACCUGUUUGAUGAUUUCAAGAAUCUCACCUGUGGAUUUUCCCUUUUUUCCUUUCUCUAACCUCUGAGGAAAUGGAGCUUUGGGAACAUAUUCUCGUGGGUUGGUUUCUUCUUUCUCUUUCGAUGGUGAGUCCUCAGUAUUUACAGGUACAAUUUGAUUUGUUUUUAUCACUGGCAUCUCCACUUUGUUAUCGACUUCUUUUCCUUUUCGCAAGGUCAUGACGGCUUUGACCUCUCCAUGCUGCUGUGGUGAACUGGUACUUACUUCAUGCACUCCUUUAGGAUUAGACACUGGUUGACUUGGAAACUUGCCUUUCUCAAUAGUCAUUGCCAAGGUCUGAACUGAAGAAGUAAGUUGUCCCACCAUCUUCUCGAGGCCUGAAACUGAUUGGGCUUGUGAGUUGAAGCCUGCUCUCAUCUCAUUUUGUAUUUCAUUAAUGGUGCGGUUCUGCUGCUCGAUCGUGGAGUGAGUAACAUUCCUGAAAUUCUGGAAUGCAUCCUCCCAUGGUCUGGGUUGAGAGUAAUUCUGGUUCUGAUUGUAUGGUCUAAAUGGUGGCUGAGAGGCUUGAGGAACCUGGGGAAUUGGUUGCAUUGGUGGAGCUGGAGUUGUUGGUCCAUUCUGUUGGAAUCCUUGAGACCAUAAAAAAUUGGGGAGGUCUCUCCAUCCAAGGUUAUAUGUGUUGGAGUAUGGGUUGUAAUUUGAUGGUUUUCUCAUUACACUUAUGGCAUUGGCUUGAUGUGGGUAUGAGUCAUGGUCAUGUGACUCUGUUGAUUUAGCAGUUGAUAACGAUGCUAUUUGUUGAGAGGGACCUUCAAUUAUCGCUUUGACUUCUUUAAUUUCUGAACUCGACUCGUCCAUAUGAACCUCAUUCACUCCUUUAAUUCUUUUAGUAUUCCUGAGUGAUCGACUCCGUUGUUGGGAAUUAUCCGCUUGUCGCUAGAAGAAUUCCUAAAUCUGUGAUGCACUUUUUGACAUUAGCUCUCCUCCACUUGUUGCAAUUAGCCAUUAUUGCACAUACAACAAUAAUCCCUCCAAAAAGUAUUGGCAUUGGUGCCAUUUCUCGUACCCAUGAUGUGAUGCUAUUAGCAGGCAAUGUAUUGAGCCAUGAACGAGCUCUAUCCUUUAAAGAAAAUGGGAAUAGUCUAAGUUUAACAUCUGAAAAAUUCUCAUAUUUAAAUGUUUGACAAAUAGCAUGAAAAUCAUUCAAAUGAUUAUAUGGGUCCUCAUUUUCUAGGUCAUAGAAUGUUGGGAGACAAUUUAGCACACUAGGUUUUAGUUUAAAACUCCUAGCAGCUACAUUUGGGUAUCUUAUGCAUGAUGUGCUCAAAUUAACUAAGGGACUGAAGUAGUCCUUAAAUGACCUGUGGUGGUGGUUGUUGUUGCAAAUCCAUUUCACUUUUAUCUUUAAUGUGUUUGUGUGUGCGCAAUGUUUUUUCAAGUUCAAGGUCUAUAGGCUCAAGAUUAGGUAAUAAUGACAUUCGACCAUGCAUGCAAAGAACACAAAAUAAAUGGAAACAAAACAAAUAAAAAUAAAGAAAAAGAAGAAAUUACGGUACUAACCUUAUUACGCUCUUAAAACCUUUCUAUAAAAACACACUAAAAAAAAUACGCGAAAUAAAUUAACUAAAAAUAAAUUAAUAAAAUAAAAAAAAAUUACAAAGAAAAAUAACUUAAAAAUUAAGUUGCAGAAUUGUAAAGAAUAGAGAAAGAAAAAAAAUUAUUACCUCUAAAUGCAGAUUCACUUUUUUUUUCUUUUUUUUAAUAAGAAAAAAAUAUAAGAAAACAAAUAAAAGAAAUUAUUCACAAAAAUUAAUUCUACGAAUUAAAAUAACUUACCCCCCCGGCAAUGGUGCUAAAAACUUAUUGUGCAAAUUUUAUUGAAUUCGCAAGUGCACGAAUCUAUUGUAGUAUAGAUCAAUGGUGACGAGUGUUGAUCCCACGAGGAGAUGGAUUUUAAUUGUGUAGAAUUAAUUUUCUAAAUGGGUGGUUGGAUUUGUGGUGAAAAUGAUUUAGAUUAUCCUAAAAUUCAAAUUAAAAUGGCAAGAAUAAAUUGAAAUGAAAAUCUAUUAAAAUGACGUACUUGAGUAUCUGGAUCUGCAUCAACAUGCACCAUGGGCUAAAUAUUCCUUAUUAAUGCCAAUUAAAUCAUGAGGGGGGAAUCCACACCUCAUGAACCACACUCUAAUCAAUAUGGUGCUAAAGGCUUAUUGUGCCAAAUAAUAAUAACAUUGUACUAGGGAGCCGGUGAAACUAGGGCGGUAUCUAGACAAGAUUAUUAUUAUUUGUCGACGAAAAGUCAAAACAUCCACAAAAAUUAGUGGCGAAGAGAAAUAAAUUUACUAAAUAAAGCCCAUGACACAUGUUGAGACUUCACCUUCAACCCAAACUUAAAAGAAAAUUAGCUACUCAUAAUUGAACUAGGGGCAAAAUGAAAAUUUAUUAAAAUACAUAGAAAUACAAGAUGAAGAAGGAAUUACAUAAAAUGGAGCCCAAAAAUAGAUUCAGAGAUAUCAAAUUAGGGGGGAUGCCCCAUUUUUAUAGAUCCAUUGAGUAAAUCAUGGCCAUCGGAUUAAAAACAGUUUGGACGCUCAGGAUUGCGCCACGUCAUCAGUCAACAGUAUGCGGUUUGAACAGUCAACCGGUUUGAACAGUGACGCAGUUUGGUUGAAAAUAAUCCUGUGUAUAUGCAUGUACCGUACGUGCGAUUUUUAGUCCACUAACAUGCUGCCACGUCACCAAUCAACAAUGUAUAUAAAUUUUGUGCAAUAGAAUCGUGACACCUCAUCAGUCAAUGCCACAUCAUUGGUCAAUGCCAUGUCAUCGUUUCGUAUGUGUGAACAGAGUCAUGAACAGUAACAUGGAUAGUAUCGUACAUGUGAAUAGUGCCGUACAUGUGAACAAUGACAUUUUUCCAUUUAUGCUCCUCUUAAGGUUUUCGACUGUCCUGAGUUCAAAAGUGAUGUCUGUUUUGCCGUCUGAUUUCUCGUUCAUUGUGAAAUGACCAUGAUGCCCCUAAAAUACUUAAAAUACUUAAUUAAAAUAAAACACACGUAAUUAAAUCACAAGAAGCUUAAAUACAUAAAAAUAAGGGUGUUAGUAAGACUUGAAAUGUAAAAUGAUGAUUUUCUCCUUUAUAUAUAUACAUUUUCUAAUACUCAACACUACACUUCCUCUCACAAAGAGCUCAAAAGGUGUCAUGCCAAUGUUAGAGUGAAAGUUAUUAUAAGCAAACUCCACCAAAGGCAAAUGAUUCCCCCAUCUACCUCCCAAAUUCAAAACACAAGCUUGCAACAUGUCCUCAAGAGUUUGGAUAGUUUUUUUCUGACUGACCAUCCAUGUUAGGAUGAAAGGCUAUACUAAAAUGCAUCGUGGUACCGAAACUCUUAUGCAAGCUAGUCCAAAAAUUUGAAGUGAAUCAUGGAUCUCUAUCUAAAAUAGUGUAUACUGGCACUCCAUGCAAUCUUACUACCUCUUCAACAAAUAGCUCUGCCAACUGUCAAAGUUUGAUGGUACUUUUGACUAGUAAGAAGUGGAUGCAUUGACAACAUUGUCAACCUAAGUAACCUCAUUGACAAAUAUGAUAAAAGCUAUGACCACUGCUCUAGCAACAGUUAACCAAGUUGCUAAAGUCUCUUGUGUUUAUUGUGGAGAGGGGCAUCUAUAUGAUAAUUCUUCUGGGAAUCCAGCUUCAGUCAAUUAUGUAGGCAACUUCAAUAGACAAAAUUAGAGUAAUCUAUAUUCAAACGCCUAUAACCCUGGAUGGAGACAAUACCCAAAUUUUUCAUGGAGCAAUCAGAAUCAACAUGCUGCAAUCUCUAGUGGACUAAACAUAUCUAUUUAGCUACCUGAUUUUCACCAGCAAAAUCAAGGGCAAAGAAACACCAGUAAUAAUCAAUUCAACUAUAUUAAAACUCUGAUUAAGGAGUAUAUUGUGAAGAAUGAAGCAGUUGUCUAAAGUCAUGUUGUGUCAUUGAGAAAUUUGGAAAAUUAAAUUGGACAACUUGCUACAGUACUAAGUAACAAACCUCAUGACAAUUUUUCUAACAAUACAGAAAAUCCAAGAAGAGUGGGAAAAGAACAUUGUAAGGUGAUCAAUUUGAGAUCUGGAAAAGAUGUUCAUACUUCAGUUAGGCUACUAAAGAGAAUAACAAAGUCAGACGAAUGCUAAGAAGACACUCAAAUAGAGGAAGAGUUAUAGCCUUUCACUUUUUAGAAUGUAAAUCACCACAGUUAUGCUACAACAUUUGCAGAAAAUUAUGGUCCAGCACUUGGUAGUGAGGAAGUUGCAACACCAGUUACUUUAGUGCAGAACAAGGCAAAAGAAAACCAGUCUAUACAGCCUGCUAUAGCCCAACAAUUUAGACAUCCACCGCCCUUCCCUUAAAGAUUUUAGAAGCAAAAGCAAGACAAGCAAUUCAGCAAAUUCUUAGAAGUAUUGAAACAACUGCAUAUUAACAUUCUUUUUGUAGAAGCAUUAGAACAAAUGCCAAAUUAUGUGAAGUUUUUCAAAGAUAUAUUGGCAAGGAAUAGGGGCUUGGAGAAUUCAAAAUAGUUGCUCUAACACAAUAAUGCAGCCAUAUGCUUCACAGCAAAAUACCUCAGAAGUUGAAGGAUUCAGGAAGUUUCACAAUUCUUUGUUCUAUAGAAAUUAAAUACAGUGGUAAGGCACUUUGUGAUUUAGGAACAAGUAUCAAUCUUAUGUCAUUAUCAGUGUUUAAGCAAUUAAGAGUUGGAGAAGCCAGACCAACCACAACGACAUUGCAGCUGGCUGAUAGAUCUCAUGCAUAUCCUAAGGGCAAGAUUGAUGAUGUGCUGGUUAAGGUAGAAAAAAUUAUUUUUCCAGUAGAUUUCAUAGUAUUGGACUUUGAGGCAGAUAAGAAAGUACCAAUUAUUCUAGGCAGACUAUUUUUAGACACAAGAAAAACUUUAAUUAAUGUUCAAAAAGGGGAACUGACCAUGAGGGUCAAUGAUCAACAAAUUACUUUUAAUUUACUGGAAGCAAUGAAGAGUCCUGAUGAGGUUGAAGACUGCUAUUUUGUUAGUGCGGUAGAGCUUGCUGUUACAGACAACUUGAAUAAUUACUACAACAAUGAAGAGAUCAAGGCUACCAUAUUUGAGGUACUUGAAGAUGAAGAUGUUGCAGCAGUGCAUAUAGCAUGGUUAUAAGAGAAGCAACCUAUGAGCACUAAGAGACAUUUUAAGUCUCUUGAUCUUUCAAACAGGGAAGUGAAAACUGAUGUACCAUAUAUUGAACUAUCUCUUAUUUUAGAAUUAAAAUUCUACCUUUACAUUUGAAAUAUGUUUAUCUUAGCGACAAUAAUACACUUUCCGUAAUUAUUUCAUCUUCUUGGAAUGCAGAUCAAGAGAAAAGCUUGGUGGAUAUGUUGGGGAAAUAUAAAAAGGUCAUUGGAUGGACUAUGGUAAAUAUUAAAGGAAUCAACCCCUCUAUAUGCAUGCACAAGAUUCUGCUGGAGGAUUAUUAUAGCAACUCAGUAGAGCAGCAAAGAAGAUUAAAAUUAUCAAAUGGCUUGAUAUUGGAAUCAUCUACCGAAUAUCUGACAGCUCUUGGGUGAAUCCAGUAAAAUGUGUUCUAAAGAAAGAUGGAGUGACUGUUGUAGCAAAUGAGAAGAAUGAGCUCAUCCCACAAGAACAAUGAUUGGAUAGAGAGUUUGCAUAGACUAUAAGGAGCUUAACAAAGCCAUAAGAAAUGGCCAUUUUCCAUUGCCUUUCAUAGAUCAGAUGCUAGACAGACUUGUUAGAAAAGAGUAUUACUGUUUCUUUGAUGGUUAUUCAAGCUACAACCAAAUUGCUAUAGCACUAGAGGAUCAGGAGAAGACAAAAUUCACUUGUCCUUAUGGAACCUUUGCUUUUAGAAAAAUGCCCUUUGGCUUGUGCAAUACUCCAGCAACAUUUCAGAAGUGUAUGAUGUCCAUUUUUUCAAAUAUGGAGGUAAACACUUGAGGUAUUUAUGGAUGACUUCUCAGAUUUUGGGGAGAUCUAUGAUGAUUGUUUGCAUAAUCUAGAAAACAUGUUUAAAAGUUGUAAGGAGAAAAUUUUGCAUUUGACAAAUUUAAAGCCUAUUUGAUUGCCACCAAAAUGAUUAUCUAUGCAGUUACUCAACUAUAAAGUAUUUGAUUUCAAAAAAGGAUGUCAAACUAAGAUUGAUAAGGUAGAUCCUUUUGUUAUAAGAGUUUUACUUGAAGAUCAAUGAUAUAAAAGAGACUGAGAACCAAGUAGUAGAUCAUUUUUCAAGGCUGAAAGCAUAUGAAAGCACUCUGACCAAGUAAGAAAUCACAUAGACAUUUCCUAAUGAGUAACAAUUAAUGUUACAACAUGCAUAGAUACUGCAAUAAUAUGGGCUACCAUGACAUGCAGAUUUUGCUAAUUACUUGGUGAGUGGAUUUUUACCAUCUGAUUUGGGUUACCAGCAGAAGAAGAGUUUUCUCCACGAUCUUCGAAGUUAUCAGUGGGAUGAACCUAAUUUGUACAAGAUGUGUUCAGAUCGUGUGAUCAGAAGAUGUGUACCUAAUGAAGAAAUUUCAAACAUACUAAAAUUAUGUCAUGCUGCAGCAUAUGAAGGACAUUUUAGAGGCCACAAAAUAGCAGCCAAGGUUCUACAAUCAAUUUAUUAUUGGCCCUCUAUUUUUAAAAAUACUUAUAAGUUUAUUAAAUGUUGUGACAAGUGCCAAAGAAUAGGGAACAUAUCUCAAAAACAUGAAAUGCUAUUAACCAAUAUUUUGGAAAUUGAGCUCUUUGAUGUCUAGGGAAUAUAUUUCAUGGGUCCAUUCCCACCCACUUUUGGAAAUUUAUACAUUCUAGUUAUCGUAGACUAUGCAUCCAAAUGGGUGGAAGCUGUAGCACUACCAACCAAUGAUGCCAAAGCCGUGGUGAAAUUUCUUUAGAAUAUUUUCACAAGAUUUGGGAUACUCAGAGCGAUCACUAGUGAUGAAGGCACUCAUUUUGUAAUAAGAUAUUUGCUGCAGUAUUGGCUAAAUAUGGAAUUAAGCACAAGAUUGCUACAGCAUAUCACUCACAGUCUAAUGGUCAAGCAGAAGUGUCCAACAGGGAAAUAAAAAGGAUUUUAGAAAAAUUAGUAAACCAUAUUAGAAAGGAUUGGUCACUUAGACUAUAUAAUUCCUUAUGGGCAUAUUGCACAGCUUACAAGACACCACUUCGCAUGUCUCCAUGUGGAAUUGUAUAUGGCAAAGCCUGCCAUUUGCUAUUGGAGCUAAAGCUAAACCAUAUUAGGCGCUAAAACAACUGAACAUGGACAUGCAUGCUGCAGCAAAGCAUAGAAAGUUUCAAUUUUGUGAGCUUGAAGAGUUAAUAUUAUUCUCUUAUGAAAAUGUAAGGAUUUACAAAAAGAAAACAAAACAAUGGCAUGAUAAACAUAUCCAGUAGAGGGAGUUAAUUCCAGACCAGCAAGUUUUACUAUACAACUCUAGAUUAAAGUUUUUUUUGGGAAAGUUAAAGUCUAGAUGGUCAGAGCCUUUUAAACUUAUAAAAAUCUAUCCUCAUGGUACAGUAGAUCUUAAGGAUAAGAGAACUGGCCAGGAAUUUAUGGUAAAUGGGCAACGAAUUAAACAUUAUAUUGAUGAUGUUUUGCGAAACUUAUGGGAGGAUUUAUGCCUCACAGACCCAGCUUGAACAAUUAGGGGAAGGUCAGACUGAAAGUCCUUAAAUCAAGCACUAAUUGAGAGGCAACCAAUGAUUAGAAAAGUGAUUUCAAUUUUUCCUUCAAAAUAUUAAGUUUAGUUUUGCAUGUUUUUCUUUUCGAUUUUUGGUCAUUUUCGCAUUGAUUACUUAAUUUCUUAUUUAUCUUUUAUUAUAUGCGUUAAAAAAAAUUGGCUAUGAUACUGGCACAAGUUGUUACAGCAUUAUACUUUAUCAAUCAGGAGACUUUAUCGUAGUUGCUACAACACCAGAUUAUUUGCAAUAGCAACGAUUCUUACCAUGACAACAACACAAAAGUGGAGAUUUCUUUUAACCAUUGGGAGUAAUUUUGCCAGCUAGCAUCAGCAAAUCAGGAUAAAGAUAAGGAUGGAUUGCAUAAUCCUUAAAUUCCCGAAACCAAUAUCCUUUCCUUUUUACAUUUUGAUUUAUUUUAAAUUUUAAAUACACUUGCUAAAUUUAUCCUAUUACUUACUUUCUUUUUCUCAUUUAAUUUCACCUAUAAAUUAAAGAUUUAUUGUGCCUCUUUUCAUUCUCAUCCAAAUUCUUUUUCUUCUCAUCCACAGUUCUCCUCAUACUUUGGACUCCUUUUCACGUUUUGUUUCUCUUUUAGGUGACCAACAAGUCAGUCAUGUUUACUCUAACAAUAACAAGGUACAAGAAGACAACUGCUCGACUAAAGGACCAACCACACUUUCCUAGUUACAAAGCCGAAGAUAAAUUUGAAGAAUUUAUUGAGCCUAGGAAGAUUUUAGAGGAAAAAGGAUUUGAGUUUCCUCAAUAGCCAUCCAGAACAAUCAACACAAUCUAUGCUGCUGCAACAAAGUAAGGCUGGCUAGAUUUUUGCACUCACUCAAUGGACCAUGUGCUACCAAUCGUUAAGGGAUUUUACUUUAACAUGCUGCAAUAUGACCAACACACAGUCAUGGUAAGGAAUGUUCAAGUCCUCCUAGAUUCAAGGGUAAUUAAUGCUUUCUAUAACUUACCACUUAAUAUUCAUUGUGAAUAUUCGAACAUGGUUGAGAAUAUGACUACUAAGAAGUAGAGUGAUGUGCCCAAAACCCUUAAGGUGGAGGGUAAUUCAUGGUUGGAUGAGGAAGGCAGAGUAUUGAAUAGAAUUGACUUGAAACCUAUAGCCAACAUGUAGGUAAAAUUUCUAAAAUCUAGUCUAAUGCCCACCACACACACCAACACCGUAUCUCAUGAAAAGCUUAUUCUAUUAUAUGCCGUCCUUAAGGGUUUGCCAAUUGAUGUUGGGAAAAUCAUAGAAAGAGAGAGAUAUUAGAGAAUGUGCCAUAAAAAAGCAAAAGACUGCUGCUUUGUUGUUUCCCUUACUCAUCACCAGUAUUUGUAUUGUGUUUGGGGUGAAAAUACCUGCUAAAGAUAAGAAAAUUAAGAAUGAAGGAGUUCAUACGGCUAGAAUUGUAGAAAGAAUUAUUGGGGAAACUGCUGCUGCAACAAUACCAGAACAUGUUGCUGUAACCAUAACAGGGAAGGUCGCUGGCAUUGAGAGGAAGCUGGAAGAAUUGAGUAACAACAUCAAUGAUUUUGUAGAGGCACAAUAAGAAGAAAAUAAAAAAUUAUGAAAUUAUCUUAUGCACCUUAAAAACCAUAUACACCAACUGGCAGUCUACAUAAAGAGAAAGAAUAUGGACUUUCCUAACACUCUAUUGUAGUAGUUUAAUUUCCAAGCAAAAGCUAAAAGUGAAGAAACAACAGAUUCCAAAGAGGAACAACAACCAGUUGAGGAAGAUAAAGACAAGAUGGAAAAAUAACAAGAAGGAACAGAGGAGGAAUAAAGUACAGAAGAAGAAUCAGCAGAGGAGAAGGAUGAGGCACCUCGUUGUAGUAUUUCCAAGCAAAGGUAAAGAAAAAGCUCUGAUUGAUUAAGAAUUAGAAGAAGAUCCAAAUGAUAUUGAUACACAUCUGGGGAAACCACUACAACAACCCUUUCCUAUCACCACUACUUAGAAACCUCAUAUCAAAUCUCUUAGCCAAACUCUCAGGGCAACGAACAAGCAUAAAGGAGCAAAACCCUUUGGAGACGCUACAACAAUGCAUGCAUCAGAAGAACCAAAAACUAAGAAAGCAAAGUCUGAUUAGCUCACACCUCAAGAAGCUACUGGUACCCUACUAACCAGUCUAAGCAAGAAGAAGAAAAAAUAAGUUGCUGUAACACGGAUCUCACCAAGCAAGAGUGCCCAAAGUAGAGCCCAACAGUAGUGAUUAUGUUUCAUUAGUAUUGCAGCAUAGCCCUCCAAUAACAGAGGAGUACCCCCUACCAGCCAGUUUAUUUUAUUUCUUUCAACAACUUUUCUUUUAUCUGGUUUUAUUUUCUUAUUCAUUUUGCAUGUCUUUUUAUUUAGUGUAUGCAUGUUUAUCGUUAUUCGGUUUUGUGUACUUGUGAGGACAUAACACCUCUCAAGUUUGAGGGGAUUGUGUUAUAGUGUAAUGUGUUUGUAAGUGCAUAUGUUUGUGUUGUGUGUUGUGUGUUAUGUGUAGCUCUGUUGUCUAGUAUUUGUGUAUAAAUUAGAGAACCUAAUGAAGAUAAAUUAAGUGUAAUUUAGUAAUUGUGACUGCCAAGUAGGGAUAAUAUAUAGGUGAAGGUUGAAAUUUUGUCCCAACACUUAGAGUUUGGUUGAGUUUCAUGAGUAUGCUGUAACAGAGCCAGGAAAACCAAAAAGGGUAGAAAAUAUCAUAAAUUUAGGAGAAAAUUUUUGUUAAACUGUGCUUGUUAUGAACUAAAUUUUGCUUCAAUGGCUUAAUUUGCUGACUAACCAGGGUUGAGUAUGCACCCCAUAUGUAGACUUGAGUCCAAAGGUAACAAGAGCUAUGAGCAUUGUUGUAGCAUAAAAAAGGGAAAGAAAGAAAGAAAGUCUUCUGUCUAAGAUAUUGAGUAGCCAGAUCUGUUCCCAAGCCCCAUAUUUUGCCUUAAGUUAAAAGGUGUCUUUAGAUAAGACUAUGUUAUGAGCAUUACUGCAGCAACUCUGAUCUAUGCAUUGGUUAAGUAAUUGGGUGUCAUUACCACAAUUGAUAGACAUUCACAUGAAAAACCAAUGAUACAUGGAAGAAAAAAAUAUUUUUAAAUUUAUUUUGUUAUAGCACAAUUUUGUUAUAGCUUAUUUGUGACUUAUGCUCUCCUAUAUGGGAAUACACUUGUGUUGUACCUCUGAAUUAGUUGUAAUUUCUGUGCAAUGCUGCAGCACCUCUGAAAUUUGAUCAAAGUGCAUACACACACACAUUGAAUAAAACGAGACCUAAGUCUAGAACUGAACUGCUACGGCAAUUUUGCAUGACCAAGAAUGUGAUUUGGGGGUUGAAGAAUCCUUGCAAAUUUGAUGAUAGAGUUAAGUUAUUUGUUGCAUGAUUGUGUGAUUAAAGUGUUAGUGUUGUUGUCAUUACUUGAGGACAAGUAAUGGUUUAGUUUAGAGGUAUGAUAACUCUAUGAAAUGAGAGUUAGUAUGACACUUUUAAACUUAAAUCAAGAUUAUUUAGAGAGUAAAUGACAUGUUUUUAUUACAUUUUAGUUAUAUUUUACAUGAAUAUCCAUUUUAGUUUAUUUUUAGUAAAUUGUGUUGUUUUAGAAUAAUUUGUGUGUUUAGAUCAUAUGCAUAAUUGUAGGUGACCGGAAGCUCAAACUUCAAGGGAGAAAUACUACUGCAAUAGGCUUGCAAAGAUAAGGAAAGAACAUGGUUAUAGAAGAAUUGAAACAAGUUUGGAAUAAUACAAAUGUUGAAGCCAUUGUUGUAGCAUUGUUGCUGUAGCAUCGUUGCUAUAGCAAUUUUGGAGCAAUGACAGAGAAGAUUUCACACAAGAUCCUUUGGAGAUUGCAAUCGAGAGUUUCCUAAACUGGAAGAUACCCGCCCUAGACUUCCAGUUGCCCUAAUUCUAAGCUAUAAAAGGAGCACAAACGUAAAGAAAAAGAGAGCCGUCAUUAGAGAAAAAGAAUAAAGAAAUAAAACAAGGGGAAACAAAGAUCAAGAAAGAGAAUUGACAAGUGCAACAAAGGAUUCAAGAAGAACAUCGAGCGGAUUUCAACUCUAUAUCUUGUUCCCUUGUUUUUAUCUUGUUAUAAUGAUUUGUUUGAUGGCUGAAAUUAUUUUAGUUUUUGUUUUAUCACAAAUUAUUAACUAAAUUUAUUUGUGGUUGAGUGAUAAACAAACUUGAUGGGUAAUUGCCUGAUUAUGUUUGUUGCUGCAUACUUGUUAUAGCACGUUGCUUUGAUAAUAUUUAUUUCAAUUCACUAUUUUGACUGACCAUCCAUUUAGUAAUACUAACUAAGAAAGAGUCUCAAAAAGGCCUGUCUUAGUGGAACAUAUCAGAGCAAUACUUGAUUUUAGAUUGGGUUUCUUGAGUUGGGUUUAACUUGAUUAGAAAAGGGUUAUGUUUAAUCUAAAAUUAGUGAUGAACUAGAUAUAGAGAUUCACCUUGUAGGGUAAUUAAAAUCUAAAACCUGUAAUGUUAUAUCUAAUGUUAGUAUAAUAAUUGGUCAUUGUUAAGUUCUAUUAAGAUAUAAGAUAUCCAAUAAGCGACAGUUGAUGAUAUAUAAGGUCACUGUUAAGUUGCAUUAAAAUAUAAGAAGAGGGGUUAGAUUCAUAUUCUUUCAUCAAUUAAUUAACAUGUGAUUUUUCAUGCUUAUAUGAAAUGUUUUAUUUACCUUUAAAUGAUGUAAUUUUAUCAUGCACCAUUUUAUUCUCUAACCCUAAUUCUUUAAUCUUUUCAUUUAAUGAAUCAUUGUAUUGUGUAAAGCAUCUUUUUCAUUUUAAAUUUCUAACAUUUUCUUUUUAAGAGAUGAAUUCUUUUUAUCAACUCUUGUCCAAUCAUCAUGCGAUUCUUUAAAAGCAUCAUAUAACUCAUCAUAAGUAGAAAGAUCAUUUACCUGAUCAAGUUCAUCAUAAUCUUCUAUUGCCAUAAGUGUUAGGUUUGAUACUUCUUGCAAAUCCUCUUUAUCACUCAAUUUCUUUCAUCGUUAUCAUCCCAAGUAGCCACCAUGGCUUUCUUCUUGAGUUUGUUGAGAAGUGGGCACUUCAAUCUUAUAUAGUCAGGCUACUUGCAUUCAUAGCAUAUGAUUUCUUUCUUCUUUUCUUUUUGGUUCUUGAGGUUUCUAAACUUUCUUCGCUCACCGGUUUUCUUGAAAAUUUUUUUGAACCUCCUUGCUAGCAUAGCCAUCUCCUCAUCAUCCGGCUCACUUUCCCCAUCACUCUCAUAUUUUGAGGUUUUGAGAGCAAUGCUUUUCUUCUUCUCCUCAUUGCCAUUUUCUGCUGCUAAGUCUUCCUCAUAAGAAAUAAGAGAGCCAAUUAAAUCACCAAUAAGUAAGUUAUUUAAAUCUUUGGCUUCCUCUUAGGUCUCCAUUCCUUUGGUAAUAACCUAAUAAUUUUUUUAACUUUCUCACUAUUCGAGAAGGUCUUUCCCAGGGCUCCAAGAGUGUUCACUAUAUCCGUAAAUUUAGUAUACAUUGAAUGUACACUCUCAUUUUAUUGCAUUUGGAACAAUUCAUAUUGUCGAGUUUAUAUAUUAAUUUUAAACUCUUUCACUUGAUUUUUGCCUUCAUAAACAAAUUCAAGUUUGUUCCAAAUUUCAUGAGCACUUUCACAACUAGACGCCCAAUGAAACUCUUUCUUGUCAAGUGGACAAAAUAAGGCAUUCAUAGCUUUGGAAUUUAGAGAGACUUUUCUCUUUUCCAAAUUAUUCCAUUCUCAUAAAGGUUUUGGAAUGUCUUCCCCAACUUCAUUUUUAGUCAUAGGCAUGAAUGGAUCAUCACGAACAACUUCCCAAAUUUCAUAAUCUAAAGCUUGCAAAUAAAUUCUCAUCCUAGUUUUCCAAUAAGAGUUAACACAACUUAAAAGUAAUUUUUAACUCCCAAGUAUAAGAGUGUCUUGUUAUAUUAUAGCUCGGUGAGUCCGAGGUCGAUCCUCAGAGAAAAGAUUUAAUUUGUUUAUUUUAUUUUAUCUAAAAGUAAAAAAAAUAAAAAACUUGAAUAUAAACAACUUAAUUUAAAUAAAACUGUGAAAUUGAACUAGUUAGGGUUGUGAAUCCACUCUUAGUAGUAAAUAAAACUUAAUAAAUUCUUUUUUCCAUUUUUUUAUAUUUAUUGCCUAAAAGAUUAAUUAUAUAAAUUAUUAUUAUUUUCCCUUUAAUUUUAUGAUGGAUUAAGCAUUUAUUGUGGCAAAAUUUAAUUUGUCUACAAUAAGUCAAGAUACCAUUUUACCAUAUCUUAUAUUAAGAUAUUAAGAAUUUAUUCUGUCAAACUCCCUUUUUUGUCUACAAUAAAUCAAAAUUUCAAAAUAUAAAAUAUGUAUAAAAUUAAAUAGAAAAUAAUUUAAUUUAUAAAAUUAAAAAUAGAAUUUGAUUAAAUCAUGUUUAUUUCCUAAGAGUUUCACCUUACCCUAACUAUUAUUUAUUUAGUUAAGCAUAAUUGAAAUAAAAAUAAUUACUAAAAUUAAAUUACUUAUAAUUAAAAGUAACAAAAACAACUAAAAUUGAAAAUAAAACUAAAUUUAUCUAUAAAAAUAAUUGUACAAAAUAUUAAAAACACGCCUAAAAAUCAAGAUUACAGGGAGAUGGAGAGAAUUUGAGAAUAAGAGAGAUGUAGAGAGAUGAUUAAAAACAUAAAAAUGAGGCUCUAUUUAUAGAAAAAUAAAUUCAUAAUUUAGUGUUUUGCAGUCCAUCAUAAGCUUCAUACAUGCGCUCCUCACAACCAUUAGAUCAAGAUCCAACGGCUUGUCAAACUUCAAAAGUCAACAUCACACGUGGCAUCAUUUGACUCGUCUGAUUUGGCCAAAGAACGGUUGAGAUUUAGCGGGUUAAUUGGUGGAUCGGGUUGAUCUGAAUACAAAGAUUUGGAUCCUACAAUUUGUUUCACCAUUCACCAACCAUUGCCACGUGGCACAAUCAUGGCCAUUGAAUCUUGAACGGAUGAGAUUUAGUCAAAAUUGCCAGCUAUCCCAUGCACUCAUACCUAUUGUAAACUCAUUUUAUCAUCUAAUCAGUGCUCGGUCAACAGAAAAAGUCAAUUUGUUUUACACAAGCCCAAUUUUAAGCUGAUCUUGACUCAUCUUAACAUUUUCGGACCUCCAGAAUCCAAAUUUGACCUCUGUUUAUCUGUUUGGAGCCUCGAAUUACGUGAAAUUAAUAUUUUACGUAAUAAACACACAAAAAGACACAAAAUUAGAUAUAUUUAAAACAUAAUUAAUAAUUCCUAAUAUAUUGCAUAAAUAAAAAUAUAAAUUAUAACACAAGCACAAAAUAACAUUAUUAUCGCUUGAUAAUUAAAAAUUUUUUAAUACUAAUCAUGGGUAGUCAUUACCAUCAAAGAAUGGUGGCCUAGUUGUGGAUUGGUUUUCCCUAAAGGUAGAGUCAUUUUGGAUUGCCAUGGAUCUUUUACUCCAGACGGUUAAGUCCUAAUAAGAGAACUAAGCUCUGAUACCAAAUUAAAUGCAAGUUAUGCAACCCAAGAGGGGGUGAAUUGAGAUUUUAAAACUUACGCUAAACAAUUUGCACAACAAUUCAUUUUAUUGCUUUAAUAAAAUCAAAAACAAUAAAUUCAAUAAAGCACAAUAAUAAAAGAGUAAGGGAAGAGAGAGUAAACGCAAUGAUUUUUACGUGGUUUAGUAAUCCCCUCCUACGUCCAUGCCUCUAAGCCAACCAAUCUUAAGGAUUUCACUAUCCAAGCCUCCCAAGGCUUCAAGUUCUUUAGAAUGACUUCCAAGGUAUCAAUAAACCUUUAUAACCAAGAGAUUAUCUCUCAAUCUCUUCACUCAAGUGUUACUCACAUUAUACACUCACAUUAUACAAUGAAUGCAAGAGUUACAACAAAUACUCUAUUUUAAAGUGGAUAUGCAAAUGAUAGCUCAAUGAAGAUUUAAUCUAUGAUGAUUUUCAAAUUUGGAAGCUCAAAGUAUGUUGUUUACACUUGUUUAUGGUUCCAAAAGUCUUAAAAUUCAAGUUAAAGUUGAGUUUUUAUAGCUAAAACCUAAACACUAGCCUUUAUGGACAAAUUCCAACGAGCAAGCGGCUAUCUGCUUAAUUUAUCUGGCUCCCCGCUUCAGAAUAAUAAAGUUACUAUUAAAUUUGAAUUUCGCUACAGUAAUACUGUUCACAAAAUCAUAUUUUUGUCUAACUUUAUGUAAUUAUAUUAUGGCCCAAAUUGUCAUAAAACUUUAUAAAUAGGUCCAAUUUUAGAAUUUUUAAAUAAUACUUGUUGUUCCCAAAACUUUUGAAAUUUUGAUAUGGCCCAAUAUAUGAUAAUAUUUUUCAAAGUAGUCCUUUUCAAAAUUUAACAUAAUACUUAUAAAUUUCAAAAUUUUCAAACCUUUUUCAAUUUAGUCCAAAACUUGAACAUGUAAAGUUUUCCUCAAGGGGCUAGCCGCUAGCGCUCAGGCGGUUAGCCGCUAACUCUAUGUCCACUUUGGAUAUUUACACUAAGGCCCUCAAGCUUUUAUAAAUUAUAUUAUGGCUCAAAAAGUUUUAAAUCUUUACAAGUAAGUCCAACUCCAGAAUUCAAAAUAAUACUUAUUAAAAUAAAAAUUGCAAAAAUUUUCAUUUUAGUCCACAUCAUGAAAUAACUAAUUUCAUAAAAUACUCAGCUUAUACUUGUAAAACUUUUGAUUUACAACAAAAUAAUGAUUUAUUAAACAAAAUCUCUAGCUUCUCAAAUGUUAAAUCAUUCAUCUAUUAAAUCAUACCGGCUUUACAAGAAUUAUCGUAAUAAUGAGUCUGUUGAGCUCUAAACUUUAUUUUGGAUUGCGUCGUUGUUCGUUGAGUGCCUUGAACUUGAUUUCACGUGAUUCACUUCAUCGUAAUUAUUAUCUUUCAAGAACUAGUGAAAUGUGAAAUACAAUAUUUUUCAAUUUACUUAAGACACAUGUUUGUUAUCAUUAAAAUUAUAAUAUGUGCAACCCUUUAGGCUAACAAUCUUCCCUUUUUUAUGAUGACAAACAUGUCACGUAUUUUGACAUUUAUACUCCCCCUUAAUACGUGACAUACAUGACUCAACAUAUAAAUCAAAUUUAAGAACAAAACUCCCCCCGAAUAUUAAGUUCCCCCUUAAUGUUUCAAAACCGUGCACAAAUACUUCAAGAUCAAAAUACGUACUACCUGUCUCCGAAUUCAAAAUACAUGACUUCUCCCCUUUCACCAUCAAAAUUACUAUAAAUCCAUGUUUAGACCAAAAAUAACACCUCAAUGUUAAUCAAGAAACAUUUAAAAAAUUAAGUAUGCAAUUAAUCAAAGAGUUAUAAUAUUACAAGAAUCCAGAAAAUACCAUCCAAAUAUAAAACAUCCAAACAUCACAUAACAAUUAUCCUCAAUCCACAAUUAAAUAAUAAUGCAUAUGGAAAUGUAGUUGCAUAAUAGAAUGGAGAACCAAGUAAAAUCCAUAAGAAGAGCACACUAUGGAAGUGGUAAUUUAAAAUACCCAAAAUGAAUAAAUUCGGUUUUGUAAAAUAAUGAGUGAAAUGGAUGAUUUUAAACUGAUUAUAUUGAUCUAAGAGAUUAUUUAAGACAAUAUGUGAUGUUGAUUGGAUCGAAAAUGAGUUGAAGAAAGCUUAAUUUGAAAGGAAAAAGAAAUGUGGAAGCUUAGAUUUUGAUUUUUUAGAUAUGGAGAAACAAGUGAUGAAAUGAUGAUUGGGAAGUGUGUAAUGAAGAUUAAAUGCAUGCGUAUUGGUUUGAGCGAUUGACUUUGGCAUGAAAAUGAAUGAGAAAUUAAGAAAAUUUGAAUGGAAAUGGAGGUGAGAUGAACAGUUAAGAGAGACGUUGGAGAGAGGUUGAAGAAAGACAUGACAAAGAGGGGGGAAAACCCUUAAACCCAUUUGCGAACAGCUCCCAAGCGGCUAGCCGCCUAUUUUCUGCCCUUCUGCACCAUUCUUGCUUUCCGGCUAAUUUGAUCGAUUCCAAGACCAUUUUGUGAUCAUGUCGAAUUUUUGAAAAUUAUUUUUUGCAUAGAGGUUUUGUAAAAAUAUCGGCAAGUUGUUUUUUCGUAGAGAUAAAUUCUAAUGCAAUAUUUCCCAUUUAAACAUGAUCUAUCAAGAAAUGAUGUCUAAUCUCUAUAUGCUUGGUCUUAGAGUGCUGAAUGAGAUUUUUUGAUCGAUUUAUAGAACUAGUAUUAUCACACUUGAUAGGAAUUUGUUCAAGAUAAGUGCCAUAAUCUCUAAGUAUUUGUUUUAUCCAAAGCACUUGUGCACAACAACCAUGACAAGAUAUUUUGCCUCAGUAGUUGAGAGUAAAAUCGAAUUUUGUUUCUUACUAAACCAUGAAAUAAGUGAAUGACCUAGGAAAUGGCAAGUUCCACUAGUACUUUUCCUAUCGACCUUGUAACCGACAAAAUCGGCAUCCGAAUAACAAGUUAAAUCUAUAUGAGUUUCUAGGAUACCAAAGGCCAAGAUCUAUGGUUCCACUCAAAUAACGAAAAAAUCUUUUAACAGCAAGCAAAUGAGACUCCUUGGGACAUGAUUGAAAUCUUGCAAAGAAACAUACACUAAACAUGAUAUCGGGUCUACUUGCGGUUAAGUAAAAUAAAGAGCCGAUCAUACCUCGAUACAAUUUGAUAUCAACCUCUUUACAUUUUUCAUCUUUGUCAACCUUAAUUGUUGUGCUCAUUGGAGUAUUCUUGGUCUUUGAAUCGUCAAUGCCAAAUCACUUGAGUAAAUCUUUGACAUACUUAGCUUGGUGGAUGAAGAUUCCUAAUUGUUUUGUUUGAUUUGAAAUCCAAGGAAAUACUUCAAUUCUCCCAUCAUGUUCAUUUGAAAUUCCUUACUUAUGCAAGAUCAAAACUCCUUGCACAAAGACUCAUUAGUAGAACCAAAAAUAAUAUCAUCAACAUAAAUUUGAACAACAAGCAUAUCUUUGUUCUUAUGCUUAACAAAGAGAGUAGCAUUUAUUUUUCCGAUCGAAAAAUUGUUAUCUAACAAGAAAUUGUUAACCCUAUCAUAUCAUGCUCUAGGUGCUUGUUUUAAUCCAUACAAUGUUUUUGACAACUUAUAAACAUGAUUUGGAAAUUUUUCAUUUUCAAAACCAAGGGGUUGUUUCACAUAGAAAGCACAUUUGACAUCCAUUGGAUAUAAAAUGAAAUCUUUAUGACAUGCAAAUGCUAACAACAUCCUAAUGGAUUCUAAUCUAGCUACAAGUGCAAAUGUUUCAUCAAAAUCAAUUCAUUCUUCUUGGUUGUAUUCUUGAGCCACUAAUCUAGCUUUAUUUCUUACAACCACACUGGAUUAAUCCAUUUUAUUUCAAAUACCCAUUUGGUACCUAUAAUAGAUUGAUGUUCCGGUUUAGGAACUAAUUCUGAUACUUUAUUUCUCUCAAAUUGAUUUAACUCCUCUUGCAUUUCCAUAAUCCAAGAUUCAUCAUUUUCUACAUCCGCAAAAGAUUUUGGUUCAAUUUCAGAUAUAAAUGCAACAUGCUCACAUGUAUUCCUAAGUGAUGAUCUAGUGGUAACACCUCUUGAUGGAUCUCCUAAAAUUAAGUCCUUAGGGUGAGAUGAAACAUACCUCCACUCCUUGGGGAGUGAUUGAGAAGUACCUUCAUUUUGCUCUACAUUUGAUUCUUCAUGUUGCUUCUCUUGAUUUCCAAGUGGUGCAUCAUUUUGGUUAUCCUUUGAUGAAUCAUCUUGUAGUUCUUUAUAUGCAUCAUCUUCAACAACAAAUUUCUCAGCAGAGGAGGGGUUAAAUUCAUCAAAUGUAACAUGCAUUGACUCUUCAACAACCAUAGUUCUUUUAUUAUACACUCUAUAAGUUUUGCUUGUGUUUGAAUAACCAAGAAAAAUACCAACAUCAAAUUUUGGAUCAAAUUUACCAAGAUUUUCUUUUGUGUUCAAGAUAAAACAUUUGCAUCCAAAAAACUUUGAAAUAAUCAAUGUUGGGUUUUCUAUCUUUCCAAAUCUCAUAGGGAGUUUUAUUAAGAUGAGGUCUAAUCAACACACGAAUUAAAACAUAACAAGCGGUGUUCACGGGUUUGGCUCAAAAAUAUUUUGAUAAAUCAUUCUCAUUCAAUAUGGUCCUAACUAUUUCUUGAAUAGACUUAUUCUUUCUCUCAACAACUCCAUUUUGUUGUGGAGUCCUAGGUGAUGAAAAUUAUUGCUCAAUGCCAAAAUCAUUACAAAAAUUCUCAAAUGCAUGAUUUUCAAAUUCUCCACCAUGAUCACUUCUAAUACAAGAAAUAGCAUAUCCCUUUUCAUUUUGAACCUUUUUACAGAAAACUCUAAAUGCAUCAAAGGCAUCAUCUUUAUUAGCUAAGAAUAAUACCCAUGUGUAUCUAAAAUAAUCAUCCACAACAACAAAUGCAUAAUAUUUCCCACUUAAACUGGCAUAUCUAGAAGGUCCAAAUAAAUCCAAGUGAAGUAAUUGAAGUGGUUUUGAAGUAGAGACAUGAUUCUUGUUUUUUAAAGAAGUUUUAAUUUGUUUUCCAAAUUGGCAAGCUUCACAAAUUCUAUCUUUUUGAAAACCGAUUUUUGGAAGAUUUUUAACCAAAUCAUUUUUCAAAAUUUUUGAAAUCAAAUCCAUGCUUGCAUGACCUAGUCUUCUAUGCCAUAACCAUCCAUCAUCAUGCAAUGCAGAGAAACAUUUAUCAAUAUUAGAUUCACAAUCUAUAUUAACUGUAUAAACAUUAACACAUCUAUUUUCUACAAACAAAAUCUUGCCAUCACAUGCAUUCUCAAUAACACAUUUUGAUUUAUCAAAGAUAACUCUAUAUCCUUUAUCACAUAAUUGACUAAUGCUAAGCAAGUUGGGCUUUAAGUUUUCAACCAAACACACGUUUUCAACAAGAGUAAAUGAUAUAUUACCGACAUUGUCGAUACCAAUAAUAUUUCCUUUUGAGUUAUCUCCAAAGGAUACAUCUACACCAUUUUCGAUCUUGGUAAAACCUAAAAACCAAGAAUAAUUCCCUGUCAUGUGUCUUGAACAUCCACUGUCUAAGUACCACUUUUUUAUCCUUUUCUUUGAUCCCUGCAGAAAAAAGUUUUUAACUUUUAGGUACCCAAAACUUCUUGAGUCCUUGAGUGUUAGCAAUGCUCUUUUUGGAACCCAAAUAUAUUUGAUUCCAUAGUAUACAUUUCUUUUAACAUGACAUCUAUAACUCAUUGCAAUGAUGACAAAUAAUCUUAUGAUCACUUGUGGAGGUAGCUUUAACAAAAUAAUUCUUAUAAUAUUUUUGUUUCAAGUUACGCUUAUACCUAAGUCCUCCUUUAUCAAACACACAUUUUUUAAUGCUUAGCAAUUUUUCUAAGUUUUUUUUACCACUUGUGAAUUUUAACACAAUUACAUUGAGCUCAUUACUCUUUUUCUUAAGCGCUUCAUUUUCUUUCAUCAAUUCAUCAACAUGUGAUUUUUCAUGCUCAUAUGAAAUGCUUUGUUUACCUUUAAAUGAUGUAAUUUUAUCGUGCAACAUUUUAUUAUCUAACUCUAAUCCUUUAAUCUUUUUAUUUAAUGAAUCAUUGCAUAUUUGUAAAGCAUCAUUUUCAUUUGAAAUUUCUAACAUUUUCUUUUUAAGUGAUGCAUUCUUUUUACCAACUCUUAUCCAAUCAUCAUGCAAUUCUUUAAAAGCAUCAUAUAACUCAUCAUAAGUAGAAAGAUCAUUUACCUCAUCAAGUUCAUUAUCAUCUCUUAUUGCCAUAAGUGCUAGGUUUGACACUUCUUGUGAAUCUUCUUCAUCACUCGAUUUUUUAUCGCUAUCAUCCCAAGUAGCCACCAUGGCUUUCUUCCUGAGUUUGUUGAGAAGUGGGCACUCCGAUAUUAUAUGGCCAGGCUUUUUGCAUUCAUAGCGUAUUAUUACUUUCGUCUUCUCUUUUUGGUUUUUGAGGUUUCUAAAUUUUCUUCGCUCAUCAGUUUUCUUGAAAUUUUUUCUGAACCUCCUUGCUAGCAUAGCCAUCUCCUCAUCAUCCUUCUCACUUUCCCCAUCACUCUUAUAUUUUGAGGCUUUGAGAGCAAUGUUUUUCUUCUUCUCCUCAUUGCUUUUUUCUGCUACCAAGUCUUCAUCAUUAAAAAUAAGAGAGUCAAUUAAAUCAUCAAUAGAUAAGCCAUUUAAAUCUUUGACUUCCUUAAUGACAGUCCUCUUAGGUCUCCAUUCCUUUAGUAGUGACCUAAUAAUUUUCUUAACUUUCUCGCUAUUCGAGAAGGUCUUUCUGAGGGCUCUUAGUGUUCACUAUAUCCGCAAAUCUAGUAUACAUAGAAUACACACUCUCAUUUUAUUCAAUUUGGAACAAUUCUUAUUAUCGAGUGUAUCUACUAAUUUUAGACUCUUUCACUUGAUUUGUGCCUUCAUAAACAACUUCAAGUUUGUUCCAAAUUUCAUGAGCACUUUCAUAACUAGACACUCUAUAAAACUCUUUCUUGUCAAGUGCACAAAAUAAGGCAUUUAUAGCUUUGGAAUUUAGAGAGGCUUUUCUCUUUUCCAAAUUAUUCCAUUCUCAUAAAGGUUUUGGAAUGUCUUCCCCAACUUCAUUUUUAGUCAUAGGCAUGAAUGGACCAUCACGAAUAGCUUCCCAAAUUUCAUAAUCUAAAGUUUGUAAAUAAAUUCUCAUCCUAGUUUUCCAAUAUAGGUAGUCAUUACCAUCAAAGAAUGGUGACCUAGUUGUGGAUUGUCCUUCCCUAAAGGUAGAGUCAUUUUGAGUUGCCAUGGAUCUUUUACUCUAGACGGUUAAGUGCUAAUAAGAGAAUCAAGCUCUAAUACGAAAUGAAAUGCGAGUUAUGCAACCCAAGAGGGGGGUGAAUUAGGAUUUUAAAACUUACGCUAAACAAUUCGCACAACAAUUCAAUCUAUUGCUUUAAUAAAAUAAAAAACAAUAAAUUCAAUAAAGCACAAUGAUAAAAGAGUAAGGAAAAAGAGAGUAAACACAAUUAUUUUUAUGUGGUUCAACAAUCCCCGCCUACGUCCACGCCUCCAAGCCAACCAGGCUUGAGAAUUUCACUAUCCAAGCCAACCAGGGUUAUUUAUCUAGGUAUGUACUUCAUAAAAUUUAAUGUAAUAUUGUAAGUCCCAAUUAUGUAUAUCUGAUUGUAAAUAUCAGUGUAAUGUCUGCUAUAAUAGCAGUUGUAAAUAUCUGUACGAUGCAGCAAUCUGAUGCGUAAUCAGUAUUUAAAAAAAUCAUAAAAGAAAUGUUUGGAAAGCAACAUUCUAAGAUCAAAUUGUACCGAUGAAUGAAUCCGACAUACUUUAUCAAAAAUACCAGCUACUAUGGAUGUCUUCAAGAAUGUUUUAGCCAUUGGGGUGUGGCUCCACUUCGUGGUUGUGGUAGAAAAAUUCGCUUGGAUCUUCCGUUGAUUUUGUUGAGUCUGGUACAUACAAUAAAUGGAUCCCUUAUUUUUUUCAUCGGGAAACACUCCAAAUGUAACGCCCAUUUUUAUUUUUGUUUUUGUUUCCUCUUUUACCCUUAUUAAAUUGGGUAAGACAAUUAUUAUUGAUUGUUUAUGUGUGAGUAAAAUUUAUCAAAUUGCUUAAAUAAGUUACGUAAGUUAUUAGUUUUUAUAAAAUUUAUCAAAUUGUUUAAGAGGAAGCUAUCUUUUUAAGAGGAAGCCGUCUUAUUUUCUAUGCCGUUACAAACCCUAGGAAAAAAAAUAUAAGCCUUUGGAGAAGAAAAAGAAAGUUUUAUAACUUCUUUGCUUGGUGUUUUCCUUAAGGUCUUAAGUAUUUCUUUGACUUAUAUGAUUUAUUUUUAUUAGUUGUUUGCAUUUAAUUACUUGUGGUAUGAUCUAGGUAAUAUAUGUGUGUUUGUAAUGUUGUGAUUAUAUAAACAAUCUGUAUUCUUUGUUUGAAAUCGUUUUCUUUAUUUAGAAUCACAUGAAUACGUUUACAAAUCAUGCAACUAGACAUCCUAAGCUUUCCAUUGAUAGGUCUUGUGUUGAAAUUCUCUGAGUAUGCAAAUUGUUAUGGUUUUUCGAAGUUGGGUUACUAGUGCUGGAAAAUUCCAAUUUUCAGCAGCGGUUCUCACUUUUGGAAAUUUUUUCUAUAAGGUUAUACAUCCUUAAAAUUUUUGGUUAUUUUUGUAUCAACAGAUCUAUGUCUCCUAUGCUUGCAUGUUUAAUUUCGUAGUUUUAUUCUUUAUGGUUAAAUUAUUAAAAAUGGUUGUUUAUCUUGAGGUUUAUUAAUAAGAACAAAUGAUGUGAGGUUUCAUUCCAAUUUUACCCUUGUGUUUUCAUGGGUAAUUUUUGGGGUGUUACACCAAAUGUUCAGAGCCAUAGAAAUCUUCCUUAAAAUAGAAUUGAAUUGCCUGGGGAAUGCAAUUGUAUUUCCAAAAACCAUUCAAAUCUUGAUCAUCAAAGAAAUAGUAUGCCAAAAGUAAGUGAUCUAACUCUACAUAAUCAACCAUUCCCAUAAAUCUCUGUAUGACAUGCGAAUCUUCAAGGUUAUCGAAGAUUUCAUACUUUGAAAGCUAAACCAUAUUGGAAUUUCAUUCCUAGGUUAAAACACACGACCUAAAAGACCAUAUUUUUUAGAAUAAUAUACCUUUACCACAAAAAAUCAUAAUUUUGUUCAAAUAGUAAUUGUCACUUUAAUUUGAAGGGGAAAAGAAUUAAGAGCUCCUCUCAUACUUCUUUCCAUCGUGCAGUUUCCAAAAGCUGAAUUUCUGGCAGAGCAUCUUCAAGAGUUCCUCUGAUCUCAUAUUUGAUCCAAUCUAUGAUUAUAACUCAAGUCAAAUUACUGAGUAUAAGCUUCAUAACUUUAGAAUAAACAUGUUAAUGAUUCUAGUGCCUUGCAAUGAUGUAUUGCAGUUCCUGGCAACUCAUGUAAUUUGCAUGGAAGCUUUGGCAAGGAUUUAAGCCUCUCACAAUACCUUAAGUAGAGCCUUCCUAACUUAGAAAGUUGUACGAUGCUUUCUAGAAUUCUCUCAAAACUGUUUUUCUCUAUAUCCAAAUCUUCUAGUGGGGAUAACUAGCCAAUAUUUUCAGGUAACUGAUUGAUGCCGGAAUCAGUUAGAUUUAAAUACGUUAAGAGUGUACAAGGAUAGGCAAUAAUAAACCCAUCUGCUUAUGAACCACUGCUUCUCAAGAAAAGAAAGAAAAUAGUGAAUGCCAGCCAAAAAGGUGUAAAGCUGUGAAUUUCCCAACAAACGCCAUUUACUUUCCAUUAUAUAACCAGAACUGAUAUAAGCAAAUACAAUUAUAUCGUAUAUAAAUUAAGGGAGAAUUAAAAUGAGAAAAAAAUGAAUAGAAGAAUUUGAUAAAUGGAUUUCAAAGUACAGUUUGAAUUCAUUGUACAUGGGGGCACGCCAUAAAAUCCCAACAUUUAGUAACUAUAGUCCUAAGUUUACAAAAAUGUACCUUCUUCUAGUGAUUCUAAUAGAGUGAAUUUUAAGCAAUUUACUGGUGGAACCAUAAAGUGGUUGAGCAGGGCUUCGCUUACUAAAAAUGUGGAGUGAAUAUGAAUUCUCAACCAAAAUCAUGAAGUGCUAAGGUGGCAUGUUGGUUUAAGUAGGAGUUCAAACUCUUUGUUGUAGUGAUCCCUUCUACACUUCACAUUCUGGUCCUCCAGAAGCAGCUCUUCCAUCCUUGCUGCGAUGUGUGCACUAUCCAAGGUAAGAACCAAAUUAUAUUAGCAUGAAUAUGAUUUAUAAUGGAAUUUCAAUAAAAUUAUAAUAUAUUGAACUAUGCACAAUCGCUAUCAAUAAAAUUAACCUGAAUUGAUGCAUAGAUAAAUAAGAAUGGCAUCGACAUGACAAAGAUAUAUAACUGAUUCAACAUGUCUUUCUUCACUUUCUUAACUUGGAAAAAGACAAUUGCCUGCUCAAGCAAUCACACAAGUCUUAGAACCUUUUUUUUUUAAUCUACAGUGAAAUUUAAUUGCAAAGUUAAAUAAUAAGACUGUAGUUUGCCACAUUACAGCAAACCAUUCAAAUUAGUUUGGGCGCAUUAUAGCAAAACUAUUCAAAUCAUGUUCGAUACUAACAUGUACUUCUUGACACAUCUAUUGAAGUUCUUCUUCAUUGGCAACAGGACUAUGAGCCAUCGAACCAUGCAUGCGUGCCCUGCUCACUAUCGCGGGCUUGAUGUGCCUCAUUUGCUUUCUUCGAAAAUCGGGUAUUUAGCUCCUCCUCUCAGUGCUGUAUUUCUUUUCUAAUAAAAGCAAACAGAUUUAAGAGUACUUUAGUAAAAGGAAUUAGCAAAACUUUAGCAGUUUUGAUCGAACCAAUUAUCCUAAAGUGUUAGACAAAUGGAAAAUGGCCACGUCCAGUAUCGCUAGCUUGCUCUGCCUCAUUCCCGAACAUUCAAGUAUUCUGAUAAGGAAAAGAAAAUUUGAACCACAUACCGAUCAAAUCAUGCAUGUACAUAGAGAAAUACUGAGUGACAUAACCGUAAAAGCCACACCUCGCUCUUGAAUGUAGGAUAUCUUUGCAGGCUUGGUGUAUCAUUUGCAGCACUAGAAACUACCUCAACCAGAACAAUAUGUACCUGCUUCAUAAGUCAGCCAGUAACUUCAUCAGUUAAUAGAAACAAGAAAGACCUUGGUAUUAGAGUAGUGUAUAAAUAGAAUAUCCAUAUCAUGCACCCAACAGCAAGAAAUAUUGUCUAUGAAGGACCCAGCAAUAGAUCUGAUAUAAAGAAUCUAAAUUAUGACUAAAACAAAAAGUCAAACUUCCAAUAUCAUAAGAAGGGCAAAAGGGCAAAAGCCUUUAAGAAUUAAAAGUAAAGAGCUUUAGAUACAGAUGGUUCCAUUGCCUCAUGAACAAGAAGGUUGCUUAAUGAUCUCAACCUCUUUUCAGGGCAUAUUAGAUAUGGUUGGUAGCCAUCAGCUUCUAACACAAAAGAAUAGAAAAUGAAUACGAGAAGGUUGCUUAACUUGCAAAUCUUGUUGCGUCAAAGCAAAAACUCGAGCCUGAGUAUGAGGUCGAUUAAGCUUACCUCUCUGACCUGGAACAGUCAUCUGACUCCUAAAGGUAUAUGUAAAACCUCCUGUCUGCACUCCUCUCUGACCCUGAGUCUGACCAGAGUAAGGCUGAUACCGUGAGGCUGUCCCUCUUGCAGAGCUAUCACCCUGAGAUAAAAUAGGGCAAAAUCUCCUGAUGUGUCCAGGCUGACCACACAAAUAACAAACUCUAUCUCCAACACAACACUAGCCCUGAUGAUUCCUGCCACAUGAAAGGCAAGAAGUCUUCUAGACACUCCUAGAAUGAUCAUCACGAUAUCCCCCACCACUGCGGUCAUAUUGUCCCUGAUUUCUAGUAUUACUCCCCACUGAUGGUUGCAUUGAACUAUGACUGACAGCCUGUCUCGAGUCUCCCUUGAAGCCUGUACCCUGACUCCUUUGCGUACUAUCAGAAUAACUCAUAGGGAUGCCCCCUCUCUUGGGCGGCCUGCUACUAGAGCCACUCUCUGCCCAGCUCUGGCUACGCUUCUGCUUCAGUGCAUGAACUCUACGUCCUUUUGAAAUACUGUGCUUUACUCUCCUGACUGCCUCAACUACCUCUCCAAACUCAGUAUAUCGUGAUGCAAUCACGGCGGUGCUAAUCUCAAAUCGGAGGCCGUCCUCGAACCGUCUGCAUCUUUCUCUCUCUCAUCACCGACUAUAGAUGUAGCAAAUCUAGAGAGAUCUAAAAAUUUCUUCUCAUACUCCUCAACUGUUAGAGAUCCCUGAACCAACCGAAAGAAUUCACUCCGUUUAAUAUCCUGAUAAACAGUAGGAAAAUAAUUAUCGUAGAAUUCCUUACGGAAAAUAGCCCAAGUAAUCGCAGCAUGCCCCUGAUAUCGUCUCUCCACUGUCUGCCACCAAUGGUAAGCUCUAUCCUUGAGCAGGAAAGUGGCGAAGGAUAAUCUAUCAUCCUCUGAACACUUCAUCACACCAAAAAUUUGCUCUAACUUAACAAACCAUGACUCAGCCUCAGGUGGUUCUCCGGAACCAUUAAAGGUCCUCGCCCCUAAACUCCUCACUUGCUCAAUAGUGUCUGCGUUACCGACAUGCGCUUGAGUCUGAUUUUGCACAACUAUAGUCAUGAUCUGAGCCAACCUAUUAAAUGACCGCUCAAUAUUCGGGGCAUUCCCUGGUGCCUAUUGUGCAAUUUCAUGCGUGGAGGAUUCAACUACCCCCUCAUUCAUGGGUUCACUUUCCCCCGCAGGUACACUACCAAAAGUCAACCCAGCUAUUAGCCUAGUACGGCCACAGCCACGUCUAUUGCUACGAUGAAGCAUGAUGGUGCCUACAAGAUAUAAAUUCUAACUUAAAUGAAGAUAAAACUUAUUCUUAUUAAGACAGUAAAGUCUACAGAAUCUAAAACCAUGCUCUAAUACCAACUGAAAUGACCUGCCUCGAAUUCCCCCAGGCGAGUCAAUCCAGUCUCAUCAAAACGGACUUGAUAAUAAUAUAAAAAGAGCACAAAGGAGCAUUAGGAUGGACCAUAGCAGACAUCAAAGGUAUAAACUCAGUAGACUGCAUGCAUUACAUUCACCUUGAUGAAAAUGCUAAACCUACUAGAGAAAUGCAACGUCGGUUAAAUUUUAACAUGAAAGAAGUUGUGAAAACUGAAGUCCUUAAGUUAUUAGACGCCUGUGUCAUUUACCCCAUUUCUGAUAGUUCAUGGGUCAAUCAUGUGGAAGUUGUCCCCAAAAAAUCAGGAGUCACAGUAGUUACCAAUACUGAUAAUGAAUUGAUACCCACUAGAGUGACUACAGGAUGGCGUGUAUGCAUUGAUUAUAGAAAGUUGAAUUUUGUCACACGUAAAGACCAUUUUCCUUUACCAUUUAUCGAUCAAAUGCUUGAUAGAUUAGCAGGCCAUGAAUUUUAUUGCUUUCUAGAUGGUUACUCAAGAUAUAAUCAGAUUCCCAUAACACCAAAAGAUCAAGAGAAAACUAUUUUCACUUGCCCUUUUGGCACUUUUGCAUAUAAGAGGAUGCCAUUUGGAUUAUGUAAUGCACCUGUUACAUUUCAACGAUGCAUGUUAAGUAUUUUUUCUGAUAUGGUUGAACGAUUCCUUGAAGUCUUUAUGGAUGACUUUCUAUUUUUGGUGACUCGUUUGAUCAAAGUUUACAUCAUCUAACACUAGUUCUGCAGAGAUGUAUCGAGAAGAACUUAGUCUUAAAUUGGGAGAAGUGCCAUUUUAUAGUAAAACAAUGUAUUGUUCUUGGUCAUAUCAUUUUGAGCAAAGGUAUUGAUAAUUUUAUUUUAUCAUUGUUUCUUUUUCUUUUUACCGUUUCCUUUUUUACUCGCGAGCCAUGUGCUUUAUGCGUUAUUUGACACUGACAUGUUACCUCAUACACAGCUGUGACCCACUGUCACCAAGAUUCUUAAAUAUGACUUUUUGUUAAGCACUCACAAAUUAUUUUUGAGAAGUAUCCCAAUGGCAGCUACUCUCAAUAAACAAUUCAAGAACAUUUAUGUACUUUCUGGAUUUAACUAUGGCAAACAUAAAGAGUUCGUUGAGGCAGUCAUAGAUCUUGGUUGAAGCAUAGCAGAGAGAAAACUACACUUGGUGUAUGGAGGAGGUAACCGAGGGUUAUCAAAAUUGGUCUCAGAAGCUGGUUUUGUCAGAGGAAGCCAAGUGUUAGGCAUCAUCCUAAGAGCCCUAAAACCUUUGGGCAGUUUGUCUGACUCACCGACUGGAGAAGAGUUAGUCGUCUCAGGUAUGCAAGAAAUAAUAACUGAAAUGCUUAAUCAUACUGAUGCUUUUAUUUUCCUUCCAGGAGAUCUUGCAACACUAGAGGCACUUAUUACACUAGCAUCUUGGGCCCAUCUGCACAUUCACCAGAAACCCAUCGGUUUGUUAAAUGUCAAUAACUUUUAUGAUGGCUUCAUCGCAUUUCUUAACCAUGCAAUAAAAAACUAUUUCAUUCCUUCCACAGCGAAAAAACUUUUUAUUUGUGCUCACACUGCUAAUGAGCUACUUGAUCUGUUACAAGCUUAUAAACCAGAGCCAGACUCAAGGACCCUUGUGUUGGAGUCUCCAAAUAAUGAUGGUAACAGUAGCCGCAGUAAGAAGUACAAAUUAGAUUUAACUCUCUGCUUGUAAAUAUUUUCUUCUAUGUUGCAUCACCCAGGUGAUGUCUUCUAAACUCUACUUCUUUCCUUUAAAACAUUGAGGACAAUGUUUCGUUCUGGUUAGGGGGAGGGAAUAGUUGACAAUUGUGGAAUGCUUCAAUCUUGGUUAAGUUUUUACUAAUUUUUUGUUGUAGAAACUAACUGUUGCUAACUUUUUGUGUUGAAGAUGGCUGAAUAUGGAGUGUAGCUACUCCAUAAACGCAUCUUCUUUGUUAAAAAAAAAAUUCCAGACAUUUUCUUUUUCUUUAUUAAGCUUUGAUAUUCAUUUUUUUUACUUCUUCUUUUUAAUUUCUUCUUUAUAAAUAUACAUUUUCAAAUUUUUGAGUCGAAGAUGGCUGAAGAUGGAGUGUAGUGCCUCUAGAAACGCAUCUUCUUAGUUAAAAAAAAAAACCAUUUUCUUUUUCUAUCAUUUUAAGGGUAACUUUUUUAAUUACUUUUUCUGCAUCAUUUUCACAUUUCUGUAUGCAUAUUUUCCUUUCAUGUUUAGAAUAGGUUGGGAGGUAGAAUGUUGUUUGAAAAAAAAAAUUUGUGUGAUUUGUUUUAACAUUGGAUGACAUGACGAAUUUUGAAUUUUAGUAUUUGUAUUAUCUUUGGUCUUAAGUGAUGUUACGCCAUAUUUGCUACUCUACAUGUUGAUGUUGGAGACAAAUAAGAGUUGCUUGAAGGAAUGAACAUGUCAUAAUAAGUACCAAGUGAGUUUUUAAGCCUAUUAUUUUUCUUGGAGAGUAACCCUUUUGCCCAUUCUUCAUACAGCUUAGCAGUUUAUUAUUUUAUAUACGAUCUCUAGAUUUCUUUUGAGUUAACCCUUAAAAAAAGUUGUAAAAUUUAAAAAAAAAAAAAAAAUGUGUGUUGCUACAUCUGGAAGCCCAUCUAACUAGUAGAUAUGGAAGAUUAUUUAGAGUCCUAAAAGAUGAUGGAAAUGCCAUCUUUGAUCCGUUUGAGUCUUUCUAGCCAUCCCUUUUGUGAAAUAUCUAUAGUUAACCAUUUUGAGCCUUUAAAAAAAAAAAAUUUUUUGUUAAACUUAUUAUCUUGACCCACUCCGAUUUGGAGUAUUAGUCGAUAUCUUACAAGUUCGAUCACUUAUUUAUGUUGGAGAAAAAUGUAAAUAAUUAUUUUGUUCAGUGAAGUUGUACCAAAUAAAAGCAAAAAAUCAAAAUAAAAAAAUUGUUGUUAAAAGAAAUAAAUAACAAUAAUAGGUGAAAUCCACCUUGCAACUUCCAAAAAAAAAAAAUUCUCUGCAUUUUUCUCAAACAUACACUUUGUUUUCCUUAUUUCCCCUCUUUUGUUAGCCAUGUCCCUAACCUACGUUACGUCCUAAUAAAAGUCCCUCUUGAUUUUAGGAAACUAUAGUCUGAAGUAAAAGCUACUUAUAUGGGCUAAAAAUAUGUAGUGGUGCAUAAUAAAAAAUAAAAUAAAUAAAUAAAUUGGGUUGACUAGCAUUUUGACUUGAGAUCGUAUUAUUUCUGAGCUGACGGCAUAUUUCUUUCAUCUUAGUGAGAGCGUGUGACAUUAAUUCUUUAUUAUUUUCUCUCAAAUUCAGCAUUCAUUGAAGUGACUAUUUUUAUUGGGUUUAAUUCACUACUAGAAAAAUAGGCUACUAUGAUAGAAUUUUUAUGAUAGAUUUAAAAAAAUUAAUCAUUUAUCAUAAAAAUAUGACAGACAUGUGAUAAAAUGUUCAUAUAUCGUAAAAACAUGAUAGAUUUGUGAUAGUUUAUAUAUCUAUCAAAUACAAAUGAUAGCAUAUUAAUAUUUAAUGAAACAUUGAAUUUAUAAUGGGCCAAUUUGGGCAUGGAACGACACCGUAUCUUGAUACCAAUAAAAAAAUUUAGGUGUUGGACUCCCCUUCGGCUUCACAUGGCCAGCCCUAAUUUCUUAAUCCAAACCUAAUCACACACAAAUACACAAUCACGCUGCCUACAAUAGAUUUGGUCAUCUGCUGUGCUGCUUGCCGACAACAAAUUGCUGCUCUUCGUCUUCGUCUUCGUCCUCAUCCCCGAUCUCUAGCUUGCUGGCUAUUCCCAUUUCCUUUUGUUUCGCAACUUAAUGGUUGUUGCCGGUAGCCUGCUACCUUCUUCAACUCCGAGCUAUAGCUAAUGCCUUCUUAAUUUAGAUUUUCUUCAAGUUCGAGUUGCUGCUACUGUAUUCUUUUGUGAGAGGUAAGCUGAUGGGUUCUUUCAUUUGUACACUAGGGUUUGGGGUUCUCUGAUCAGAAUAUAUCGGCUGGUCUGGUGAUUGCUCAACCGCCGUCGAUUUUUGAGGUGCCGCCCAGGUUGAGCCCCGCAAUUCUACUUGACUCGCUAAAUUUCAGUUUGUUUUCGCCUACACAGGUAAUUCAAUUUAACUUUGUCUGACCUAAAGUUUCUUCAUUUAUUCAUUAGAUUUUAGCUUGUUUAGGAAAGCUUUCAUUUUUAUUGGGUUUCGCAUUUAAAUGCUAAUAAUCCUUGGGUUUGAAUUUUGAUUUUUUUUUUUUUGGAGGGAUGGAAAAUUUUCUUCAUUGCCUUGAUUUGUUAGCAGUCGGUUGGAAUUUUGAAUUAGAGCUUGCUGAAGCAUUUAUUAUAGAAUUUAUAAAUGUGCCCUGUAAUUGGGAUAAAAACUCUUGACUUAAUUAAUCUGACAGAAGAACAUUUUGAGCAAUGUUGUAAUGUGAUUGUGCAUUGCUGAGAUAAUCUCAUCUUGUUUUGGUAUUCUAAGUAUCCAAAUGGACUGGAUAGUAGGCUAUCCAGGUCAAGUUUUAAUGGUAAUUGGGCAUUUUUCUUUCCUGAUUUUAGUUUCAUCUCUUUUUAGAUGAAGCAUAUGGUUAAUGCAAACAAUUAACGAAAGAAAAGCUCUUGGUAUUACUAGUGUUGGAGAUCCAAUUGUCUUCAUGUAAACUGUGAACACUUUUAACUCCCAUAUCUAAGAUAUAAAGAUCUUGAUGUAGCUUUAAGCCAAAUAUGUGAGAAAUUCUCCAAUCUAGUCACAACUUUAUUAGCAACCAAGAAUGAAAGAGUAUUAGCUUCCAGUUAUAAUUUGAUGACCGGAGCUUGAAUGAGUGAGUGAUAACUUGUAUUGUCUAUAUUGCUUUGUAUGUCAUGCCUCACUGGCAUUAUGUUACUUGGGUAUCCAAAUUUUGCGUUUAUCUAUUACUAAUUUUCCUGAUUCAUUGGAUGCAACCUAGGGAGCCUUUAGAAUGAAGCACUAGCAGGCCCUAGCACAGGUCACUGCCCAAGCUGUACAAGCUGAAUCUCAUACACAAAGCCUUGUUGAAUAUCAAUGUUGUUAACACACUGAAUAAUUUCCUCUGUGACUUCAAGGUUUUAAUCAAAUUUAGAGGUAUAUGUGGUUCUCAAACCCAUUACAAUUGACUGGUACUUGUGUUUUUUUUUUAUUAGAAAGAUAUCUUCUGCAAAAACUUUAUGAAAUUCACUUUUGGAAAUGCAAAUGCUUUGUGUGGUGGUACUUGCAUUUAUUUGCUUGGUCUUCUACCAUUUCAGUCAAAUGAUUUAUUUUGACUCGUGCUUAUGACUAACUUGUUGAUAGAGAAACUAGGCUGUUUAUGGAUGUAUUAAUGUGCAUCCUAUGAUUUUUCUCUUAAUUGACAUGUUGAACUUUUUGGAAGAAUAUUUUUUUUUCAAUUUGAUUUGUCACAUAUUGUGCUAUGUUAAUUGGAAAUGUUUUGGUUUGUGGUCCAUGUUGCACUUACUAGUCCUCAGUACUUGGUGGUCCUUUAGCAUCAUAAAUUAAAUUGGAUGCAUUUAAAGCAUCCAUUGCGUAGCAUUAUCACACUAAAGGGUCUCAUCUAGUUAGAAUAUUUUUUCUGCUUAUUUCCUCCAGAAGAGACAUUAUAUAAGAGUAUAUAGAUUCAAUCCUAAUUGGACAAUCAGAGUUGGUGACUAGGUAAACUAGUCGGGCAAAGAAUGGUCUUGCAAAGCUAAAUUGAAGAUGUAAUUUUGGAAAAAUUGAAACAGCUGGUCCAUAAAUAAUGAUACUUUUGCUCCUAAGAACCAAGAGAUUCCAGCCUAUCUAUCUUUUUUUGGUUUUUGUAUAUAUAUAACUCAUGAGAUUUAUAAUUUUUCAUUAUCAUGUUAACCCCUGGUCUGGACUGUCCUAAUAUUUAAACUUCUUUCCACCAUUUUCAAUUCUUAAAUUGACCAAUAUUUAUCUCAAUGUGUCCCUUUACUUGCCCAUUGAAUUUUGCAUCAAGGAUCUGAUGUGGUAGAAGAGAAGCUAACAAUUUAUGCGCUCGACAAUGUCUUUGCCUUUUGAAUUGAUUGAGAGAUCAUCAUUUCUUCACCCACUGGAAACUUUAGAUUAUGCUUUACGCUUUAGGCUUAGACUGAUAUUAGUGUUGGCAAGCCUACAAUCAUGGUAUUAAAGUUGGUAGAUUGAGGAGAUUCUGGUGAUUCCAGAAUUUUCUACAUUUUCUCUUUAUCUUUUGGAUUUUUAGAACUUUUUCCUUUCUUUUUAUUAGCUUGAUUUUGAUGGAUUUUAUUUAAUUAUAUAUGGAAGGUUAGAUGUUGUGCAUUAAUUAAAUUGUAGUCUUGAAAAAAUACUCUUUAAAAAAAUUCAUCUAGAAAUUUAGAAUUGAAAUCUGUAGAAUGCUAGACUAAAAGUUCUCUUCUCGUCUUUGGCAUUGCACUUGGUUUUAUAUUUCUCUUUACUAUGUACUCUGUUGCAAAAUAUUUUGUUUAUACUUAAUCUUUUAUAAUCCAGCAACUCUUAUGAAGACCUAGUCAACUGUCACUGCUACAUAAGCAUUCAGGUUAUGCUGCUUUAUCAUCAUUUUUAUUUUCUUCCCUUUUUCUCUUUUACAGCUUGUGAGCUUACUGCUUCAUUAUGUCAAUUGUCGAAUGUGAUUUUUUAUUUUCUCUUGGGUUGUUUAUUCUCAUUUUCCCUUUAGUAUCAAAGCUGAUUAAAUCAAUUAGACACUGAUGAAUUUUAUUAUGAAUUUGAUUAAUUGUAAGCGGGCAAUAUAUUAAUAUGUAUUUUUUUGGCACUCAUUUUAUUGUAACCUAUGUUUCAGGUGAUGUUGGUGGCUUUCGGGAAUUUACUAAGAGUGUUUUUUUUAUGGAUUAAUUGUUUUUCUAGUGAUGUGUUGGUGAUUGGAUAUUAUAAAGGAUUUAUGAGAUAUUGUAAAGGAUUUGAUUCACCAUAUAUUUUGUGAUGCUAUUUGUUGGAAGUUUCAAGUGAUUGAAAUUUUUAGCGCAUCACACUAUUUGGUAUUUGAUAGUUUUUAUGAAUUUGAAUGUAAUUUUUAUUUCAAUUAAUUCAAGUUUUAAAUGUGGUUUUUGUUGUUUUUAUUUCAAAAUUCUGGAAUUUAAAUAAUAAUAAUUAAUAUUAUUAUAAUUUCAAAAUUAAAAAUAAUAAUUUUAUUCUUUUUUAAACCUUAAAUCUAAUGACAUAGAAUGCGAAUCAUUGAUAUAUGACAGCUUUUGAAGAAACCCAUCAAAUUUAAAAUAAUUUAAAUAACCCGCUAAAAUUUCCAAUUAAUUCUCGAAAGUCUUUCAAAAUGACGUUGCUGGGUUCGUGACGUAUGUGUGAUAAAUAUACAUUGUCAUGGGAAUAUGUGAUAGAUAAAACAUUGUCAUAAAUUUAUGACAGGGGCUAUAAUGACAGAUAGAAACUUUGUCAUAAGAGGGGUCGGAUGACAGAUAUUCUCCGUCAUGGUAGUCCAUUUUUCUAGUAGUGAUUUCCUUGUGAGAGUGUUACUACUUCCAGUGAGAUUUUGGGGUUUGACAUGUCAUUCUUGAAAACAGUUGUGACAAAGUCUACAGGGCUGAUUCAUGUGGAUGGUUGAUGUGGGUGUGAUGUUUCUUUAGACUGGAGAUAAUGCUUAUACUUUUAUUUAAUUGCUAUCAUUAGUCUGAUUGAAUAAACAAAAUUAUUUUAAAAAAAAUUAUUUUGGGUUUGAAUUUUGUUUUUGCUUUAUUUGCUACGGACUAGCAAUAAGCUGGUUGGGGGGUGUGUUGAGUGUUAGAAAAUGUAUAUUUAUAAAGGAGAAAAUCGUCAUUUUACAUUUUAAGUCUUACUAACACCUUUAUUUUUAUGUAUUUAAGCUUCUUGUGAUUUAAUUACAUAUGUUUUAUUUUAAUUAAGUAUUUUAAGUAUUUUAGGGGCAUCAUGGUCAUUUCACAAUGAACGAGAAAUCAGCCCGCAAAAUGGACAUCACUUUUGAACUCAGGACAGUCGAAAACCUUAUAAGGAGCAUAAAAGGAAAAAUGUCACUGUUAACAUGUACGGCACUAUUUACAUGUACGAUACUAUCCAUAUUAUUGUUCAUGACACUGUUCACACAUACGGAACGAUGACGUGGUAUUGACCGAUGAUGUGGCAUUGACUGAUGAGGUGUCACGAUUCUAUUGGACAAAAUUUAUAUACACUGUUGAUUGGUGACGUGGUAGCAUGUUAGUGGACCAAAAAUCACGCGUACGGUACAUGCAUAUACACAGGAUUAUUUUCAACUAAACUGCGUCACUGUUCAAGCCGGUUGACUGUUCAAAUGUGUGAUCAAACCAGUUGACUGUUCAAACCGCGUACUGUUGACUGAUGACGUGGCGCAAUCCUGAGCGUCCAAACUGUUUUUAAUCCGAUGGCCAUGAUUUACUCAAUGUAUCUAUAAAAAUAGGGCCUCCCCCCCUAAUUUGAUAUCUCUGAAUCCAUUUUUGGGCUCCAUUUUAUGUCAUUCAUUCUCCAUCUUGUAUUUUCUACAUAUUUUAAUAAAUUCUCAUUUUACCCCUAGUUCAAUUAUGAGUAGCUAAUUUUCUUUCAAGCUUGGGUUGAAGGUGAAGUCUCAACAUGUGUCAUGAGCUUUAUUUGGUAAAUUUAUUUUCUCUUUCCCUCUAAAUUUUUGUGGAUGUUUUGACUUUUCGUCGACAAAUAAUAAUAAUCUUGUCUAGAUACCGUCCUAGUUUCACUAGUUCCCUAGUACAAGGUUAUUAUUAUUUGGCACGAUAAGCCCUUAGCACCAUAUUGAUUAGAGUGUGGUUCAUGAGGUGUGGAUUCCCCCUUCAUGAUUUAAUUGACAUUAAUAAGGAAUAUUUAGCCCAUGAUGCAUGUUGAUGCAGAUCCAAAUACCCAAGUACGUCUUUUUAAUAGAUUUUCAUUUUAAUUUAUUCUUGCCAUUUUAAUUUGAAUUUUAGGAUAAUCCAAAUCAUUUUCACCACAAAUCCAACCACCCAUUUAGAAAAUUAAUUCUACACACAAUUAAAAUCCACCUCCUCGUGGGAUCGACACUCGUCACCAUUAAUCUAUACUACAAUAGAUUUGUGCACUUGCGAGUUCAAUAAAAUUUGCACAACAUGUAGAUCGCCAUUUUGAUUGGUGAUUCUUUAUUGUCUGAAGGCUUGUUACUAGAGGAUCUCCCCUCAAAUCUUUCUCAACGAUAUUUACAUGUAAGCUUUCAUUUUUUUAAUUUAAUUUAGAAAAUUUAGGGUUUUUUUUUUUGUUGUCAAUGUAGGAUUUCUCAUGUGGAUUCAAUUUUUAUUUGAAGCAAUUUCUUAUAUAUUUGGUUCAUUUCAUUUUUCUUACAUUUAGGACUAAUAUAUCAGCGAUUGUGAAAAUUCUUAUUUGUGCCCUAACAAUCCAAAAUUUUAUAUAUCAAUUACAUAAUAAGUUUUGUUAUCUUUGGUAUUUCUUUUUAGCUAGGAAAUAUUGAGUUGGUUUUGAAAAUUAUAUCUUAUAAUUUUGGGUAUAAGGGCAUCUAGUAGAAUUUAAUCUGCACUCAUGCUUUUGGUCUUGUUAGAAUCUUUAAUUAAUUCUCUUUAAUCUAUUCCAUAAGCCAAGGCUUGGAAGGGGGAAUAUAUCCAUUGUUUUCUCAUCAAUGAUUUAUUUGCAAGCUACAAGGUAAAAGGAUUGAUUCUUAACAACUAGAAUUUUCUCUAGAGCUGCGAUAUUUAUGGGCCGCAUUGGUAUCUUAAAGGAGGGAAGACUUCAGAUGAGGUAGAUCUUUAUUAUUUCUCAUUAUUUGUGGACUUUCUUUUACUAAUUUUAGUUUUGUUGCUUUUGUAGUUUAAACUGCUGAUUCUGUUGUUUUGUCACUUCUCUUAUUGAGUUGAUUUUAUUUCUUGUGUACUUAAGGCCAUGAAUAUCAAUCCGUUUGACUUGUUAGAGUAACAGUUGUUGUUGCAUUGUUCCAACCAAUUGAUGCUUAAGUGAGAUCCAUAAGUGAAGACUUCUCUUGUUGAAUUUAGUCUCAUGCUUGUGGUUUUCUUUUUGCUUCGUUUGAAUGUCGAUUUAAAUUAAUCUAAAUUUAUUUGUUCUUUGUAGUAUUUGUGUUUUAUUUAUUAAGCUAUGAAACAUGAAUUUGACUUAUUAAAUUAGUCAUUUGACACAAACAAGAUUAUUAAUAAGCUCGUAUUGCUUGUUCUUUAGAUUGCGCCCAUUUAUAGGGACUGGAUGCUAAAAGUCUCAAAAGUCUUUCAAAAUUCGUGAUAGCCUCAUCUUUUAGGAUCAGGAUUCUCUCCUGAUCUGAUCAUGUCCUGAGCAAAUAAGUCAAUUAUUGAUUGGUAGUUAAUAAAUAAAGAAAUAAAAGAAGUUGAAUCUUACCCAUACACUACCACUAAAAGACACAUGACAAAAGAUCUUGAAAAGCUCAGAAGAGAUCAGAUCAGAAGGGGAUCCUUUUCCCAUGUUUUAUGUAUAUGAUUAGCAUCAGUACAUAAUUCUUUUAAGUUAAAUUGUAUGCACUGCUACUAUUGAUAUAAAAAUAAUAAUAAUAAUUUGCUGCAGAAGGUAAUAUUGAAUUGAAUCAAUUGAUACAAAGGCAUGAAUAAGUUAUCAUAAUUGCUUGUUGCAUUCGUGUAGUUUAAAAUAUGAGUCAAAUGUUGUUCUUAAAUUUGUAUCUAACAUAGGUACAAAUUGAAUAGAAGAUUAGUUGGGGAGAUGUAACGUGAAGAAAAAUGAAAUGGCUUCCAUGUGAAUUAAAAAAUGUAGUUGUAGAAUUUCUUUAUUGAUGUUUGAGUUGAUUUAGUGCAAGAUUUGAUUUUCAUUUCUUACUCACAAUUGCUACUUUUAUCCAUUUCUUUUCCACAAUGCUAUAUACCUGUUAUAUUGUUAAUGGCCUACCAUUUAUGGAUGAUAAGUCAAAGUGGAAUGGUUUGGAUAAGUGUAAGCGUGGUUUGAGGUUAAGUACACUUUAAUUUUUGUAAUUUACUUAUUUGGGAAAAUUUUGUUAAGGAGGCAUUAUUUUGUUUCUUUUUUAUUAACAAAAUAAAAUUCUUAUUUGUUUUUAAAUUGAUAAUGCAGGUAAUCAAGGAUAUUGUGCAAAAAUGUAUUGAAGAAUGAGGACAAAUUGAAGACAAUAUAUAGUGCUUAUUUAAGGAUCACUAGAAAGUAUAGAAGUAUGACACUUGCAUUUAUACUUAUUUUUUUGUAAAUGUUCUGUAGUUGAAUGUUUAUUGUAUGAUUAUGGAUGUUUAAAUAUUGUUAUUUUAUCAAUGAAUGACUUGUAAAUUCUUCUUCAUCAAUGGAGUGACUAAGAUUAUGUAUUGAAUUAAUGAAUUAAAUGAAGAGCAUUGAAGUGCUAUAAUGCAUGAUAUCAAUGUUUUUGUAGCAUUUCUUUUGUAGCAUUUUACAGAAGCUAUGUUAGACAUUUGUCAGGGAAUUGAAUACAAUUUGGUAGCGUUUUCUAAAUUCUACCAGUUUGAAUAAUGAUAGCAUUCACCUAAAGCAACAAAAGCUAAUUGCAUUGCAAUAAUUCAAUGCUAUGUAUCAUAAUUCAUGGCAUAUAUCAAGGUCAAAAUGAGUAAUAAUAUUGAUAAGAGUGUGUCUUGAUAUUUUAGGACGAGAGUGAGUUCGUGGUUGAGGUUACUGUUCUUUUCAUUGUUGAAGAUCAAGGUAAAUAGAUUCAUGUAUGGUACAUGUAUUUCACUAUUAAAAUUCUUUUAAUUGAAGUUACGUAUUAUAUUGAAUGAAAAGUAUAUGAAACUAAUUUGUUUAGUAUAGUUCAAUAUUUUGUUAAGUAAAAUCAUUCUUUAAAAUUAUUUAUAGCAAAACUUUAUUUAUUAAAAACUUGUUUUAUAAAUUGUCUUAAAAAUGAAGACUUUUAUUAAAUUGUUUUAAGUCAAAUACCUUGAAAUAAUUAUCUAUUAUUUAAAUGUAAUACAAGGAAGUUUACAAAUGAUUAAAAGUUCAAGGAUGUUUAUAAAUGUUUUUUCUCAUUAUCCGCAGUGAUGCCAUGUUGUGUUAUGGAAGGCUAGCCGAAUUUUGUGCACAUACGAUAUUAAUGUUAAUCAUUCUCACGAGGUACAAUACCCUGAAUGAUAUGAUAUGGCUAGGUUAUCGGGUCUACAAGUGAUACUAUGUGGCAUGAACUAAUUAUGUUUUAUGUAUUUCAAAUGUUAUUGUUUUGUUUAAAGGAUUUAAAUGACUUUAUGUUUUUAUUUAUAUUUGUUAAAUGAUGAUUUACAAAGGUAAUUUCUCUUAUUAUUAUUAUUUAAGAAAUUCACACAAUUAUAUUUUAAUAGUUUUUUUGGUAUUAUGCAUGAAUUUACUUACCGAGUUGACGCCUCGCCCCUCGUUAUCACAUUUUUGUAAAUGGAGUUGUGAGCUAAUGGUCUUAGGGGGAAGAAUAAGAGCUCAGUUUCUUUUAGGGAUUAAUUUAUGUCAAUAAUUUAUGAGUAUUUUAGCUUCCUCUGGGAUGACAUUUAUUUGAGGAUAUGUUAUUUCAGAACUUAUUUUCUUUUGGUUGUUUAGAAUAAUUAUUAUUCAAUAUUAUUUUGAUGGUUUAGAAAUGAGAUUAAUGAAAUGUAGUUUCACUUCAAUUUCACCUUAGUAUCUUGUUAGUGGAAUUAGGGUGUUAUAAGAAUACAAUUCAAAUACAAACUAAUUACAUUAGGAAAGAGUCAAAUUAAGAGAUAAAGAAAAUAUUAAAAUAAUAAAUUCAAUAUAUUAUUAACUAUUAUGCCCCCUUUCUUAUGGCUCUGUAUUUCAUAUAUUUACUUCUCUGUUGAAGAUUCUGCUACUAUAACAAAAAAUGCAACUUUUUGAACUGUUUCUGAGAUGGAACAAUGCCAAACAGUUCUGUUGUUGUCUCAAUUGUGUAGUUUUUUUUUUUGACAAUUCAAUCGUUGUCUUAGUAUUAUAUAGGGUAAUUAUCCACCGAUCACCUAUUUUUUUUUAGAUUUUUCAAAAAUACACAAUUUUUUUUUUUUUUUGCAGCACUCCACUUGAAAUUAACAUUUUUUUCACUAGUCCAUUCUCGUUAUAAUACUGUUAGAACUUUACUGAUAUCAUAAAGAUAAAAUUAUCAUUUCACAACGAUAUUGUUUGAAGACAAAAGUGGACAGGUGUAAAAUAAUAUAAGUUCAAAUGGAGUUCAGUAAAAAAAAAUUAAGAAUUAUGUAUUUUUCAAAAAAAAAAAGAAAAACGCAGGUGGUUGAUGGAUAAUUGUCCUUUUAUAUUUAAAGGUAAAAAAAAUAUUUAUACAAUAGUUCUCUUAACAGUUUGAAGACGGAAGUGGGCAAGUACAAAAUAAUAUAAUUUUGAAUAGAAUUCACCAAAAAAAAUUAAGAAUUAUUUAUUUUUUAAAAAAAAUAAAAAAUUAGUAGUCGGUAAAUAAUUUCCCAAAUAUAUAUCCCCUUCGAUUCUCUUGCAUGUUUAUGGAAUAUUUUAGAAAAAUAAAUAGUUUUUGUUCCCAGAUUGAGAGUUCACAUUUUAACAGAAAAGCCUAGAACAGGAGGCUAUUGCCAAUAGUUAUGGUCCGGCAAAUUUGUCAGAAAGCAAAGGGUAGGAUUUAAAGUUGUGCAUGUUGAAAUUAGGUGCCUUUGGGGAAUUCACACCCUUUCACCUUUUUAGCUGUCAUUCACUUCUUCUUUCAACACUUGAAUAACGUGGAAUAAUUUCAACUAAAAGUUAACAAAGCAUUGCUUAGGAAAGGAGAUGAAAAUUAUCAAGAAACCACCUGGUAGGUUCCAAGAUCGUUAUAAUCUCUGUACAAGACUACAGUGACUAACAUUUGAGUCAAUAAUUGUUUUCAUUUGAUCAAAAUCUUUGAGAUCAAUUGAACUCUGAUGGCUUCUGUUUCUUCUUCUUCUUCUUCUUAUCCAUCCACCAGUUUGAGUUUGAUGAAACCUCGAAACAGUAAGUAUGAUGUUUUCCUUAGUUUUAGAGGAGAGGACACCCGUGACAACUUUGCUAGCCAUCUUUUUUCAGCUUUGUCUCAAAAAAGUAUUGAAACUUUCAUUGAUGACCAACUUAACAGAGGAGAUGAAAUUUCAGAGUCACUUAUGAAUGCAAUUGAAGCAUCAGCCAUUUCACUCAUCAUUUUCUCUGAAGGCUAUGCCUCUUCAAGAUGGUGUCUCGAUGAACUUUUAAAGAUCCUCGAUUGCAGGAAAGAAUAUGCACAGAUUGUGAUACCAGUUUUUUAUCGCGUUGAUCCAUCAGAUGUGAGAAACCAAACUGGGUCUUUUGGGGAUUCAUUUUCGAAGCUUGAAGAAAGAUUUAAGGAGAAUUCAGAGAAGCUGCAGACUUGGAGGAACGCUUUAAGAGAAGCGGCCAGUUUGUCUGGUUUUCAUUCCCUUAACAUUAGGUAAAAAGUUACUUUAAUUUCUUAGUUAAAGUGUUUGUUGCAUUUGCUGAGCCAAAUAUGCUGAAUUAUACUUAUAAUUUUUUAGGCAAUCAUAAUAUUUUUCGGCUGACUGCCUUGUGGUAUUGAUCUUUGAUAGUUAUAUUUGGUGUGCUAAAUUCUGAAUCGUCUGAACAGAUUCUAGUUUUGUGGACUUCCCGACUUUUAAACUCCUACAAAAGAAAUUUGACAGAAUUAAUAAAAGCUUGAGAAGUUUAUAAGUUCAAUAAAAUUAAUGGGGUUCUGUCGUAUUUUAAGCAAUUUCAAUCUCCCGUUCAUCACAUACCAUUAGAGGCGGGGGAAAUUCCCUCACACACAUAUUCGGUGAAAUUCCCUCCUAUUUGAACUUACUACUAUUUUAUGUAUUUGCCAGGCCUGAGUCGAAACUUAUAAAGGAAGUUGUCAAUCAUAUUUUGAAGAGACUGGCUACAGUUUUUCCGUGUGUUAACAAUAACCAGUUGGUUGGAGUAGCAUCUAGAGUGGAGGAAAUUGAAUCUCUAUUAGGUAUUGAGUGGGAAGAUCUUUACACUUUAGGGAUUUGGGGCAUCGGUGGUAUAGGCAAGACAACAAUUGCUAGAGCUAUUUUCGAAAAAAUCUCUAGUGAUUUUGAAGGUUCUUGUUUCCUUCAAAAUGUUAGAGAAGAAUCAGAAAGACCGGGAGGAUUAUCUUGCUUGCAACUAAAACUUCUUUCAAAAUUAUUGCAGGAUAACAAUGUGAUUCUUAAUAUUGCCCUGAGCUUUAGAAGGCUCAGCCGCCGGAAAGUUCUGAUUGUUUUUGAUGAUGUGUCAUGUUUCAACCAAAUAGAAUCCUUAAUUGGAAGUCUUGAUUGGUUUACGCCUCGGAGUACGAUAAUAAUAACCACAAGAGAUAAACAAGUGCUUAGAAAUUGGGGUGUGAAGAAAAUAUAUGAGAUGAAGGCAUUAGAAUAUGAUCAUGCUCUUGAGCUAUUUAGUCGACAUGCCUUCAAACAAAUCCAUCCAGCUGUUGGUUAUGAGGAACUUUCAAGCAAGGUAAUGGAAUAUGCUCAAGGUGUUCCUUUAGCUCUUAAAGUUUUGGGUUGCUUUCUAUUUGGAAGGGAGAAAGAAGUCUGGAAAAGUGCAAUAAACAAAUUGAAAAGUGUUCUCCAUCCAAGUAUCCAAGAGAUACUAAAAAUAAGUUAUGAUGGUUUGGAUGAUAAAGAGAAAAAUAUUUUCCUGGAUGUUGCUUGUUUCUUUAAAGGUGAGGAUGUAUAUUCAGUAAUGAAGUUCCUUGAUGCAAGCGGAUUCUACCCAGAAAUAGGAAUAAAUGUUCUUGUUGAUAAGUCUCUUAUUGUCAUAUCAAACGGUGACAGGAUAACAAUGCAUGAUUUGCUACAAGAAUUGGGUAGGGAUAUUGUCCUUCAAGAAUCAGUUAAUCCUGGAAACCGCAGUCGGUUAUGGCAUCAUGAGGAUAUCUAUGGAGUUCUUACAUAUAAUACGGUAAGCAUUUUUUUGGGAUUAUUAUUUUGGAAUAAUCUUGCAUUGACAAACUUGAUAUACAAAUACUUAUAUAAGCUCGAAAUGAUGAGUUUAGAAUUAAUAGAAGAUUGACAGUGAUUGAAAAAACAAAAAUUGGGAAUAGGUGAUGUAGCAAUAAAAAUUGCCAUGUCAACUUGCAUGUAAUCUUUUGUAUUGAAUUAUAAUUUCAAGUUGACAUGGCAAUGAUAAUUAAUAAUUUAGUAUUACUUGAAUUAGUUUGCAACUUAGAGUUUGCUUGCCCAACAUUGACUACAAGCUUGAAUUUUCUAAAUUUGCUUUUAAAUGUAUGGUCUUUUAUUGAUGAUCAGGGGACUGAAAAAAUUGAGGGCAUCUGCUUGGAUAUGUCUAAAGUGAAAGAGAUUUGUCUAAAUCCCAAUACUUUCACAAAGAUGUGUAGAUUGAGAUUUUUGAAAUUUUAUAGUUCAAUAAAUGGAGAGAACAAAUGUCAAGUCUCUGAUUUCCGAGCCCUUAGAUUUGCUGAAGUGAGGUAUCUUCACUGGCAUGGAUAUCCAUUUAAAUCAUUACCUUCAAAUAUUCAUCCGGGGAAACUUGUUAUACUUGAAAUCCCUCACAGCAAUAUUGAACAGCUUUCUGAAAGUGUCCAGGUAGAUAUUUCUUAAUAAAUCUAGGCAAUGUGCUAGGAAUAUUUGAUUAUCGUACAUGCUAAUGAUAUGUCUUGGCCUUUUCUUUUAUUGAGCAUGCAGCAUCAUGGUAAGUUAAACCAGAUAAUCAUGGCUGCCUGCAAUAUUUUUACCAAAACGCCAAACCACUCGUUGAUUCAACAUCUGAAUAAGCUGGUUAUCCUGAAUCUACGUGGUUGCUCAAAACUGAAGAGCCUUCCGGAGAUCUCAUCAGCUGGUAAUAUAGAAAAAAUAAAUUUAGAUGGAACUGCAAUUGAAGAACUGCCCUCAUCCAUCGGAUGUCUAUCUAGGCUUUUGGAAUUGAACCUUGCAGAUUGCAAAAAUCUUAAGAGUCUCCCAAGCAGCCUAUGUAAGUUGAAUUCUCUGGAAGAGUUAUGCUUAAGCGGAUCCGCAAUUGAAGAGCUGCCUUCACCCAUCGAGUGUCUCUCUGCGCUUUGCGUCUUAGAGCUUGAAAAGUGUAAAAGUCUUAAGAGUCUCAAAUUACCUUUUGAUGGCUUGUACAGUCUAACGUAUCUAUAUCUAACUGAUUGUGCCAUCACAGAGUUACCUGAAAGCCUUGGCCUGUUGUCCUCACUAGAAGAAUUGUAUCUAGAGAGAAACAAUUUUGAAAGAAUACCAGAAAGCAUCAUACGACUUUCGAAGUUGUCAAGGCUCCUCGUAAGUAAUUGUGAGAGGCUUCAAUCCUUGCCAAAGCUUCCAUGCAAUCUAUACGAGUUGAAUGCACAACAUUGCACGACAUUGGAAUCAUUAUCAGGUUUAUUCUCAAGUUAUAAAUGUGUCUGUUUUUACCUGAACGAAAAUUUUAAAUUGGAUCGGAAGCUCAGAGGUAUUGUCGAAGAUGCUCUGCAAAAUAUUCAGCUAAUGGCAACUGCACGUUGGAAAGAAAUACGGGAAAAGGUGUGCCUUUAACUCCUUCCUUUUAAUUUAUAAAAUGUUUGCUAUUUUUUUCCCCUCUCCUUGAAAUUAAAGCCAACAAUAUAAUUUUAAAAAUUAUGAUUUUUGUGGUACAGAUAUCUUAUCCAGCUCUUCAAGGCCAUGUCGUUUUACCUGGGAAUGAAAUUCCGAUGUGGUUUAGCUCUCAAGGUAUGGGAUCUUCUAUAACCUUGAAGAUGCAACGAGGUUGCUUCAGUAAUAACAAAGUGCUCGGCUUUGUUUUCUGCACUAUUGUAGCAUUUCAAGACCAUCAUGUCUGGGAUUGGUCUUUUGGAUUAUACUGUGAAUUCAAAGUCAAACUCAAAGAUUGUGAUCCGCAUGUCAUACAGAUAUAUCUGGGGCGAGUUGAUUAUGUAGAGCCUGAUCACUUAGUUUUGGGGUACUAUUUCUUCGAUCAUGAGGAUCUAAAUGGUUGUUGGGAAUACAACUACGUUCCUGAGGCAGUCCAAUUCUAUUUUAAGAAACUGUUGCGUUCUGAAACUUUGGAGUGUUGUGGGGUGAAAAGAUGUGGGAUCCAUUUAUUUCACGCCUCAGAUUCUAUGGAUUCAAUGGAAGAUCCAAGCAAAGGUUUCAACCACAAGGAAGUAGAGGAGCCACACCCCAAAAGAUUGAAAUAUUUAUAAAGGGAAGAGAACUGAGGUUGAAAAUCGUGUCUAAUCUUCUGUAAAGUUAAAAGGGGCUACGAAUCCCAAUAGUUAUCAUGUAACAACAUAAUUUGACAUUUGAAAAUACAUUAUAUGCUGAUUAAUAUUAUUUAAAUAAUACAUUUGUAGUUUCUUUUUCAGUUUUGAAAAUUUAUAAGAAUAAAAUUGAUUUAUUAAGAUUUGAGGGAUGUAUUGAACACAAUUCCACACAAGUACAGGUUUCUCAUUUAUUAUUUACAUUGUUCUAUCUGUUCGGACUUUGUCUAAUAUCUUAGUAAAAAAUGUUUGGCAUACUCUCUGUGCAAUAGUUUUGGGGGAAAGUGCAUUGACUAUCAUACCCGUUGAACCCGAAGAUGACUCUUUUCACCUUAAAAUUAACCGAUCGCAGACUUGCGUUUUCCUGCAUGUUUUCUUGAGCCAGAGGCUUGACCUGUUAUUUGGUCCAAAAUUUAUUUGGAUUAUUGGAAACUUCUCAGUAAGAUUGGCUAUUUUGAUGAUUCUAGAGCUCAAGUUCUGAUUGAAUCUAAGAGAAUAUUAUGACCUGCUGUGGAGUUCGACACUGGAAAUUGUGAAAGUGGAAGUAGAAUUAGUGGUAAGCCGUAAAGCAAUUUACGAGGCAUGGGUUUACAAAUGGAUUGUAAGCCAUUCUUUUGGUGCCAUGUCUCAUGAUCUUUUCUGACUUUAUUUAUUUAUUUUUUCCAGCACCUCCAUUGAAAUUAAUUGACUUGCCUGGUUUGGAUCAACAUAACGAAUUAUGGACAAGUCAAUGGUGAGUGUUAAUGUUUCUAGGCCUUGAUCCACUUCAAAUUGAUGUGGCAUUCUGCGUGUUUUGGUGGUAUGGCAGGUAUAUCACAAACUGCUAUGGCCUUUGUGUAGGUUGAUGAAUGUGCAGAGCAUAGGCAUCUGAUAUUGCUUCUUCUCAAGCUCUUAGAUUUGCCAAGGACCAUGAGGGAGAUGGUAAUUGACUUAGACAUUUUAUGUAUUGUCUUAAAUUGCUUUUGCUGGUACCUUUUGGAUUUGUAACCCAAGAUAAAAUUGGGAACUUACUUUGACGACAGGUACCGGGACCGUUGGUAUAAUAAGUAAAAUAAAUCAAGCUUUUACAGACCAACAAGCUCUUGCUGCUGUGCGGGCUCUCUUAUUAAAUCGAGGUCCAACCAAAAAUAUCACAUAAUAUUUGUCUAUGUACAUGCAUAGUUUAACCUGUACGUGGUUCAAAUUUCGUUCUUAAUUAUUAGAAUACAUGAAACGUUUCAAAAUUCAAGCUUGUGGCCAUUACAAGUGCUGCCUGCAUUAGAUGGGUUCAAGAAUGAAGCUAAAAGUUUAUGGUCGCACAACAUGACAUAGAGCGAGCUUUUGUCCCUUCCUAGCAUUUGGUUCAUCUGGUGCGGAGGAAGAGUAUGAUUGAGCUUCUUCAAUGGAUAUUCUUGUGUUUGGCUUGUGUUUUGAUGGUAUAUUUAGAUCCUUGUUUGUUUAUGGGUUUGGACCAUUUGGUGCAGCAUGAGAAGUCUGUUCAUUAAAUUCAUAAUACAUGUAAGUUAUUGUAAGGAGACAUUUCAUAGUUUAAACAUAGUUUGCUGGGUCAUUUUCCAUUUUUUUAACCUUUCGAAUUGGUAUGAAUGGUUCACCAGAACUGCUAAAGUUUUGCAAAAGUUCUUUCCCAGAAGUCCACUUUGAUUAAAAAAUAUCAGCGUAUUUUCACUUUGCUCCCUACUGUUUGUACACAGUUUCGCAUAUGGUUAGCAAUGGAGGACAAGCUAGUAAUUGCACAAUUUAUUGAUUAAAUAUUCAAACUAUUUCAAAAUUUGCACUUUGGAUAUCGUGAUGAUAAACAAACCAAAAAUAAAAUCACUGUUCUCUCUAUCACAAAACCAAACUGAAGACAGAAGAGGAAGAGCAACGUCAUCUUAGAUUCUGAUCGAUGUUGUGAAUAAAUUUGUUUCUAAUCAAGAGAAGAUGAGGACGAACCAGUUGAAAUCCAUAUUAGCGGUGGACGAUUCAAGAACUCGAGCUCAGACAGUUCCUGCGGGCAUCGCUGCACGACCGGCGAACUAUCCCUUUAGAACUGAGCCACGAUCAAAGUAACUGUCUCAAUUUGUCAUUGUAUGUUGUUUUUCUUGCUGGGUUUUUUAUUUUACUUGAAAUCGAAGAUUGUGUUGAAACGAUUGGUGAUGGCUGUUGAUUAUGGUGGUUCGUACAGAUGAUUUUACUUUAAAUGUAUCAAAUUUCUCAUUAUAUAUUGUUUAUAUUGUUGGGUUUUUUUAUCUUUCUCAAAAUUGAAGAUGGUUUGGAAAACCUUGGUGAUGGUUACUGAUUAUGGGGGUUUUCUGAGAUGAUGGGGCUUUUUAUUUUUAUUUAACUGAAAUUAUUACAAGGCAUGUUAAAAAUUAUGGAUUAGAAGAUAUACAUACUUUGUGCAUUUUCAGAUUUUUUUAGUCAAGUUUGAACAGUCAAGAAUAUUUGGCAUGCAUUCAUUCAAAGUAUUGAAAAAUAGAACUUGCUCAUUUUUUUUGUUUUUUGGUGGGGUUAUUUAUACAUUAUCCAGUUCAGUUUCUACAUUUUUGUGUGGUUUACUUAUAUUGUUGCUGAGAAUUAUGUUAAUGGUUUGUUAAUGUUGAAAUUAAGAACUGCAUGAUAGAAAUUGUUGGUGAAAAUAAAUUAUGCCCGGCAUGAGAUUAGUGUAUUUAUUCACUAGUUAGAGCUUAGCAUGUAGUUAGUUAUAUAUUGCUUUAUGUGCUGCUCUACAUUUGUUAGGCUAAUACAAAAUUUGUGGGAGCUUAAGACUUACAUCAAAUAUACAUAAGUUGUGGCUUCAUUUUAGUCGUUCAAUAAAAAUCAAAUGCAAAUAAAUUUUAUCACAUUUUCCUUGCUGCCAAACAGCAACUCUUUUACAAAAUUUACUUUCCUUUAGACAUUUUACUGAUAAUGAACAAUUAGUUGAAUGCAUGUUUCAUGCAGGGCAGUUAACUCCAAGCAUCAUAUAUAUGGAUCCAGCAGCAACUGUGAAGACAGCAGGUGUGUCUACUGAGAAAUUGCAGUAGAGACCAAUCUAUUCACAUACAUAUAAUUUUUUAUAGGGAGCAGUUGAUGCAUCACCUUCUAACUAUAAGCAUUAAAAUGAUAAAAUGUUUUAUCAUCUUUUGAUAGUCAACCAUAGGUAUAGGUUUGAGUUUUUUCAUAUAUUUUGUAUAUUGUGACAUACCAUCAAGCUCACUUCUUUGACAAGGCAUGUGUUGCCUUUUAAGGUGUUAACAUAGCAAUUUUUUAAUAGUUGAGGUUAACAUAGCAAUUUUUUAAUAGUUGAGGUUAUGUAUAUAGGGCUUAUGUUGAUCUGUGUUGGCUACCUAACUUAAUUGUCUAAACUGUAAUUGCUACUGUAAUGAAUUAAUACUUGUAAUGUUUUUAUUUUUUGUAUAUUUUUGCUAAGAUUGAUUCCUUUGAUUUGUAUAUUGUUCCUGGUUAUUGAGCUGGUUAUAUGGAAUUUGGUUCAUUGACUUGAUUAUGUUGUUUUGAUCUAAAAGUAGUUGAUGAUUGUGUGUGUAGCUUGAGAUGGAUAAUGAAUAAGAUUGCUCAUGUGAUUUUUUUAUGUGAGUGAGAUGUUGUUUCAGCUUUUGUUUGUAAUGAAGAUGAGCAGCAAAACAGCUAUGAAUGUUGAGCUUGUUUGAGGCUAUAUAAAUAGCCAAAUUCACUAACUGCAACAGUAAUAUUGGCAGUGUUCUUCAAUACUUUUUAAAGCUUUUUUUGGUUAAAUUUUGAUUUGUGCAUAGCAAAGACAAAUUGAUAUUUCCCUAAGAAUAGUAUUCUUAUUUGAGACUGUUCGUACAUUUUUGGCGCCAAUUUUACAAGAAGCUAUUACCUAGCGGAUCUUUGAUUUUAGGGAUAUUAUCAUUCGUAUAUCCUAUAGAUAUUCUGUUAUCAAAAAUAUUAUAAUACUUUGAGGGUAUAUCAAUCGUCCACCCUAAAUGGACAAAAGUUAUAUGCCGAUCAUCAAACCGUUAGUUGUCGUUUGAAAGUUAACGGAAUUAUAGCGAAUUGACGAUUUCACUCGUGAAAAAUAUCACUUGUAUACUCUUAAAUGUUUUUAUUAUCACUUGUUUACUCUUAAAUUAUCACUUGUAUCAUAUGAAAAGAGCAAAUUAUCCUUCUGGCGUUAUCCUAUUUAAAUGGCAAGUAACGGUUUGGUGGAUGGCAGAUACAUUUUGUCAAUUUAUGGUGGAUGAUUGAUAUACUCUCAAAGUAUUGUAGUAUUUUUUAUAACAGAGCAUCUAUAGGGUAUACGAAUGAUAAUUUUCCUUGAUUUUAAUAGUCAAGGGUAUCUUGGUCAUUUAAUUCAAACAACAAACAACUCAAUUAACAGCGGACUAAUGUCUAUAAAAAAACAUAAAAAGCAGCGGACUAAUGGCAGGGGAGGAAAGUGGAGAUACGUUAAUACUUUCUAUUAAAGUGGAGAUGUAUGAAACUUUAGGGGAGGAAACUGGAAAAGACCCAUUAUUGUCUAAGCAUUUAGAGAAAUAAUUAAUCCAAAAAGGUUAUAUUACCUAAAAAAAGGUGCUAUUUCCUAAAGAUGAGAUGCUCGAUUCAGUAUGUUCCAUCAGACAAUUGCUCCACCAUUAGUCAUUUUUGUGGAUAAACUAUCUCAAUCUAUUUAUUUCUAUUUUGAAUGGUGUGCAUGUCAACAUGAGAUUGUUUUUCAGAGUACAAAUACAUAAUCUUAUUGCUUGCCAAUUGCGAUACGCAACAAUUAUGUUGUUGAAUUGGUAUCAGUUAAUUUUGAACAUUCAAUUAAUCCUGUUAAAAGUUCUAUGUGGUCAUUAUUCUUUGUCUUUGGUCUACUGUGUUACAUAUUUUGAAGGAAUCAAUUCACAAACGUUGGCCAUAUGGAACAAUGUCGCUCUGUAUAUUAGGUUUUAACUAACUUCACAGCUUCCCUAAAACUUACUGCCCCCUCAACCAAGUUAACUGUGUUUUUUAUCUUCUUGGUUCUUCAUUAUUGAAGUUUAGUUGCUUUUGACUCCAAAUUCUAAACACAAUUUGAACUUCAACGCUGGCUGUAUCUUUCGCAGCAUGUUUAUAAGGUAAAGUUUCUUUCUGCCUGCAUUUUCCCUAUCGUCUUUCUCUCUUGCAACUUCUGUUUCAUGCAUGUUUAUAGGGUAAAGUUUAUUAUGUCUCUGCCUUGUUCUACGUGAAAAAGACAACAAUUGGCAUCAUUAGACCAAGAUUGCACUCAUAAGAUCUGAAAAAAGACAUAGACAGCCAAAUUGUAAACAAAUAAUUAACAAAACAGAUCAAGAAAAGAAGAUGAACACUCACAGGUUUUGAUGGUUCAACCACCAACUGGCCUAAUUCCAAGCAAGUAACAAAUCGAUUGAGUUAUUGAUUAAGCGAUCUAAAGAUUACAAGAAUGUUAAAAACUUGGAUUUCUCUAUGAUGCUGUAAUUUUUUUGCAGCAUCAAUAAUGUUUUAAUUGUGUGCCAUUGGAUUAAAUCUAAUGGUAUAUAAUAUUUGUACUAAAGAAAAAAAAUUAAAAAUAAUAGUAAACAGAUUGUUAACCGUUCAAGGGGUGGAGAAAUUUUGUAAAAUAACUGUGAUCACCCUUAGAGUUUGAAGUAAUUUAACUUAAAUAACAUAUUUUAUUUAAAAUUACUUUUCUACUCUCCUUUAAAUUUGUAUUGUGAUAAUCUUUUUUUAAAUAAAUCUUCCAAAAUCUAUUAUCAUUAAGUAUAAAAUAUAAUAUGAAGUAGAUUAUUUAACACAAAUCAAAUAAAUAAGUUGCAAUUGUAAAAUUAAUUAUAUAUAAUAUAACAUUAGUAAAUAAUACAACUAAAUACAUAUAUUUAAGUAAAUGUCGUAGGUACAUCAAUAAACUCACUGGUGAGAUUGCUUGUAACUUAAAAAAGACUUAAUCACACAUAUUUUAAUAAAAUUUAAUAUCUUAUAUCAAAAUAUUCAUUAUUUUAUAUAAUUUUAAGGACCGUUGUAUAAUUGAUUAUGAAGUAUAUAUUAUUUUUAACACUCGUUUAACAUACCUAUUCUCUCAGCUUUUUGUUUAGGAUUUCUCUAUAAUAUUGUAUGAGUUUUACAGCAUUGAUAAUAGGAUUGUUGUGGACUCUUAGAUGUUAGGGUUUUCAUGUUUAGUAUUCAUUUGAUAUAGUGAAUAAAAAAUUAGUUAUUUAAAUCAUAACAAGUAAUCUUCAUGCUGCAAGUAAAUAUAGAUUUUAUAUUUUUAAUUAAUUGAUAAAAGAAAAUUUAUAUCAUAAUGGAUAAAAAUCCCAGAAUCAAUAAUGGGAUCAUUGGAUUUAAUAUUAGAAUCUUCACCCUUAAUUUAAUUUUAAUGGAUAAGUAAUUAUGUAACAAGUAAUAUGCAAGUUGUGAUAUUUCUUCAUAUUUUAAAUUAUUUUUUAUCUAAUCAAUCAAUAAAUAUUUUAAAUCAUUAAAAAAUGAAAGAAAUACAAAUAAUUUUGGAAUUAAAAUUAUUAUAUAUAAAUCCUCUUACUUUACAAUUUUACAUUUUUUUUUACUUUUACAUUUAGUAUUAGAAAUAUAUUUAAUAGCACUAAAAUAAAUGUAAUUAACAAGUAAUGGUAUUUCAAUAAUACUUUAUAUAAAGUUAUUACAUAAAGUCUUAUAAUAAUUUGUAUUGUGUGAAUUUAAUUACAAAUCAUUAAUACCUAAACAAUAAUGAUAAUAGAAGGCAUUGUAAUAAAAUAUUUUAUAUAUGUUUUAUUAGUAAUACUAUGAGUCACAACAAAUAAGAAAUAUUUUAUUCACCAAUGAAAAAAAAAAUAUAUGGCUAUAUAAAUAUAUAGUGAGAAAUAUUUUGAUUUAAUUUUUUAACAAAAAAUUAAACUAUUAAUUCAAUGGUGGAGGAUUUGCCAAUAUGAAAUGCUGCUUUGAUAUGACAAUAUGAAAUGUUGCUUUGGCUUUUAAUAUUAACCAUUACACUAUAAGAUAUUAAUGGCUAAAACAUUGUGUCAAAAUUUUAAGUUCAAGUAUCCCAAACCAUGUCUUUAUAAUGGAAAUAUAAAAACAUGCAAUGAAUUUUUUUCUCAUUUUGUCAUUAAAUAUUAUUGGAUGCAAUAUUUUAUUUAUUGUCACUAUUACUUAUCAUAAUAAAAGUAAUGACUCUUAGUAACAUAAAAAUUUUAUAAUUACAAUCAAAGGAUGUCAAUAAAAUAAUCUUUCAUGAUUCAUAAACUAAAACUCAUUAGGAAUAUGUGUUAGAUUAAACUUUUAUGAAAUUAACAAAGUGACAUUUGAAAAUAAAAUGAAAACAAGCUUGUGAAAGUUAAAUUUUAUAAGGCUUGAAUAAUUUUCUACCAUGUAAAUAAAAAUAUAAAAAUAUAAAAAUAAUCUUUCAUGAUUUUUUCCCUUUUUUUCACGUAAAUAUUAUUGGAGGUAAUAUUUUAUUCAUUUCACUAGUAAUUACUGUAAUAAAAGUAAUGGCUCUCAGUAACAUAAAAUUUUAUAAUUACAAUCAAAGGAUGUCAAUAAGAUAAUCUUUCAUGAUUCAUAAAGUAAAGUUAAUUAGGAAUAUAUAUUAGAUUUAACUUUUAUGAAAUUAACAAAGUGAUAUUUGAAAAUAAAAUGAAAAUAUAUAGGCUUGUAAAACUUAAAAUUUCUAUCAUGUAAGAAUAUUAAUUAUAAGAUAAACAAAAAUAAUAUAUAUUUUAUGAUCAAUUAUACAAUAGUCUUAGUAUUAUAUAAAAUAAUGAACAUUUUAAUAUGCGAUUUUAAAUUUUAUUAAAACAUGAGUGAUUAAGUAGUUUUUAAGUUACAAUCAAUCUCACCAAUGCGUUUAUUAAUGUAACUAUGACGUUUACUUAAGUAUAUGUACUUAGUUGUGUUAUUUAUUAGUAUUAUAUCAUAUAUAAAUUUUCUAAUUGUAAUUUAUUUAUUUGAUUUGUGUUAAAUAACCUACUUCAUAUUUAUUUUAUACUUAAUGGUAAUAGAUUUUGGAAGAUUUAUUUAGAAAAGAUUAUCACAAUACAAAUUUAAAGGAGAGUUGAAAAGUAAUUUUAAAUAAAAUAUGUUAUUUAAGUGAAAUUGCUUCAAAGUCUAAGGGUGGUCAAUGUGAUUUUACAAAAAUUUCUCCACCCCUUAAACCGUUAACAAACUGUUUACCAUUGUUUUUAUUUUUUUUUCUUUAGCAAAAAUACUAUAUACCAUUAGAUUUAAUCCAAUGGCACACAAUUAAAACAUUAUUGAUGUUGUAAAAAAAAUUACAGCAUCAUAGAGGGACCCCUAAAAACUUUACAUAGAACAAUUUAUAAUAAGAAAUAUCUCUAUAAUCUCUCUCUAAAGUCACGAAGUGAUCUAUGAAGUUAUGCCGAUAGCCAGCCUUUUAUAACUGAGGCCAUUAAGCUCAGAAACUGAUUUCAGCUCUUUAUAACACACUUAACAGAAGUUUGACCUGGUCAGCAUAAGCGACUAACGUGUGUAUCACAUGUGACGACAGAUUUGCCACAAAACCAAACUUGCAUUGGACUUGAACGAUUAAAGUGCAAAGCUCCAAUAAACAAACGCAAUCGUUUUGCACCUGCUUUUGAUUAACCAUCAACAACUUGUAAUCAUCUAUGUUAAUUAUUGAUUAAACAACCACCAGUACGCCUUGGACAGUUUGACACCAGAACAUUAUUAAUAUAAGGGAAAUUAUCAAUCGUAUACCUUUAGUUUACUCCGUUAUCAAAUUUAUUACAAUACUUUCAGGGUAUAUCAGUCGUCCACCUUAAGUUGACAAAAUGCAUCAGCCGUCUACCUAACUAUUAGUUGCCGUUUAAAUAUGAUGAUGUCAGAAGGGUAAUCUGGUCUUUUCAUGUGAUACAUGUGAUAAUUUUAGGGUAUAUAAGUGAUAAUAAGAGAUUUUAAAGGGUAUACAAGUGAUAAUUUUUAACGGUAAAAUUAUCAAUUCAUUACAGUUCCGUUAGCUUUCAAACGGCAGCUAACAGUUUAGUGGUCGGCAGAUAACUUUUGUCAAUUUAAGAUAGACGAUUGAUACACCCUUAAAGUAUUGUAGUAUUUUUGAUAAAAGCGUAAAUUAUACGAAUGAUAAUUUCCCUUGGUAUAAAGCAGAAAUUUUAAGUUCGAUUUAGACAUGGUUUGGUUUGAGCUUCUUAACACUUCUGAGUGAUGCGUCUAGGAGUUCAUUUUAGAAAUAUAUCAUUAAAUUAACCAUCUUGACCAUUGACCAUUGUCUUUUCUUUUUUCCGCCUUCUUUGAUCUCGAUUGCGUGUGACCGACGUUUGUCUACACUGUCAUUGACUUAUUGACCACAUUGAUAGUGUGUCAUUUUGGGUACUGCAAAAAGCACAGCAACGAUUAAAGUGCAGCUUCGAAUAAUUCAUAUCUCGCUGCAUAUUUUUGUUGAGUGAAGUGCUGCAUAACCACUCCCACUUUAUUAGAAUCACUUGAAGAGGGUCCCUUAUGUCAUAACAAUGGAUUCAAAAUGUAUUUGAAUGUCAUUUAUAAUAUUAACUAGGAAAUAAAACCGCGCUUCGCACGGCUUUAGAAAAUAAAUUUAAUAUUAUCAAUUUUUUUUCUUUACACUCGAUAAAAUUGAUAAAAAAUAUAAAUUGAUUUUUUUUAAAAUGAGGCAGCCUUAUAAAACUAAUGUUAUUUAUGAAAGUUAACUACUUUUUUGUUAACGUUAAAAAUAUAUAUUAACAUGUAUAGUCUAAGUGUACAGACCUUAUACCUUUUGUAGUUGAUAAGUUCCAAAUUAAAUUUUGUAAUUGAGGAUCCUUAGCAAUGCGUUGAAUUAUAAAAGAAAUAAGUAAAAUACAUGUAAAGACUUUUACUAACUUGCACAACGUUGGAGAUGGUAGAAAAUCUUUCAAUUAAUGAUGCUACAUAAUCUAUUUGAAGAUUUAUAUAGAUUUUGCUUGCACUUGUGGCAGAGAAAUUAACCUCACCUGUUGAGAGCAAAUGUAACCUAAAACGAAACUUGAACAAAAUCCAAAUUUGUGUAUAAUAUUAAAAUAACCACAUUGCAUUUGAAAAUGUUAAUUAGUGGGAUCUAAAUAAAAUAAUCACCUUGGAAUUUUUUAAUGGUUGUAGAAGUUACUAUCACAAUACAAGGACCCUCGUCUUUCUUGUACAAGUUUGGAUCAAACAUCUCCCCUAACUUUCCCCAUAAAGUAAUCUUUGUUGUUACCGAGCUAUCCAUAAAAAUUAACAAAAGUUAAUAAUGUAAAGAGAACCAAUAAUUAAAAAAUAACAUAAAUAACUAAAAAAUAUAAAGUCGUAGUUUUCUUGAUUAUAUUCAACUUACUAAUCCGUCAGAAUUUUUAUAUCUCUUUUUUUCCAACCAGCUCCAACGAUCUCAAUAUCACCCACACCACAUAAAUUUCCGAUAACAUCUGUAAUAUUAUGAAAAAAUAACAUAAAAAUGUUAAAACAUAAGGAUUAAUAAUUUCUAAUACACACUUAAAGAUUAACAAACAUUAAUAAUUAAAAAAAUACCUGAGAGGAUUGUGUUAUCAUUCACACGUAAAUCAAUCAAAUUCGCAGAUACGAAUUGAAAUCCAUUAAUCGGAAUCUUGACAGUUCCUUCUUCUAACAUCUUAAGAGAAGUUAUAACCAAGAAAAUAAUCUUAUACUGAUUUGAAAGUGGUCUAUGCUCGCCUGUAGUUGAAACAACUUUCAAAUUCUUGACAUUGUACAAAGAACCCUCACUCAACAUGUGCUUAAACCUUGUCACUAAAGUUUUCCUGAUUGUUGCAUGCAUUAGAUUUUCCUACGAAAAAAAAACACAUACUACAUUAAGUGUGAAACAAUUGGGAAAAAAAUUAGAGAAAGCAAUGGGAGAAUGAAUUUUUUAUACAACAUUUUCAUCAAUAAAAAUCAUGUCAACACUAAUCAAUUCUCCAUUUUUUUUAGUAUUAGUAGACUCCCACAUCCUACAAAGCCUAACUCUUAUCAUCCAACUAUCUUUAUCAUUGUUCAACUCAUGAAGAAAAGAGUACUCCAUGAAGCACACAAUACCAAAAAUUCAAAUAAAUCAAACAAUAAAAAUACAAGUAUUUUUCUAAAGAGGGUGUUGAUUAAAUAAAUUAAAAAAAACCAAACAUAACAAAUCUUAAAUAUUUAGUGUUUAGAGAGCUUGAAGAAGCCAAAAGGCACUAAACAAAAGGUUGCAUAAUUAAAUAUGAGAUUAUGGCAUUAAAAUUAGGCUCUAGUGGCAUUGUAGAGGGAAGAUGAAAGAACCUCUCUUCCUAUGUUAAUUUGUUGACGUAUUUUAAGUCACUAAAGUUUAAUUGCUAGCAUAAUAAAAUUUGAAGGAGCCAAAAGACACUCAACAAAAGGUUGCAUAAUUAAAUAUAUGAUUAUGACAUUGAAAUUAGGCCCUAGUGGCAUUGUUGAGGGAAGAUGAAAGAACCUCUCUUCCUAUGUUAAUUAAUUCAUGUAUUUUAAGCCACUAAAGUUUAAUUGCUAGCAUAAUAAAAUAAAUGAAUGCUUCAAAAGACUUAUAAUUAAUUAUUAUUAAUAGUUACAUAUUGUUAGAUUUAAAUAGAAAGAGGAAGAAACAUGUACAAAGAAUAUCCACCAAUAUUUUAAAUAUUUUAGAUAAUAGAAAAUAUAAAAAGAUGAGGUUGAGGGAAGAUGAAAGAACCUCUCUUCCUAUGUUAAUUAGUUGAUGUAUUUUAAGGCACUAAAGUUUAAUUGAUAGUAUAAUAAAAUUUGAAGAAGCCAAAAGGCACUCAACAAAAGGUUAGAUAAUUAAAUAUAAGAUUAUGACAUUAAAAUUAGGCCCUAGUGGCAUUGUUGAGGGAAGAUGAAAGAACCUCUCUUCCUAUGUUAAUUAAUUGAUGUAUUUUAAGCCACUAAAGUUUAAUUGCUAGCAUAAUAAAAUAAAUGAAUGUUUCAAAAGACUUAUAAUUAAUUAUUAUUAAUGGUUACAUAUUGUUGGAUUUAAAUAGAAAGAGGAAGAAAUAUAUACAAAGAAUAUCCACCAUUCUUCCUAUGUUAAUUAGGUGAUGUAUUUUAAGGCACUAAAGUUUAAUUGAUAGCAUAAUAAAUUUUAAAGAAGCCAAAAGACAAUCAACAAAAGGUUGCAUAAUUAAAUAUGGGAUUAUAGCAUUAAAAUUAGGCCUUAGUGGCAUUGUUGAGGGAAAAUGAAAGAACCUCUCUUCCUAUGUUAAUUAAUUCAUGUAUUUUAAGCCACUAAAGUUUAAUUGCUAGCAUAAUAAAAUAAAUAAAUAUUUCAAAAGACUUAUAAUUAAUUAUUAUUAAUGAUUAGAUAUUAUUGAAUUUAAAUAGAAAGAGAAAAAAAGUACAAAGAAUAUCUACUAAUAUUUUAGAUAAUAGAAAAUAUAAAAAGAUGAGAAGAUGAAAAAUUAAUCACUCCAUUGAAUUAAUGAAAAAUUAUGGAUCAUAAUUCCUAGUGAGAUAGUGGGAGUUAUAGGGAAGUUAAAUGUUGCUAAUGGGAGAUAGUGGGGAGACUAAGAGAUAUAUGUUAUGAACAUCUACAUUUAUUUUAAUAAAUUCAUAACACUCCCCCUUGGAUGUUCAUUACAAAGAAUAUGCCUCAUUAAAAUCUUUACAUAAUUGUUAUUGUAUAAUAACAAUCAAAUUAAAUAUAAGAAGAUGAAAAGCCAAAUCUAAAAGAAAAUUUCUCUAUUUAUUAGAUAAUAGAGAAUAUACAAAGAUGAGAAAUGGUGAUGCCACAUCACCUCCUCAAGUUCUAGCUUUAUAAAUAAAAGAACCUCUCUUCCUAUGUUAAUUAAUUCAUGUAUUUUAAGCCACUAAAGUUUAAUUGCUAGCAUAAUAAAAUAAAUAAAUGUUUCAAAAGACUUAUAAUUAAUUAUUAUUAAUGAUUACAUAUUGUUGAAUUUAAAUAGAAAGAGAAAAAAAGUACAAAGAAUAUCUACUAAUAUUUUAGAUAAUAGAAAAUAUAAAAAGAUGAGGAAUGAUAUAUAUUAAUAAAGUUACUAUUUAUUAAAUGAGUUAAAUACAAUCAAAUUAAUUAUGAGAAGAUGAAAAGCCAAAUCUAAAAAAAAAAUUAUCUAUUUAUUAAAUAAUAGAGAAUAUACAAAGAUGAGAAAUGGUGAUGCCACAUCACCUCCUCAAGUCCUAGCUUUAUAAAUGAAAGAACCUCUCUUCCUAUGUUAAUUAAUUCAUGUAUUUUAAGCCACUAAAGUUUAAUUGCUAGCAUAAUAAAAUAAAUAAAUGUUUCAAAAGACUUAUAAUUAAUUAUUAUUAAUGAUUACAUAUUGUUGAAUUUAAAUAGAAAGAGAAAAAAAAGUACAAAGAAUAUCCACCAAUAUUUUAGAUAUUUUAGAUAAUAUAAAAUAUAAAAAGAUGAGGAAUGAUAUAUAUUAAUAAAGUUACUAUUUAUUAAAUGAGUUAAUACAAUCAAAUUAAUUAUGAGAAGAUGAAAAGCCAAAUCUAAAAAAAUUGUCUAUUUAUUAAAUAAUAGAGAAUAUACAAAGAAGCAAAAUGGUGAUACCACAUCACCUCCUCAAGUCCUAGCUUUAUAAAUGAAAAAACCUCUCUUCCUAUGUUAAUUAAUUCAUGUAUUUUAAGCCACUAAAGUUUAAUUGCUAGCAUAAUAAAAUAAAUAAAUGUUUCAAAAGACUUAUAAUUAAUUAUUAUUAAUGAUUACAUAUUGUUGAAUUUAAAUAGAAAGAGAAAAAAAAGUACAAAGAAUAUCCACCAAUAUUUUAGAUAUUUUAGAUAAUAUAAAAUAUAAAAAGAUGAGGAAUGAUAUAUAUUAAUAAAGUUACUAUUUAUUAAAUGAGUUAAAUACAAUCAAAUUAAUUAUGAGAAGAUGAAAAGGCAAAUCUAAAAAAAAAAAUUUCUAUUUAUUAGAUAAUAGAGAAUAUACAAAGAAGCAAAAUGGUGAUGCCACAUCACCUCCUCAAGUCCUAACUUUAUAUAUAUACUAGGAAAUAGAACCGCACUUCGUGCGGCUUUAAAAAAAAUUAAUAUUAUUUUUUUAUUAUUUUGUAAUUGAUGAAAUUGAUAAAAAAUAUAAAUUAUUUUUUUUAAAGAUGACGCAGUCUUAUAAAACUAAUGUUAUUUAUGAAAGUUAAUUAUUUUUUGUUAAUAUUAAAAAUAUAUAUUAAUAUGUAUAGUUAAGUGUACACAACCUUUUCAUCAAUAAAAAUUAUGUUCACACUAAUCAACUCUCUAUUUUUUUUUGUACUAACAGACUCUCACAUCUUACAAAGCCUUACCUUUAUCAUCCAACUAUCUUUAUCAUUGUUUAACUCAUAAAGAAAAUAGUACUCCAUGAAGCAUACAAUACUAAAAAUUUAAAUAAGUCAAAAAAUAAAAACACAAGAACAUUUCUAAAGAGGAUGUUGGUUAAAUAAUAAAAAAAACUCAAACAUAACAAAUCUUAAAUGCUUAAUAUUUAUAGAGCUUGAAGAAGGCAAAAGAUACUAAAUAAAAGGUUGCAUAAUUAAAUAUGGGAUUAUGACAUUAAAAUUAAGUCAUAGGGUAUUGGUGAGGGAAGAUGAAGGAACCUUCCUUCCUAUAUUAAUUAGUUGAUGUAUUUUAAACCACUAGAGUUUAGUUGUUGGCUUAAUAAAAUAAAUGAAUGUUUCAAAACUUAUAAUUAAUUUAUUAUUAAUGGUUACAUAUUGUUGAAUUUAAAUAAAAAGAGGAAGAGACAUGUAAUCUUUUGUAAUCUAUUAAUUAUUUUAUAUUUUUAAUAUUUUGUAAUGUAAUUAUUUUUUAAUCUCAACCAAUAGAUUAGAUAAUAGAAAAUAUAAAAAGAUGAGAAAUAAUAAUGCCACAAAUCUUAACUACUUAAUAUUUAUAGAGUUUGAAGAAGCCAAAAGGCACUAAACAAAAGGUUGCAUAAUUAAAUAUGAGAUUAUAGCAUUAAAAUUAGACCCUAAUGGCAUUGUUGAGGGAAGAUGAAGGAACAUUCCUUCCUAUAUUAAUUAAUUGAUAUAUUUAAUAUACUAAAAUUUAAUUGUUGGCAUAAUAAAAUAAAUAAAUGUUUCAAGAUUUAUAAUUAAUUAUUAUUAAUGGUUACAUAUUAUUGAAUUUAAAUAGAAAGAGGAAAAGACAUGUAAUCUUUUAUAAUCUAAUAAUUAUUUUUUAUUUUUAAUAUUUUGUAAUGUAAUUAUUUUUUUAAUAUCAACCGAUUUAUUAGAUAAUAGAGAAUACAAGAAGAUGAGAAAUAGUGAUAUUAAUAAUUAUUUUUUAAUUUAAACUAAUUUAUUAAAUAAUAGACAAUAUGAAAUGAUGAGAAAUGGUGAUGCCACAUCACCUCCUCAAGUAUAUAUAUAUAUAUAGAUAGAUAGAUUAAUUCAUGUAUUUUAUGCCACUAAAGUUUAAUUGCUAGCAUAAUAAAAUAAAUAAAUGUUUCAAAAGACUUAUAAUUAAUUAUUAUUAAUGAUUACAUAUUGUUGAAUUUAAAUAGAAAGAGAAAAAAAAGUACAAAGAAUAUCCACCAAUAGUUUAGAUAUUUUAUAUAAUAAAAAUAUAAAAAGAUGAGGAAUGAUAUAUAUUAAUAAAGUUACUAUUUAUUAAAUGAGUUAAAUACAAUCAAAUUAAUUAUGAGAAGAUGAAAAGGCAAAUCUAAAAAAAAAAAUCUCUAUUUAUUAGAUAAUAGAGAAUAUACAAAGAAGCAAAAUGGUGAUGCCACAUCACCUCCUCAAGUAUAUAUAUAUAUAGAUAGAUAGAUUAAUUCAUGUAUUUUAUGCCACUAAAGUUUAAUUGCUAGCAUAAUAAAAUAAAUAAAUGUUUCAAAAGACUUAUAAUUAAUUAUUAUUAAUGAUUACAUAUUGUUGAAUUUAAAUAGAAAGAGAAAAAAAGUACAAAGAAUAUCCACCAAUAGUUUAGAUAUUUUAUAUAAUAAAAAAUAUAAAAAGACGAUGAAUGAUAUAUAUUAAUAAAGUUACUAUUUAUUAAAUGAGUUAAAUACAAUCAAAUUAAUUAUGAGAAGAUGAAAAGACAAAUCUAAAAAAAAAAAUCUCUAUUUAUUAGAUAAUAGAGAAUAUACAAAGAAGCAAAAUGGUGAUGCCACAUCACCUCCUCAAGUCCUAGCUUUAUAUAUAUAUAUAGAUAUAUAGAUAGAUAUAGAUAUAGAUUAUUCUAUUAAUUAUUUUGUUUUUGCUUUUUUGUUUUCAGUUUUCAUUAAUCCUCCCCUCAUAAAAUGAGGAUAUAGAUAUAUUUAGGAGAUUGCUAAAUUUCCCUACUUAAAUUAUAUAUAUACCACUUACUUCUUACUGUUUUCAUAAUACCUAAUAAUCUUCAUGACCGCAUAAUUUUAUAAUAUUAUCCGUAUUUUCAAAUACAUUUUUAUUCAUAUUUACUGUAAGAAAAUGUUUAUAAAAUAACAAAAAGUAUAAGAAUCUUAUUAUUAAUAUUUUAUUCACCUAAUUUUUUUUAUUUUAAUUUCUAUCUAUAUGAUUUAUUGUAAAAUAUAUUUGGUAAUAAGGGUAAUAUUGUAAAAUUAUAUUGUCAAGAGAGUAAUUGUCUAUUAUGAAAAUAAUAAGGAGAUAAGUCGUAUAUAUUAAUUUCAGUAGGGAAAUUUGGUAAUCUCUCAUAUAUAUAUAUAUAUGUGUGUGUGUGUGUGUGUUUUUUUUUUUUUUUUUUGGUCAACUUUGAUAGCAUCAGCUAAAAAAAAUGUGUAAAAUGAUUAUGUAAUGGGAAAUUGGCAUUUUUCCAAUUUGAUGAGGACAAGAAGUAAAAAAUAUUCAACACCUUGAAAUGUACUAUUUAUGUAUUCGAAAUUUCUAAAGAUACCAUUAUAACACCUAGUCAUAUUCUCAAAAAAACUAAAAAAAAAAAAAUUGCCAUUAACAUGUUAGAAUAUGGUAGUGAAUUUUUUGCAAAAAGAUGAUUUCGUCUUUGUAAUUUAAUGAUGUAAAACAUUUUUCAGCAUGGGCUAGAUAAGGUAAGUAUUGGCAGAUUUAUGUGUAUAAUAUAUUGUUUGAAUCUCUUGACGAGGGGGACAAUAGUUAUUGCAAAUGCAUUGACAAAUUUUGUGGUUCAGUGCCUCAAAAAAAUGUUCGAAUAUUUUAAAAAGAUUUCAUAAAUUUUUGAGGUAUUACAUGAAAGAAUUUGACAAAAAACUUUGUUAUGUUUUUUUAUCUCUCCCAUUAGAAACUUCAAAAUAGUAUAUUAUACACUCAAAUCUAACAUCAAAUACAUAGCAAACAACAACUUCAAAAGCAAAAUUCCUGAAAGCAACUUCUAUAUCUUCAUCAACCAACGACUUCAAAAGCAUCCCAUGAUUUUUGUUGGUAAUUUAUAGUUUCAUGACUGCAUAUUUUUAUUGAGUGAAGCCUUGCUUUAAAAACCCAUUCCACGAUCCCAGUCCCACCACGCACUUUGGAUAAAAUUAAAUUUAUUAGAAUAAUUAGAAUCAUUAGAAGAGGAAAUAUGUUUGUGUACUUCGGACUACAUAUAGUUCCUGAACGGUGGGAUUUUCUUCCAUGUCAAAACAAUGGAUUUAAUUAAAGUGCAUUUGAAAUCCACUAAGCAUAUUCUUCUAAUCUUCUCUUCAUUAUUUUGUUUUUACUUUUUUUUAUCCCAUUUUUAGACAAUAUAGAUGUAUAUGUUUGAUCAGUUCUGGUCGGUUAUAUAUACAUAUGUGUUGAUGCAGAAAUCUGGUUGUCUUGCAGGGCUGACCAGGUUGUCUCGUCAACGUGUAUAUUAGCUCUGGUUAAAGCACUUGAAUUCUCGUUCCUUCUGCAAUCAAACGAAUUCAGCAAUCUUAAUCAACCUCGCUCCUUCCUCGUAACAUGUACUCACAGAAAUAGAUCAAGGGUGCCAGUGGUUUUUCCGGCAAAGACCCUUCGAUACUUAAGUCAGUACGUAGGAUUUCGGGAAAAACUUUAGAUUUUAAAUCAAUGCAAGCUAAUUGUUGUUAAGUGGCAGAAAGACUUGCAAGGGUUUUUUUUGUAGAAAAUGAGUUCUGAAUUCAAAAUGACAAAGUCUCCCCUUCUUUUUUGUUUUUUCUCUCAUUUCUUCCGUCUUUUUUCUGGAUUUUAUAGGCAGCCGCUCAUUGUGUCUAGAACAUUCUCCCACGUUCUCCAUAUUCGGGCAAUCAUGGAUCACAUGGACUGCGAAGACCGUGCGUUGGUUAUCGUACCUCCCCAAAUGGUUUGGACGUGGCGAAACUGCUGCGUUGAUGCGGGAUCGUGCCCGCUUUUUAAGUAACAAUACUCUGGUCGGCCUACUGCUAUACUCUAAAGAGUGCUCUGACACUAGGAUAUCUGCUCAUAAUCGACGAGGUCGAGGACAUUCCCCCUCAGCCAGAUAAACAAGAACAUGCAUGGUUGGUGCUCUUUUAAUCACCCUAACAAUAUGUACUUUUGGACUGUCAUGGGACUGUACCACUUGGAAAUAUCACAUUUUAUUUCCCAAUGCGAUAUAUUUUCUUCUCCAUUGAAGGUUCGCUGAAUGCUAUUAACCAAAAAAUGCAACAUUCUUUUUUGUUUAUAAAUUGGGAUUAUUUGCUUCUGGCUGUCAUUGACUCAUUGACCAUCAGCAUUAUAGCAUUAGGUAGUGCCAGCUCUUUUCAUUUUUGUCUUUGUCUUCUCUAAUUCGAUCUACAAACCCAUAUUCCGAUGAAUUCCUUUUCCAUCUCCUCUCCAUUGUUUGGCUUCAAUAUUUUGGAUUUGUAUGGAAUCACAAUUUCUCACCCGUUGUCAUGCAAAGUUUCGAAUACAUUAUUAUAUAAAAGUGUAAAGUUCAAAAAAUUAAAAUAAAAUUUAAUAAUAUUUUAUAACAAUUAUAUUUUAUAUCACCCAAUUUUUGACAAAAACUCAAGUAGAUAUCACAAGCAACGCCGCAUUAACAUUUGAAUUUUUCUGCUUCUGUACCCAACUUUCAGCCAGAGUUAAAGUAAUAACUUUUAAUUACUUUAUGGAAAAAUAAUAAUAAUAUAGAUCAAUGAGUCCCAUCGACAUUUUCUUACCUCUUUAUUAAAUUUUCUGCGUAUUUAUUUUGCAUCAACCUUAGCAUGGUAUGUGAAAAAUUUCUGCAUAUUUAUUUUGUCCUACAGAGACGAUAAUUUGGAAUUCACAUACAGAACAUAAGGCAGCUUCCAAGAAAUUAGUGGGUGAACUUCAAAAUGAGAGAAGAAAUUAAAAUUGUUGGGCCACCAUCAUGAAGUUUUAAAUUUUUUAGACCACAAUCUUGUUAGCCUAAAGGGUUACACAUAUUGUAAUUUUGAUGAUAAUAAACAUGUGUCUUAAGUAAAUUGAUAAAUAUUGUAUUUCACAUUUCACUGGUUCUUGAAGGAUAAUAUUUACGAUGAAGUGAAUCACGUGAAAUCAAGUUCAAGACACUCAAUGAACAACGGCACGAUCAAGAAUAAAGUUUAGAGCUCAACAAACUCAUUAUUGUGAAAAUUCUUAUAAAACCAGUAUGAUUUAAUAUAUUAAUAGUUUAGCAUUUGAGAAACUUAAGAUUUUGUUUAAUAAAUUAUUAUUUUUUCAUAAAUCAAAAGUUUUGCAAGUAUAAGCUAAGUAUUUGAUAAAGUUAGUUAUUUUUCAAGAUGUGGACUAAAUUGAAAAAGUUUUGCAAUCUUUGAUUUUAAAAAGUAUUGUUUUGAAUUUCGGAGUUGGACUUAUUUGCAAACAUUUGAAACUUUUUAGGUCAUUCUAUAGUUUCUAAAAGUUUUGGGAUCAAAGUAUAAGUAUUGAAAAUGGACAAAGAGUUAGCGGCUAACCGCCUGAGGGCUAGCAGCUAGCCGCCUGAGGAAAACUUCACACAAUUUCAUAUUUUGGAAUAAAUUAAAAAAAUUUUUAAAACUUUGAAAUUUAUAAGUAUUAUGUUAAAUUUUGAAAAAGACUAUUUUGAAAAUUAUUAUCAUGUAUUGGGCCAUAUCACAAUUUCAAAAAGUUUUGGAAAUAACAAGUAUUUUUUAGAAAUUUUGAAGUUGGAUAUGUUUGCAAAGUUUUAUGACAUUUUGGGCCAUAGGAUAAUUAUAGAAAGUUUGGGCACAAAUGUAAUUUCGUGAACAAUUUUAUUGUAGCAAAAUUCAAAUUUAACGGUAACUUUACUGUUCUGAAGCGGUGUGCCGAAUAAAUUAAGCGACUAGCCGCUUGCUCACUGGAAUUUGCCCAUAACGGCUAGUGUUCGGGCUUUAGCUAUAAAAACUCAACUCUAACUUCAAUUUUAAAACUUUUGCAAGCAUAAACAAAUGCAUAAAACAUAUAUUGAACUUUCAUUUCGCAAAUCAUCUCAUAUUGAAUCAUCAUUGUGCUAUUAUUUGUAGAUCCACUCUAAAAGAGAGUUGUUUGUUAUAUUCUUCAUUUUUCUCAUCAAAUUUGUGAGUGUAUAAUUGUGAAGAACACUUGUGUGAAGAGACUGAGAGAUAAUCUCUUGGUUGUAAAGGUUUAUUGACACCUUGAAAAUCAAUUGUAAUGAACUUGAAGCCUUGGGAGGCUUGGAUAGUGAAAUUUUCGAGCUUGGUUGGCUUGUAGGCGUGGACAUAGGCAGAGAUUGCCGAACCACGUAAAAAUUAUUGUGUUUGCUCUCUCUUCCCUUACUUUUAUUAUUGUGUUUUAUUCAAUUUAUUGUUUUUUAUUUGAUUAAGGGAAUAGAUUAAAUUAUUGUGCGAAUUGUAUUGCAUAAGUUUAAAAAUCUCAAUUCACCCUCCCUCUUGGGUUGCAUAACUUGCAUUUCAAAUCUGCCUUUGUCUUUUCAUUUGAUUGCAAGCUACUUGACGACAUUGACUGAUCAUUGACCAUUUGGUGCGGUCUUCUCUUCGUCUUCUACUUCAACUUCUUGUCAUCAAAUUAAACAGUCAUUGCCACUUGGCCAAACCACUACCCUCAAAGUUAAGCAUGACUAUGAGGGUAGUGGUUCGAGUUCUCAUGCGCUCAACCUCCAUCAAUUAAAUUUGAUUGUGUAGAGUUUAUUUAUAAGUCUUUCUCUCUUGUAAAACCCGAGUGGAGUAGAGACAUCCCUCAUCUGUGAGGGUUAUUUGUCUGGACAUGUACUUUAUAAAAUUUAAUAUAAUAAUAUAAGUCUCAGUUAUAUAUCUGAUUGUAAAUAUUAGUGUAAUGAUCUACUGUUAUAGCAGUUGUAAAUAUCUGUGUAAUACAGUAAUCUGAUGUCUAAUCACAAUUAAAAAAAAAUUAAACAGUCAUUCUACGUAUCUUCAUUGAAAUUAUUUGUUGCGACAAUCCCAUUAUAUACGGAAAAUAUCAAUCACAUAAUGCAUACACGGAUAAGUCAAUGUUUAUGGGGAAAGAUAAAAACUAUAUUUCACUACUAAAAUAGGAAAUACAAAUAUUGAAAUAUUUGUCUCACAGUCCAAAUUCUUAAUACAAUCGAGUUCUAAUAUCACACGAGAACAUUUUAGCUAUCUCAAUUACUAAAGAAUUGCUUCUCAUAAACGCACGUUAAGUUUUCAAAUUGUUGGAGAACUUUUCUCACGCUGGCUCAUGGAUUUUGCAUCCAAUUUAUAGGCAAAUCUAGAUUUCAAUUGUCAAGAAUAAAGGAACAAAGUCCGCUCUAAUAUCUCGCAAUUAGAGCAUGCAAAUCUCCAAAUUCUAGGCUUGGUUAAAACGUGAACAAAGAGCGUGGCUUGUUUCCAAUUGCACGAUAUAAAAAUUAGAUGACUCAAUGUAUCGGCUUUGACUGUGAUUUGAGAGAUGAAAUCACAAAUCUAAAUGUCGGUAAUAAAAGAAAUUUUCUUGUCAAAAUCUCUGAAAAAUACGCCAAAAUUUCCGGGGAAAAUUAUGAUUUUUUGUCCUCCACACCCAGGGAGGCUCAGGGAAAUAAAGUAAUUGUGAAUAUGAGUCUAUUGAAAAAUAUGCUGCUAGAUUAAUUGGUCUUUUAUUUUAUUUUUAUUUUUAUUAUUUUCUUUAGUGACGGUGGCGAAUAGUAUUUACACCUUUUUUAUUAUUAAUUUUUAGCUAUCAUUCACUAUUUCUUUCUUUUGGGAAAAACGCGGUUCAGCAAUAACCAUAAAGCUGCAUUUUAAGGCCCCACUCUUUAGCAAAAUCAUUAUGGAUGGUGCACAAGAGUAAUAGAGUGUUUAGACCAUGACUAUAUUUAGUGUGCAAAUAACCCAAUGUUAUAAGAGCUGUGAAUAUUUUUGUUUUGAGGGGGGUAAUAUUAAUUUAAGAAGGGAAAUUAUCAUUGAAUCACUUGUCUUUUCCCUUAUAUUCAUCCAACCACCACAAAAUUAUAACAUGUUCUUUACACCACUUUUCUUUUUAAAUUUAUAUUAAUUAACCACUUUUGCACUAACACUGUUAAAUAAUUUAAAUGAAAUGAUAAAUUUACCCCUAAAAAAUUAAAAGAUCAUUUUUAUUUUAUAAAAACUUUGAAAAUAAAAAUUAUAAUUAUAAAAAUACCCUAAAUUUAAUAAAAAUAAAUCCCAAAAUUAGAAUUUUUAUUUUUUAAUAAAAAAUUACAAUCAUAAAAAUAAUUCCAAAAUUUUGGGAUUUAAUAAAAAUCCCUUAAAUUAUUAAAAUUUUGGGAUUUAUUUUUAAAUAAAUAAAUUCAAUUGUUUUUUUAAAAUAUUACAAAAUUAUAAUUUUUAAUAAAAAUAAUAUAAAAUUGUGAGAUUUAAUAAAAAUCAGCUGAGCACCUCUAUUUAGGAUUUAUUUUUUUUUAAAAUUUAGGGUUUUUUUAUAAUUAUAAUUUUUUUUAUUUUUCAAAGCUUUUAUAAAAUAAAAUAAUUAUUUAAUUUAUUUAGGGGUAAAAUUGUCAUUGUAUUGAAAUUAUUUAACGGUGUUAGUGCAAAAGUGGCUAAUUGAUAAAAAUUUAAAAAGAAAGGUGGUGUAAAGAACAUGUUAGAAUUUUAUGUUGGUUGGAUGAACAUAAGGCAAAAAAGAGGUGGUGCUAUGAUAAUUUCUCAUUUAAGAAUUUAACUUAAAUCUAGACAUUAAAGUAUGACCAUUUAUUUCAUUCAAUCAAUUAACCCACGAAUUUAGGGUCAGACCCUUGGAUUUUUUGUUGAUUGGAGAGACUAAAAUUGAGUGGGAAGGUAAAGCAAUGGAGGAAUAGAAAAGAUCUUUGACAAACAUCGAUGAACAGAAGUGCAGAUGAACAGUGGGCAUGAUUUAAUAUUGAAUUACAGAUAUGUUGGCCUUACCGAAUAUGUUGUUGACAAAACAAUGGAGUCUUGAUUUCUUUGGGAUGAAUAUAAUUUCUGAGAAUGGGGAUGAAUUCUUUUAUUUUUCCAAUUUAGGUUAGAAAUUGUUAUUAUUAGUAUAAUCUUUGAGGAAUGAGGAAAAACGGUCGGUAUUCUUUCUCUUUUUCUUUAUUAAGUUUUAAUAUGUCAUCUCUUCUUUUUGUUUUUUGAAUCUUAUUUUAAUAAAGUUUUACUGUCACACAAUCAAUUAUCACAAAUAUAAGAUUGAAUUAAAUAAACCUUUAAUUUUUGAUGCUUAGAUUACAAUCAAAUUCUUAAGGUAAAAUAUGCCCUCUCGUUUGUUUUUUAUCUAAAAAAAAAUUGGUACUGAAAAAUAAAUAAUUUUAUUUUUACUGGAAAAUAAUAUUUUUAGUCUUCUAAUUUGUUCAUUUUAAAAGUAACUCAUUCACUACUUUGCAAAAUCAAAAUUUCCUAUGGCAAUGAACUGAUUUUACAAGAAGUAAUUUAAAAAGUUUUUAUCAAACACUUAAAUUAAUCAUUAGCUUUUUAAUAUCACUUUUGAACAUCCCAACAAUAAUCUCAAAUUGGUCAUAAAUUAUUUCAUUUUCUAGAUAAUAAACGUAAAAUGAUUGAAAUAAUUUUUAUAUCAAAAUUAAAAAUAAUUUUAUUAGUUGUAUCAAAUUAAUAUUAUUUAGAUAUAUUUAUAUUUAAUUAUUAUAUUAGUAAAUUCUCAAAUAAUAAAAAUAUUAUUUUUAUUCAUAAUAAGACAAAUUUAGAGAAAAAUUAGAUGGUGUUUGUUAGGAAACUUAAGAGAAAAAUUAAUAUGGAACUGUCCCACCACUUGGGAUUCUUUCACGUAGCCUUUCAAUGGAUCUCAUUGAAUUUUAUUUUGAAAAAUCAAUUGAUAAUACUGGGAUGGUAUAGCCUGGUAGGGUAACACUUUAAGCGAUCCCUUUAGCCGUUUUAGUUGUCAUACACGAAUUAUUUCUUCACUUGAAAUAAAAGUCAACGAAGCUGCAUCUUCACUGAAAUUGUUGUCGACAGUGCUUCUUGGAAAAUGAGAUAAAAAUAAUUUUAAAAAAACUUCCAAGAAGAUUCCAAGAUUAAUAAUUAUUUAAAUUUACUCAUAAUAAAUUACUUUUAAUAAUAAUAAUUUAUAUCAUGAGUAUAUCUAUUAUAAAAUUAUAUGAAUAUAAGUGCAUAAAAUAAUUGUUUAGAGUAUAAAUAAUUUCGUCUAAUUGAUAAUCCUCCCUAAUCAAAUACAAUUUGUUAAUGCAAAGAGUUAAGACUUCUGUGACUUUUGUGCAGAUUGACUUAAGUUUGAGGAUCAAUGUGCAAUUUCGUUGCUGAUGUGUCUAAAAGUUCGUUAUGUUUGUUGGGCUGCUUAUGGAAAUCUUCAGUUUUAGCUUUAUAAACAGAGCUGAUGCGUAACAUCUGAUAUGUGUUACUUUUCUCUCUCGUUUACCAUCCAAUUUGUGUGAUUCUGAGUUCUUUGUAAAGCUUGUGAUUUCCUUUACAAGAUUUGACAGAUUUGUAAUCGAUUUGAGUAAUAAAAUAGUGCUAGUUUUCCCUUUGAGUUGGGUUGUCUGGUGUUUGUGUUCAAGAUCUGGUUUCUGAUCUUGUAAGUGGGUUCUCGGUUUUUGCUUCAUUCUUGGAGAUUCUUUUUGGCUUCUGUUGUGUUCAAACUCAACAAGUGGUAUCAGAGCCCUAGGGGGAUCGCAACAAUGUCACUUCCAAAGCCCGAGAUUGAGAAAUUCACCAUUGGUGGUGAUUUCUCACUUUGGAAGAUGAAAAUGAGAGCUCUCCUUGUUCACCAAAAAUUGGAGUCAGCCUUAGAGGAAGAAGAUCCAGAAACUCUUGGCAGUUCGAGAUCUGAUGAAAAGAUGAAGUAGAUUCACAAUAAAGGCCAUAGUACCUUAAUCUUGAGUCUAAGUGACUCAAGCUUGAGAGAAAUCUUAGAUGAGAAAACAGCUCUGGGCAUCUGGAACAAAGUGGAGGCUUUGUGCAUGAAGAAGUCACUUGCCCACAGACUAUUCUUAAAGAAGAGGCUGUAUACCUUUUCUAUGAAAGAAGGUGUGUCAAUACAGGAGCACAUUGAUGUGUUUAACAAGAUUAUUCUUGAUCAAGAAAGAGUGGAAAACAUCAAGAUUGGUGAUGAAGAUAAGACUUUCUUCUUGAUGAGUUCACUGCCAAAAUCCUAUGAGAGGUUUGUAGACACCAUGCUAUAUGGGAGAACAACUCUCACACUAGAAGAUGUGAAGGCCUCCUUAUGUUCAAAAGAAAUACAAAGGCACUCUAGGGAUCUGGAUCAAAACCCUGGUGAAGGGUUGGUGGCAAAAGUUGAAAAGAAGAAAGAUAAAAAGAAAAAGAAGAACAAGAAUUAGUCUAAGAAAGAGGAUACUGAGAAAGAGAAGAUGAAAAGAAGAAAAUGUUUUUGCUGUAAGAAGACUGGCCAUUACAUCAAGACUGGGCUGAGAAGAAGAGAGACAACAAAGAAAAAUUAGGAGGUGCUGCUGUAGCAUCUGAGGAAUCUUCUGAUGGAGGCUAUCAAAGUGCAGACUUGCUGGUGGCAUCGAAUGGAAAGAUUAAAGGUUAGUGGGUACUAGACUCUGGUUGUUCUUUCCAUAUGAGUCCUGAUAAAACCCUUUUUUCAUGAGUAUGAAACUAUAGAUGGAGGUAGGGUCUUAAUGGGAAACCACAAUGCCUGUAAAAUUGUGGGUAUUGGUUCUGUUAAAAUCAGAAUGUAUGAUGGAACCACAAAGACCCUAGAGCAUGUUAGGCAUGUACCAAGAUUAAAGAAGAAUUUGAUAUCCUUAAGCAUGUUAGAUAACUCAGGCUAUAUCUUUUAGUCUUACCAUGGGGGCUUGAAGAUAAGGAAAAACUCUAGUAUAGUAAUGAAGGGAGUCAAGAAAAAUGGACUGUAUAUGCUGGAAGGGUCAUCAGUACCUGUGUUGUUUGCAUUGCAUGUUGUUUCUAAUGUAGAUAAAGCCAAACUAUGGCAUCUAAGACUUGGGCACAUGAGUGCCAAAGGCUUACAAGAACUAAGUAAAAAGGGGUUAUUAUGUGGAGAUAAGGUUGAAGAGCUGAAGUUAUGUGAAAAUUGUAUUUUUGGGAAGGCUCACAGAAUGAAAUUUGAAAGAAGAAUGCAUAAAUCCAAAGCUGUAUUUGAUUAUGCACAUUCUUAUCUAUGGGGGCUUGCUCAAGUGCCAUCUCUAAGUGGUGGCAGAUACAUUGUAACAUUCAUAGAUGAUUUUUCAAGGAAAGUCUGGUUAUACAUUCUCAAGACUAAAGAUCAAGCUUUUAAGAAAUUCAAAAUAUGGAGAGCUUUGGUUGAGAAUUAGUCUAAAAUGAAGCUGAAAGCAUUAAGGACUGAUAAUGGACUCGAAUUUUGCAAUAAAGAGUUUGAUGAGUACUGUCAAAAACAUGGAAUCACGAGACACAAGACUAUCAGGUUCACCCCUCAGCAAAAUGGAUUAGCUGAGAGGAUGAACAAAACCCUCAUUGAUAAGACAAGAUGUCUACUUAUAAACUCCAAGUUACCAAGAAGUUUGUGGGCUGAAGCUGUAACUAUAGCCUGUUACUUGGUUAACAGAAGUCCCUCUGCAGCUCUUAAGUUUAAGACUCCUGAAGAAGUCUGGACUGGGGUACCUACAGACGACAAACAUCUGAGAAUCUUUAGAAGUGUAGCCUAUGUGCGUGUCAAGCAAGGGAAGCUAGAUUCAAGGGCUCUAAAAGGGGUGUUUGUGGGAUAUUCUUAGGGAGUUAAAUGGUAUAAGGUGUGGUGUGGUGCCACUCAUAAAUGUAUCAUCAGUAGAGAUGUUACAUUUCAUGAGGAAGCUAUGCUGGAGGAUAAAGAUAGGACUGUCUUUGACUUCAGUCAUUAUACUGAUGAACCAAUGAAGGAAGCUGCAGUAGUGAAAGAUUUCAGAAUUGAGGUGGAGUCAACCAAUAGCAGUGACAAAGGGGAUCAAGAUGUGGGUGCUACAGAAGACUUUUAAGAAAGGUCUGAAGUGGAUGUUUCAAGAACUUCAGAGUUUGAGCUGCAUGAUUAUCAGCUAGCAAGGGACAGAGCAAGAAGGGAGACAAAACCACCCUCCAGAUAUGCAUAUGCUGGGAUGAUAGCUUAUGCUCUUAACAGUGCAGAGAAUAUAGCUAUUGAAGAACCAGCAAGUUAUAGAGAAGCUGUGAAAGGUAGUGACAAUAGCAACUGGAUCAAAGCCAUGGAAGAAGAAAUGGAUUCCUUAAUUAAGAACAAGACUUGAACUCUUGUUCCAAAUCCAGGCAACAGAAGGUUGGUAAGCUAUAAGUGGAUUUUUAAAAGAAAAGAGGGAAUUCCAGGAGCUGAAGCUUCAAGAUUCAAGGCUAGAUUGGUUGCUAGAGGUUUCACACAGAAGGAAGGUGUAGAUUUCACUAAGGUUUUUUCACAUGUGGUUAAACAUAACUCCAUAAGGAUGCUAUUGUCAAUGGUAGCUCUAACUGAUAUGGAGCUUGACCAGAUGGAUGUGAAGACAACUUUUCUACAUGGGAAGCUUGAGGAAGAAAUCCUGAUGACAUAACCAGUGGGUUUUGAGGUCAAAGGGAAGGAAGAUUAUGUUUGUCACUUAAACAAGUCUCUCUAUGGACUAAAACAGUCUCCAAGACAAUAGUACAGGAGAUUUGAUGGGUUCAUGAUCUCCAAUGGUUAUCUCAGAAGUAAAUAUGAUAGUUGUGUUUACUUUGGAAGCUCAAGUUCAGGUGGAGCUGUUUACCUUAUGUUGUAUGUUGAUGAUAUGUUACUUGCUACCAAAGAUAGAAGUGAGAUUAAGAAGCUCAAAGACCUGUUAAAUGCAGAAUUUGAAAUGAAGGAUUUGGGAUGUGCUAAGAGGAUACUUGGGAUGGACAUUAUAAGGGAUAGAGCUGCUGGAACUCUAUUUGUCAGUCAAGAGAGGUACAUUCUAAAGGUCCUUGACAAAUUUGAUAUGUUGGAUGCAAAGUCUGUUCAGACUUCAUUAGGAUCUUAGUUCAAACUUUCAAAGGUGCAAGCUCCUGUCACAAAUCAAGAUAAGUUUAUGAUGAUGAAGUACCAUAUGCACAGGCAGUUGGGUGCCUCAUGUACGCAAUGGUAUGUAUUAGGGUUGAUAUUGCCUAUGCUGUUAGUCUUGUUAGCAGAUUCAUGAGUGAUCCUGGAAAGGAGCACUGGGAUAUUGUGAAAUGGAUUUUGAGAUACCUUAAAGGUACUCUUAAUCAUGGUUUGAUGUAUGGGAGGUCUAAGUAGGGUGAGAAUAGUGUAGUGGGAUAUGUAUAUUCUGAUUUUGCAGGUGAUUUGGAUGGGAGGAAAUCAAUCUCAGGCUACUUAUUCAUGGUGAAUGGCUGUCUGAUCAGUUGGAAAGCAACUCUCCAACCUGUGGUUACUUUGUCUUCUACAGAGGCUGAGUUUGUUGCUGCAACAGAGGUAGUAAAAGAGGGAAAGUGGCUUAGUGGGAUUUUGAAUGAACUUUUGUUAAGACAAAAGACUUUCACCAUCUUCUGUGAUAAUUAAAGUGCCAUCCGCCUCAUUAAGAAUCAAGUCUAUCAUGAGAGGACUAAGCACAUUGAUGUUAGGCUCCAUUUUAUCAGAGAUGAAGUAUCUAAAGGUGUUGUGUCAGUGUCUAAAACACACAUUGAUGUAAAUCUUGCUGAUGUACUUACAAAAGUAGUUCCCACUGCUAAGUUCAGGUUUUGUGUAAACUUGAUGGGAGUCUUGGCAAACUCACAAUGAUUACUUUGUGUAAUCGAGGGUUAAGCUGUGUGCUUUUUUGUAGUAGCUUUUAUGGUCAAGAAUCAAAAUGAAUCAAGUCUUCAAGGUGGAGAUUGUGGAGAAUCAGAUUCUGUUUUAGGGGGUUAAAUGCAAAGAGUUAAGACUUAUGUGACUUUUAUGCAUAUUGACUUAAGUUUGAGGAUCAGUGUGCAAUUUCGUUGCUGACGUGUCUAAAAGUUCGUUAUGUUUGUUGGGCUGCUUCUGGAAAUCUUCAAUUUUAGCUUUAUAAACAGAGCUUAUGCGUAACAUCUGAUAUGUGUUACUUUUCUCUCUCGUUUACCAUCCAAUUCGUGUGAUUCUGAGUUCUUUGUAAAGCUUGUGAUUUCCUUUACAAGAUUUGACAGAUUUGUAAUCGAUUUGAGUAAUAAAAGAGUGCUAGUUUUCCCUUUGAGUUGGGUUGUCUGGUGUUUGUGUUCAAGAUCUGGUUUCUGAUCUUGUAAGUGGGUUCUCGGUUUUUGCUUCAUUCUUGGAGAUUCUUUUUGGCUUCUGUUGUGUUCAAACUCAAUAGUUAAUAGGGCAUGAGUCACUGCCCCCUUGAGAAUUGAGCACAGAAGCAUUUACUAUUUUCUAUGGUGGAUUGUUGGGAAAUUUACACCCUUUCCACCUUUUUAGCUGCAUUUACUCUUUUCUUUCUUCACUUGAUAUGAAAGUCAAGAAGAAAGCUGCGUCUUCGAUGAAAUUAAUUCGUCCACGGGGCCUCGAAAAUGAGAUGAAAUUAAUAAUUAUCCCUGAAACUUUCAGGAAAAUUUUUGUAGAGCGAGGAAUAUAUUUUAUUUCAUAUAUUUACUUCUCCAUUGAAGAUUCUGCUACAAUGAUCAAUGAUGCAACUUCUUGAACUAUUUCUGAGAUGGAAGGAUGCCAAACAGUUCAGUUGGUGUCCGAAUUGUAUGAUUUUUUUUCGACAGUUCAAUUGUUGUCUUAUUAUUAUAAAUCUCUCCUUUGAUUGCCUUAAAUAUUUAUGGAAUAUUUUUGAAAAGUAAAGAUUUGUUCAUAAAUUAUUUUGUUAGAGCUCAUGUUUUAACGGAAAAGACUGCAACAGAAUUUCUAUUGCCAAUGGUUAUGAUCCGACAAAUUUGAAAUGAUCCAACUAGAUGGGCUUGAUUCGUUAGUCUAUUAACCUUGGAUGCAUUUGAUCUAUAACAAUACCUGUGGUACGUCAUUGACUGGAAUCAUUUGCAUUCAUAGUCAUUCACUAGAAUCAUUUGAAUGCCACUAUACUGCUUUCCGAUUCUCUAGGGGUAACCUUGCUGUUGCUUGUGUUGGAAUAAGCCGAGAUUCAUGGGGGUGGAUGAAGUUUUGAACAUCAAACUCUUUCUUGGCUAAGUGUCAUGGUCUUCUAGCUUAUGCUGCAUUGGCUUGUUCAUUUUGUUCCUUGGACUGCAUUCGGAGGAAUAAAUGCCUGAAUUCAAUAUGAGCAAAGUUAAGAGUAGAUAAUAUACAUCAUACAUUGUCUGGAUGGAAAAUUGUAGAUUCCAAUUUGUGUGACAAGUCUCUGAUUGCUAAAAUAGUAUUAACUAGGGUUGGUCCCAGAUUUGUAUCAUGACAUUGUCUUUAACCUUCAUUACUUUUUCAUCAAGCCAUAAAGUGCCUGCAUACAAGUUGAAAACCAGGAAACUUGCAACUGCUGCCCAAGACUAUAUACUGUUGUAGCAGAUAAUUAGCUAUUUAAUAAUUUUGGUAUAUCUCAUUAGUGUUUGUGGAAUGCCUUUGAAAUCCUUGCAUGCGUGCUUCAUAUCCCAGCAGUUUAUGGAUAAAGGCAUGUUAAUCCCCCUCUAGAUGAAAUUACUUAAUUGCUUAAAUGAGUUUUUUUUCACAAAUUUAUAUUUAGAAGUUUGUGACUAUUUUUUGUUGUCCAGGUUUCUUGUUGAAGAAAAGUGCAAAAACUAAUGGAUGGAGCAAGCGAUGGUUUGUUUUGAAUGAGAAGACUGGAAAGGUUUGUAACUAACAUUUUGUCCCAUACGCUUACAUUUUUUAGACAUGGAGUAGUAAUGCUAUUCAGAUGUUUUAAGUGCUUUUGGGCAUGGUAUCUAACCUUUGUUAAAUGAUUUUAGCGUUACAAAAUUUUUAAAAUGAGUUACAUUCUAGCCUCCAUUCUCUUAUUUUUUAUGUUUUUGCAUUAAAGAAAUAUAGGACAUUGUUAUGAUAGGCAUGAUUUAAUCUCAAUCAUCCUUUCUUUGACAGCUGGGCUACACUAAAAAGCAAGAGGAAAGGCAUUUUCUUGGUGUCAUUGCUUUGGAGGUAUGGAGAAUUACUACUAUGUUUCAGUUUUGGUAUUAUAUUAUUUAUUCUAUUGUCACAACCCUUUUUCACCAUUUUGUAGUUUAUUGCCAUCCUACUGGCUGGGCAGGAGUAAGUUGUAUAUAAACAGGCCUAUAAAUAACCUUUAUCAAUGAAGUUUGCCAUAUUACUGCAAUAGGAACACUUUCUAAGUUAAAAUGGAUAAAGAUGGCCAAUGAUAAAUUUAACAAGUUAACGGUUGCCUCACAUACUAACGAACUUCAAGUAAAAUAUUUUAAACUUUUUCUUAGUUUUACAAACUUCUAGUAAAAUAUUUUAAGCUUUUUCUUAGUUUUUUUUGGAUACAUGCUACCCAGUGUUCAUUCCUUUGGAUGUUACUUUCAAUAUUUUACCAAGUAGCUUCUGUUCGCUUCUGUUUUAAGCUAUUUUUCAUCUUAAUUCGCAAUAAUGUAUGUACAUUUUGUUGAGUAAUGAAAAGUACCAGCUCGGCCAUGCCCUCAUCUCUCACCCUGAGGCGAAUCUCCUCAGCUGAAUGGCACGAGAAGAGUCCUGGUGAAACAUCUUAUACAGGCAUGUGCCAACUAGAGACGAGCACCAACCAGAGAUAUAUACCGACCAUAGAUAUAUACCGGCCAGAUGCUCAUCACCCAAAGAAAGGGCACACGAUCUCACGAAAUCACGAAAGUUUCGCUAUGCCCCGAACCGUUGGGAAGAACAUGGCAUCCCGCGUUUACCCAUGGUCCAGUGGUUGGAGAGUCAUGAGGGUCUGCCAUCACCCGAAAAUGAGGGGCAUGAAGAAUACGUAGAAAUGUGGGACAACGACUAUAAGAAGCCAGGAGACCAAUGAAGAAGGAGAUAGGAAAAAUUGAGAGAAAAAGGGGAAACUCUUUCGAAUUAUUAUCAGAGAAUUUUAGACCCAAAUCCGUGAGAUAUUUUCGUAUUAGGAAUAUUAUAACUAAUCUAUACGACAUAAAUCAUACAAGUUUUCCCGUAAACACCUUGUGCUAACUUAAGCGUCGGAGGGUUUACGCCGGCAAAACCACCGGCGUCUCUGAUCGGUUUUUGUGAUCGCAGGAUUAGAGAGAAGGAAAAAGGGUGUUUCCAACCCCAGGAGCUUGGACAAUUGCUGGAGCAGACAAAGGGUAGCAUCCUCUCCAUUGAACAUACAAGCGUUAGUGGAACGAUCUGGUCGGGCAAAGGGCGAUCAGAUUUCAGCAUCAAUAUUUUGGCACCGUCUGUGGGGAGCUGGAUAAAAAGCUACCACCAAGUUAGUAGUCAUCAGAGGAGCAGCGAACAAUCAGCCAUGGAUGUGACAAGGAAGGAUGCCUUAGGGGGCGACAAUGAAACUGGUGAAACGAUCACUCUCCGAGAGAUCGCAAAUGAAGGUAGACAGAGGAUGAUGCAAGAUCGAAUGGAAUGGAUAGAGAAGCAAAUGGAGACUCUCACAGCUAUAUUACAUGAGCUAAGGGAUGAGCGGAGAAACGAUUGUGAGACCACCGUGGUGAGAGACGAAGCCGUGGCGGAACCUAGCCUACGAAGGCGUGGAAUCGAGGAGAUUUCUCCGCUGGUAGACCAACCCUAUAGGGUGCAUCCCCAUAGAAGUGUAGGUCGAAUCCCAGGAGAGUGCGUGGAUAGAGGGAAAGACCAGUCUCGCUCUGGGCGAGUUCUGGAAUUUGAUGGCCGAUGAGCGAAUAUUGAUGAAGGUGAGCUCAGACAGCGGCUGCAUAAUGCCGAGCAGGAGCGAGAUCAAAUAGCUGCACGCGAUCCUAACUGUGCUUUAGAAUUAGAGGGUGAGGUACGCAGGUUGGCGCAGGUGAUGGAUGAGAUUCAGGGCAAGAGAAAGCCUCCGAGCUGGAGGAUAAUGCUGGAUGAAGAAUCUCCACUAUCAGCCGAGAUCAUGGGUACCGUAAUCCCAAGAGAUUUCCGCUUUCAUGACCUCAAAUACUCCGGGAGAAGUGACCCGCUGGUGCAUAUUGAGUGUUUUAAUGACAUGAUGGGUGUACAGGGGCUAACACCAGCUCAGAGGUGCAGGGUGUUCCCAUUGACACUAGAGGGACGAGCCCGAGAAUGGUACCAUAAGCUGCCACGAGGAAGUAUAAAGGGAUAUGAGCAUAUGUGCCAAGAGUUGGCCGAGCAGUUCCGAGGAGCAGUAGCCCCAGAGGACGAUAUGAUGGAAUUAAUGGGGAUGAAGCAAGAGGAACACGAAUCCCUUCGGGAUUUUGUGAAAAGAUACCAUCGGGCCGUGCUUGAUCUGGGAGCUUUCAAUCACCCGCAGGGAUUGAUGGGAUUAAAAGAGAGUGUGAGGAUAGGCCGAUUGUGGUACAACUUGAAAAGUCCCAUCGUUCAGAAUUAUUCAGCGGGGUAUGAGCAUGCGAGGAGAGACAUCGAAAUUGAAGAGGAAAAAACGGCAAGAAUAAAGAGUGAGUAGCUAGAGGAGCUGAGACGAAAGGAAAAGAGAACCCUGAGUGGGAGCGGGUUGAGAAAGCGAGCUGGGGAACCAUCAGUAAUAGGAGGAAUAUCAGCUCGGUCUCGCCCCUAUCCCAUAACUCAAAGACCACAACAGUUCCAACACAGCCGAGCUUAGCCUCAACGCCCCCCAUUCCCGGAGCGGCAACGAGAGUUCCGGCAGAUGGCUAUCCAUCCUUAUCACAACGCUCCCAGGGCACUGCAUGCAGUUAACUCCAGGGCUGGUCGACCAAACCAGCUACCUACAAUACCAUCCCGGGACGAUAUUCACGAUAGCCGAGCGAUCCAACUGAUUGAUCAGAGCUUGGCAUAUAAACAGUACACCCCAUUGAAAGUCUCCAUGGCGUAUAAACAGUACCCUCCUGCCCCUAUAACCAAACCCGCUCACAAACGUGAUAAAAGCAGAUUAUGCAAAUUCCACGACACUCAUGGUCACACUAUCAGCCAGUGUCGUGACCUGAAGACUCAGGCGGAGGAUUUGGUGAGGAACCGGUACUUGGAUAAGUAUGUAGAUGGAGUGUCCCCUAUCAUUGAAUCACAAUAUACGCUGGAUGAUGGAGUUGAGAGGAGUCUAGAGCGUGAGCAGCCAACUAUCCAGGUGUUAGCAGGAGGGCCGACAUUGACUGGAAAUUCGAACAGAGCACGGAAGAAUUAUGGGAGAUAUACUCUGACCAGCAAAGAGGUGCUUUUCAAUUUGCCAACAGCCAAAAGGGCGAAAGUAAGGCAAGUUCCCAUUAUGUGGACAGAUGAUGAUGAAGAGGGUGUCUUAUAUCCAAAUGAGGAUGCACUGGUGAUUAAGGCGAUGGUGGCAGGUAAAGAAUUUCGGCGAAUACUGGUGGAUACGAGCAGCUCGGUCGACAUACUAUUUAAGUCGGCCCUAGACGAUAUGGGAAUUGUGGAUCUGAAAUUGGAACAGAAGAACACAUCCUUGAAGGGAUUUAGAGGAUGGUUGACCCCCAUGCGGAUCGUCAAGCUGCCGAUUACUGUAGGAACGAAACCAUUUGAAAAGACAGUGAUGCUGGACUUUGUAGUAGUGGAAGAGGUAAGUGUUAACUGUUGUGCAAAUUUUAAUGUACUCGCAAGCGCACGAAUCUAUUGUAGUAUAGAUCAAUGGUGACGAGUGUCGAUCCCACGAGGAGGUGGAUUUUAAUUGUGUGUAGAAUUAAUUUUGUAAAUGGGUGAUUGGAUUUGUGGUGGAAAUGAAUUGGAAUAUGCUAAAACUUAAAUUAAAAUGGCGAGAAUAAAUUCUAAAAUUGAAAUUGAAAUGACAAGAAUAAAUUGAAGAGAAUUCUAUUGAAAUGACGUACUUGGGUAUCUGGAUCCGUAUCAACAUGCAUCAUGCGCUAAAUAAUCCUUAUUAAUGCCAGUUAAAUCAUGAGGGGGGAAUCCACACCUCAUGAACCACGCUCUAAUCAAUAUGGUGCUAAGGGCUUAUCGUGCCAAAUAAUAAUAACCUUGUACUAGAGGGCCGGUGAAACCAAGGCGGUACUAGACAAUAUUAGUAUUAUUUGUCGACGAGAAGUCAAAAUAUCCACAAAAAUUAGAGGGGAAGAGAAAGUAAAUUUACCAAAUCAAGCCCAUGACACAUGUUGAGACUUCACCUUUAACCCAAGCUUGAAAGAAAAUUAGCCACUCAUAAUUGAACUAGGGGCAAAAUGGAAAUUUAUUAAAAUACGUAGAAAAUACAAGAUGGAGAAGGAAUUACAAAGAAUGGAUCCCAAAAAUGGAUUCAGAGAUAUCAAAUUAGGAGGGUGAGGCCCCCUUUUUAUAGAUACAUGGAGUAAAUCAUGGCCAUCGGAUUAAAAACAGUUUGGACGCUCAGGAUUGCGCCACGUCAUCAGUCAACAGUACGCGGUUUGACCACGCGGAUGAACAGUAACACGGUUUGACCCGGGUGAACAGUGACACGGUUUGGUUGAAAAUAAUCCUGUGUGAUGCAUGUACCGUACGCGAGAUUUUUCAUCCACUGAUAUGCUUCCACGUCACCAUCAACAGUACAUAAGAAUUUUAGCCCAACAGGAUCGUGACACCUCAUCAAUCAAUGCCACAUCAUCGGUCAAUGCCACGUCAUCGAUCCGUCUAUGUGAACAGUAACGUAGACAGUACCGUACACGUGAAUAGUGCCGUACAUGUGAAUAGUGCCAUUUUUCAUUUUAUGCUCCUCCUAAGGUUUUCGACCGUCCUGAGUUCAAAAGUGAUGUCCGUUUUGCCGUCUGAUCUCUUGUUUAUUGUGAAAUGACCAUGAUGCCCCUAAAAUACAUAAAAUAUUUAAUUAAAAUCAAACAUACAUAAUUAAAUUGCAAGAAGCUUAAAUACAUAAAAGUAAGGGUUGUUAGUAAAACUUGAAAUGUAAAAUGAUGAUUUUCUCCUUUAUAAAUAUACAUUUUCUAACACUCAACACACCCCCCAACCAGCUUAUUGCUAGUCCCUAGCAAAUAAAGCGAAAACGAAAUUCAAAUCCAAAAUGAUUUUUUUUUUAAUAGAAACACUCGUGUUUAUUCAAUCAGAUUAAUGAUAGCAAUCAAAUAAAAGUAUAAGCAUUAUCUCUAGUCUAAAGAAACAUCACACCCACAUAACCAUCCACAUGAAUCAGCCCAGUAGACUUUGUUAUAGCUACUUUCAAGAAUGACAUGUUAAACCCCAAAAUCUCACUGGAAGUAGUGACACUCUCACAAAGAAAUUAAACCCAAUAAAAAUAGUCACUCCAAUGAAUGGUAAUUGAGAGAAAAUAAUAAAGAAGUGAUAUCACAUGCUCUCACCAAGAUGAAAGAAAUAUGCCCUCAGCUUAGAAAUAAUAUGAUCUCAAGUCAAACAAAAAUGAUAGUCAACUCAUUUUAUUUAUCUCUUGUUCUUUUAUUAAUAUGCACCACUACAUCUUUUUAGCUCAUAUAACUAGCUUCUACUUCAAACUAUAGUUCCCUAAAAUCAAGAAGGACUUUAAUUAGGACGUAACGUAGGCUAGGGAUAUGGCUAACAAAGAAAGGAAAUAAGGAAAACAAAGUGUAUGUCUGAGAAAAAUGCAGAGAAAUUUUUUUAUUUUUUUUUAUUUUUUGGAAGUUGCAAGGUGGAUUUCACCUAUUAUUGUUAUUUUUAUUCUUUUGAAACAAUAACUUUUGUUUUUUUUUUGUUUUUUUUUUUGCUUUUAUUUGGCAUAACUUCAUUGAACAACAUAAUUAUUUACAUUUUCUCAAACAUAAAUAGGUGAUGGAACUUAGAAGACAUCGGGUAAUACUCCAAAUCGGAGUGGGUCAAGAUGAUAAGUUGACAAAGAAAAUGUUUUUUUUUUUUUUUUUUAAAGGUUCAAAUGGGGUAACUAUGGAUAUUUAAUAAAAGGAAUGGCUAGAAAGGCUCAAACGAAUCAAAGAUGGCCUUUCCAUCGUCUUUAGGGCUCUAAAUAAUUAUCCAUAUCUACUAGUUAGAUGGGUCUCCCAAUGUAGCAACACACAUUUUUUUUUUAAUUUUACCAUUUUUUUUAAGGGUUAACUCAAAAGAAAUCUAGAGAUCGUGUAUAAAAUAAUAAAUUGCUAAGCUGUAUAAAGAAUGGGCAAAAGGGUUACUCUCCAAGAAAAAUGAUAGGCUCAAAAACUCACUUGGCACUUAUUUAUGACAUGUUCAUUCCUUCAAGCAACUCAUAUUUGUCUCCGACAUCAACAUGUAAAGUAGCAAAUAUAGCGUAACAUCACUUAAGACCAAAGAUAAUACAAAUACUAAAAUUUGAAAUUAAUCAUGUCAUCCAAUGUUAAAACAAAUCACACAAAUUUUUUUUUUUUUUAAACAACAUUCUACCCCCCAACCUAUUCUAAACAUGAAAGGAAAAUAUGCAUGCAGAAAUGUGAAAAUGAUGUAGAAAAAUUAAUUAGAAAAAGAAAUUUUUUUUUUUAACUAAGAAGAUGCGUUUCUAGAGGCACUACACUCUAUAUUCAGCCAUCUUCGACUGAAAAAUUUGAAAAUAUAUAUUUAUAAAGGAGAAAGAGGAAGAAAACGGUUUUUUUUUUUUAUUUUUUUUUUAAACGAUGAAGAUGCGUUUCUAGAGUAACUACACUCCAUAUUCAGCCAUCUUCAACACAAAACGUUAGCAACAUUUAGUUUCUACAAUAAAAAAUCAGUAAAAACUUAACCAAGAUUCCACAAUUGUCGACUAGUCCCUCCCCCCAACCAGAACGAAACAUUGUCCUCAAUGUUUUAAAGGAAAGAAGUAGAGUUUAGAAGACAUCACCUGGAUGGUGCAACACAGAAGAAAAUAUUUACAGGCGGAGAGUUAAAUCUAAUUUGUACUUCUUACUGUGGCUACUGUUACCAUCAUUAUUUGGUCGCUCUAACACAAAGGUCCAGGGGUCUGGCUCCGGUUUAUAAGCUUGUAACAUAUCAAGUAGCUCAUUAGCAGUGUGAGCACAAAUAAAGAGUUUUUUCACAUUAGAAGGAAUGAAAUAGUUUUUUAUUGCAUGGUUAAGAAAUGCGAUAAAGCCAUCAUAAAAGUUAUUGACAUUUAACAAACCGAUGGGUUUCUGGUGGAUGUGCAGAUGGGCCCAAGAUGCUAGUGUGAUAAGUGCCUCUAGUAUUGCAAGAUCUCCUGGAAGGAAAAUAAAAGCAUCAGCAUGAUUAAGCAUUUCAGUUAUUCUUUCUGGCAUACCUGAGAUGACUAACUCUUCUCCAGUUGAUGAGUCAGAAGAACUGCCCAAUGGUUUUAGGACUCUGGGGAUGAUGCCUAACACUUGACUUCCUCUGAUAAAAGCUGCUUCUGAGACCAUUUUUGAUAACCCUCGGUUACCUCCUCCAUACACCAAGUGUAAUUUUCUCGCUGCUAUGCUUCGACCAAGAUCUAUGGCUGCCUCAACGAACUCUUUAUGUUUGCCAUAGGUAAAUCCAGAAAGUACACAAAUGUUCUUAAAUUGUCUAUUGGGAGUAGCUGCCAUUGUGAUACUUCUCAAAAAUAAUUUAUGAGUGCUUGACAAAAAUUAAAUCACAUUUAAGAAUCUUGGUGACAGUGGAUCACAGCUGUGAAUGAGGUAACAUGUCAGUGUCAAAUAACGCGUAAAGCACGUGGCUUCCGAGUCAAAAAGGAAACAGUAAAAAGGAAAAAGGAAAAAGUAAACAGUAAUAAAAUUAUUAAAGACAAUAAUACAAACGAUAAAACAACAGUAAAAUAAAACAACAGUAAAGUAAAAGGAUAUUUACAGGUAGUUGCGACUGUGGCUCACAUCUUCCUCUGGUUUUACGUCCAGAAACGGCUUGAACGCCCUCUAUGGGUCGAGGAUAGGCUUCCCAUCCAGUUUUCUUAUAAACUGGCAAACAAGGUCGUUUAGAUUCCCGAGACUAUAUCGUGCAUGCUCUUUCUGGAAUAAUGGCCAUAACUGGAGAAUCGCUCCUUGCACAUAUCCACUGGGAUGCGUUUCAAGAGACAGAAGGAUAUCAUCCAAUGACUCUUUAUUCAAGCCAUCCCUAAUGAAUUGAAUCUUAUCUUCUCUGUUAUCAAACACCAUUCCUAAAGAACAUGGGUUUCUAUCGCAACUCAUUCUGGCACACUUAUGACAAGCAACAGAAAUUCUUCUAGCUCGUCGUUUUCUUGCAUAAUUUCCUUUACCACAACCAGGCAUGUAUGCAAUAAAUUUAGGAGGUAACUCACCUGCCAAUCGUACUUUAGCCUCGAUUAACCAAUGGAUGUCUGCAGGUAUGUUAUUCCUCAUGAGCAAUCGCAUGCGUUCAGACCGGGUUUUAUAGAUUGUAAGGAGGGCAUUCUGAGGAAGUGAAGGGAAUCGCUUGUGAAACUUUGCUAGAAUCUCGUUUCUGUCCAUAUUUUCGCCUCAGAAUAUCAGUUAUUAUGGGAAACUGAAGUAACCUACUUGAUUGUCACGGAGUACCAUUAUCCGCCACUUCACCGAGGUAACAAACUAAAGCACACAAACAGAAAAACAAAUUAAAACACACAAAGAAAAUUAAAAUCGUCCUCUUAUUGAAUUUACCUCAAGCUCCAACUGGAUGUCGUAAACACUUCUCUCAAUAUCUCGGAGUUGGCUUUCUAGAUUCUCAAUAUAGGCUACUAACUCUGGUAGUUGUAGAGCCCAAAUGCAUUGUGUUUUACAAAAUUGAAUCUACCUUUUGAGAUGAGUUUUGACACGUUGAAGUGGUUUAAGAAUGUUCAGGAGGAACGGUCUAAGUAUGGUACUCAUGAUGAAAAAUGAUAAGAGAAAACUUAAUAGUUAAACAAACACACUUAUGCAAAAAUAAUUUCAAUUAGCAAAAGCAUAAUAAAAAGAAAGAAAGAAAAAUCAAAUCAACGAAAAGAAGAAUAAAAAUCAAUUCAAAUCUGGUGGGUCACUCAAAUUUAUUUCGGUGUCUUCUCCAUGUGGUUGGUAUUCUAGAUAUGGCUUUAAUCUUUGACCAUUAACUUUAAACGUGACAACAUUUUUUGGGUCUUUAAUUUCAAUUGCCCCAUGUGGAAAAACAGUAUGAACAAUAAAAGGACCAGACCAUCGAGAGCGUAACUUACCUGGGAAUAGGUGCAAACGAGAAUUGAAUAAAAGCACUUUCUGACCUGGAGUAAAAGAUUUUCUCAUAAUGUGCUUGUCAUGAAAGACUUUCAUUCGUUGCUUGUAAAUCUUGGCAUUUUCGUAUGCGUCAUUGCGAAUUUCUUCAAGUUCUGCCAGUUGUAAUCUUCUUUCUGAGCUGGCUUGCUGCAUAUCAAAGUUGAAUUUCUUGAUGGCCCAAUAUGCACGAUGCUCGAGUUCCACAGGUAGGUGGCAAGCUUUUCCAUACACUAGCUUGUAGGGUGACAUCCCAAUCGGGGUCUUGAAAGUCGUUCUUUAUGCCCAUAAUGCAUCAUCAAGUCUUAAUGACCAAUCUUUUCUGUCUGGCCUCACCGUCUUUUCUAAUAUGUGCUUUAUUUCUCGAUUGGAGAUCUCAACUUGGCCACUGGUUUGCGGAUGAUACGGAGUCGCCACUUUGUGUGUGAUUGAAUAUUUUGUCAAAAGAGCCUUGAAUGCUUUGUUACAAAAGUGGGCACCACCAUCACUGAUUAUCGCUCGAGGGAAUCCAAAGCGUGAAACAAUGUUGCUUUUCAAAAAUCUUAUCACCACCUUGUGAUCAUUGGUUCUGCAUGGAAUUGCUUCUACCCAUUUCGAUACGUAGUCAACAGCAACCAAUAUGUAUUGAUGGCCAAAAGAAGGGGGAAAGGGUCCCAUGAAGUCGAUACCCCAUACGUCAAAAAUCUCAACCACUAAAAUUGGAUUUAAUGGCAUCAUAUUCCUUCGUGUAAUGCUCCCCAUUCGUUGACACCUAUCACAUGAAGAACAGAAAGUAUAAGCAUCUCGAAAUAUAGUUGGCCAAUAGAAACCACAUUGUAAAACUUUAGUCGCUGUUUUCUUAGCACUGAAAUGGCCUCCACAAGCUUGUUCAUGGCAGAAUGAAAGGAUAUUAUGAAUUUCACUUUCUGGGACACAUCGUCUAACAAUUUGGUCUGCACAAUACUUGAACAAAUAUGGGUCAUCCUAAAAGAAAUUCUUUAUCUCUGCAAAGAAUUUAGCCUUGUCUUGUUUGGUCCAAUGCUCCGGAAGUUUACCUGUAACAAGAUAAUUAACUAUAUCAGCAUACCAAGGUAAUACUUCCACACUCAUUAAUUGUUCAUCUGGAAAUGACUCAUUCAAUAUUAAUGGCUCUGUAAUUGUGUCAAAAUGGAAAUGAGAGAGGUGGUCCGCCACAACAUUUUCUGUCCCUUUCUUAUCUUUGAAUUCCAAGUCAAAUUCCUGCAAAAGUAACACCCAACGAAUUAGUCUAGCUUUUGCAUCUUUCUUUGUGAGAAGAUAUUUAAGAGCAACAUGAUCUAUGAAUAUAAUUAUUUUACAACCAAUGAGUUAAGAUCGAAAUUUCUCUAAUGCAAACACUACUGCUAGCAUUCCUUUUUCAGUAGUUGAAUAGUUCAACUGUGCAUCAUUCAAUGUCAUACUAGCAUAGUAAAUAACAUGGGGAAUUCGAUGAACUCUUUGUCCUAAUACUGCUGCUACUGCAUAAUCAGAUGCAUCACACAUGAGCUCAAAUGGUAAGCUCCAGUUUGGGGCCUGAAUGAUGGGUGAUGAUGUCAACAACUGCUUUAAUUUUUCAAACGCCAUGAGACAUAAAUCAUUAAAGAUAAAAGGUACAUCCUUAGCAAGUAAAUUGCAUAAGGGUCUAGAAACUUUGCUAAAAUCUUUAAUGAAACGUCUAUAGAAACCAGCAUGUCCAAGGAAAGAUCUUACUUCUCUGACUGUUUUAGAUGGAGGAAGAUUAGAAAUGAGAUCCACCUUGGCUUUGUCAACCUCAAUACAUUUGCUCGAAAUGAUGUGACCGAGAACAAUACAUUGUUUUACCAUAAAAUGGCACUUCUCCCAAUUUAAGACUAAGUUCUUCUCGAUACAUCUCUGCAGAACUAGCGUUAGAUGAUGUAAACAUUGAUCAAAUGAGUUACCAAAAACAGAAAAGUCAUCCAUAAAGACUUCAAGGAAUCGUUCAACCAUAUCAGAAAAAAUGCUCAACAUGCAUCGUUGAAAUGUAGCAGGUGCAUUACAUAAUCCAAAUGGCAUUCUCCUAUAUGUAAAAGUACCAAAAGGGCAAGUGAAAGUAGUUUUCUCUUGAUCUUUCGGUGCUAUGGGGAUCUGAUUAUAUCCUAAGUAGCCAUCUAGAAAGCAAUAAAAUUCAUGGCCUGCUAAUCUAUCAAGCAUUUGAUCAAUAAAUGGUAAAGGAAAAUGGUCUUUACGUGUGACAGAAUUCAACUUUCUAUAAUCAAUGCAUACACGCCAUCUUGUAGUCACUCUAGUGGGUAUCAAUUCAUUAUCAGCAUUCGUAACUAUUGUGACUCCUUACUUUUUAGGGACAACUUGUACAGGACUGACCCAUGAACUAUCAGAAAUUGGGUAAAUGAUACCUGCGUCUAAUAGCUUAAGGACUUCUGUUCUAACAACUUCUUUCAUAUUAGGAUUUAACCGACGUUGCAUUUCCCUAGUAGAUUUAGCAUUUUCAUCAAGGUGAAUGUAAUGCAUGCAGUCUACUGGAUUUAUACCUUUAAUGUCUGCUAUGGUCCAUCCUAAUGCUCCUUUGUGCUCUUUUAAAACAUCCAACAACUUACCUUUUUGUUCGUCAUUUAGGGAUGAUGAGAUGAUUACCGGUAUAGUACUUUCUUCUCCCAAAAAUGCAUAUUCCAGAGUGUUGGGUAAUGGUUUGAGCUCGAGUUUCGGUGGUGAUUCUGAUGAUGGGAUGAGUUUCUUCUCUGCUGGUGCUAGUUGUUCAACUCUUGACUUCCAUUUAUUAGUGUCCAUGUAUGGUGUUGAGUCAAGCAGGGCGUUGACCUCAUCGACUGAUCUGUCAAUAUCAAAAUCCAAACCAAAGUGAGUUAAACAUGUUUGUAAAGGAUCAUCACUAAGGUUUGAAACAAAAGUGCCAUCAACUAUUAUUUCAAUUAAAUCCACAUCUACAAUUCCGUCAUCUGCAUUGUGAGGUUGUUUGGCAAUGUUGAAGAUGUUCAGCUUCAUAGUCAUGUUGCCGAAUGACAACUGCAUAUUUCCAGUCCUGCAUUGAAUAUGAGCAUCCGCAGUUGCCAAGAAAGGUCGGCCUAGAAUAAUGGGGAUGUGCUUCCUUGAAUCCUGGAUUGGUUGAGUGUCAAUUACAAUGAAAUCAACAGGAAAAUAAAACUUGUCUACCUGGAUAAGCAUGUCCUCCACAAUACCACGAGGUAUUUUCGUGGACCGAUCUGCAAGCUGUAACACCACUGGAGUUGGGUGUAAUUCUCCAAGUCCAAGUUUCAUAAAUAUAGAGUAAGGCAACAAAUUUACACUAGCUCCUAAAUCCAACAAAGCAUUCUCAAUUGUGUGGUUCCCUAUGCUACAUGAGAUAGUGGGGGAACCUGGGUCUUUGCAUUUCAGAGGAAUUUUGUGUUGGAGUACAGAACUAACAUUUUCUGUUAAAAAUGCCUUCUUUUGAACAUGAAUGUUUCUCUUUUUAGUACAAAGGUCUUUAAGAAACUUGGCAUGAGAUGGAACUUGUUUUAUAGAAUCAAGCAAAGGGAUGUUAACACUUACCUGUUUGAAGAUUUCAAGAAUCUCACCUGUGGAUUUUCCAUUAUUUCCUUUCGCUAACCUCUGAGGAAAUGGAGCUUUAGGUUCCUCCGGUGGUGAGUCCUCAACAUUCACAGGUACAAUUUGAUUUUCUUUGGUCACCGGCAUCUCCACUUUGUUGUCGACUUCUUUUCCUUUUCGCAAGGUCAUGACUGCUUUGACCUCUCCAUGCUGCUGUGGUGAACUAGUACUUGCUUCAUGUACUCUUUUAGGAUUAGGCACUGGUUGACUUGGAAACUUGUCUUUCUCAACAGUCAUUGCCAAGGUCUGAACUGAAGAAGCAAGUUGUCCCACUAUCUUCUCGAGGCUUGAAACUGAUUGGGCUUGUGAGUUGAAGCCUGCUCUCAACUCAUUUCGUAGUCCAUCAAUGGUGCGGUUCUGUUGCUCAAUCGUGGAGUGAGUAACAUUCUUGAAAUUUUAGAAUGAAUCCUCCCAUGGUCUGGGUUGAGAAUGGUUCUGGUUCUGAUUGUAUGGUCUAAAUGGUGGCUGAGAGGGUUGAGGAUUUUGAGGAAUUGGUUGCAUUGGUGGAGCUGGAGCUGCUGGUCCAUUCUGUUGGAAUCCUUGAGACCAUGAAAAAUUGGGGUGGUCUCUCCAUCCAGGGUUAUAUGUGUUGGAGUAUGUGUUGUAAUUAGAUGGCUUUCUCAUUACACGUAUGGCAUUGGCUUGAUCUGAGUAUGAGUCAUGGUCAUGUGGUUCUGUUGAUUUAGCAGUCGAUAACGAUGCUAUUUGUCGAGCAAGACCUUCAACCAUCUCCUUGACUUCUUUGAUUCCCGAAGUUGACUCGCCAAUUUGAACCUCAUUUACUCCCUUAAUUCUUCUAGUAUUCCUGAGUGAUCGACUCCAUUGUUGGGAAUUAUCCGCUUGUCGCUGGAAGAAUUCCCAAAUCUCUAAUGCACUUUUUGACAUUAGCUCUCCUCCACUUGUUGCCAUUAGCCAUUCUUGCACAUUCGGCAAUAAUCCCUCCAAAACGUAUUGGCAUUGGUGCCAUUUCUCGUACCCAUGAUGUGGACACUUCAAGAGUAGCCCAUUAAAUCGCUCCCAUGUUUCGAAAAACUACUCGUCCUCUCUUUGUGUAAACUCUGAAAUUUCCCUGUGAAUAGAAUUGGUUUUAUGCACUGGGAAAUAUUUAUUUAGAAAUUUUGUAACCAUUUGUUCCCAUGAUGCAAUGCUAUUAGCAGGCAAAGUAUUUAACCAUGAAUGAGCUCUAUCCUUUAAAGAAAAUGGGAAUAAUCUGAGUUUAACAUCAUCGUUUGAAAAUUUUCAUAUUUAAAAGUUUGACAAAUGGUAUGAAAAUCAUUCAGAUGAUUAUAUGGGUCCUCAUUUUCUAAGCCAUAGAAUGUGGGGAGACAAUUUAGCACACUAGGUUUUAGUUCAAAGCUCCUAGCAGCUACAUUUGGGUAUCUAAUACAUGAUGUGCUCAAAUUAGCUAAGGGACUAAAAUAGUCCUUAAAUGGCCUCUCCUGUGGUUGUAAAUCCAUUUUAUUUUUAACAUGUUUGUGUGUGCGAAGUGUUUUUUCUAAUUCAAGGUCUAUAGGUUCAAGAUUAGGUAAUAAUGACCUACGACCAUGCAUGCAAAACAAAUAAAAUAAAAAUAAAGAUGGGAACAAAACGAAUAAAAAUAAAGAAAAAGGAGAAAUUACGAUACUAACCUUAUCGCACUAUUACAACAUUUCUAUAAAAAUACACAAAAACAAAUACGUGAAAUAAAUUAACUAAAAAUAAAUUAAUAAGAUAAACAAAAACAAAAACAAAACUACAAAGAAAAAUAAAUUGAAAAUUAAAUUACAGAAUUUUAAAGAAGAGAAAAAGAAAAGAAAUACUAACCUUUAAAUGUAUAUUCACUCUUUUUUUUUUCUUUUUUUUUUAUAAAAAAAAAUACAAGAAAACAAUUAAAAAAAAUUAUUCACAAAAAUUAAUUCUAUGAAUUAAAAUUACUUACCUCCCCGGCAACGGCGCCAAAAACUUGUUGUGCAAAUUUUAAUGUACUCGCAAGCGCACGAAUCUAUUGUAGUAUAGAUCAAUGGUGACGAGUGUCGAUCCCACGAGGAGGUGGAUUUUAAUUGUGUGUAGAAUUAAUUUUGUAAAUGGGUGAUUGAAUUUGUGGUGGAAAUGAAUUGGAAUAUGCUAAAACUUAAAUUAAAAUAGCGAGAAUAAAUUCUAAAAUUGAAAUUGAAAUGGCAAGAAUAAAUUGAAGAGAAUUCUAUUGAAAUGACGUACUUGGGUAUCUGGAUCCGUAUCAACAUGCAUCAUGGGCUAAAUAAUCCUUAUUAAUACCAGUUAAAUCAUGAGGGAGGAAUCCACACCUCAUGAACCACGCUCUAAUCAAUAUGGUGCUAAGGGCUUAUCGUGCCAAAUAAUAAUAACCUUGUACUAGAGGGCCGGUGAAACCAAGGCGGUACUAGACAAGAUUAGUAUUAUUUGUCGACGAGAAGUCAAAACAUCUACAAAAAUUAGAGGGAAAGAGAAAGUAAAUUUACCAAAUCAAGCCCAUGACACAUGUUGAGACUUCACCUUCAACCCAAGCUUGAAAGAAAAUUAGCCACUCAUAAUUGAACUAGGGGCAAAAUGGAAAUUUAUUAAAAUACGUAGAAAAUACAAGAUGGAGAGGGAAUUACAGAGAAUGGAUCCCAAAAAUGAAUUCAGAGAUAUCAAAUUAGGGGGGUGAGGCCCCCUUUUUAUAGAUACAUGGAGUAAAUCAUGGCCAUCGGAUUAAAAACAGUUUGGACGCUCAGGAUUGUGCCACGUCAUCAGUCAACAGUACGCGGUUUGACCACGUGGAUGAAGAGUAACAUAGUUUGACCCGGGUGAACAGUGACGCGGUUUGGUUGAAAAUAAUCCUGUGUGAUGCAUGUACCGUACGCGAGAUUUUUCAUCCACUGAUAUGCUGCCACUCACCAUCAACAGUACAUAAGAAUUUUAGCCCAACAGGAUCGUGACACCUCAUCAGUCAAUGCCACAUCAUCGGUCAAUGCCACGUCAUCGAUCCGUCUAUGUGAACAGUGUCGUGAACAGUAACGUAGACAGUACCGUACACGUGAAUAGUACCGUACAUGUGAAUAGUGCCAUUUUUCCUUUUAUGCUCCUCCUAAGGUUUUCGACCGUCCUGAGUUCAAAAGUGAUGUCCGUUUUGCCGUCUGAUCUCUCGUUUAUUGUGAAAUGACCAUGAUGCCCCUAAAAUACAUAAAAUACUUAAUUAAAAUCAAACACACAUAAUUAAAUUGCAAGAAGCUUAAAUACAUAAAAGUAAGGAUUGUUAGUAAAACUUGAAAUGUAAAAUGAUGAUUUUCUCCUUUAUAAAUAUACAUUUUCUAACACUCAACAUUAACAUCCCUUUAUUUGAUGCUAUAAAGCAAGUUCCAUCUUAUGCCAAGUUUCUUAAAGACCUUUGUACUAAAAAGAGAAAUAUGCAUGUUCAAAAGAAGGCAUUUUUAACAGAAAACGUUAGUUCUAUACUCCAACAUAAAAUUCCUUUAAAAUGCAAAGACCCAGGACCCCCCCACUAUCUCAUGUAGCAUAGGGAACCACACAAUUGAGAAUGCUUUGUUGGAUUUAGGAGCUAGUGUAAAUCUGUUGCCUUAUUCAGUAUUCGUGAAACUUGGACUUGGAGAAUUACACCCAACUCCAGUGGUGUUACAGCUUGCAGAUCGGUCCACGAAAAUACCUCGAGGUAUUGUGGAGGACGUGCUUAUCCAGGUAGACAAGUUUUAUUUUCCUGUUGAUUUCAUUGUAAUUGACACUCAACCAAUAGAGGAUUCAAGGAAGCACAUCCCCAUUAUUCUAGGCCGACCUUUCUUGGCAACUGCGGAAGUUCACAUUCAAUGCAGGACUGGAAAAUAUGCAGUUGUCCUUCGGCAAUAUGACUAUGGAGCUGAACAUCUUCAACAUUGCCAAACAACCUCACAAUGCAGAUUAUAGAAUUGUUGAUAUGGAUUUAAUAGAAACAAUAGUUGAUAAUACUUUUCUUUUAAACCUCAGUGAUGAUCCUUUAAAAACAUGUUUAACUCACUUUGGUUUGGAUUUUGAUAUUGACAGAUCGGUCGAUGAGGUCAACGCCCUGUUUGACUCAGCACCAUCCAUGGACACUAAUAAAUGGAAGUCAAGAGUUGAACAACUAGCACCAUCAGAGAAGAAAUUCAUCCCAUCAUCAGAAUCACCACCAAAACUCGAGCUCAAACCAUUGCCCAACACAUUGGAAUAUGCAUUUUUGGGAGAAGAAAGCACUCUACCGGUAAUCAUCUCAUCAUCCCUCAAUGACGAACAAAAAGGUAAGUUGUUGGAUAUUUUAAAAGAGCACAAAGGAGCAUUAGGAUGGACCAUAACAGACAUUAAAUGUAUAAACCCAGUAGACUGCAUGCAUUACAUUUACCUUGAUGAAAAUGCUAAAUCAGCUAGGGAAAUGCAACGUCGGUUAAAUCCUAAUAUGAAAGAAGUUGUUAGAACAGAAGUCCUUAAGCUAUUAGACGUAGGUAUCAUUUACCCAAUUUCUGAUAGUUCAUGGGUCAGUCCUAUACAAGUUAUCCCAAAAAAGUCAGGAGUCACAGUAGUUACGAAUGCUGAUAAUGAAUUGAUACCCACUAGAGUGACUACAGGAUGGCGUGUAUGCAUUGAUUAUAGAAAGUUGAAUUCUGUCACACGUAAAGACCAUUUUCCUUUACCAUUUAUCGAUCAAAUGCUUGAUAGAUUGGCAGGCCAUGAAUUUUAUUGCUUUCUAGAUGGCUACUCAGGAUAUAAUCAGAUUCCCAUAGCAUCGAAAGAUCAAGAGAAAAUCACUUUCACUUGCCCUUUUGGCACUUUUGCAUAUAGGAGAAUGCCAUUUGGAUUAUGUAAUGCACCUGCUACAUUUUAACGAUGCAUGUUGAGCAUUUUUUCUGAUAUAGUUGAACGAUUCCUUGAAAUCUUUAUGGAUGAUUUUUCUGUCUUUGGUGACUCGUUUGAUCAAUGUUUACAUCAUCUAACACUAGUUCUGCAGAGAUGUAUCUAAAAGAACUUGAUCUUAAAUUGGGAGAAGUGCCAUUUUUUAGUAAAAUAAGGUAUUGUUCUCGGUCACAUCAUUUCAAGCAAAGGUAUUGAGGUUGACAAAGCUAAGGUGGAUCUCAUUUCUAAUCUUCCUCCACCCAAAACAGUCAGAGAAGUAAGAUCUUUCCUUGGGCAUGCUGGUUUCUAUAAACGUUUCAUUAAAGAUUUUAGCAAAGUUUCCAGACCCUUAUGCAAUUUACUUGCUAAGGAUGUACCUUUUAUCUUUAAUGAUUCAUGUCUUGUGGCGUUUGAAAAAUUAAAGCAAUUGUUGACAUCAUCACCGAUCAUUCAGGCCCCAAACUGGAGCUUACCAUUUGAACUCAUGUGUGAUGCAUCUGAUUAUGCAGUAGGAGCAGUGUUAGGACAAAUAGUUGAUCGAAUUCCCCAUGUUAUUUAUUAUGCUAGUAUGACAUUGAAUGAUGCACAGUUGAACUAUUCAACUACUGAAAAAGAAAUGCUAGCAGCAGUGUUUGCAUUGGAAAAAUUUCGAUCCUAUCUCAUUGGUUGUAAAAUAAUUAUAUUCACGGAUCAUGCUGCUCUUAAAUAUCUUCUCACGAAAAAAGAUGCAAAAGCUAGACUAAUUCGUUGGGUGUUACUUUUGCAGGAAUUUGACUUGGAAUUUAAAGAUAAGAAAGGCACAGAGAAUGUUGUAACUGACCAUCUCUCUCGUCUCCAUUUUGACACAAUUUCUGAACCUUUACCAUUGAAUGAGUCAUUCCCAGAUGAACAAUUUAUGAGUGUAGAAGUAUUACUAUGGUAUGCUGACAUUGUGAAUUAUCUUGUUACAGGUCAACUUCCAGAGCAUUGGACCAAGCAAGACAAGGCUAAAUUCUUUGCAGAAAUAAAGCAUUUCUUUUGGGAUGACCCGUAUUUGUUCAAGUAUUGUGCAGAUCAAAUUAUUAGACGAUGUGUCCCAGAAAAUGAAAUUCAUAUUAUUCUUUCAUUCUGCCAUGAACAAGCUUGUGGAGGCCAUUUCAGUGCUAAGAAAACAGCGACUAAAGUUUUACAAUGUGGUUUCUAUUGGCCAACUAUAUUUCGAGACGCUUACACUUUCUAUUCUUCAUGUGAUAGGUGUCAAUGAAUGGGGAGCAUUACACGAAGGAAAAUGAUGCCACUAAAUCUAAUUUUAGUGGUUGAGAUUUUUGAUGUAUGGGGUAUCGACUUCAUGGGUCCAUUUCCCCCUUCUUUUGGCCAUCAAUAUAUAUUGGUUGCUGUUGACUACGUAUCAAAAUGGGUAGAAGUAAUUCCAUGCAGAACCAAUGAUCAUAAGGUGGUGAUAGAAUUUUUGAAAAACAACAUUGUUUCACGCUUUGGAUUCCCUAGAGCAAUAAUCAAUGAUGGUGGUGCCCACUUUUGUAACAAAGCAUUCAAAGCUCUUUUGACAAAGUAUUCAAUCACACACAAAGUGGCGACUCUGUAUCAUCCGCAAAUCAGUGGCCAAGUUGAGAUCUCUAAUCGAGAAAUAAAGCACAUAUUAGAAAAGACGGUGAGGCUGGACAGAAAAUAUUGGUCAUUAAGACUUGAUGAUGCAUUAUGGGCAUAUAGAACGGCUUUCAAGACCCCGAUUGGGAUGUCACCCUACAGGCUAGUGCAUGGAAAAGCUUGCCACCUACCUGUGGAACUCGAGCAUCGUACGUAUUGGGCCAUCAAGAAAUUCAACUUUGACAUGUAGCAAGCCAGCUUAGAAAGAAGAUUACAACUCGCAGAACUUGAAGAAAUUCGCAAUGACGCAUACGAAAAUGCCAAGAUUUACAAGCAACGAAUGAAAGUCUUCCAUGACAAGCAAAUUAUGAGAAAAUCUUUCACUCCAAGUCAGAAAGUGCUUUUAUUCAAUUCUCGCUUGCACCUAUUCCCAGGUAAGUUACGCUCUCGAUGGUCUGGUCCCUUUAUUGUUCAUACUGUUUUUCCACAUGGGGCAAUUGAAAUUAAGGACCCAAAGAACGGUGUCACAUUUAAAGUUAAUGGUCAAAGAUUAAAGCCAUAACUAGAGUACCAACCACAUGGAGAAGACACCGAAAUAAAUUUGAGUGACCCACUAGAUUUGAAUUGAUUUUUUUUUCUUUUCGGUGGGUUGAUUUUUCUUUCUUUCUUUUUAUUAUUCUUUUGCUAAUUAAAAUUAUUUUUGCAUAAGUGUGUUUGUUUAACUAUUAAGUUUUCUCUUAUCAUUUUUAAUCAUGAGUACCUUACUUAGACCGUUCCUCCUGAACAUUCUUAAACCACUUCAACGUGUCAAAACUCAUCUCAAAAGGCAGAUUCAAUUUUGUAAAACACAUCGAAUUUGGGCUCUACAGCCACCAGAGUUAGUAGCCUAUGUUGAGGGUUUAGAAAGCCAACUCAGAGAUAUUGAGAAAAGUGUUUACGACAUACAGUUGGAGCUUGAGGUAAAUUCAAUAAGAGGACGAUUUUAAUUUUCUUUUUGUGUUUUAAUUUGUUUUUCUGUUUGUGUGAUUUAGUUUGUUACCCCGGUAAAGUGGCGGAUAACGGUACUCUGUGACAAUCAAGUCGGUUACUUCAGUUUCCCAUAAUUACUGAUAUUCUGAGGUGAAAGUAUGGACAGAACCGAGAUUCUAGCGAAGCUUCACAAGCGAUUUCCUUCACUUCCUCAUAAUGCCCUCCUUACGAUCUAUAAAGCCCGGUCCGAACGCAUGCAAUUGCUCAUGAGGAAUAACAUACCUGCGGACAUCCGUUGAUUAAUCAAGGCUAAAGUACGAUUGGCAGGUGAGUUACCUUCAAAAUUUAUUGCAUACAUGCCUGGUUGUGGUAAAGGAAAUUAUGCAAGAAAACGACGAGGUCGAAGAAUUUUUGUUGCUUGUCAUAAGUGUGCCAGAAUGAGUUGCGAUAAAAACCCAUGUUCUUUAGGAAUGGUGUCUGAUAACAGGGAAGAUAAGAUUUAAUUCAUUAGGGAUGGCUUGAAUAAGGAAUCAUUGGAUGAUAUCCUUCUAUCUCUUGAAACGCAUUCCAGUGGAUAUGUGCAAGGAGCGAUUCUCCAGUUAUGGCCAUUAUUCCAGAAAGAGCAUGCACGAUAUAGUCUCGGGAAUCUGACUAUAAACAACCAUGUUUGCCAGUUUAUAAGAAAACUGGAUGGGAAGCCUAUCCUCUACCCAUAGAAGGCGUUCAAGCCGUUUCUGGAUGUAAAAGCAGAGGAAGAUGUGAGCCACAAUCACAACUACUUGUACAUAUCCUUUUUACUUCACUGUUAUUUUAUUUCACUGUUGUUUUACCAUUUGCAUUAUUGUCUUUAAUAAUUUCAUUUUAUUACUGUUUACUUUUUCCUUUUUACUGUUUUUUUUUUUUACUCACGAACCAUGUGCUGUACACGUUAUUUGACACUGACAUGUUACCUCAUACACAACUGCGACCCACUGUCAACAAGACUCUUAAAUGUGAUUUUUUUUGUCAAGCACUCACAAAUUAUUUUUGAGAAGUAUUCUAAUGGCAGUUACUCCCAAUAGACAAUUCAAGAACAUUUGUGUGCUUUCUGGAUUUAACUAUGACAAACAUAAAGAGUUCGUUGAGGCAGCCGUAGAUCUUGGUCGAAGCAUAGCAGAGAGAAAAUUGCACUUGGUGUAUGGAGGAGGUAACCGAGGGUUAUCAAACUUGGUCUCAGAAGCUUCUUUUGUUAGAGGAAGCCAAGUGUUAGGGAUCAUCCCAAGAGUUCUAAAAUCUUUGGGCAGUGCGUCUGACUCACCGACUGGAGAAGAGUUAGUUGUCUCAGGUAUGCAAGAAAGAAUAACUGAAAUGCUUAAUCAUGCCGAUGCUUUUAUUUUCCUUCCAGGAGAUCUUGCAACACUAGAGGCACUUAUCACACUAGCAUCUUGGGCCCAUCUGCACAUUCACCAGAAACCCAUUGGUUUGUUAAAUGUAAAUAACUUUUAUGAUGGCUUUAUCGCAUUUCUUAACCAUGCAAUAAAAAACUAUUUCGUUCCUUCUAAUGCCAAAAAGCUUUUUAUUUGUGCUCAUACUGCUAAUGAGCUACUUGAUCUGUUACAAGCUUAUAGACCGGAGCCAGACCCCUGGACCUUUGUGUUGGAGCGUCCAAAUAAUGAUGGUAACAGUAGCCGCAGUAAGAAGUACAAAUUAGAUUUAACUCUCCGCCUGUAAAUAUUUUCUUCUGUGUUGCACCACCCAGGUGAUGUCUUCUAAACUCUACUUCUUUCCUUUAAAACAUUGAGGACAAUGUUUCGUUCUGGUUGGGGGGAGGGAAUAGUCGAUAAUUGUGGAAUCUUGGUUAAGUUUUUACUAAUUUUUUGUUGUAGAAACUAACUGUUGCUAACUUUUUGUGCUGAAGAUGGCUGAAUAUGGAGUGUAGUGACUCUAGAAACGUAUCUUCAUCGUUUGAAAAAAAAAAACAAAAACAAAAAAAAAAAACAAAAAAAAUUAAAAAAAAAAGAUUUCAGACAUUUUCUUUUUCUUUAUUAUGUUUUGAUGUUCAUUUUUCUUCUUCUUUUUAAUUUCUCCUUUAUAAAUAUACAUUUUCAAAUAUUUGAGUCGAAGAUGGCUGAAUAUGGAGUGUAGUACCUCUAGAAACGCAUCUUCUUAGUUAAAAAUUAAAAAAAAACAUUUCUUUUUCUAUCAUUUUAAGUGUAACUUUUCUAAUUAAUUUUUCUGCAUCAUUUUCACAUUUCUGCAUGCAUAUUUUCCUUUCAUACUUAGAAUAGGCUGGGGGGUAGAAUGUUGUUUAAAAAAAAAUUGUGUGAUUUGUUUUAACUUUGGAUGACAUGAUUAAUUUCAAAUUUUAGUAUUUGUAUUAUCUUUGGUCUUAAGUGAUGUUACACUAUGUUUGCUACUUUACAUGUUGAUGUCGGAGACAAAUAUGAGUUGCUUGAAGGAAUGAACAUGUCAUAAAUAAGUGCCAAGUGAGUUGUUGAGCCUAUCAUUUUCUUGGAGAGUAACCCUUUUGCCCAUUCUCUAUACAGCUUAGCAGUUUAUUAUUUUAUACACAAUCUCUAGAUUUAUUUUGAGUUAACCCUAAAAAAAAUUGUAAAAUAAAAAAAAGAAAAAAAAUGUGUGUUGCUACAUUGAGAGGCUCAUCUAACUAGUAGAUAUGGAUGAUUAUUUAGAACCCUAAAAGACGAUGGAAAGGCCAUCUUUGAUCCGUUUGAGCCUUUCUAGCCAUCCCUUUUAUUAAAUAUCCAUAGUUAACCCUUUUGAGCCUUUAAAAAAAAAAAACCUUUUCUUUGUUAACUUAUCACCUUGACCCACUCCGAUUUGGAGUAUUACCCGAUGUCUUAUAAGUUCCAUCACCUAUUUAUAUUUGAGAAAAUCUAAAUAAUUAUUUUGUUCAGUGAAGUUAUGCCAAAUAAAAGCAAAAAAAAACAAAACAAAACAAAACAAAAGUUGUUGUUUCAAAAGAAUAAAAAUAACAACAAUAGGUGAAAUCCACCUUGCAAGUUCAAAAAAACAAUCUCUACAUUUUUCUCAAACAUACACUUUGUUUUCCUUAUUUCCCUUCUUUGUUAGCCAUGUCCCUAGCCUACGUUACGUCAUAAUAAAAGUCCUUCUUGAUUUUAGGGAACUAUAGUCUGAAGUAGAAACUAGUUAUAUGGGCUAAAAAGAUGUAGUGAUGCAUAAUAAUAAUAAAAAAAAAGAUAAAUAAAGUGGGUUGACUAGCAUUUUUGUUUGACUUGAGAUCAUAUUAUUUCUAAGUUGAGGGCAUAUUUCUUUCAUCUUGGUGAGAGCAUGUGAUAUCAUUUCUUUAUUAUUUUCUCUCAAUUACUAUUUAUUGCAGUGACUAUUUUUAUUGGGUAUAAUUUCUUUGUGAGAGUGUCACUAUAUCCAGUGAGAUUUUGGGGUUUAACAUGUCAUUCUUGAAAGUAGCUGUGACAAAGUCUACUGGUCUGAUUCAUGUGGAUGGUUGAUGUGGGUGUGAUGUUUCUUUAGACUUGAGAUAAUGCUUAUACUUUUAUUUGAUUGUUAUCAUUAGUCUGAUUGAAUAAACACGAGUGUUUAAAAAAAAAUCAUUUUGGAUUUCAAUUUUGUUUUCGCUUUAUUUGCUAGGGACUAGCAAUAUGCUGGUUGGGGGGAGUGUUGAGUGUUAGAAAAUGCAUAUUUAUAAAGGAGAAAACCGUCAUUUUACAUUUUAAGUCUUACUAACAACCCUUACUUUUAUGUAUUUAACCUUCUUGUGAUUUAAUUAUGUGUGUUUGAUUUUAAUUAAGUAUUUUAUGUAUUUUAGGAGCAUCAUGGUCAUUUCACAAUAAAUGAGAGAUCAGACGGCAAAACGGACAUCACUUUUGAACUCAGGACGGUCGAAAACCUUAGGAGGAGCAUAAAAGGAAAAAUGCCACUAUUCACAUGUACGGUACUAUUCACGUGUACGGUGCUGUCUACGUUACUGUUCAUGACACUGUUCACAUAGACGGAUCGAUGACGUGGCAUUGACCGAUGAUGUGGCAUUGACUGAUGAGGUGUCAUGAUCCUGUUGGGCUAAAAUUCUUAUGUACUGUUGAUGGUGACGUGGCAGCAUAUCAGUGGAUGAAAAAUCUCACGUACGGUACAUGCAUCACACAGGAUUAUUUUCAACCAAACCGCGUCACUAUUUACCCGGGUCAAACCGUGUUAUUGUUCAUCCACGUGGUCAAACCGCGUACUGUUGACUGAUGACGUGGUGCAAUCCUGAGCGUCCAAACUGUUUUUAAUCCGAUGGUCAUGAUUUACUCCAUGUAUCUAUAAAAAGGGGGCCUCCCCCCUAAUUUGAUAGCUCUGAAUCCAUUUUUGGACUCUAUUUUAAUAAAUUUCCAUUUUGCCCCUAUUUCAAUUAUGAGUGGCUAAUUUUCUUUCAAGCUUGGGUUGAAGGUGAAGUCUCAACAUGUGUCAUGGGCUUUAUUUGGUAAAUUUAUUUUCUCUUCCCCUCUAAUAUUUGUGGAUGUUUUGACUUCUCGUCGACAAAUAAUACUAAUCUUGUCUAGUACCACCUUGGUUUCACCGGCCCCCUAGUACAAGGUUAUUAUUAUUUGGCACGAUAAGCCCUUAGCACCAUAUUGAUUAGAGCAUGGUUCAUAAGGUGCAGAUUCCCUCCUCAUGAUUUAAUUGGCAUUAAUAAGGAUUAUUUAGCCCAUGAUGCACGUUGAUACGGAUUCAGAUACCUAAGUACGUCAUUUCAAUAUAAUUCUCUUCAAUUUAUUCUCGCCAUUUCAAUUCUAAUUUCAGAAUUUAUUCUUGCCAUUUUAAUUUAAGUUUUAGCAUAUUCCAAAUCAUUUCCACCACAAAUCCAAUCACCCAUUUAUAAAAUUAAUUCUACACACAAUUAAAAUCCACCUCCUCGUGGGAUCGACACUCGUCACCAUUGAUCUAUACUACAAUAGAUUCGUGCGCUUGCGAGUUCAAUAAAAUUUGCACAACAGUAAGGACCUCGCCAAGCAUAGGGGAAGAGGUAGAAGUAAUGCGGGUGAGCGCCGAAAAAUCCUGGAUGGACCUGAUUCUCUCAUACAUCCGCGAUGGGGUUUUACCAAAAGACAGGAAGCAAGCAAGGAAGUUGAAAUGUCGGGCAGCAAGGUAUACACUACUCGAUGGGGUACUCUACCGCCGAGGAUUCACUUUGCCCCUUUUGAGAUGUUUGGAUGACGAGGAAGCAAAUUAUGUGCUGAGGGAGAUUCUUGAAGGAAUAUGCGGCAACCACUCGGGGGCAAGGACUUUGGCCUUCAAGGCACUGCGGCAAGGGUACUUUUGGCCGACUAUGCACUAGGAUGCGAAGGGGAUGGCAAAAAACUAUAGAGUAUGCCAAUCAUUCUCGGAGGUUCUCGCUUAGCCCCCAGAAAGGCUAACCGCUAUGUCAUCCCCAUGGCCUUUUGCCCAGUGGGGAAUUGACCUGAUUGGCCCAUUACCCAAAGGCCGAAGAGCCGCAACACAUGCAAUUGUGGCUAUAGAUUACUUUACUAAAUGGAUAGAAGUAGGAGUCCUCAGUCAAAUCACGGAGAGAAAGACAACAUAUUUUAUUUGGAAGAAUAUCAUCUGCAGAUACAGGAUCCCCUAUGCCAUCAUAACAGACAAUGGGCGGCAGUUUGACAACCACAACUUCAGAGAAUUUUGCCAAAACUUGGGUGUAGAUCUGAAGUUUUGUACCCCGGCACACCCCCAGGCAAACGGGCAGGUAGAAGCAGCCAAUAAAGUAAUAAAGAAACUCCUGAAAAUUAGGCUGGGAGAGAAGAAGGGAGCUUGGGUCGACGAGCUACUAGGAGUGUUAUGGGCCUACCGGACAACCCACAAAACGGCCACGGGAGAAACCCCGUUUGCCUUAGCUUUCGGUCAUGAGGCAGUAAUCCCAGCAGAAAUUAGGGUGGGAACACAUCGGACAUAGUAUUUCAAAGAGGAACAAAAUGACGAGCAGAUCUGAAUGAGCCUGGACCUGCUGGAGGAAAAAAGAGAAGGGGCCUCGAAAAGAGUGGCCCAAUGCCAGCAAAGAAUCAUGUGCUACUACAACAAGAAUGUACGCAUGAGGCAGUUCCGAGCAGGAGAUUGGGUACUUAGAAAAGUGAACCAAAACACAAGAGAUCAUAACCAUGGCGUUCUUGGCCCGAAAUGGGAGGGUUCGUACAGGGUAGUACGAACAACUGGCCCAGGAGCUUACAAGCUGGCUUACCUAGAUGGACGAGAUGUGAAGAGAUCGUGGAACGCUGAACACUUGAAGAAAUACUUCCAGUAAGCAAAGUGUUUUACCAAGUUUUUAUUCCGAUAAGUUAUUUAUGUUAAAUCAUGAUGAUGAAUUGUGGCACAUGCAUGUAUUUCGCCUUUUGUAAUCCAUGCAAAGUUCAAUAAAGAUGAAUUCAGCAUAAAAUUUCCUCGCUAGACAAAUUUUACUAAGGCAAAUAAGUGCCUAUUCCUGCUCGGUCGCCUAAAGGACCAGCAGGCAAGUUUUAUAAAUUUUGUUAAGGCAAGUAAGUGUCUAUUCUUGCUCGGUCGACUAAAGGACCAGCAGGCAAAACCCAUUAAAUUUGUUAAGGCAAGCAAGUGCUUAUUCCUGCUCGGUCGACUAAAGGACCAGCAGGCAAAGUCCAUUAAAUUCGUUAAGGCAAGCAAGUGCCUCUUCCUACUCGGUCGCCUAAAAGACCAGUAGGAAAAUCUUACAAAAUUCUGUUAAGGCAAACAUGUGCCAACUCCUGCUCGGUCGUUGAAGAACCAGUAGGUAAAAUUCUAUGAAACCGUUAAGGCAAGGAAUCGCCUAUUUUUCCCCAGUCACUCAAAGACAAGCAGACAUAUUUUUUAAGGUAAUUUGCAGAAACAACCCAUAAGCAAAACCAUGGCAAGAAAGCAACCGGAAAGCAUCAAAAGUUUAUAAACAUUCAAGCGUUUGUAAACAAACGAAAAUUCAAAAUUUAUAUAAAAAUCAAGCCUAAGGAUUAUGAGGUUCAACAGCCUCAGUAGGAGAAGGAUCAGCAAUCUCGGAAAGAGGAGGACCAGCGACUUCUGGAGGAGCAGGCGUUGACCCUUGACCUGCUUCCCGAGCAUGAUCCCUUGUUUCUUCCUCCUGCACCCCAUCUGAAGGAUCAGCAAUCUCGGAAAGAGGAGGACCAGCGACUUCUGGAGGAGCAGGCGUUGACCCUUGACCUGCUUCCCGAGCAUGAUCCCUUGUUUCUUCCUCCUGCACCCCAUCUGAAGGAGCCUCAACCUGAUCCUGGUCCCCCUGGUCCUUAUCCCCCUGAUCUGACUCGGCCAUAUAUUUCUACACUCCCGCCUCCAGCUUGCUCAUGUUAAGCUCUGGAUAUUCUUCCUUAAGCACAAACAUGAUGCACUUGUAGCAAAAGGCGAGCACAGAGUUAUACUCUGCAUCCAGCCAAUCGUCCACCUCAGCAGAUUUACCUUUCAGCUCGGUUACCUGCUCACUCAAGGACUUGAUUUGCUCCUCGAGGGCCGUCUUUAAGGUAUCUCGCUCACUUUGAGUAGCCUGGAGAUCAGACUUCAAGUCACCCAACUCGCUCUCAAGCUUGGAGGAGUUGGACUCAGCAAUGGCCACUUUCUCCUCCUGGUCCAUGAUCUGCUUGUGCAAAUCAAGCAGCUUUUCCUUCGAGCGAUCAGCAGACUCAACCUUUUUCUUCAAGUCUUGGUUGUCAGCUUGAAGCCUCCUCUCUUGGCGCAUGGAUCUAUUCUUAUAGCAAGAACCAAAGUAGCCAGCUUAAAAGAUACCAUCUAAACAGAACCAGCCAAUUCGCUAAGGUUCAUGCUCUCAAUGUCCUUGACCAUUUUGGGUCCCACUGACUUGCCAUAGUCCCUCUGGUACGGGGUCAAAUAAUCACCCUGAUCCCGAGCCCGAAGAGGAGAUGAUCGAUCUCCAGAGUGAACGCUGACCUCAGCACGCUUGUCUUAAAUCUUCUCUCCGCCAUUCUUUCGAGGUGGAGGAGGGGGCAGAGCAGGAGCAGGAGCCUUAGAAAAACUAACAUUGGUUUUCUUCAAGGGAGGGGGAGGAUUGCUGGAGCUACCUGAACCCCGAGCACGUUUCCUUGACAUAGCGCUAAGGAUCUUGUUAUCCAUCCCGACAGCUACGUCCACUAAGCGUGACCCAACAAGAUUUGUUGAUGACAGAAGAUCUUGACAGGUAGAUGCAUUCACAAGAGCAGUUGCCACCUUGAGCAAUGGACCGUUGUCAAGUUUCUUGAUCAGGCCCCACGACCCUGAAAGAAUAAACAAGGUUAAGAAACCCAAUAAGUAGCGAUCAGAUAAGUGAAGUAUGCAGAAAAAUAAACGACCUGGGGUGACAAAACGCAUUGGAAGGUAAAUAUCACCACCAAGUGAAUGGCUCACUGGGCACUAAUUUCCCUCAGCAAAGAAGAAUUUGUUCUUUCAGUUUUUACUUGAGGAAGGAAAACCAGUGAUAGGCUUCCUCUUCGCAGAGCUUGAUAUGAAGUAAUACCAGCCUGCUUCCCUUGGGCUGCUCCUCAGCUGAUACAAAUGCUUUACUUCCACAAGGGAAGGCUCCUCGAGCCCACACCUUUCCCAUAGCACAUACAAAGCUGAAAGAACCCUCCACCCGUUCUGGUGAAGCUGACCUGGAGCCAGAUGCAUGCCACCCAAUAUCCUAGCAAAAUAAGGUUGAAGAGGCAACCGAGUCCCUAACUUGAAACUCUCCAGAUGCAUCGUCACAUACCCUUUUGGAGGCCGACUAGAGACGUCACCUUUCUCAGGGAUAUUGUAAAGAUUUCUAAGCUUGAACAGGUCAGCGUGGGUAGUAGCACAAGUAGUAUAGUCAAUGGGGUAAGCAUCUGCCUCCAUUCUAUGACUAAGGUUUCUCUUCUUAGAGGGUCUGCUCGGCUCGGAACUGCUGUCCUCACCACCACCCUCUUCCUCAGGGACCCCAGCCCCCUCAGAACUGUGAUUUUCACCAGAACCCAAUGCUUGCCCCCGACGGUUUCCCAUAGGCUCAAAAUCAGGGGAAGGCAAAAUGGCCUUGGGAUGAGGGUACUCAGGGGUGUUCCUAUCAUAGGAGGGGCCUACACUACUAGAAGGAUAUGGAGGACCAAUGGGUCUUAACAGGUUGGGGUACGAAUACUCUACCUCUUCGUCACUCUCAUCUACAAUUAAUUUUCCUCUUCAGUUUGACAUAGCGAAAUCUUAAAAGGAAACGUACAAUAAAUCUAAGUAUAUUGGUACAAAAGGGACAAUACAUAAUCCAAGCAACAACAACCAGAUAAGAAGUUAAAGGCGAUACCUGGAAUAAAUCGACACUGGUGGCGUUGCCGUGACGGAGAGAGAGCUCAGCAAAAGGAAGUCUUCGGUGCGGAAAGUGCGAUUAAAGGCCGAAGAAGGAGUUGGAUUACGGCGGAACGAUGGAUAAUGAAGCGCAAUGGCAGUUUCAAUUUAGGGAUUUAAGACGAAAGGGGAACAGAGACAUUUAAGUUACGCGAAUGUUAGCUCAAUCGCCGCGUAUCGAGGGCAGAUAAGCCACCGUUUCAAAUUUCAAAAUCAACAGGCCAAAAAGCGACACGUCACUGGUCAUUAAAAGGGCAUGGAGAGAUGUUAGCCCAGCAGCGUAUUAGACCUGUUCACGAAGGCCCAUAGUUGGGCCGAGAACUCUUUAAGCAAGAAACAUCACCUCGGAUCCAUUACAAUAAACAAGGACCAGAGGAAUGUGGCCCGAGGAUUGCUAGAUCCAAUUCUUAGUUUCUAGUCUCAACUCGUUUCACUCGCAAGACCAGAAACUGGGGGACUGGUGUUGAGUAAUGAAAAGUACCAGCUCGGCCAUGCCCUCAUCUCUCACCCUGAGGCAAAUCUCAUCAGCUGAAUGGCACGAGAAGAGUCCUGGUGAAACAUAUUAUACAGGCAUGUGCCAACUAGAGACGAGCACUAACUAGAGAUAUAUACCGACCAGAGAUAUGUACCGGCCAGAUGCUCAUCACCCAAAGAAAGAGCACACGAUCUCGCUAAAUUGAGACAGUUUCGCUAUGCCCCGAACCGUUGGGAAGAACAUGGCAUCCCACUUUUACCCACGGUCCAGUGGUUGGAGACCCAUGAGGGUCUGCCAUCACCCGAAAAUGGGGGGCAUGAAGAAUACGCAGAAACGUGGGACAACGGCUAUAAGAAGCCAGGAGACCGAUGAAGAAGUGGACAGAGAAAAAUUGAGAGAAAAAGGGGAAACUCUACCGAAUUAUUAUCAGAGAAUUUUAGACCCAAAUUCGAGAGAUAUUUUCGUAUUAGGAAUAUUAUAACUAAUCUAUACGACAUAAAUCAUACAAGUUUUCCUGUAAACACCUUGUGCUAACUUAAGCAUCGGAGGGUUUACGCCGGCAAAACCACCAACGUCUCUGAUCGGUUUUUGUGAUCGUAGGAUUAGAGAGAAGGAAAAAGGGUGUUUCCAACCCCAGGAGCUUGGACAAUUGCUGGAGUAGACAAAGGGUAGCAUCCUCUCCAUUGAACAUACAAGCAUUGGUAGAACGAUUUGGUCGGGCAAAAGGCGAUCAGAUUUCAGCAUCAACACAUUUGCUGGCGUAGGAAUGUACUAUUGAGGAGAUUUCGGAGGAGGAGGAACCUCCAGCAAAAAGUUCGAAGGAUAAAAAGGCUAAUGGACCUGAUUAUGGGAAAGCACCAAGUCUUGUACUUAAGAUUACUGGCAAAAUUCCUUAUAAAACUGUUCUGAAAUGUAUUCUUUAUGUUUAAAUCAUGGAGUUCCUCUGACGGUGAAUUUUUUUUUUAUUCAUUUUUUCAAAUUGAUCUGCCUUUAUCUUGGAGCCCACAAUGCUGUUGUUUUGAAAGCUGAUAGCACCGCUGACAAGGCGGAAUGGAUAAACAAGAUAACCAAAGUUAUUCAAGCUAAGGGAGGACUUGUUAGAGUUGCUGAAAGUGGUCAUACGAUGCGUUAGAGUCUUUUUGAUGGUUCUCUUGUGAGUUUACACUCUCUUGUUUGCAAUACAAAUUUUGAAGUAAAGAGCUACUUACCUGUGAAGGAUGCUGUUCCUUUUGCAUAUGCAUAGAAAUUGUGAUCGAGUGUUAAUUUCUCUUCUUGGUGGUUUUUCUAGGAUACAAUGGCUCGAAGACUUGCUGACCCUGAGGAAGAACUUCGAUGGAUAUCUCAAAAAGUAAGUGGUUACGUUGAAGCAGUUUUGAAUAGUUUAGCUGCUAAUGUGCCCAAAGUAAGCUCAUUCCUUAACUUUGCCAAUUUAAUAUUUUCAGUUAGUUACUUAAUAGAUCUGAUAUUUUUGUGAAUGGUUGAGCAGGCAAUUGUACUUUGCCAAGUCGAGAAAGCGAAGGAAGACAUGUUGAAUCAGUUAUAUAGCUCCGUCAAGUUGAUGGCUUUCUUAUUUCUCUCUUGUCAAUUAAUGAUCAUUUUGUUUAUAGUAAUUGUGCAUGGAUUCAAUAGAUGGUAACAUUAUUGAAAUUUUGUUUAGAAAGUUGAUUGAUGCUAACAUAAUUUGUAUUUUACCUUGGGUAGUGCACAAAGCACGGCAAGGAUUGAAGAGCUGCUUCAGGAGGACUAGAAUGUGAAAUGUAGAAGGGAUCACUAUCAGAAACAGUCUGAACUCCUUUUUAAACUAACCCGCAACUUAGCAUUCAUGACAACCGAGCGGCUGCUACCUCUAACUGGUCGGACGGUGGUGGUGGAGCAGGUACGUGGUCUUUUGUUCAUAUACCAAGUGGAAAAGAUUGUUCAAUUUAAUAUUUCCC
rnacentral:lncRNA from 1 species